CAUGAAGGGUACUUGUACUGAGCUCCCAUCUAGGAGGAAAAAGUCAUGGUCCUUUGUAAUUGAUGCAUCAAACUUCUCACUCCAAGCUCCUUUGAAAUACACUGCAUUUGCAAAGAUGAGCCUCGUGGAAGCAUCGACUGAGCCAGGUGGAAGAAUUUCUUCGACAAGGCCACUUGUUUCCUUUUCAGCCCAUUGAUUGACUUCACCGAUUACCUCAACAGCCUUCAGAAAUAUCAAGAAUAAAGAACAUAACAAUUAAUACAUUGUUAAAGAAAUUUACUUGCAGAAGUAGAAGUUCUACAACAUGAAUGAUUUCACCCAGCCAGUUCCUCUUUCUCCUACAACUCAAGGUGUACAAGCAGAUAAAUAAUUGUUUACAGCAUGAAUUCGUUGACAUUACAAUAGAAACUAUUUCUUUGUAAGGUUUAUUCUAAAUGUCAUGGGCCAUGAGUACCAUUUACAGAUAUACUUGAAACAGAAGUUGGUUACAUGCUUAUGAACAUAACCACCACCAAAAAACAAAAGCAAAAGCAAAGCCGUCCCCAAUAAAUUUGGAGUCAGGGAGCUAGAAGCAUUUUUCAUCCAUUCGACAGGGAUUUCUUGGUGACCAAUACUAACAUGAAGACAAGAAUAAAUCGGAUGUUAUCCAUUUGAUAUUUUCAUAAUAUCAAACUAUCACAAUUCUGUAAACAAUUACAGAAUUUACAAUUUUAAAAAAAAAAAAAAAGGAGGAUAAAAAUAAUGCAAAUUUUCUUACAAUGUGAAGCACCACAUGGAUUUACAACCACUGGUGUAUGGCAAGUGUUUUAAAGUUUAAAAUUACAUGUCAUUCUAUUUUGGUAUUUGGGAAGAUGAAAUCUAAGUAAUUAGGAGAAAAUGCCUUCGGCUUGCUUGGGCUUAGUUUAGCAACUUUUGAACGUACAAAGGUCAAGUUUUCAGUUAGAAACAGAAAAAAGUGAAAAUUUUUAAAAAAUGAGAGAUAUAAUCUUCAAUGAUUUAACCUGGGUCAAACCUUACGAGAUCCUAUAGUACAAUUUUGACAUGAAGCAGCCUUCCAAUUGGGUCUAUGGUGAAGGACAAAACCUUUCAGUUGUUUUUUCAUACUUAUGACAUUCCAAUAUGCUGUUAAAUAAAUGAAAUCAAGUUCAAGUUAAUCGCAACUUAAUAACCAAGAUUUAUUGAAUAGCCAAGGUCAAACUCAAUUCCAUUGAAACUUGGAAAAUUCAUACAAUAAACAAAUCGUUCUUUGAGAUAUACUGACUCGGACCAAACAAGUUUGUUAAUGGAAAUCCAAAAUCUAUAUUUAAUUCAAGCUCAAAUUCCUCCAGCUAAACUUGCUUGUGUUUAUUUACAUAGUAACAUGUUUGGGAGUGUUUUUAAACAGUUCAAAUUAUAAAUGGAUAGAAAUGAGCGGUUCCUCAAAAUGUGUAAAUAAACAGAGUGUUCACAAACAAUUUAUAGAAACGAGCAAAAGUAGUUUAACUAAUUGAACUAAAUUCAUUUUUCAUUGGUAAUACUGGACAUCAACUCCAGCUUUCCCCUAACAAAAUUUACAAAAGCACGGAUAAAUCGACCAAUUGCAAUAAGUUCAACAAUCAGUUGGAAGAAACAGCUUUUCCAUUAACCAAACGAAUAAACAUGGAUGAAAUGGACCAAUUGUAAUAAUUUUUGAAAUAUGUUUUGAAAAUUUCAUCACCUAUUUUUCCCAAAUGUAAUCAUAUUAAUUGUGUCAAAGCCAUCAAAUUGAAUUUCAGAAACAUACACAAUAAAGUAUCAAUUGAUUAAAAAAAAAAAAAAAGAAAUUUGACAGCACACAAACCACCUAUAGACACCAAUAAUAAGCAAAAAAGGUUAUAAGGAAACAAUCAAACCUUGAUCAACGAUAAACAGAUUAAUGAGUUCUAUAAUUGAAAAUAGAAAUUAAACUAACCUUAGUUUGAAAAUCAACAGGAUUAGAAGCAGCCUUGUAAAUAUUAUCAACAAUUUCUUUAAAACUGGGCUUCAAGCUGAGACUCUGAUCUAUCCAACCCCCAUUAGCGAAUGACAAGCAAGGCCCACCAAGGGGGCCACCGUCAGCGAAAAUGAGAUUUACAAGCUGAGAGGAGAGUGAGUUGAGUUCAUCAGUGGACUUCGAUUUGAGGAAAUUAAGCAACUGAUUAAGGGUUUGAUCUUUGGAUCCGGCCGCGAUCAGACCCAACACCACGUGAAUCGAGAGCGGCGAGAACACCAAAUUCUUAUCCUUGGCCUCAGUCGAAACCAAGUAAUGUGCAAGCUGAAGUGAUGCUUGUGUUUGGUUCUUGAUGGAUUCUCUUAGGUCCAUUUCUGUCUGCGUCUGCGUGUGGAAGAGGUGAUUGAAUCAAAAUUCGUGCGCGUUUGGACGUUCUGAAAAUCUGCACUGUGUUCACCGACCCAUCAGAGGCAAUUUAUAUGUGCCAUUUGUGAUGGUUGACUCAAGCGUGUCUUUCAAUGUCUACUCAACACGUUAGGAUUCGUUUCUUCGAGAUAAAGAUUACAAAUUGGGGGAAUCCAUUGUUCAUCCAAACGACCUUGAAGAAUACUUCGACGUUGAUGUUUUGAAAUUAAUUUUGUGAAUAGUGAUUAAUUUAUAGGCUGUAGGGUUAAAAUAGAUAUAAUUAUUUACGUGUAAAAUUAUUUUAUCAAAAGAUUGUGUAAGAAAAAUUAGGUUUGAGGAAAAUAUAAUUUUUUUAGUAUCAUAAUCAACCAUCCUAUAAACUUCUCUAGGGUCUAAAAAUUUAUUAGUAUCGUAACCAACCAUCCGAUAAACUUCUCUAGGAAUUUAGACUCUGUUUGUCACCCAUCAUUUGAGAAAUUAAAAAGUUAUGAAUAGUAUUUUUUUGAAAAAUAUGUUGUUAAAAAAUAAAGAAAUUUUAUAAAUUUGUGUGUAUAAUAUUUUAUUGUGUGAAUAUGAGGAGUAGAAUGGUACUCUAACAAACAAUUUUAAAUUUUAAAUGGGGCAAAACAAGUUUCUUUCACCGCGGAUAUUUCUUGCUUGUUUGACUUUCUUUAAUUUAUUUUAUAGAUUGUUACGUGAUCAUUUUCAACAUAUUUACGCAAUAAAAUAUUAUACAUAUACACUAAAACUUUGUCUAUUUUAAUCACACAUUCUCUUAAAAUUACUAUUUAAAAAUCAUUUUUCUGCCAAAACAGUUGUCAAACAGGCUUCAUCUUGUGUGAUUUUUUGAAAAUUACUUUUUUUGAUAUUUAUUUUCAAUAUACAUUCUUUAAAAUUAUUUUCCAUAUUUUUCAAUUUUUAAACUUUUUAACUACACAUUUUCAAGAAAAUCACAUUUCAUAAUCUCUAUCCCACACACACACACACACACACACACAUAUAUAUAUAUAUAUAUAUAUAUUUUUUUUUUUUUGUAAUUUUUUUUCUCUAAAAGCAUCUUCAAUAGCAUAUUGUAUAUGAUUCAUAACUUUUUCUUACUUUUUAACUAUACAACCUCUAAAAAAAUAUAUGUCACUUGAAAAAUCCAUGUCAAACAAACUCUAACAGUGACAUGAUUGAGGGGAAUUCUUCAAAGUAGAAAUGCCAAUUUAAACCGUCAAAAUCGAAAAUUGUGACUAACCGAACCAAAUAGAGCGAAAAAAAUCGAAUCGACGGUGCAAUGGGGCGGAUAUGGUAUUUGAUUUUAAUGAAUCGGUUCGUGACGGUGCGGGUAUGAUAUUUACGCCGUCGAACCGAAACCGAACCGAUAACUCGCUAAAAAAAGCAAAAAAUAAAUAAAUAAAUUGAAUUGAUUAUUGAGCUUUACACUAUAUUUCUAUCUAGCCGAAAACAAAAUUUCCCCAUUACAUCUACUUGACCUAGCAGGCCAGCUCACUUAUCAUUAGCCCAUAAUAAUAGCAUUAGUAUGAAAGUAUAUAAAUGCAAACCCCAUUUUCCACAAACCACAAGCUCACGCACGCUCCACUACCUCUACGGUCCAAGCCGUCGUCACCUCCAAAAAAUUUCCCACACGACUUCAGUUUUAAAGAAAAGACAGGACCUCCCUUCUUAAUCAAGAUUAUUGGAACAAAAAUUUCAUCUCAAUCAUUUUUGUUGUAUCUGUAAACUGAUUGCAUUUUGCAUCCAAUUCCAGGGACGCAUUUUUCAGGAUUUGAUGCAGAAAUUGUUUCAAAUUUUGUCGAAAAGAGGAUAAAUUCAAUCAGUACUGAUUUAGUAUAGACUUGAGCCAAGUCCGAGGCGUGGUCGAAUAUAAUAUAUUGUGUUUUUGUUUUCAUUGAAUUUUUUCAUAAAUUGUUUUAUAUCAAUUUGAUGGAUGAACCUAUAAAAAAUAAUUUAUUUUCGUGGUUAUUAAUCGAACCGAACCUAUUUACGUGAUUAUGGUGCGGUUAUAGUAUGGUCAAAAAAUUGAUCGUGCGAUUAUGAUUUUGGCCGAACCGACCCAUAACUGAACCGUUAUCAACCCUACUUCAAAGCAUGUUCACAAGAACAUGGAGAGGAGCUGUGGGCUUUAGCUCCAGGACUGUACCCAUUUAUUAUUUUUGUAUUAAUUCUGUGCAAAUAGUUUUUUAUUAUCCCUCGACUCCACCUCUAAUAUCAACCCAUGAUGCGCAAAUCUAAAUAUUCUCACACUAUGCAAAAAUCUCUUUUUGGUUGAGACAUUUCUCACUUCUCAGUUGUAGUAUUCAGAUUUAUAUGAAAAAGGAGCUCAACAAUAGUUUAUACUUUUCCUAAAAAUAAGACAAAAUAAUGCAAAAUUUUGGACAAAAAAUGAUGAAUGAAGUAAAAUAACAAGAUGUAUCUCUUCAACGAAUUAUUCUACUCCAACAUGUCUUCCUGAAAAAACAAGGCCUAUGUGGCCCUGUUUGAGAAGUAGAACCCCUCGUAUAUAGUGUUUUCUACCUUGAAAUGCCACUUCUAAAAAUGCACUUACUUGACAGUUGACACCUCCUUAUGAUAUUUUGACUAUGCUUAGGAAGCUCAAUUUAAAAAAAAAAAAAAAAAGCAGCUUCUAAAAUAAAAUUUUUAUUGGUAAAUGUUUAAAAUAAUUAUAUUAUUUAUUAUAAGUUUUUGUAUAGAAAUGUGUGGAGGGUAAGUUGUUCGUCGAUCAUGAUUAACGAGGUAGUUUCGACCCUUCUCUAUCUCUUUCUCAAAACCGUUAAAUUUGAUAUAUUUUUCACUUGUAAAAUUUGUUUUCAUUUUUUUUCCUUUUUUUUUUUUUGUGCAUUUACGCAUUUUACAUAUUGUUUAUCUCAUCAUCUUCAUCUCACAAAAUAUUUACAAGUUCUUGGAGAUUUCAGAGAUCCAACGAAAUGAAAAUUUGGGUUACAAUGUUCGAGAAAAUGAAAUAAUAAUUAAAAGUAUUCUUCCUAAACUAUUAAUAUAGUAUUUUUAUUUUUUUACAUUUGAUUCUACUUAUUCUUGUGGACAUCAUUGAUACGUGUUUUUAGUAGUCAUGGGCGGACCAACUGUUGAGAUUCUCCUCCCUUUUUUUUUUUUAAAGUCAUGUUUGGCAUCGAUUGAAAUUUAAAUUUAAAUCUAAAUCAAAGUUAAUAAUUAAUUUUAAUAACAUAUUUCAUGGAUUCUUGAGCUUCUAAAAUUUUAUCAAAAUUUACUAAAAAUCGGACUUUAGUCCCCACCAAACAAAGAUACAAUCUCAAUAAAUUUGAAUUUUUUCUCUUUUUUAUUGCUCUAUCCUAUUCUCUCCCUAAAGCCUUUUACCAAAAUCUUAACUCUUCUAAUUUUUUAUAAUUUAUUUAUAAUUCCUCUACGAUUGUCACAUUUAAUAUAAAUUUUCACUUUUCAAUCAAAUUUUUAACUAAUUAGAACCUAAAAAUUUGCAUUUUCUCCUAUUCUAUUUGUGUAUAUAGCACGUGUCUAAACUGAUGAUAUAAAAUUGAACUUAUAUCUAACGAAUUGUGCUUAUCUGACUGAUUAUUAGUAUUGAAUAUUGGUUAUUUGCUAUUACUUUCAAUUACUUGAAUUGAUUGUUUGUAUCAAAUACACAAUUUUUUAAAACAUAAAUAUAUAUUUUCUUGUGAUGAGCAAAAUAUUAAUAAAAUUAUUAUUCAAAAUCAAAUAGAUGAAAAUAAUUAGCAAAAUAUUAAUGAAAAAAUAAUUUUGAAAUGUAAAUCUACAUUUUUUCGGGUCAAAUACGAAUCAUUCAAAAAUAAAAAAUAAAGUAAUCGAUUUGUACAAAGUUUGAUUGUGCCACCUAACUCAAUUUCUCUACGUCCGCCUUUGUUAAUAUUAUUAUAUUUUGAUGAUGAUGAUUUGCUCUUCAAAAGAAACUAUUUUAUUUUAAAUCACCUCCAUCAAAUGAACCCAAUGUAUAUAGUCACGUUGCACAUACUUUACAACAGUAUUAUAUAAUUAACAAAAUAUUUAACCUCUUUUCUUUUGAUUGCGUGCUUAAUAAUAUUUUACGGCACCUGCAACAAUUAGUUAUUUUAUUUUAUUUUAUUUUAGUUUUAAUUAGGGUGGAGCUUUUGAAUACAUUUGUUAUGUUUUGUGUUAUAAUAAUGAGAGAAUUAAAUGCUCAUUUAUUGAACGAUCAAUUAGGUAAACUAGGAAGGACAAAAUUAAAAAUAUGGAUACAUAAAUGCCGAUUAUAGCAUAAUUUUUCUAAUAUUCUAGAAAACAUAACAAUCUCUCCUAAACUAAUAUUGGAUUUUGCUUGUUGUAUGUCGGGCUGUACAUCAACAUGUCCAUAAUGCUCCUGUAGCAAUAUAUUGGAUUUCAAUUUCUCGUGUCCAUUGAAAAGGACGAGAUAUUUACUGGAAAGCCCCUGCCUUAUCUGAUAUUUGAAAACCUUCUCUUUGGAAGCCAAAUUUAUGCAACAUUAACCAUCUUUCUCUAGGAAUGUCAAUUUGACUUACCAGCUCGAGCAGCCCAAGAAAAGUCCGAUCAUGCCCAAUUCGCGGAUCGUUAUAAUCCAGCUGAGGCUUGAGCUGAGCUUCAUUUUGGAGUUUCGGCCGAAGCUCAAGCUAGCCAGUGUGGCUUGACGAACCACAUGGGCCAUUUUCGGCUUGUGAGCAAAUUUGUGAAAAAAAGAUAUUUUGGCUGCUGUAGCUGCCUGUGUAUUACAGGCAGCUAGUAGCUACUGUUGCUGUAGCUCCAGCAGCGAAUUUGCUUGUGUAUUGCAGGCAUCAAUACAUAGUAGGAAGUCACGCGGUUGCCUUUUCAAAAAAAAUAAUAAAAAAUAAAAAAUCACGAGCUGUCUCGGUUCGAUUGGAUUCCAUAAGGCCAGAGCCAAAGCUCAGAUUGAGCGUUGAUAUUUUGACCGAACACAAACUCGACUCGACUCGAGCUAAAGAAAGCUUGAACCAUUUUUACUCAAAUCGAACACGAGCUUCAAAUUAGGCUCGCGAGCCAGUUCAACUUAGCUCGUUGACCUCCGUAUCUCUCUCAGCAAAAUCUUCGACAAUCUUCGACAACUGAUGAUGAGUAGAUCGACUAGAGACAAAUCGGCGGUGAGCAGAUCAAACAGGGCAACAACAAUAUUUUUUACUUGUAAGAAAAUGGAUUUAAAUUUCUUUUUGGGUGAAUUUCUUCAUUUGUUGUUUAAGUGUUAAUUUCUGGAGUUCUGUACUUGCCGUUCGUCGGACAUUAAAUGGGUAGAUUUUAGUUUGUACCUGAAAUGGGUGGAUUUUAUACUAUAAACUCGGUGUCUUGUGAAAUGCGUAUAAAAUAAUUUUUUAAUCUUGUGGAACAGGGUAGAUUUAAGUUUUGAGCUCUUCUUUUGUGACUACUAUAUGCAAUUUCAUGUUACAAAAAAUUCUCGGAUCGGCUCAAGUAAAGAAUGCUUGAACUAGUUUUACUGGAGAUGAACCAAAGCUUCGAAUUUCUGCUCACGAGCUGACUUAGCUCAACUCGUUCACAUUCCUAUCUUUUUCUCAACAAAAUCCCUAGAUGACUAAUGACAAUGGAUCGAUUGGAGACAAAUCAAAGGCGAGCUGAUCUAACAGGGUAACGACGAUAUCUUUUACUUGUACUAAAAUGGAUUUAAUUUUUGUUUGGGUGGAUUUCUUCAUUUCUUGUUUAAGUGUUAAUUUCUGGAGUUAUGUACUUUACCGUUCACCAAACAUUAAAUGGGUAGAUUUUAGUUUGUACAUGAAAUAGGUAGAUUUUAUAUUGAGAACUCGAUAUCUUGUGGAAUGCAUCUCAGAAAAUUUUGAAAUCUUGUGGAACUGGAUAGAUUUUAAUUUUGAGCUCUUCUUUUGUGACCACUGCAUGCAAUUUCAUAUUACAGAAAAUCAAGGGAAUUUUAUCUUUACACGAAGUCCCGAAAACCCAACUUUUUUUUUUAAAAUCAAGAUACGAAAGUGAGGGCAGAAAACAUAUCAUGGUUGGAGUGGUGGUGAGAAUUGAUGAUUCUUUAUUGGAAUCCACACUUUUAAAAACUGAUAUUGGAUUUAAUUGUUGCUUCGCCAAGAGACAAACCCUUGUCCCGUUCCUUCUUUAUCACAUGUUUCUACAAAGUCUUAGCUGCCGGAAGAGUGUGAUUUUCUUAUCCAGACAUUUUCUUUUGGAAGCCUCCAAAGUGUAAUUACAGUCUACGAGUGGAGAUUCAAAAUCCAUGCUCCAAAUACUUGAGAUGUCAAUUUCAAGACACCUUGGAUCAAGUUUUCAUGUAGUAUUUUUCAUUAAGCAUAUAACAAGGAUUUUUUUUUUUUUUUUUUUUUAAAAGUGAUAUACACAAAUGGCAUGAAAUUAUAAGGAAAAAAAAAAAUAACAACCACACAUGAAAUCAAACAAUUAAUAUUUUACCCCUCAAACUUAAAUUAAAUAUUGUCCCCAAUGUAAAAUUAAAGACAAAGGAGGAUGAGGACUUUCUUGAGUGAAGACAUCAAUUGGCUUCAUUGCUAUCGGCAUCAUGGUGGGGGCAGUGAUGGAUGUUGGUUCUAGUUUUGCCCCCAAACUUGAGCCUCGACCUACAAGAAGAGAAAAAUGAUUAAGAAAUUAUAAACAAAAAUGUAAACUAAUAUCUAAAUAAUUAAAAAGAAAAAGAGCUUGGGUUGCCUCCCAAGAAGCACUUAUUUAACGUUGUUAGUUUGAAGUUGUCGGAAUGCCUUAGGUUAGGUCACCAAGGGCACUUCUUCUAUAUUCAGCUCGUCCUUUCCAUAGUAUUACUUAUGUUGCUGGACAUUAUUUUAAAAUAUGAACCUAUUCUUGUCCUUCAACUUCACAGCACCAAAAGGAAAUAUGUUGUGGCUAAUGGUCGUGGCCAUCGUGAAUUAAGAUUAUUCACCGUCAACUUCUAGCGGGACUUAUGGACAAGUACUUGUUUCGGAAUUGGCUUUCUUCUCCAUAUAAACUUUUGCACAAGAUAAUUAGUACUGAAGAUCUCUUUGGAUUCAAAAGAGUUGACAGGCUUCACAAGAUCCUUUUUCUAGUUCUCAUUACUCUCAAGUGGCAAAGCUUCACUAGCCAAGAUAAAAUCAACCAAUUUCCUGCUCUCCCUGUAUAACUUUUUGUAGCAGUUAUGUCUAUUCUUGAAGCACUUGUUACAAUAUACUACAGUAAAGUGUCAUCAAACAAUUCCUUUUUACAUUUUUCUCCCACUGAUGCAACAAUUUCUUAACUUGGUAUAUAGUGAACCUGACUUCUUCUUUAUUAACCCAAAGUGUUAGUUGUCCUCUUUGUACAUUAGUAAGUGCUCUACCAGUUGCUAAGAAAGGUUGACUAAGAAUUAAUGGUAUUUCUUGAUCUUCCUCCAUAUCCAACACCAUAAAAUCAAACGGAAAGAUGAACUUCUCAAGUUUAACUAACACAUCUUCCAUAAUUUCCUUAGGAUAUGUAAGAGAUCGAUUAGCAAACUACAAAGCGAUGGUGGUUGAUUUCGUUUAUCCAAGACCCAACUUCUUGUAUAAACAGAGGCAUUAAAUUAAUGCUAGCCCUAGAUCACAUAAUGCUUUGUUAAUGUUAGAAUCGCCAACUGUGCACGGAAUUGUAAAGCUAUUUGGAUCCUUUAGUUUCUAAGGAAGCUUCUUUGACAUUAGUUUUUUUUUUUCAAGAAUUUGGCAUAAUUCUGCAUGUGUGCUAAAAUAUCUACAAUAGAGAAAAUUAUAUGGAUUUUCUUGAAAAUUUCUAGAAAUUUUGCAACCUGUGCAUUAAACUUUUUCUUUAGGAAUUGCUGUGGAUAUGACAGUGGUAUCUUCAAGAUUGGUGGAUUAUCUAGGAAUGAGACUGAAUUAGGCUUAGAAGCCUUCUUUGUUUUCUUGUCCUGCAACCUACUUUUCUUCCUCUUGUCUGGAAUUUGAGUAGAAACUAUAGCCUCUUUAGGCUUACUUUCUCUAAUCUCCUUACCACUUGUAAAUGUGAUAGCAUUGCAAUGUUCCCUUAGAUUUACCUUUGUAUCACUAGGAAACUUUCCUUUAGGUUAAGUAUUCAUUGCAAUAGCUAGUUGACCAAUCUGUAACUCAACAGAUUUCAUAAUGGCCUCCAUGUUGGUUAUAUGAGUCUCAAUGUUGUCAGUCGUGACUCAUCCUUGUUGAAUCUUGCCCUAGUCUCUGAAAUAAAGGCUUUCAAGAUGUCUUUUAAUGAUGGUUUCUCUUAAAAGGAUUGAUUAUUGAACCUAGGAGAAUGCUAGAGCACAUUCCUAUUAUUACCAUAAGUGAGUUUUUAUAUCAAGCAGCCGCUUGGCAGAUUGGUACAGAAGAUUUCCAGUGGGGCGUGAAGAUGCUUCUUUGGUGAAUGAGAGGCUGGGUGCCUCGUAUACCUGCGUAGCGCGGCUCUCACCAGGCUGACCUUUUCGAGUUGGUCAGGGCGAUCCACCAAACUAGUUAGUAGAAGAUUUGACCAAAUGGAGCGUCAGCUUACGCGCUCCAUCGCCUUUGCUAUUAGUUGGGACGACAUGGCGUGGACUCUGUAGGCUCUGGGACUACCACGUGGUUAAUGAUUUGGCAUCUCUCUGGACGCGUAAGAACAAUCCUCUAAGUCCAUGUAUGGAAUAUUUAUAUCGUGUGCGGACUUUUAGUGUUGGACUAGAAGUAGAUUGUUUGUUGGGGCUACCCAUUGGCAUGGAGAAUUGGUGCAAAGGUGAUUUGGCCGAGGUGUAACAAUAAUAGUCCUCCAAGUCCAUGUAUAGAUUAUUCAUAUAAUGCGUGAACUUUUGGUUGAUGAGGUGUAGGCAUAGUUUCUAUUUGGGCAAGUUUUUUGUUGUUGAGAGCUUUGAGAGAAGCUGUUGAGGCAGAAGCGUGGUCCCUGAAUCAUGAUCGCUAAUAAUUGAGUCUGACUCUGCCUUGAAUCUUGACUUGGAUCAAAAGAUUCUUCAUACCGUAUGAAGAAUACGUAGCUAACAAUAUCUCAAAUACGUAGCUAACAUAUAGCUAGAUUUUAAGACGGCAAUUGAUAUACUUAUAGGAAGAGGAUUCAGAUUUUCAGGUCAAUAAUUAUAAUUACGUUUGAUUCAUUGAUAUCUUGUAUCAAAGAAACGAUGUCUUUCUUUUGAGUUAAAACAAAUUAUUUCAGCAAAAAUUUAUUCUACUUCCACAACUUUCUAUGUUUUUCUUGUUGUGUCACUUAAACUUUCUCUAGUCUUGUUUGUAAAGAUUUAUUUUUAUAGGUUUUCAAAAAUAUGUUAUAGAAAUGGUUAGUACCAUCAGUGGUUAUUAAAGUUUGUUAAAAACUUUAAAAUGAUCGUUGAAGUAUUUUUCUAGCUAUAAUGGUAAUUUAUUCUAAUAGUUACAUUAAUAGUUGGCUGGAAACAUUAACCAAAAUCUUGUAUGUCACCAUUAAAUGUCAACUUUGACGCAAACAAUGCUAAUUAUUACAUAAUGCAACGUAUUCCUAAAUUUUGUAGAAAUUAAUGGAAUAAACACUUUUAAAUUUAAAUUUUCAUUUGGGUAAUAUGUUUUAAAAGCUGAAUGUUUCUCCAUCAAAUUUUCAUGAUAAGGAUUGAUUAUAAGGAUUUAAUUUCUUCAAAUUUGCUCUCCCAACUGUCUUCUCUCUUCUGUUACGUUAUCUGCUUCUUUCUUUUUUGCUGUCCUUCCACUGCGUUUUCUAUUUUUUCCCCCUUCUAUUCUCCUAUCUUCAGCUUCUGUUUGCUUUCACAAAGGAUUCUAAUUCCUUUGAAUUUGAUUCCCAUCUAAUUUCAUGUUUCAAGGCCCAUUAAUGUAUUAUUUAUCUCAAAGGCCUCACGUCUUUGAAAUAAUGUAAUAUAGUCCUUGAUAAAAAUUUGUUUGUGUGUCUCAUGUCUUCUUUAAUUCAAUCAAUCACUUCAAUUAUAAUAAAAAUGUGGAAUUUGAUCUCAAAGCUACAGAUUUUAUUCAAUUUCAUAAUUCUUGAUCAAUAUUUUCUCCGAUCCCUAGUUUCUCCUAACAUAAUAAAAAAAUAUAAAUAAUUAACCAUCAAGUUUACAAUACUACUAACUAAAGACACUUUGGCGACUUAGAUAAGUGUAACUUUAAUACUUAUCAAAUACCGCCAAAUUUGAGCAUUUGUUAGUAUUCAAAUAAAUGAUAAUAGAUACUUUACUAUACUCUAAGAAAAAUACUCAACUCGAUAUAUGCAUCUCAAUGUUUCCUCAAAUACCUAUCACAAUCACAAAAUUUAAACAGGUUAAUGAGACACAAGAACCAAAAAUUAUUCUAAAACUCCACAUAUCGUAUAGUGUUCGUGUGUGUGUGUUGAACAUUCUCAUAUCUACUGAUGUUACUCAAAUCAAAUAAUCUAUUUUAAUUUCCAAACUCUCUUUUCCCAGAUAAAAAACUAAGUCCCAAUAAUGUUGAUAUACUCUUUCAUCACUCGUGUUUUUCUAUUUAUUUUUCAAUUCUCCCAAAGACAAAAUAACUAUGAGAUAUGACUUGUUUUCAUCAACCACUCAGUCACCUUCCAAUUUGUAAUCAAUGAGCUGGACUCAGCUGGACAGAGGUAGCAUUUAUAUAGUUGUUUUGGUACUAGCGCAACACACUUUAGUGUGUUUUACUUUUCUUUUUAUUUUAUCCAUUUUUCUAUUUUUUUGUGAGUAGGGUCAACUUACUCAAUACCAGCUUCAUACUAUAGUUUAGGUAAAUUUUUCCCUAUGUGUCAAAACUAGUGCAAUGUCUUUUACGUUUUAGGCUAACAAUAGGAGUUAAAAGAUAAUUAAGUGGUGAUGUUUUUGGUGUCGAAUGGAUCUAAUCAUUCCUAAACUUAUUCUAAAAGGAUUUUCAAUAUGGUUCUAAACGAAUGUUGGUUUAAUAAAUAUGUUCUAAGGUCUUAAAAAAUUCUGAGGUGAUUGACUUGUACAACUCAAUUUUUAAUCAAUUAUAAGUGUAGUCAAGAAUGAGUACGUGCUUGAAUUGUUCAAAAGACAAGUAUAAAAUAAUAGGAUUCAUAAAUAAUUAAAAAUCUGAGUGUCCAAAGGAAUCGAUUUACAUUUUGCUCUUAUUUGAGAAUCAUCAAUUGAUAUAAAUUACUUUGUCCAAGUCAAAUCACACACAAGCAUACAUAAUAAAGCUAAAAAGUUUUUUUUUUUUUUUUUUUUUUUUUUAAAAAAAAUUUUUAUGGGUUUUUUACAACAAAAGCCCCAAACCUUUAAUCACACCCAAAUUAUUCGUGUAGAAUAAAUUAAAAUAGAACCUAGAUUUUCUCCUCGACGUAAUGCUAUAAAGCAGAAAAUAUCAAAAUUAAAUAAAAGAUAGAAAAUUUAGACUUGACUGAUAAUUUUUGCAAGAUGGAGUUAGCCUUGAAACUAGAAGAAUAUUUUCCUUCUCUUUAUCUUCUCUCCUCCUUCAAAGGAAUUUCUCCUUCUUUGUGCCUUUUUUCUACAAAUAAGAUUAAGUAAUUAUAAUCAAGAUUCCAAUAAAAGAGCAACACAUCAACUACUUAAUCCAUCUAUCUCAAUUCGAUUUUGCUAGUGGUACAUUGAGAUGUAACUAAUGGUGUACACUCCACUCACAUAGGUGAGGGACCCAAUCGAAUAAAAUAUCAUUUCUUUCACAUGGAUCCCACACCCAUGUGAGUGGGGUGUACACCAUUCGGUACAACCCAUUAUAUACCACUAGACAAAUAAUAAGUAAUUAUAAUCAAGAUUCCAAUAAAAGAACAACACAUCAACUACUUAAUCCAUCUAUCCCAAUUUAGUAUAACAAAAUUAGAAAAAUUCCAAGAAAAAAAAUCUCAUGUAAUACUAUUGAGUGAAACUUGAACUUUUCAUGAUUUUUAAAAACAUUGAACAUAUUGAUGAUGAAUAAGUUGGUGAUUAUGUGAAUUUGGGUGUCAAAUAUAUGGAGGAGGGAGAGAAUUUUGAAAAUUUGAAGUUAAAACUUAUUAAAGUUAAAAACUAAAAUAAAUAAAAAAAUUAGAUCUCUUAGUUCUUUUUCUAUGUUUGACCACGGUUGACCACGACGAACAACAAACAUUUGGCGACUGUAUGUCAUCGCAGUUGACUGCGGUCAACCGUAUUGUUUAUUUUAAUUUUUUGCAGUGGUAAUAGAAUGACGACCCCAAAAAUAAUAAAAUAUUUAAAACAAAAUUUAUUUUUAGCUAAAUAAUAAUUAAACAUGCCUAAUCCUAAAUGCAAUUGUAUCAUUUAUAUGUCAUGCAGUAAUAGGAUGGCAAUUCAUAUCGCUGGCUCGAGCCACCCGUGGCUCGGCCUGGGCUAAGCCCGAGCCAGCCCGCAGGCAUUAUUUAAAAAAAAAAAAAAAUAGAAGCCCCAAAAAAUGCUGCCUUAAUAGGUAGUCAGUAGCUGGCUGCCUUUUACGACAACCUUAUAUAAAUAAAAAAUAAAAAUAAAAAAAUAAAAAAAAUAGAAGAACCAUAAAAAAAAUGAGCCUACCCUGCUCGAGCCUAAGCCCGGCUAAAAGCUCGUACAUUUUACUUGAGUCAAGUCUGAACCUUGAGUUUUGGCUUAGGAGCCGGCUCGGCUCGUUAGAAAAGUGGUUUACUUCCCAUUAAAUUCUUGGUCUAUAGUCCGAAGCUAGACUUUGGUCAAGUCUUAAUUAUGAUGGCUCAAGUCGAAAUGUUUUGGCCUUGUAAUCCUUCCAAUUUCUAGCUUUGCAUUCUCUUCUUGCUCUCCAAACUUUGAAUUUUUCAUUCUUAUCUCUACCAAGAAUUUCAACAAAUUUAGGUUUCUCUUCUGAUAGCUUUGUUGAAAUGAUAAAUCAUCCUCAUCAACACAGUUGCACUCCUCAUAUUCAGAUGGUUGCUUGCACUGCUCUCUUCUGUCAUGCCACAAUUUUAAAUUUUGGCAGCUCUCUCUUCUUUAAUAUAAUGUCUUUCAAGAACCUUACAUAACUUGAAAUUUGCCUAAUUGCAUCAACGAAUUGUAUGUUGAUGUAAAGCUUCUUCAGCACGUCCAGGAACUUUUCAAAUUGAUGGUCUAGCUCGUGUUACUUCAACCUUUGUGGGAACGGGAUGAGAAGUACAUAUUUUCUGACAGAAACGGCCACCUUAGCAUGUUGGUUAUCUGAAUUCUCUUUCAAAUUUUCAUCAGUUGAUGUUUUAGAUUCAUCUAAUUUCUCUUCUUCAAUAGUUGUUACUUAAUUUAUCUUUGCUAUUGAUAUUUUGAACGUAAUCCCAAGCAGUUGUACCUCGCUUCUUAUUGUGAUUUCUUUGAUCCUCUCCUCCUCUCUCCACUUUGAAAUCCUUACGAAAAAGGAAUGGGAGGCAUAUGUUCUCAUAAUUUUGGAGCUGCCAUCGGUUGCAGGGUAUUUAUUUGUUCAUCUUCAAUAACUCUGAUAGAUAUUACCUACUCCUUUGAAUUAGUUUCUGUAUAGAAAGGUAAAGCUCCUUGUAGCCUUUCAGAGAUAUCAGGGGGCCAGCUGACCUAUUUAAGUUUCCAAUUCUGUUUAAUGGUUGUCGAAUGACUUUGUAAGGUUGUUUCAAUCUUAGCCAUGUAUUGGUUAGUCUUCUGUAUGAGUUUACCCAAUAUAUCCUCCAAAGAAGCUCUCUUUUCUUCUUGUUGGAAACUAGGAGUUGGGGAUCUGCUGAUGCUUAUUUUGGUUGUUGCUUCAGGAGAAGUUAUGAUGAUUACGUGAUCCUCAGUUAUAUGCAUUGCUCUAUUGGUUAUUUUGCUGGUGUUAAUAAUUAUGUGCAAUCCUCUCUCUAUUUUGAUGCAGCCUAGCAUUCCAUAUUGUUGUGAGCUCCCCCAAAUGUACUACAAAAUUGAAAUCCAAAUUUUUUUUUUAUUUUUUAUUUUUUAUUUUUUAUUUUUGGCAUUUGAUGAAUUUUUAAUGGCCAGAUGGCCUAUAACCUUCCUUUCUAAAGAAGAUAUUUGUGCUCAUAGUUUGUAGAUGGCAUCUAUUUCAUGCAUACCUGAUGAAAUCUUGUAUAAAGAUCUUUCGAAAGGCCACAAGGCAUUGUCGGCUGCAAUUGUCUCACAUCCUUAACUUUAUUAGGUGACCUCAAUGUGAUAGAUCCAUUAGCACUGAUGUACGACAUGCUGGGUUCAAUCCGGUCUAGAAGUACAAAACUUGCAAGGAUUUCUUAAUAUCAUGGUUAGGACACUUUCUGAUCAUGUUCUUGCAUCUUUUACAUGCUUCAUGAAAACUCUCUAAAUCUGCCGGUUGAAAUGUCGAGAUCUCAUGACUUUUAGUUACCUUUGACGUUGGAAAGUAUUUUGUGACACACUUAUGUACUAUAUCAUCAUCCUAAUGCUUUCUUCGCCCGGGGAAUCCAACCAUUCUCUUGCUUUAUCACGAAGAGUAUAUAGGAAGAGUCUCAACUAAUUGCUUCAUCGGAUACUCCAUGAAAAUUGUAGUUUUAGUAGAUGUCCAAGAAGCGUGAGAUAUAAUUAUGUAGAUUCCCAUAAUAUUGAAAUAAAACAAAAAAGGUUAAAAGAUAUCACCAACUUUAAUUACAAUAAACAAGAUAAAAGUUACUCCUGGCUUUCGUUGAUUUUUGUCAUACAAUUCCAACAAUAUUUUUCAUUUCCUUCCUUGCGUAUUGUAAAUCUCACGAUAAUUAGUUGAUGGAAUAUGAUAUAUUUUCUUCAAUUUUGCUCUCCUAGCCAUCUUUUCUCUUCCAUCACAUUUUCUAUUUCUUGCUUUUUGUCAUCCUUCCUCGGUGUUUUCUGCAUUUUUCUUUUAUUUGCCUAUAGCCAGCUUCCGUUUACUUUUAAAAAAAAGGAUUCUAAUUCCUUUGAAUUUGAUUCCCAUCUAAUUCUAUGUUUCAAGGCCCAUUUUUUUUUUUUUAUGUAUUAUUUCUCUCCAAGGCUCACUUUUUUUUGAAUAAUGUAAUUUAGUCCUUGAUAAAAAUUCAUUUGUGCAGCACAAAUCCUCUUUAUUUCAAAUCAAGCCCUUCAAUUUCUAAAGUGUUGAAUUUGAUCUCAAAGCUGUAGAUUUCAUUCAUUUUCGUCAUUCUUGACCAAUAUUUAUUCCAAUCCCAAAUUUUCUCGUAACAGAAUCCAAAAAUACAAAAAAUUAAGUAUUAAGUUCACAAUAAUACUAACAAAAGACACUUUAUGUGGCUUAAAUAAGUGUAAAUUUAAUACUUAUUCAUAUCCACCUUCACAUCCACUCCCUUUUCAAUGAAUUUUGUCAUUUUCGGUGUGUCUUCGAGUUCCUAGACCUAAAGAAAAUGCAUGGAUACAAUUAUAGCAUUUAUAUCUUGUUGCCGUAAAUCUGCGUUGACAUAAUCUAUAGCCUCCUCAUAUGAAGUCUUAUUAUCUACUUGUAUUGUGGACAUCAUCUGUUUGGACUGUCCAACCAACAAGUAUGUGAAAAAUCUCAUGAUGACCUUAUAACCUUAUCUAAGUGGUUGUAGCUCCUAGAUCGUGGCGUUAUUAAGGAAUCACAAUGUUUUCAUCAAAGCUAGUAUCACCAUCAAGUUGACUCCAUUACUUUUGACAAUUUUUUCAUCUAUAGGAUCAUAUGAAAGAUCAUAGCUCCUACUCUGGUCAUGAUGUCUUAAUAUUCCUAAAACUGUAGUUUGGUUUUCAUCAAAAAUAGCAUCACCAUUAAGUCGAAUCCAUUACAUCCUCAGUUUCAACAAUUUCUUCAUCUAUAGGAUCACAUGAAUGAUCAUCCCUUCUACUUUUAUCAUGUUGUUUUAGUAUUCCUAAACUGUAGGUUGUUUGUCACCGGGGUUGUGUUUCUAGAAUUGAUAUCGUAGAUUUAUUCUCACUCAUUUCUUUGAAAACAACCUUAUUUUGGUUUGAAAAGACAUAUAUUGAACACAUUAAGUCAUAAAUAUUAGUCUAGAAUUUCAUGUUAAAACUAAAUAGUGACAUUACAAAUAUUACAAAUCAAAGUUUACUUAUAAUUAUUACAUGCAAUAAUAUGAUACAAAUAUUUUAGUGCUAACCUAUUAGUCGAUGCUAAUUUGAGCCACAUUUGCAGCUGUAACACGUUAUUGAUUCUUUAUAUAAAGAUAAGAAUAUAGCCAAUUUAUUCAUUAAUUACAAUCACAAUAUAAAGCAAUUAAUAAAAAACGAAUAAGAAGAUCAAAUACGAUAAUAUAUUCUACAGCUUUCUGUGAAUCAUCCAAUACUUCUACAUUAUUCAAAUAUUGACGAAUUAUUAUAGGUUCCUUAAUACAACAUUUUAGGACAAAUCAUCGCCUCAACAUCUUUAAGAUCAACCAACGCCUAAAAGAAUAAAAAAAUUCAACAACUAAUAGGGAUUAUAAAUUCAGUAAUUUUGAAUAUUUGAAUAGCUAACACAUAUUUGACAAUUUUCGAAGGUAAUCUCAUACUUAUUUGCAUUCAAUUUCCACCAAAGUAAUAGGUUGAAAGGCUCAUUAGUCAAAUCUUGACAUAACCAUUUAAGAAAUCUAUCAAAUUAUUCUAUCGAUUAAAUAGUAAAAUUUAACAACUAAGUUUAAAUAUAAAUAAUAAAUCGUAUGAUCUAACCAGAAAAUUGAGAAGUAAAUAAACAAAUAGUAUCGUCUAAAAAAAUUAAGGGCUUCGAAAAAUCACAACAAAACAAAAAAAUUAUCAAUAAAAUAUAAUAAACAAUUACAAAAAAUAAGAAAUUUUGGAUAAACUUACAUGGAAAUUUCGGCAAAAUUCGAGAAAAAUAUUAGUAGAAGGAAAGGAAAUGGUGUGAGUUUAUUAAAAUUUAAUUGUCUACUCAAUGUGAUGGACAUUCGAUGAUUAUGGUUUCAAAAAAGUUCAAUACUUCAGCCAAUUUGAGAAUUUUUCUUUCACAAUUUUGAUGACUUAUGGUUAUUUAUUAUUUAAUUAAUUGGAAUGGAUAGUUGUCUAAUUGUGUGUUGAAUUUAACUGGGUUGGAUAUAAUAUGAAUGUAUAUUUUGAAUUUGGAUGCUUUACGUUUUAGUUGGGUUGAAUAAAAUUUAAAGUAACUUAUUUUUCAAUUAUUUUUAUUUUUUGUAAUAAUUUGAUAAUUUGAAAUGGUUUGCAAAAAUUGAAAUCUAAACAAAUCUAAUUUGAAACGAUUUGGUUCGAUUCAAAAUAAAAACAUUGAGGGAUCUAUGUGAACCCAAAUCAAUGAUUUCAAAAACUAAUUUUAGUUCGAUUUCAUAGUUUGACGAUUUUGCUAUCUGGCCCUAGUAAUAGCUGUUUUUAUUAAAACAAUGGAUUUUUGUUUAAAGUUUAAAAGUUCUUGUUGAUCAAUAAAAUUUCUUUUUAAGUUAUUUUAAAGAAGCUCAAAUUUUUCAAAAAGCUUUGUAUCCAAGAAAAUUGAAAUAUGUAUUUAAUAAAACUUUUCAAUAAACAAAAUUAUCCUUCAAACUAUCUUAACAUCGAAAUAACAAUGGACUAAUAUAGCCCCCCAGGGCACAUCCGAGUUGGUGGAUCAAUAACUUUGGCGGGCUCGCAACUUCAGCGUGGAGAGUUCGAUUCCUGGUGGGAACCUGUAAUCCAACAAAUGGGCAACUUUGUUGGUGGAUCAAUCACUAUGGAGGAAAGCUCUCUUGAGGCCAAGAGUAAAAAUCGGGUGGGAACCUGUGAUCCAACAAGGGCACAUCCUGCGGUUUACCUCCGCUAGUCACUGAGGGGCCGAUGGCUAGGGGUUCAGGAUUUAGUCUGGCGAAGCUGGGACACCUGGGUAUAAAAAAAAAAAAAAAAAAAAGGAAAAAAAAAAAAACAAUGGACUAAUAUAAUAAAUUUUAUAAUUUAAAGUUUCAUUUUGAAAGGUUAACAAAUAUGUUUCUAUCUUAUUUUUAGUAUUAUUUAUCAUUUUAACUAUGAAAUGUCACAUACAAUCCCCAUUUCAAUUAGUUAAAAUAUAUAAUAAAAUAAAUAAUGUGAUCUACACAAAUAAAUAACUUGAUAUUCAUUUAAAUAAUAAUACUUCGUUAUUUUAGUUAAAAUAAAUUUUAAUAGUUUCAAUGAAUGGAAAUAAAUAUUAUAUACAAAUAAAUUAUUAAAAUUUAGCCACAUAAGUAUGUGGUAAGCACUUUUUAGUUACACUACCAAACAAUCUAUUUAGUACUCACAACAUUUUUCAGAUUGACUAUCAAACGAACAACUUUUUAUUAAAAGCUUUUCUUGAAAAGGCUCUACUAGUAAAAACUCUAUUGAUAAAGUUCUACACACAAUAGUUGUACUUAAUGGACCCUAAAAAGAUUAGAUGCAACAUCAUUCUCCAAUUUGACACAACAACAAAGAUGUUGAUUUUUCAUUAAAUCUUAGUAGAUGGAAUGGCUGGGAUAUAAAAAGCAACAGUGGCUUAUUUAACACAUUUGAAAUUUAUUGACCAAAUAGUAACAGGUGGGAAAGUUUAGUGACCAUUUCGAUAAUUAACCCGACGUUACUCUAAAACAGAGUAUUAUUAUAUAAUUUUUGACCACUUAUAAUAAUGUUUUGUGUUUCUUGAUAGAUCCUUCUAUGACCAGUUUUAGUACUUUUCCAAACUAAAUAUUCUAUGACAUUUGUGGGACAUAGGAAAGAUAAUUGACAAUUGAUAUAUACAAAAUGACAAUUAGAGUUGUUAGGGUGAUCAGUGGUUAAAUGUGAACAUUACGGGAAGUCUAAAAGCUAAAAUAUUUUUUUAUAGAAGUCUUACCAAAUGUUGAACGGCUUAAUUGCAAUUAAAUUACUUGUGAAAGGAGAAUUUGACUCUUCAGGAUCAUAUUCUCAAAAAAUUCUCCACGACUAGGGAAUUAUUUUCAUUUUAAAUAUAACGGAGAGAUGUCUAAUAAAUAAUAUGUCAAGGUUCGGGAAUUUUAUUGUGUGAGAGAUCUUAACUUUGUGAUUCUCGCCUUAUUUUCAUAUAUAGUAAAAUUUUCUUGCAACACUAUUUUGUCUAAGAAUAUUUGAUUAAUUUUCUCACCACCUUUGUAUCUGAAAUUGAAAAAUUCAUAAAAUUGAAAAUUAUCAAACAAUAGAAGGAUUGGUGUGCAAUAAAUAAAUAUUAUUGUUCCGGCAUAAUCCAUUAUUUUUCUUUCCGUAGCAGUAAUAUUAUGAAACUUGUACAAAAUAUUUUUCACAAAGUAAAUCGUUAGUUUUUGGUUCCUUUCAAGAAAAAUAGUAGUUAAUUUUAAUCUAGAAUUAUUUAAUAAAAAAUUAGAAGUAAAUAACUUUGGGGACCAAUUUAGAAAUCUCUAAAAAAUUCCUCUCCAAUUUUAACAUUUUAAGAUUUAAACGGGCCAGUUACCAAAUACGUUCAUUUCUUUAAUAACAAACAAACGUGGAACUGUGGAAGUCAAAUAUAAUAAAAAAUACAUAUCUAAUAAUUAACAUUCAAGGUUGAAUGUCAAAUGUUGAACGAAAUCUUAACAUUUUAUAAGAAUUUAGAGGAAAGAUAAAUUUAAGUCAAAUCUUGGUUGUUAAAAGGGAAAAUUUCAAAUAAUUAAAUCCAUCCUCUAUAUAUCUAAUAAUUUAAGAAUUUAAAUUAAAUUUUAAUAUAUAGUGUCGAAAAAUUAGACAAAAUGUCAUCAAAUAAAGCCUCAUUGUUACUUUUAAAAUUUGUAUAUGUAUAAGAUCUUUAAUAAAAAAAUUAAUCCGAAAAUUGUGAAGAAUUUGGUCAAGUAAAAUGAAGAACCCAUUUUGCAAACUCAUAUAUUGUAAAUGCAUGUUUUAUAAGAACCAGAGGCGGACCCACAUGGUGUCAUGUGAGAUCAAAUGACCUCACAAUUUUAUUUUAUUUUUUUUCCCUGCUGAAAACGUAAUUUCAUGCCAAGUUGGUGAGCCAACCCAAUUAAUUUUCCUAGCCCAAUACUCAAAAAGCCCAAAUCCUAAAUCUAUAUCCAUAUCACAUUGUCCAUAUCCAUUAGUUUGUCCAUAGAUAUAUCAUAUAAUUCACCGAUUUCUUCUUUUUGUUCAUGAUACGUUGUUCUAAAUAAAUUUCAUUUUUAACUCCACAGUUUGAACUGUCUAGAUCCGCACCCGAUAAGCACGUAUAAUGAAGAUUGAGAUGUAAACAAACUGGUGCAAGCCUCAUCCUAACUGUAAAAAAAUUGAAACUUCGACAAGGGAUCCCAACAAGUUGGUCCCACUUCUUUUUCCUAACUUUCCUUGGACGAUAACAAUUAAUAGUGCAACACUAACGAAAAGUUACGGACCAACUUGAAAAAUGAGGCAAUAGGUUGGGGACCAACGGUGAAAUUUUUGCAGAUUUUGACAACUAUAUAUACAGGUCACAAGUGACUCAUCUGAUAUUCCAUAAAUUUCUCAAAGCUAGUUGUCCCCUGCAUUCAUUGUCUCUUUAUUCCACGGAAGGAUGAAGGUAUGCACACACACAGUUGAAAUGCAAGAAAUGGAAAGAGAAACCCUUGAAUCUUCUUAUAUGUAUAUUUACUCUUUCAAUGUUUUUCAUCAUCAGCAAAAGGUGGUCAUUGAGGUCUCGUUAAAUGGCCAUAUCUCUCAAGGCAUCAUUGAGAUGUUGAUGUGCUGCGUAAAUCAAGAGUCGAACGAAGCUACGAAGAUUAGAACGAGGGCCAUGAAGAUUGCAGUAUGCAUCCCAAGUAAGUUAAAUCUUUUUUAUGAGUAACAAAGCCUGUGUUUGAGCAUUUUUAUUUAUUUAUUUAUUUAUUUGGUGAAAAUGAGCUCAAAGACCGGCAAAAAUAGCUUGUUUGGUACUUGAGACUUACAUAAUUAUAUCUAGGACAUCAAACAAGGUUCCUUUUUUUUUUUCCCCCAAUAUUGUCUAGUCAACUUUAUCAGACAUGCAAUAAGAAGACUUCAAUUUAGAUGGUGUUAUUUACGUUAUUCUAUAGGGGUAGAGUCUGCAGCAAUGGAGGGGGAGGAAAGGAACAAGCUAACAGUGAUUGGCGAAGAUAUCGACACGGUGACUCUUGUCAAAUUGCUUAGGAAGAAUGUGUGCUUCGCGAAGAUCGUGAGUGUUGGCCCUACAGAGACUGUCAAAACUGCCGAGGACAAGAAUCAGGCGGCUGUGCAUCCCAUAUGCUAUAAUCAUGUGCCUCAUUAUCAAUUAUUGGAAAUCAGAGAACCCUACUAUACCCCCUCAUGUUUCAACUUUUGAAUGCUUAUUGGUGUUGAAUUUGUCCAAAAAAUUAAUAAUAAUGAAAAAAAAAAUUAUGUUUUGCAAUGGAAAUGAAUAAAGUGACAAAUUUUGUUUGAAAUAAUCUUACAGAUAGAACAUAUUGUAUAAUUAUUGUUUGUUGUGGAAGCUCGCUUCAAGAUGUUCAAACGGUGAUUUUCUAGCUCAGUUUCACAUUAACUUUUUCUACCAAACAACCAAUCUAAACAUCUCUGACUCACAAGCAAUCUAUUUUCCUUAAUUGCUUCUCAAUCUUACCCAUAGAUGACAAGAUAACGGUGUUGAUUUGUAAGUUACAAUGAAACAAGAAAAAUAAUGAAUGAGGCACAAAGAAGAGACCAAAACGAAGGAGGAAGUCACCAGCUUUCACUCUCAAUUGCACACAUUUUUCUCCAAUAGUAGGCAGCCAUGUUCUCUCUUUACACACAAACCACACACUAAAAAAUGCCUAGCUCAAUACACCAUAUAUAUAGAUAUAGGUUAGGUUUUAGUCUGACCAAGAAAGGGGUUAAAUUGACUAAGAUUUAAAAGCCAUCCAAUAGAUAAAUAUAUGGGCCGUGAAUAGCAUUAAUUUCUUAAGCUACUUUCAACAGUCCACGUUGUUUUCGUGUUGAGCCUUUAGACUUGGUUGUUGGUAAUCAAUUCAUCAUUGUCCAAGACCUGUGAAAAUAUAUUCAAACGUUUUACAUCAUCGCCAAAGAUUUAUUGGUUAUGAAAACCCAACAAAUUUUCACCUUGAUACACAAUCAACCUGUAAGCUAUCAAAACCCAAAAUCAAUACUCACAUAAUAAAUGUAACCNNNNNNNNNNNNNNNNNNNNNNNNNNNNNNNNNNNNNNNNNNNNNNNNNNNNNNNNNNNNNNNNNNNNNNNNNNNNNNNNNNNNNNNNNNNNNNNNNNNNNNNNNNNNNNNNNNNNNNNNNNNNNNNNNNNNNNNNNNNNNNNNNNNNNNNNNNNNNNNNNNNNNNNNNNNNNNNNNNNNNNNNNNNNNNNNNNNNNNNNNNNNNNNNNNNNNNNNNNNNNNNNNNNNNNNNNNNNNNNNNNNNNNNNNNNNNNNNNNNNNNNNNNNNNNNNNNNNNNNNNNNNNNNNNNNNNNNNNNNNNNNNNNNNNNNNNNNNNNNNNNNNNNNNNNNNNNNNNNNNNNNNNNNNNNNNNNNNNNNNNNNNNNNNNNNNNNNNNNNNNNNNNNNNNNNNNNNNNNNNNNNNNNNNNNNNNNNNNNNNNNNNNNNNNNNNNNNNNNNNNNNNNNNNNNNNNNNNNNNNNNNNNNNNNNNNNNNNNNNNNNNNNNNNNNNNNNNNNNNNNNNNNNNNNNNNNNNNNNNNNNNNNNNNNNNNNNNNNNNNNNNNNNNNNNNNNNNNNNNNNNNNNNNNNNNNNNNNNNNNNNNNNNNNNNNNNNNNNNNNNNNNNNNNNNNNNNNNNNNNNNNNNNNNNNNNNNNNNNNNNNNNNNNNNNNNNNNNNNNNNNNNNNNNNNNNNNNNNNNNNNNNNNNNNNNNNNNNNNNNNNNNNNNNNNNNNNNNNNNNNNNNNNNNNNNNNNNNNNNNNNNNNNNNNNNNNNNNNNNNNNNNNNNNNNNNNNNNNNNNNNNNNNNNNNNNNNNNNNNNNNNNNNNNNNNNNNNNNNNNNNNNNNNNNNNNNNNNNNNNNNNNNNNNNNNNNNNNNNNNNNNNNNNNNNNNNNNNNNNNNNNNNNNNNNNNNNNNNNNNNNNNNNNNNNNNNNNNNNNNNNNNNNNNNNNNNNNNNNNNNNNNNNNNNNNNNNNNNNNNNNNNNNNNNNNNNNNNNNNNNNNNNNNNNNNNNNNNNNNNNNNNNNNNNNNNNNNNNNNNNNNNNNNNNNNNNNNNNNNNNNNNNNNNNNNNNNNNNNNNNNNNNNNNNNNNNAAUUUUACUACUUUACAACCAACACUAUUCACUAAUCUCCAAUAACCAUGCCAACCAAUAGAGAAAAAAAGGGAAUCCUAAGUGCACAAGGGGCAAAAUUGUCCAGAAUCUCAAUUUUGCCUAAGGGGUAAAAUUGUCCAGAAUCUCAAUUUUGCCUAAGGGGUAAAAUUGUCCAGAAUCUCAAUUUUGCCUAAGGGGUAAAAUUGUCCAGAAUCUCAAUUUUGCCUAAGGGGUAAAAUUGUCCAGAAUCUCAAUUUUGCCUAAAAUAGAAAUCGAACACCACAAGUCUAUCUCGUCAUCUGGAACAAUCUGUUAGAAGAUAACGUUAUCGAAAUCACCUCUACGCUCUCUCACAUGCAUCUGGUUGAGUUUCAUGCGCUGUCCGACCACUUCAUGAGCUGAUCAUGCAGCUGUGCCUCCACCUAUACGUCACGCCAAUAGUUUUCGUUUCACCAACCAAUCAUUGGAUUAGCUCGAAACACAGAAAUAUGUUCAGUAGCCUUGAAGAAACUGGGCAAAUUUGGUUUCUAUUUUGAUUCUAUAGAUUUUCUAGUUAGUUGUUAGUCAGAUUUUUGAGCCACCUUGAAGCUCUAACCAAUUGUUGCAGAAGCUCGCUCCAAUAUCAAAAUUGUUAUUUUUGAGCCCAGUCUCACAUUAUCUUUCUCCAAUUCAAAUGGCACUAACCACAAUCAAUCCAUUUACCACAGUUGCUUCUCAAUCUCACCCAUACAAGAUAAAUAACGGUGUUGAUUUGCAAGCCAAGAAGACAUGAGAAAAAAAAUGAAUAAGGCACAAAGAUGAGACCAAAACGAAGGAGGAAGUCACCGAUUUUUUACUCUCAAUUGUACAUGUUUUUCUUCAACAAUAAGCAGCCAUUUUUUUCUCUCUUUACUCACAAAUCGCACACUAAAAAAUGGCUAGGGAAAUACACCAUAUAUAGUGAUAUAAGUUACGCUUUAGUUGUACCAAGAAAGGGGUUAAAUGUGCCAAGAUCAAAGAGCCAUCCAAUCGGUAAAUAUAUGAGUCGUAAAUAGCAUUAAUUUCUUAAGCUACUUCCAAUGGUCCUUGUUGUUUUCGAGUUGAGCUGCUAUACUUGGAUAUUGGUAAUCAAUUCACCAUUGGUCGAGGUAUAUGAAAAUACAUUCCAACGUUUUAUAUCAUUGUCCGAGAUUUAUUGAGUAUCAAAAUCCAAUAUUGUUGAAAGAUAAUGAGAAAUAGGUAAAAGAGAGAACUCAACAAAUUGCAGAACCUAUAGGUUUUAAUACGUAAUUGUUGUACUCAAAUGGUAUAGGAUGUUUUAUGGUGCUUAAAGAGAUUCGCCAGCAAAUGAUUUGUAGAAUAAACAAGUAUUUAAAAAAAUUAAAUACGUGUGUUUUCUUCCAAGAACUUGAUGAACAUUAAAAACAUUUAAUAUGUAUAAAAAUGGGAGAAAGAAACACUUAAGUGGAUUUUAAGAAUUGAUAUCUUAUGGUUAUAAUUGAAAACACGUAUUAUAGUUUUCCACAAACAGUCCACAAAUUAGUAAAUAACUUUUAUGAAAGUUGUUAAUUUUCAUGAGAGCUGCCAAGAGAUCAAAAUUGGAAAUUAGACUAAUGACUAGUUCUUGUAACCAUGUAUAUGCAUUGUUCAAGGAAUACAUGGCACAAAGAACAUGGGCUUAAAGUUGCCCACCCUCCAAUUUCUUCCCAUUUUGAUCUCAUAUUGAUUUUUCUUUUUCAAUGGUAAUUAUUUUUUCAAUUCUCCCUUCCAAUAUAAUUUUUGAACAAAAUAUAACAAUCCUCCAGCUAUUCAAAAUUAUAUAGAUCACAAAUAUAAAUUAUCAACACUUACACAUAAGUUUAGAUAUCUUUUGAUUUGAAUCUUACUUUAGUAUAAUUCCCACAAAGUAUAAUCAAAAUUUCAGGUAGCAUAAUAGCUUUGAAACAAUUAUUACUUGUGAUGAAAUCGAUAAAAAUAUACGCAUAAGUGCCGUGUUUCAUAGUUCCUCAAACUCGCUUAGAGCUAAUAUGGACUUAUCCUUAUCCUAUUUGUUGAACUUUUAAGAGAGAAACUCUAAUUCUCUAUGAGUUGCCUCAAAGUUCAUUUAGAUGAAGUUCUUUCUGUUUCUUUGUUACUUUUAAAGAUACUUGUACUUUGUAUUGAAUUUCAUUAAGAGCUUAAAGCUUACCCCUCCUUUAAGUAAUAACCAACAUUAUUACAUUUUAGGAUAGGGUUCUCGCAAAUAUAAUAAUGCUGAAACUAUCCACUUAUUGAAUAACUUAUUGUUACCUUUUGAGCCCAUAGUUACUAUUUUGAAAUGACAAAUAAGAUUGCCUUCAUUGGUGGAUCUUUUAAUUUAAGAGUUUUAACCCCAUCCUACUCAAUGUAGAUAUUACCAGAUCUCUAUUAAGAGGUUUAGUAAAACGAUCCACCAAAUUCUCAUUUAAAUUAAUGUAAUUUGGGGAAAGUAUUCCAUUUUUGAUCAAUUUUCUUAUGUAGUCAUGUUUUAGACUUAUAUAUCUAAACUUUCUAUUGUAUACCUCAUUGUAUGCUUUUAUUAAUGUGUCAUGACUAACACACAAAAUAAAUAUCAAAAAAUAUAUUCGUUAUUCCCAAAGACAUCUCAUAUAGAUCUUUUCUUAAGCAACAUAACCCCUUUCUAGGUGUUGGCUAAUAACACUAAUUUAGAUUCCACGAUUGAAUGUGUUAUACAUGUUUGUUUCUUAAACUUUCAAGAAACUACACCGCUUCUAAGAAGAGAAACCCAACUCGAAGUAGAUUUAUUUUAUCGGUGCUAGGUAUCCAACUAAUGUCAGUAAAUCCUUUUAAUACAGUAAAAUAUUUAGAAUAAUGUAGAUCUAUAUUUUUGGUUUCCUUUAAAUAACAAAUAACCCUCCCGAUGACCUCCAAUGUUCCAUCCUUGGAUUAUUAGUAAACCUACGAAGUUUACUAAUUGCAAAUGUUAUAUCAGAUCUUAUGUAUUAAGCUACAUAAUAAGGCUAUCUAUAGCCCUUGCAUACUCUAGUUGAACAAUUGCUCUUCCAUCAUUUUUUUUAUAAGUUUGGAGUUUGUAUCAAGAGGGGUAUUGAACUCUUUUGUCUUCAAGUGAUUAAACUUAUUAAUUACAUUCUCUAUUUAAUGUAAUUGACUUAAAAUUAGCCCUCACUAGUUUUUGUAACCUUAGUACCUAAUAUGGUGUCAAAUUGUCCAAAAUCCUUUAUCUUGAAUGUGAAAAAUAGAAACUUGUUUUUCUUUUAUUUCAUUUAUGUAAUUACUCAAAAUCUACACAUCGUCAACAUAAAAGGCAAAUAAACACAACAAAUUCAUCAUACACUUUGAAAUAUAAACGCUUAACUACACUAUUAUGUGUGAAACCAAACUUUUCAUGCCAUUUCUUUGGUGCUUGUAUUAAACCAUAUAAUGAUUUUACUAACUUGCACAUUUUAUGUUCAUUACUAGAGUGGCCAAAGCCUUUCGGUUGUUCUAUGUUGAUCUCCUCUUCAAGAUCCCCAGUUAGGUUUUUAUAUCCAUUUAAUUUGAUGAACAUUCAAGUUAUAUAUGGAAGCUAAUGUAAAUAAUAUUCUAAUUGAUGUAUUCUAGGUACCUAUGCAUAUUUAUCAAAAUAACCAAUUCUUUUUUUUUUGUCAAUAAUCUUUAGCCACUAAUCUUACUUUAGCGGUAUUAAGAGUACCAUCUACAUUGUAUUUUCUCCUAAACACCCAUUUACAACCAAUAUGUUUAAAUUCAAGUGGUAAAUCGACAAGUUCCUAAGUAUUGUUUGACAUAAGUGAAUCCAUUUUGUCUUUUGUGGCAUCUUUACAAAAUAUAAUAUCAUAAGAAGCCAUAUUUUCUUUACAAGUCUUAGAAUCGGUCUCUACAUGUGGAAUAAAAGGCACUGUCCUAAUAAAAAUUUUAUUAUUUUUCUCUACCAAGUAAAGUGAAAAGAGUUCAGAAACUAUCUCAUUCUGUCUGAAGGUUUUUUCUUUCUAAGUUCUUUUGCUUCUUUUAAACUCACAAGAUUUAUCAACAUCUUUAGAAGAUGUUUCCUAUUGUUUUCCACCUAACACUAGGAAUCUCUUCUUGAGUUUUCUUAAGUCAUUAUCCAAAGAUAAUAAAUUCUCAAAGAAUUCAACUUCAUUUGAUUCGAUUAUUACAUUUGGUCUCCAAAUUUAACAAUAAAUAGGAUUUGCUAUUACUAGCAUAUCCAACAAAGGCAAUUUUGUUGCCUCUUGGUCCCAAUUUGGUCUUUUCUAGGUCUAUGUUCUUAUAAUAAUCAAGACACUCUCACACUUUAGAAUAUUCAAUGUUUCGAUUUUCUUCUUUUCCACAAUUCAUAAGAAGAAAUUUUUGUGAUUUUUAAAGGAAUUCUAUUAUAGAAUCUAUAUGCACAUAACAAAACUUAACCCCACAAGUUAAAUAGCAAAUUAACAUAUGUUAAUAUGGCAUUUAUCAUUUCAACAAAUUUUCUAUUUUUUUUUUCCAAUUUGGUCUUUUUUAGGUCUAUGUUCUUAUAAUAAUCAAGACACUCUCACACUUUAGAAUAUUCAAUGUUUCGAUUUUCUUCUUUUCCACAAUUCAUAAGAAGAAAUUUUUGUGAUUUUUAAAGGAAUUCUAUUAUAGAAUCUAUAUGCACAUAACAAAACUUAACCCCACAAGUUAAAUAGCAAAUUAACAUAUGUUAAUAUGGCAUUUAUCAUUUCAACAAAUUUUCUAUUUUUUUUUCUUUCCAUCGAAUUGUUAUGCCCCUCACAUAGGCACAGAGGCGUUUUCAUGUGCCGAAGCACGUAAGGAAGAGGUGCUCCCAAAAUAUGAUAUCGUCUGAAGCGUCUUCACGUGCCAAGGCAUUGCUUUCGAAAUAUGAGGCCUGAGCCGCAUUGACAAAGGCACUAUGUCUGAGGGGAUAUGUCGGGGAGAAAAGGAUAAGCACCUCUUCAUUGCCAAUUUCAGAGAUCUUCUGGCCAAGAUCUUCUAUGUGUCUUUAGAAAUGAUUGAUGUGAUGUCUCUGCCAUGUGUCAACCCAGAAUCAGUAGAAUUAAUUGCCCACCCACCUAGGAAGCGAUUGGUGGAUGCCUACUAGUGACACCUCGUACCGUUGGAUGAUUUCACGUGUCACGCAUCUAGCGGUGCUCUUAAAAAUCUUAAAAAUCAUCUAUGAAGGUGAUAAAAUACAUAUUUCUCCCAUGUAUAACGUGUCAUUUAAUUCACAUAUUUUCAAAUGGACAAUUUCUAAAUAUGUAAAGUCCUAUUCACACAAUGAUAAAGUUUCUUAGUCAUUUUCGGUUCCACACAAUUUCUAUAUUUAUGUGUAUAUUUUAUAUUGUAAGAUUUAUAUUGUAAGAUAUCAUAUCAUAGUUUAACAUAAGAAAGAAAAACUUGAUUACGAGAACUUCAUGUUAGGCCGAUUACAUUAGUACAAAUAUACCUAAACUGGAUUGAGAACGUUGGAGUGAGAGUGAAUGCUAAGUUCCUAUUCAUGUUGGAAACAUGUAAUAGAUUUAUUAGGGCAAUUGUUUUUCCGAAAGUGAAGACAAUAUCAACAUUUCAUUUACCAACCACUUUGAAGUAGCCUUCAUUACCCAUUUGCAUCCCUUGCUCACCAUUCGAUUCGUGACAAGUCUUGAAAAAUAACUUAUCAUAUGAUACAUGAAUGUUGUUGCACAUGUAUCAUACUUCCAGUCAGGAAUAUUUUAUUUGAUAGCAUUGAUUUCACUCAUAGUAGAUGCAAUGUUAUCAUCAAAUGAGUUUAUUUUGCUCUCAUUCUUGUUUUGUUUUCGAUGCAAACAAUUUUUCGCAUAAAUUUCGGGUUUUCGUCCCAUAAAAAAAUCUCUCUUGGACUUUUUGUGAUCCUUAUUAAAAGAAUUCCUUUCGUUUAUGUUGACCUAUGGUUGAUUGUAACCUUAAGCCUUUGAUUUAUAACAAACAAGUUAAUUUCGUUUACUCAUAAAUUGAAUUCAAGUGAUUAUAGUCUUUCAAAGCAUACAAUGAAAAAUUGAUUGAUGGUGAUUGAAAUAUCAAAAGCUAUUAUAAUAAUCGGACUUCUAAAGGAGGUCAAGAUCGAAGUCACAUACUCAAGAGCUUAAGAGCCAAACUUUGAAAUAGAUCAAUGAUUAGAUUUCUUAGAUAAAGUGCAAAGAUAUUGGUACUUUGAUAUUUAGCAAUGACCAUUUAGGCUCCAAAUCCUUCUAUGUAUUAAAAAUAAUUUUAUGCAUUAAAAGUUAUUUUUGAUAUAAUUUUUGAUUAAAUAUAAAAAUGACUUUUAAAAUGGUAUUCUAACUGGAAAAAUAUCUUUUAUCUUGAAAAGUUAUUUAAAAAUACUUUUCAAAAGUCAAACGCUUUUCAAAACCUUCAAAUUGGAUCAAAUAAGGCCAAAACGUAAAAAUAUCGAAACUGUUAGACAGUUUACAAGCUAGAAGAAGCGAUCAAUCAAAAAUUUUCAAAGGUCCAAAAUUUGACCAUUUUGACCUCUAUAUUUUACUAUACAAAAAGCUAUAUUUAUCAUCCGAACAAGAGACUGUCGAUCGGACAUGUCAUCCGAACAUACAAUUUUGACGUUUUGAACUAUAUAAAUACCUCCAUUUCUUGCAUUCAUUAUAGCAAUGUUGGAGAGCAUUGAAAGUGAAAAAUGACUAAGUAUAUCUCUUGAGCUUACAUCUCAUUUAUUCUAUCAAACAAUUACUUAAAAAUCUUUAAUUUAUUAAACUUUUUAAAAUCAUCUUUUUAUCAAAUCUUUUUCAUCUAAUACUUGAGCUUCAUUUAUUGCUAUUCAAUUGAAGUGUUGAAUUCAUCCUGUGUUUUUUCUUUUCCAUUCACUUGGAUUUCUGGCUUUGGUUUUUUCAUAAAAGUGCAGCCGUGGUAUUCAGAAAAUAGAGAUCUUUUUUAGUGUUUUUACAAGAAAUCUCUAGCCAACCCAACGCGUUUUGAACUAUUUAAAAUUAAAAUAUCUUAAUUUCCAAUUCCAUUGGACUCCUAUUUCUCUCUUAGCACUUAAUUUAUUUAUAUCAUUUAUUAAGAGAGAAGUUUCAAAUUGUAAAAUCAUUUCUUAUCAGAUUUGUGGGUCUUAUUGAAGUCCUAUAAAGCUCAAUAUUAUAUAAAGAACGGAGCUUCUUGUUUGUAAGGCAUCAAAAGUAUUGUAAGGAUUUGGAUUUUACCAUAAGUUAAUCAAAUAUAGUGAAUGGGUCUUGCUCGUAACUGGGAACUUGGUAACGUAGGAUAUAGAUAAUUGUUUUGGAUCAAACCUCUACAUUUAUAUCAUUUGCAUUCUCUCUUUUAUUUUAUUUAUUGCUUUCGUAUUUGUGCAUUUUGUUUGAUUGAUUUAUUCAUUCCCAAUUUGCUUGAAUUUGAAUCAAUUUUUCGAAAACAUUUUGAAAACCAAUUCACUCCUCUCUUGAGCUGUCAAUUUGAUUUGUUGGAUGGUUCGUUCUUUUUCAUGUCAUUGGCUUUCAACAUGACUUCGCAAGAGUUUUCAUUCUUGUCUCUUGCCCUCAAUUCUUCUUCAUUUUGGAGAUGCUUUUGAAUUUGGAGCAAAGAAAAUGAAACGAUGAGGGUUCUAUUUAUAUAUUUCAAUGCAUCUAUCUUAAUAGUUACAUCUUUGUACAAAAAUUCAUUUUGACCAUUAAAUCAUACCUUUUUAUUGGAACAUGGUCUGAUGAUCUAUAUCGCACACUUUAUAAAGGUAAUGACUCUUCGCUAUGCACCAAUAACAUAUGAAGAGUCAUACCUAAUCAUCAUAACUAUUAGAGACUUAUUCCAAUUCAUAUAUUAAUCAUUAAAUAACCCGAUAAUUCCAACAAUCGCAAACACAAACAAAAUAAGUGACUCAACACAAGCAAAAAUAAGAAAAAUUCUAUUUGCGAGAUAAUGAAUCAAGAUAGGUAAAUUUUCCUUUGAACCUCCCUUAGUAAGAAAAUUCAUCAGACUUGCUUGGGUAAUAAGUGAAACAACAUUUCAAACUAUCAACCAUUAUCACAAGUUUAAACAAUAGAGCAAACACAUUAUUUCUUAUAUUAGACUUGAUUCUUCAUUAUAUUCAUUAAUUCGAUCCUAAACUCUCUUGAGUUCUAAGUACUUUGGAGAAUUCGCCUAAGUAAAAUUCAAAAGAACCUACCAAGUUUUCACUUUCAUAUGUUAUGUUCAUUGAGAUAGUUAAUGAUUCAUUUAGUGUAAAUUGAGUUCUUUGACUUCAAUUGGUCAACAUUCAAAGUAAUUACAAAGCAAGUUAAACUAACUAAUUAUCUACAUUCCCUUUUGUGUUUGAGACUUAGUUUGCCCUUUCCUUAUCCUCAACAAUAUUUGUAGACAUCACUUAUUUACAUUAUAAAAAUAAGGAGAAGUUAAACUCCUAAGUGCUUCUUGUCAAGUCAUUCAUAGUUAGUUUAACUUUUAAAUCCAGUGUUCUGAAUAGUGUGUCUAGGCAUGAGACGUGACAAAAACUCCACGCUUAAGACCUAUGUGCUAAUUUUUUGGUCAAUGGAAGCGUUGGCCGCUUUAAGGCAUGCAUUAUCAUUAUUUUUUAAUUAAAUUUUUGAACAAUUUUUAAUAAGCUCAUUUGUCCUACCCUACAUAAAGUUUUCAACUUUUAGGCCAAUAGAUUGAAAGAUCUAACAAGUUGCUCACUUAUUAGUCCACUAAUUUAUAGAGGGCAUCUCCAACGAUUUUGCUACAAACUUUCGAUGUGGGAUAAAAAAUCCUUCGUUUUGGCUACAGUGCAUUAUAUCUUUGAUUUGGUUGUAAUGUAUUGUACCUUCGAUUUGACCGUAAUGUAUUGUACAAUUGUAUAAAUAGUUAUUUAUAUUUUAUUAAGUUAAUUAAUCAUUUUCCUAUCUUUUACUAAUUAAUAAAAAUUUAAAAAUCUCCAAAUAUUUCAGUUAGCACUAUAUAAUAUAUCUUGUUUAUUGUUUGAAAAUAUAUUUGCUUCGUUGAACUCUUAAAACUACAUUUGGUAAUAUAAUUUGUAUAUAUUAUUAAAUUAUUUUUAAAUUGAUUAAAAAUUUAAAAUAAUAUUAAUGUAAGAAAAUACUUUUUUUACGCCUAAGACUCAUCUAGGUAUGCAUCAAUCGAAGUUUGACCUUCACACAUCGUCAUGCAUGACAUUUUUUUGGAACACUGAUUAAAACUAGUUCGUGAGAUCUACAGUAGUUAGGUUAGGUUUUUUUAGGAUAUCUCUUUAAGUUUUAAACUCAUUUCCCUCGAUGUACGAUCUAUUUGCUUUCUAGAUAAUCCUUUUAUAAAUGAAUUGCUAGGUUUUCUCUUGAUUUAACAACAUCAAACGAUAUUGUUCCAUUAGAAACAAAAGGUUGAAUGUCAUUAUAUUUAUACCUAUGAUGUAUGAAUCUUGACUUAACGAUACACGAAGUUUUAUGUUGUAGCUAUUGUUCGGUUAUUUCUAUAUGCAAUAUGGUUAGCAAUUCAAAGGAUUGGUGGGUCGAUAAUGGUGCAACCCAUUAUAUUUGUGUAGAUAAAGCCAUGUUCUCAGAUUAUCAUGAAUCAAAAGGAAAACAAUUGUUCAUGAGGAACUCUACGAGUUCGAGCGUUGAAGGACUUGGAAAGAUCACAUUGAAAAUGACUUCCGGGAAAGAACUAAUCCUCAAUAAUGUUCAUGUACCAGACAUUUGCAAGAAUUGGUUUCGAAGUCUUUACUUAGCAAGAAUGACUUUACAUUUGUAUUUGUAUCGGACAAAUUUGUACUUACCAAAAAUAAUAUGUAUAUUGGUCAAGGUUAUCUUUGUGAAGGAAUGUUGAUGAACGUUCUAACAAUUGUACGAAAAAGUAUUAUAAAUAAAAAUUCUAAUUAUGUUUAUAUGCUUGAAUUGUCUUGUUUAUGGCAUAGUCGAUUAGAACACAUCAAUUACAAAUCUAUGUUCAAACUUGUGAAUGAAAGUUUAGUUCCGAUGCUUAAGAUUGAUCUUAAUCAUAAGUGUGAAGUAUGUGUUGAAACAAAGUUGACCCAAACACAUUUUCAUUCAAGUCAAAAAGUGAUUAAAGUAUUAUUUUCACGAGGACUAGCUAAAUAUCCAAUUCGAUUUUUAAUUAACAUAUAACUAUCUAAAUGCAAUGCUAAGAAACUAGUAUGAAGCAUUUAUGAACUUGAUUAACAACAAGCAAUAGGACUUCGAAUCUCUCUUUAUAUUAUGUUUUAACAACCAUCAAAGAUAUUGACAACAUGCUUAAACUUGAUGAUUAAUGUACUUAUUUUGUUUAGUAAUCUUUCUCGAUGAAUACUAAAUAUAUUCUCAUAUGUGAACCUACAGUAUGUCUAUGAAAAUUGUGAACGUGUGACAAUGCAUUUAAUCACUAUAUAAUAAAAUCAUGCAAGAUAUAUGGUAUGGGUAUAUAUCUCUAUCACAUAUAGAACCCUACAAAGAUUAUCAUGUGUAUAAUACUUAUUCUUUCUCUCAGACAUAAUAAAGAUCAUUAAUCUGUUCAACUAAUGAUCAAUUAAUUGAAGCAUUAAACAUGUAACAUACUGUUCAAGCUUAACAAGAAUUAAUAGUUAGUCUCGAAAUUAAAAUUAAAACAUCAUAGUCAUAGGCUUAUCGUCAUCCUAGUGACUAGGAAUUUAGUCAAGCAUCAUAAAGUUACAAAAACAAAUGCUUGCAUAUUUAGCCCCGUCUCUUAUUUUAAUUGUAGGAAAAAGAAGGGAAAAUGUCUUGAACUCAUGAAUUUCUUCAAUUCUUAAAUAAUAUCCGUGUAUGAAGAAGCCAAAAUCUAAAUUAUAAUCUUCAAUUUUGGGUAGAUGAUUGUGAGUUCUUGUAUCAAGCUUCUUGAUUUCUCUCUAACGAAUGGUCCCCCAAUGUUUGGUUAAAAAUGAGACUAGAUUUUAUUCCAUGUACAAGUGAGUCAAAUUAGGAAACAAAAUUUUUGUUAUCGGACACUACAAUACAAUCGUACGGUGUCAUGUUUCCACUUGCUAGAAUUCAUGUACCUUGUGAUUUUCGGUCAUAAUGCCUUACUUUUCAUUCUUGGUUAAUUUUUGUUUUUGAAUUCCUUCUUCGGCUCAACUUGAUUCCUCUUCUAUUUUCACCAUAAGUUCUUCAACUUUCAGUUCUUCUCAAUUUAACCAAUGUUAUCCACUAUUACCCAUUCUUGGUCUGUCUCAAGUUUUGGAGAUUUACAAUUCAGUCCCCAAACUUUCACAAUUGUUCUUCUUCGUCCUCUUCAACCGACUUUCACUUCUUUUUUAAUCUACAAUCCAAUAUCAGAACUUUUACAUAACAAUCAAUAUUUAACUAAAAUUAAGUGGAAAUUCAAUUAAUGUGACUCCCAACAUCCACUUUUAAAAGCUUCGAUAAAUGUUAAAUUACGCUUAUCAAUAACAAAAAUCAUGGGUUUGAGAAUUUUAAAAUUUCAGGAAUUUUAUAGAUUGUCUUUCAUGAUUCUAACUUAUUAUAUUCUUAAACUCAUUAAUUUAAUUCUAAAAAUUAACUAUUUUUAAAAUGUUAAGGAACAUAUAUUGAACAACACCAGUACUUAAAAAUAAAUGGAAAUCUUAUAUACCGUAGAGUUUAGUAAUCUCCGACGUUUGAUUUCAUUUGAAUACAUCCCAUAAAUACAUGACUCGGUCCAACACGCUAACGUAAAGUAUCGGUAUGGAAUUUUCGACCACUUAUAUAAUUUUUUGGGUGUCUUGUUGAUCAGUUUUACAGCUUUUUCACAUUAUGAAAUUUGUGGGACAGUGUUUUUAGGUUGAUUAAUGUAGUUACAUGUAAACACUAGGGCCUAGGGAAGUCUUAAAAGGCAAAAGCUUGGUUAUAAACGUCUCGUCGAGGGUAGUGGAAUGGCUUAUUAUAAGUAAAAACUUGAUUAUGACUGGAGAAUUUGAACCUCAAAUGCACGUUCUCAAUUAUUUCUGACUUUUGAAUUAUUUUCAUUUUAUUUUAUUUUUAUUUUAUUUUUUUGUGAGUCAGGUGCUCGAGUUUUGAUUGAUUAAUCUUGAGGAGUGGUUCCUCCCGGUUUGGUUCACCACCUGGGUAAAUUCAAAUGCAAUUACAGCGUAUAAACACUUGGGUCAAACAUUCGGGAUGCGGUUUUCAUGUGCGGACAAGACUCCAGAAGGACAACAAAGCGUAUCAUAACUUUGCCUUCACAGGACAUCUACCUUCCAACGUAAAUGUUGACUUCAAGCUAUCGCAUGGAUCCAAACCUCCGAUACUCCAUAGAGAACUCUCCUAUUUUACUACUGUGCCUUGCCCCUGGGGCUAAUUAUUUUCAUUUUAGAUACUUCGUAGAGAACUUUAUUGUUUUACUACUGUGACAUUCCCGUAGGGCUAAUUAUUUUCAUUUUAGAUAUAGCAUAGACAGGUGUAAUAAGCUAUCAUGGGUCCAUUGAGAGCUGGGAUAUUUUUUGAGUACGAGAGAGACAGUGUCAACCUGAAUUUUCCGUUGGUAAAGAUGAUAUCUCUUUACCAACCGAUAUUCCGUGUCUAAUGUAAUCGUUUAACAUUUAGAUCUUCUUCCAAUGGAUAUUCCAUAAGUUAUGUACCGAAUAUUACCAACGGAUUGCAUCUGUUAGUAACUAGAAACAGAUUAUCCGUUGGUAAAAGUAAUUCACUUUUAGCUACAAUAAUCAGUAACAAAUUUUUCGUUGGUAAAAAUGAUAUCUUUUUAUCAACGAAUAUUCCGUGCCUAAUAUAACCGUUUAACAUUUUGAUCUUUCAGCAACGAAUAUUCCGUUGGUAAUUAAAAACGGAUUAUCCGUUGGUAAAAGAAAUUCACUUAUCCCACAUCGGAAGUUUACAACAAUAUCUUUGUAGUUGCCCUCUAUAAAUUUGUAAUCCAAUAAGGAGUUAAACAAUAUUUUAGCUUUUCAAUUCAAUUGGCUAAAAAUUAAAAAAAAUUAUAAUUAUUAAAUAAAUAAUAAUAAUAAUAAUAAUAAUAAUAAUAAAUAAUUAAAUAAAUUAAUUAAUUAAUUUUUUACCAUACGGUUAUUUACAACAUUGAUUUUUACCAAUUGUAAUGGUAGACAUUUACCAACGGAAAGUCGAUUGGUAUUGGUUAAUACUUUUCCCAACGAAAAUUUCAUUGGUAAAAGAUUCACACUUUAAUAACGAAAAAUCCGUUGGUAAAAUGUUUACUAUUUACGUAAGACAUGAUCUAUUGGUAACUAUUAGCGACCCUCAAAUUACCAGCGGAUUUGUGAUUGCAAAUAUUCCGUUGGUGAAAAUUAUUAGCAACGAAUAUUGAGGUUUUAGGAACGAAAAAUCCGUGCUUGAAACUCUAUUUUUUAAUAGUGUAUAUAAUGAGAGAAUCUCUCACAUUGAGAGGUAUCGAGUUUUAUUGAGUAUAUUUGACAUGGUAUCAGAGCGUGCUUAAUUUUAUUUAGGUUAAACUUACAAACUUCUGUUCUCCAGUGAGCGGCAUUGUGCCGCUCGUCCAGUCAAAUUUUCUUGUUUUUGUUUUACUUUUUUAGACCUUCCAUGUCGAUGUAUUCUCGAGCAUCACCAAGCAUGCAAAUCUUUAGCUUGGACUGAGGGAUAUGAAACCCUUGUCCUUACGAUCAUACUUUUUUUUUUAUCAACCCAAUAUGGAGCUCAAUUGUCUAGUCAAGUUUUAGUUGGAGUUAUUUUGGAGAAGAUUUUGUGUUCUAUUGACUGACCAAUUGGAGUAAUACCCAAUUGCUGGUGACGUGAUUAAUGGCGAUGUUGGUUUCGGCUAUCGAAGGUUCAAGUUACAGAUUUAGGAGUUGGCAUCAUCGACGCCAGAUUGUGGUCGAACUGGCGCCGCUUUUGGAAAUAGCUUGGAACACCCAAACAGAGUGGUGAGACACAAAGGCACGGCCGCUUUCACUAUAAAUCACGGGAUGCUUCACACCAUUACGUUCACACACGAAUUUUACCGCCCGAGCAACAAUAUAAGCAUAAUCUUCAACACUGUAACCAACAAAAAUUUUAGAGUUCUUCCAAGACCACUGCCAUUGUCAAUGACUUUCAUACAAGUACCGAGGUAGAUUAAUUCACAGUAGAUUGGGAAAGCUUCACGUACUCCUUCAGAUGUUGUUGAACUCGUUGUGGAUCUGCACUCGCUAAGAAUGGAACAGUGGAGAUGGAGGCUAGCAUCAUGGAUGGUUCCAGCAAGAGAUGAGGCGUCGUUUCUGGUAUCACCACCGUGAAGAACCCUAUUUCCCUUGCCCAUCUCGUCAUGGAAAAGUCUCCCUAUUCUUAUCUUGCAUUCUCUAGAGCCGAAGAAUAUGCUAAACAACAGGAUUGUGGUGUCGAAUAGAGGUUUCGAUGAAGAACAGAGGCAUUGAUGCAGAUCUGUUUAAGGACUUGGGCUAAUUCUAGUGGGCUUCUAUUGUCUUGGGUUAGCUUUGCAAUUAAAUCUUUUGGGCUGUAUGUUACUUGAGGGUGUUUAUUUGAAGUGGGCUUAUUUUUUUAUUUUUUUGUUGUGUGGGCUGAUUUUGGAGUGGGUUGAAUUUAGGUGGAAAUUUGUUUGGCUUGGAUCUGAUUCGAUUGGGACUUCAUGUGGAUUGUGUCUAUUAGUUUUAAGCUUAGUGGGUUUACAUAUAAAUUAAAGAUUGUUGGGCUUCAAAGUUUUAUAAGGCCUACUAUCAUUUGGGGUUAUUGGCUUUAAGUGAUUGGGUUGUAAACUGUGGAAGCAUGGGAACUUAAGGAGUUGAUGUCUGCUAGUUUUGAAUUGUGUGGAAAAUUCUCUAAUAUGUAGCUCAUGAUUUUCACAAAGGCGCUGCUAAAAAACAAGGCUUUUCGUUUUUUGAUUGAAGAGACAGAGACAUAGGAGUGCAGAGGAUUGAGUUCUUUGGUUGCUCGGAUAAUGAGCUAAAGUUUUGGAUUCUUGGUGGAGGAUUAUCUUUGAAGUUUUUAGUAUUGGCUGUUUUGUGGAAUUUCUUUGAACUACAGCACCUUGGCCAGCAAUAUAUUGCUGAAAUUUUGGCUAGUGUAUUGGCGUUAGAACUUUUGUCGGAGCAUGAAUUAUGUGUUCAAUCGAGUUUUCCCGACAAAUAGAGCUCAUUGUGUAUCGGCACACUUCAUGAAUUUCUUUUGGAAAUUUUUCUUAGGGUAUGAGCUUUUUGGAGUGGUUUUGGAGUAGUUCUUAAUUAUUUCUACACUAUUUGUUAUUCUUGGUUUCUAGUCGUUACUAAUUUUUGUAGAUGGUUGCUCUGAUUUGGGCUUCUUCUUCGUGGGCACAAGUAUUGUCGUUGUCAUCAGUUCAUGAUUGCAAAUUGAUACUUUUACCAACAUCAAUUUGAGGGUGAUGUCAAUGAGAUUGAAUAAGAUUAUAGAGAUUUUCAAAGAUUACGACUUGAAGUCUAUUUUAUCAUUAUAAUUAUAUUAUAUAUAGAUAGAUUAUUUUUACCAUAUUUAAAUUAUAAGUUACUAUUAUUUAAUAUUGUAAUAGAUGCUACAAUAUUUAGUGGUGAUUUUGAUCCUAUAUAAUGAGAGAAUCUCUCACUUUGAGAGGCAUCGAUUCUUAUUGUCUGACCUCUCCUAUGUUCAUACAUUUAUCUUUUGCUAUUCAAUAAAUUAUGCCACCAUGCGUGGAUUUAAUUUUUAAGAAAAAUAAAAGAUGACGCCUGAAUACUGAUACGAUUUCGGCACAAUAAUAGUGAUUCUUCAAUGAAAAUAAUAUUUUGAAACUUCUUGAAUAUAUUUAUUUUAUGUUUUGUAAAGUAAAUAUGAGUUUUUGUCUCUUUCAAGAAAAUAUUGGUGGUGUUUCAAAUAAGGAAAUAAUAUUAUGUUUUUAUUUACUUAAAAAAUGAUAAUAAUUUUUUAGACCAACAUAGAGAUAUCUAAAUAUUGUACUUCCUUAACAUUUUUUAAGAUUACUAAGGUUGAAAUGUGAAUUUCAAAUGUUGAUGAAAUCUUUAAAUAUAGAAUUUAUGAUUGAUUUGAUCGAAGUUCUGGUUGUUAAAAAGAUAUAUAUAUAUAUAUAUAUAUAUAUAUAUUAUUUUAAACUUUUAGAUAAAAUAAUCUAACAUUGUAUUUCCGUAACUAAAAUUUUCAAUUUACGUCUCUCUUUGCUUAUUUAUAAAAUUUGUUCGUGUAUAAGAUCUUCAGUGAACUAUAAAUUUACUUGCACAUUGGUGGCGGAUAAUCUACUUUUGUGGCUGUUGGAUAAGUAAAGCCACUAUUUUUUACCACAAAAGGAUAACUUUGCAAUUUCUUAAUUGUUAAGCUAAGUACAUGCAUGCAAUGGAACUUGACAAAUUCAAGUUUUCUUUCUCCAACAAGUGGCAGCCGAAAUGCUUGAAAAAUUCCAACCACUUGACAGGCCAAAUGUGUAGAGAAUUCUAGCAAAUGAAGGUGGUAGAACUUUGAGUCUUUGAAGCAGUUAAAGGUGGUAAAACUUCUAGCAAUAUCCAACCCACUUACAGCCAAGUUUAGCCAUUAUUUUUGACAAUUGAAGGCGGUUCCUACAAAUGACCAGCCAAGUUGCAGAUAAUUUUCUUGAAUUUUCAAACAAUUAUGGUGACCAAAAAUCUUUAUAAAUAUGGGUAAGACUUUGAGAGAAAAGUGUGUGGUAUGGAGAAGAAAAAUUGAGAGGAAUUAAAAGUAGAGAGUAGAGGGAAAAUUGUGAGUGGAACGAUAAAAUUAUAGAGAGAAAAUUGUGAGUUUUUCUCCCAAGUAUUUCCUACUUGUUUUCUCUUAUUACAAGAGAGACUAAUUAUUGUUAUUGUGUUGUAAUUCUCCUACUAUAAUGAAAUCUUCAUAUACUUGCACGUAGACAUAGUCUAAAUUAGGUGAACCACGUAAAUACUUAUGUCUAUUUUAGCUGCAUUUUCUCAAUUCUAUUAUUUGUCACCCAAACUCGACCCACAUUUUUCCUAAUAGUGGGUACAAAGGUUUCCAUGGUAUUGACUUUUAUAAUGGCUUAAUAGCACAAAACAUUCCUGUGUUUAUCUAUAGUAUGCAAUAUGUCCCCACAUUUCAAUUUUUUGCAUUUUCACCCCAAUUUUCAUGUUUCAUUGCGAAAAACAUUAUUUUUACCAAUUUUUAAUGUAAAAUGACCAAUAUACCCUCCUAUUUAAAUAAAACAAAAAUAAAAGAAAAUAAAGAUGAAAUUGCAACUACAGGCCCAAAUUUUUCAAAAGGCUUAAUAGCACAAAAUGUCCUUACUUUUUUCUCACACCCUAUCCCACCCCAUGCCAACCUAACCCAACCCAGCCCAACCCAAUCCACUCAUUCUUUUGAAGAUUCAAGGAACUGUCGGACUCUAUCUCAUCAACUUUCACCUAAUUGCCACCUAAAACACUAGAACUCAUAUUACAAAUAGCUGUCAUCAACACCCAAACACUUUCUUAUAAACAAAUUGAACAAACAACAAAUUUAUAUGGUUAAAUCAACAAAAAAUGCAGCUUAUCGCAUGAGCAACACGCUGCCUUUUUUCGUCAAUUUCGACACAGGUAAUGGUUCCCACUGUCGCGAACCAUCCAUUCCGACUUCGCCACAUCUUGCCACACUGCUACAACAAUAGGUUACCAUCAAUUUCAUCUAUUAUGCCCCAGAAUAUGUGCCCAUUUAUUGCCCAAUAAGAAAUUGAAAGAUGUUGCUAUAGAUUUUGAUUUUGUGCACCUGUUCAAGUUUUAAGUCCAUGAAGAGAGGUGCUUUAAUGAAUAUAGUUGACUGGUAUGUUGGAAAUGAGAUGGGUCUUGUCGGAACAGGUGGUACCGCCAGUAUUUACAUUCACGAGUUGGGUAUUUUGGCUUGCAAUUCUGACAAAAUCUAUUGGCAUGAAGGUUGGAUGUUGGGUGGUAUGUGUAGAGGGGAGUGAGACCUUUCUAGUGGUAUGGAGUUCCAGUGGUUUAGGCGAUGGUCAGUUGACAUUUUUUGGUUUCUAAGGUGGUGACCCCAUUCAAAUUUUAGGGCUUAGUGAUGGUUUUUUCAAAUUUGUUCCUUUAAUUGUACUCCUUCACCGGUAAAAUAUGUCGUAGAAAUGACAAUGGAGAAUUGAAAUUUCGAGGAUUUUGGCAGCGAUGGCGGUGGUAAAGGAGGUGGAGGAAAAGAAAAGAAGAGAAAAAGAAUUUUAUUUUUUUUUCCAAAAUUUUUUAUUUGGACUCAUUUAUACUUUUUAAAAAGUUGAGGAGCAAGAUUACAAUUUGUUCUUUAUUUGUCGUUUCUUCUCUUUUUGGUUUUAUUUAAAUAUGAGGGUAUAUUGGUCAUUUACAUUAAAAAUUGUGAAAAUGAUGUUCUGCAAUGAAACGUGAAAAUAAGUGUGUAAUGCAAAAAAUUGAAACGUACGGACGUUUUGCAUACUACAAGCGAAACAUAAGAAUGAUUUGUGCUAUAAAGCCUUUCAUAAUUUCUUUAUGACUUUGGUAGAGGGCCUAGAGGUGUAAUUGGUCUAGUCUUCAAUCUGUUCACAUCUAAAAUCAAACGACAAAAUCAGACAUCAUAGGCCUACAAAUAUAGAUAAAUCACACCUUUGGUCUUGAACCAUUUUUCGAAUCUUGAACAAAAUUUACAAGCACCAAAAUAUCCAUUUAUGCUGCACCAAAAUCAAGUCAAGGAAGAAUCUAUUUUGCAAAUCUAUAAACAUAAUUUUUCACUACACAUGCCAACGAGUUGGUCAAGUUUUUUUCUUCUUGAUCUUGCUAUUAAAUAAAAAAUUUGUUGGAGUCAUCUAGUGGGAUUAAGCUCUUGUUUGACAACCUUUAAAGCAAACGCUUUUUUUCUUAAACUAAAUUUUUAAAAUAAAAUAUUCGGUACAUAAAUCUAAAUUUUUUCCUACUUUUGAUUAUAUAUUCCUCAAAAAAUCACUAUUCAAAACCUUGCUUUCUCCAAAAUACUCAUUUUAAUGAUUGUUAAACGGGGGCUAAUAUUGCGACACUAAUGAAAGGUUGAGGAAAUAUUUGCUCCUAUUCAUAGGCUGGUGACUAACAUGCAACUAACACAAUAGAUUGGGGCUGCUAACUUACAACUUUCACAAUAGGUUGGAAAGGAAGGGAGAAAUUUUUGAAUUUUUCCACAAGUAUAUAUAGGACGCAAGUCACUCAUAUUUUAUUAGAAUUAAUUGUAGGCAUUGUAUGUAAUUGCACAAUAGCUUCUUUUCUUUUCAAUUCAUUAGUCGGCCAGCUGUGUUUUCUUUCUUUCAUUUUUGGUGCCAAGCUCCAUUCAUUUUCAAUUGAUUGAACGAUCAACAGAGUUUCAAUUCAUUUUCUCUCUGUAAAUUGAAUAUGGUAUCAGAGCAAAAUCAUUUCCACGCUCUUCUCUCAUCAUCACAGAUUUAAUCUGUUGCUGGAUCUCGUCUUCAUAUAUAUAUAUAUAUAUAUAUAAAUUAAUCUGUUGUUCGAUCUAAUCUCUACAUAGAGUUAUUACAAUCCGGAAAUUGGUUUGAUUCAAGGUCAUCAAUGAACAAUCGGCCAUUGAUGAACCUUCAAGUCCUUACUCCUUACUUCAUUCAAUGAGUAAUUUCCAGAUCUCCUCCAGAUCUGCACCGAAUGAAGAUAAAAUGCUUAAUUCACAACAACCUGUGAUUGGAAGUUUAAUUCAGAGUUUGAAUCCUGCUCAAUAUCAACAAUUGAUGACGAUAUUGUCCACUCAUCUGGCAUCAAGCUCAAACACAGCAGCUUCUGAUUAUCAGGGCAACAAAAUUACAUCAUAUAAUGCAGGUCUAUGCCAUUUCAUAUCCGUUAAUCCAGUCUUGUAUUCCAAAGAAAUUUGGAUAGUGUAUUCGGGAGCCACUAAGCAUGUGUGUUUUAUUGCUGCCUCAUUCAUGAACAUGAGGAUUAUUGAUGGUUCAAAUGUGACUUUACCCAAUCACACACAAAUUCUAGUUAGAUUGUGUGGGAAUAUCAGGCUGAGUCCAAAUAUUUUGCUGCAUGAUGUGUUAUUUGUACCACAAUUCAAGCUAAACUUACUGUCAGUUAGUCCGUUAACUGCUGAAUUACAAGUUUCAUCAAGUUUCUCUCAUGAUAGCUUCAUUAUUCAAGAUGCCAAAACCAAGAAGAUGACUGGUAGGGGUGGUCAAAUGCAAAAUUUGUAUGUUCUAGAUACCAGAAUUCUGAAUUCCAUUUCUAAUGUAUUUGUUAAUACUAUGUCUAUCCAUGUAUGGCACAACAGACUUAGGCAUCUUUCAUUCAAAAGGCUAGACUGGUUGAAGGAACAAUUAUUGUGUGAUGUUACAAAAUUUCGGAGACAUAUGCCUUGUUAUGUUUGUCCACUUGCUAAACAGUGGAGAUUGCCUUUUGAAUCGAAUAAUAGACUGUCAAAUAAUCCCUUUGAUCUCAUUUAUUGUGAUGUGUGGGGACCUUACCAUGUUACUUCACACUCAGGAUACAAUUAUUUCUUGAUAUUGGUGGAUGAUUGUUCAAGGUUUACAUGGGUCUAUUUGUUGAAGCACAAAUCAGAUACCAAGAUUGUUAUUUCCAGAUUUUUCAACAUGAUUGAUACCCAAUUCAAUGCUAAAAUAAAGACAUUCAGAUUUGACAAUGCUUAUGAAUUAGCCUUUAUAGUUUAUUUUGCUGAAAAUGGAAUAAUGCAUCAGUUUUGUUGUGUGGAAAGACCACAACCCACACAACAAAACUCCGUCGUUGAGCGCAAACAUCAACAUUUGUUAAAUGUGGCUAGGUCUCUGUACUUCUAAUGACGAAUCCCCAUCAGUUUCUGGUCUAAAUGUGUUUUGACAGCCACAUUCUUGAUAAAUAGAACUCCAUCUUCUGUGUUGAAGCACAAAAUGCCAAAUGAAGUUCUAUAUGGAAGACCUGCAGAUGAUUCCUCACUUAGAGUUUUUAGAUGUCUAGCUUUUGCAUCCACUCUAACUACGCAAAGAAACAAAUUCCAGCCACGAGCUAGGCUAUGUGUGUUCUUGGGAUAUCCAUCUAGAGUUAAAGGUUACAAACUCUAUGAUGUUGAGUCAAAACAUUUCUUUGUAUCACGUGAUGUUGUGUUUCAAGAAAAAAUCUUUCCUUUUCAUACAGUUAUGGCAAAUGAUCAACUGAUAGAUCCGUUCCCUGACUUAGUCUUACCAAAUCCUUUUUUACACCUUCAUCAAGACUCACAUGCAUCCUCAACUCAGUAUAACUUACCGCCUAUUCCUUCAGCUAAAAGUCAUAAUUUGCAUCAAGAGUUAUUCCCUACUUCACCAUCCCUUGAUACAAUGUCUGCACCUGAUAGUCCUGAUAAAAAUGGUAUUCCACAUACUAACAUUAGUCACACAUGUCAACGUACUACUGUCACUAAUUUGAGACGUUCACAAAGAGUUGCUAGACCACCACAAUACCUUAGAGAUUUUCAUUGCAACUCCUUUCUCAACAAGAUCAACUCCCAUCUUCAUUCACUCAAUCAUAUUAGCCAAUUUAUUUCCUAUAAUCAUUUAUCCCAAAACCACCGGCAAUUUGUAUUGAACGUAUACUCUCAAUUUGAGCCUCAACUCUUUCACCAGGUGGUUAAAUAUCCACAAUGGCGUGAAGCCAUGAAAGCUGAAUUGGAGGCUAUGGAAGCCAAUCACACUUGGUCAGUAGUUCCUUUACCAGUUGGUAAACAUGUUGUUGGAUGCAGGUGGAUCUUCAGGGUAAAACAUAAUUCUGAUGGGUCUAUUAAAAGGCACAAAGCAAGUCUUAUAGCUAAAGGUUAUACACAAAAAGAGGGCCUUGAGUACUUUGACACUUUUUUCCCAGUAGCAAAGAUUGUCACUGUCAAAGUAUUGUUAGCUCUUGCAGCCUCUCAAUGGUGGCACUUGUUCCAAAUGGAUGUAUAAUGCCUUCUUGAACAGUGAUACGUUCGAUAAAGUUUACAUGGAUCUCCUGCCUAGUUAUGAGGUUCUCAAUGCUGUCAAACAAGGGGAGAAACUGGUUUGCAAAUUGCAAAAGUUAAUUUAUGGCCUCAAGCAAGCGUCAAGGCAGUGGAAUUCUAAAUUCACCCAAGCACUGGUCCAUUGUGGUUUUAAUCAAUCAAAGGCUGAUUAUUCCCUAUUCACUAAAGGUUCUGGGAAUGACUUUGUGGCAUUUCUUGUAUAUAUAGAUGACAUUGUCACCACUGGACCAAACAUUCAAGUCAUUGAUUCUUUAAAGAAGUUCUUAAAUUCUCAGUUCAAACUCAAGGAUUUAGGGAAGUUGAAGUACUUCUUGGGCAUAGAAGUGGCUCGUUCUAACUCUGAGAUUGUCAUAUCACAAAGAAAUUAUGCCAUAGAUUUGCUUGAGGAUUCAGGUUACCUGGACUGCAAAUUAACAAAUACUCCUAUGGAUCCAAAGGUUUCCUUAAGUAUUCAUGACGGAGACCUUCUGCCCGAUGCAUUUUCUUAUCGCAGGUUGAUUGGAAAACGGAUUUACCUGACAAUAUCACGACCAGAUAUUACUUUUGUUGUCUACAAACUGAGCCAAUUUUUGUCAUAGCCUCCACUAUCUCAUCUCAAGGUAGCUCACCAUCUUCUUCGAUAUUUAAAGGGUAGUCCAGGUCUGGGACUAUUCUUUCUGUUCACGAAAUAUUUUCUUUCGAUUUAAAUCACCACAAGUGUACGGUUAUUCAACAAGUAAUAAAGUGGAUUAAUUGAGUCCGAAUAUCAUCCCACAGAGAUUGAUUAGUUUAAUUUUACCUAACUUGGCCUUAACCGAAAUUGAUUUGUCAAACGUGAAUUGUAGUAACUUAAAUUAACCUUACUUGGACUAAAUAUGCAAAUAUGUAUGAUUUGAAUGAACUAAAAUGCAAAGUGAAUGUGUUGAUUGCAAGUUGGUGUACUCAAUCAAUGAAUAUAAAAGCGUACUAGGCUCAUGAAUCCCCAAGCAAUGCUCAAUUUAACCUUAAUUCAACACUUUGACAACACGAUGACAUUUUGAAGAAUCAAUAUUCCUAAAUCUAUCCAACACUCUCUUUCGAGAUGAAUUGAACCUAUUCUCAUACACCACCAGCCUAUAUCUCUAUGACGGAUGCAAAUAUAUGAGAAUGCAUGUAGUUUUGUGAAUACUUAGAGAUUCACACAAAGCAUAGGGGUAUAUUUCUAUCCCCCUAUCAAAUCCUACGAUGAUUUAUACCUUAUCGAAUUUAUUCCUCUUCUUUCGAGUAGAUGAAACAAACCACUAAAACUCACACAAUUACGAGCCCAUAAUCAUGGAAGCAAUUAAAUGCAUAUAAAUCAUUCAAAACAAUCAAUACGUGUUUUAGUGUCAAAAUAUGGAACAAAGAAUUAAAUAUCACAUUAUAAGAUUCACUGAUCUCCUAGUAUAGAUUUUUCUAGCCUAACAUGACGGGAAGAAAAACAUAACAACAAGAAUCAAGAAAAGAGAUCACCCAAUCGCCCUUUGAUUUGAAAUCUUGAAUCUUGAAUCUUGGAAUGAAUCCUCUCGUUCUUGCCUUCUUUUUGCUCUUCAAAUCCUCCCAAAAUAAUGUAUAAUACGUGGUGUCUGUUUUUGGACGUUCCUAGUGCUUUAAAAGACUCCCAAGAUUUGUUUCCAUAAGAGUUUUAAUCAGAAAAUGAAACCAGAAAAUUUUCGACGCGAUUGGCCUGGGCAACAUUUUCUUCUCGGUAAUAAGAAAAACAUAUGGGGCGAUCACCCGAUUUUUAUAACUGGGCUGUCGCACAGGCAAAAUUUCUUCCAUAUGUUGCAUUUUAGCCCUCGAAAUCGAUUUUUGAUUCUUUUAGGCCCUUUCUCUUGCAAUUUCAACUCUUUGACUUUCAUUUGCAUCCAAUUGAACCCGCAACAUCUUUAAUCUUCAUUUUGUGAUCCGAAUCAACUAUUAAAAUGUUGCAAUUUAGUCCUCAUACUUUGAAUUUUCUUCCUUUUUGGCUCUUUUUCAUUUCUUUUCUCUUGAAUUUCAUCACAUUCAUCAAUAUAGUCCUACAAAACAUAAUUACAUAGAAUUAAGUCAUAAUUCAAACUCUUUGAUCAUAAUUAAGUCAUGUUUAUGAACUAAAUAAGUGUGUAAAAACACACUUAUCACUUUCCUUCAUCAUCUGACCCACAUUCACUUCUCAAGCUUUAGGCCUUUUCAGAUGCAGGCUGGGGAACUUGUCUUGACACAAGAAAAUCAACUACUAGUUUUUGUAUUUUCCUUGGAGACUCGUUAAUAUCUUGGAAAGCUAAGGCGACGGUCCACUGUUUCUCGAUCUUCAGCUGAAGCAGAAUAUAGGGCUCUAGCUACCACCAUCAGUAAAGUCAUCUGGAUCAACCAAUUGCUCAAGGAUUUUCAGACAUGCGCUAUCUCUCCAGGUGCCUUAUUUUGUGAUAACCAAGCUGCCAUUCAAAUAGCCACAAAUCCAAUUUUUCAUGAACGAACAAAACACAUCAAAUUUGAAUUUUCUUCCUUUUUGGCUCUUUUUCAUUUCUUUUCUCUUGAAUUUCAUCACAUUCAUCAAUAUAGUCCUACAAAACAUAAUUACAUAGAAUUAAGUCAUAAUUCAAACUCUUUGAUCAUAAUUAAGUCAUGUUUAUGAACUAAAUAAGUGUGUAAAAACACACUUAUCACUUUCCUUCAUCAUCUGACCCACAUUCACUUCUCAAGCUUUGGGCCUUUUUAGAUGCAGGCUAGGGAACUUGUCUUGACACAAGAAAAUCAACUACUAGUUUUUGCAUUUUCCUUGGAGACUCUUUAAUAUCUUGGAAAGCUAAGCGACGGUCCACUGUUUCUCGAUCUUCAGCUGAAGCAGAAUAUAGGGCUCUAGCUACCACCAUCAGUAAAGUCAUCUGGAUCAACCAAUUGCUCAAGGAUUUUCAGACAUGCGCUAUCUCUCCAGGUGCCUUAUUUUGUGAUAACCAAGCUGCCAUUCAAAUAGCCACAAAUCCAAUUUUUCAUGAACGAACAAAACACAUCGAAAUCGAUUGCCACUUUAUUCGGGGUAAAGUUGCAGCUGGAAUUAUUAAGCUCCUUCCAAUCCGAUCUCAACAUCAACUAGCUGACGCAUUUACUAAGCCACUUUUUGCAUCUGUCCUUCUCCCUUUAAUGUCCAAGAUGUCUGUAAAGAACAUUUAUCAUACAUCUUGAGGGGGAGUAUUAGAAUUAAUUGGAGGCAUUAUAUAACAUUUAUCAUACAUCUUGAGGGGGAGUAUUAGAAUUAAUUGUAGGCAUUAUAUGUAAUUGCACUCAUCUUAGUUUCUUUUCAGUUCGUUAGUUAGCUAGCUUUGUCCAGCUAUGUUUACUUUCUUUCAUUUUUGGGCACCAAGCUCCAUUGCUAUUUAUGUAUCUUAGUUGAUUGAACGACCAAUAGAGUUUCAAUUCAUUUUCUCUUUGUAAAUCUAAUAUAUUUUCUACAUUGAAUCAUAAAUUUCACGAAAGAAAUUGUCUCCUGUAUCCACCGGCUACAGUCAAGCCCAGGAUGAUGGUAUGUACACACACAGUUGACAUGCAAGAAAUGGAAAUCUAAAAAAGCCCAAGGACCUUCUUAUAUGUAUAUUUGCUCUCCCAAUAUUGUUCCUUAUCAGAAAAAGGUAGUCAUUGAGACCCCCCCUCCCCGAAUGGCCAAAACUCUAAUGGUCAAGGAGGCAUCAUUGAAAUGUUGUUGAAUCAUCUGUUGUGUGGACGAAGAGUCCAACCAAGCUAUGAGGAUUAGAAUAAAGGCCAAGAAGAUCGUGGUGAGCAUCUCGGGUAAGUUAAAUCUUUAUAUGACUAAUAUAAAUCUUUUCUUUGGUAUUGUGUACUAUACAUCAGUAUGUCUAGGAUACGAAACAAGAUUUUAGUUUUUUUAUUUUCCUUUCUUCAAUACUUUCUAGAAUAAUGCUAUCUAUGUAUGACCACUAGUGGAUGUGAUGCAUUUUCACUCACAAAUUGGAUAGAACGGCAAACAAUUUCACUGAUAUUAGGAUCCAUUAAGACUUAAAGUUGCAUUUUAAAAGGUCAAACUUGGUAAGAGAGGUAACCCAAGUCUUUAUAUGUUGGUCUAUAUUUCAUCAAUUUUUGAUGUGUAAUUUAUUCUUUAACAUAUAUCCGAAAGAAGGUGGUUUGUUUGAACAAACCAAUCUGAAAAUUUAUGUACUCUUUUAUGGGUCUUAGUCAAAUCAAAUUGCUUUUCAGAGUUUAAUAGACUCUGAUACCAUAUUAAGAUUUAGAGUUCUAUCUUAAAAUGUCGACUCUAGUUAGAAGAGUAGCUCAAGUUUUUAUAUGUUGGCCUAUUUUUCUACUAUUAUUCGAUGUGGAUAAGGAUCUUGAAGCUGCAAAAAACAUUUUAUAUUUAACAUUCUUUUCAUCUUCGAUGGACGUUGGAUUUACCAUUAUAAUCUUCCCUACUCUCAUGAACAUUAUUUCUAGGAGUUGAGUCGAUGUCAAUGGAGGGAAGCGGGAACAUUCUAACAGUGAUUGGUGAAGAAAUCGACUCGGUGAGUCUUGUCCAAUGCCUAUGGAAGAAGGUGUGUUUUGCUAAUGUAGUGAGCGUACCAAACUGAGAGGGUUGAAACUAAGCAACCGAAACUUGAGAACACGAAUCCGGCUACCUGUGUGUGUGCCUCUUCGAUGCUGUAAUCACUCGCCUCACUGGAAAAUAUUGGAAAUCAGGGAACCCACAUCUUACUGCUUCAACUUUUGAAUGCUUCUUAUGUUAAGUUGUCAAACAAGAAAAAAAAUGAAUCUUUUGUUGUGAAGAAAAUUAAGCAACAUUAAUUCACAAUAGAUUUUGUUGCAAAUUCUGUUUGAGAUAAUGUUACAAGUGGAACAUUGUAGUAUAAUUUCAAGAGAUCAGAAGUAUAAGUUGAGAGAAAACUUUGAUUUCAUUUCUUGGAUUGGAUAGAUAGCAUUACUCUUAUUGAAUGUGUUGGGCUGUGAUGCCAUUUGAUCAAUCCAACUAAUAGGCAGUGAUGAAAUAAGGCCCAAUAUGGAAUCAAUAGAUGAUCCAUUUAUUAAAACCUAGAAGGCCCAAUUAAACCGAGCCCAAUAUCCAGCCCUUUUAACCCUAGUCGUUCUUGGACCGUUGGAUUAACCCACUCAAUCUAACGGUGGAUUGGUUUACUAUAUAUACAUCCCUUAUCCCUUGUUUGGGAGAGAGACGGUCAUUUUUCUUGUUCUCUUUUUCUCUGUGUAUUCUGAAACCUUCAAUGACUUUCGUCUUUGUGACCUUUUCUUCUUCUCUGUGUGAGAACUUCUGUUGAUUAUCUUUGUGAUAAUCAUGUCAUUGUGUUAGUCUCCUUUGUGAGAGUAAACUGUUGGAAGUGGUCUGUCCAUUUUCGGUUCCAGUGAAGCGACUUGGUGUUUUGGGGUUGUAAGGGCUCGUGUGUUGAGUUCAGUGCCUCUGUGGUGGUUAGAAAAGGGCGUAUGGUCUGAGCCUAUGAAUAGAUCUAAACCUUGAUCCAGUGGCUUAGGUUUUCUGUAAAUCUGCUGCGUGUGUGUGUGUGUGUGUGUGUGUGUGUGUGUGUGUGUGUGUGUGUAUAUAUAUUCUGAUUUGUAUAGUUUGAACAGAUUCUGGAUUAAUAGUGGUAUCAGAGCUUUCUUUGUCCGUUCUUGAGUCUUCGAUUGAAGGUUUGAACACUGGAAAAUUAAUUUCCAAGUGUUCAACUGUAGAUCGCAAAACCCUAGGUUUUGAUUUGAGAGGACCUUGUGGUCUGUGGAGUUGAUUCAUUACUGGACUAUGAAAUGCGAGGGAAUUCUGUGUCUCCUCGCCUUGAUCUAUGAAAGAACCUGAAAUAUGAGUCCCUGUGGGUUUCGUUCUUGAGCUGGAACCCUAACUUCGAAAUUGAUUGGAAGGACUUGAAGCUGUUAUGGCUUGACUUGAAUUUUGGUGACCUGCAGAGCACUUAUCCCCCACUGCGAUAACCUGUUUUGAUUUCAGCUGGUGGUUAAUUGUUUAACCACCUUUCGGUUUGCACUUUCUUGAACCCUACACGACAGCACACACUCUUAAUUAUACUUUUAUGAGUAUAUGCCUCUAUGUGACUAUGUUGAUAUGUUCAUUUCCUGUAUACUGUAACUUGUUACAUUAGUUAGUGAUAUCUUGUUAUAUUUGCCUGUGAUCAUUAAAGUGUGGGUGAUUCAAAUUGAGCCUUGACCUGAGAACUUGAUUCUCACGGAAUCCUAGUGAAUUUGAUCAACCCUAGGUCCUGUAGAUACUGUUUUUGAUACUGAGAUAUGGUUUUUUGCCUACAUUAUUAUAUUCUCUGGUUCUUGUGGUGUUUACAUUAGUAUGCUUACUGAUCCUGUUAUUGAUUGAAAUUAUUUGUGAUUAAAAUAAUUGUGGCUCAUUUAUUUGAUUGCAUAUUUUUUGUGACCUAAAACAUAAAUUUUUGUGAAGGUCAAAUUCAACAGUUUUUUCAAAAGUUGAUCAUUUGUCUUGUUUUAAUUUUUUGGAAAACCCUGUGUGUUAGUUUUUCACAAUAAAACAUGACAAAAUCUUUUGAACUUGGUGUUUUUGAUGGAAAAGGGAAUUUUCCCAUUUGGCAACAAAAAAUGCGAGGUGUUUUAGUUCAGUAAAAAGUUUCUAAAGCAAUAACAGAUGAAUUUCCUGAUACCAUGACAGAUGAUCAAAAGGAAGAAUCUGAUGAACUUGCUUAUACCUCCAUUAUUUUGCAUUUGUCUGAUCAAGUUUUAAGAAAAGUAGGUAAACAUGAUACUGCUAAGGCUCUAUGGGAUGAAUUAGGGAAACUUUAUCUACCUAAGUCUUUGCCUAAUAAGUUGUUUCUAUUAGAGAAAUUUUUCAGCUUUAGGAUAGAUCCAACUAGAGACUUAGAAGAUAGCUUAAACAUUUUUAAUAAGUUAGUUCAAGACAUUAUCAAUACAAGUGAGAAAGUUUCUGAUGAGUAUAAGGCUGUAGUACUACUUAAUGCUAUACCUGAAGCCUACAAAGAGGUUAAAGCCGCCAUUAAGUAUGGUAGAGAUACUCUUACACCUGAUAUUGUCAUAGACUCUUUAAGGAGUAAGGAACUUGAACUUAAGUCUAAGAGAGGUAAUAGUGGCCAUGAAAACUUGUUUGCUAGAGGCAGGACUUUAAGUAGGUCUAGUAGUACUCAUGAAAGCCAUAAUAAUCAGGGAAACAACAAUAGGAGGAAGUUUAAAAGUAGAGGCAAGUCUAAGUCAAGGACUAGGACUUAAAAGUGUUAUGGGUGUGGGAAAACUGGACAUUUCAUUAAAGACUGUUAUAAAAAUAAAAAUGAACAGAAACUGAAGGGUGUUGAUGAAGGUAAUGUGGUAGAAUCUGAAGGUUCUGCCACAGUUGAUGUAUAUGCUGUGACUGAAAAUUUACCUAGCUCUGCAAAUGUGGUUGAUGAGAAUCAGAACCAAGAAUGGAUCUCGGAUUCUGGUUGUACCUUCCAUAUGACCUUUAAGAAGGUAUAUUUAGACAAUUUUAAGAAAAUUGAUGGAGGAAAAGUGGUUAUGGGCAAUAAUGUAGCCUUCAGAGUUGAGGGAGUUGGGAAUGUCACUUUGAAAUUCGAUAAUGGAUACAUUCACCCUUUUGAAAGGGUCAGGUAUGUUCCUGAAUUAAAUAGGAAUCUGAUUUCCAUGGGAUAUCUUGAUGAUAUGGGAUUGCAAGAAAAAAUAGGAGAUGGCUUCUUAAAAGUGAUAAAAGGAUCACUUGUUAUUUUGAAAGGUGUUAAAAAAAAUGGGAUUUAUGUGACCAGAGCUAGUACAGUGUCUGAUCACAUAGGUGAGUCUUCUAGUGUAGAAGCUGAUGCUACCUUAAAGUGGCACAAGAGAUUGGCCCAUGUAGGUGAAAAGGGCCUACACAUCCUUUAUAAGAAAGGAGUGUUUGGAAAAGACUCUAUAUCUAAGGUGUCCUUUUGUGAAAACUGCACCUUAGGUAAGCAGCAUAGGCUGCAUUUUAACACAGGAAAACAUAGAACCACUUCUAUCCUUGAGUAUAUACAUACUGAUUUGUGGGGACCUUCAUCCACUAUUACUCAAGGAGGAAAUAGAUAUUUCUUGUCCUUAAUUGAUGACUAUUCUAGGAAGGUUUGGAUUUAUUUGAUGAAACACAAAUCUGAAACCUUUGAGAAAUUCAGAACUUGGAAGAUUCUAGUUGAAAAUGAGAUUGGAAAGAAAAUUAAGAUCCUUAGGACGGACAAUGGCCUUGAGUUUUGCAAUGCUGAAUUUGAUCAAUUGUGCAAAGAAUCUGGUAUUAAAAGGCAUAAAACAGUACCUUAUACACCUCAGCAGAAUGGAGUGGCUGAGAGGAUGAAUAGAACCUUGCUAGAUAAGGUUAGGUGCAUGUUGAUAGGCUCAGGUGUCCCUAAGGUGUUAUGGGGUGAAGCUGUAAUGACAGCUUCAUAUAUUGUUAAUAGAAUCCCCUCAAGUGCUCUAGGUGAUAAAACCCCAGAAGAGCUAUGGACAUGACAUGUUCCUGAUUAUUCUCAUUUAAGAAUUUUUGGUUGUGCAGCCUAUACCCAUCAGAGUAUAGGAAAACUUGAACCUAGGGCCCAGAAAUGUGUUUUCUUGGGAUAUCCCGAUGGGGUUAAAGGUUAUAGGCUUUAGAGUAAAGAGGUAAAAGGUUUUAAAAUCAUCACCAGCAGAGAUGUGACCUUUGAUGAGUAAAAAUGCCUUGUUUAGAAAAUAAAGAGCCAAAGGGUUUAUCUGGUGAUGAAAGGGGUGAUAAUACCAAGCUGCAGGUGGAGCUUGGCUUACCUACUGAACCUAUUGGUGAUGAACAGGUGGAUGAAGAAGCUGAAAUAGCUUCUGGUCCUCUAGAAAAUGAAGAGGAAGAUGUUCAAGAAAAUCUGGAAAGUCAGCCUGAUGAAUUAGGAGAUUACCAGUUGGCUAGAGAUUGGACUAGGAGAGAAGUUAGAGAGCCUGUUAGGUAUGGGGAUUACCUUUCACUUGCUAUUUUGUCCUAUCAAGACUUAGUGUUUAAAGAACCAAAAUCUUAUGAAGAGGCAAUGAGCAGCAAGCAAUCUGAGAAAUGGCAUGCUGCUAUGAUAGAUGAGAUAGACUCCUUAAUGAAAAAUGAGACUUGGACUUUAGUCCCUAAACCUGUAGGUAAGACCCUUGUUGAUUGCAAGUGGAUCUUUAGCGCUACGGAGGGAAAUUCUGAAAAGAUGCCCAUAAGAUUUAAAGCUAGACUUGUAGCGAAAGGAUUUACACAAAAAGAGGGCAUAGACUAUAAUGAGAUAUUUUCACCUGUGAUAAAGUACACAACCAUUAGAGUUAUGCUUGCUCUUGUUGCUCAUUAUGAUCUUGAACUUGAGCAAAUGGACGUGAAAACUGCUUUCUUGCAUGGUGACCUUGAUGAAGUGAUUUAUAUGAGGCAGCCACCUGGUUUUAUUGAGGAAACUAAUUCUGAUCAUGUGUGUUUGUUAAAAAGAUCAUUAUAUGGUUUAAAGCAAUCUCCACGACAAUGGUACAAAAGGUUUGAUAAUUUUGUAUCCGCUAUUAGUUUCAAAAGAAGUGAAUAUGAUCAUUGUCUUUAUUUUAAAAGAAAUGAUGAAAAUGCUAUUGUUGCUUUUAUACUUCUUUAUGUGGAUGAUAUGUUGCUGAUUGGUCAGAAUAUGCAUGUUAUUAAUUAGAUAAAACGGUCUUUAAGUGUUGAAUUUGAAAUGAAAGACCUAGGACAUGCAAAGAGAAUUCUAUGAAUGGAAAUCACUAGGAAAAGGCAUCAUAGGUUACUGUACUUGAAGCAAACUGCAUAUAUUGAAAAAAUGUUGAUUAAGUUUGCCAUGCAUAACUCUAAAUCUGUUUCACUUCCAUUGGCCAGUCAUUUUAAACUUAGUAAGGAGCAAUGUCCCGUAGAUGAAUCUGACAUUAGACAAAUGGAAAAUGUACCCUAUGCUAAUGCCGUAGGUUCUGUUAUGUACACUAUGGUAUGUACUAGGCCGAUGUAGCUCAUUCCAUUAGCACACUUAGUAGAUUUAUGGCCAAUCCAGGACCUGACCAUUGGGUUGCUUUAAAAUGGCUGUUGAGAUACUUGAAAGGAUCUUCACAUGUUGGAUUGAUUUUUAGUGCCUGUAAUGAAGGUGUUGUACUUAAGGGUUUUGUAGAUUCAGAUUUUGCCGGAGAUAGAGACAAUAGGAAAUCUACUACUUCUUAUAUGUUUACUUUGUGUAAUACAUGUAUUAGUUGGAAAUCUCAACUUCAACCUAUUGUUGCUUUAUCUACUACUGAAGCUGAGUAUGUUGCUACAACUGAAGCAAUAAAAGAAGGCUUAUGGCUUAAGGGUUUGUUAUCCGAAAUAAAUGAAUUAAGUAACCCUGUUGUUUUAUAUUCAGAUAGUCAAAGUGCAAUUCACCUAUGUAAAGACCCUAUUUUUCAUGAAAGAACCAAACACAUUGAUAUUAAGUUGCAUUUUAUUAGAGAUGUUGUUUCUAAAUAACUAAUUUUACUUGAGAAAAUUGCAACCCAGUUUAAUCCAGCUGAUGUAGGUACUAAGGUAAUACCUUUAAACAAGUUUAAGUCUUGUUUACAAAUUUUGAACAUUGAUGUUGGUUAAGUGUUUUGUUCUGUACAGGUGCUAAGGUUGAUGCUUGUUGAGAAUACGGGGAAGCUGUCUUUUUGAGAAGGACAUUUAAAUUGUGUUUUACAUUUAUUAGGCUUCUUGUAUGAUCACUGGCAUCAAGGUGAAGAUUUGUUGGGCUGUGAUGCCAUUUGAUCAGUCCAACUAAUAGGCAGUGAUGAAAUAAGGCCCAAUAUGGAAUCAAUAGAUGGUCCAUUUAUUAAAACCUAGAAGGCCCAAUUAAAUCGAGCCCAAUAUCCAGCCCUUUUAACCCUAGUCGUUCUUGGACCGUUGGAUUAACCCACUCAAUCUAACGGUGGAUUGGUUUACUAUAUAUACAUUAUUUAUCCUCUUGUUUGGGAGAGAGACGGUCAUUUUUCUUGUUCUCUGUGUAUUCUGGAACCUUCAAUGACUUUCGUCUUUGUGACAUUUUCUUCUUCUCUGUGUGAGAACUUCUGUUGAUUAUCUUUGUGAUAAUCAUGUCAUUGUGUUAGUCUCCUUUGUGUGAGUAAACUGUUGGAAGUGGUUUGUCCAUUUUCGGUUCCAGUGAAACGACUUGGUGCUUUGGGGUUGUGAGGGCUCGUGUGUUGAGUUCGGUGCCUAUGUGAUGGUUAGAAAAGGGCGUAUGGUCUGAGCCUAUGAAUAGAUCUAAACCUUGAUCCAAUGGCUUAGGUUUUCUGUAAAUCUGCUGCGUAUAUAUAUAUAUAUAUAUAUAUAUUCUGAUUUGUAUAGUUUGAACAAAUUCUGGAUUAAUAGAAUGGAGGUUUGCAAGAGUAUAUAUUGUAAUUUUAGCUUCCAUGAAGAGCCGUAGAAAGCUCAUUUUCUAGUUGUCAGAUGUCUCCGGUGAUUGAGUGUUAUUGGACUGAACUGAUAGAUUCAUGUUUGAACUGGACUCAUUGAGUCUUAUUUGAUUUGUGUUUAUGCAUCGAAAAGACAAAAAAAGAUUUUUAUCUUUUUAUAAGAAUUGUAUCUUUCUGAUAAAACUUAGUCACGAAACUUUAGUUAUAGGACCACAAAAACUCUUGUACCUCGAGAUAUUUUUAGUUUAUUUUGAACAUAAACAAGUAGCUCUCAUUCUAUCAAAUCGUCGAGAACGUACAAAGAAAUAAGUGAAGCAAUCAAAAUCAACCCAUUGAUGAGAAAUUGCAUGAUUAGCGAGACAAUGGGCCACAAAUUGAUUCCAUAAUCGUAUCCCAAGAAAAUGCGAGUUGCAAGCGAUAUUAUAAUAAAAGGGUAAAAUGGUCAUUUAAUCAUGAUUAAUUAUUCGAUGUCCGACAGGUAUAAACAAGUAGCUCUCAUUCUAUCAAAUCGUCGAGAACGUACAAAGAAAUAAGUGAAGCAAUCAAAAUCAACCCAUUGAUGAGAAAUUGCAUGAUUAGCGAGACAAUGGGCCACAAAUUGAUUCCAUAAUCGUAUCCCAAGAAAAUGCGAGUUGCAAGCGAUAUUAUAAUAAAAGGGUAAAAUGGUCAUUUAAUCAUGAUUAAUUAUUCGAUGUCCGACAGGUAUACUCGUCGUCCAAUACACAUAAAGAGAUCGCUUUUUAUUGUUUGAUUCCUCAACUUGAUUCUUGAUUUGGCUUUCAGGUUUCCACUCAUUAAUGGCUGUUCAUACUUCUGGAGAAUACCAAAGAAGAUAUGGGGUUGAAAGCUGGAAGAUUGAAUAUCAAUAUUUAAAGAAAAAAAUUGGAGCAGCUUCUAAAGAAUUCAGAUCUAAUCACACUUCAAGUGUGAUUCCACAAUCCUUUAUCUGAUUAAUUCAACAUGUUAUAAAACGAAUUUAACCAUAUAUUCUUGGAUCAAAACUUAUUAAGAAAAAAAAUUUAUUGCACAUGUUUUUACUUAUUGUCUAACAUUAGUCUUAUAUUUUCACUUUGGAUUUGUGAACACAUCUUUUCAGUUCAGUGUUUAUGAGUUAAGUUUGUAUCUAAUAACGCUAAAAGAUAAGGUUCUUUAAUACAUUUAUCAUUGUUCAUGUACUAUAAGAAGCCUCCUUGUGUAUAAAGAAAUAUACAACUUUAUUAUGGAUCUUUCCUAUAUUUUAUGUAUUUUAUAUAUUAAGUUUUAAUUGGAUAUUUAAAGAAAGUUCACCUUGACCUGCUAUUUAGAGUGCACACUAAGCAGUGGUCUAUCGGUUGUUGAAUUUUGGAAACUGAUCGCUUAGACUCUAUUGCACCGAAUUACAUAUUCCGAGGGGACAACUAUUUAUUGUUCUUCAAGCUACCAUUUUCAGGCUAAUUUUCAUUGUUGAUUCUUAAAGUUAUCUUAUAAUGUGUGGACAUUUGAAAUAGAUUAUUUAUCUUUAGCUUCAUCUUUUGUGUAUAUUACAAUUUUCCUAACAAUCUUAAAUUCAUUUUGGAUAAAACCUCUUUGCCAGGGCCACAUGUGCCCUGGUAUUGGCGCCCCCUAUAGGUGGGGUGCCUUGGUAAUGCCUCACAUUUCACCAAGCCAACUUUGACUCAAGUCGUGCUUCUAAAGUUCAUAUUUGGUGUUGGUACAAGAUUUGAUGUGUUCUCUAAACUUGGCUCAUUCAUUGAAGCCCCACCUAUAGGGGCGCCAAUACCAAGACACAUGUGGCUCUGGUAACCAAGCAUGGUUCAUUGAUUUUAUACAUAUUGGGUAUGCCUCACAUUUCACCAAGCCAACUUUGACUCAAGUCAUGCUUCUAAAGUUUGUAUUCGAUUUUGGUACAGGAUUUGAUGGGGUCUCUACACUGGGCUCAGUCUGGGUUGCUGGACACAGUAAAUUGGUACUUUCAUUUGAAAGGGGCUAAUCUCAUUUCUCACACACAUUGUGCUCGUUUUCCUUUCUUUAGACAUUUUUUAUGUGUUCUAAAGAAAUCUGAGUGAUUUCUUCAAACAUUUUACUGAAUUUGUUCUUGAUUUUCAUUCUAAAAUGAAAGCCAUAUCUACUUUGAUAGAUGCUCAAUGGGCGAAUAAUGUUGGAGCACAUGAACAUUCGGAUCCAUUAGUGGACGAAAAAUUCUUGUGUUAGAAUUUCUUUAAUUUUUUACACAUUUAUUUCAAUCUUUUAGGGUUAAAACAUAUAUUUAGGACUAACAAGUUGCAUCAGAGUCAGAACCUUAAUUUUGAUAUGGUUUCUGGCUUUAAAAUGGAAACCUAGUCCGUUCUUUUUGAAAAAUCUUUGUACCAUACUAGCUGUCGAUCUAGAAUUUUUUGUGGAAACCAACUUAUUUCCAAAUCCCUGUGACUUGAUGUAUCUUCGAUUCAACAUUUGGCUGAAUUUUUUGAUGAACUCUUUUGGGUUUCUAGUGAUUCUUGAUGGCUCGUUUGUAUUCCUUGUUGGGUUGUGAUGACUUUACACAGUUUCUGGCAAUUCUCGGUGACUCCUUAUUUUAUGUUGAGUUGAGGUGACUCAUUCAAUCUACUACCGAUUCUUUGUGUUUCAGUUGGCAUUCUGGGAUAAGUUUUAGUAGAGCAAAGUUUAAAUAUAGAAAUUAAUUUGUUUUAUAAUGAAGACACAAACUGAACAUUAGACAAUUUAAAAGUUCUAAUGACACAGGAAGGAUGUUAGAACUAUUAGGUAGAGAAGAGGGUGAUAGAUUGUGCUAGCCAUGAAUAUGAUGUAUAUUAAGAGCUUUGUGGGAAACAUUGACAAGAUGGUACCAAAGGAUGGUUUGGCUUCGAAGUGUUGGAGAUUAGCCUCAAAGCUUAUUUGUUUCUUAUGGGGCUUAUCGAAGGUAAUAGGUAUAUCGCGAGCACUAACAACAGAUGAUAUGUCCUUAUGGUCACCAGGUAGGCCAUCAAGAAUUUUUAGAGUCAGAUCUUCAUAGUGGAUGGGAUAGUCCUUGAUAGCAAGUUCGACAAUCUUGCUUUUCUAAGAUUCUAGAAACUCGAUAAUAGUUAAAGAUCCUAUAGUAANNNNNNNNNNNNNNNNNNNNNNNNNNNNNNNNNNNNNNNNNNNNNNNNNNNNNNNNNNNNNNNNNNNNNNNNNNNNNNNNNNNNNNNNNNNNNNNNNNNNNNNNNNNNNNNNNNNNNNNNNNNNNNNNNNNNNNNNNNNNNNNNNNNNNNNNNNNNNNNNNNNNNNNNNNNNNNNNNNNNNNNNNNNNNNNNNNNNNNNNNNNNNNNNNNNNNNNNNNNNNNNNNNNNNNNNNNNNNNNNNNNNNNNNNNNNNNNNNNNNNNNNNNNNNNNNNNNNNNNNNNNNNNNNNNNNNNNNNNNNNNNNNNNNNNNNNNNNNNNNNNNNNNNNNNNNNNNNNNNNNNNNNNNNNNNNNNNNNNNNNNNNNNNNNNNNNNNNNNNNNNNNNNNNNNNNNNNNNNNNNNNNNNNNNNNNNNNNNNNNNNNNNNNNNNNNNNNNNNNNNNNNNNNNNNNNNNNNNNNNNNNNNNNNNNNNNNNNNNNNNNNNNNNNNNNNNNNNNNNNNNNNNNNNNNNNNNNNNNNNNNNNNNNNNNNNNNNNNNNNNNNNNNNNNNNNNNNNNNNNNNNNNNNNNNNNNNNNNNNNNNNNNNNNNNNNNNNNNNNNNNNNNNNNNNNNNNNNNNNNNNNNNNNNNNNNNNNNNNNNNNNNNNNNNNNNNNNNNNNNNNNNNNNNNNNNNNNNNNNNNNNNNNNNNNNNNNNNNNNNNNNNNNNNNNNNNNNNNNNNNNNNNNNNNNNNNNNNNNNNNNNNNNNNNNNNNNNNNNNNNNNNNNNNNNNNNNNNNNNNNNNNNNNNNNNNNNNNNNNNNNNNNNNNNNNNNNNNNNNNNNNNNNNNNNNNNNNNNNNNNNNNNNNNNNNNNNNNNNNNNNNNNNNNNNNNNNNNNNNNNNNNNNNNNNNNNNNNNNNNNNNNNNNNNNNNNNNNNNNNNNNNNNNNNNNNNNNNNNNNNNNNNNNNNNNNNNNNNNNNNNNNNNNNNNNNNNNNNNNNNNNNNNNNNNNNNNNNNNNNNNNNNNNNNNNNNNNNNNNNNNNNNNNNNNNNNNNNNNNNNNNNNNNNNNNNNNNNNNNNNNNNNNNNNNNNNNNNNNNNNNNNNNNNNNNNNNNNNNNNNNNNNNNNNNNNNNNNNNNNNNNNNNNNNNNNNNNNNNNNNNNNNNNNNNNNNNNNNNNNNNNNNNNNNNNNNNNNNNNNNNNNNNNNNNNNNNNNNNNNNNNNNNNNNNNNNNNNNNNNNNNNNNNNNNNNNNNNNNNNNNNNNNNNNNNNNNNNNNNNNNNNNNNNNNNNNNNNNNNNNNNNNNNNNNNNNNNNNNNNNNNNNNNNNNNNNNNNNNNNNNNNNNNNNNNNNNNNNNNNCAGGUAUAUAUAUAUAUAUAUAUAUAUAUAUAUAUAUAUAUAUAUAUAUAUAUUGAUGAUAAGUCAGAAGAAUAUAAAUUAACCCCCUGCAAAUAGGGCUAGUUUUUGAUUGGCAUGAUUGCAGUGGCGGAUCUAGGUGGUGGUGAGAUCCGUUGGAAGCCAUUUUUUUUGGUUGACAAUAGAUUAAGGUUUUAGAUUAUGUUACUGAUAAUUCUUUCUUCUUCUGAAUUUUCCUUCUAGUUGAAGUGGUUAUAUAUUUACAUUUUGCAAGUCCUGGUUUCGAUUCUCUUCCCAACCAAUUCAUUGUGCAAUUUUUUUAGUUUACAACAACUAUCAAAAUUAAUGCAAUAGGAAAGAGUUGGAUGAGAUUCAAACCUUGAAACCCUAUUAUAACCAUUGAAAGCCUGACCACUGUGGCAUCUAUUGGUUUUGGCACUUAAUUCAAUAAAGUAAUAUAUAUUAUAUUUAUUGGGUUUAAGAUUCCAAAUCAUGUUCUUCCUUUAAAUUAUACGAUACUUGACAACAAUGUCAUUUGGUGAAUAUACGAUUUAUUCUUAUAACAGAAUUAUAUAUGUUCAAUAUGAACAAAUUUUAGGCAUUGUUUUAUUGUCAUUUUUUUUUCAAAAUACAUUUUUAUCUAUCUUAUUUUUAACCAUAUAUUUUUCAAUAAAAAAUAAUAUUACACGCAAAUUCAAAAUAUUUUUCUUAUUUUUUACCUCACUUUCUCCAUGAAAUCAUUAUUUCAAAAUGCAUUUUUUGUUUAAAAAAAAAAAAGACAUCAAACGGGCUCUUAAUACUUUAUUGCAGCUGACGGUCGACAAUCAACGACUAUCCGUGCUGACUCAAAAUCCUAGAUUCGCCACUGCAUGAUUGGAUGUAAUUAUUGUAGUUUCAAUUAUUUAAGUCCGAUUGGAUCCUUUUGAUAGCUUCAGUAAAAGUUUUGAGCUUUAUUACAUUAUUAAUAAAAUUUCUUAGACCACUUUGAAAAUAGUCCAAAAUAGAACUUGCAGUUUAGUGAAAUUAGGGAACAAAGUCCUAAACUUACUUGAAGGGUUAAGGGGAUGCCCAUGGCAUAAGUGAAUGCCCUCGUCGUCCAAUACACAUAAAGAGAUCGCUUUUUAUUGUUUGAUUCCUCAACUUGAUUCUUGAUUUGGCUUUCAGGUUUCCACUCAUUAAUUGCUGUUCAUACUUCUGGAGAAUACCAAAGAAGAUAUGGGGUUGAAGCUUGAAGAUUGAAUAUCAAUAUUUAAAGAAAAGAAUUGGAGCAGCUUCUAAAGAAUUCAGAUCUAAUCACACUUCAACUAUGAUUCCACAAUCCUUUAUAUGAUUAAUUCAACAUGUUAUAACACGAAUUUAAGUAUAUAUUCUUGGGUCAAAACUUAUUAAGAAAAAAAAUUUAUUGCACAUGUUUUUACUUAUUGUCUAACAUUAGUCUUAUCUUUUCACUUUGGAUUUGUGAACACAUCUUUUCAGUUCAGUGUUUAUGAGUUAAGUUUGUAUCUAAUAACGCUAAAAAAUAGGGUUCUUUAAUACAUUAACAUUGUUCAUGUAAUAUAAAAAGCCUCCUUGUGUAUAAAGAAAUAUACAACUCUAUUAUGGAUCUUUCCUAUAUUUUAUGUACUUUAUAUAUUCAGUUUUAAUUGGAUAUUUAAAGAAAGUUCACCUUGACCUGCUAUUUAGAGUGCACACUAAGCAAUGGUCUAUCGGUUGUCGAAUUUUGGAGAUUGAUCGCUUAGACUCUGUUGCACUGGAUUACAUAUCUCGAGGGGGCAACUAUUUAUGGUACUUCAAACUAACAUUUUUAAGCUAAUUUUCAUUGUUGAUUCCUAAAGUUAUCUUAUAAUGUGUGGGCACAUGAAAUAAAUGACUUAUCUUUAGUUUCAUCUUUCGUGCAUAUUACAACUUUCCUAACAAUCUUAAAUUCAUUUUGGAUAAAACCUCUUUACCAGGGCCACAUGUGCCCUGGUAUUGAUACGCCCUAUAGGUGGGGCCUCGAUAGGUGCCCCACCUAUAGGGGGCGCCAACCAUGGCACAUGCGGCCCUGGUAACCAAGCACGGUUCAUUGAUUUUAUACAUAUUGGAUAUGCCUCACAUUUCACCAAGCCAACAUUGACUUAAGUCGUGCUUCUAAAGUUCGUAUUCAAUUUUGGUACAAGAUUUGAUGGGGUCUAUACACUUGGCUCAUUCAUUGAGGCCCCACCUAUAGUGGGUGCCAAUAUCAGGGCACAUGUGGCCCUGGUAACCAAGCACGGUUCAUUGACUUUGUACAUAUUGGAUCUGCCUCACAUUUCACCAAGUCAACUUUGACUCAAGUCGUGCUUCUAAAGUUUGUAUUCGAUUUUGGUACAAGAUUUGAUGUGGUCUCUACACUUGGCUCAUUCUGGGUUGCUGGACAGAGAGUAAAUUGGUUCUUUCAUCUAAAAGGGGCUAAUCUCAUUUCUCACACACAGAGUGCUCUUUUUCCUUUCUUUAGACAUUUUUUAUGUGUUCUAAAGAAAUUUAAGUGAUUUCUUGAAACAUUUUACUGAAUUUGUUCUUGAUUUUCAUUCUAAUAUGAAAGCCAUAUCUACUUUGGUAGAUGCUCAAUGGGUGAAUAAUGUUAGAGCACAUGAACAUUCGGAUCAAUUAGUGGAUGAAAAUUCUUGUGUUCGAAUUUCUUUAAUUUUUUACACAUUUAUUUCAAUCUUUUAGGGUUAAAACAUAUAUUUAGGACUAACAAGUGGCAUCAGAGUGAGAAACUUAAUUUUGAUAUGGUUUCUGGCUUUAAAAUGGAAACCUAAUUUGUUCUUUUUGAAAAAUCUUUGUACUAUACUAGCUCUCGAUCUAGAAUUUUUUGUGGAAACCAACUUAUUUCCAAAUCUCUAUGACUUGAUGUAUCUUCAAUUCAACGUUUGGUUGAAUUUUUUGAUGAACUCGUUUUGGUUUCUAGCGAUUCUUGAUGGCUCGUUCGUAUUCGUUGUUGGGGUGUGAUGACUUUACGCAGUUUCUAGCAAUUCUCGGUGACUCCUUAUUAUUUGUUGAGUUGAGGUGCCUCAUUCAAUCUACUACUGACUCUUGGUGUUUUACUUGGCAUUCUGGGGUAAAUUUUAGUAGAGCAGAGUUUAAAUAUAGAAACUAAUUUGUUUUGUAUUGAAGACACAAACUGAACAUUAGACAAUUUAAAAGUUCUAAUGACACAGGAAAAGAUGUUAGAACUAUUAGGUAGAGAAGAGGAUGGUGGAUUGUGCUAGCCAUGAAUAUGAUGUAUAUUAAGAGCUUUGUGGGGAACAUUGGCAGAGAUGGUACCAGAGGAUGGUUUGGCUUCGAAGUGUUGGAGAUUAGCCUCAAAGCUUAUUUGUUUCUUAUGGAGCUUAUUGAAGGUAAUGGGUAUAUCGCGAGCACUAACAACAGAUGAGAUGUCCUUAUGGUCACCGAGUAGGCCUUCAAGAAUUUUUAGUGUCAGAUUUUCAUAGUGGAUGGGAUAGUCCUUGAUAGCAAGUUCGACAAUCUUGAUUUUCUAAGAUUCUAGAAACUCGAUAAUAGUUAAAGAUCCUAUAGUAACGUUGGGAAGUCGACUUUUUCAUUGUAUAAUGCAACCUCCUGAGGGUUUGUCAUAUAUUGCAAAAAUAUUGUUCCACACAUUAUGAGAUGUUUUGAAAGAAGCGAUGUAUGGUAUAAUAGUGGAAGAACGGAUCCGAUAAUUGCAUUUAAUAGUAGUUGGUUAUGUUCGAUACCAUAAGCAAAUGAUUGAUUUAGUAAGUAUUGACAUUUUUUAUAAUAUGUAGCUCAUAUGGAGUAAAACACAUGUACACUAGAAAAGCACGUUGACGCCAACGUGGAGCAAGGGGAGCGCACCUAACAGAAUGGUACAAGGAUAUUUUUGGAUUUCUAUAAUAUCUUGUACGGGCUAGGUUAGUAUAUAUAUUAUAACUCUAUUAUUUUCAUAUUGUGAAAAUUAUAGCCGCUUCACUCUCGUAGAUGUAGGCUACUGUCAAACCACUCUCUCUAUUGAAUUUGUACUAUUCAUCAUUAUCAUUAUUGUCGUACAUAACACAACACCAUUGAUAUAAGCUAGUCAUAAACCCAUGAGAUCAUACCUUAUGAGUAUUGUAUUAUAUUGCAAUUUCUAUGAGGACUAAUUUCCUACGAGCAAGAUACUCUAGUGUCUAGCGCUUCGACCUUCUUCCUCCCGCUCGAAUAAGCCCUAGUUUCGCUUGAAUGAUCAAUGACGACACUUCUACAAUGUCAUCUAGUCAUCUUGUCCUACUCUUGUGCCGUAUAUUUCCUCAUUGUUCCCAAUCACGACCUAAGUGCCUCUAUAGCUCUACCCACUUCACACGCUCAGUUCUCACCCUAUGAAAACCCAUGACAAAGAUCAUAUUCCAAAGCCAAUUCAAAAACUAAAUAUCACCCCUUGAUCUUGAUUCCAUUAUUCUACAGUCUUUUGCCACAAUCCUUAAACGUCCACUUUGAUUCUAAUCCAUGUGUGAGGAGUUUGAUGGCCUAUUAGGUAAUGAAUUUAAAAGACCUCCUCUCCCUUCUAAUUCCAAAUUAUUUUCAUUUGUAAAUGGGCUUUUCAUGUUAAACGGAAACCUAAUGGUUACAUUCAUUGUGCAUGACGAAUGUUUUUCAUCAACGCUCGUGGUAGACUACAAUGAGAAUUUUAACCUAGUUGUCAAUUCCACCACCAUCCAUCUCAUUUUAAUCUUACCUUGGCACAGCAUUGGUCUCUACGUUGUUCAAUGUUAGUAAUACAUUUCUUCGGGAUUCACUAAUGAAAAUUAUUUACAUGUCUCAUCUUCAACAAUUUGUCGAUAUAGAAACUUCCAUUAUGAUUGUCCAUUUCAUAAAGGUAUCUGUAAUCUCAAACAAGCUCAUCGAGCUUAGUACAAUGAAUUACGAAACUUCUUGCUUGCCAGUGGGAUUACCAAUUCCAAAUCUAACACGUACGUCUAUAUUCAACUGCAACUCCAACCAGUGUUGAAUCUUAGUUUUGGUUUAUGCUAAAGACAUCAUUGUCACGAGAAACUCAAGUUUUUAAUAUCUUUGUUACUCAUUUGGUACCAUUUUUUCUAGAGAUGUCAAAAAUCCUAACCGAACCUAAUCCCCAUAGGGACAUAUCCCAAAGUGGACAAGAGUUUCUGGCUUUAAUCGAGUUUGCAUCCAUUUAUAUUUUAACAAUAUUAAUAAAAAAAAAUGCCCAAUUUGUAUUAUAAAAAUUUUUUAAAAAAAUGAAUAAAUAAAUUUACCUAUCAUGCAAUCCAAUCUAACAUCGCGUUCCAUUCAAGAAAAAAGAAAAAGAAGGAGAAAAAAUAGAAAAUUGAUUAAAAAAAGCAAAAUAAAAUAUAACGGUGCUAUAAAGUGGAUCCCACUUUAUUGUCAUCCCUAGAUUUGGAUACUUUUUUCCUGGGGAUAUAAGUUAUUUUUCUCUACAAGGCCUUUUUCUCUCACAACAUUAGUUUGUAUCUCAGUAAUCUUCUGCACAACAUAAGUUGCAUGAGUGUGAGUCAGUGUCAAUUUCUAUGUACAUGACAACUACCUUGAGCUUAAUUGAUGUCACUACUUUUCAUGAUGCUUUUAAAUAUAGGCAAGUUCUUGGCAACUUGCAAUAUUCUUUACUCACUCGCCAGGGCAUUGUUAUUUAGUAAACCAUCUGUAUCAAUAUAUCGCUGAUCCAUUUCUCACACUUGGAUCGCUGUUAAACUUAUGUUUCUCGACUUUUUUGGCACUUUGGGCUCUUUCUUUGUCGCCAUUCUCCUGUCUUGUUACAUGCCUUCUCUAAAUCUGAUUGAGAAGAAAAUGGUAAUGAUUCCACAUCCAUCCAUGCCAAUCUAGUGAUUCUUGAAUGGAACCUAAUUGUUGCUCAUUUUUUUUUAUUGAAAUCGACUAUCAUAUGGCUUAAAUAUUUAGUACUUGAAUUCAGCGAACCAAUUUCCACCAAUCGAGUAAUCUAAUUUCAUACUAUUAGCACCACAUACUUAAUGACCUAACACUAUUUCUCACCUCGAAUGGAAUACAUUAAGAUUCAUGUGCACUUUGUUCAUGACAAGAUUUAGACCGGUGAACUCUGGAUUUCUUGUGUUGUCUUGUCCAAUCAAUUUGUUAAUGUUCAAACUAAACAUUAAUCAUAUGCGUCCGCAUCUACUCCUAUCUGAUAUAGGUGUCACUAAUAAGACUGCUUUCUUGUGCGGGGCAUAUUAUAGAUAUUAAAGUAAUUAGAGAUAGCAUAGUACGAUAAUUAGAGCUUGAUCUUGUGAAAUAAUAUUAAAGUAGUUAUAGAUAGUGUUACACAAUAGUUAGAACUUGUCAUUACUCAACGUGCAUCAUAUAUUUCUGUUACAGAAUGUAUACAUAUAUAUAGCACAUACCAGGAGAUAUUCUAGACUAUGCACUAAUUUAGGCUAUGAUUGAGAUUGACCCUCAUUGUAUGUGGAGUCAGAUGACAAACUAUACUUCCCUAUAAUUAUUGAAUAAUGUUAUUUAAUAUUAGUAGAAUUAGAGUGCCAGUCUAAGUUGACAUACUUGAUAAGUUCAAUUAAAUUAAUAUUGUGGUAUUGCAUUUAAAUGAAUUUAUUGUUUAGUGUCAUGAAAUUAGGGUGGCAACAGUUCGGUUCAGGUUCGGUUUGGCCAAAACCAUCACCGAAUCACCAAUUUUUUUGUCAUACCAUAACCACGUAAGUUGGUUCGGUUCGGCUUAGUUAGGACGAUUAAGAACAACGAAAAUAAAUUAUUUUUUAUAAGUUCAGCUAUCAAAUUGGAAAAAAAAAUUAUGAAAAAAAAGGUCAAUGAAAACAAAAACACAAUACCAAGUCAAUUUAACAAACAAUAUCCCAAUUUCCAAAGGCAAAAUCCGAAUUUAACAAACAAUAUCCAUAAAUGUUUAAUAUUUGUGUAGUAGGGUGUAGGGUUAUUGGGUUCAGUUAGUUGGACUUAAUGGGUUGGUAAUGGGCCAAAAAUUUGAACUGAACAGAAUCAUAGAAAGACUAAUGGAAAGCCUAAUUGUCCAAUUAGUUUUUUUUUAACAGGUAAUCGGUUCGGAGUUGGACGACGGUGUAAAUAUCAUACUCGUCCCGCUCCAAAUCGGGGCAUUAAAAUCAAAUACCAUAUCCACCCCAUUGCGCCAUUGGUUCGGUUAAUCGCGAUUUUCGAUUUUGAUAGUUCGAAUUGCCAUCCUUACAUGAAAUUGCAUCUCAACUAAAGUUUAACACUAAUGGUGCUAAAGUGCAUUACUCAUAAUUAUUAUAUGAGUAAUGCCAUUUAGCACUAUUAGUUAAGCACUGUUUAGGUGGCAUGCAAUAAUCAUUAAUUGAAAGACUGCCUUAAAAGUAGAAAAAUGAGUCACAUUUAAAAUGUUCUAUCACUUGCAUGCCAUCUAAGUUGGUGCUAUGUAACAUUAUUCUUAUUACUUUUCUUGAUUGACAACUUGCACCAAUAGUCAUCUUGCAACUUAUUGAUAUACUAAAAUCAAUGUGAGAUAGAGUUUAUGUAUUUGAGUUGGAGUCGAUCAAGUUUUUAUAGAACCUAAAUAAUCUUCAAAUGAAUCAUAGUUACUCAAGUUGUUUCUUACCGCUCUAAGCAUCAAUCCAAACACAUUCUUAUGUCAAUCAAUAUGUCAAUUUUUACAUGAAUCAAUUCAUCCUUUGCUGUUAGAGUUACUUUAGUUAGCUACUUUAGCAGAGAUGAUCAAGUUAUACAAAAGCUCAUUAGAAACAUCAAAGUUAGAUAUAAACUGUAAGGCUUAAUUACAGUUUUGUGUACUGUUACAGAAACAUUCAAAGUUUUUCGAGUAAUAUAGAUCAUUUCACUAAUCCUUUUUAUUUUUAUUUUUUUUAUAUACCAUUGUAUGAUUAAAUAAAAUUAGUAUAAAACAUCAAUACUUCAUCUACAAUGUACAUAGUUUAUCAACAAUGUUAAUAGCAUUGAGUUUAUAUUUCAUCAUAAUUCUCCAGACCAAUUAGAAAUAUUAGGAAGUUUCUAGUAUUUGAUCUUGUCUUCCCAUUUCUUUUAAUCAAUACAUAUAAUUAAUCAAGCAACCAAAAUAAAAUUUUUAACACCAUAAUACCAAUAUAAAAGUUACAAAUCUAGAAUAAAUCACUAUUACUCAUAGGAGUCACUUUGUAGAGCCCAUAUAGAAAACCUUGAAGGCAUGUCAAUUAAUACAUGUACUAUGCUGUUUCAAUUAUAAGUUAAUGUACCUCAUUUUCUUUCUUACACCAUAUAAAUACUUUAUCAACUAGGCCAACACUCAUCAUAAUUUAGCAAAUAAGACUUAGAAAAUGCACCGUUUUUUAUCCAUAACUCUUCGACUUAAAUCUAAGAUGAUAUCGUCAUGCCAUUAUAGAAGCAAAGAGAAUCUGACCUAUAUAAUUAUUAAUAGGGUAAGGAUGCUUUAGCAGAUUUCGUCUAAUCUGCAAUUUAGGAAAAAUUGCAUCAUACAACCAUUUGUUAAGGGGAUGCCCAUGGCAUAAGUGAAUGCCCUAGUCGUCCAAUACACAUAAAGAGAUCGCUUUUAAUUGUUUGAUUUCUCAACUUGAUUCUUGAUUUGGCUUUCAGGUUUCCACUCAUUAAUUGAUGUUCAUACUUCUGGAGAAUACCAAAGAAGAUAGGGGUUGAAAGCUUGAAGAUUGAAUAUCCAUAUUUAAAGAAAAGAAUUGGAGCAGCUUCUAAAGAAUUCAGAUCUAAUCACACUUCAACUGUGAUUCCACAAUCCUUUAUAUGAUUAAUUCAACAUGUUAUAAUACGAAUUUAACUAUAUAUUAUUGGGUCAAAACUUAUUAAGAACAAAAUUUAUUGCCUAUGUUUUUACUUAUUGUCUAACAUUAUUCUUAUCUUUACUUUGGCUUUGUGAACAUACAUUUUCAGUUCAGUGGUUAUGAGUUAACUUUGUAUCUAAUAACGCUAAAAGAUAAGGUUCUUUAAUACAUUAACAUUGUUCAUGUACCAUAAAAAGCCUCCUUGUGCAUAAAGAAAUAUACAACUCUAUUAUGGGUCUUUCCUAUAUUUUAUGUACUUUAUAUAAUAAGUACUUAGAGUGGGAGAAGAAGAUUGAGUUGAUAUUCGAUUGUCACAAUUACUCGGGGCAGAAAAAGGUGAAAAUUGCGGUUCUUGAGUUUUUCAACUAUGCAAUAACUUGAUGGGAUCAAGUGGCGACGACGAGGUGGAGGAUUGGGGCACAACCUUUAAAUACUUGGGAGGAGUUGAAGAUGUUAAUGCGAAAAUAGUUUGUACCUAAUCACUAUUACCGGAAGCUUCAUCAAUGGUUACAAAAUCUAUAUCAAGGCACUAGGAGCAUAGAGGAUUACCAUAAGGAGAUGGAGAUGCUUAUGAUUAGGGCGAACGUGGAAGAGGAUAGGGAAGCCACUAUGGCACGAUUUUUGAGGGGGUUGAAUAGGGACAUUGCCAAUGAAGUGGAAUUGCAACAUUAGGUGGAGAUUGAAGACAUGCUACAUGUGGCAUGAAGGUGGAAAAGCAAUUGAAGCGAAAGGGGACAGCAAGGUACUAAGGUGGAUUUUCGAUUUCUAAUCCUUCUUGGAAGCCGAGGUAGGAAAAUAAUAAAGGAGAUGGAGCUAAUAGAAGAGAAAGACCGGAGGCAUCGAGAGGAAAGGAGGAAGGAGCUAGCAAGACUACACCAAAGGUAGAAUCCCAGCCUUCAAGGAAUCUGGAGUCAAGUGUUUUCGUUGCUUGGGAGUUGGACACAUUGCUUCACAAUGUCCAAAUAAAAGAACCAUGAUUUUGCAAGACAGCGAGGAAGUGGAGAUCGAGAGUGAAGGUGAUUAUGAAGACAUGCCGGAGUUGGAGGACAUUGACGAGGAAAACACCACAGAGUAUGCAGUUGGGGAGUUGUUGGUCACAAGGCGAGCACUUAGUGCUCAAAUCAAGGCGGUUGACUUGGAGCAGCAGUGGAAAAAUAUAUUCCACACAUGGUGUCACGUCAACGGGAAGGUAUGCAGUGUAAUAACUGAUGGUGGAAGUUGUACAAACGUAGCUAGCACUAAUGUAGUGGGAAAAUUGGGAUUAACACUAUUAAAAUAUCCUAAACCCUAUAGGUUGCGAUGGUUAAAUUAAUGUGGGGAGGUUGAUGUGACAAAAAAGGUGUUGAUUAAUUUUUCCAUUGGGAAGUAUUAUGAUGAGGUGUUAUGUGAUGUUGUACCUAAGCACGCGGGGCAUAUUUUGUUGGGGCGACCUUGGUAAUAUGAUAGGAAAACAAUGCAUGAUGGGUAUAAAAAUAAAUAUAGUUUUGUGAAAGAGGGAAAGUCUAUCACUCUUGCACCAUUAAGUGUAUGACGACCAAAUCAAAUUGAAAAAUGAGGAAGAAAAGAGAGUGAGAGAGUUAGAGAAAAAGAGAGAAAAUAGUAAGAUUGCCGAUGAGGAAGAAAAAAGAGUGGGGCCACAUGAGAGAAAGAAAGAGAGUUUUCCGAGAGGAGAGAAAAGCCAAAAGUGAAUUUCUUUGCAAAAGGGAGUGAAAUGAAAAAGGCAAUAGUGGAGAGACAAUCAAUGAUUCUUUUGGUAUUUACUCCUCAAUUUUGAGGAGUCUAACACAUCCCUCCCUAGUUUGACUACUUCUUUAUUGCAGGAACUUGUCGAUGUGUUUCCGGAAGAUGUGCCUAGUGGAUUACCACCCAUUAGGGGGAUCGAACAUUAAAUUGAUUUCAUACCUGGAGCUGUCAUUCCAAACCGACCAGUUUAUCGAAGUAAUCCAAAGGAGACAAAGGAGUUUCAAAGGUAAGUGGAGGAGUUGAUGAGCAAGGGUUAUGUAAGGGAGAGCAUGAGUCCAUGUGCCGUACCUGUAUUGUUGGUGCCAAAGAAAGAUGGAACUUGGAGGAUGUGCGUGGAUUGCCGAUCUAUCAAUAACAUUACGGUAAAGUAUGGUCACCCAAUUCCUAGGUUAGAUGACAAGUUAGAUGAAUUAUAUAGUGCUUGCAUCUUUUCUAAAAUUGACCUUAAGAGCGGGUAUCAUGAAAUUCGUAUGCGGGAGGGUGAUGAAUGGAAAACAACAUUUAAAACGAAAUAUGAGUUGUAUGAAUGGCUAGUUAUACCCUUUGGACUCACAAAUGCACCAAGCACGUUUAUGCGAUUAAUGAAUCAUGUUUUGCAUGCUUUCAUUGAAAAAUUUGUUGUAGUUUAAUUUGAUGACAUUCUAAUCUAUAGCAAGGACCUAGUAGAGCAUUUAGAACAUCUUAAAUGUGUGCUUGUGGUUUUAAGAAAUGAACGACUUUAUGCUAAUUUCAAGAAGUACACAUUUUGCAUGGAUAGAAUCAUAUUUCUAGGAUUUGUGGUGAGUGCUAAUGGGGUUGAAGUUGAUGAAGAAAAUGUAAAAGCUAUUAAGGAUUGGCCAACACCUAAAAACAUAACCGAGGUUAGGAGUUUUCAUGGGUUAGCUAGUUUUUAUAGGCGAUUUGUUAGGGAUUUUAGCACACUUGCCACACCACUUACAAAAAUUGUCAAAAAGAGUGUUGGGUUUCAAUGGGGUGUAGAAUAAGAAUAUGCAUUUAACACCAUCAAAGAAUUUUUAUGUAAAGCACCUGUUUUAGCGCUUCCUAAUUUUGACAAAACUUUCGAGAUUGUGUGUGAUGCAUUAGGAAUAGGUAUUAGAGCUGUUUUGACGCAGGAAAAGAGGUCGAUAGCAUACUUUAGCGAGAAACUAAGUGGGGCAGCUCUUAACUAUCCUACUUAUGGCAGGAGCUUUAUUCUCUAGUUCGAGCCUUGGAGACAUGGCAACACUACCUAUGGCCAAAGGAGUUUGUUAUUCACAUUGACCAUGAAUCAUUGAAACAUUUGCGAGGUCAAGGUGAUUUGAACAAACGACAUGCACAUUGGAUGGAAUUCAUAGAGACUUUUCCAUAUGUCAUUCGAUAAAAACAAGGUAAGGAAAACAUAGUAGCCGUUGCAUUGUCGCGAAGGUAUGUGCUUCUCACUUCUUUAACUGCAAAAUUACUUGGUUUUGAGUAUGUUAAGGACAUGUGUAAAAACGAUCUUGAUUUUUCUAACAUCUAUAAUUCAUGUACUGAGAGGGCUAUUGACAAGUUCUUUAAAUAUGAGGGAUAUUUGUUUUGAGAAAAUAAAUUAUGUGUUCCUAAUUGCUCAAUGCGUGAAUUGUUGGUUAGGGAGGCACAUAGUGGGGGUUUAAUAGGUCACUUUGGGUUAGCAAAGAGUUUAGACAUGUUAAAUGAACACUUUUAUUGGCCUAAAAUGAAGAUUGACAUAGAACGAUUUUGUAGUCGUUGCAUAACUUUUAAAAAGACUAAAUCAAAAGUUUUAUCCCAUAGACUUUAUACACCUUUAUCGAUACCUAGCGAACCUUGGGUUGACAUUUCAAUGGAUUUUGUGUUAGGUUUGCCUAGGACUAAAAAGAGGCGUGAUUCAAUUUUUGUUUUUGGUGAAUAGGUUUAGUAAAAUGGUACACUUUAUACCAUGUCACAAAAUCGAAGAUGUCACUAACAUUGCAGGAGUUGUUUUUCAAAGAAUUAGUGUGUUUGCAUGGUGUUCCCAAAAGUAUUGUGUCCGAUAGGGAUGUUAAGUUUCUUAGUCACUUUUGGCGGGUCUUGUGGAAUAAGUUAGGCACGAAAUUAUUGUUUUCUACAACUCGUCACCUAUAAAUCGAUGGUCAAACUGAAGUAGUGAAUAGAACAAUGACACAACUAUUGCGCACUGUGGUUAAUAAAAAUCUAAAGAAUUGGAAAGAAUGUUUGCCUUUCAUUGAGUUUGCAUAUAAUAGAGCCACGUAUUCUACUACGUCGUUUUCACCAUUUGAAAUUGUUUAUGGUUUUAAUCCUUUAACAUCUAUGGAUUUAGGACCUUUGCGUGUGAAUGAACGAGGUAGUUUGGAUCGAAAAAAGAAAGCCUAAUUGGUAAAGACACUCCGUGAAAAGGUAAGGGAGCAAAUAGAGAAGAAGAACAAUCAACGAACAACACAAGCAAACAAAGGCCGAAAAUAUGCCACUUUCGAACCGGGAGAUUGGGUUUGGGUGCAUUUCACGAAAAAGCGAUUCCCAGAGCAAAGAAAAUCAAAGUUAUUGCCACGAGGAGAUGGAUCGUUCCAAGUGAUUGAGAAGAUCAACGACAACGCUUAUAAGAUAGAUCUUCCAGGUGAGUAUAGUGUUUCUGCAACUUGCAAUGUUUCUGACUUAUCUCUUUUCGAUGCAGGUACAGAUUUGAGGUCAAAUCCUUUCGAAGAGAGAGGGGAUGAUGUGAUCCAGAAAGCACAAGUACCAAAGUCAAGUUUAGAGUCGAGCCCGAGGAAAGAUCUGUUGAUAGUCGAGGGGACGAUGACGCGAUCGAGGGCCAAGCACGUGAAAGAGGCGAUGGGAUUGCUCGUCAAAACAACGGUUGAUGAAACAAUGUUCGGGAUACAAAAUGGAGUAAGUUUCAUGUUUGGGACGAAGGCCGAAGACUAUUGGAUCAACGUGUUUAAAGUUGAAGAAAAUGGAGCUGGAGUAUUAAACCAUGCGGCCGUAUAGGUCUAAAGUCCUGCAGUCGCAUACACUCAGUAGAAGUCCCAAAGUCGCGGACCAAUUGCACUAUGCGACCGCAUGCUCUAAAGCUAUGCGGCUGCACCGAGGCGAAUUUUUUCAAAUUUCGCAUUUUCCUUAUUUUAAUAGAAUUUCAUUAUUAGUAGAUUUUUAGCUAUUGUGGACGAAUUUUGCAUUAUUCUUAGAUUUUUUCCUAGUUUACUUAGGUUCUCUAAAAUAGUAUAAAUACUUUAUUCCUUAUUGUAAAACAUUACAACUCUCAUAUUAUUGAAUAUUAUUCGUGAGGCAUUAAUUGCUUUCUCUAGUUUUUCAUUGAACAGCUUGUGAACUUACCAAGAUUAAUCUUGUGGUAUUCAAAUUAAUCGGGUGAGAUUCAUUUAAAUUUCGUAAUCAAAAGGUCCGCAUAUUGUCGGAGAUUCGGAUUGCUUGGUUCCAAUUUAUUGGGUUUAAUAAAAAAUCUUGUCUUUGGCUUUCUUGGGUUUGAUUCUCAAUUUGUUAUGGGUUUGGUAGCGAUCGCGCUACACGGGUUCGCAUCAGAUUUCUUCGAACAUUUUACUGAAUUUGUUCUUGAUUUUCAUUCUAAAAUGAAAGUCAUAUCUACUUUGAUAGAUGCUCAAUGGAAGAAUAAUGUUGGAGCACGUGAACAUUCAGAUCCAUUAGUGGAUGAAAAUUCUUAUGUUAGAAUUUCUUUAAUUUUUUACACAUUUAUUUCAAUAUUUUAGGGUUAAAACAUAUAUUUAGGACUAACAAGUGGCAUCAGAGUCGGAACCUUAAAUUUUAUAUGGUUUCUGGCUUUAAAAUGGAAACCUACUUUGUUCUUUUUGAAAAAUCUUUGUACUAUACCAGUUCUUGAUCUACAAUAUUUUUAUUUUUAUUUUUAUUUUUUGGAAACCAACUUAUUUCCAAGUCUCUGUGACAAAUAUGUAUCUUCGAUUCAACAUUUGGUUGAAUUUUUUGAUGAACUCGUUUUGGUUUCUAGCGAUUCUUGAUGGCUCGUUCGUAUUCCUUGUUGGGGUGUGAUGACUUUACGCAGUUUCUGGCAAUCCUCGGUGACUCAUUAUUUGUUGAGUUGAGGUGACUCAUUCAAUCUACUACUGAUUCUUGGUGUUUCAGUUGGCAUUCUGGGAUAAAUUUUAUUAGAGCAGAGUUUAAAUAUAGAAAUUAAUUUGUUUUGUAUUGAAGACGCAAACUGAACAUUAGACAAUUUAAAAGUUCAAUGACACAGGAAAGGAUGUUAGGACUAUUAGGUAGAGAAGAGGGUGGUGGAUUGUUCUAGCCAUGAAUAUGAUGUAUAUUAAGAGCUUUGUGGGGAACAUUGGCAGAGAUGGUACCAGAGGUUGGUUUGGCUUCAAAGUGUCGGAGCUUAUUUGUUUCAUAUAGAGCUUAUCGAAGGUAAUGGGAUAUCGCGAGCACUAACAACAGAUGAGAUGUCCUUAUGGUCACUACGUAGGCCUUCGAGAAUUUUUAGAGUCAGAUCUUCAUGGUGGAUGGGAUAGUCCUUGACAGCAAGUUUGACAAUCAUGCUUUUCUAAGAUUGUAGAAACUCGAUAAUAGUUAUAGAUCCUAUAGUAAGUUUGGGAAGUCGACUUCUUCAUUGUAUAACGCAUCCUCCUGAGGGUUCGUCAUAUAUUGCAAAAAUAUUGUUCCACACAUUAUGAGAUCUUUGAAAAGAAGCGAUGCAUGGAAUAAUAGUGGAAGAUCGGAUCCGAGAAUUGCACUUAAUAGUAGUUGGUUUUGUCCGAUACCUUAAGCAAAUGAUCGAUUUAGUAAAUCAUUGGCAUUGUUUAUAAUAUGUAGCUCAUAGAGUAAAGCACAUGUAUGCUAGAAAGCAGGUUGAUGCCGACGUGGAGCAAGGGGAGCACACCUAAGAGAAUGGUACUAGUAUAUUUUUGGAUUUUUACAAUAUCUUGUACGAGCUACGUUAGUAAAUACGUCGUAACUCUAUUAUUUUCACAUUGUGAAAAUUAUAGCUGCUUCACUCUCGUAGAUGUAAGCUAUUGUCAAACCACAUAAAUCUCUCUCUCUCUCUCUCUCUCUAUUGAAUUUGUACUAUUCAUCAUUAUCAUUAUUGUCGCACAUAACACAACACUAUUGAUAUAAGCUGGUCGUAAACCCAUGAGAUCAUACCUUAUGAGUAGGGUAUUAAAUUGUGAUUUCUAUAAGGACUAAUUUCCUACGUGCAAGAUACUCCAACGUCCAGAGCUUCGGCCUUCUUCCUCCUGCUCGAGUGAGCCCUUCUUUCGUUUAAAUGAUCAAUGGCGACACUUCUACAAUGUCAUCUAGUCAUCUUGUCCUACUCUCUCGCCUUCUCAUUGAUCCCGAUCAUGACCUAACUGCCUCUACCUCCACCUUACACGCUUAGUUCUCGCCCUAUGAAAACCCAUGACGAAGAUCAUAUUCCAAAACUAAAUCUUAGCCCUUGAUCUUGAUUCCAUUAUUCUACACUCUUUAGCCACAAGCCUUAAACAUCCACUUUGGUUCUAAUCCAUGUGUGAGGAUUUUGAUGGCCUAUUAGGUGAUGCAUUUAGAAGAUAGCCUCUCCGUUCCAAUUCCAAAUUAUUUUCAUUUGUAAAUGGGCUUUUUGUGUUAAACGGAAACCUAAUGUUUACAUUCAUCAUGCCCGACCAAUGGUUUUCAUCAACGGUCACGGUAGACUACAAUGAGAAUUUUAGCCUAGUUGUCAAUCCCACCACCAUCCGUCUCAUCCUUAAUCUUGCAUUGGUACGGCAUUCGUCUUUACGUUGUUCAAUGUUAGUAAUGCAUUUCCUCGGGAUGCACUAAUGAAAACUAUUUACAUGUCUCAUCUUCAAGAAUUUGUCAAUAUAGAAACUUCCAUUAUGAUUGUCCAAUUGCCAGUGGGUUUACCAAUUCCAAAUCUAACACGUAAGUCUAUAUUCAAUUGCAACUCUAACCAGUGUCGAAUCUUAGUUCUGGUUUAUGCUAACGACAUCAUUGUCACGAGAAACUCAAGUUUUAAUAUCUUUGUUACUCAUUUGGCACCAUUUUUUUCUAGAGAUGUCAAAAAUCCUAACUGAACUAGUCCCCAUAGCGACAUAUCCCAAAGAGAACGAGAAUUUCUGGCUUUAAUCGAGUUUGCAUUCAUUUAUAUUUUAACAAUAUUAAUAAAAAAUUGCCCAAUUUCUAUUAUAAAAAUUUUAAAAAAUGAAUAAAUAAAUUUACCUAUAUAAAAAAAAUGAAUAAAUGAAAAAUGAAUAAAUAGAAAAUUGAUUAAAAUAAAAUAGAAUGGCACUGUAAAGUGGAUCCCGCUUUAUUGUCAUCCCCAGAUUUGGAUACUUUAUACUUGUUUCUUGGGGAUUAAGUUAUUUUUCUCUACAAGGCCUUUUUCUCUCACAACAUUAGUUUGUAUUUCAAUAAUCUUCUACACAACAUAAUUUGCAUAAGUACGAGUCAGUGUCUAUUUCUAUGUACAUGACAACUACCUUUAGCUUGAUUGAUGUCACUACUCUUCAUGAUGCUUCUAAAUAUAGGCAAGUUCUUGGCAACUUGCAAUAUUCUUUACUCACUCGCCAGGACAUUGUUAUUCAGUUAACCAUCUGUACCAAUAUAUCACCGAUCCAUUUCUUACCCUUGGAUGGCCGUUAAGCUUAUGUUUCUCGACUUUUUUGGCACUCUGCACUUUGGGCUCUUUCUUCAUCGCCAUUUUCUUGGCUUGUUGCAUGCCUUCUCUAAAUCUGAUUGAGAAGAAAAUGGUAAUGAUCCCACAUCCAUCCGUGCCGAUCUAGUGAUUCUUGAAUGGAACCUAAUUGUUGCUUUUUUUUUUUUUUUUUUUUUUAAAUCAAGUAUCAUAUGGCUUAAAUAUUUAGUACUUGAAUUCAGCGAAUCAAUUUCCACCAAUCGAGUAAUCUAAUUUCAUACUAUUAGCACCACAUACUUGAUGACCUAACACUAUUUCUCAGCUCGAAUGAAAUACAUGAAGGCUAUGUUUGAUUGGUUCAAAUUCCAUGGAAAAUGGAAUUCUAAUUCCACUUUCUUCCAAUUUUGGUUGUUUGAUAGGUUUUGAAUUCCAUGGAAUUUGGUUUCUUGAUUUUCUUGGAACUUGAAAUUUUCUUGAUUUUCCUUGAAAACCAAUUCCCACCAACAUGGUGGGAACUGGCUUUCUAGUUCCCUGUUACGUAUUUUUUUUUAUUUUAUAUAUAUUUUUUAAGGUAAUGGAAACAAAUUCUAAGAAAUAUUGCACAAAAAUAUUUCAUUUUAAUUGGCAAUUUUUAUGUAAAACAAAGUCAAACGAACACCAAAAGAUAGAUGAUUUUCUUGAUCUUUUUAUUUUUAUUUUUUUUGUUGGCAAUGGAAACAAAUUUCAUUCCCAAUACCAGUAAAAUCUAUCCUUUUAAUUGAUAAUUUUCAUGUAAAAUAAAGCCAAAUGAACACCAAAAAUACUUUUAUUUUAAUAUUUUUCACAAGAAAAAUUAUACCAAUCAAAUACAAUAAUUUACAAUUCUCAAGAAAAUAAUUUAUAGGCAAUUCAAUUAUCUAGAAUUCGUUUUCAAUUUAAUUCAAUUCCAUCUUUGCAAUCUUGUGAAAUAAUAUUAGAGUAGUUAUAGAUAGUGUUACACAAUAGUUAGAACUUGUCAUUACUGAACGUGUAUCAUAUAUUUCUGUUACAGAAUGUAUACAUAUAUAUAGCACAUACAAGGAGAUAUUCUAGUCUAUGCACUAAUUUUAGGCUAUGAUUGAGAUUGACCCACAAUAUAUGUGGAGUCAGAUGACGAACUAUAGUUCCUUAUAAUUAUUAAAUAAUGCUGUUUAGCAUUUGUGGAAUUAGAGUACCAGAUCAAAGUUGACAUACUUGAUAGGUUCAAUUAAAUUAAUCAUGUGACAUUGCAUUUAAGUGGAUUUAUCGUUUAAUGUCUUGAAAUUGCAUCUAAUAUGAUGUUUAACACUUAUGGUGCUACAGUGUAUUACACAUAAUUAUUACAUGAGUAAUGCAAUUUAACACUAUUAGUUAAGCACCAUUUAGGUGGCAUGCAAAGACCAUCUUAAAAGGAGGGAAAUGAGCCACAUUUAAUUUCUUCUAUCACUUGCAUGCCAUCUAAGUUAAUGCUAUGUAAAAUAUAUUACAUUUUAUUUUUGACUGACAACUUGCACCCAUAGUCAUCUCUUAACUUAUUGAUAUACUAAAAUCAAUGUGAGCUAGAGUUUAUGAAUUUGAGUUGGAGUCGAUCAAGUUUUUAUGGAACCUGAAUAAUCUUCAAAUGAAUCAUAAUAACUCAGGUUGUUUCUUACCGCUCUAAGCGUUAAUCUAAGCACAAUCUUAUGUCAAUCGAUUAGUCAAUUUUUACAUGUAUCAAGUCAUCCUUUGCAGUUAGAGAUACUUUAGUUAGCUAUGAUGCCCGGUCAUUGCAUAAACUAAAACAAAGCAUUAAAAGCCUAACAUAUUAAGAAGGAAAUGAAUUUUAUAAAAAAAUGAAAAAAAAAAAAUAAAAAUAAAAAUCCAACUAUUCGAUUUUCCCACUAUAAUAUUACUUAGUCCUUGUGGGGGUGGUCCAUCGUUUUUGUGGUGAAAAUAAGGUCCAACAUUUUAACUUUCCGUCGAAGUUAACUUUUAGACCAACUCAAUAGAAAUUUAGGAGUGAUUGUUGGAAUUGCCAGAAUUUCAGAAAAUUAAAGAAUAAUUUCACUAAUUAAAGUUUGAAAUGUUUUGGAGUGAAUAUAGUUAGUUCGAUCUCAGGAGGAGAGAAUUUGUUCCUAUUCUAGACCAAAAGAUCAAGCCACUUGCCUGCUCAACGUCAUUUUAGUCAGAGUACUGACCUAAAGUUUGUGCCAUCGUGUCCAAGAUGUUGUACUCCUGAUUGGUUGUUGAGAUCGGCCAUACAGGUCAUCAUGGCUCCUAGGUUGCAGCUGUGGCUUAGGCAAUGAUUACUUGAUUUUCGUGAUCAUUGCUAGCUUAUGAUUAAUUGAAAAUAAGGUGCUAACGUCGCAGAUGUCACAUGUCUUUCUAGGAGAGGUGGAUUGAUAGGUGAGGACCGAUUGUCAAUAAUUGUGAAUCACAAUGUUUCUUCAAAUUACGAUAGCCAUUUCUCGAAAUGUGCUCAUACUUCGAGAAUCUAACCUAUCAGUAGUAUAGAAAUCGUAUUUUAACCUAUUUUUUACUUUACGUGCAAAAUAUUUUAUUGUGUGGAUGUAUGAUCAAAAAUGUGUAUGAAAAAUAAAGAGAUUUAACACAGAGAGUCGAAUAGGGGCUAAGAUCUCAAUCUCGCCUGCACGCAAUAUAUGUAUAAGCUAAAAUAUAGUCAUAAAAGACAUUAUUAUACCUAUAUGUACUUGUUCUAAGUUAUUUGUAUGAAUGUUAGAAUUGAAAUAAGAAAAAUGUCCGUCUCAUUACAAUAAUUUGUUCUAUUAAAUACUCUUACCGUUUCAUAAAGAUAAACUUAUUUUUCAUUCUCGCACAUGUUAAGAAAAUAUAAUUUUCGCUUAUUUUUUCUGGUACAACCAAUGUUUGAAAAAUCGAACUUGUCCAAUCAGUUCAAUUGGGAAUCAGGAUCGAAAUCGGUCCAAUUAGGCUUAUAAAACCCCCAAUUAAAAACCCGUCCCAAAGUCAAGUAAAUCGUUUAAUUUUUGGAAAAAUCGUGGCCCUUUGUCUAUUUAACCGAUUCAAUCUAUGUAAAUAUACAUUUUUUGAAAUUUUUAAACGUAUGUGUGCAUACAAGUUUCGUAAAAUGUAUAUUUUUAAUUCUAAAAAAUCACGGUUAGAUCUCGGUUCAACUUUUUGACCUUGGUUAGAUCUCGGUUCAACUUAAAAAUCCUUUUCUUGUCCGAGUCGAUGAUCGGGUCAUUUUUUAAAAACAUUGGAUACGACCCCAUGUUAAUAAUCAUUUAAAUAGGAAUAGUUCAUAUUCAUUAAUAACAAAUUAUAUGAAAUCAUGGUAUAUUAAAAAAAUUAAAAAUCAACUAUACUCUCAACAAAGAAAAUAACCUAUAAUUUGGAACAUAUGAAAAAGGAAAGCUAAGAUACUUUUCAAGAAAUAGAGAGAUCAAACUUGCCCUUAUUUAAAGCAAUUUCUCAAUAAAUUUUACUUUUUAAUGACACAUUCUCUACAAAAUUAUUAUUACAAAACAAUAUUUUUUACAAAUAUGGAAUCAAACAGAUCCUAACAUCAACAGUUCUAUAUGUACAGGCUCAGUAAUAUAAAUACUUUUGCAAACAACACGGGGCGACAUUUGAUUGGAAGUUGCCAAAAAAAAAAAGAUCAUAUAGUGUAGCACCUAUAAAAGAUGUGCAUUAUUCUCUCGAUUGUGUUACAUGUACAUAAUUGAUUUACAUAAUGAUUUCCAUAGACAUAACGUAAUGAGAUAUGAUUAUGUCAGAAUUUAAUUAUUUUUUAAUUACAUAUUCUCUUAAUAAAAUAAUUUUAUAAGUAAAUAUAAAAUAUUUUCUUACCUUUUAAUCACAUUUUUCAAAAAAAAAAAAAUCACUAUCAUAAAAUAUCUUUUUUUUUUUUCAAAAAAUGGGGCUCAAAUAUAGUUCACCAUCAUCUUUUAUGUUAGUUGCAUAUUAACAUAACUUACAUUCAUAUUUUGUAACAUGAUUAAAUUGUAAAAGCUUUUCCAAAGGGCAAGCUAAAAUUCAGAGAAAAAAAAUGCGCACACAAAAAGGGAAAAAAAAAUACCAAUAAAGCGUAUCUUCGGUACUCCAAAAAAAAAAAAAUGCGCACACGAAAAAAAAAAAAAAAUUACUAAUAAAGCGUAUCUUCGGUACUCCAAGAUCUCAAUUUUGAUCGAGACUUGAACAAUUCAGAAAAUUUCAAUACAUUCUUUAAUUUUGUAGAACACUAUUCAGUAUUUGGUGUUGUUAAAAAUUAUAUUUUUAAUAGAUUUUGAUAAAAAAUUAAUGAAAUAUAUAAUUGAAUUUAUCAUUAAUUGUUGAAUUUAAUUUAAAUUUUUUUUUAUCAACUUUUAAAGGUGAAUACUGAAAAGAAAUUAUAAAUAACAGUGCACAAAAUUUUGUCCUUUAAAUGGCCCCCUUAACAUAUAUUUUCACCAUUUGCAUGAUCAGUCAGUCAGAAGUUCAAUUAUUCUUCACUUGUUCGAGUCUCUGAGUUCUGACCACUUCACAAUGAGAAAACGAUACAAAAGACAGAACCCAUUACCUCAAUUAUUAUUUCACUUGUUAUUUGCAAAUCGGCAACGGAAGAAAGGCCAGAGACUGAACUAAUAUCAAUACCUGCCACCCCACGUGCGUCGACGCCGGAGAUACAGACGCCGUCCUGUCAAAGGUCGCCGAGGAAGGAAUCCAGCACAGCCAAGUCAUGGACUCCAACUUCGUUCAUUUCGCCGAGGUUUUUGAGCCCCAUUGGGACACCCAUGAAGAGGUUUUUGACUAAUAUGAAGGGGUAUUUGGAGGAGGUGGGGCAUUUGACGAAGCUGAAACUUCAAGAUGCUUGGCUUCCCAUUACAGAAUCACGAAAUGGGAAUGCCAAUUAUGCAGCUUUUCAUAAUCUGAAUGCUGGUGUGGUUCCAGGGAGAACGUUGGUGGGAAAUGCAGCUUUUAUUUUUUAUUUUUUUUAAAUAUCAAAUUGGUAUGAACGUUGGUGGAAAUAUCAGCUAGACGUGAAGAAGAGAAUAACUUACACCAUUCGGACACUGGGAGAAACACGUGUCAAAAAAAAAAAAAAAAAACUAAAUUUUAUGUGACAUACCCAUACUUCUUAUAUUCAUAUGUCGAGUAAAGUAUACAUCUUUCCAUCUUAUAGUCCCUUUCAAACACAUUGCAUGAAGGAAAUUGAAUAAAUUUACUAUGGUACGUAAGUUCGGAGAAUUUUUAGCUUUCAAUAAUCCCUACUUUACUUGGUCCUCAUCCAAAUACAAAAGGUGUCAAACUUGGGUUUUCCAAGUUUCCCUCAUCAUCUUAUUGCCAACUUUUCAUCAACAUUGGAAUAUUAUUUUCAUGUGUUAGGAGAACACAAAUUUAAAUAAACGCACUCCGUAACUGAAUUAGACUUGCAUUGUACAUAAUGACAGAAUUAUGAUAUAUUUAACAUCGCGCACCCAGACACACACAUGAACUGCCGGUAAGUAUUAUAAAGCAUGCAAUAGUACGAUCAUUUAGCUUAGACAAAAGAAAAUUGUAUUAUAAUUAAGGAGGGUAUCAUGACGAAAUUAAGUUCAAUUUGAUUCAAAUUCUUUAAAACUCAGUUUUAAACAUAUUCUCUCGAUAAAAUAAUUUUGUAUGUAAACUCAUAAAUUUUAAUCUACUUUUUAAUUACACACUCUUCAAAAAUAUCAUUUUUGAAAAAUUUAUUCUCAAAAAAUCUAAACUUGAAGAAUGUUUAAUUUAAAAUAAAGAAGUAAUUGUACUUGAUCCCCAUCCUAUUCUUUGUGAAGUAAGUUGGUACUCAUUCUUUGAGAACGAGACGUUGUCCUCGUCCUUCCACUCAAAUUGCCCAUAAUAAUAAUAAUAAUAAUAAUAAUAAUAAUAAUAAUAAUAAUAAUAAUAAACUUGUCAUCUUUGUUUCUGCAACUUCCAUAGAUUUGAUUUGUCAAUAUAUAGAAUCAUUUGUCAUCUUAAUGCUUUCUAUAAUUGCUUCUACUUUUUUUUUUUUUUUUGGGUUACUACGAUUUGACAAUAUAAUGACUAAAAUUUAAUUUAUUGAUCAUUUCUAUUCCAACUUAACAUACUUUAAAAGUAUAAUUACUAUAUGCGUUGUUCAGAAUAUAGUAGAAAUUCUUGUGUACUUCACGAGUUUCCUAGUAUAGUUAGACCUUUUUGUAUAUACUCAUGUUUAAAAAAAGGUUGAACCCCAACCUUAAGGGCCCCCACCAACCCUGCCCUGGGCCAUCGUGGAGGAGAUAAAUCGCAGGAUGUGCCUCCCAGGAGCCAGGGUGGAGAGCACAUGGAUAGGCCAAGGCUGUUAACCCAUAUGAUAACUCCCGCUUGCAACAAAGCCAAUUCCACCUUGCGGGGAAUCGAACUCUGCACACUGCCGCUCUAAGUCCUAUUCGCCCUCCCCUUUGCCACUGGGAGAUAUGCCCUGGGGGCGUAUAUACUCAUAUUUAAUUAUAUGUUUGGCAAACAAUAUUAGAUAAUAUAAAAUAAUUUGAAAUGUAAGAUAAAAAAAAACUAAAAUUUUAAUCUUUAACAAUUUCCUUCAUUACCUAGAUAACUUAUUGACAGCUGAAAAUUGAAAUUCCAAACUCUAGUUGCAUGUACCAUACACCAUGUCAUAUAAACAUAAAUAGCACAGUGAAUAAAAUUUUAUCUUUCUUCUUCAAUAAUGUUGUCCAUUUCACCGAACAAGUCCGAAGACAUUUUCCAGGAUCAUAAUAUCUUUGUCUUUGGAGCAUAUUUUAUGGAUCUCUAUUUCCUGUCUGAACUCUUUUCAUCUUUUAAAAUCAAGAAUUAUUUUUUUUUUUUUUUUUGAGGGUUUUUAAUUUGUUUCUGCAACUUCCAUGAAUUUCAUAGGUCCUUGUACUGUUGUACAUAAUAGUAUAAAUUAAUACCAUUUAUUAUCUUCUGGGAGUAAGUUAUGCUCGAAUAUAUACUGUGCAUAUUUAAUUUGACUGACUACCAUAAUGAACAAUUUCGUUUUUCCCAUUUCUUAUCCUACAGAACGCUAAAAAGGUUCAAUAUAUGCAUGUUUCGGUAUAUUAAUAAAUGAUCAGAUAAUUACUAUUUGACUAAGCAUAGAUGUUCAUUUAUAGGUUUCCUGUUAUCACAAUUCGUUACCUAUUAUCACCUUAUAGUCUUCACUAAAACUUGAUCAUUUUUCUUUUGCAUAUAGUUGUAAAUCUUGAAAUUCGUGAAUUUGUUCAUUUAUAGGUUUCCUGUCCAUCGUCGUUACACUAAGAAUUACUACGACAAAAGACGUAACUAAGAUACAUAAAUUUGUUAAUAUAUAUACACGCCCAAAAAGUUUAAAAUGUUAAAGAGUUGCCAUAUUUAUUUAUUAUUAGUGCCUUAAUGUUUAAGAAAAAUGAAUUGGACAGAGUUGAAGUAUCAAUUUUCUUGUACAUUGACAUCGUAGUUUGGCCAUACGUUCGCAAGCCUCUAGACGAUUUUGGUUAUUCAAGUACCGGCGAACUCUCUUGGUCUAACUUCAAGCCAUACUGAGAUUGAGGCUUGACAAAGUUGAGGAAUCGAUCAAUAAAAUCAUGGUUGGGCUUCGUUGUCAACUCAAGAUCGGUGUAAUUAGGUUGACGAUUCGACCAGUAGACUCAUGGCUAGACGCAGUUGUCAACUCAACAUUCAUAUUCGGUGCAGUGUGGCCGGUGCCGUUAGCCUUUGGUGGUUCAUUUGUCACUUGUAAAGAUUUCAAAAUUUCUCUUUCAAGGUGAAACAUCUUUCUGAGUGUACAACCAAAUCCAGAAACGAGCACAACCCACUUUUUACAAGUUUAUCUUCACAGCAAUAAUACACACAAUCUCCCUUUUAAAUUACAGACAGUGGAAAUCCCUACAUGUUGUGUUGAAUAUAUUGUCAAUUUUCUCAUGUAGUGGAGACCUUAUCAAACAUAUCAUGACAAGCUACAUUUCACCACAAGUUCUCAUAAAAAUAUCCUGGUGACAUAAAUACAGUGUUUUAGAUAACUUCACACAAUUUUAAAUUUAUGGCUAAAUUUUAUUGCAAUUCCAUUUGAAUUUUAGAUUUCUAUCUUAAGAGAUUAAUUUUAUCAAAAGGAGUAAAAGAUCUUAUCUAGUUAUUAUUGAUAUUUUUAAGCUUUGAAACGUUACUCUUAUAUACCAUGACUUUCAAACUAUGAUAUUUGUUUCACAAAACUGAUCUUACAAUGAGAUAAUUACUCAUUUAGCCAUUGUUUGAACUCCAUUCUUUUAAAAAUUCAUAUUUCAAAAUUCAUUUUCAACUACAUAUUCUUCAAUAUAAUAAUAAUACGCGCAAAUCCAAUAAUUUUCCUUAAUUUGUUUGACAAAACUGAUCUUACAAUGAGAUAAAUACUCAUUUGGCCAUUGUUUGAGCUCCAUCUUCUAAAAAUUUAUUUUCAACCACAUAUUCUUCAAUAAAAUAAUAAUACACACAAAUCCAAAACUUUUCCUUAAUUUUUAACAAGACAUUCCCAUCAAUUUACUAUUUAAAAUAGAUUAUUUUCCCUAAAAUGGGCUCAAACAAGGGCUUAAGCUUUAAAAAAAUUGAAUUGUUUGUUUAAACCUCUUUUUUCUUUGAACUCCAGUAUAUCGAGUUUAGAACUUCAUAUUAAGCCCUUGUUUGAGCCUCAUUCUUUAAAAAAAUGUAUUUUUCAACAGUGUUUUGAUAUCAUUUUAACCACACGUUCUUCAAUAAAAUAAUAUUAUACUAAAUCAAAAAAAUUUUGUUUUUUUUUUUUAACCUCACCUUUCCUAUCAAUACACUAUUCAAAAAUUCAUUUUUCCCUCAAAAUGGAGCUCAAACAAGGGCUAAAUUGUCAAUUUUAUUAAAAAGAGUUACUAAAAUUCUCAUAUACUAUUACACCAAAUUUUGUAACUAUAUCCUUUUUUUUAUAUAUAAAUUAAAGUUAUUUAAAUAGUGAUAUCGUUGUGCUGUCCUUGUAAUGACCAUAGUAAUGACGUUAAGACCAUCGUUAUUAAUACAAAAUAAGAAUCCUUUAUCUUAAAACAUUAGCCCUAUUUAUAAUAAAAAGUUUAACUAUAGAAUUUUCAUUUUCCCUUAUUAUUUUUAUGGUUUCACAUAGAUAAUAUGUGUAAAUUAAAUACUCUUUGCUCUCAUAUCUGAGACAUUUUCAUGAUAUUUUAACUUGCACAUUGUCGUCAUUUUUAUACACAUUUGUUUACACAUCUCUAUGUGUCUAAAAUCUCUUCAUUGAUUAAAAAAAAUAUCGUUAAAAUUAAUGCACCAAAAUCUGUCAAGUCACAUGAGUGUAAAUCAAGAUGUCAACUUUGAUAUACUUACGAUAUGAUUGUAAGAAUAAACUCAAGUUGACAAAAAUAUUAAACGUGUUGAGUUCGUAUGCAGUCCGACUCAAUUGAUGAUUGCUACUACUUGGACAAAACAACACGGCAAAUAUACCAUGAUUACUCAUAGUAUUCAUGUAUACACCAUUCCUUACAUUGAUUGGGAGACAUUUCUAAAUUAGGGCAAGCAUAAUUUAAAUAUUAGGAUGCGUUUCCAAAUUAGGACAAGCAUAAUUUAAAUAUUGGACAUUCAUAUAAUAUUAAAAAUUUUAAGAAUGUGAAAAAGGUGGGGAUUGAAAAAGUAAAAUUACAUGGACAAGUACCCAAUUUCACUCUCUUUUUAUCAACUCUCUCCUUUUUUUUUCAAUUUUAAUUUUUAAAUAUCAAAUUGGUAUGAACAUUGGUGGAAAUAUUAGUUAGACGUGUAGAAGAGAAUAACUUAUCAAAUCGGUAGGAACGUUGGUGGAAAUAUCAGCUAGACGUGCAGGAGAGAAUAACUUACCCCAUUCGGAGACAGGGAGAAACACGUGUCAAGAAAAAAAUAAAAAAAAACUAAAUUUUAUGUGAGCUAGCCAUACUUCUCAUGAUCAUUUGUCGAGAAAGGUAUACAUCUUUCCAUCUUAUAGUCCCUUUCAAACUCAUUGUAUGAAGGAAAUUGAGUAAAUUUCCUAUGGUACGUAAGUUCGGAGAAUUUUUAGCUUUCAAUAAUCCCUACUUUACUUGGUCCUCAUCCAAAUACAAAAGGUGACAAACUUGGGUUUUUCCAAGUUCCCCUCAUCAUUAUCUUACGGCCAACUUUUCAUCACCAUAUAUAUAUAUAUAUAUAUAUAUAUAUAUAUAUAUAUAUAUAUAUAAAGUAGUAUGAUCAUUUAGCUUAGACAAAAGAAAUUUGUAUUAUAAUUAAGGAGGGUAUCAUAACGAAAUUAAGUUCGAUUUGGUACAAAUUCUUUAAAAUUCAUUUUUAACCAUAUUCUCUCUAUAAAAUAAUUUUGUAUGUAAAUUCAUAAUUUUUUUCUACCUUUUAAUCACACAUUCUUCAAAAAUAUCAUUUUCGAAAAAUUUAUUCUCAAAAAAUCUAAAUUUGAAGAAUGUUUAAUUUAAAAUAAAGAAGUAAUUGUACUUCAUCCCCAACCUAUUCUUUGUUAAGCAUAAUAUAUAUAUAUAUUAUUAAACUAGCCUAUCAAGAAUAAUUUGGCUCCUUCCAAACUGGAGGGAUAAAACAACAAUAAUGUGUUUCUCGUAAAAGGAGUGCUACUUGGGCAGGAAGUUGUCCAAGAAGAAAAAUUCUUCUCGUAUAUGAAGUUACUGGAAAUGGACCACUGGGAAAACGACAAGUGUCAUCCAGCUGGCUCAGAUUGCGAAAACAAUCGUUUAUAUUCAAAAUGGCAUAAUAAUAAUUGAAAAUGGGUCCAUGAUUAUGAGCAUGAAGUUUUACAAACUAAAUGAAGGGUCUUCAAUAAAGGUUUUACAAACUUAAAAACUAUUAGGAAUAUAUUUCAAUAGCUUGUGAAAUUACAAUAAGUUUCCCUAAGAAAAAGGUAAUCUGUAUAAUAUGUAAUAAAUUUUAAAUUAUACAGAAAUUGUCUUUUUAACUUUUUCUGUAUCCACCUUUCUGAUUCUAUAUAAACGGGCAGACCUCCAUUUCUCAGCGACUCAAUUAUCAACACAGAAUACGAAGGCAUUGAGAGAGAGAGAGAGAGAGAGAGAGGAUGGAGAAGAUUAUUGCAUUCUUUGUGCCUGUUUUUACCUUUCCGUUUACUGUAUUUUUAUAUGUAAUUUCACUGAAAAUGAAAAGAAAACAUUCAGAGAGGAAAACUAAGCUCCCUCCAGGCUCCAUGGGGUCGCCUUAUAUUGGAGAAACUCUUCAGCUCUACUCCCAAGAUCCAAAUAUCUUUUUUUCUGACAAAGUAAAAAGGUUUCUUGCUUUCAUUCUCAAUUACUUACCGUCCAAUUCUGUCUAAUACUAAAUACCUGACAUUCCCUGAUAGAAUUUUUCUAACAAUAAUUCUAAACGGGGCAGGCACCCUGCUGGCUGCCAAUAGGGGGACACUUGUCCCCCCGGACAAACAGGGCCCUGUUUGCCAAGCAAAUCUCUUUUUCUAAACUGUAUGUUCUUAUGCAGGUAUGGAGAAAUCUUCAAGACUCAUGUACUUGGUUGCCCUUGUAUAAUGUUGGCCAGCCCAGAAGCAGCCCGAAUCGUGCUAGUCACUCAGGCACAUUUGUUCAAGCCGACGUAUCCAAAGAGCAAGGAAAACUUCAUCGGCCAGUCUGCGCUGUUUUUUCACCAGGGAGAGUACCAUAUGCGGCUUAGGAAGCUCGUCCUUGGCGCGUUAUACCCGGACGCAAUCCAAAACCUAGUGGCAGAUAUUGAAGCCAUAGCAGUGUCUGCAAUGGAUUCGUGGGCCGGUGGCCGUGUCAUCAACAUUUUCCAUGAGAUGAAAAAUGUUCGUCUCUUUGAAUUCAUGCUAACACCCAUUUAAAAAAAUUGUGCACCUAUCACUUCUUUAAUGAAAAAUGUCGUUGGCAUGCACACGGGAAGCGUUGAAAACCUAGAUUUAAAUGAACAAAUCUGUCUCUUUUAAGAUUUUACAUGAGAAAGCUAAUUUGUCAUUUACCAUUGAUUACCUGCAGUUCUCAUUUGAAGUAGGUAUACUCUCCAUUUUUGGUCAUUUGGAGUCCCAUUAUAAAGAAGAAUUAAAGAAGAACUAUAGCAUACUCGAUAGAGGGUACAAUUCUUUUCCAACAAACUUGCCUGGAACUCCAUACCAAAAGGCAAGGAAGGUAAAAUAGCGAUAAUUAUACUUUGUUACAUGGCACUAUAAACGAGAUUUAACUUCUUCAUUUUUUAUUUUUAUUUUUGUGUCUACCGGCUUAAUACACACGGGUUGAAAAUGGACUCUUAUUUUGACUAAUCAUAUUUACCAUUUUAAUGUAUGAAGGCAAGGAAGAGGUUGGGUGAAAUAUUAAGUAACAUUAUGAGAGAAAGAAAGGAAAAGAGGUUUACGGAGAAGGACCUGUUGAGUUGUCUGCUAGUUUCGAAAGAUGAGAAUGGUGUAACUCUAAAUGAGGAUCAGAUUGCUGACAACAUCAUCGGAGUACUUUUCGCAGCACAAGACACGACUGCGAGUGCCAUGACAUGGAUUCUCAAGUACCUUCAUGACUACCCAAAAAUUCUCGAGGCCGUCAAGGUAAAAUCUAGAAGGCAUUUUGCAGUUGUUCUGGAAGACUGGAUUAAUACAAGGUUCUCUAAGAAAAACGUAGCUCUAUUUUCUAUUUGUGGGGUCAAAUCAAUACAUUCUAAGAUUCUCGUGUCUCUAGAUCAUUCUCAUUUCUUGACCUUAUUCUUAAAUUUGCUUUGUAAACGUCGUAGAUAAUAUGUUUCUGAUUUGCAUGCAGGCUGAACAGAAGGCAAUAUACAAAUCAAAUCGAAAUGAAAAUAGUCAUUUAACAUGGAAUCAAACAAGAAAUAUGCCAUUUACUUACAAGGUAUUUGACUACCAUAAAUAAUAUAUUUGGUAUAUUUCGUUUAAAUUAGGUCGGUAAUGUUAACACCAAAUUCAUUUUUUUUUACAAAAUCAUUUACAAGUAGUAUCAUUCACUUUCAUUCUCUACGUCUAACUUGCUUCCAUCAUCCUCACGUAAUAUUUUGACCUGUACUCUUUUUAGGUGAUUUUAGAGAGUUUAAGAAUGGCAAGCAUUAUAUCAUUCACAUUUCGAGAGGCAGUGACAGAUGUGGAAUAUAAAGGUAAGCUUUCUUGUAAGGGAAAUGUACCCUUUUCGAGGGUGUCCUAAGCCUGGUAAUAUUACCAAAUAAUCCACUAAAUUUUGCUAUUUAUACGCUGGCGUUCACACGCCCCUCACAUGAGGUAGGGGCCCAUGCCCAAUAAAAGAAGCGUGAGCCCCCCUUGUGUGAGUGACGUGUACAUCGGCGUGCCCAUGGACAGGUUGCACAAUUGUAAUCCACUUUUUUGAAAUAAAUGUUUUUGGGUCACUGAAACUUUGGUAUGAUUUUGGUGCCAGGGCACCUAAUUCCGAAGGGAUGGAAGGUCAUGCCUUUAUUCAGGAAUAUUCACCACAAUCCUGAUUUCUUUGUUGAUCCUCAGAAGUUUUUUCCUUCCAGAUUUGAGGUACGAGUUAAUAUUAUUCUUUUAAUGGUUGACAUUAAGUGCAUAUUUAGCCCCUAUCUUACAAUCAUUAUCCUAAUUUUCUUUUUCUACGUGCUGAUUUUAACCACACAUUCACACAAUAAAAUAUUCUGCACGUAAAUUCAAAAUUUUUUCAUACUUUUUAACCACAUAUCUUCUAAAAAUUCACUAUUCAAAAGUUUAGUUUUGCCAAAUAAUGGCCGUCAAGUAGGGCCUUAGUGCUUGUUUGAUACUUUUCAACUUAUCAAACUUUUUGCUACAAAUUGGAUCCACAACUUUUUAUCAAUUUUUUUCAUCAAAAGUUUUGUUAAACAAUCCCAUGGUACUUAGAACUAAAUCUAACAAUAGUUUCUUAGGGCAUAUGAAAAUAGAUUAAAUAUUAAUGCCAACCAAUUAAACUUCAUUUUCACCAAAUAUUGACCUAAAUAAAAAAUUGAGUUCGACUAAAAAUUUAAUGACCACCAUGACUUUUAAUCCGAUGAAAGUAUGGUACGACAAAUCUUUUUUUCCUCAAAAUAUAAAGAUUAAAGAGACUUAUUAAGGAGAAAAAAAUUGUAGGAUGAAGCAACGAAUAUUAAUUUAUGGUUUCUUGUAGGAUGUGUUGAAACCCAAUACGUUUAUGCCAUUUAGCAGUGGAGUACAUGCCUGCCCCGGUAACGAACUUGCGAAGCUAGAGAUGCUCGUUAUGAUCCACCAUCUAAGUUCUCAGUUCAGGUACUUUAUCAAACUACAACAAGUAUUUUUGGAAAUGCGUUUUUUAGAUAAAUUAAAUCAUAAAUAACCAAUUCUAGUUUAUACUACUCGGUUCCUCGUAUGUUCAGUUGAAUUCACCAAACAUGUCAUAUAUGUAUUUUUUACUCCAUAUAUCACAAGUUUUGAUUAAAAUAAUAUUAUCUUUUUCUUUCCCCCUCAAUUCUGUCUUAUACUAUUAAGUUUAUCUUACUAACUACGAGACGACGUUGGUGAGUGGUCUGUGAUAUUAGGUAUUAUUUGACAAUUGUGUUUGCAGGUAUGAAGUGGUGGGAUGCCAAAGUGGGAUUGAACAUGCGCCAUUCCCCAUCCCUUUCCAUGGACUCCCUGCCAGAUUUUGGAAACAAGAACCAACCAAUUAAGUAGGACAUACCAAGACAAUUGUUUCUUAACCAAUUUUCACUUUUCCUCUCUGUUCCCAUAAUCCAAUUUCCUCUCCAAACUAAUAUGGGGAUGGCUUUUUUUCCUCAAAAUGAAUUAAUAUAGGUUCAUAAUCAAUGAACUAAUAAUCAAUGAAGAAUUGUAUUCAUAUAUCUCAUCGGUUAAAUAUAGAAAAAUACGUACUAUUUUUAUUGUAGGGUUGGUAUUGAAAUUGACUUGAUUCAAUUGAAUUAUCUUGUUUCUUGGCUUUGUUGACUUGAAAAAUCAUUUUAUUUUCUUGACUGUUAUUGAAAAUCAAUUAUUACUUUUUCUCGAGAAAUUUGCUUGAAAGAGAUCAUAUGUAGCGAGAAAAUGGAAAAUAGUCACUUUUUAUUUUCAUUAAAAUCAUGGGUAGAAGUUAAGGCUUCGAUUGUAAGUGAGCAGUCUUUGAGAGGCACAGUCUGAAAUUAAUUAAAUAAAAAAAGAAGAGAGAAAGAGAAAAAGGAAAAGGAUUACGUCAACAAUUUUUAUUAAUUCCAUUCUUUCAUUUCAAUUCCAACAUCUCUGCCCUUAUGUUUUUGUUUAUGAUAUUUGUGAUGCCACUGGUAGUUUACUUAAUGAAAUGUUGAACUAUUGCAAUGUUUAAAAUUGUUUAUCAUUUUUUUUUUUAUAAACUAGUCGAGUACAAUUCAAUCAUUUGGUCAAAAUGAUCGAUUUAAGUUCCUAGUUGGUUCUAUAUUGGAGGAAUCGAGUUUGGGAACUUCUAAUUUAUGUAGAAUUAAAUUAUCACGCAAUUUGCAUCCGCUUUUCACAAAUUUUCCCUCGAGUAAUGCAAUUCAACAUUACUGAUAGCAAGCACUAAUUUAAGAGGCAACUUCAUAACAUUAAAUAAUUGAUUCAAAUAAAUGUAAUGUCAUAUGAUUCAUAUAAUUAAAUCUAUUAAAUGUGACCAUCUAAAUUGGUAUUUCAGCAUAGUUGGUGCUUGAUAACAUUAUUCGAUGUGAAAUGUGAUGUUGGGUGAUAUUUGUUGAUACCACGUUUUUGAAUGUUUCAUAAAGUUCUAGUUGUGAUGAGAGGCCAUAGCCAGAUGGUAAGUAUAUGAUUGGUCAAGUGAAGGUGGGUUUGGUCCAUAAGAGCAAUCUCUAAAAGAAUACUACUGCUUUUGUCGACUACAUUUGACGCUACAUUUCACAAUACGUAGUGAAUUAUUUCAUUUCAUAACAUAUUUUAGUGGAAUUGUAUUUUUUUAUGAAUGAGAGCUCUCUUAAUGAAUAAUGAUAUAUGACGGGUAUAUUUAAAUCAGUCUAAAUAACAAUGUAUGAUAUUUAAAAAUAAGCUCAAUAUAUGACAAUAUUAAAAAUGAGAAUGAAAAAUAUAGUCGUUAUGAGUCUCACACAAGAGAUAGAAAGUCAAAUAUAAUGGCUUGAUGUGAUGGAUAACGGUCAUAUUUUUCAUUUUAAUAAGCAAAUAAUGAGAAACAAACGGGGCUUAUUAUUGAACUUAUCAUGCAUGGCUACAGAAAUUAAUUUUAAAACAUCAACUAGAAUAUAUAGCAUUACCUUUCUUAAAAUAUUAUUUAACUAUGUAAGUCAUCGUUACUAUAAUUUUUUUUUUUUUUUUCAAUUAGUGCUAUGUUGACAUAUUUUAAUGUAUCAUAUUAUCGAAAAAUUAGCUUAAAUGGUCUUAAGCCUAUGCUCAUCUUGCAUUUCUUGGUCCCAAAACUUUAAACCUUGACAAUCAAGUCACAAACCUAUGCUUUUUGGCAUAGUUAAUCCUUUUAGAAGGUUUCCGUUUAAAAUGGCAGUUAAUUUUGUGUGUAGAUUGUAAUUUUCUUAUUUUAUUUUUAUCUGAAGGGGCAUAUUUUUCCAAUCAAUAACAACUUAAGUAAAAAAAUGAAAUUUAAAAAGAAAAAAAUUUUAAAGAAAAAAAUAUAAUAAUAUUCUUCUUCCACCCACCCUAUAUUUCGUACGUACAUAGACAUAGGAACAGGAAGUAUGACGAGCAGAGUAAUGAUUCGCCUGUACAAGCCACAUGAAAAAUGUCAUUUCAAUAAUAAUAAAAAUGUUGACAUGCCACGAGUAGCUCAAAUUCUCCCACUUAAUUAAUUAUAUGUAGGUCAAAGAUCUAUAUAAUUUGAUCACAAAUUAACAAUUUAAUUAGUCACUUAUUAUUUUUUUAUCACAAAUUAAAAAUUUUAUGUAAUUAAUUAUUUUACGAUCAUAAUUCAAAAAAUUUAUAAGUCACAAAUUAAAAAAUGUAUAAGUCACGAUUUAUUUAUUGAUCACAAAUCACAAAUAUUAGAAGUCACAACUAUUAUACAGUCACAAAUUAUCAAAUUAUCGGUCACCAAUUAACAAAUUUUUAAGUUACAUUAUUUUUUGGUCACAAUUUAUAUUUUUUAUUGGUCACAUUGUUUAUUGGUCACAAUUUAGCCAAUUUAAUGGUCACAAUCAACAAAAUUUGUGACCACCACUAACACUUGUGAUCACCAUCUCACCACUUCUUUGAGCACUACCACCACUACCAUCGUCCACAAAACCACCACCUCCACCUCAAACAAAUCAACCGAUCGUAGAAAAUACAACCGCAUCGUCGACACCAUAUCCACCACCAAGAAAAAAAUUAUUACAUUAAUCGCCACCGUCACGACCAUAGACCGGACCCAAAUUUCCUAAAUCUCCUGUCAUCCACCACCACCUGCACUACCUAGAUUGUGACUACUAUCACCAAUGCUAAGUUGUGACUACCAAAAACUAUCGCUACUUUACCACCACUUCACCACCACUGUGACAGUACUACAAAAUAAAUCCAAAAUCAGAGCCGUAAUGGAGGUGAAAACCACUGCCACAACCACCACCAAAGCCAACAUCACAAUCGCCACAUCCAUAGUAUCAUAGUAGCAUCACCGCCACCGCCACCCAAAGCAUCACAAUUUUCAUUUACCUCUACACUUACAUAUUGUAUAUAGGAGUACCAAAUAGUACACCAUAAAAUACAUGUCUUUAAAAUAGUUAUGAUUAAUUGUCAUAAUUGUAAUAUACAAAUUCUUAUAUUUAUAUUUGAAUAUGAGAUUUACAAAUACUAUCAAGAUAGAUACAAUUAUAUAUUAUAUACGGGAGUACCAAAUAGUACAAAAACUAAGAUAAGAUUAAAAAUGAUUGAAUCUUUACAAAGAUAUGAAUACGGUGUUAAAAAUUUUAUUUUACACUAUAUUAUUUGUCAUCAUUAAUUAUGAAAGUUGGAAAUCAUAAUAAUGAAAACAUAGAUAAUAAUGAUGAGAUCUGUGAACAAAUUGAAUCACAAGGAAAUUUCUCAAGAGAAAUUUUAAUAUUUGACAAAAAAUUGGCUAAAAUAUGUAAGACAAAACUUACAAUAGAACCUAAAGAAAUCUUUUCUCAAUCAGGUUUCUUAGAAAAAUUUAUGAACAGAAAUAUACAUGUAUAUUAUAGUGUAUCUCAGCAGGAUUUUGGAUUCUUUCAUCAAUCAAACUCAUUGAAAUGGGUUGAUCAAUUUAUUUGAAUAAAACUUUAUGUUUUAACCAUGCCUUCAUACACUUUUAUUUCUAUAUACAAACUCAUGUACGGAUCUUUAAAGAAUCAAUGGGACUAAGAAGUACCUCCAGACAGGAGGCCAUUAGGGAAGAAGCCACACCCACAGUAUCAUAGUAGCAUCACCGCCACCACCACACCCAAAGCAUCACAGUUUUCAUUUACCUCUACACCAUAACCACACCGUUUUCCCUCUCUAUGGUAGCGUAAAAUGCAGAGGAAAUUUUAUAUUGCUGUGAAUUAAGAUGCCUACUUUUACAGUUAUUGCCUUGGAGAAUUUGUUGGAUCCUCGAGUCCGAGAUUCCUGCAAAAGCCCCCCAAGCCUAACCAGGGAGUGUCAAACAAUGAUGGCGAAGCAACUGAACGGAUAGAGGACUCGAGCACGAAUCUGAGAGUUGGUGGCUCCAGGAAUAUAUAUAUCGCUAACUCUAUACCUGACGCCGGGACCCACUAUGAUUUAGAGAAUUCUUCCUCGAAUUCGUCCUCGCCUUCGCCGUAUGUCAUCAAUUAAAAGAGAUCUAAACCCCGAAAAGGACGGAAAUGAUUUGAAUUUAGAGGACAGUUGGUGGGCGAUUUUGUAAAUGAAGGUGAGAUAUAGAGAGAGAAUGAAAAGGGAUGAAGACAACUAUGGAAGUGAAAUAUAGAGAAAGAAAAUGAAAGUGAUGAAUGAAGAUAAAUUUAGGGUUUGGUAGGAUGAAUAUGUAUAUUUAAUUUUGUAAUAUAAUUAUUAAUAUUUAAACUAUAGUAAUUAAUUAAUAAAAUAUUUGAUUUUUCAAAUAGUAAACUUUACCUAUGAUUCAUGAAAUGAGAUCUCUAAAUCUAUUAGAUUGUGUAAUUUCCACUAAAAUAUGGAAAAAUUAGGCCUUAUACAGCCCCAAUGCAAAGAAGUUGAAAAAUACUUCCUCCAAGUUGAAAAUUUGAAAUUUACGUCAUUCCAUAUAAUUUUCUUUGCGGGUCAAAGGGUAAAAUUAUUUGACAAGACCUUCUCUAUUUUUGGCGAUUAGGAUUCAAUUUUCAGCUUCACUUCGUAGUUCUGCGAUUUUGGGUGAACUAUGUUCAAUAAUUGUUUUCCCCCCUUAUAAAAUUGAAGUGUCAAUUUUAAGCUUCACUUCAUAACUCUGCAAUUUUGGGUGAAUUAUGUUCUAUAUAUAUAUAUAUAUAUAUUUGCCAUUAUAUAAUCAAAUAUAUGGUGUUGCAUUAAAGUGUCAAAUUCAAGUUUAAUAUUUAUGAUUAAUUAGCUAGCAAAUCAUCUGAAUAUAUGUUAAGUAGCAUGUCGGUUUCAUUGAAGUGUCGAAUAUAAAUGAAUUUACGUAGCAUGUUAAUUUCACACAUUUUUAGUGUUUGUCAUCUUUUUUGAGUCUAUGUCACUUUUUUAUAUAACUUUUUUGGAUCUAUGUAACUUUAAUUUAAUUUGUGUCCCUUUUUUUUAUUUAAAUUUCUGUCACUUUUUUGAAUUUUUUCAUUUUUUUUAGUAAUUAUCAUUUUCUUUCAAAUUUUGUCAUUUUUUUAGUGUUUGUCACUUUUUUCUAUCGUCUUGGAAAUUUAUAGCACUUUAUUUUUAGUAACAAACAUCACUUUUUAAUAAAAGUGACAUUGAUGUAAUUUUUUAAUCAAAAAGUUAUACUAAAAUUUUAAAAGUGACAUUGUGUCACUUUUUAAUUUUACACAGUAUUUUUUUAGUUCCAAAAAACGUUUCAUAUGAUUUUUCAAAACACACCUAAUUUUAAGGGUAUUUUUGUAAGUUGCCCAUAAAAUAUUGUCCAUCUCAAACCUUAAAUCCAUUUGCAAUUUCUUAUCUUCUUUCUAUAAGGAAUUUUUAAAUGAAUGUGUGAGCUUAAAUUAUUGUGUAUUAAAUUAAAAGCUAUCAAAUUCGAUUAAACCCAAUUAAAAUGAUCUAAUAAGUUCUGGUAUUUUGGGUUUUAAUGCAUCCAAUUAAAGUGUGAGUAUUUUAUGUAUAGAGACUGGACCCAAGUUCCUAAUUCUAUGAUGGGCUAAAUUAAGUCAAAUGGCGUCAAUAUAUAUAAAUACACUUAUGAUCUCCAGAUCACAUGUGCAUUGCUCAUUCUGUUGUGCCUCCCAUCACCAGAUAGAACUAAGGGCUACGUGUUGAUUUAGAAUACUAAACCGCAAGAUUCAACUAUUGCAUUAACCAUGUCUCAUCAAAUCAUGGAAUAUGACUGCGAAAUUUUGUCAUUGGGUUGCGCAUUGUGGAUAUUAUAGAAAGACUGAUCAAGUUUUUUGUGACAAUAAAUCAGCAGUGCUGUAUUCCAAUAACAGGAGCUCGAUGAAGUCGAAACACGGAGAGAUCAAGUUCCUGACUAUUAAAAAAAGAGUUUAGAAUGGACAAGUGUCAAUAGAGCAUAUCAGGACAAACUCCACGGUUGUAGAUUCACUUACUAAAUGAUUGAUACCCAAGGUCUCAUGCACAUUGCUUAUAUGGGUGUAAUUUGAAGCUUGUAUUUUUUGCUUUUUAUAUUGGACACAUGUUUGGAUAUAGUUUGUGGUUAAAGUUAUUUUCAGUUUUAAAAUUUUGGUUUACUAUCUCUGAACUUGCUUGAAAGGAUCUCACUAAGGUGUUAAGGUGGACCAAUUUAAAAUAGACGUGUUACAGAUCACUUUACAUGUAAUUUUCAUGCUACACAUCUAUGCUUGAUCUAUUUCAUUCAAUUAUAUCGAUAUGUGUAACCAUUGAUGAGUUUAGUUAUGAUGAAAGUUGCAAAAGCCGCUUUGAUCCUAUAUUAAUAUGAUUGAUGGAUAGGAUUGUUUAAAGAUGCAUUCAGUAAUGAUAGCAAAAUUCUGAGUACUGAUAAGAUUAUGUUUAAUGCACAAUUAUAAGAUGACACAUAGCCCAAAUAGGAGAUUGUAAGGAAUUUUUUUAAACAAUCUUGUGAGCUUAUAUUUGUAAAUUAUUGUGUAUUAAAUUAAAGGUUGUCAAAUUUGGUCAAACCUAGUUAAAUUAAUCUAAUAAAUUUUCAGUGUUUUAGGCUUUAAUGCAUCCAAUUAAAGUAUAGGUAUUUUAUGUGUAGAGAUCGAGCCCAGGUUUCUAAUUUUAUGAUGGGCUAAAUUAGGUCUAAGGGCGUCAAUAUAUAUAAAUACGGUUAUGUUACCUAAAUCACACGUGCAUUGGUCAUUCUGUUCUGCCUCCCAUCACCAGAGAGAAUUAAGGGCUGCAUUUUGAUUUGAAAAACUAAACCGUGAGAUUCAACUAUUGCAUUAACUAUGUCUGAUUCAGAAAUGCUUCUACUUUGAUUCUUAAAUUUCUCAAUGAUCCAACAUGAAAGAUCCGAUGAUUUUUUGGCAACAAUUUUUCCUACACUUUCUACUCUCUUCGUGAAUUUCGUUCUCAUCUAUCUUAAAUUUGGUUGUCUAUCUUCAACAACGUAGAUGUUUCCUAUAUUAUUACGAAUAAUUCUCCUCAAACAGGACCAUAAGCAAACUGCCAAUAGGGAGGACAUGUGUCCCUCUUGAAAAAAUAGGGCCAUGUGGCCCUAUUUAUAUAGCACGCCCCGUUAUGAAUAAUUCUAUAGGUUUAACAAUGUUACCUUUAAUAGUGUGCUAUUUAUUGGUCGAUAAUUUGUGGUUUUUAUUUGUCAAAUACAAGUAUUUCCAUUACUUUUUUGAUUUGGAAUAAAAUUGCAUUUUUUAUGUCAUAAAAGUAUUACAUAUCUUGCACUAUCUUUUUCGGUAGAAAUUUAUACAUAAAGGCCCUAAAUUUCGUUUGAUAAUUUUGUUAACAUUUUAAAGAUUUGGUAUAAUUUUUUUUUUUUUAAUCAGUGAAUGGAGCAUAUGACUUCUGAUUUAUUCUUAUAUUAACAUAAAACAAUGAUGGUAGUGUCCUUAAUUUGAAGAAACUUGCAAUUUUAUUUUACUCUUUGCACGAAUACCACUGUAAGACGAAUUUCGUGUCUUAAAAUACAAAAAACGUUACAAUUUUUUAUUUUUGAGAAAUACAAGUGAUGUUGACCUUCUUGUGAUUGCAUAAUUGUAGAAAUCCACAUAUUAAUGAUCUAAAUAUUUGAAAACGAGGAGUCACGUGCUUGAAUCCUGGUUUUCGAGAAUUUGUUGAAAAUUUAAUUUGUUGAUACUUGAUUUAAUCGGUACUUAAGUUACGGGGAUGAACUUGGACUUGAAUUUGAUUCGGUUUGAAGAAGACUUUGAUCUUCUUGAACUUGACGUGGACCUGUUCGAUUAGAAGAAAAUUUUGAUCUUCCUGGGAUUCACGAGAUUUAGGUUUGAGAGGAUUUCUUCUCUUUCUCCGACUUUGAAAUUUCUUCAACACUUCAUGAUUGUCUUCUCUGCUUUCACUUCUUGUUCCUUUCUUAUAGACAAUUGAUUCUAUUUAUAGGAGAAAAUUUGUGCUGAUUUUGGUAAUCACUCAAUUAUAUUCAAUUAAAAAUGAAUAAUUGAGCAAUUAUAAUUUUUAAUUAUUUGUUUAUUUAUUUAAAAGUGAUAUAGGCCUUUGAGUUUAUGGAUCUUAGUAGACUUUAAUAUAAUUGGGCUAAUGAUUUAAAUCGACUCAAUUCAUUUCCUUUAUUUUUUUUAAUUUUUAUGUCUAUAAAUGACCCCUCAAGAUUUAUUUAUUUGUUAUUAAAUUAAUAAAUCUUGAUUUUUGAUUUUGUUUUUCAAUUUUGGAUUUGGUUUUUACUCAAACUUCCCAUUAAUAAAUUAUUACAAACGAAAAAUUUGAGAAUAAUAUAUGAAUUUGAUAAAAAAAAAAAAAAUUAUCCUUCAAAUUUGAGACUAAGAAUUUUUUAUGUUAUUUGAUUAUUUAUUUUAUACAAUCUAAAAAAAUUGAAUUUGAACAGGCUUUUUGUGCUUUAUGGUAAAUUGGGUUUAAGUGAAGUCCGAUAUCUGCUUAUUUAUAUGAAUGAAUUAUGAGAUUUGAAAACAAGUCUGUUAAGCCCCUGUUUGAUUAACAUUAAAUUAAAUUACAUUACAUUCCAUUUUUCUCUCUCCUUUUUUCAACUAUACAAUCUUCUAUAAAAUAAUAUUACACGUAAAUCGAAAACUUUACCUUCUUUUUCAACCACUCAUUUUUCUAAAAAAUACUAUUCCUCCCAUUACCAUUUUCAGGUAAUGGGGGCCAAACAGGGUGUAAAUCUUGCAAACGAAGGUAAAUAAUUCUCUCUCUUUGUGUGUGUGUUUUUUAUUCAUAUUUUCUUUUCUUAGUUUCCGCCACCCAAGGAGACAAAGAAUUGGUUUCUUGGAAUUGGUGCAAUGGAAUUAGUAAAUUGCACCAAUUCCAAUUGUUUCCUCGGUUUUUGCCAAUGGCAUAAACCUUUAUGUAUUUAUUUGUUUGUUUCUUUGUUUCUUUCUCUCUUUUUUUCUCGUUAUUUUAUUUUAUUUUGGAUUUUCGUCGACGGCGGAAAACAAAACAAAGCAAAUUCUAUCUUAAACCAAUUUGGAAACAAAUUCCAAUGGAAUUGUUGGAACUUUCACCAAUUCCAAUUUGGAAUUAAUCGAUAGAAAUCUAACAAUUUUUUUUUAACUAAUAUUUCUUGGUUUUUAUGUUGGACCUCCUUUUUUUUGCCAAUCGUAGAUCUUUGGUUUUCACGGAAACCAAAGUGACCAAUUGGUUUCUACCGUGCAUUUAAUUAUUUUUUUUGACACAUGACACUUUUUUUUUUAUUAAUUUCUUCUUCCUUUCUCUUUCUUCUUGUUGACUAUUCUAGUGAGGUUGUUCUAACAAAAUUGAAACUAACAUUCUUUAUUUUUUUAUGUAGGUAUUCAAAUUUUUGGAGCAAAUCAAGGAUUUUGAGGUUUGAGAUUUUCUUUGUAUAGAGGUUAAAUUUUGUGCCACAAUUAUUUUGUAAGUUUAGAAAAUAUAUGCUUAUAGAAAGACUCAAAAUUGCAAGCAUUUUCGCGCACAUUGAGAACCAAAGACUGGUACUUUUCAGCAUCCAGUGUACUUUUUUUUAGACUAAUGACAUGUUCCUUCAACUGUCCAAGACACUUUAUGUUUGGGACCAAGGACUGACAUUUUUGACUGUCCAUGGCACUUUGUAUUAAAGAUCAUGGACUUGUUCCUUCGACCGUCCAAGACGCUUUAUGUUUGGGACCAAGUACUGGCUCCUUUGACUAUCCAAGACACUUUGAGUUAAGGACCCAUUACACGUUCCUUCGACCGUUCAAAGCACUUUGUAUUUGGGACCAAGGAUUGACUUCUUUAACUAUCCAAGGCACUUUAUGUUAAGGACCAAGGACUGGCUCCUUCGAUUGUCCAAGACACUUUGUGUACUGGUCAUUUACAUAUUUGGGAAACUCAUAAUUUUAGACGACAAUCGAAUUUAAAAGAUCUAUUCUCCCAUUUUUUACUAAUUUGUUUAGGCAUGGCUGGACCAAGUUCUAGCGAUAAAGUAUACUCUAACAUACAUGAAAUUGUUGAGCUUAAAAAUUAAGACAAAAGUUAGCUACGGUUCAAAGAUACUGAUGCGAAGUACCACGCCCAGACUGGCCUAUAAGGUGAACUUAAAUUUAGCGUCCAUAUGUCAACGAUAGGUCAUUCUCCUGACCCUCUGGGGCUAUUGACGGAGUUGUAUAUGUCUACUAUUAGUGAAUGUCAUGAUAGUUUGGAUACUGGCAAGUCCAAUCGCUUUAGCAAUCAUCUUCCCUUUCUGUGUCCUUCUCCUUAUCAUUCCUAGAGCAUGGAUAGAGCAUGGAGUGCAACCCAAAGACCGUAAUUUGUGAGAGGAUUGACAAUAAAAAAAUACGAUGGGGAAGGGCACUGACCAGUCGAUGAGAGAUUUUGUUUCUUCCAAAAUUUCGAGAGGGGUCUUUAUGGAUCCAAAAACUUCUGCUUAAGAGGAAUCUUUGCGAGUUAGCUUUCGCAGUCGAUUCUGCUACAAAAGAUUACCAUCGCUUAAACUCUAUCUAUAGUGUUCUGUGAGGUUGGUGUCUAGAGACCAACACCUUUUGUGACUGCCAAUGGUAAAAUUGGCAUUUCUAUUUGGGACAUCUGCAAGAUAAGUGGGCUUUCGAUCUUGACCGUACCUCUUUAAUGUUUUCAUAUUGAUAGCCAAUGUGAAUGAAUCUAAUUGGGUUACUUAUAAAAAUUGGAUUAAUUUUUGGUUUCAAGAGAAUGGUUGUGUCCAGAAUCCUCGACAACACAAAAAUUAUAAGAAUGCUAUAAAUUUAAAUCCAUUCAAGAGGUGUCAUCAAAGAGUAUCAAAGGAAAUACGAAGACCCACAGUGGUAGACAAGCCGAGAGAUAUUUCUUGUUCGGAUCUGCAUCAUUGGAGUAAUUUGUCAGUAUCUCUGUCUAUAGAAAAAGAAAAGAAAUUAGAGAUAACAUCUUAUCUCUCAUGUGGCUUUGUCGUUUUGUUCUUUCAUCUGGGGUCAAAUAUAUAAGAGUUGGGACUUUUAAAGCAUUUUCUAGGAUAAUAGGCGGGUAUACUUACAGUAUGGUUCUAUCCAUAUUAGCAAGGAUUUGUAGAGGACUUACACGAACAUCGAACCAUCAGACAAACCCAGACUUUCGCUCGAUUUCACAUUCAUUUCCUGGACAUUUUCUUUAAGCUUGGGCUACAAUUUAUUUUGUCAGAGGUGUUUAUGAUCAUGUGGAAAAGAGUUAUUCUAGUCCUACAAUCUGAAGAUAUGUUGACACUCUGAAUACUUUCUAGUCUUAGGAAAAAAAUGUUAUUGAUUGUUGGGACCUUAUUUGUGGAAUGAUGGACGCUAAUGACUUUUGCUAGAAUCCAUUACACUUAUCGUCUCAUCUUGAUGUACAUGUGGAUGACCAACUGAGGUCAGCAAAUACUUCAAAAUUCAUGAUGAGUAUUCAUUUUGAAUUUGUUUCUUAUCGCCGAGGAAAUUCACCUUUCAUUCUUAAGGCGUAUAAUCCUCACAGGUUUGCGAGACAACUUGACUUUAGACAGAAACUUCCCUGUUCACCAAGAAAGUUGGACACUGUCCCUAAUGUAGGCAAAUGUAUAGCGUUUGGUUGUCAUUGACUUGAACGAAAACUGGGUGUGUAUUUCACAUUCCAUAGUAUGUGAGGGAUACUCAUCAAAAUGUUGAUGUUGAGUACGAGGCUUGGUGGAAUAGCCAAGUAUUGCCAAUGUUGACUGGGGUCCAAGUACAGGUUUUAUUUUCUAGCGAGAGCUGUGACUUCGUUCUUGGCCUAACUCCGAACAAGGUCAUAGCUAGAGGGUUAAACCCUCCAAAUGUUGUUCCUGAAGAGACUUCUUGAAAGAGGAAACCAAACCAUCAAAAUGAAAGAGGUAUUAAGAGAAUUAAAAUUAUAGUUUCCUCAGCAAAGAUUGUUGUCACCUCUAAGCGUACUGAUAAGGUGCCAGAAGCGAUUUUGAUUCCAGAUCACAGUGGUCCUAAGGUACCGAGAAAAACUUUAACCCUAGAAGAUGAAAGUUCUAGAUUUAACUUUAAAAAAUUUUCAUUGAUAGGCUCGAUUUGUAGUACAUCUUUGUCGACGAUUUUGUAAGCUUCAUUAUUGAAUGUAUGAGUAACAAGAAACAGACCAUCCUAUAUAGGCUGAAACUUGCUUCCUAUUUUUCUUGUAAUUAUGAUAAGCUUGCGUACGGAAAGUACCAGAUCUCCAACUUGAAAUGAUCUUAGUCACACUUUUUUGUUGAAAAAUUUUACCAUUCGAGUUUGAUAGCACUCUAAGAGCAUUUCCACUUCUAAGCAAUUUUCAUCCAAAACUUCUAACUCUUCCAAUUGAAGGCGGGUAUUUUCUAUUGUUGUCAAACCUUCUUGGAUGGAAAUUAGAAGUGACAGGCUUUAACACUUCAAAUUAUGUAUAACUUCCACUCCAUACACUACAGCGUAAGGGGUGGCUUGUGUUGGAGUCCAACAAGUAGUUUGAUAAGCCCAUAAGACUUCACCAAUUCUCACAUGCCAAUCUCUUUUUGAUUUGGAGACAACCGUUUUUAGUAGACUACAUAAUAUUUUGUUAAACGCCUCUGCCAAUCCAUUAGCUGCUGCAUUGUAUGUGGAUAAGUUGUAUUGUUUAAACCCAAACUUUGCACAUAAAUUGUUUAUGUGGCUAUUGCAGAAUGGCUUGCCAUUAUUAGUUAUAAUGUUUCAUGGGAUCCCAUAUCGAUAAAUGAUCUGGAUACAGAUAUCUGCAACAUUUUCUUUCUUUACUUCCUUCAAUGUUAAGACUUCAGCCCACUCCAAGAAGUAGUCAGUCCCUGUGAGAACGUAUACAUGCUUGAUUGAAGACUUUGGAGUUAUAGGUCUAAUUACAUCAAGACCCAUGCAUCAAACAAUCAUGAAGCUUCUAUUGGAUGUAAAGGUUCCAGAAGUUGAUGGAUGAAAUUCUCAUGGACUUGGCAAGUUUUACAUUUUUUUGACAUAAUCCAUGGAGUCUUGUACCAUAGUUCGCCAGUAAUACCCUAUCCUCUUUAUUAGGAAAUGGAGUUUAGGACCAGAGUGAUAAGCACCACAAAUUCCCGAGUAGGCUUCUUACGACAUGUGUUGCUUCAUCAUUACUUAAGCAUCGAAUGAAAACUCCAUCAAAUGAUCAUCGAUAUAGAGUUCCCUUAUAAAAGACGAAGCGGGAAGCACGCCUCUUGAUUUUCAUUUUUUACUGUGGAUUAUCUGGUAGCUUUUGAUGUUGAAGAAAAUCGAUUAUUGAGUGUCUCCAAUCUUCUCUUUCCUCAUCUUCAACUACUUCAACACUUUUGUUCUCUUCCAAAUUGCUAGGUAGCAAUGAUGGAAGCACCCAUCUUUGAGCAAUUGUUAUGAAGUGGGAGAAAUCUUCAUCUGACCCAGUUAAAAUAGUGGCCAAAUUAGCUAAGGCAUCAACUUCCCUAUUUUUACUUUUCGGGAUGAAUUUGAUUUUUACCAAAUCAAAUUGUCUCAUAAGCAUUGACGCAUUUUCAUGGGUUCAAGUCUAAAUUACGGACUUCAUACUCAGCUAAAAGUUUGUUGAUUAUCAAUUUAAAAUCUCCAAAGACUUUCAGCUGGUAGAUAUUCAUAUCUAACGUUGUCUCGAAGUUAAGGAUAAGGACUUGAUAUUCCACCAUGUUGUUUGAACAUUUCUCUAUUAAGGCAAAAGAGUAGGGCAUGACGAGAUCAUGAAGAGUGACAAAGACUACUCCUGCUUCAACACCAUAACUUUUGUCUACCCCAUCGAAGUAUAGCCUCCAUAAUGGUAUGACUUUGGGGAAUAAGACUUCUUCAUCGGAAAGGUCUUCCUGAAGUUCCCAUUCGGCUGGAAUUGGAUGGAUAGUAAGGAAAUCUGCCAAAACUUGUUCUUUAAUGGCCUUUUGUGGAAUGAAUUUGAUAUCGAACUCAAAUAACAGCAUUGUCUAUUUUUCAAUUCGUCCAGAAAGAAUUAGCCUGGACAUUAUGUACUUCAAUAGAUCAAUCUUCGAAACAAGAUUAAUUUCGUGUGAUAACAUAUAAUACCUCAACUUUUAGCUACGAAGAUUAACGUAAGAGAUAUUUUUUCAAUAGGUGAAUACUUUAUUUCGGCGCCUACCAGUGUCUAGCUUAAGUAAUAGAGUGCUUGCUCUUUUCCUUCAUUUUUGAUUUGGAUAAGAAGUACUCCUAGAGAAUAUUCUUGUGAUACAACAUAAAGAUUCAGUGGCUUCCCAAAACUAUGAGUACCAGUGAACGAGAUAAAUAUUAUUUAAUGCUUUGAAAAGCAUUUCGACAAGCAUCGUCCCACUCAAAUGGUACAUCUUUCUUUACCAAUUUGUUGAAUGGAUGACAAUGUCCAGCAAGGUUAGAGACGAAUCUUCGAAUGUAUACAAUUUUCCAUGAAGACUUUUCAACUCACGUAUAUUUCUUAGCGUUGAAAUGUUGAUUAUAGUGUCAAUUUUUGAUUGAUCUAUUUCAAUGCCCUGGUAUCGAAUAACGAAGCUGAGAAAUUUUUUAGAGGUGACACCAAAUGCACAUUUCAAUGAAUUCAUCUUCAGUUGAUAUCUUCGAAUUUUUUUGAAAACAUCCCAUAAAUCUUGUAAAUGAUCGUCACGUCGUUUUGUUUUAACAACAAGAUCAUCUACAUAGCAUUCCAUGUUCUUAUGCAACAUUUUAUCGAAGAAAUUUUGCAUUGCUCACUGGUAGGUUGCCCCCGCAUUUUUUAAUUCAAAAGGCAUAACUUUGUAAUAAUAUAAGCCUUAAGGAAUACGAAAUGAUAUAAGUUCCUCAUCUUUCGGAUUCAUCCGUAUCUGGUUGUAUCCAAAAAAUUCGUCCAUAAAGGACAAACUUUAUACUUGAUAGUUGCAUCCACCAUCAACUCCGUUAUUCGAAGUGAAAAACAAUCUUUCGGAUAUGCUUGAUUCAAAUCCCAAAAGUCAGUGCAAAUUUGUAAUUGCCCAUUUUUCUUCUUGACAGGAAUAAUGUUUGCGAUCCACAUUAGGUAUUUCAUUUCACGUAUAAAUCCAGCUUCAAUAAGUUUGUUGACUUCUACUUCAAUUUGUGGAUUAGUUCUGGUUGAAAUCUUCUUUGUAGUUGCUAGAUCGGUCAAACUCCAUGUCUUACUGUAAGGUAAUGCACUGCAACCUUAGGAUCUAACCCCGACAAAUUCUUGUAAGACCAUGCAAACACAUCUUUGUAUUCCUAAAGCAAACGAAUGUACUUAGAUUCCUCUUUUUGACUGAGGAGGGUACUUACAAAUACUGGUUUUGGGUCUUUUUUGGUCCCCAAGUUCAAUUGUUUCAAGUUAUCCACAGUAGCUUGUCUUUGGUCUUCAAAUGUGGGUGGGGCUGGGUUAAGUUCAUCAUUUGUGGUAGGACUUUCAGGCUCGGAUUCUGAGUUAGAGCUUCUUCAAAAACUAUGUGACUGACAGAGUCUUCUUUCUUAUCUUCAUUGCCCUUUAAGGAUAGGCGAACUUUUUGAUGUCUUCUUGACUGUUGAGAUUUCGAACUUGGAUCAGAAGUUUUAAUUCCAAGUCGAGAAAAAGCAUAUUAUCUUUAGGAUGACAUCUAGGGAGCUUGUACAUUCCUAUCAAUUUGGGUGGAAGAAGAAGGACCUUCACUUUACCUUUAGAAGAUAGAGGCUUUACCUUUUAUGUCGACUACUGGGGAUGGUUCUCCUUUUAAUCUUUUAAACACCGAAACUCUAGCUUUCUCAUUUUCAACACUGAAGGUCUCGACUAUUCUGAUUUUUCUUCUGCAACUUUGUAAUUUUGAAUCAUGAUGGGGUUUGAGGAAACCUUCACGAUCUUAAUCUUUCUAGGUAGAUUGAGAUCAUAUCCCAAACCAUACCUAGGUCGAGACACCAGGUCUCUAUUAGAAUUAGAAGGUACACACCCUCCUGAAAUGCCAGCAUCAAGGUCACCUAAUUUUCGAGGCUCUUAUUUUCUAAACUUGACAUUUUCAAACAACUUUUUGACUUGAGAAUUGUAACAUCCUUUGAAUUUCUGUUUUGAUUCAAGAGCUGCUUCUUGUUUGGACGAGCUAGAAGCACCAAGCUUUGAUAUGUCUGGAAUGGAUGUCGAAGCUUCUGAUAUAGGUUUGUGUUCUCCCAAAACCACCGUAAGUUGAUGGGGUAGAAGCAAUUUCGAAAUACUAACUAUUGUAAGAGUUAUCUCUUUUCUCAAUAUCUCAAUAUCGGUGGAUUCUAUUUGAGGUUUUUUACCUCUAGAGAAUCCUUCAGAUGUAAAUUUUGACUUAUCUUUGGUAAGUUGAUGAGAUUGAGCAGCACUAGAUGUAUCAUGAUCAUCUAUAUCUUCAUUGAUUUUGAAUCCAAACAUGGUCAACCCUACAGAGUUACACUCUUCAUCUUCAUUGUAAAAUUUGGUAUCAGCAAAGAGAUUCUUCUUCUAGAAAGGUUUGGACUCAGCUACCACACGUUUGAUUUCUCUGUCCCUACUAUAUUUGAAGCAUGGUGCCAAGUCAAAGGUAUUACUCUAAUUUUAUGCAGUCAAACACGUCCAAGGAAUAACUUGUAUGAUGUUUUAGCAUCAAUGACAUAGAAGAGAGUUGAGGAGAUUAACUCUCCUAUUUGCAGCUUUAGGUGAAUCAUGCCAAUGGCUCCUGACUUUUUUGAUUGAAUCCUUGAAUCAUGAUUUUCCUUCUAGAUAGAUAACCAACAUUAAUUCCAAAAUUUUUCAUUAUUUUGACCGACAUAAUAUUUACAGUAGAUCCACAAUCGAUUAUUAUGCUACUUAUCCUACAUUGUCGAAUAUAAUCACUAAUAUACAGUAGUCUAUUAUGUAAACGAAAACCCAAUUGUAAAUCAUUAUCAUCGAAUGUUAUGGCAACCAUACAAUCUUGUUGGAUUAUGCAUCCAAUAUGUUCUGAGACUUUGCCUUCAUAUUCUUCCCAAUCGAUUAAUGCCAUGAACAAAGCCAUUCGAUCAUCGAAAUGAAGACUAAUAGACUCUGCUAAACUCGUGUUGACUGGGCUAUUGUUGAGUCGUGAGAUAGUAUUAUUCUAUUUUGAAUCCAAACAUGGUCAACCCUGCAGAGUUACACUCUUCAUCUCAUUUUUUUUUAUCCACAUUGAUAACAUUGGAGGUAAAACAUUACUUGUCAAAGAAACCCUUGGGAAAAUAAUCUCCCAAGGUUGGUAAUCUAGGAGGAAUAUGUGAAGUAGCUUCUAACAUCAUUGAUUUAGUAAAUACUCUUGGCUUAGCUUUAGACCUUCUUCUUUGGUUGUUCCUUGGUCUUGAUUUUUUGUUAUAAACACUAGAAUUUGGGAGUUGUGGAGCCUUUUAACAACGUCUUUUCACAAGAGUCCAUGGCCUUGAUCUUCUUCUAGUGCUUCUUAUUUAUUAGGUUGAAUUUUUGUACCCAAUUUUCCCAUCUUUGGUCCUGUAAGAGGCGUAGGAGGUGACAUUUUAUUCGUUUUGUUUAACAUUCUUUAUUUCUCUUUCUUGCUUAUAAAGGUAGACCAGCCAUCACCGAUCUUGUCUUCAGACUCCAAGCAGAAUCCCAAACAUCUAAGUCACUUGUCAUAAUUUCGUAAAAGGUUGGACGAUUGGAUGCACUUGGUCCAUCUAUCCCCGGAUAGAUGUAAUUAAUAUUGAUUUCUCCGUCUACCUCAAAUUCUACUGGGAUGGCUCCUUUUGAAAGUUGAGGUCCAAACUCUUCAAUCGAGGAUUUACAGGCAUCGUGUACAUUAGGUGUCUUCCCUAUAAUGAAAAUUGGAUCAAAUGAUCCAGACAAAACCAUCGAGCAGACGGUUGUUGGAUUCUCUUCGAUAUCAAGUUUGAUCUUAUUUUCUUUAUCCAGGCGAACAAUAAAAUCUUUCAAGACGGAAGCAUUUUUCCAUUGGGUAGUUAAUGAUUCCAUAAAAUUUAUAGUAUUUAGGAUGAUUGAACUUACAAGCUUUCUAGGGUCUUUUUGGUACUGAAAGUUUGAUUAUCUUCUAUUCAAGAAGUUGAUCUAGGAAUUUAGAAUCUGAGAAUGGGUACUUCUUUCCUUCAUGUUCUUUCAAAGUCACGUGACCUCCACUUUGGACUUGUGCUUUGCUAGGUCUAAACUCUGGCUUCAGUUUUAGGUUCGAGCUUAACCCCUUGAAGGCUAUCUUUGCUGGAACAGUAGAAAUCACCACAGCUUCUUUGGAUUUACUUUCCUUGAUGUCCUUCUUUAUUUCCUUCUUAGAAUCUUUCUUGUCAAGUGGAUCACUUGAUAAGUAACUCCCAUGCCUUGCAAUUUAGAGCUUCAAGUCAUGAAUACGUGUCACCAAUUCUUCGAAUGAGUGAGGCAUAUUUGCUUGGAGAUUAUAGAGUAAUCCCCAAUGCAUGUUUUGGUCGCACAUAUACAUGGAAGAUGCUUCACUUAUUCAUUCUUUAUAAUUAAGAAUGAGGUUCAUCCAGCGUUCGAUGUACUCUACAAUAGUUUCUUCCUUGCUCUGCUUCAUUCGACCAAGUUCUGGAAGGCUGGCAGUUCGUUGGGUGUUGUAGAAGCGUGUUAGAAAUUCUCGAUCGAGUUGAUCCCAACUAUCAAUUGACCCAGUUGGUAAAUCUGUGGGCCAUUCAAACGUGUCACCUUUAAGAGAACAUACAAAUUGCUUCACCAUGGUGUCAUUGUAUGCGCUUAUAUUGUUGUGUGUCUCAAUGAAAUGAGCAACAUGCUAUUUUUGGUUGUUCUUUCUAUCAAAGCAUUGAAAUUUUGAAGGUUGCUAACUGAGUGGCAUCUUUAUUUCGUCGAUUUGACAACUAUAGAGCUUGGCAUAUACCUUUGAAGAUUGCAAUGAACCAUCAUACUGAGUACGAAUGAUGUCUGCAAUCAUAUGUUGAAGUUGUUGAAUGGAUAGAGAGCCAACAGAGAGUUGAGUGGUAUCACACAAAAUGUUUGGACCAAUUGGCGCACUUGGACUUCUAACUUUUUGGCCUUGGAAAAUCCUGAAUUUUUAUGAUCUUUUUUAAUCGGCAGAUUUUGCAACUCUAGCCCAUGCAUGAGCGCAGCAAUCUAUACAUCUUUAUCUUCUAGUGACUUUGUUAAUUUUUCAAUGGCUAAAGUCAUUUGUUGAAUUCAAUCAUCUGAGCCUGAUGCCGUUUCUAUGACCAUCACUAGCUCAAGUGAUUCUUCAAAUGAAGAAUCAUCUUCUACCUUUGCUGAGAAGUGGCAUGAGAGGAUCCAAAGAAUGAUCUAUCAUUGGAGAUGGAGCCCGAACGAGAGCUUUUCGCCGAACUCAUAGUCUUUUUUGUUGAAUGAGAGUUUGAAUUUUUAAAGGCAAUUUUAAUUUUGCCUUUGUUGGAAAAUUUCAUCAGUGAUGGGACCAGUUGAGUUUUCCCAGUUUUGUUUGGGCCUUGAUCGCGUGGAAGAGUUUGGGAAGUGUCUCUUCAAGAUGAGUUAUAGUUGGUUUUGCCUUUUCGCUUACCAUUGCUGAUAUAGUGACUGAAAGUUGAAGAUUCUGAUAUCAAAAGAUGAGAGGACAAGAAGGUCCCACCGAGUAUGCUAAGAAAUUUAUACGAUGAAUUUUAUGUAUUGAAAUACAGAAAUCCUUACAAAUUGCAUUUUUUAGAAAUACAAGUGAUUUUGACCUUCUUGUGAUUGAAAAAUGGCGAAAAUCCUCUUAUUAAUGAUCUGAAUAUUUUGAAGACGAGGUGUCACAUGACUUGAAUUCUGGUCUUCGAAAAUAUGUUGAAAUUUUGAUUUGUUGAUACUUGACUUAUCCAGCACUUGAGUUUUGGGACUUGGACUCGUGCUUGAAUUUGAUUUGAUUUAACGAAGACUUUGGUCUUCUUGAAUUUGGCGUGGACCUGUUAGAUUCGAAGAAGGUUUUGAUCUUUUUGGGAUUUACCGAAUUUAGGUUUGAGAGGAUUUCUUCUCCUCCUUCGACUUUGAAAUUUUUUCAGCACUUCAUAAUUGCCUUCUUUGCUUUCACUUAUUGUUCUUUUCUUAUGGACGAUUGGUCCUAUUUAUUGGAGAAAAUUUGAGCUAAUUUUGGUAGUCACUCAAUUAUAUUUAGUUAAAAAUGAAUAAUUGAGUAAUUAUGAUUUUUAUUUGUUUACUUAUUUAAACGUGAGAUGGGCUUUCGGGUUUAUGGACCUUAGUCGACUUUAAUUUAAUUGAACUAAUAAUUUAAAUCGACCCAACCCAUUUUCUUUAUUAUUAUUAUUAUUUUUUAUGCCUAUAAAUGCCCCCUCAAGAUUAAUUUAUUUAUUAUGAAAUAAAUAAAUUAAUAAAUCUUGAUUUUUGAUUUUAUUUUUUUUUCAAUUUUGGAUUUGAUUUUAACUCAAACUUCCCAUUAGUAAAUUAUUAUAAAUGAAAAAAUCGAGAUAAAAUGGGAAUUUGAUAAAAAAAAAAAAAAAAUUAUCCUUCAAAUUUGAGAAUAAGAAUUUUUUUUAUGUUAUUUGAUUUUUUUAUUUAUUUUAUACAAUCUAAAAAAUUUUGAAUUUGAAUAGGCCAUUUGCGCUUUAUGGUAAAUUAGGCUUAAGUGAAAUAUGAUAUCUGUCUAUUUAUAUGAAUAAACUAUGAGAUUUGGAAACAAGUCUGUUAAAUCUUGCAAACAAAGGCAAAUAAUUCUUUUUUUCUUUUUUCUUUUUUUAACUCUCUCUCUCUCUCUCUCUAUUUUUUCCCUUAUUUUCUCUCUUUUUUCUCAUAUUUUCUUUUCUCGGUUUCCGCCACCCAAGGAGACAAAGAAUUUGAUGCGAACCCCGUAGCAAUGGAAACUACGAAACCCACAACGAGAUUGAUGCGGAACCCAAGAACGCCAAUACUAACCCGAUUUUGAAUCUUGAACCUCAAGAAUUGAACCAAGAAAUCCUAGAUUAGCGAAAAAACUAAAACCCCUUGAUUACAAUUAAAAGAACCCACAAUCCGAUUGUUUAGAAUGACAUAAGAAACUAAAUCUUGAUAAGUUCCAAGAUUGUUCAAGAAGAACAAGAAAUUGAAAGAACAAUUCUCUCUCUAUAAUAUUAAGCAAAAGUCAAAAGUUCUUACAAUGAAAAAUAUUCUCCUAUUUAUACUAAUGAAUAAAAACGUCCAAAACCAUCAAAUUAUGGUAAUAAUUUGAUUUCAUAAGAAUUCUAUUGAAACUAGGAAAUUCGGCCAAAAUUAGAAAAUUCGCCAAUUUUUUGGCUUGUGCGGCCGCAUGGUGUAUUUCCAUGCGGUCGCAUGGUUCAACAAGAAUUGGUCUUUUGGUUUUCGGUAUGCAUGUGUGCGCCACAUAUUGUUUUGCCUGUGCGGCCGCACAUACUUGUUUUCAGUCUCCGCUUUCGUUGCUUGAUAACAAAUUGAUCCAAGUUGAUUCGGCCUUCGACCCGAACAUGAAAGUUGCUCCAUCUGGAGUCCUGAACAUGGUUCCAUCAAUGGUUUCUUGAACAAGCAAUCCCAUCGUUUGUUUCACUUGCUUUGCCCUUGAUCGCGUCAUUGGUCCGCCAUCGACUAUCAACGGGUCUCAUCUCGCACUUGCCUUCGUUGGGCUCGACUCCUGGAUCAUAUCAUUCCCUCCCUCUUCAAAAGGAUUCGUCUUCGAAUUUGAACCUGCAUCAAACAGAGAGAGAUCAGAUACAUUAAAAGUAGCUGAAACAUUAUACUCACUAGGUAAAAUCACUUUGUAUGCAUUGUCAUUGAUCCUCUCAAUGAUUUGAAACGGUCCAUCGCCUCGUGGUUGCAAUUUUGACUUCCUCUGUUUUGGAAAACGUUCUUUUCUGAAAUGCACCCAGACCCAAUCUCCAGGCUCAAAUGUAACGCGUCUUCUUUCUUUAUUUGCUUUUGAUGCAAUCAGCUUUCCUUUCUCUUUGAUCUGCAUUCUGACCUUUUCAUGGAGUGUUUUCACCAUCUUGGCUUUUCGUUUCCCAUCCAAGCUACCUCGUUCAUGCACAGGUAAAGGCAUUAAAUCCAUAGGUGUUAGUAAAUUAAAACCAUAAACAAUUUCAAAAGUAGAAAACGAAGUAGUAGAAUGUGUAGCUCGAUUAUAUGCAAACUCUAUAAACGGUAAACACUCUUCCCAUGAUUUCAGAUUUUUAUUGAUUACUGUCCUAAGUAGUUGAGUCAUAGUUCGAUUAACUACCUCAGUUUGUCCAUCUGUUUGUGGGUGACAAGUUGUAGAAAAUAAUAACUUAGUUCCUAACUUACUCCACAGAACACGCCAAAAAAUUACUCAAAAACUUCACGUCCUUAUCAGACACUAUACUUUUAGGUACUCCAUGUAAACGUACUAUUUCCCUAAAGAAUAAGUCUACAAUAUUAGUAGUAUCGUCAGUUUUAUGACAUGGUAUGAAGUACGCCAUCUUACUAAACCUAUCGACCACUACAAAUAUUGAAUCCCGACUCCUUUUUGUCCUAGGCAAACUUAACACAAAGUCCAUAGAUAUGUCUACCCAAGGUUCACUAGGUACAGGCAAAGGAGUAUACAAACCGUGGGAUUGAACCUUAGACUUAGCCUUUUUAAAAGUUAUGCACUUUCCACAUAUUUGUUCUACUCCAUGUCGCAUUUUAGGCCAAUAAAAAUGUUCCCCUAACAUGUCUAAAGUCUUUUGAACCCCGAAGUGUCCCAUUAAACCACCCCCAUAUGCUUCCCUUACCAAUAAUUCACGCAAAGAACAAUUAGGAAUGCACAACUUAUCUUCCCUAAACAAAUAUCAUUCAUCCCUAUAGAAUUUAUCAAAUGCACCUUUGUCACAUGAAGCAUAAAAACUAGAAAAAUCACAAUUAGAUUCAUACAUGCGCUUAAUAUGCUCGAAACCAAGUAAUUUAGUACUUAAUGAAUUUAAAAGCACGUACCGUCGAGACAACACAUCAGCAGCUAUAUUUUCGUUACCUUGUUUUUACUUGAUGACGUAGGAAAAUGUCUCGAUAAACUCCACCCAUCUCGCAUGUCUUUUGUUCAACUUACCUUGACCUCGCAAAUGCUUUAAAGAUUCAUGACCGAUGUAUAUCACGAAUUCCUUUGACCAUAAGUAGUGCUGCCAAGUCUCCAAUGCUCGAACAACUGAAUACAGCUCCUUGUCAUAUGUCGGAUAAUUCAAUGUUGCCCCACUCAACUUUUCGCUGAAGCAAGCAAUAGGUCUCCUUUCCUGCAUUAACACUGCUCCCAUACCUAUUCCUGAUGCAUCACACUCAACCUCGAAUGUUUUAUCAAAAUUUGGUAAUGCCAAAACAGGUGCUUUACAUAGCUUAUCCCUAAUUGUGUUAAAUGCAAUUUCUUGAGAUUCUCCCCAAUGGAAACCUAUACUCUUCUUUACUAUUUCAAUCAACGAUGUGGUGAUGGUGCUAAAAUUUGUUACAAAUCGCCUAUAAAAACUAGCCAAUCCAUGAAAACUCCUAAUUUCAAUUAUAGUCUUAGGUGUUGGCCAUUCUUUAAUAGCUUUUAUCUUUUCUUCAUCGACUUCCACCCCGUUAGCACUAACCACAAAUCCUAAGAAAACAACUCUAUCCAUGCAAAAUGUGCACUUUUUGAAAUUAGCAUAUAGUUGUUCCUUUCACAACACAACAAGCACACAAUUUAAAUGUUCUAAAUGCUCAUUUAGGUUCUUGCUAUAGAUUAAGAUGUCAUCAAACUAAAUUACAGCAAAUUUCCCAAUAAAAGCAUGCAAAACAUGGUUCAUUAAAUGCAUAAAAGUGAUCGGUGCAUUAGUGAGUCCAAAUGGCAUAACUAACCAUUCAUACAAUCCAUACUUAGUCUUAAACGCCGUUUUCCAUUCAUCACCCUCUCGCAUGCGAAUUUGAUGAUACCCACUCUUAAGAUCAAUCUUACUAAAAAUGCAAGCACCAUACAACUCAUCAAACAUAUUAUCUAGCCUAGGUAUUGGGUGACGAUACUUUACCGUGAUAUUGUUGAUAGCUCGGUAAUCCACGCACAUUCUCCAAAUCCCGUCCUUCUUAGGCACCAACAAGACAGGUACAGCACAUGGACUCAUGCUCUCCCUGACAUAACCUUUGCUCAUCAACUCCUCCACUUGAUUUUGAAGCUCCUUCGUCUCCUCGGGAUUGCUUCGGUAAGCUGGUCGAUUCAGUAUGACAGCUCUGGGUACAAAGUCAAUCUGGUACUCAAUGCCUCUGAUUGGUGGCAAUCUACUUGGCAUCUCCUCAGGGAACACAUCGUCGAACUCCUGCAAUAAAGACUUAACCAAACUAGGGAGGGAUGUGUUAGAAUCCUCAAAAUUGAGGAGGGAUUCCUUGUACACUAACAAUAUCAUUUGCCUAUUAUCACUCAUAGCCUUUUUCAACUCACUCUCUUUUGCAUAAAAGUUGACCUUUGGCUUUUCUCUCCGCUCAGCUGACUCUUUUUCUCUCCUCUCAUCUGACUCCUUUUCUCUCCGCUCAUGUGGCUUCUCUCUCUUUUCUCCACUCUCAGCCACCUCACUAUUUUCUCUCUUAUUGAUGGUUUCACUAUUGCCUCUCCUUUUUCCUGACUCUCUUAUUCUCUCGUCUUCCUCACUUUUCAGCUUGAUUUAAUCUCCAUACACUUGUGCCGAUGUUAAUGGCGCAAGAGUAAUAGUCUUCCCAUCCUUGACAAAGCUAUAACGAUUCCUAUAUCCAUCAUGUGUGACCCUUCUAUCAUAUUGCCAUGGUCUUCCUAACAAGAUAUGACCCACAUGCAUAGGCACCACAUCACAUACUACUUUGUCACUAUAACUCCCAAUUGAGAAAUUAAUUAAAACUCUUUUAUUCACGCUAACUUCCCCACUUUUAUUCAACCAUUGCAACUUAUAAGGCCUAGGUUGUCUUAACAAUGCUAGUCCUAUUUUCUCAACUAAAAUUGUGCUAGCUAUAUUCGUGCAACUCCCACCAUCAAUAAUCAUACUAUAUACCUUAUCGUUGACGUAACAACAUGUGUGGAAUAUAUUUUCUCGCUGCUGCUCCGAAUUAUCCACUUUGACUUGAGUGUUAAGAGCUCUCCUUGACACCAACGAUUCCCCAAUAGCAAACUCCAAUUUUUCUUCUUCUUCAACGUCCUCCAAUGCAGGCAUGUCCUCAAACUCUCCUUCACUUUCACUCACCACCUCUCCAUUAUCCAACAACACCAUUACCCGUUUAUUUGGGUAUUGAGAAGCAAUGUGCCCUAACCCCAAGCAUCUGAAACACUUGAUGUCUCAAUUCCUUGAUGGUUGUGAAUUUGUUUUGGGUGCUGUUUUGCUAGCACUUUCUUCUUUCCCUUUCUGCCACUCAUUCCUACCUUUAGGUACAGCUUUAUCACUUUUGUUGUUGUUGUUCCACCCUGGCUUCCAAGAUGGAUUAACACUCAAAGUUCCUAACGGCUGCCUAGCUAUCCCUUUUCUCUUCAAUUGUCUCUCUACCUUCAUAGCCACAUGCAACAUGUCUUCCAACUCCACAUAAUGUUGCAACUCCACUACAUUGGCAAUUUCCCUAUUCAACCCAUUCAAGAAUCAUGCCACGGUAGCCUCCCGAUCCUCCACCACAUUGGCCCUAAUCAUGAGUAUUUCCAUCUCCAUAUGAUAGCCCUCUACACUUUUCGAUCCUUGAUAUAGACUUUACAGUUUUUGAUGGAUCUGUUAGUAAUAGUGGCUAGGAACAAACCUCUUUCUCAUCAAUGACUUCAAUUCCUCCCAAGUGUUGAUUGCUCUUCCCCCACUCCUACGUUGUGAAGUAAUCACUUGAUCCCACCAUGACAUUGCAUAGUCACUGAACUCCAAAACUGCUAACUUCACAUUUUUCUCCUCCGAGUAGUUAUAACACUCGAAGAUCAUUUCAACCUUCCUUUCCCACUCCAGGUAUGCCUCGGGAUCACUCCUUCCUUUGAAUGAAGAAACUGUCAUUUUUAUAUUUCCCAAAUUUCCAUCAAAUUCCUCCCCGCGAUCAUUCCGACCCCGUCUGUCGAACCUAUUGCCUCUAUUCCUCAUCCUUCCCAUAUCAACACCGUGAAAUUCAUCUUCGCCCAUGUCACUCCAAUAUCCAUACUACUCUCGCCUUUCCCUCCUAGGCUCCCAUCUAUGCGGUCUUGUGGCAUUGGAUACAUCCACUCGAUGCCCCCGACUAAGAUUAGCCACCGAUGUAUCUAAUCUAUUCAUCCAAGCCUCCUGCUUCUCCAACCUAUCUCUCACAUCUCCAAAUGCUCUCUCAAACCUCUGCACCAAAUCCUCCGAUGCAUUGCUAUUAUUGCCUUGUCGGCUUGAAUUUGAUUCUGCCAUUUCUGACAUCCUAACACUAAAAUUUUUUAUUUUACUGCCUCACCAAAAGUCACUCGAAAACACACAAGGGCUUUUACCCUCUAUUAAGCUCACCUCCCUGCCUUUAGCCACUCAGUUCUUUCAACAAUUGCCUCUAGGAACAAUCAAUGAACUCAAUCAAUCAAUCAAUUCGUGUAGAAUUCCCCAAACCGGAUGUGACUCAAUAAUUGUAAUAAAGGACUCAAAGAAAACUUUUAAAAUUUGACUUGAAUUGAAGGAAUGUAAUGAUUCAAUGUGUCCAAGUAAUUUAGAAACGAUAUUGAAUAAUAAAAGUUGGUAUUUGAAGGAUCAAUAAUAUUUAAUAAUUUUUUUUUAUAUCCAAAAAUCAAUAACAAAACCAACAAAGAAAAUGAAAACUGAUUUGGGCAAAAAUUGAGCCCAGAAACGGAAUUUGAAGAUUUUUGAUGAAACUUUUGGAUCAAAGGAUCAAGAAAACCUUUUGGACACAAGAACACAAGGAAUUGAAAAAAAAUAGAAAACAAAGGAUAUAGCCUGAUUAAAUUGGAGCCAAAGCUCUGAUACCAACUGAUACGAACCCCGUAGCAAUGAAAACUACGAAACCCACAACGAGAUUGAUACGGAACCCAAGAAUGCCAAUACUAACCCGGUUUUGGAUCUUAACCCCAAGAAUUGAACCAAGAAACCCUAGAUUAGCGAAGAACCUAAAACCCCUUGAUUACAAUUAAAAGAACCCACAAUCCGAUUGUUUAGAACGCCACAGGAAAUUGAAUCUUGAUAAGUUCCAAGAUUGUUCAAGAAGAAAAAGAAAUUGAAAGAACAAUUCUCUCUCUAUAAUAUUAAGCAAAAGUCAGAAGUUCUUACAAUGAAAAAUAUUAUUUUAUUUAUACUAAUGAAUAAAAACGUCCAAAACCAUCAAAUUAUGGUAAUAAUUUGAUUUCAUAAGAAUUCUAUCAAAACUAGGAAAUUCGGCCAAAAUUAAAAAAUUCACCAAUUUUUUGGCUUGUUGGCCGCAUGGUGUAUUUCCAUGCGGUCGCAUGGUUCAACAAGAAUUGGCCUUUUGGUUUUCGGUAUGCAUGUGUGCGGCCACAUGUUGUUUUGCCUGUGCAGCCGCACAGACUUGUUUUCAACCUCCGCUUUCGUCGCUUGGUAACAAAUUGACCCAAGUUGAUUCGGCCUUCGAUCAGAACAUGAAAGUUACUCCAUUUUGAGUCCUGAACAUGGUUCCAUCAAUGUUUUCUUGAACGAGCAAUCCCAUCACUUGUUUCACUUGCUUUGCCCUUGAUCGCGUCAUUAGUCAGCCAUCGACUAUCAACGGGUCUCGUCUCGCACUUGCCUUCGUCGGGCUCGACUCCUAGAUCAUAUCAGAAUUGGUUUCUUGGAAUUGAUACAGUGAAAUUGGUGAAUUGCAUCAAUUCCAACUGUUUCCUUGGUAUUUGCCAAUGGCAGAAACCUUUAUAUAUUUAUUUUUAUUUAUUUAUUUAUAUUUUUUCGUUUCUUUCUCUUUUUUCUUCUCGUUAUUUUUUUUUAAUUUUGGAUUUCCAUCGAUGGUAGAAAAUAAAACAAAUUUUGUUUGAACCCAAUUUGAAACUGGUAAAAACCAAUUCCAAUGGAAUUAUUGGAACUUUCACCAAUUCCAAUUCGGAAUUGGUCGAAAAACCAAAAAUAUAUUUGGUUUUAUGGAAAACCAAAGUGACCAAUUGGUUUCUACCGAGCAUUUAAUUGUUUUUGCUCCUUUUUUUUAUUCGUUUCAUCUUCCUUUCUCUUUCUUCUUGUUAACUAUUUUAGUGAGGCUAUUUUAACAAAAUUGAAACUAACAUUUUUCAUUUUUUUAUGCAAGGAUUCAAAUAUUUGGUGCAAAUGAAGGAUUUUGAGGUUCGAGAUUUUCUUUGUGUGGAGGUUAAAUUUUGUUCCGCAAUUAAUUUUUAAGUUCAGGAAAUAUAUGCUUAUAGACAGACUCAAAAUUACAAACCUUUUAGGGCACAUUGAGGACCAAAGACUGCUACUAUUCACCAUCCAAUGCACUUUUUGUUGGAAACCAAUGACAUGUUCAUUCGAUCGUCUUGACCAAGGACUCGCUCCUUUGACUAUCUAAUGCACUUUGUGUUUGGGACCAAGGACUGGUUGAUUCGAUUGUCCAAGGCACUUUGUGCUUGGGACCAAAAACUGGCUCCUUCGACUCUCCAAGACACUUUGUAAUAAGGACCAAUGACCUGUUUCUUCGACCGUCCAAGGUACUUUGUGUUUGGAACCAAGGACUGGCUCCUUCGACUAUCCAAUGCACUUGUGUUAAGGACCAAGGACAUGUUCCUUCGAUCGCCCAAACACUUCGUGUUUGAAGCCAAGGACUGGUUUCUUCAACUGUCCAAGACACUUUGUAGUAAGGACUAAUAACCUAUUUCUUCGAUGGUCCAAGGCACUUUGUGUUUGGAACCAAAGACUGGCUCCUUCGACUGUCCAAUGCACUUGUGUUAAGGACCAAGGACAUGUUCCUUCGACCGUUCAAACACUUUGUGUUUGAAGCUAAGGACUGGUUUCUUCAACUGUCCAAGACACUUUGUGUUAAGGACCAAGGAUUAGCUCAUUCGACUGUUCAAGACACUUUGUGUUGAGGCCAUUUACAUAUUUGGGAGGCUCGUAAUUUUAGACUAUAAACAAAUUUAAAAGAUCUACUCCUCCUUUUUAUUGCUAAUUUUUCAGGCAUGGUUGUAACAAGUUCUAAUGAUAAAGUAUACUUUGUUAUACAUGAAAUUUUUUAUCUUAAAAAUCUAGGCAAAAGUUAUCUACAUUACAAAGAUACUGAUGUGAAGUACCACGCCAGACUAGUCUACAAGGUGGACUUAAAUUUAGCAUCCAUAAGUCAACGAUAGAUCCUUCUCCCAACCUUCUAGAGCCAUUGUCAGAGUUGUAUAUGCCCACCAUUAGUGAAUAUCACGAGAGUUUGGAUACUGGCAAAUCCAACAACUCUAGCAAUCAUCUUUCCUUUCUGUAUCCUUUGCCUCAUCAUUUUCGAAGUAUGGAGUGCAUCCGAAAGGCCGUAAUUUGUGAGAGGAUUGACAAUAAAGAAAUACGAUGGGGAAGCACACUGACCAGUCGAGGAGAGAUUUUUUUUUCCAAAAUUUUAGGAGUGGUCUUUAUGAGUCCAAAAACUUCUACUAAAGAAGAAUCUCGCGAGUUAGCUUCCGCAGUCAAUUCUGCUACAAAAGAUUACCAUCGCCCAAACUCUAUCUAUAGAGCUCUUUGCGAGGUUUGGUGUCCAGAGACCAACACUUUUGUGAUUGCCAAUGUUGAAAUUGGCAUUUCUCCUUGGGACAUCGGCGAGAUAAGUGGGCUACCAUAGGUCAUUACUAUGAGGAUGUAGUCCCAAGCGUUUCAGAGUUGACGGGUCAUUUUUCCAAGUCUUAUCUGUACCUCUUUAAUGUUUUCGUAUUGGUCGCCAAUGCGAAUGAAUCUGAUUGGUUACUCAUGAAAAUUGGAUUGAUUUUUCAUUUCGCGAGAAUUGUUAUGUCCAUAAUCCUCGACAACACAAAAAUUAUAAGAAUGCUAUGAAUUUAAAUCCAUUCAAGAGGCGUCAUGACAGAGCAUCGAAGGAAAAAUGGAGGCCCGUGGUGGUAGUUAAACCGAGAGAUAUUUCUUGUAGGGAUCUACGUCAUUGGAGUAAUUUGCUAGUAUUUUUGCCUCUUGAAGAAGAGGAAUUAGAGUAUCACUUUAUCUCUCCCUGUGGGUUUGUCGCUUCGUUCUUCUAUCUAGAAACGAAUGUAUAAGAGUUGGGAAUUUUAAAGCAUCUUCUAGGAUGGAAGGUGAGUACAUUUAUAGCCUGGUUCCAUUAUAUUAGCGAGCAUUUAUAGAGGAAUUACACGAACAUCUAAUCAUUAGACAAACUCAUACCUUGGCUCGAUUUCAUAUUCAUUUCUUGGACAUUUUCUUUAUGCUUGGGCUGCAACUUAUUUUCUCCAAGGUGUUUAUACCAUAUGGACAAAAGUUAUUCACGUCUACAAUCCGAAGAUAUGCUAGCACUCUAAAUGCUAUUCAAUCUUAGGAGAAAAAUGUUGUUGAUUGUUGAGACAUUAUUCGUAGAACGAUGGAUGCCAAUGACUUUUGUUGGAAUCCAUUACCCUCAUCGUCUCAUCCUAAUGUGCGUGUGGAUGACCAAUCAAGGUCUGCAGAUACUUCAGAAUUCAUGAUGAGUAUUCGAUUUGGAUUUUUUUCUUAUCGCCGAGGAAAUUCACCAAGAAAGUUGGACAUUCCUCCAAUGGCGACAUGUAUCUCGUUUGGUUGUCUUUGACUCGGAUGAAAAGUGGGCUUGUAUUUCACAUUCCAGAGUACGUGAGGGAUACUCAUCAAAAUGUUGAUGUUGAGUACUAUGCUUGGUAGAAUAGCCUAGAGUUGCCAAUCUUGAUCAAGAUCCAAGUACAGGUCUUAUCUUCUAGCAGAGGAAUAAAAUAAAAGUGAAGAAAAUAUGUGGAAAGAUUAGCAGGGGAAUUGAAUUGAUUAAAGUAAAGAAAUUGAAGAGAGGUUCGCAGAGGAAUUAAUAUUUUAUUAAAGACGAUAUGUGGAGAAAAUACAAGAAUUCAGCAAUUAAACUUCACCUAAACUAAAUGAAAAGCUACAUGUUUAUACGGAUACACCAAACCCUAGAAAUAUCAUAGAGAUAGAAAUAACAUAAAAAAUAAUGUGGAAUAAAGUAAAUAAUAUUUUUCCAACAAAAUCACGUGAAAAAUAAGGAAUCUAUAUUUCCAAUAAAAUCACGUGAAAAUAAGGAAACAAUAUUUUUCAAAAAAUCGAGCCUAAUUUGGGGUGCAAAAUCUAAUAAUAUAAAGAAUAAUGACAAUGUCCUUAAUUUUAAGAAGUUUACAAUUUUAUUUUAUUUUAUUUUUUUGCACGGAUGCCACUUUUUUUUUUUUUUUUUUUUUUUUUCCUUUUCCACGGAAAGUUAAUUCAUUAAUGAAAUUAAAACUUAAAAAAUAUGAUAUUUGGUAGUUUUCUUGGUUAUGGUUGGUACUCCUCCAGCCAGCCUUACACAGAAAACAUAAAAUUCUCAAUAAAAUCAUUUUCAAUUUAGUUUGACCUAUCCCACUUGAUAAAAAAGUUGUUUAGCUUAUUUCACUGCAAGUCAUUUUCUAGCAAGUUGGUGCUUAAUUUUAACUUUUUAUCCAAACAUGUUUAUUCUCACAAUCUAACUUAUUCAUUGGACAAGAUAUACGGUAGAUGACUUUACCCAAGUAGUUUCAAUCUUGCUGAUUGCUACUUGUGCUUUUAAUCACACUCAUGCUAAACGCUGACUCAUAAGCAACAAGUGCUUGCCAUGCUCGUAUCCAUGUGCUAUAGGGAUAUAUCAGGGUAAAGUCAAAUGUUUACUUAGUGAUCUGCCGUAUAUCAAGUCCAAUGAACAAGUUAGAUUGUAAGAAUAUACGUAUUUGGUUAAAAAAUUAAAAUUAAUUAUCGACUUACAAGUAAACUACUUGCAAUGAAAUAAGCUAAACAACUUUUAAUUAAGUGAGAUAGACCAAACCAAAUUGAACAGGUUUUAAUUGAAAUUUUUAAAAUUUCUAUGUGUAAGUCUGGCCGGUGGAAAGCCAACCAUUUUAGUCCAGUUAUGUUUUCUCUAAAGUAUGUGGCUUGCUUCAAAAGAAAAAAUAAAAGUGCCAUUCGUUAAAAAAAAAAAGAAAAAAGAAAAAAAGAAAAAGAAAAACUGCAAGUUUCUUCAAAGGGUAAUUGGUGCAAAACGUCCAUACCUUUCAAGAUUAUUGUGGAAAACGUCCAUAACUUUUAUUUUUUGGCAUUUUGUCUAUAAUUUCAACCUUCCGUUGCGCUGAAGAUCCUUUUCAUUGUUUUGGAAUGUAAAAUGACAAUUAUACCUUCUUAUUUAAAACAAAAAAAAAAUAAAAAAAGAGGAAAAUUUAGAAUAAGUUGCAACCCUACCCCUAAACUUUUAAAAAAGUGCAAAUGAGUCCCCAAUACUUAAAAUAUUGAAAAUAACAAAAAAAAAAACACUUUCUCUUCUCUUCCUCCUCGGUCCCCUGCCUCCUUUCAAGCCAAAAAAUUCCGGCCAACCACUGGAUCUCCAUACCAUCGGAAAGCCCUCACUCCCCUCUACACAUACUACCCAAUAGUCUUCCAUUAAUUUCAUUCUAAUGGCACAAAUUUUCCUUCGCGCUGGUUAGGUUUCAUUUCUCAGUUUCUGAAUGAAUAACCAUGUCCAGCGACAAUAGGGAAGACGCAUAUGCUCAUUGGAUGCUCCAUGAGGUGUAGGUACCUCAGGUGGUGGUUCGUGAUCAUGGGUCCCACCACCAGCAUAAAAAAAAUCGCCUGAAAAUUGCACAGCGACUGUGUUCGAAGCUCACCCGACUGGGUUUGAUUGUGUGCAUUAAAGGAUGUUUGAGGACCAUGGACAGGGACGUUUUAUUGUAUAGAAUCGAUCUGGAGGUUGUGUAGGGCAUGGGUGUCGUCGGAAAGAUUCCAGCCAUUGUUUGUUGCGUGAGUAACCUGUUUUGGCUUGAAUUUUCAGGCAAAUUAAUUGGAGUUAUGGCCGGAUCUUGGGUGGGUUGCGAAGAGGGAAGUGAGGGCUGUAAGAUGGGAUAUUAGUCCGGCAAAAAUGGUGGUUGUGUAGGGCAUGGGUAUCAUCGGAAUUGAAGAUUCCAACCACUGUUUGUUGCGUGGGUAACCUAUUUUGGCUUGAAUUUUUGGCCAAAUUGAUUGGAGUUAUGGCUGGAUCUUGGGUAGGUUACGAAGAGUGAAGUGUGGGCUUCAAGAUGGUAUAUUGGACUUGUGCCCAAGAUGGCCAGAGGGUGGAGUUUUGGUGGUCCAUAAGUGGUGGUUCUAAAAUUUUAGUUGUGAUGGAUUAAGGGAGUAUUGGAGACUCAAUUGCACUUUUUUAAAAAUUUAGGGAUAGGGUUGCAAUUUGUUCUAAAUUUCUCUCUCUCUCUCUCUCUCUCUCUCUCUCUCUCUCUCUUUUGGUUUUUUUGUUUUAAAUAAGAGGGUAUAAUUGCCAUUUUACGUUCCAAAACAGUGAAAAGAACUUUCAGCGCAACGAAAGGUUGAAAUAAGGGCAAAAAAGCCAAAAAAAAUGAAAGGUAUGGACAUUUUUCACAAUAAUCUCGAAAGAUAGUCAAUUACCCUUUCUUAAAAGUAAGGACACUGUCAUCAUUGUUUCUAUGUUAAUAAAAGACUCUAAAUCCAAAGUCCUAUAUCUCGUUCACUAAUAAAAAAUAAUAAUUAUUAUACCAGAUCUCUAAGAUGUAAACACAAUUAUCAUCGAAAUUUUGGGACCUUUAUGUAUUAAUUUCUUUUGUACAAUUCCUAUGGGAAAAUGAUAACUGCACAAUAUACAAUAUGAGGUCUAUAUGAUAUAAAAAAUGCACCUUUAUUCCAAAUCAAAAAGGACAACUAAGGAAAUGCUUCUGUUUGACAAUUAGAAACAAAGAGCCUAUUGACCUACAGAAUAGCACAAUUGUUUCCUGUUUUAUCAGAGUUAUAAAAAUUACAUGUUUUUAUGAAUUGAUAGUAAGAUAGUGACAAUAAUAAAAUAAGCAAGACCAAAAUAAGAACACUAACUUUAUGUGGAAACCCAAGUAGGAAAAAACCAUAGGUAGAGGAGGAAAAAUCUACUAUAAUCAAUGGUAGUUGUGUUUACAACAAGAUCUCAAUGCUCUCAACUAAGAUCUAAAACUCUCAAGAUAUCGCAUGAAUGUUAUGAGAAUAAUACGAACCAUAACUUUAUUUAUAUAUAUAUAUAUAUAUAUAGAAACACAUCAAAACGCAAAAUGAGCCUGGGCUGGAUAACCCUAUCGCUUGAGCAACAGGUGAGCGAUAACCCCACCGCUCGAGAGCUAGGUAGGAAAUCUCUAUAGAAAAUAUAUAGGUGCCACUCAAGCAGGCAACUAACGGAAGGUAGCAAAAAUGCAGCGACUUUUCUUCCCAGUCUAUAAUUUUGAUUUCUUCAAGAUCACUUCAAUUAGGGCUCCAAUACCACUAGAAUUUGGGUCACAUUACUACAAAUCUACAUGCACACCUUGAACAAAAUUCAAAAAACACAUUUUCAAAGUGAACAACACUCUUCCUUUUCCAAACAAGCCCUAAUGGGCUAGAUCAAUAAUAAACACCAACUAAGUUUAAGCAUUGCUCAACUUAACACUGAGAAGUGGUUUUGUCAUAAUAUCAGGAGGAUUAUCCUUGGUAUCAACCUUGCUCACUACAAUAUCACCUAGAGCAAUCACUUUACGCAAAAAAUGAGACCUCACAUCAAUAUGUUUAUUCCUCUUGAAACAUCUGAUCCUUAGUUAGAAAAAACACUCUGACUAUCACAAUACACUGUAAAAAUCUGCAAGUCUUCAUUGAUUUCACCAAUCAAUCCUCUUAACUACAUAGCCUCCUUAUAUGCCUCUGUAAUGACCACAUACCGGCCUCUAUUUUAAACAAAACUAUUGUAUUCUACAAAAUAGCUUUUCAACUGAUAACACAAUAUCCAAUGGUGAACACAUACCCUGUAAGUGAUCUCAUCUUAUCAAGAUUCCCUACAUAAUUUAAGGGCCUGUUUGGGAGCGAUUUUUUCACCCAAAAAGUUGAUUUUUUGACCGUUAUUUCACUAUUUCAUCCAUCAUAUUUGACUUCUUCUCUCACAGGUGGACCCCACUUUUAUCCUAACGGUCAAAAAAUCAAUUCUCAAAAUCACUCCCAAACAGGCUUUAAAUCAACAUAUCCAAUGACUCCAUCUACAUAUCUACCAAAAUGCACGCAAACAUUAGUAGAGACGUUUAGGUAUUUGAAUAUCCAUUGCAUUGUUUUCAAAUGUUCCUUGUUAGAAUUUUCCAUGUACCUACUAAUUGCAUUGAUUGCAUGUGCCAAUUUUGGUUUUGUACAAAUAAUAGUAUACAUAAGUGAACCAACUACUCUGGAAUAAGUAACUUGAGACAUAUAUCGAUGUUUUUAUCUAAUUGAGGACACAAUGCAGAUAAUAAUUUAAAGCGGACAGUUAACGGAAUACUAAUAGCCUUAACAUUCAGCAUAUUGAACAUUUGAAGCAUUUUUUUAAUGUAUCAUUUCUGACUCAAAUAUAAUCUGUUAGCCUUUUUAACCCUCAAAAUUUUCAUGCCAAGAAUUUUCUUUGUUGCACCUAAAUCUUUCAUCUCAAACUGCUUACUAAGUUGAACUUUCACCUUUCUGACCUCUACUUUGUCUUUGGCUGUAAUGAGCAUGUCAUCAACAUAUAAUAGCAAAUAUGUGAUGAUCUACCAUCUUCCUUUCUAAAGUACACACAACUAUCAUAAUUACUAUUAAUAAAACUAUGAGAAUUCAUGAAUGAACCGAACCUUUUAUACCACUACCUUGGUGACUGCUUUAAUCCAUACAAAAACUUUUUCAAUAAGCAUACAUUGUCUUCCUUUCCAGAAACUAUAAAACUCUCUAGUUGUUAAAUGUAAAUGUUCUCCUCAAAUUCUCCAUGCAAGAAUGCUGUCUUGACAUUUUUUUCUACUCAAACUCCAAAACAUUCUUGGCCACUAUACAAAGUAAAGUCCGAAUUGAGCUUUGUUUUACAAUCGAUAAAAACACAUCUGUCAAAUCAACAUUUGAAAUCUGACUAUAACGCUUUGCUACCUAUCUGGCCUUAUACUUAGUAUCUUCAAUCCCUAAUGUCCCUUCCUUUUUUUGAACACCCACUUGCGGUGAACAAAUCUUUUUUCUAUAGGUAGUUUCACCAAGUCUUAAGUAUUGUUUUUAUUCAAUGAUUCUAUCUCCUCCUAUAUACCAAUCAACAAUUCGCUAGAAUUACUGCAACUGACUACUUUGAAUAUGUAAAAGGUUUCUCAUUAGAGUCAAUAUCUUCAGCCACAUUCAAUGCAUAAGCUACCAAAUCUACCUCUCCAUACCUUAAUGGAGGUCUAAUCUAUCUGCGAGAUCUAUCCUUAACAAUUGAAUACUAUGGUGUUAACAUUGAUGUAGGCAAAGUAUGUAACAUAUUACUAUCUGUCAAUUAUGGACUAAAUUGCUUUGUAGUAGAUUGUUUUGAAACAUCUGAUUGUUCCUAUGGACCAAUUUCCAACCCCAUUUGAGUUGAAUGAUUCUAUUCAUCUGUUUUAUUAGAAUCCCCACGAGGUGGACCAUGAAACGUAGUAAGUUUAUCAAAUGCUACAUCUGUAUUAAUUACCACCUUUCUUGUUUCAAGACACAACAAUUUAUACCCCUUCAUACCUAAUUUAUACCCAAAAAUGAUAUACUUUCUAGAUCUAGGCUCCAACUUCCCAUUAUCCACAUGAACAUAAGGAAAAUACCCAAAAAUGUUCAAAUCAGAAUAACAAGAAUGUUUACCGGACCAUCUUUUUCAAUGACAGUUGAGGAUGAGCGAAUAAUAAGAAAACAAGUUGUGGCAGUAGCAUCAGCCCAAAAAGUCUUAAGCAACCAUCAGAAUUUGAAAGCAUACAACAAACAUUUUUCCAUCAAAGUUCUACUCAUCUAGUCUACUACACCAUUCUAUUGAGUUCAUCUGAACAAAACUCCAACCUAUUAUCUGUGAGUAAAUGUUUAACCUACAUUCCAGUCUGCUUUUCUAUCAUUAUUUUCCACUCUUUGAAUUUUCCCAAAUAUAUUACUCUUCUGUUUCAAGAAGAGUACACAAACUUUCUCGGAGAAAUCAUUAAUCACUGUCAACAGAUAAUAAGUACCUCUUCUUGAAGGCACCAUAGCCGGUCCCCAAAGAUUUGAAUGGAUAUAUUCAAGUAUUCCCUUCGUGUUGUGUCUUCCUAUAGUGAAUCUGAUUCUUCUCUAUUUACCAAAGACACAAAACUUAUAAAAUUUCAUCUUACCGGUCUUUUACCCAUCAUGAAGUCCCCUCCUACUCAAUUAUGCCAUACCAUUCUUACUUAUAUACCUAAGUCAUAUAUGCCAAAAUUUAUCAAUUUCCUCAUCAGUCAAAGAAAAAGUAAAAAUUGUUAUAUUUCCUGUAAUUGUAAAACCCUACAAAAUGUACAACCAUGUAGAGUUUUUUUAUCCUUUUAUGAUAGUAAGAGAACCUUGACAUACUUUCAAAAGUCUACAUUCACCAGUGUAUUUAUGACAUUUUGAGUCAAGUGAAUUCAAAGAUAUGAGAUUUCCUUCAGUUCUGGAACGUGCUUGAUUUCUGUAAAUAUUCUGAUAGCACCAACAAAUAUUCUAAUUUUGACUAUAUAAAUUCUAUCAAUUUGGCAAGGCAAGUUGCUUUCCAUAAUCACUAUAUCUCUCGGAACUCUUUUAGAUAUAGUAAACCAAUUCUAUUGGGACACAUAUAGAAAGUAGAUAUCGAGUCAAGAACCCAUUCCUCACAAAGUUGUAAAUCUAUUCAAAAAUCACAAGAUGUCCUCCUUUAUUUUGCCCAUUUUCCACAACAUCAGCCUUAGCAGUGUUAACAGGUUGUUUUCCCUUUUUAGUAGCACCAGCAUCAUUAUUUCUGUUUUCAACGAAUAACAAUCAACUUUGAUAUGUCCAUUCUUCUUACAGUAAUGACAUACUUUCUUUGGAUGUCUAAAUUUCGAUCUGCCCCUCAUAUUUUUACUAAGAUUCCUAUCUUGAUUAUUCACAAUAACAAUCAGGCCUUCAACCUAACUCCCAAAUCCUCUAGAAAGAUGUCUCUUCUUCUCUAUAGAUAGUAAAGUAUCAUAGACCUCUUCCACAGUAAGAGUAUCCCAACUAUAGAGAAUAGUUCCUCUAAACAUCACAUAUAAUGGUGACAACGAGCACAACAACAUCAAAGCCAAGUCCUUCUCAUCAUACUUAACCUCUAAUGUCUCCAAUUGGACACAAUUUCUUGGAACAUAAAUAAGUGAUCAUCCAAUGAUGCUUAUUCGGACAUCUGGUGAGAAUACAAAUGUUGUUUUAAGUGUAACUUGCUGAUUAAGCUCUUUGUCAUACAAAGUUGCUCCAACUUCAACCAUAACAUAGCGGCACUUUCUCUAUUCGAACAUUUGGAGGGAUUUGAUUUUAUAGAUGUAGCUGAAUUUUGGAUUGGGCUUUCUGAUCCCUACAUCGUUGUUCAUCCUGCAUCCAGGUUGAAUGCAUUUUAUCAAAGCCAAGCAAGAAUUUCUCCAAAUCUAUUUGUGCGAGAACUCAUCUCAUCUUUACUUGUCGUAAAGUAAAUUUCGUGUUCUAAUCCAAUAACAAAAUAUCAUAUUUCAUCAUUGCCAUGCGAACUAAUCAACCUUGCUCUGAUACCAUUUGUUAUGAAUUGAUUGCAAGAUAAUAACAAUUAUGAAAUAAGCAAGAAUAAAAUUAGAACACCAACAUUUAUGUAGAAACUCAAGAUGUGGAAAAAUCACAGGCAGAUGAGAAGAAAUCUACUAUAAUCAAUAGUAAUUAUGUUUACAACAAGAUCUCAAUACUCUCAACUAAGAUUUACAGCUCUCAAUAUGUGUAUAAAUGUUAUGGGAAAAAUAUGAGUCGUAACUUAUAUAUAUGAAAUCCUAGAAGUCAAGUUAUAGAUGAGAAUAGAAGUCCAAAAAUGCAUCAAAAUGAGAAAUGAACCUAGGCCGGAUAACCCUAUCGCUCCAGUGACAGGCGGGCGGUAGCCCUGCCACUCAAGCUUCAAGUGAGCAACAAGUCUCUGUAGAAAAUAUGUAGGUACCGUUUGAUAAGUAAGCUAGUAAAAAUGCAGUGACUUUUCUUCACAGUCCAUAAUUUUGAUCUCUUCAAAACCACUUCAACUAAGAUUCCAAUACCUACUAGAAUUUAACUCAUGUGUUGUCCGAGACAAAAACCGAUCGACAUCUUAAGGUCAAUGAGAAGGAAAAUAAAAAAGAACAUAGGAAGAAGAGAUGAAAUUGCAAGUGGAUUUACGGUUUGAAACAAGCAAUGUUUUAUAUUCUCAUUUUUAAUCUUGGGUCCAGGCCUAAAUUGAUUUUUGGCUAGGUAAACUUAUUUGGGCAGGGUAUAUUAAAAAUAGGUCAGAGGCUUUUAGGAUUUUUUUUUUUCAAUUAGACUGAAUUGGGAAAUCUAUUUAUUGUUUAAGUUAGUAAAUUUUCUAAUUUUUUCAAUCUAUAAAUUAUAGAAAAUAGGUCUGGUUCAAGAGUUCCAGAUCCAAUUAAAUUUUCUAUUGUUCCGAUUAAAUUAUCUACCUCUAAUUACUAUGGAAAUUGUUACAAAAGGCUAGAGGCUAUUGUUGCUACUCGAAUUUCAAUAAUAACUAAGUCCCUACAACUUACUCAUAGCCCAAUAAAGAUCAACCAAUACCACCAAGGGGAUCAUUGUUGUGCAAUUAAUUCUUUUCGGUAAAAAUCACAAUGUCUCUACAAGAUCUUAUGGGUUUGUUGCACAAAUUUUAUUAAAAUUAUUUUUCUCUGAAAACCAUUUUCAACCACAUAUUCGGUGAUAUUCACAAUUUCUUUUUUCACUUUUCGACCACACAUUUUCAUUUAGAAAAUUCAUGUCAAAUUUAGAAAUAAUUCUCAGUGACGGGAAAAUCCAACUGCAACCACAUAUAAUAUAGACAAUUCUACAAUUUUUAGAUAAAAUUGAAGAAACUAAAUACAAGCCUUUUAGCAAUUUUGAAUUAUGCUAGACAUUUUAGUAAACAUUUAGGAGAGGAAGUAGAAUCACUGUAUAGUAGAUUGUCUAGCAAAGGACAAAGAUAUUUUAAUCAAUCAAAUGUAGAGCUAGUUAAAAAGAUAACAGAGGAAGUUAGAAAUUUACUGCCAUUAGAAUUACUUUUUGAUAAUAAAUAUAAAAUAAUAGAAACAGAUAGAUGUGAAUUAGGAUUGGGAGGAAUUUUAUAUUCCAAACCAAAUAAAUAUAGCGAUAAAAAAGAAGAAAAGAUUUAUAGAUAUGCCAAUGGAAAAUAUAAAAUAAAAGGAAAACACUUCACUAGUUUAGAUAAUGAAAUAAUGACCACCAUCUAUAGUAUAGAAAGCUUUAAUUAUUCUUAAAUACUGAAUUUAAAAUUAGGACGGAUUGUGAAGUUAUAGUAACAUUUAUUAAAAAGACAAAUUUUGAUAAAAUAAGACAUAAAAGAUGAUUAAAAUUAUAUGAGAUAUUGAAUAGCUAUAAAAUCAAUAUUAAACGCAUAUACAGGAAAAAUUAUAUAUUGAUAGAUAAUUUAAGUAGACAAGUUAUUAAUUUACUAACCCAUUAUUUUCAUGGUGCAAAAGGACCAGAUGAUGAUGAACUUUGAGGAUGUCACUCUAAGAGAGACCCCACAAGGAUCUGAUAUCUAAUUCAAAGGAAAUAAUUUAGAAAGACUUCCAAAAAGGGAGCGUUGUCUACUAGAUAAUCUUUGGAUGACACAUAACUCUAAGCAAAAAUUAGAUUGCAAUAAUGCCCUAACUAAUUAUUUUAGAUAGCUUCAUAAUCAAGUAAAAAGAAAAAAAAUUUAGUUUCAUUGCAGUAAUUAAGGAUAAAAAUCUAGGCAUAAAUAAUUAUUGGCCAAAAGUAUUUCAAUAAGUAGAAAGAUUUCCAAAACCCUUUUUCAAAGGAUUUUACAAAUUAGAAGAAGUUUUAAAUUUCUGUAGAAAAAUGAUAGGAUUUAAUUUUUAUAAAUUUGUAAGAGUUAGACAGGGUAUGACCAUACAAAACGUUACUUCCCAACCAUCAUCUUCAUCUUUAUCAAUGCAACUUUUUGAUAUUUGUGAAACUAUGACCAAGGUGGUUAAAAUUUUGAAUCCUAGAAAGCAUUCAUUAGAAAAAAAAUGCUACAAAUCCUUCAAGAUGAAGUCUCUUCAUCUCAACGGGCCAUUUGUAAAUAUCAAAACAAAAUUUUUUACCGACAAAAUAGCUUAAAAAGACUAAGUUCUAAGAAUAUUUAUGAAAGACCCAUUUCCAAAGAUAUUGCUUCUAUAAGUAGAAAUUACUCUUAUAAAAUAGAAAAACUUAUUGAAUUAACUGACUCUACAACAGAAGGGACAAGAAAAGACUUUAUAUGAGUUAUAACAGAAAAUUGACAUUGUGCCAACAUUGUUCGAGAUUAUAUAAAGAAAUCAAUCGUACGUAAGAUAAUUGAUUUUUCUUAAUUCUGAGCUACUAUCACAACGAAAAUCGAUAUUUUCUUAAACAUGGCCCCAAAUAUGAUUCAUCUACUAAAAAUUCAACUUUUUUUAGACACAAUUAUGCUACAAUUUCCUUUGACUAUGCAAUCUUUGAAGAUGACGACUUUUUUUAUCGAGCCUUAUGGUUUGGCAUGACAGACACUAUAUAGUUUUAAAUAUAUCUUUCGUAUUUUUUCCACCUAGACUUAAACAGAUUCUUGAUCAGCUAAAAAAUCACCCUUUGAUGAUCCAAUUCAUUUCCAGACCACCUCUUGUAAAUAAUGGUAUAGUAAUUACAGUUUAUCAUUAUAUUUUAAUAUACGAAUGAGCUAAAAGAUUUAGACAUUAUUCGAAGACAAAUACUAAAGUAAAAAUUAGACAAAUUGAUUAUAAAAGACAAAUCUUAGAAAUCAUGACGAUGAUAGAAGUUCAAAAUAAUAAUUCAAGAGCUAAUUGUAGCUCCAGAGCAAAAUAAUGAAUAUAAAAAGCAUUCGGAUUCUCUUUCAAAAGAAGUGCAUUGAGAGCAUUGUACUCACCUCAUAUAUUACUUGCCCUAUCAUAACCUUGACCUCUAAACUAAAUAUACUUAAGUUAAAUCUAGAGAAUAAGUGAUUAAUAGAAUCCUUAAGUGAGAGAGAGAUGUGGUACUAUAGAUAGUUAAACUCAAAUAAAACGUUCCAUUAUUUGUCCUUUCUGAUUCACAUAACGUAGAACAAUUGACAUUUGCUCCUUCAUUGAUACAUUAUGAGAUUCAUCAACAAGAAUGAAAAAUAACCCAUUACCAAUAUCCUUCACAAUAAAAUUAAGUGUUUCAAAUGCAAUAGCAUUUACAAUAUCUUUUUGAAUUUUAGGUGAUAUUAACUGAAGAUUUUCGUGAGCAUUCCUCAAAGAGACAUCCUUAAUAUCAUUAUUAUAAUCACAUAACCACUGUAAUAGUUCAAGAAAAUUUCUUUGAUUUCUUGAAUCUCCAAAUUUGUUAUGUCCACGAAAUGAAAGCCCUUGUCAUAGAAACAAUCGGACACAGCCAUUUGACGCAUUCAAAAGAAUUUGAUACUCAUCUUUUGUUCAUUUUGACUUCUUAAAGAGAACACAAUCAAUAUUUUGUUCCUAAUUCACAAAGGCCUCAUACUUAAUCCGCGCUCGGUUAUGUGCACUACAAUUUUCCCAACAGCAGUUUGAAGCCUUCCUUUCUUUUUCUAGUUGGAGAAUCCUCCAUCAACAAAAGAAUCACACCCACCAUGUUCUUCACUAUUUGGGUUGAAAAGAUAACAAUAAAAGAAAAAAUAUGACAUCUUUUGCUAUAAUGUAUUCCAACCAAUCAGGACAGUUAUUAAACCAAGAAGUUUUUAAUCACCGUAACAACAAAUCUCCAAAUUCUUUCCAUGGACACAAGUGAUUCCAAGCUAACAUGGACCCCUUUGUACGUAUACUCUUCAAAUUUCAUCCUAAACACUAACAUUAUAAUUCCCAAUUUGAGUUCUUAAUCUAAGAUCCGAAGGCAAAUGUGCUAAAUAAAUUUUAUCUCGAACAUUUCUUUGACUCCUAGUCUCUGAUUCUUCUGAACAUCUUUUUUUUUUUUUUUUGAACACUCGUUUCGACAAUAAUUUGGUCUCCGCUUGAACAUACGGAUUUUUGUUUAAAAUAUUUCUCCAUGACUGUUAAAAAAAAAUCAAUACAUAGAUAAAUAAAUAUCAUAUUUCAUUUUUCAUCAAAACAUAACAUUAAAUUCAUAAUAAAGAGCAAUUAAUUUCAUAAACAAUUUUAAAUCACCAAGUUAGAGAAAGCCAAUACUUACUUGGAAUUGGAAUUGAGAUUUGUAAUGCCCUGAACUCUUUUUCAUUAUUAUUGUUAUUUUUAAAUAAAAAUGAAAAAGAGUUCGGGGCGUUACAGAAUGGUAUCAGAGCACGACUUUAGCCGAUUCUAUAGACUUGUCAUUUAUUUAGAAAAAAUAGCAUAUAUUUUUUUUAAUCUUGUUAUGUGCUUUAUGUGUAUAACUUUUUUUUUUCCUUAGAAUGAUAAUUUAUUUUAUUUUGAAGACAUAGUGGUCUGUGUGUUAAAAAAAAUGAUGCUGCCAUUUUUUUUUCGAACCAAUAGUUAGUAAAUUUUCGAAAAAGACGAGGAAAACUUUUGUUGAUUUUUUUCUGUGUCAACGAAGCCAAGGUUUCUGCAGUUGGAUUCUAAAUAAUUUUCCUUUCCUUGCUCAAUAUUUUGGCUAUUGGUUUGGUCAAUUGGUCUAGAGUUUUUAUGCUAUUCUGCCGUCGAUAUAAAAUCCGAUAAUAAGACCAACGAAGAUAAAAGAUUCUGCAGCAUUAUUGAGCUAUUUACCAAAUUUACAUGCACUAAUUAAUUAAUGGUUUGUGUUUAACCAAUGUGGCAGUGAUUUAUAUGUUAAAGUCAUCAUUCAUUCAAUUUCUAUCCUGUCAUUUGCGUUUAUCAUUAGUAAAGUAUGCCUAGAUCCAUGGAAGCAUGCCUCUGUUGCAAACUUAAAGUAGUUAAUAUGACAGCCAUUCACGUUUAAAUGAAGUAAACUGAAAAUAUGCCAGGACAUCGAAAGACUUUUAUAUUGAGUAAAUUCUUGCUAAAAAAAAUGAUGGUAUUAGCAUGAACACCGUUGCACUUUGUUACAAGCAUGGAUUACGGUUUCAUAGUUUUAAAGGAAAUGAUUAUUAAUAUUUUAUUAGUUACCUGCCAAUAAGUGUCUACUUGCUAUUUUAUUAUAUUUUAUACAUCAUGAGAUUUUUAUUAAACAAGUAUUGAAGUAAGAUCCAGGCUCGUGGCAUUAGCGCUCGUCAAUCUACUACCGUCCGAUGAAUCCAAGGUAUGAACGAAAUGUUAUGUUUAAGCUUAAUUUCAAGCAUGAUUUAUUAAUCAUUUAAGCUUGAUACGAUGAAAUGCUUAUAAUGUUAGAAAGAAAUGUAUUACGCAAGUUAUUAUUUUUGUACAUAAAGAUACGAUGGUUAGUCAUUUUAUUUAAAAUUACAAGAGCAGAAUGCAUAAGUUGAUUUAUAAAGAUAGAGCAUAAUUGAAUGUUUAUGUGAUAUACAUGGAUAGAACUUAUCAAGACACUAGAAAGAAGAGAAAUAGAAGUCACGUAUCGAGAGCUUUUGGAUUAAAUAAGAUAAUUUCGAGGACGAAAUUAAUUUAAGGGAGAAGGGAUGUAACACCCCUCAUUUUUUUACUAUGUGAACCUGAACUUAUUAUUUAGCAAAUGAAAAUGUGAAGAUUUGUCAUUACAUUAGAAGUCCAAAGUUGAAGUGGUAGACUUGACUCACGUAUUCGUAUAAAUAAUUUAUUUGCUUACGAGUUAUGAGCACUUUUAGAAAAUUAUUUGAAUAAAAUAUUUAAGUAUUUUUAAAGUUGAUGAAAAUAUACUGAUAUUAUACUCAUUUUGUAGCUCGUGUUAAACAAUAUAAUUUGAGCUUCAGAAAAAAUAAUUUCGAGAUAGUUAUGCCCAAGUUAUUCUAAUAGAAAGAAAAUUAUCAUUCUCAAAUAUUAUAUUAAUACAUUUAUAAUAUAAAAUAAUAACCAAAUGAAUAGUUUCAUUGUAUGGUUACGUAAUGUCAUCCACUCUAAUUGAUUUAGAAAUUUAUAAUACAUUCCAUAACCAUGACAUUAACUCUAAUUAAACGUGGAGGUGUCCUUUCAAAUUUAUAACCGUAACCAUCCCGUUCACUUUAAUUGAUUUUCAAUUAAAUCAUAGUUGUUUAAUUACAUUAAUCCUCAAUUAAUGAUCAGGUGGCUUUUCAAUUUGUAACCGUAAUCAUAAACGUCCACUUAUGGUGGUUUAACUCCAUUAUCCUUCCAUUAACUUGAAAUGCCUUUUGAUGUUAAGUAAGUUACGUGUGUGGAAUAUAUAAAUAGGUGUAUUUGAGAUGAAAAUUAUAUUCUACAACAAUAGUAUAUUGUACACUCCACACCACUAAUAUUUUUAGAAUUUAAUAGAGUAUAAUAUUUAUAUCUUUUCACAAAGUCAGUUUCAAGUAAAUUCGUGGAUAUCAAAUUGGGGUAAGAAUACAUGGUGCAAGUGGUAAAUUCUUAAUCCUUGAUAUAUAUGUAAAUUUUGGCAUGAGAUACUUUAAGGCCUUCGGGUCGAAUGCUAUGUUAAAUCCUUCGGGAUAGACCGUUAGGUCAAAGAGAAGAAGUUAAAUCCUUCGGGAUAGACCUUCAGGUCAAAGAAAAAAAAUUAAAUCCUAUGGGAUAUGGGGAUUCUUAAGAAAUUCCUAAGAAAUGUCGGUAUGUUAUGCUAUUUUUAUAUUUAUAUCAUGUGUAAAAGGAUGUGCACGUAUUCUUAUUGAGUGUUUUCAAAAUACUCACUCUUACAACAUUUUCAGAUAAGAACGGGUCAUGAGGACGCGUGGAAGAUUGACGGAGCGAUGCUAAUGUGGUCGUCAAGUAAAAUUUCUAGAAAAGACAAUCGUCAAUUUAUAUAAAGAAUAUCUUUGUGUUAAUAUUUAUGCACAAUAUUUAUUAUGUUGUUUAAUAAUUUGAAAUUGAAUAUUUUCGAUAUAUUUCCGCUUAAAUUAGAUAGAGAAAAGUUUUGGUAGCACCUUGAGCUCAUUUUUAUUUAAAAAUAACAAUAAUAAUGGAAAAGAGUUCGGGGCGUUACAAGAUUUGACUUUCGAGAAUGGUUCUAAUAUUUCCAGCUCUGUAGUUGUAGCUCUUGUAUCUUGUAUUUGUUUUGUUGAAUAAUUAUUUUUAGUCAUCCACUACAUUGAAACUAUAAUUUAAACAGUUGAUUGUUCCUAAUUUCAAAUAUUAGACUUCACAAUAUUUUAAAAUUUAAACAAUUGAUCGUUCCCAAAUUGUAAAAAAUCAGUUCCAUACUUCCAUUAUUUCAUACCAAAUCAGUGAAUAUUUUCAUCCAACAUUUUCAAUUCAUCAAUUUUAGACAUGCAAAUCCAAACCCUACAUAAAUUUUUCACUGUAGUCGAGUAGCAGUAAGCUACUAACCUAUAGGCUAUAACAGGGACUGGAGAACGGCUGGGUGGAAGGGGUUUUACUUUUAUUUGAUUUGUGUACUGUAAGUAAUAAGGAUGAUGUGUCGAUGGCGAAGAGAAAACUGGCAAAGACGAGAGCUAGAGAAGAGAGACGACUGAUGAGUCACGUUUGGCGGUACGGGAAAAUGGGAUUUGGCCAUUUGGGAAUAUUAGAACCCAUAUAAGUUGGAUUGGAUAAAUCAUUAAAUGGAUUACGGUUAUGGAUAUAUGGAAUACGGAUAUAGUGAAUGGAUUUGGGCUUGUCAGCUACUAUUGGAAAAUUGAGUCUGGCUGUCUGGUAGUUGUUAGGUUAUUAAAAAAAUCCCAAAUUUGUGGGGUCAUUUGACCCCACAUGACCCUAUGUGGGUCCAUCCCUACAAAUAAUGUCUAUUUAUCUAAAAAUAUCAUAUUUUCUAUUUCAUAAAUUGGGAAUGAUUCAUGCAAAUCAUGAUCAGCUUCAAUUUUGUUGUUGAAUAUUCGUCCUUCAUUGAUCCGAUGUUCAAUCUUCAAUCAAUUUACAAGAUUCUCAAAAUUGUAAGAGUUAAAAAAAAAAUAGAUAAAUCAUGUGUCCCGUAGGCUCACAGCUUUGAAUCUAAUUGAAAAGAUAAUUAAAUUAAAUGAUGGAGUCGUAAUCCACCUAUCUUUUUAUAGACAUGAAAUUACAAAAUACAUCAAGAACUAGUCACAAAUAAUUAGAUCACAGUUUAAAAUAAGUCAAUCAUUACAUAAUUAAAUAUUUGUAGAUAUCGCUCGGCUAGAACAUUCAAUCAAGAUUCAAAAAUAAUAAGCACGUGGACGACAAAAUUGCUUCGAUACCAGUUGUGAGAAUGCAGAAGCCAAAUUACUCAGAAAUUUAAAAAAAAUUAAAUUCAAUAAACAAGAUCGUCUAGAUGUUCACGUGUACGUUAUUCAAGAAUAAAUGAUUCGAAUCGUUUCCUAAAUUCGAUUGGUAAUUUUUGAAUUAAUUUUAAAUCACAAACUUCCAUACUUUUGGAUUACGGGCUUCCAGUUUUUAUUUGCAAGAACUCGAUGUUUCAAAUCUCCAAGUCUUUUAUGGUGUUCUCCAAAGUCAAUACUACACAAUUGGCGGGCACAUUAUUUUAAUAAAAUCAAGAGAUUAAUUCUUGGACGGGAUAAAUUGAACAAAAUAAGAACAUAAUUAUUUUCUCUUUCCAGAUUUGAAUACUUUGGAAUUAUGCAUUUUGAUUGCUGUAUUCUAUAGGAUAUCUAGGUUCCAUUAAUCUCUAUUUAUAGAGAAUAAAAUAUUUUCAAUCCUUUGUACAAUAAUAAUUCAACAUUUAAAUAUAAGUCCUAAUUAAUAUCUAAAUAGGAGUUUUAAUUAAAGUUCACAUCCAAUUAAUUUACAUUUAAUUACUUGUAUAGUCAUAGAACUUCAAUUGCAAUUAUAAUUAAGUUUUCAACUUUUACAGCAAUAGUGGAUUUGUUUCUGCCUUUUGUUGAAUCUUUUCCAUGGCUCUGCUUUUACUUGAGAGGGGGCGGGGUGUGCUCUUGGCAUAGAGAAUAUCACUUAUUCUAGUGUUCUAAUCCUUAAAAUCAGGUACAAAAUUGAUUGGUGGUAGAGUCGUGAAAACUUUUAUUUCUUCCAUAUUUUAGACCUUAGCUCGACAUUCACUAUUAAGAUGAGAUAUCAUUAUCUCUAUCUCACACUAAAGGGAAAUUAACAACAAAUAUUAAGUCCAAAAUUAUUAUAAUUAUAGUAAUUAAGACCCAAUACUUUACAGAGCUACCACCGGGAUCUGAUGGGACAUAUAUUAUCCAAGUCCAAUAAUUAGAUCCUGUCUAGUCGGCCGUAGACCACUCAUUCUAAUUAUUAUUCUUUCUUUUUUCACUAGAGGUAAAAGAUUGAACUCUUGGGAAAUAUAAGAUUAAAAAAAUCAAUAAAUCUUUAAUACUUUCCUUUAUCAAUAAAUAUAGAUUUAAUAAUUAGAUACGAACAUAAAUGACCAUUUUGCUGUUCUAAUUAUUCUCAACAACUAAGUAUCAUUUUCUUCAGUUGUUAUGUGCACAAUUCAUAGAUGUCGAAGUUUAGUUAUCACUAAGCACUGAACUAAGAUUUUAAUUUUUCAAUAGAAAAUAAUUAAGUAGUUACUCUAUCCAUUUUUCAAGGGCGAUGGUUCUCGAUAUCAAUUCAUAUUCUCUACUUCGCUCAUUUUGAACUCCCAACUUACCGAGAUAUUUGAUCAAUCAAAUUGAUCUCACCUAUUGAUAAGGCAAAGAAUCAUUAAAAUCACAAAAAGAUAUAGGUAACCUUAUCAAAGUAUCCAGUGAAAUACACAGCGAUCAAAAGAAAUUUAGUUCUCUGUACCGUUAUGCCAAAGAAUUAAACUCGACACAUGGUCCAUUAAAUAUACUUCAAGUGUACUAGUGUCACCUUUAACUAUAUCUAUGAUAAGAACAAAUUGCAAAUCCGAAUAGUGAAUUGGUCAAUAUCACAAUCUUUUAAUACAAGAUGUCAACCCUUAUACAUUGACUGUGAAUAAAUUAUUUAUGAUCAAAAUUUAAGUUGUGCUACACUGUAUUUCUCAACACAAGUAUCCAACUUAUAUUAUAUCAAGUGAUUAGAUGCACUUUAAUUCUCAUGCUCAAUAAUAAAUAAAUGCAAUAAAAAAAUAAAAUCACUUUAUUAUGAAUUAUUAUUUUAUCAUAAUAAAAUAUACUAUAUGGACACACAAUCCAACAGCUGCCUAUGUCCCACAACUUUUAACGACUUGCCAAUAUUCUUUGAACCUCAAGAAAUUCUCCAUGUGAGUGCUCCAAUGAUCAUAAUGACUAUCAAAGCGUGCAGUUGCAAGUUGAACAAAAUUUUCAGAGGCAAUUUGGAAACGACUGCUGCAAAGAAAGAAAAAAUUUAUUGCCACAGCACACUUUCUUUCUCACAUUUCCAUAACUAGGCUCUGUACCACUAUUAUAAAUUGAAAAUUAAAUACGAAAUGUGAAUGGAGAAAAAAAAAAACUUUCAUACUAUUGGCUUAUUCAAUUAACAAAAUGGCCCUUUAAAUAGACAAUACAUCAUUAAAAAUAAGCUGAAAAAUCGCAACUGACGCUCUAUGAUGUGAUAUAAAACUAGCAAAAAUGACUAUAACUAGGACAACAUAACACAAUAUAACAAACCACGUGAAAGACAAAUUUGACAAUCCAUAACAAAUACGAAUUAUAAUCCACUGAAGCCCCUUUGUUGGAAAAUAAAAAUGUCAUAUAAUUAAGACCAGGUACCAUAUGCAUUAUUGUUUUAUUGAUUAAUAAUAAUGUACUUUGAAACGGUUCCGUCCAUACCCACCACAAAUAAAUAAAGGACCUUAAUCAUUUGGUACCAUCAAUGUUCCAACUUUCAAAGCCUUAAUUUUUUGCGUUAUAUUUGAUCUUCGAACCUAAAAUUCGACAAGAUUAAAGAAGAAAGAGACUUAAGAUUGCUUGUCAAUUGUUUUAUUUAUGCAGGGCAACUCGUGUGAAUUAAUAAAUUAAAUUAUAAACUCAAACGAUCUUCUAAUUUUAUCUUUGUUUAUAAGAUUUACGAGAAAAUUAAGCUUGAGAACCCUCAAUUCAAAAGAAUGUCAAAAGCAAAAAUGUUGAGAGGCUCAAAUUUAUUCAAUAAUCCAAGAUUGAGUCGACCCUAGUGGACAUCAUUUAUAUAGUUCAAAAUUUAGUCUUCAUGAGGGCUAGGGACCUUGCUUGGGUGAAGCUCAGAUUUUGUUAGAAAAAUAUGGUUCUUUGUCGAAAUCCAACUCUGUUUAACUAGCACUUAGCUGUUGAUCUAAAACCGAAUAAGAAUUUGUUUUAAACUUAAAAUGUUCUCUAGAUUAGUAGAAGGCAUAUCCAACUGAAGUGUGCACACGUAAAAUAAGAAGAAUAGGUUUUUUAGAAUAGUUAUGCUUGUGAGCAUUGAAAGUAACACUCCAUCAAUGCUCUACAUGGUUUUCCAUUAAUUUUUGUAGACGGGUCUCGAGAUGGUCCCAAGUUUCUUUGAGGUUCACGUGUGGUCUUACUUGGGAUGUUUCGUUAUUCAUCUAUUGUUCUUUUUUGAGGAUGGGGACGGAGUUGGAAUGUUCUUUGGUAGUUUUCAAAAGUAAAUUAUGUAUAUUUUUAAAUUACUUAUAUUAUCAAAAAUAAUUUUUCAAGUUGUUCUAUGUGCUAAAAAAAAGUUAUUGUUUUAAGGGAAAUUUUCAACAUUGAUACAAGUGAAUCUAGAGACUCCAAAAAUAAAGUGAAAAAGCUAUUAUAAAUGUACUCCAUGGGAAACUAUAUGUUCAGAGUUCCUUCCAUUUAUAUUUCCUAUCCUGGAAUUGUGCACUAUGCGUAGUUGAAAGACAUGAAAUGUUGUGAUUUACAUCCAUUAAUUCUUGCACUUUUACGAUUAAUUAACACAUAAAUGUGCUAAGUACCCUUAUAUUGUGAUUUAGGUUGCAUUUGGAUGAUCAUGAAAUAAAAUAGAAGAAAAGAGAGAAAAAGGACUUAAAUGGAAGAAAUUGAAAGUUCAAGGACCAAUUUGCAAAUAAUCUCUAGAUGAGACGAGCAAUGGAAUGAAGAUUAAAGAUGGUGCGGGAUCAAUUGGAUGCAAUUAGAAGUUGAAGGGUUGAAAUUGCAAGAAGAAUGAUUUAAAAGAAUCAAAAAUGGAAUUCGAGAUUAAAAUACAACUUUUAGAAGAAAUUUUGCCUGGGCAACAGCCCAGUUAUAAAGUUCGAGCUACUGUCCAACACUAAAAAUCAAUUACUGAAGCCAAAAGCCAUGCCUGAACGACUGCCCGAGUUUUGCAUGAGCGACAGCCCAAGUCAAUUGUGACGAGAAAAAUUUGGUUUCCUUUUCUGAUUGAAAUUUUUAUGGAAACAAAUCUUGUACAUGAUAUACCCAAAAUCUCGUCCAAAACCUAGAGAAUGCCCCUAGCCCUAUUUUUUUUCUCUCUCUUUGUGCUCAAGAUCCAUGAUGUGCAACUAAUUUCUUUUGCUUGAUCGAAGGAGACGGAAGCCUUGGACCAAUUAUAACUGUGAGAUCCAUUUGAUUUUUAUUGAUUAAUUCAUAUAUUUAGUGUUAAAUCUUCUUUUGCACUUACUUCUAUGAUUGUUGUGUUUAAUUUCUAGAGUGCACGCAAGUUUAUUAGUUUCAAUAAUCUAUAGCUAAGUUAAAUAUCAAAUUCGUAAUUAUUUGAUUAAUUUAACUUAUGAAGCAACUAACAUUAGUAAUUUGCUGCUUUAGAAAAUUAUUAGAUCUUAGGGAGAAGUUUUAUGUAGGUUAAAUGCAAACUCUUGGCUUGGGUUAUCUAGUUCAUUGAUUUCUCUAAUUCGCAAAGCCAUUAUGAAAUUAAAUUCUCGCACUUGUCUAGGAUUGUUUGAUAAUGAGGAUUAAUUAGAUUGCUUGUUUCUAAUUAAUUAAAACUAAGGAAAAAUAGGAAAAUUGUUUCGAAUGAGAAAUUUAUUUUUCACAAUGAAGGCUACAAUUAUGAAUUGAUGAUUAUUGGUAGAUCAAUGACCGGUUAUUAAUUUCCAACGGUGUAUAUGACGUAGAUCAAGGUUUGUUUUAUUGCUUAUAUUUAAUUAGGUGAUUUGUAUUAUUUCAAGAAAAUCAAAAUCCCCUAUUUUAGUUAAUAUUGCAUCAAAAAGUAAAUUAACCACUCUUCGUGGGAUCGACCCUUACUUCCACUACUACAUUAAUUUUAAGAAGUAUAUGCUUUAAUUUGGAGUGCCUACGACAGCACGCAUCAUUAGUGUGCUCCCAAAUUUGACUUAAGGUCGCAUUUCAAGAAAUGUGACUUUGCAAAUGGAGGCCUUUUAUGAGAUUUUGACACUUGGCACAAUCCUGACCAUUUGAUGACGAUUUAGGAUGGUUUUAGGGUUUGUCUAUAUGUACAUUGGGGUUGACAUGUACCAACCCCUUAGAAGAGGGAGGCCACGAUUUUUUUAUUUGUCGUGGGGCCCCCUAUUGUGAGGGGGUCUGUGCACCAGGGUAUUAACAUCGGUAUACAAAUAGAAAAACCUGUAGUUUUAUUGCCUUUACUCUCUGUUGUUUCACUUGAAAUACUUCAUUCUACCUUUUCAGAUUUCUGCAAAGAGAGAGUUUACGCUCGUUUGGUAAGGGUUUCAUCUUGAAUCAUUUUCUCUCUUGAAAAUCUCAUUCGCAAUUGAGAUCAAUGUUUUACUUCCUUUGAUUCUUGUAUUUUCUGAGUGGUUCCUAUAUUGUGUUGUUCAAAGUAUUGUUUUGAGGCUUCUUUUAUGAUUCCUUGAGUAGAUUUUCAGUUUCAUCUUUGAGAAGAUAACUAUUGUGACUUUAUCUUGUAUUGGUUCAACGUUUAUAAGCUUUGUUUUCUUUCAAAGUUAAAUAGUGCAAUCGAGCAUUAUCCAUUUUAUAUGGAUAAUCAAUAGGGGAUUAGGUAUUAGAAGCAAUCAUCGAACCCUCGGAGCUUCAGCCGAAACAAUUCUUUGUGUUGAUUUUCAUUUCUUGCAAGCUUAUUUUCUACACUUAGUUUUAAGUUUGACAAAUAAGUUAUACCUUGUUGUUUUUGGGCAUUUGAGUAGUAUUAGAGCUUGGAUCUUGAAUUGCAAAACCAGCUCUUCAAGGAAACUAAAGAUCUUAAAGGGACCUCAAAUUUUUGUGCACCGUUUUGAAGGAAUCUGAGUUUUCUUAUAAAACUCACUUGAUAAGAUUUUUUAAAAUUAUGCAACCUGCAAUUUUAAAAAAUUAGGGUUUCUUGCUUUUUUCCUUAAUUUACAAUACCAUUACAAAAUAUCCCCUGGAUACUAUUAUUUGCCCAAAGUCUCUUAUGAGGUUUUGGAAAUCUGAGAUUAAUCUAGUACUGGUGUAUAACGGGAGGAAUAAAAAUUUGCGAUCUAUAUUUGUGAUUCUUGUGAUAUUUUUUGUUGCCUGUCCACUGUUAAGUACAUAUUCUUUGACUAAGUAAAAACUCUUGUAUGUAACUCGAAAUAUUAUACCAUUACGUGCACUAUUGUGAUCUUAAACUGAUCUUGUUUAAGUGUUGGUUCUUUACCGUGUGUCUUUCCCUAUCUCUAGUUAAACUUGCUUGUCAGUUUCUUAUUUGUGAUGGCCAUUGCUAAGUUCGAAAUGAGUCAGUAUGAUGGGAGGGGGAUUUUAAUAUGUGGAGUCAGAAAAAGAAAGGUAUCUUGAUGCAAAUGAGAUAUGCUAAGGCCUUAGAUAAUACUUGGCCUACUAGUAUGAUCCCUGCUAAAAAGAAAACAUUGCUUAGAGUACUAUGUUUUGUACCUUUCUAAAAUGUGAUUAGAACCAUUGGUGAAACUAAAACUGUUAUUGAACUUUGGACCAAUUGCAGGCUCAGUAUAUUACCAAAACUGUUCCAAAUAAGUGCUAUUUGUUGACAAAGUUCCUUUUUUUUUUUAAAUGGAUCCUCUAUUGACUUGGAUUAAAACUUGAAUAGAUUUAUAAAACUUACCAAGACGUAGCUUUUUGUGAUGAAAAACUUUCAAAAGAUCAAUUGGUUAUGGUCUUAUCAAACUCCAUUAGUGACAAUCACAGAGACCUCAAUAAUAUCCUUAAAUAUGGUACGGAUGAAAUCACUAUUGAUAUUAUAAUCAGUGCCCUUAGAAAUAGAAUUCUUGAAAUAAAAUCUAAAUUUAAAGAUCGUCAAAAUGGAGAAAAUUUAUUGGUUAAGGGUAGGAGCAUUGGUAAAUCUAAUUAUCACUCUAAAGGCAACAAUGAGUGUAAAAAGAAAUGGAGUGAUGAGAAUAAACUCUAAAUAUGUUUGACAUGUAUGACUGUAAACUUGUAACUUUCCCAUUAAUCAAUCAUUUUAAAAUUUCCUCCAAUUGCUGCCCUAAAACUGAGGAAGUGUAUGAUAGAAUGUCUAAAAUUCCUUAUGCAGAUGUUAUUGGGUCUAUCAUAUACUUGAUGAUAUACACUAGACCUGAUCUUGUUUAUAGCGUUAGUGUACCUGGCAAAUUUAUAAGUAACCCAAGGGAAGAACAUUGGGAUGCAUUAAAAUAGCUUUUGAAAUAUCUGAAAAGAACUUUGAUUUAGGAUUUAUGUUUAAAAUGAGGAGGUAACUUCAAAAGGUUGUACUAAUUUUGACUUUAUUGGAGAUAGGGAUAAUAGGAGAUUAACUUCAUCCUAUUUAUUGCGUGGAAGUUUCAAGAGAUCUUGAAUUCAAGCUCAGAAAAACCACUAAACGAAUACCACCCGACCUCGGCUCAACCAACACCCUUCUUUCACUUGGACUGGUUCAAGAUUUCUUACCCACAAAGGAUGAUGGUCGUGGUGACUACAAUAUAAAGCAAAGAAUGAAGCAACAGUGGUUGAGUUUCUCAAAACUCACGCCAAAAGUGUAUGUUGAUGUUCAUUUAAUGGUUUCUUGAGCCAAGAUUAAAGAUUUCUCAAAGUUUCUAAUAAUAAAUGGUAUCAGAGCUUAUGUUAUUGAGAAAUUUGUGAUUUUUUGGGUCAAAGAUCGACUGUAAAGGGCUAAAAAUGAAGCUGGAACAUGGUAGAAAGUAGGGAAAAAAAUCUAGAUACAUUGAAAAUCAUCUCUGUCGGAAUUUUUUUAUUUUUUGCAUUUCUCGGCCAGACAACUCAUCGUUUGGAGAAACCAACGCCAUAUGAAGACUGCGCAAGUGGAGGAGCACCUGGGAGACUGGCCUGUGAAGCUCUGGCAUGACGAUAGUUAGGCCACCUGCAAAGACAGAAGUCUCAUGUAGUGAAAGUCUGGCAGAGUUUGGUAACAACACUUGAAGACAAAAUAUUGCUGACAACGAGGUAGACCUUGCGAUGGUGCUUAUUUUCUGUUUGGUCAAAAUAGUUAAAUCUAGACGAUUUUGCCCUUGGACAUUGGGGUGUCGAUGCUUUUUUUGUUUGCUGUAGUUUCUGGAGGCUUUAAAGCGAAUGGUGGUGGCCCUAAAGUGAUGAAUUUUGUAUAUUUCUUUGUUUACAAACAAGCAAAUAUUGUCCACUCGGUAUCAUGUUCUUUCCCUUUUUUAUUACAAUUACGGCUAUCAUGGGGGUAGCCACCUACUUUUCACAUUAGAAGCCAAUGUGUGGGGUAACAUUAGGUUUGAGGCUACCGUGUGGGAAUAACCAUUGUCUGUUGCUAAACCUAAGAAUUAUUUUUUAAUUAUUUACCUUAAAUUCUUUGUGAAUUUAUUACUAAAUGUUUGUACACUGCUAGAAUUUCAUGUGACCUUAGAGAAGUUUGUUUGAUUAUUCGGUGUGAAUUGUGUCGUUACUUUGCUUGUGGUCAUAUUUGGUGUUGAUGGCAAAUGUAUGUCUAAGACAAUUGCAAAAAGUAAUGCAUUUUUGAACAUCAAUAUUUCGGACAUGUUGAAAGAGAUUGUCGUAGGAAGGAUAAUAGAAGGAAAAAUAAAGAGAGAGGUGAGGUAAAUGUUGCCACUGGGUUUGGCUAUGAUCCAAGUGAGGUUUAUUAAGAGUAAACUUGAAUAUUGUAUGUUCAUUUGUGUACAAUCCUUUCUCAUGUAUGGCCGCUUAAUUUUAUUAAGAUGUUAUAUGUUACAUUUUCAAUCUGUUUGACAUGUUUAAUUGCAUGAAUAAAGAGUAAUCUUAAUGCGUUUGUAUACAUAGCGUGUUGACGUCUAUGUCAUACUCUUUUUGCUCUAUGGUUGGUACAGGAAAGUGUGGUAGUGAAAAGAAAAAGGGGCCGCUACUUUCUCCUUUACAUUUGUGAGUCUAUGUCAUUUGUGAUAUUAUAUAGGGUAGCCAGGUGUAGGUUAUCCUCUUUCUCUUUAUGAGCCUUUUUAGUAAUGCAAUAAAGAACUAACUAUUUCUUAUAUUUUCUUUGUGAGUGCCACAUACACCCUUCUCUCUGUGAACUUCUUGAGAUUUAAUGAGGAAGAAAUCUUUUGGUACGUUGGUCAAUUUAAACUGAGCCCUAACCUUUGUGGUCACCAAAGGUGUCAAUUUUGUUGUAGUGGUGCUAACAGUAAGCGGGCUGUGUUUCAUUUGGUAAUGUGAAGUAUAGAUACCUGAGGCUGCAUUGGCGAUAUACACGGAUAUGUGGAGAGUGAAAUUUGGAUCACGAGUAAAAAUGUGAUAUAAUGUCCGGAAUCCUCUAUCUAUGAAAGACCUUGUACAAGUAAAGUGUGAAAGAGACACUUUUAUCACUUCUGUUAAGUAGAGACACAUUAUCCACUUAGGUUGAGACAAAUGAGGUAGUGACAGAAGAUUAUCUUGUGGAUUUAAAAUCUAUUGUGGUUUAACAAUUAGACAUGAAUUUAGUGAUCAAUCUAGUGAGCAUGGUGGACAGUGAGAGAAGAUAUAUGUUCUCGAGGUACAAGCAAUACGAAAUGAGAUAGGAUAAGUGUAGUGAGAUCUUUUCAUGGGGUUAUUUAUGCACUUGUUGCAUAUGUGUUAGUCGUUUGAUUGAUUAACUUGAUAUUAGUUUACUAUUUUGUUUAAACAUAUUUGAAAGGACUUGUAUGUUAUCCUAUUUUAUAUCUUCAUCACAUGUUUAAAUGCUUUUAAUUGAUUACUAUGAUUACUUGCUCCUAUUUGGGUAUUUUUUGAAAUCGGCCCUGAUUAGUGCAUUGAACAGGUAUGGUACGUCUUUCGGGUCGAAAACAUGAGUUAAGGUCUGUGAUUUCGACGAUGGUGUGAUUUAAUCGUUGUGUGGAAGCUUCGAAAAAUCUUUAAUACGGUCUCAGAAAAACCACCAAACGUAUCACCUGAGCUUUGCUCGACCCACAACUUUACACUUGGUUGUCUUCUUUCCAACACCCACAAAGGAUAGAACUUUGGUAAUUAAUGUGUACCCACAAAGGAAAAAGAGAAUAAAUGAAGGAAUGGUUAAACUCAAAUUUUACCUAAGUUGGUUACUGCACGUUUUCUCUUCACAAUUGCACAUUAACUCACGGCUGCAAAAAAUGAAGAGAUAAUGGAUGUAUACAGCAUUAGGUUAGAUUCCAAACUUGGGCCAAAUACUUUCAAUGGGCUAAGACAGAUAACAACUAGGAAAAAUUCAUAAAUAAGAUGUUAACUAUCACAUAUUUCAAAAUUAAGAACAAAAGUUUCAAAUUUAAAAAAUCAAAUAUUUAUUACAAUUUAUUUAUUAUUUAUUUAAUUAAUUAUAUAUUUAAUUAAUUAAAUAUAUAAAAGUCACCGAUGUAUGCAAUUUGGUCACAAAUUCACAAAUUUAGUUAUUUACAUAUUAUUUUUCGAUCACAGAUCAAAAUUUUAAUAUGUCAAAAAUUAUUUUAUGAUCACAAUUCAAAAAUUUUAUACGCCAUAAUUCGUUCAUCAAUCACAAAUCACGAAUAUUAUAAGUCACAACUUAUUGCACAACUUAUUGGAAAGUCACAAAUUAACAAUUUUUUAAGUCACACAUUAUUUCUUGGUCAUAGUUCAUCUCUUUCAUUAAUCACAUAUCAUUUAUUGAUCACAGAUUAAUUUAAUGGUCACGGUCAACCGAAUGAUUUGUGACUACCAUUAAUGCUUGUGACAACCAACUCACCACUGCCUCCAACAGCAUCACCAUAACCGUCGUCGUCGCAGCCUGAACCUCCAUCACCUACUACAACAAAUCUAACACAUUGCCAAAAAAAAAAAAAAAAAAAAAAAAAAAAAAAAAAUUAAUUUGUGACUACCAUUAAUGCUUGUGACAACCAACUCACCACUGCCUCCAACAGCAUCACCAUAACCGUCGUCGUCGCAGCCUGAACCUCCAUCACCUACUACAACAAAUCUAACACAUUGCCAAAAAAAAAAAAAAAACAAAACAAAACAAAACAAUUCAUUGCACCAAAUCCAUCGCUACCUUACCGCCACAACCACCGACAAACAACCAUUUUCAACUACAAAACCACCACCCAUCAACACAUCUAUGCCAGAUUCACUAACACCACCACCUCCAUCAACAAAACCACCAAUCCACCACCGAUCUAACACCACCAAACCCAAAUAAUUAGUCACAACCCACCUCUAGAACCACAACCUGGCUACUACAGCACCCGCAAAACGACCACACCAUCAUCGUACAUAUAGCACACAGCCAUUGCCAUCGUUAUAUCCAUCUCUUCUAUCUCAGUCAACACAACAACACUUCCACGCCCCAAACAAAAAAUCCACAAACUUACCGCUACCAUUGCACAUAAUACCACCUACGCCACUGUAGGCAAAAACACCACAAAACUAACGUAAUAAGAUAAAAGGAAUAGCCCGAACUCCAUCUUUGGUUGCCACACUACAGAAACAGUAAGUGGUGCUGUAAUCUUGACAUAGAAGUGAGGCAAAUGGCGUCCAAAUCUCAGGCAAAUGGCAUCCAGAGCAUGAGGGGUUGCUGCCCAUCGCUCACACAACAUCGAUAGCGUCGUGUGAGUGCAGCACCGCCAAUGUGAGGAUAAAGACAGAAAAGGAGAGAAACGAGAUAUAGAGAGAUAAAUGAUGUGAAAAUCAAUUAGGUUUUGGGAUGAAAAUUGUAUAUUUCAUAUUUAAAUAUGAAAUAUCUGAUUUGUAAAAUAUGAAACGUCCCACUUACUUUUAGAACAUAGAUCUUUAAAAGCAAAGUGGGGUAUGAUUUCCUCUAACCCUCUAACAACCAACCAAUUAGUUGGGUUAACACACAUAUCACUCUCCAAACCUAAACAACAAAUGGGAUAACUCACAAAUGGGUUGUCCUGAAUGAAUUGGUAGUUUUUGAGCCAAGCCAAGCACUAUGGUGUCGAUGAAUUAUCCAACAUAUAUUUUAAAUCAUAGCCAAAAAUUUAUUUGGUAUAAAAAAUCCAACACUAUUUUUAUACAGUUUGUGGUACUAUUAUAAUUUGGAAAUCACAACUUCAAAUGGUUGUGUCUCUAUCUUCAACAAAGGCAGAAUAUAUUGUUUCCAUCGAUGCCAUUAAAGAAGGUAUUUGGUUAAGUGAUUUGUUAGGUGAACUUGAUUUUGUUGAUGAAAAUACAAUACUAUUUUUAAAUGACCAAAUUGUCAUACAUUUGAGAAUAAAAUCCCAUGUUUUAUGAUAAAACUAAGCACAUGGAUAUUAAAUAUUGCUUCAUAAAAGACUUCAUUUCAAAAGGGAUACUUAAAUGGUAAAUUGUUACUCAAUUUAAUCCUUCAGAUAUAGGUACCAAAGUAAUACCUUUAAGUAAGUUUCAAAAUUGCUUGAAGUUAUAUGAAAUAUAAAUUUGAAAAAUCGAGAGAGUGCUUAUGUUGUUUCAUUCAAAGUGUUGGUUUGAGGGUUAUUUUGUGAUUUCUUGAGUAAAUCUACAGUUUCAUCUUUGACAAGAUUAGUAUUGUGACUUUAUCUUGUAUUAGUUGAAUUAUUGUAACCUUCAUUGCCGUUUUUGGGUAAAUAGUACAAUCGAGUAUUAUCCAUUUCAUAUGGACGUUCAACAAAGAUUAGGUGUUAGAAGUGGUUACUGACUUUGGGACUUCGACUGAAACAAUUCUUUAUGUUAAUUUUCAUUUCAUGCAACUUUAUUUUCUGUACUUAGUUUUGAGUUUGACAAAUCGCUUAUAGUUUGUGUCUUUGGGCAUUUCAUCCUCUAACAUGCAUUGACUGUAUACUUUGGAUUCGCUUAUCAUAUCCAAAAAAGGAAAGAAAUAUGCAUGUAUACAUUUGGUACGCUUCACUAUGAAGAAAGAAAGAAAUAACAAUCCCCCCUCAUGAUGUGGCCGAGUUGGUGUGAGCGCGGCGGCUUUUAGUCACAAGUUCGAUUCCCCCUAUCAACACUUUCUCGAUCAAAUUUGUCGCAUCGGGCUUGUCUAGUUCAAUUUACCUAGCUCGCUAUUACGUCAGCUCGAGGGCUUAACCAGUACGCACCCGAAAAGUAGCAGCUGUGAGUUCCCCGUCAUAAAAAUAAAAAAAAUAAUAAAUAAUAAUAAAGAAAUAACAAUCAAAAAGUGUAUAGACACUGAAGAGGAUGUUGUCAUCCAUCCCGUCUAUCUCGUUUCUAGAAUGGAUUGACGAACUAAAAUAUUGCUCUAUUGAAAUUCUAUUAUAAUUGUCAAUUAUCCCGUCCAACCCACCUAGGAUGAUCGAGCACAAAAAUGUAAAAUUUGAUAAACUUAACCUGGAACUUAUUGUCUGAACUUGACAGCUCUGAGAUGAAUCAUCAACAUAUAUAUUUGUUCAUACUUUCUACAUUGUACAAUGGAAUUUUAAAAUCAACAUAAAUAUGUUGGUUGAGUCAAAUAUACAAUAUAUCAAGCAUGCCUAUAGAAGUAGAAGUGAAAUUACUAAAAAUAUGAAUCUCCAAACUUAUUCAAGGGAUUUUAUUUUCUCACCCAUGGCAAUGGAUUUCUUGCAAUGAGCAAUCGCUGCUUGAAUUGCACUCUGCAACUCUUCCUUAGUACUGUCACAUGCUGCGGUAGGAGUAAGAGUUCCAUUUGCUACUAAUAGACCAUUGUUUGUUGGAGAUAUUCUCACUGAACUUGGUUCUGAAAACUCCCCCCUUCUUCCUCUCAACUUUGGCUUCCCCCUAAUGAGUAAAUUUCAGGAAAAUGAAUAGGAUUGCCUGUGUAAUUUAUUCCCUCUUCUAAAGAUCAGACGGGGUCGAGCCAUUCUCGCGUAUCUCUUCAAAAACCGACUUACAUUGAAUUUUAACUUCUUUUUCUGCCUUUCUUUACAUUCCUUUUCUCCUUUUCGCCAUUUCAAUAAGCUAAACAAAGAAAAAGGCUUGGAAUUUGCUCUUCCUUUAGCAUCAAGCUGGGAUCAAUAUCGUUGUCAGUACUGUUGAUUGUCUGAAUGGAUUCUAAUUCUUUUAUGGAUAGGGUAAAACUAUCCAAAGAGUUGUUCAAAGAACGAGGGGAUACCGGAAGGUGGGAGAGUAGAUGGAGAGGAAGCAAAUGGCCAUGGAAAAAUAUAUCAUCUGCUGGAGAUAAAUCUACGGCGAAUGAAGAAGUGUUCUUAUUAUUUUCUGAGGUUUUUGCAGGGGCUGAAGGAUGAAGAGAAAUGGUGAAGGAGAAUUCAUGAGAAGGAGAUGAAGAAGCUGAAGGUGGCAAGGUUGCUGCAAUUGGUUGCAGCUGAUUACUCUCUCUCUCUCUGCUGAUUUUCUUCAUGCUUCUCUCUCAUCUUAUGAUGAUGUUUGUCUAUGCUUCAAUGCUAAAAGAUAUGUCGGAUCUGAAGUUUUUCUUGACUUGCUUUGAUAUGAUAUUCUCUGGUUAGAAAUGUGAGGAAAUAUUUUUGAAGGGAUAAAGAUGUUAGGAAGUAAUAUAGUUCGUGUGUGAGUAUCAAGAGGAUAUGUAGGGCUAACGGGUAGGCGUUGGAUGUGGGUAUGGGGUUACGGAGUGGGACAGGGUUUCAUUUGUUUUUUGAAGGGAAGGGGACUGUUCUCGGCAGGUUUGUUAAAUGAAAUCCGUAUUUAAUAGUGCGUUUCAUAUGGACUCGAUGGGACAUAAUAAUAAUAAUAAUAAUAAUAAUAAUAAUAAUAAUAAUAAUAAUAAUAAUAAUAAUAUUGAAAGUGCUUAUGAACAGUCUAAAUUAUAAAUUAAUUAAAAUAUUGAUAAAUAAGUGGAUAAUUUUUAUAAAUCUUAUAAAAUUGUAGAAUAAGGAGAAAUUUGACCAACUAUAAUCAUUAUCCAAGCAUGAGUUCAAAAAUUUACAGAUAAUUAAAAUUUUAUAUUGUCGUAAAAUAUCCGAUAAUAAUGACUGAUUAGUUGAUAUUAUUAUGCCCAUGUUUGGUUUCACUAAAAAUUUAGAUUAAAAUUAAAGUUAAAGUCAACAAUUAAUUUUAACUACACAUUUUAUAAGACUCAUAACUUUUCAUCCAAAAAUCCCAUUAUCUUUUACCAAAAUUUUCAAAAAAAUCUGAUUUUAUCUAAACUAAACAAGGGCCAGAAGGAUAGAUAACUUUCCUACCUUAGAAGAAUGUUUUCUAUUCAAAUUGUCACUCAUUGAAACCUUAUAUAUAACAGUCAGUGUUAUGAUGAAAUUCACACGAGUUUUGAUACCCUUAUUUUCUUCUAUUGUUCUUGCUUUUCUUCUUAAUUUAAUAGCAUGUUAUCAGCACGAGUUCUAGUGAAUUUAACUAGGAAAAAAAAAUUCCCCUGCAAAAGACAAGUUAAGAAUCCGGUAUGAUAAAUUUGAUUAUGCAAUCUUAAUAUGAAAAUUAGUUACGAAAAAUUUAAGAUAUGCAUUUUGUCAUUACUUGUGAAAAAGAAUGAUCUAAUAUUCAAUUAAAUUUUUUUUUUUAUUUUGUGGCCUAAUAUUCAAUUAGAAUUUGUGGGGGUGGAUAUUGCAUUGUUGCUCCUGUAGACCACAAACUUAAAUAUCAAUAUCUAUAAAAUAUAUUAUAUGGCUCAAAAAUAUAUACACAUAUAUUUCAAAAGAAUAUGGUGUCGUUCAUGAAAAACAUAAAACUUAUUUCAUUGUGUUUAUGGAGAAGUACAAACUAAACGAUUAAGUAUAGUGGUAUAGUGUUGUAAUUCUUGAAGAAAACACUUUAUUAUUUUAUAAUAUUUAUAUGGUACAUUAUGUUAAUACUUCGGAGGAAGUAUAGUUUUCCUGCAAUAUUGUGAAAUAAUAUUUUGUUUUUAAUCUUGAUGAAACAGGAGUUUAUAUUGUAUUAUUGCUCCAGAAGAAAAAUAGAUUUCUUAUUUAUCAAUAUUUUUUAAAAACAUAGUGAUAUUCUUGAAUAAUAAAUUUUAUACAAACUAAUAUCCUACAUAAUUUGAAAUUUUAAAAUUUUCAUAAAAAGCUCUAGAAGGGCCAAAAGUUUAUCAUAUGGGUGAACAAAAUGUAAUACUACAUUAAUUUUCUCCCCAUUUCAAAUGAAUAAUGAUAUUAAAAAUUCACAUAAAUAUUAAUUAAAGAACCAAAAAAUUCUUUCAAUGAAUUCCUUGUGUUUUUAUUCUCAUGAUAUAAUGUUGUAAUGUGACCCAAAUUCUUGUGGUUAUUGGUGUUUUAGUUGAAGUGGUCUUGUAGAAAUCAAAAUUAUAGACAAUGAAGAAAAGUUGUUGUAUUUUCGCUAGCCUAACACUAGUUGGCAGCUCGGGCUGCACCAACAUAUUUUGAAUAGAAAUUUUUCACCCUUUUGGUGCUCAAACGAUGGGGCUGUCACCAUCUUUCGCCCCCCGUAGCUUGAGCGAUGGGGUCAUUAGUGCAGCCCCUCUUUCCAAGUUUUAAUGUCUUUUGGACUCUUGUUUAUCUUCAACUCAGUUUCUAGGGUUUUAUAUAAAUAAGCCACUACUUAUAUUGUUCAGAUAACACUCAUACAACAUCUUGAGAGCUUUAGAUCUUAAUUGAGAGCAUUGAAAUUUUGUUGUAAACAAAUUGCUAUUGCCAAUAGUGGAUUUCUCCUCCUCAACCCAUGGUUUUUUGCCAUGUUAAGUUUUCACGUAAAUCUUGCUGUUAUUUAUUUUGUUCUUGUUUAUUUCAUUACUGUCAUAAACUUUCGAUCAAAUUCGCAACAAGUGGUAUCAAAGUGAUUUUGGUAACUUGUUUGUUCAUAUCAAGUGAUAUCAGAGCCAGGUUGAUUAUCUAGCAUGGCAAUGAUGAAGUAUGAUAUUCCAUAAUUGGAUCGAAACACAAGAUUUACUUUAUGGAAAGUGAAGACGCGAGCAAUUCUCACACGGAUGGACUUGAAAGAAGCCUUGGUUUUGAUAAGAUGCCUUCAACCUGGAUAUAGAAAAAAAGCAACGUAGGGAUCGAAAAGCCCAAUCCCAAAUUUAUCUACAUCUAUCAAAUUAAAUUCUUUAAGAUAUUCUCAAGGACAAGAGUGCCUCGUAUUAUGGUUAAAGUAAGAGCAGCUUUGUAUGAAAAAGACAUUGACCAGCAAGCUUCACUUGAAACAGUACUUGUAUUUUCACAGGAUGUUCGAAGAUACAUCAUUGGAUGAUCACUUAACUAUGUUCAAAGAAAUCAUGGCCAAUUUGGAGACAUUGGAGGUUAAGUAUGAUGAGGAGGACUUGGCAUAGAUGUUGUUCUGUUCACUGUCCCCAUCAUAUGUGACUUUUAGAGAUACUAUCUUCUAUAAUCGAGAUAUUCUCACCGUGGAAGAGAUCUAUGAUGAUUUGCUAUCUAAGAAGAAAAUGAGGCAUCUUGUUCGAGGAUCUUGGAGUCAAGCUGAAGGCCUGGUCAUUCGUGGAAGAAGUCAGGAUCAAAAUCUUGGUAAAAAUAUGAAGGCCAGAUCGAAAUCGAGACGUACAGAAAAGUUAUGUCAUUACUCUACGAAGAAGGGACGUAUCAUGGUUGAUUGCUAUUCUUUUGAAAAAUGGGAAUAAGGUUGUCGAUCCCAUUGAAAGGGAAAAAUAACAUGUUAACACAACGAAAGCUGAUGUUGUGGAAGACACACAAAGUGAAUGAGAGCUUCUUGUAAUGUUUAACAUAGAUUCUAAACCUUGUGAGGAAUGGAUUCUUGACUCAACUUCUACUUUCCACAUGUGUCCUAAUAGGAUUGGUUUACAACAUAUGAAAGAGCUUCGAGAGCUGCAAUGAUAAUGGGAAACAAUGCGCAUUGUAAGAUUGUCGGAGUUGGUAAAGUCAGAAUCAAAAUGUUAGAUGAUGUUAUCAGAACACUUUUAGAUGUCAUGCAUGUUCCAAAAUCAAAGUGAAAUCUAAUAAGUUCGAGUACAUCUGACUCAAAAGGUCAUAAAUACACUGGUGAAUGUGGAGUUUUGAAGGUGAGUUGGGGUGCUCUUACUGUCAUGAAGGGAUAAAAAACUCUACAUAACUAUAUGUUUUGCAAAGUUACAGGAGAUACAACAGUCUCUACUUCUUCUUUGACUGAUAAAGAAGUUCCAAAACUUUGGCAUAUGUGACUUGUCAUAUGAGUGAAAAUGGUAUAGCAGAGUUUAGUAGGAGGAGAGGGAAUACUUGAAUAUAUACAUUCAGCUCUUUGUGGACCGGUCAGGGUACCUUCAAAAGGAAGUACUUAUUAUCUAUUAAAAGUGUUUGAUGAUUUAUCCAAGAAAGUUUGGGUAUUUUUCCUAAAACAGAAGAUUGAUGUAUUUGGAACCUUCAAGGAAUGGAAAACAAUGAUAGAAAAGUAGAUUAAGUGUCUACGCACAGAUAAUGGGUUGGAGUUUUGUUAAAAUGAUUUCAUUAGCUUCUACAGAGCUGAAGGCAUAUUGAGACACUUGAUAGUGCCCAGAACUCCUCAACAGAAUGGUAGGCAGAACAAAUGAAUAGAACUUUGAUGGAAAGUAUUCAUUGUAUGUUUUCAAACUCUGUGUUGCCUAAGAUUUUUUAGGCUGAAGCUACUACCACAAAUUGUUUUCCGAUUAAUUGCUCACCCACAAUUGUCACUGAGAAAAAGGCACUAAAAGAGGUAUGGUCUGAGAAACCUUCUUGUUAUACUGAUUUAAAGAUUUUUGGGUAUCUCACUUAUGCUCUAUAUAUAAUGGGAAGUUGAAGCCUAAUUCAAGGAGAUAUGUCUUUCUUGGGUAUAAAUCAGGUAUGAAGGGAUAUAAAUUAUGGUGACCUGAGACAAGAAAGGUGGUGGUUAGUAGAGAUAUAGCAUUUGAUGAACUGACUAUGGUUCAUAAUUCAUCUCGUAUGGAUUCUGAUAAAAAUGAAGAACAGAAUCAUUCAACUCAGAUGGAAUUGAAAAUUGGUCCAAUGAAUAAUUAAAGGUUUUAGAAAAGUCUAGUUCAAAAUUGAUAGACAGUAAUACUUUGCCUACACCACCAGCAACACUACAGUAUUCAAUUGUUAAGGGCAAACCUCACAGAUAGAUUAGACUUCCACAGAACAAUGGAGAAGUAGACUUGGUAGCAUAUGCUUUGAAUGUGGCCGAAGAAAUUGAUUCCACUGAGGAACCUGUUACAUAUAUAGAUAUCAUCAGCAGUAGUGAUUCAUGCAAAUGGUUUAUUGCUAUGCGAGAGGAGAUUGAGCCAUUGAAUAAAAAUUGUACUUGAGACUUGGUGAAACUACCUAAGGAUAAAAAUGUUGUUCGCUACAAGUGGGUAUUCAAAAGGAAAUAAAGGACAUUAUGGAUUGAAGAUACUAGGUAUAAGGUCUGAUUGGUAACGAAGGUUUAUAAUCAAAUUCUAGGUGUUGACUUCACAGAUGUGUUCUCUUUGAUUAUAAAGCAUAGUUGAUUGUAAAACAUGGUUCAAUUCAAGCUUUACUUGAGAUAGUGGAAAAAAGAGUGACUUAGAACUUGAGCAAAUGGAUGUCAAUACAUCAUUUUUGCAUGAAAAACUUGAAUAAAACAUUUACUUGCAACAAUCAAAGGUUUUAAUGUUUCUGGGAAGGAAGACUCUAUGUGCUUGUUGAAGAAGUCCUUAUAUGGACAAAGCAGUCAUCGAGGUAGUGGAACAAAAUGUUCGAUUCAUUCAUGACUGCUCAUACUUUCAGCAGAAACAAUUACGAUAGUUUUGUGUACUUCAAAAAGGAAGAUGGUGGAGCGAUAAAAUAUUUGCUAUUAUAUAUUGAUGAUAUGUUCAUUGUACCCAAGGAUAAAGUAGAGGCCACAAAUUUGAAAUCUCAACUUAGUAAGCAGUUUGAGAUGAAGGAUUUGGAUGUAGCAAAGAAAAUUCUUAGUAGGAAAUCUUGAGGGAUGGAAAGUCUUUCAAAUUGUAUUUGAGUCAUAAUGGGUACAUUAAGAAGGUGUUUCAAAGGUUCAAUAUGUUGAAUGCUAAGGUUGUCAACACUCCCUUGGCUAUCCACUUCAAAUUAUCAUCUGGAUUGUGUCCUCAAUUAGAUGAAGACAUUGAUUAUAUGUCUCUGGUCCCUUAUUCAAGUGCAGUUGGUUCGUUAAUGUAUACUAUAGUUUGUACAAGACCGGAUUUGGUACAUGCAGACAAUACAAUUAGUAGAUACAUGGCAAAUAUUGGCAAAGAACAUGGGAAAACAAUGAAAUGGAUAUUCAGAUACUUGAAGGACUCAAUUAAUGCUUGCUUGUAUUUUGGUAAAAAUAAAGCUAGAUUUAUUGGAUAUGUCGAUUCAGAUUAUGCAGGAGAUCUUGAUAAAAGGAGAUCACUUAUAAGAUAUGUAAACACCCUUGGAGGUUGUGCUAUUAGCUGGAAAGCUAUUUUGCAAAAUAAAAUAGCUUUUUCUACAAUAGAGACAUAUAAGAAGGAUAUGCGGUUAAGUUGUUUGAUUGUUGAAAUCAGUGAUGGCUUGCAGAUUUCUACAGUAUAUGUGAUAAUUAGAGUGCUAUUUUCUGAUUAAGGAUCAAAUAUUCCAUGAGAAAACUAAGCACAUUGGUGUGAAGUAUCAUUUUGUACAUGAAGUGAUUGCUCAUGGUAAUAUUGUAGUGGACAAGGUUAAUACAAAAGAUAAUAAUGCUGAUAUGAUGACAAAUCUACUUUAUAUUGCUAAGUUUAAGCAUUACUUGAAUUUAGUUAGUGUUUAUCAUUAAUUUAGUCCAUUGGGUCUUGUUUAGAAGAGAAUGAAUGUUGUUUGCUUUAAAGAUGUGUUUUUGGAAUUUCUUGUAUUGAAAUUUGGUUCAAGGUGGAGAUUUGUUAUAAUGUGACCCAUGUUCUAGUGGGUAUAGAAGUCUUAGUUAAAGUAGUCUUGAAGAGCUCAAAAUUAUGGACCAAAAAGAAAACUUAUCACAUUUUUGCUAGCCUAACGCUAGUUGGCCGCUUGAGCGACACCAACAUGGCAGGGCCCUCUCUCCCUAUCACUCAAGUGACAGGAUUAUUCGGCCCAGUCUGUUUUAAUGCAUUUUGGACUCCUAUUUAUUUUCAACUUGAUUUCUAGGGUUUUAUAUAUAUGAGUUACAACUUCUAUUGUUUACAUAACAUUCAUACAAUAUCUUGGGAGCUCUAGAUCUUAGUUGAGAGCAUUGAGAUCUUAUUGUAAACACAACUAGUAUUGAUUAUAAUGUAUUUUGCCUCCUCUGCUAGUAGUUUUUUCCCAUCUUGGUUUCCACGUAAAUAUUGGUGUUCUUUAUUUUGUUCUUAUUUAUUUUAUUAUUGUCAUAAUCUUUCGAUCAAAUUCGCAACAGGUGGUAUCAAAGCGAUUCUGGCAUCUUGUCUAUUCAUAUCAAUAUAUACACUAGUUGGCUUUCACUAGCUAAAAUCGAGAUUGAAUUCCUUGUAUUUCUAAAAAUUAAUUAGGGUGAUUUAUGAGAUUCUUUCUAUUCACGUUGACUACCUAAAUAUUAUUUGUAUCUAACAAAUACAUCUCCUAUAUAAUUGUAUGUUAUUAUUUUGGCUAUGUUUGAGUCCCUUUUGUGUAAAAAGUGAGUUUUCUAAUAGUGAUUUUUAUGAAUAAUGUGUAAUUAAAAAGUAGAAAAAAAAUUUAAGUUUACGUGCAAAUUAUUCAUUUGAAGAAUAAUGGUUAAAAUUAAGCUUGAAGAAAAAUGAAUUUUUAGAAAAUGCAGCUCAAACAUGGGUUAUAUAUUCAUAACCUGACAUUUGCAAGAUUAAUUGCUCAAAAUUUUAAUUAUGAGAAUGAUUUUCAAGUUAUAUAAUAAGAAAGCUAGUGAGCAUAAAUUUCAAACUUUUAAUAAAUAUUAGUUAGGAUAAAAAAAAAAUGGUUUAACACUAUUAUUUAUUAAAUAUCUCCAAUUAAUUUUUGAACCAUUACUAUUUAAAAAAAGGGUUUUCCAUUUUAUGUCUAAUGAUACUAUUUUUCGUGGACAACGCUUCUACACAUUAUGUCAACAUCAAAGUUCUCCCUAUAUAGUUAGUUAGCUUAUGGUCAAAGCUUAAUAUUUCACAUCUACGAUUUUAAAAUAUUCAAUAUAUAUACAAUUGUUCCAACAUAGAGCACUAAGAUAGACAUUAAACCGUGAUACUAAUUAAAUUAUAAAGAUUUGUCGACUUCAUUUUGAUUACACAAUUUUCUUAGUAUUGGGAGGAGGUACUAAGAAGUUGAAAAUAAUAAACAUAAACAUAAGGAGGAGGUAUUAAGAAAUUAAAAAUUACAAACAUAAAGCAUCAUUUUAUUAUUUAGAUCAUUAUACAAGAUAAUGUGAAUUAAGAAUUUGAAAAGAUAAUUCAUUUAAGUGCAGUUACUCAUAAAAGAAUUUGACAAUAUAUUAAACAUUAUAUUUACAUGCUCCAACUCAAGUUGACGUCAUGGAGUAAGAAUCCAUUUACAUUAUACUUGAUAAAUCAAUGGCACGCUGAUGCGUGAUAAUAUUUGAUUCCAAGAUAAAAAUCUAAAAACAAAAUAAAAUAAAAAAAAUAGAGCGAAUAGUAAAGAUUUUCCCAUUAAGAUAUAUAUACUCUUGGUGAGUGUAUAACCACAUCAAUUUGUAAAACCGAAUAGAGGUUCAUGUAGAUGAGGUAUUGAAAAUUGAGAUAUCUCAAUAAAUUUUAUUAUUAUGAAUGGAAGAAACGAAAUUGAAAAGAAAAAGUUGCUAAAAACACUUUUGUAGAUGAUGCGGCAUGUUAUAUUAUGAACAAUAUAGAGAAUGUCAAAAAAAAAUUCAUCGAAAAAUACGGAAGUAGAAAUGAAUGGCUAAAAUAACAUGACAUAAUUCAGGCAAAAUUGAACGUAAUAGAGAUAUCUAAAGUUUUUGGACAUGCAGUUCAAACACCUAAACGUGUAAAGUUAAUUUUACAUAUGCGAAUAUCAAGUGAGAAACUGAAGUCACAAAAUAUAAUGCAUGACUCUUAACAUAAUAAAUUUUGGAAAAAAAUCGUAUAGAUAAAUUUUCAUGUGGAGGAUGAAAUCACAAAUAUAUAUCUUGUUAACCUAAUAUGCAUAAUAUCUAAUAAAUGUGGUUAUAAUUAACCCAUCGACAAGAUUAUUAAUACUAUUUUUUUAAAUAUGUUAAUUAUUCAAUAUGCUUAUAAUUCAAGUGAUAUUGUCAUAGGGAAGUAUAUAUAAUUUGUACACUUCUUAGUCUUCCCCUUUUUCUUUUUUUUUUUCUUUUACCAAGAUUGUAUCUCGUUGUUCUUCUCAAAAAUGCUCUUUUUUCCUCAUUAGAAUACUUUAGAAAGGUUCUUCCUAGUGAAAUUUUCACGAUGUAUAUUAUGUGUAAUGAAUAAUAAUAACAUACGUGACAUUUACUCUCAAUAUAACUUUAUGAUUUUACUCUCGUAUACUAUAAAUUGUAUAUUAGACUUCCGAAGGAAGAAUAAUAAAAUUUAUUUUUCAAUGGACCAUCAUACGGAAUGAAGUAAAAAAAUAAAUAAAUAAAUAUUAAUAUCUUUUAUGAAGACGAGUUUGCUUAAUACUAUAGCAAGACAAUAUUGAACAUAAUUCAUCAAAAUUAUAAUAUAAAUUUUUGGAAGAUGGUACAUUGAAACAUUGGCACAUAAUGAAAGACUCAAUAUAAGAAUUUUCAUUAGUACUUGUCACGAUACCGUACACUUACAGUUUAAGUGAACAAUAAUUCUAGGCAAUUUUUUUUAUAUAGAGGAACAAUUCUCUCAUUUAGUAGUCAGAGAAUUAAAGUCAUUCAUGAACUAUUUCUCUCCCAUUGAAAAGAGCGAUUGGCAUUUGCAAGAACUUUCAACAAAAAUAAAAAAAGAUGAGUACCCCCCCCCCUUCUUGCUACCACCAUCAACACCAUUUUUCGCUUUGAAUGGACCAAAACCAAAAAUAUUAUGAAUAGAAUGAAAGGAGAUAAGCUAGAAAGAAAGUUUAGUUGAAACUCAGAAAAAGAUACGUAGCUUGAACAAUAUUGAAAUUCAAUUUAGAAAAUAUAAAUAAUGAAAAUACACAAAAUCAAAGAUCACUCCAAAAACAAAAUCUCCACCCGUGAAUUAUUAUCAUGAUAAAUGAAUUCUUAAGUCCACAUAAACAAAGAUACGAUUUGAUGUUUUGUAUAAUUAAUGUGUAUAUAAAAUGCAAAUAAAAAUGAUUCUUUUUUCUUUUUUUGGUCUAGAAAAGAACAUAUUGUCCCUACCAUGAAUGAUUUUCAUUAAACAGAAACUUCAACUGUUUUUCGGCGGACUCUCACUUCACCAUUCAGUGUAAAAAAUAAAUUAGGAAUUCUUUAGUCAAUAAAUUUGCCAAAAAAUAAAAAAAGGAUUAUGAUGAAGGCAUCUUGACUAGUCAGCUGUUGAUUUGAUAGCUUAUAUUGAUGAAAUAGCUAUGUCGAUCUCUGUUUUAUAUUUUAGCUUAUAAAUUAUUAAGUCAUAUGAAUAUUUUAUAUGCAGUAAUAGAGAUGAUUGCUUAAAUGUGAAUUUAAGGGGGCAAAAAAAAAAUCAUCGAGAAAAUUGUAUUCAAUAAUUUAACAAUGGGAAUAAUGGUUGUAUGAAAAGGCGGAAAAGAUAUUAAGGCCUUGUUUGAGCUCCAUUUUGGGAGAAAAAAUAAAUUUUUGAAUAGUGUAUCAAUGGAAAAUGCAUAAUUAAAAAAUAAGGAAAAGUUUUGAAUUUGAGUGUAAUAUUAUUUUAUUAAAAAUGUGUGAUUGAUAUAAUAUCAAAAUACUGUUUAAGAAUGUAUCCCAAAAAAAAAAAGACUCAAACAAGGGUUAAAGUUUGAUAAAGAUGGGUAGGGACACACGAGUGUACUAAGUGCUCCAUUAGUCCAUUUCAGAGUUUGGUCGCUUAUUUAAGGUCAAAUUCUAAAUCUUGGAUGCAUUCUUUGGGUGGACAGGCUUAUCUUCCCCCACUUAGCACUCAAAAUUAUUGUGUGUGUGUGUAUAUAUAUUCGUUGCACUCAAACCCCAUAAAACAUUUAUUUAAAAAUGACGCGAGUAAUUAGAUGAGCAAAUUACAUUAGAAAAUAAAAUAAAUAAGAAACAUCUAUGAAAAUGUGCGUAACUUUCGAAUCGAGUUUCAGAUUUAUGCAAGCAAGUAAAAUUCAAAACACUUUUUUUCAAUUUUGCACAAUUUUUUGGGACAAUGUUGGCCGAAAGUCAAACUUUCGGGCUCAAAUUUUGUCGUUUAGAUGUCCAUUUUAGGAAUUUUCUAAUUUUAGUCCAUUAAAGGGCAUUUUCAUCACUUUACGCCUUAUUUUAGUUUUAUUUAGAUUUGUGUGUUGAAUUAGAAUUUCUCUUUGAUUAGGAUUUGUUUUGACUAGUUAAAUAUUUGUUAAGAGUUUGAAAAUUCUAUAUUCAUUUUUUAUUAAUAAUAAUUUAGUCUUCAGUUGCCUCGUUAUUUGAUGGAUUCUAAUAUAUCUCAAGUUUGUUCAAGUGCAAGUCGAACAAUAGUCGUUCAUGUGUGUUAGAUGGCAGUUCAGUCUCCAAAUAAAUAUUUCUCAUUAACUAGGACAUGGGUGCUGUUCAGGGACACCCAGUGAAAUUUAUCCUAUGAAUUGUAAAGUUGAUGUUUUGUACCAUGUUGAUUGACUUGUCAUUCUUUAGAGAAAAGAACAAGAUAUUGAAGCCGCUAAUGGGAAAAGUAGAAAAGAGAAUGUUUUCCCACUAAGUAUGUUUUGUGGGAUGACUUUGAAAUCACUGUUUCAUGCCAAAGAUAUUGGUCCCACAUCCAAGUAUCAAUAUUUUUAAACCAAUCUUUCUGAAUGUACAUAAUAAUUUAUAUUCUGAUUUACCGAAUUUAUACUUGGCAUAAUCUUACAACAUUUUUCACAUCUUACACAUUUAAUUCAACCAUCACAAUCUUACCACAUUACUCAUCUAUCAAUAAAGAUGUCAAUGUUAAUGUACAAAUAGCUAAUUGUCUUUCAACCUUACCCCUCAACACAAGUAUUGAGCAGAGAAAAAGAUAAAAGGAUAAAAAGAUUUAGCUCUUAUUUGGUCCUUAUUUCUGAGCAUUUAUUUUUUAAAAUUAUUUUUUAAUUAUAUAUUUUUUAUUAAAUUCAUUGUUAUCAAUUAAAAUGGAGAGAAUAAAAGCGAGUCCAUGUCCCAACUAGGUGAACCAUACCAAAGCAAGCUAAACCAUCUGCGAGCCAAAUCACAUACAAACUCGAAAUAACAUUAGCAAGCCUAUAUCGAUUUCACCAACUUUUCCACAUUAGCAAAAGUCAUUAUCAUAGUGCACGUGAACAAGCAUGGCAAGCAUGAUUUCACAUCCAAUGAAUAAAGAACAAGAAAGAUAACAUAUAACAAUUUCAUUUAUAAAUUAACUAAUCAAAGGUUGCGACAUGGCAUUAACCAAAAGAUGUAUUUACACCCCGCCCGAGGCUUUGAUAAGAAUCUAUAAGUAAGCGCCAAUUGAAAAAGAAAAGGAUAUGCAAAUUUGAAUAGCUUCCUCCCAAUUAAUCAUUUCUCCUCUUUCUCUUUAUUGAACAUAAGAUUAAUGAGUUUAGCAAGGAAAAACCUUGAUUAGGUAAGAGGAAUUUAUUAAUCAUCAUUUAGAGGUCAACAUCCACAAUUUUUAUUAACUAUUCAAGAAUACAUUUCAUCAACUUUUGUCAAUAUAUACUAAAAAUCUAAUUUUUAUUCAAAUGGUCAAGUGCUUAAUCAAAUUCGUAAAUCGGAGACUAAAAAUUAAGCCCCUAUACGGUCUGGCCAAAAAUCAAAUUUUUAAUUACUUUUGAUAAAAGUUAAUGGCAUAUAGAGUUAAAAAUUAAUAAAAGAUGUGAAACCAAUGAAAUGUAUGAUUAAAAAUAAAUUUGAAACAAAAAAUGAGUUAUAUAAAUUUGGAACAGCUAUAUUCAGAAUUCUAUACAUGUGUGUACCAUAAUUGUUUUCAACAAGUUUUAUCUUUUCCCAAUAUAAGACAAAGUUACAUCAAAACGAAAUGUUAAUGUUCCAUCAUGUUAAAAAUAUUCAUAGUAAAAUAUAUAUAUCAAGACUCAAUCGCACUUUGCAAGUGGAAAUACUGAUUAUAUUACUGCUCCAUCAUGUUAAAUUCGUGAUAUAGGCAACUAAAAAAGUAAGCUUGCUGCUCUUCAAUACCACCAACUAAAAAAAAAAGAAUCCAUUUCCGAUUGUUAGCUUCUAAAUUUUUUGGGCAUCCAUCUCAAUGUCAUUCCUGAUGCUCAUCAUGGUCCUAGCCAUUCAGACAAAGUGUAAAACUGAAGAUAAGUGGGCAGAAAUCGAAGAAGUUUUUGGAAUUUACUGUUAAAUGUGGCAUUAAUUUGUAAUCUUAGGAAAUAAGGUUACAUGCACUUGAAGAAAAUGUAUCAGGAAAAUACAUGAUGCACUUGAAGAAAAUGUAUCAGGAAAAUACAUGAUGCAAAUUCAUGAAUUAUUAGGUGUCCAUUUAUAUUCCCAUGUCUCUAGAGUUAUCCAUGUGGUCCUAUAAAUAGAGGUCAUUCUUGUAGUCUCAUUGUAAGAAAAAAAAAAAGAAAACAUUAUUGAGUGUGCUGUAGCAACUCAAAAACUAUCAAUAAAAAUUCAAGUUUUUCUUCAACACUUCGUUUCCGCACUAACAAAUUUGGUAUCAGAGCCAUAACUUGUAAUUGCAUUUUUUCAUGGCUUUAAUACAAACAGCUUCGUUGUUUACAUAUUCUUCCAGUCAAGUCCCAAUCUUCGAAGGCGAGCAUUAUGAAUACUGGAGCAUCCAAAUGCAAACUUUCUUCAUCUCCUUAGAUCUUUGGGAUGUCAUUGACGAUGAGGAGUACGAAGAACCAUCCGAAGACAAUGAAGAUUACGAAAAAUUGCAAAAAGAAUUUAAAAGAAAAGAUGCAAUGGCUCUCCGCUAUAUUCAACAAGGAGUCGGGAAAUCAAUUUUCCCUCGUAUCUUUGGUGUUAAUAAAGCCAAAGAUGCUUGGGAAAUAUUGAUGCAAGAAUUUCAAGGAACGGAGAAAACGAUCACCUUGAAACUUCAAUCCUUAUGGAGAGACUUUGAUAAUCUCCAAAUGGAAGAACGAGAAUCGGUUUGUGUUUUUUCUUCACGAGUAGCCGAGACAGUAAAUCAAAUCAAAAGCUGUGGUGACACAAUUACAGAUAAAAGAGUCGUGGAGAAAAUGUUAAGAUGCCUUCCUCCAAAGUUUGACCAUGUUGCAGCCGCAAUUGAAGAAUCGAAAGACUUGUCCAAAAUGACCAUUUAUGAGUUAACCGGGUCACUUCUUGCCCAUGAGCAAAGGAUCAAUCAUUCGAGUAACCAAUCUACUACCGAACAAGCUUUCCAAUCAAAGCAAACAUCAAAAAGAAGAAAAUAUUAUUGAGUGUGCUGUAGCAACUCAAAAACUAUCAAUAAAAAUUCAAGUUUUUCUUCNNNNNNNNNNNNNNNNNNNNNNNNNNNNNNNNNNNNNNNNNNNNNNNNNNNNNNNNNNNNNNNNNNNNNNNNNNNNNNNNNNNNNNNNNNNNNNNNNNNNNNNNNNNNNNNNNNNNNNNNNNNNNNNNNNNNNNNNNNNNNNNNNNNNNNNNNNNNNNNNNNNNNNNNNNNNNNNNNNNNNNNNNNNNNNNNNNNNNNNNNNNNNNNNNNNNNNNNNNNNNNNNNNNNNNNNNNNNNNNNNNNNNNNNNNNNNNNNNNNNNNNNNNNNNNNNNNNNNNNNNNNNNNNNNNNNNNNNNNNNNNNNNNNNNNNNNNNNNNNNNNNNNNNNNNNNNNNNNNNNNNNNNNNNNNNNNNNNNNNNNNNNNNNNNNNNNNNNNNNNNNNNNNNNNNNNNNNNNNNNNNNNNNNNNNNNNNNNNNNNNNNNNNNNNNNNNNNNNNNNNNNNNNNNNNNNNNNNNNNNNNNNNNNNNNNNNNNNNNNNNNNNNNNNNNNNNNNNNNNNNNNNNNNNNNNNNNNNNNNNNNNNNNNNNNNNNNNNNNNNNNNNNNNNNNNNNNNNNNNNNNNNNNNNNNNNNNNNNNNNNNNNNNNNNNNNNNNNNNNNNNNNNNNNNNNNNNNNNNNNNNNNNNNNNNNNNNNNNNNNNNNNNNNNNNNNNNNNNNNNNNNNNNNNNNNNNNNNNNNNNNNNNNNNNNNNNNNNNNNNNNNNNNNNNNNNNNNNNNNNNNNNNNNNNNNNNNNNNNNNNNNNNNNNNNNNNNNNNNNNNNNNNNNNNNNNNNNNNNNNNNNNNNNNNNNNNNNNNNNNNNNNNNNNNNNNNNNNNNNNNNNNNNNNNNNNNNNNNNNNNNNNNNNNNNNNNNNNNNNNNNNNNNNNNNNNNNNNNNNNNNNNNNNNNNNNNNNNAUGGAGAACGAAAGCACUACUUGAGCUUGUGCACUCGGAUAUUUGUGGGUUAAUGCAAACUCCCACUUUUGGAAACAAGAGAUAUUUUAUUCUCUUUGUUGAUGACUUCACAAGAAUGAUAUGGGUUUUCUUCUUCAGUCAAAAAUCUGAGGCAUAUUCCACAUUUCUUCAAUUCAAAGCUCAAGCAGAAAGGCAAAGUGGUUUUUUGAUAAAAACUUUAAGGAUAGAUCGUGGAGGUGAAUAUCUCUAUAAUCCUUUCAUGGAAUAUUGCAGAAAAAAUGGCAUCAAAAGACAAUUAACUGUGAGUCGAACUCCGCAACAAAACGGCGUGGCCGAAAGGAAAAAUCGCACAAUUGUUGAAAUGGCAAGAAGCAUGCUAAAAGGCAAAGGACUUCCAAAUCUGUAUUGGGCAGAAGCUGUAAACACGGCAGUAUACAUUCUCAAUCGGUCUCCAACAAAGGCUGUACGGAAUAAAACUCCAUACGAAGCUUGGAACAAAAAGAAGCCAAUGGUUGAUCACUUCAAAAUAUUUGGCAGCAUUUCUUAUGCUCUUAUCCCUUCUCAAAAUCGGGAGAAAUUUGACGAGAAAGGACAAAAACUUGUCUUUGUUGGAUACAAUGAUGAAUCUAAAGGAUAUCGGUUAUUAGAUCCAACUACAAACAAAAUUACAAUUUCACGAGACGUUGUUUUUGAUGAAGCUGCAUCUUGGGAUUGGAAAGGAAAAGAAGUUGUGGACCAGACACCAUACCAUUUUGUUGAUCCAUUAACAUUUAAAGCAGGUCCGUCACAAGUUGGAAAUUUAGAGCAUAAUCCAAACCCUACUCCAAGAAGUGAGGAAGAAUCUGAUCCAGAAAGCCCUCCAAGAAAGACACGUUCACUACAAGACAUAUAUGAGUCAUGUGAACUUGGGUUGUUCUCUAGGGAACCACAAUCAUUUGAAGAAGCCUCAAAAGAAGUAUGUUGGACAAAAGCCAUGAAUGAAGAAAUGUCCACAAUCGAGAAAAACAAAAUUUGGAAGCUUGUUGCCUUGCCAGAAGGGAAGAAAAUCAUUGGACUCAAGUGGGUCUAUAAAAUAAAAUACAAUGAAGAUGGGUCGAUCCAAAAGCACAUUGUUGCAAAAGGGUAUUCUCAACAGCCCGAAAUUGAUUACACUGAAACAUAUGCUCCGGUUGCAAGAAUGGAGACAAUUUGUACUGUUUUGGCACUGGCAGCUCAAUUGGAGGUAUGUGUUUAUCAACUUGAUGUAAAAUCGGCAUUCUUAAAUGGUGAAAUUCAAGAAGAAGUUUAUGUCGAGCAACCCGAAGGAUUUGAAAUCAAAGGACAAGAAGGAAAAGUCUAUCGUUUAUACAAGGCACUUUAUGGUUUAAAGCAAGCACCGCGAGCAUGGAAUAGCAAAAUCAAUAGCUAUUUCAUCCAAAAUGGAUUCAAUCGAAGCACNNNNNNNNNNNNNNNNNNNNNNNNNNNNNNNNNNNNNNNNNNNNNNNNNNNNNNNNNNNNNNNNNNNNNNNNNNNNNNNNNNNNNNNNNNNNNNNNNNNNNNNNNNNNNNNNNNNNNNNNNNNNNNNNNNNNNNNNNNNNNNNNNNNNNNNNNNNNNNNNNNNNNNNNNNNNNNNNNNNNNNNNNNNNNNNNNNNNNNNNNNNNNNNNNNNNNNNNNNNNNNNNNNNNNNNNNNNNNNNNNNNNNNNNNNNNNNNNNNNNNNNNNNNNNNNNNNNNNNNNNNNNNNNNNNNNNNNNNNNNNNNNNNNNNNNNNNNNNNNNNNNNNNNNNNNNNNNNNNNNNNNNNNNNNNNNNNNNNNNNNNNNNNNNNNNNNNNNNNNNNNNNNNNNNNNNNNNNNNNNNNNNNNNNNNNNNNNNNNNNNNNNNNNNNNNNNNNCAGUUUUUCAUGCCAGAUCGAAGCAUAUUGAACUACGUCAUCACUUCAUUCGAGAUUUGGUAAGUCGAGAAGAAAUUUGCAUGGAAUUUAUCAACACAAAUGAUCAGCCAGCAGACAUUUUAACAAAGACAGUCACAUUUGACAAGUUCGAAAAGAUCAAGAAAAAACUCAAGAUUACAAAUUAAGAGGGGGUGUUAAAUGUGGCAUUAAUUUGUAAUCUUAGGAAAUAAUGUUACAUGCACUUGAAGAAAAUGUAUCAGGAAAAUACAUGAUGCACUUGAAGAAAAUGUAUCAGGAAAAUACAUGAUGCAAAUUCAUGAAUUAUUAGGUGUCCAUUUAUAUUCCCAUGUCUCUAGAGUUAUCCAUGUGGUCCUAUAAAUAGAGGUCAUUCUUGUAGUCUCAUUGUAAGAAAAAAAAAAGAAAACAUUAUUGAGUGUGCUAUAGCAACUCAAAAACUAUCAAUAAAAAUUCAAGUUUUUCUUCAACACUUCGUUUCCGCACUAACAUUUACAAGGUCCAUUAGGUCCUUCUCAUCUAAAAUAGAUGACCAGGCAUUUUCUGCAGUAAUUUUGAACCAUGAUGAUAGAGAGCUCCUGCAAACAAGCUAGGUGGUACUAAAAUCUAGUCAAAAGAAGAAAAGAAAACUAGACUAGCGGUCGAGACCGGCAGGACCAUGCCAGGCCUUACUGCUUCAUCCUGCCUGGUUCAUCCUCUACCUGCCUCUAUCUGCAAAGACAUUACCAAAAAAUCUCUCCCAAGCAGCGUAUUACAACCCAUGAAUUAACAUGUUUGGACAAGGUUAAUUCCAAGGCCAAAAACAGGAGCGCCACAUGGCGGACAGCAGCCCUUUCAAUAGGGUGGCGCCCAUGUUGUUGGCCCUGGAAUUCACCCUGGCUGUCUAGCAGGGUUGAAAACCCAUUGAGGAGGGCCUUAGCCAAGGAAGGAGAGAGUGGCCAAGUGGUCAAAAGUGACAGACUCUAAAUCUGCCCAAGUCUACAGAACAAUCACCCAGAUACAUGAAAAACUCAUGUGCCUACAUUAUAGAGAUGUCAAACGGGCAAGGUCGCUGCCCUUCAAAGCAUGCUAAAAACACAAGGCCCAGUACAGCCCAUCUUGACACCUCUAUACGUGCAAUGUAAAAAAAUUUCCUUGGUACAGAAUUUUGAAAAACAAGUUCAUUGGGACCCAUCAAAAAAUGCAAUAUAUACAAUGAGAAAUGCUAUAACACAAUUGACAGAUUAACUAUAUCUUAUGAAUAAACAACCUUCACUUGGAAAUUUGUGCUUUUAUCAUGGUUACGUAACUAUUGCGUGCAAAUAUCACGGGGAAUUUCUGCGAGAUGCUUUUAGUUCUACAUUUAGUGCAAGGCUCAAGUAAGAAAAAAGAAGGAUUAGGUCAGAUUCUUAUUUGACAUCAGCUAUCUACAAUCAUAAGUUACAGUUGGCCGAUAAGAUACAUGUACAUUUGGCGUCAGUUGAAAGGCAAUAAGAUUCCAGAUAAUGUCGCUACCCCAGAAAACAUGUACAAAUCAUAGUGUCUACUUUCUGGUUAAUCUAGAGCAGUCUUCAUGAGAAAGUGAAGUCCUUGUGUCAUUUAUAAUCUUGAAUGACAAAUGCAUUUAGCGCCCGCUUGGUCCCCAUUUUAUUCUCAUUUUUCCAACUUUUGUCAACAAUAGUGGGCCCCCAAUCAAAAAAUCAAACGGCUCCCUGACAAAAAUUUGAGGCAGCAGCUUUUCAGACAUUUUGUUGAAUUUAGAAUUUUUGUCUUUCCACCUCUGCCCUCCAUCUGAAAUUUUAUUCCUUCAUUGUAGCACUUGUUGUCAACUGGAAUUUUAUUUUUUAAUUGAGGGCAAAAUGGUAAGAGAAAUUCAACGGCAUGGUACCUUGUUCUUUCAUUUCUGACGAUUUCUUCAAUGCUGUCGCCAUCAUCUACCACAAAAACUGUAGAAAAAUGAGAUAAGAUAGAAAAAUUGACAAGAACGAGCAUCAAACAGGGGCUUAAUAGGAUUCAACGGUGAAUUCCUUCGUGUAGAGACAGGCGGUACCCUUCUCAAGGACGGGGAUUAUUUUAGAUCCCAAUCUUCCACAUUCUUCGGUACAGAAACGUCAAAGAGGAAUUGACCAAGAACCCCACAAGCACUUAUGCUUGGUGGGCUAGAUAGACUUAUGUAAGGCUCUUUACGUUCAUCCUGCAAAGAUCCAAAAUCUCUACCCUCGUGAUAUUCUAUGGAAUUUGGAACAUAUAAGAAGUCAUUUAAGUCAAGGACAAUCCUCUGGAAACUCUGACUUGAUCUCUCUACGGCUUUUUUUAGAUUGGUCCAGAGAUCUCAUCAUGUGUGCCCUCGAAGCCUAUCUUCUCACCAUCAAGUUGCCGUAAUCUUCUAGAAUAAAUUACAGAAGCUUUUCCAAGCAGCUCAGUCACCGCAGCCUUUUAUUCGAUUGGAUAAUGCCGAAAAUGACCUGCACUACAAACAUAACAUGCAAAAUACAAUAUCAACAAAUAUGAAUUUUUCUAAGAUGCAAUAACAAAAACGUUACACGCCAAUGGUAGUUAGGAAAUCCUCCAAAGAAAAUCUUGCAUUACAGAUUUCAAAUUACUAGUGAUUUACUUAAAAGAAUUAUAUUCCAGUAAGUCAGCUGAUUGUCGGGGACCUAAUUUCGUUGCACCCAAUAAUUAGAACCAUGCAACCUUAACGUUCAAUAAUUUUCGCCCCUCACGAGAAAACGUUAAGUCAGUCUUACAACGCUCACAAAUAAUUUAACCAAUGAGGUUAAAUUAUAACUAUUUUGAGUAGAGAAUUUGUAGGAAAUAUAAGGAAAACAAGGUUGGGAGAACUCUCUUUAUAUAUAGCCCCCAUUUGGUUCUAAUUUUUCACCCAAAAAAAUCAAUUUUUUAACCGUUACUUUCCUAAGUCAACCGUUAUUUUAAAUUUCUUUACUCACAAGUAAAACCCACUUUUUCUCGCUAACAGUCAAAAAAUUAAUUCUCAAAAUCACUACCAAACAAACCCAUAAAUGAAAGGAAAACUUUACAAUUCUCUGAAGUAUUCAAACAAUUCGUUGCAAAUGAUUUACAAAUGAGACUACAUCUCUAUUUAUAGGCAAAACUUUGCAAGUUGUCUUGAAAUCAAUGGCCAAAAUUAAUUUUGAUUCAAGAGUCCUCAUUUGUUGCAAGUUACAUUAACCUCCUUUAAUCAAGUGGUAAUUCUAUACACUUUCCAAUCCAAGAUGCAUGUUACUUUCCAAUCUUAUGUUAGUUGACAUCAAAUGGCAUAUCUCUACAAUUCACAUGCAAUUGAAUAAGUCAUUUUCACAGUAGCCAAAUUGAACUUUAUUUCCUCCUUGACAUUAUCUUGCAAGUGGCACAAGUGGAUAAGUGGCACAAGUUGGCCAAGUUGUCCACUUGUGUCCCAAAACCAUUCGGCCGUAGCCCAUUGUAUUUCUCCUUCCCAAAAUAGUAGUUUUCAACUUAGAGAAAAAGAAAACACCCCUCCAUCUCAUCACUCAAUCAGCCAAAAUGGAUUCAACAUCUUUCUCAAAAGAUUUUGAGACAAUGAGAGGUGCCCUUUGUAAUUUGUUUCUCCCAAGAUCUUCCAAGUCCAACCUAUAUGGCUUCAACAUGCUUACAUGAAAAACUGGAUAAAUCUUCAAAGUACCCAAAAGCUAGUCAGUGGAAACUCUUCCAACUUUAGCCAUCAUGGGAAAAGAACCUUCUAACCGAGCCUUUAUUAACUUUGCGAUAGGCUUUGAAUUAUUGAGGCAACACUUUUACAAGUUCUUGAUCUCCAAUGUUGAACUCCAAUAGUCUCCGUUCAGAUCGACCCACUUUUUCAUACGUUUUCAAGCUUUCUCCAAGCAAGAUCUAGCUAAGUCCGCAUGAUCUCUCCAUGACUUAGCCAUUUUUUGUUACUCCGGGACUUCGAUCUACAUCACCAACCAUAUGCAAGGUAUGAGGCGUUGUGGGCUGUCACCCCGUUGCAAGUUCAAAAAGACUAUGUCCUAUGGAUUCACUUUUCUGCAAGUUGUAGGAAAACUGAGCUAUGUCUAUCAACUUCACCCAAUCCCACUGCUUAGCAUUAACAAAGCGCUGAAGAUAACACUCCAACGGUGCAUUCGCCCAUUCCAUCUACCCAUCCGUUUGUGGGUAGAAAUUGCUAGAAAAGUGCAAACCCGAUCUAAGGAGCUUAAACACCUCCAUCCACAAUUUUCCCAUAAAACUGGGAUAUUGAUCACUUAUAAUAUUCUAAGGCAACCCCCAAUACUUCACAACAUUUUUGAAAUAUAACCUUGCCGUCUCCUCCGCGGUGCAAUCUUUAAGGGCCGAAAUGAAAGUUGUAUUCUUUGAAAAUCAAUCAACAACAACAAUUAUUAAUUCGAGCCCUUCGGACUUUGGCAAGGUACUAAUGAAAUCAAUGACAACCACGUAUCAUGGUUGAUCAAGAACAGGAAGAGGAUCAAGAAGCCAACCGAUAAUGCAAGUAGACUUAGUCUAGGGACGCAGAUAGCCUGUUUUGGUAGAACGCAGGCUGGGGUACGGAGGAAGUUUUCCCAACACAAAAAUGAGGUUUCUCUAAGUUAAAAAAUUGCUAUUUUGGGAAGGAGAAAUACAAUAGACUGCGGUCGGAUGUUUUGGAGACACAAAUGGGCAACUUGUACAAUUUGUGCCAAUUGUCCACUUGUAUCACUUGCAAGAUAAUGCCAAGAAGGAAGCAAAGUUAAAUUUGGUUGCUAUGAAAGUGACUUGUCCACUUACAUGUAAAUUGUAGAGAUAUGCCGCUUGAUGCCAACUAGCAUGAGGUUAGAAGGUGACAUGUAACUUGCAUUGGAAAGUGUAGAGAAUUACUACUUGAUCAAAGGAAGUUAAUGCAACUAGCAACCAAUGAAGACCUUUGGAUCAAAAUUAAUCUUCGCCAUUGAUUCCAAGACAACUUGUAAGGUUUUGUCUAUAAAUGGAAAUGUCUCAUUUGUAAAUCAUAUGGAGUGAAGUGAGAUGAAUACUGGAGAGAGAUUGUAAAGUUUUCCAUUCAUUUAUAUAUAAAGAGAGUUCUCACAAGCUUACUUGUUUUCCUUAUAUUUCCUACUUCAAAUCCUCUACUCAAAGUUGUUAUAAUUUAGCUUCACUGGUUAAAUUAUUUGUGAGCGUUGAAAAGCUAACUUAACGUUUUCUCAUGAGGGAAAAGAAUUAUUGAACAUUAAGGCUGCACGGUUCUAGUUGUUUGGCUGUCCGUGACAUGAUGCUUACCAACUGAGAAAUGAAUUUAGUUAACAAGGUGCAGCGAGCCAUCUGAUUGCAUAUAACAAAGAAGGAAGGUUCAAAAACACGACUAUAUUUUAUUUCCAUGUAUUCUCAGAUAUGAAGCUUUAAUUUAUAUCCUAAGUAGCCAGGUUGAGAAGUAGAUGCACUAGCAACUGCAAUAAUGAAAGCAGUAGAGUGCAGAACAUGACUGAGAAUUCAAGGCAAUAGAGUGUCUCUAGGGCAAAUUUGUAGCAUUACAAAACAUUAAUAAGUUAAAUGCAUCAUACUUCAUCUAAACUAAUUCAAGGCAAUAGAAUGUCUCUAGGGCAAAUUUGUAGCAUUACAAAACAUUAAUAAGUUUUAUACAUCAUACUUCAUCUAAACUCAUAUUUUAUAAAUUAAAACAAUAUCAUUUCUAAUAGUUUAUUAAUAUUAGAUAAAAAAAUAAAAUAAAAUAAAAAAAGAGAAGGGAUUAAAAUCUCUAUGUAAGCUAUUCAUUUAGCAGGAGAAAUGUCAAAUAUAACAGUCUGCAAUAUACACAGAUAUUAUUACUUGGACCAGCAGUUCCUGCUUCAUUUGUCAAACCUAUAACCUGGGACAGGUUAUGGCAAAUGAAAAUAUGAAAUAAGAAUCUGACUUCAUCAUUGUUGCUCUGGCAAAAAUUGCACAGAGGCAUACUUGUGUUUGUAAGGUGCUGAAAAUUUGUAAAUUGGAAACCUCGUGUUAAAUUGCACGCCCUGAGUACAUAUGCCCUAUGAAGUGAAUUUUGUGUCCUUAGGUCAGACCUUUCACUGAGCCACUGAAAUACUGCAUCCAGUGGCCAAUACUGCUCCAUUUAAGCUAACACAAUUUCGUUCGCUCUUAUGAGCACUUAUUUCAGUCAACUGUGCAUAAAUAUAGCCUAAACAUCUCUUCAAAUUUUAUCUGCAUUAAGCCCAUCCCAAGAAAAUCUGACUGUAUAAUACGUUUAUAAGCAUACCUACGUGAGAUGAGUUAUUCCAUUUCCAUCAGCCCUGAGGUCUCUAAGCCUUUGGGUCAAAAUGCAAAUUAUCUGACAUGGAGCGAGAUCAUCAUCUCUUCAAAACAUCUCUUCAAAUUUUAUUUGCAUUAAGCUAACCCAAGAAAAUCUGACUGUAUAAGACGUUUAUAAGUAUACCUACAUGAGAUGAGUUAUUCCAUUUCCAUCAGCCCCGAGGUCUUUAAGCCGUCGGGCAAAAAUGCAAAUUAUCUGACAUGGAGCGAGAUCAUUUCUGGGAAAAAAAAUUAGGUACGAUGCCCCCCAUGCUCUGCAUAAAGAUAAUAAUUAAUCACUGAACAAUCAGUAGAAAGCAACUUGCCAUGGCAUUCCGUGUUUGGCACUUUGGCUAAUCUAAAGAAAUAGUUACCUUCUCCAUUCAUGUUUGCAUACUUACCUUAAGUGGAAAAGAAGUCACUUCUAUUUAAUUAACUCUCACCUUAUUGUCAAAUGAGUAACUUUUUCCAUCUUUGACCAUUAAAAUUUUAUUUAUAUUAAAACUUUUGACUUUACUUAUCAGUAAACUUAUUAAGAUUAACAAAACAUGCUGUAAAUUUAAUGGAUGCUUACUGCAGAGGAGUAAAGAUUCUGCCAAUACUCUGCACGUUGCGCUUCAAAUCUGCCAAGGAAGAAGGCAUCCAGACUGGACGAAAUGCCAUUUGCAAUCCAUGAUGCUAGGAAUGGGGCAGAGGACAUAUCGAGAACAGAUGGAUGAAGAAUAAAGCAAGUGGCCAAGUCACUUGUUAAAAUCCACUGGAGUAGAAUAAAAAAUGUGGCCAGAAACACAGUCUUUAACCGGUCGUAGUCGUCCUUCAGAUGAAACACGCCAUUAGAUAAGCCAUCACUUGUAUCAAGGUUCUUCAUCGAACAAUAUAGUAGAUAACCAUUACUAUUUCUUCUAAAAUGAGAAUAUAUGAUGAGUCAAUGACUAUGGUAUCCGAUUUUUGUUUGUUAUGGAGAAUGGUUAGAGCUCUAUGAUAUUAAUUGUUCAUUUUAUUGUCUAAUCAUGUCCAAUAUUGUGUAUGAGUGCUAAACUUUGGCCAUUAAGCAUCACGGAUGUUUUGACCAACAUCGGUAAGGAGAAACAUAUGCAUAAGCCAUCAACGGAAUGAGAAGAGUAUGUAGAAAGCUACAGAAACAUAUGUUACUUUUAGAAGAAAUGGAAGUAUGUGUUCACAAUUAUAUAAAUAAACAAGAUGUCGAGAUGAAUCAUUAUGAGAUAAAGCAUACCAUAUUGACCUGCUCUGGACACUUUCCUUCAAUUAUCUGCAACCAAAAGUAAAACAGGUUGCGUGUCAACUAUAGCUUCACAUGAAACAUUCAACAUCUGUGGUCUCUAAAAUGAUGAGUGUGAAUAAAUAUAAAAAAUUUACAAAUAUUUUAAGUUCCAGUUGUUGACUACGAGAAUGGCAUUUACCUGGUGAACCUUGUACGUGCUAGCUUUUGGGCCACCAGAAAAAGGCGCAAAGACAACUGGACAUGGCCUGAUUUUUAGCUCAUUUAAAUCAAAUCGAAAUAAAUAUGAGGAAAAGUUAAAACAACAACAUAUAUAGCAAAUUUAAAAUAUUUAGCCCCCGUUUGAGCCACAUUAUUGUAAAAAUGAGAAUGAAAAAUAUAGCUAUUAUGAGCCCUACACAAGAGAUAAAAAGUCAAAUGUGGUGGCUUGAUGUGAUGGAUAACGGUCAUAUUUUUCAUUUUAAUGAGGAAAUAAUGGGGCUCAAACAGGGCCUUAAUAACUAAGUCUAUUGUCAUUGUCAAAUCCCCAUCCCCAGGAUUACUUCGAAUAGUUUCUUUAAUGUAACAAAGAUACGACUCCAAGAGCAAGUCCACCAUUAUAGAUUAAAUAGCAAAAUGAACCACUCAACAAUUCAUGCUUUAUGGUAUGGCUGGGCAUUUGAACUAGAACUGUCGGUUUCAUUCAGGUUCCACAAAAAAAAAAAAAAAAAUUAGGAACUAGAACCUAGUACCAAAAAAUCAAUCAAAUAUAGGAUGGUUCUUAGUUCUUGAAUCAAAACCAUAUGUACGUGACUUUACAAUCGAAUUUAUCUAUUUAUAUAAGUUUUUUCAUUUUACAAUUUAUUCAACUUGACCUAAUGACCUGAUAGGAUGCAGAGGAAACGACGUGAUGGGAAAAAAGUUAGACCAAUGUUGAUUAUCAUGUUUUCAAAGGAAUGAAUUUUUUUUUUUUCUUUUUUGUUCAUCAUUUGUAGAAUCUAUUAAUUCCUUAUUGUUGGUUUCUAAUUUUAGGUUUGUUCUUUGGCUACGUGAUUUCUUUAUGCUCUGUUAGAUAUCAGAUGCUAUUUGAUGACAUAUUUUGUUAGUUAUUGGAUGUUAUUUUGUUGCAUAAUUGCAGUGGACUAAGAAAUCGUCGAAAUAUGUAUUUUGAUGCAUAUUUUAUUUUUUCUAUUUCAUCUAGAUAUUAGAAAGAUAAUUUGUAUUGUCGGUUCACGAUUUUAAAAAAAGAUACAUAUAUUAUAGGUAGAACCUUAUCCAAACCCAAAUAGACGGUUUGGGAUCAAGUCUGGUUUCUGUAACUAAGUGUACCCAAAUGGUUCUAUUUACAAAAUAUCCGAAGUAUAAUGGAUAGUUUUGAGUAUUAAACUACCCGUGCCAACCCAGUAGAUGUCCAUAACUAUUUUAUAAUUUUGAGCGUUGGGCUAUUAAAGGUAUGUCUAUAAGACGAAAGCGAAAAUGAAGAUGCUAAGAUUUGUUUGUAAUUAUACUAAAAUGGAUCUCAUAAAAAAAUGAGAAUAUACAGUAGUAACUGGCGGUGACACCGAUUGAUGAUAAAUUGAAGGAAGCACGACUUAGGUUGCAGGGUCAUGCUUUGAGUCUAUUUAAAAAGGCUAUAUUCAUAAGAACUGACGUUAUCUCAGUGGAGCAAAUUAAAAGAGAAGGUGGUAAACCAAAAUUAACAUGGUCAGUUGUAGUUGUAAAAGGAUCGAAUUGCUUUAGAUCCCCAAUAGUUCUCACAAUGAAUAACCAACUCUACAUUUAUCAGGUAAAAGGCUUAGUUCGUUGUUGUGUUUGCUUGUUUGCUGGAAGACCAUUUGCUGUCAAAUUUAUAACAGCUCUACAUUUCCAAACUUGGAAAGCUUUUAUAACCUCAAAGAAGUUCAGCAGAUUGCUUUGAUGCAGAGCUACUCAAAUACAGAUGGUGAAUACAGAUAAAGAUACUCCUUUAAAAAACUUCUUAUACAAGAUGCAGUUGAAUUUUAUAUGACUGACCUGGACAAAAUUGUUUAUAAUUUCUAGUGCCAACGAUGCUGCUUUGUCGGGAAAGAAUCGGCAACCAUACGAAAAUGAGAAUUGUAAACCGAAUAUUUGUAAAAGAAAAAAGAAAGCUAAAGGAUAGAGUAUGCUUUAUGUAAAUUAUUUAUCAUUCUGCAUGCACCAAGUUCAAGUACCAGCGGUCUAGACAGCAUUUAUAACCGAGAUAUUCAACCAUCCCUACCUAAGAUAUAAAUAUAGAUAUUUCUGAAGAUCCACUAAUGACAAAUUUUCCACUACUAAGACGACUAUGAUUAAUUACAUAUUCUUCAUAACAUAACAACUUCAUGCACAAUCGCUUGAAAUCUCGUUAAAGCCGUCUCUUCUACGAAGAAGGUAUUUUGUGUUCGAAAAUGAGACCCAUAUAUAAGAACAUUGCCAGAGAUGGCCCAUUGAAUUGGUCGCACCUAAGAACUGGAUUAUCAAUGCCUUAAGCGCUUUACAGAUUUGAGUUCUUGAUGAAUUUUCUCUCUCUAACUGUUGGUCGUUCACGUCUUUAUGAUUGAUGAGGACAUGUCAUUUGGGCCUAAGGUUUCUUAAAUUCUAUAAACCAAGAGAAAAGUUUCAUUUUAAAGAAACUAUAUUCUUCACAUUCAAUUUCCCCCCUGUAAAAAGCACUCUGAAAGAUGCUAUAACUUCCCAAACAGCCGUUCAUAUCUAUCAAAAUAUUUUUCUUUCCUUUGGAUACCAAAAAAAUAUUAGAACGCCGUCCAAGAACGAUAGACAACACAUGGUGGCCAAGUUACAUUAACUUACGGACAAACAAAAAAUCACUUUACAGCUCAUGCAACUUUUUACUCAAUUCUGCUAAAGAAGUAGGGCAAUCUAUUCUCCCAUCGCUGUUACAAGAUACCAAGUUGGUUAGGACAACAUCAAUCAAGACAAAAGUUGCAUGACAAUACCAAAAGUCCAGAUUCCUAUUAUUCAGACCCUCACUUGUUAAGGAAAAGUUAUAACCUAUAGAUAAUAUUAUUACUUCAAACAGCAAUUGCUCCAGUUGCACUAUUCCUCUUUCCUCCAGAAUACAAUUCAUCAAAUAUCCCAAUUGUAAUACUAUAUAAUAUCAAGCAUGAAUUCAAGCCCCUGACAAGAGUAUCCUGCAUAUUAACGUAAUCUUUUAUUACUACCUCAACCCACACAAAAAGAACAUCACAUCUAUAUGUGUUUAUCCAUUCCAUGGCCCUCAGCCAGCAUUUUGCAUUUUUUUCAGUCAAGAGUUUCAUUCAAAGUAAUGGUUCCUCCAAAAAAAUUGGAUAAAAUUUUAUAAACUCCAUCAGCUCCAAUCACCUUAUACAUCACUCGGUUCAAACUCAUAAUUUAAAUUAAAGUCAACCAAUAUUCACUAAAUCCCAUGUAAAUCCAAUCCAGCAGAAACAUAUCCCAAAAUUAUAUUAGUGUUUUAAAAAUCACUCUACUAAUUUAAACCUCCCAACAAAAAUCGAAAAACAAAUUCAUAUUGUGCAGCAUAAUCAAGAAACUCGGAAAAAGAAGAUAACACAAUCAAGAAACCAUAGGUCCAAAAAAAUAAAAAUAAAAGUAAAAUAUCACAAACUCACAAAAUGUUGGAAGAUUCAGAUCAGAAUCAGAUUCUAAAUCGUGAAAUUACCAAAAAAAAAAAAAUGGAUGAUGGGAGGGGAGGAGAGAGGUUAAUCUUAGAUUAUAGACUGAGGAAUUGGGAGUGGCAAAUGAUGGAAUUCCAACCAAGAGGGGAAAAUAGAUCAACAUAAUUCUUCAAGUGCUUAUCCUGACUUGAUAUCCAUGAAAAUACUACAAUUAUGCCUUCCACUUUCCCUAUUUCUUCUCCACCAAUAAUACCUUCCUCCAAACCCCCCACAUCUUUUCAAUUUCCUCGAGGAGAAAAAAAACAAUUUCCUAGCACAAUUUUCUGACAAUAAAGAAACAAAUCCCUUUGAACAAAAAGGUAUUUAGCUUUUAAUUGUUUAUUUGUUCAUGUGGAAUAGAUUUUUUCAAGAACUCAUCCGAAAUUCUAAUUGGGGUGUGCCCAUUUCUGCUUCUUAUGGUCUUUCUUGAAAAUUAUAAAGAAUGGAUACUUGUUUUAUGAGAAUUUAUGUGAUGGUUUUAAAUAACAAAAAUGCUACCUAUAUAGCCUAUGCUGUACAUUUUGUUUGACAGGUAUCUCAUAAAAUGUAGAAGUCGUGAUUAUUUUAAUCGUGGGAACUCGUGAUUAUUUUGAUCGUGGCCCCACUUCCUCAUGUGAGAAGGCUAUCAACAAUGCUGUGAAAGAAGUUGUAAUUGUAGCACAAUUUUAUAUAUAAUAACUUGGCUGUGUCGACUUGCAGUUGUUUGAGUUGUAAGGAUUGUAACGAGCAAAGCUUUUUGUAGAACUCAUAUGACCCCUUUGUUAUUUUUGUAGUAUUUUCGAUUGGUGAUAUUCUUUCAAUUUGAGGCCUUGUUACAAGGGACACUUUUUCAAUUCCAUGCUAUUCAUGCCCUCUCAAUCUGAGAUAAUUUUAUAAUUUUUAUUAAGAUUGUUCUUUCAAUCCAGUGUGUGUGUGUGUAUCUUAAUUUAGACCUCUUGUCAACUAGGUGUUGGUAGGAGACGAGACUCUUGCCUCACCCGAGUACUGGUACGAUCCUCUAUAGCUUGAUCUUUCGAGAUUCACAGCAUUUGCAUUGGUCCCACAAUAGUGGUGUCACUCCCAAGGAGACCUUUUAGCCAUUUUUCUUGGCAUCUAAAUCGUCCCUCUAUUUAUUUGGUCGUGAAUUUGCUUCGAGUUCACUUGCCUUAUCAUUUCCUAAUAGUGGAUCUCCUCUUUGAUCAAAUCUACAAAUUCAUCGUACAUUUUGGGUGCUUGAUUGCGAACAUCUCUUCAGAAAGGGAUAGUCACGUCUAAAUCGAACAUCAAAGCCUGAAAAGUUGUAUCUUGUCGAAUGCUUUUUACAUCAAAAUGAAACGGUUGAGACAGCAUAGCAAAGGUUCAUCAAGAUCCUGCCUAACAUCAUGGAUCUUCCCAAUCGGGGUCAAACAUUUUCAUGGUGAACAUAUAGACGAAUUGGUCUUUAGGUAAGGGAACUAUCGAUGCUACCUAGUGAAAGCUUAUUAUACUAUUUUCUAGCUCCUAUUGAGAGUGUAACAUGGAAGUCUUGUAAUUUGUAUAUUGAGCUUGCCCUUAAGAAGUUUAUGUACAUGUUAUAUUCCCAGACAUGGUUUGAGGGAAAUUUUCUAGAUUUUCAGCAUGGCAAAUUUUGGGAAGGCUCUUUAACGCUUUGAUUAGCUUGGUAAAAGAGAUACAUGUCAUAGCUCAUCGCCUUUGGCCAAAACUGCUUGCUCCCCACCCCCUUUUUCGAGAGCACAUAGAGAAGGUUGGUCCUUUUAUUUGAUGAACUUAUUGGGUUAAUCUUGCCCAACUCUUUUACCACAUCCUCUAAGGACCUCGUCCUAGAUGACAUUGAUGCCUUCCAGCCUAAGAUACUACCAGGCUUUGAAGAUCUAUGCUCUCACUCAUGAUAAGAUGCUUGAUUUCCCAAAAGUGGUGCGUAGGUUGCUUGAUUGGAGGAAUUUGAUGUGUAUUCUCUAUGCAUAGAGCCCUCUACGUUGCUCUCACAUUCAUUCUCUUGGAGAGGCGGAAUACCUUUUCUUGAUGCAUCAAGAGUUGCCUUAUAGUAACAUUUUCUUUAGCAAAAUGUUAAAUGUUGGCCGCCAUGUUGCUAUAGCUCGAGUUAGCUUAGCCACGGUUCUUUAUGGAUUUGGGUUUCUUCUCAAAGUAUUUCUUGUUGAAACAACAUGACUUUCAUUCUAGCUCCCCUCGGGUUCUCAUCGCUGUUUGAUCCACUUUACUCUUCUUCUUUUUUUUUUACUUUUCUUGCUUCUCGCAUAUUCUCUUCUGGAGCUCAGCAUUCUUACAUCUUUGUUUAGAAUCUACUUCUUAGUAAAAGAUAAAAUUUUGUGGAUAUCAUUUGCAUGCAAAUAAUUAUCGAUGCCGAGUUCCUAAAUUCAUCAUCACUGAUAUUGGAAAACUCUUUUACAAUAGUCAUAUAAAUAAUCUUUGCGCCAAGUUUGGGCUCAAAAAAUACAACCCAUACAUGUACAAUGCGAAAACUACUUUGUUGAAAAAUAUUGUUUCCAAUUUAUUAGGAACUGGCAUGAAAAAAAUUGAGAAAGUCUUUGGGUUUGUCACACUACUUACUGGACUCAACAAAAGUUACUCCUUAUAUCCUUGUGUAUGGAGUGGAACAUUUCCUUAUAAUGUCAAAUUUCGUAAUUGUAUUAGCCAUCCAAGAAGUUUUGUUGAUGAACGAGAAUGUUCCUUUUUUGACUUGAGGAGUUUGCAUCUUUGAUUGAAAAGCGAUUAGAGGCAUAAAUGCUUCGAGAAUGUUAUCAAGCUCGGAGGGCAAAGGGCUUCAACAAAAAUGUGUAGCCAAAAUAAUUCUAAGUUGAAAAUAAUUAACUCCGAGAGAAAUUCAAACUUCAAGAAGAAAAAGAAGCUUGGAGAUUGAACACAAGAAAAUUUCUCCAGUGCAAGGUCAAAAGUUUCAAGAAUAAAGUCUUCUUCAAAUCAAAAUCAAAACAAACCCCCCAAGUCCCGAAAAUUCAAGUCAAGCCCAAAUCCUGAAGAUUCAAGCAAAUCAAGUUUCCAAUAGACAUCAAAGUCUAAGAUUCAAGCCAAAUGAUCCCGUAGUCUUCAAUACACUACUCACUAAUUAGAGGAUUGUGAAUUUUGUAGUCAUAAGAAAAUUAUACACUUAGUAAUUUUCCAAAAUCAAUUUGCAAUAUUUUUUAUAUCUUGUAUAUGAAAAUUGUUGUACAUGGCCUAUUUCGAUAAAUAAGAUUUGUGUGCGGACUUGGGCAAAACAAAUGUUACAUAUGUGCAGUUGAAUAAUAAUGAUUUGUCACUUAAUUUGUACUACAGAAGUUUGAUCUUCUACAACCAAUGGAAAAAAUAAAAACUUUUCACUGCUGAAACGUGAGAUCGAUUUCAUUGUUUUACAUGCAUAAUUGACGCAUGCAACAGUCAAUACAUGAAGUCAUCAUGCUCAUAUUGCAAUCCAUGAAUGGUACAAGUCUCUAUCGAUGUAAAGUAAAGACAUAAUAUGUUAUACAAAGGCAUUCGAAAGCUUGUAAUGUGAAACUUUUGUAUGUGUGUCAUCAUUUAUAAGGACACGGCCUACUCCAGAAAUUGACAAUUAAUUGCCAUGAAUAAUGUUAUUUGCAUUUGCUCACUACUGCAAUUAACAUACAUGUAACGGUUAGUGAUUUAUUGUACAAAGUAAUAAAAGACCACCACAUUGAUGUAUCAAAUCACUAACCACCAUAUAUACGCCACAUAGAACGAUUACGACAGUGAAUGACUGCAUAUAGCAUUACGCAAUUGCCAUAUAUCAUCUUAGUUGAAAGUUGGAACAACCCGAAAGCAAACUAUAUAAUUACGCAUUGAACUGUGUAAAACUAUAACUAUUAUAUUAAAUUAAAAUUCCAUCAAAUUAAGAGGUAAACAUUUAAUGAUAUUUCGACCUAAAAAAUUGAUAAGCUUCGGGAGAAAACAUGAUAUUAAUAAUAUUAAUUAAGAGGAAAUUACAAAAAAAAUGUCUAUUUUGAAAUAAUCGUUUAUAAAAAUGUCCAAAAUUUUUCAAUAUCUACUUUUGCAAUUAUUUGGAUGAGAGUAUCACUAAGUACCUUCCAUGAAAAACUACAUUAAAAUGAUGUUCUCGAUAUUUCAAAUGUUGUUCUCGAUAUUUGAAUCUGUUUAUAUUUCAAAAGUACACAUAUUAAAUCAAAAUAUUAAAUGUUCUCGAUAUUUCAAAUGUUGUUCUUAACAUAUUAAAUAUCUAGAAUGACAUUUCAUUCCAAAUAUGACAUUUCUCUCCAUUUUAAAUGUUGUUCUCAACAUUUCUGUGUCUAGUAUUAAUUGUGAUUUGACAUGUGCAAUAUGAAAUUAUUUAUUCUUCAUUAAGGGUAAAAUAGAGAAUUUGGUGUCAAAUUUAGCCAUUUUUGUAAAGAUUAUCAAAAAUGAACAUUUUUAAAUUGACAUAUGUGAAAUUGGACAUUUUUACAAAUGUCCCAUUUAUUAAUUGGUCAAACUUCAUGAUCAUCACGUAACGAAAACUAUCUAUUGUCUAACCAAGGAUGACAGAAAAUAAAAAUUGUCUCGUUUAAUAAACUUCUAGCUGGUGAAUGUAUCACUUGAUUAUAAUUAAUGUUAUAUUAAAUAAUAAAAAAAUUCUAGUAAGACCAAAUGUUCACGUAGGACAUGACUAUUCUCCAAUAGUUUUUUUUUUUUAAUUUAAAAGAAAAAAAAAUGUUAAACAUGCUACGUUGAGUACCAGAAAUGAUUAACAAUUAUUAUAGUGUGCUUAAGGGCCCAUAAUUAUUCUAACUUUUGUCACUUGCUGAUGCUUUUGACCUCUGCGAAUCAUUUUUUGAACAAUGAAAUCCAUAACAUAAAGGUGAUUAAGUGAGAUGGAGCCUUAAACGAAUCCCGGUGAGCAGUUGCAUUAAUUAAACACGUGUGUGUGCAGAUAGCUGUACAUUUGUCCUUAAUCUAUUUAUUGAAUAGCAAGUUUUUAUUUUUUAUUUAUUUUUUAUUUUUUAUUUUUAAUGAAGUUGCACAUCAACGACAAAAAUUGUCCAAAUCUUCAUUAAACCACACAUGAUCCUCACAUUUCUAAAUUUUAACUUCGUAUAAUUGAAUUGUGUUUUGCAAAUUGGACCAAUAUUUAAAUGGGACAUGUUUGUUAUUGGAGUUUUUCAUGAUAUUUGUACUUGAUUUUAAUUUGUUAAAUUAUACGGAAGUCAACGUAUAGUUGACUAUCUUGGUAACUAUGGCUUAUGCUCAUCCAUUACAUAUAACGUUUUGUGAUGAUAUUAGGCAUUUAACACAUUUGGCCCCAAAAAGAAACACAACUUUUUUUACAUUUAGAUGUUCAAUAUUUAAUAAAAUAAUUAUAUAUUUUGUAGGUAAAUGGACACCUUGAUAAUUUUGUAAUUAAUUUUAUUAUUAUCGUUUGAUGUUGAGACUUCAUAUUAAAUAAAGAGGAAAUUUCACAAAAUGUCCAUUUUUACUUAGUCAUUUGCAAAAAUGUCCAUAAUUGCAAAAAUGUCUAAUUUGGAAGAAUUUAGACCAAAAUACCCUUAGUAACAAUUUAUAAUUCCACACUAAGACAAAAAAGGGACAUUUUUGCAAUAUUGUUAUUGGUCAGUAAAAUUUUGACACAUAACCUGUCAUAUUUAUUUCAAAAAGUAUACAUAUCAAAUUACAAUAAAUGCUAUAUUUUUCAUUGAUUCAGAAAUGUAGAGAAACGCCAUGUUCAAAAUGAAAUGUCAUUCUAGACAAAUGAAACGGUGUUCAAAUGUCGAGAAUGACAUAUGAAAUGUCUAGAAAUAUUAUUUUAAUGUAACUUCUCAUAGAAGCUACUUCUCAAAAUUCGUGACAAAUUGAUAAAAAAAUCAAAUGUCGAGAACGACAUUUAAAAUGUCGAAAAUACAAUUUCAAAAUGUAGCUUUUCAUUAAGGGCAUAAUAGACAAGUUGGCACUAAAUUCGAAUGAGUGGACACUUUUCAACUCAUACCUUUAAAAUUUGACAUUUUUAAAAAUGCCCCUUAAAUACAUGUUUCUAAAAUUUAUUUUCCAGCAGCACAAUAAAUAGUCACAUUGCUCACAAUUAGAAUGGUCAAUAAAUGUAGUAGCGUAAUGCACUUUAAUUCUUCACAGAGAAAUUUUACUAAAUAUAAAUUAAUAUAUAGUUUCAUCAAGAAUAAUAUUCUUACCAUAUGCAUCGUGUCUUACUCACACUUAAAAAAUAAAAAAUUGGGAGGUGUAGUUUGGUGAGCCAAUCACGCUUAUGGAUUAAUACCACUUUAUAAGUUUUGAAAAGAAGUCAAACCAUUCUCUAUCUCAUAUAUGAAGUUGAGAUUCUCACUCACACUUAAAAAAUAAAAAAUAAAAAAUUGGGAGGUGUAGUUUGGUGUGCCGAUCACGCUUAUGAAUUAAUACCGCUUUAUAAGUCUUGAAAAGAAGUCAAACCAUUCUCUAUCUACUAUAUGAAGUUGAGAUUUGACAGAAAAUGGAAGAUAUGCAAGUAAAAUUUGUUAUUCGGCUCGAUCCUCAACCUCCAUUUAACUUGGUCUUUGUGCAAUCAUGUCGUCAUCUUAUUAUGUUCAUCAAUUAUGCUUACACAUUUUUGGUAGAGCUCCACAUCAUUAAUGGAAGUAAAGAUUUUAUUUUAUAAGUUUUGUGAGGCCUAUGAUCAAGUACCAACAUGGUGAAGUGAUAGAAUAUGAUCCUAAUAAUUGAAUUUGUAAUCUGACUAUGAAAACCCUCAUCCGCAUGAAUACUUUCUUUAAUGUAAAUUCGAUUUGUGUUUAAAAUGUUCAAUUUUCAAUAAUAUAUUAUAGUCUUUCGAACGCUACGCCAUGGCCAAGUGAGGGAAUGCAUUAAGCACAUGAUAGUGCCUGCUUCAGCGAGGAAAGAAUCCAUUUUAUUUUUAUUUUUUUGGCUUGUUUAACAUAACUUUUUGUUUUUACUUUUAUUUCUGCUUCCUUUAGAAGAGUGAGGUUUUUGUUUUUGUUUUUGUUUUUUGAAAUUACCUUAAUUUUCAGUGGUGAAACAAAUUUAUGAUUAUGAUCAUCUUCAAAUGCUUUAACAAUCUAAUAGCCACCUUCAAUGUCGUUUGAGAUUCGCAUGUUAGCCUUACAUCUACCUCUAACCGUUGAGCAACUUUUUCCUUUUGUAGAACCCUAUAUCUGACAAUUCUCUAUUUCACUUAAUCCUUCAAAAAUCUUCCUACUAUAAUAUUUUCUUUCAUGUGAGCACACAAAUUUAAUAAGUGUAAAUUCAUUUAUACGUGGGUGUUACUUAACUACUGUUUGAGUACGAAUCCAUAAACCAUUUUGUCGUCCAUAGUCUUCGUGUUAUGCCCUUGCUUCCUUUGCCGUCUUAAAUUUCAUCCCAAUGUAAGGCGCUUUGCCUUGUAUUGACGAUAACCCAAUCUCAUCAAAUUGAUACGCAUGUACAUAAUUACCACAAUUGGUUGCACCCAUCUACAAAACAAUUUUGAAAGAAUCAAUCAAUGAUAUUGAUUGCAUAGAAUUACCGAUAAUCAAAUUCAUUGUUGAAUAACUCGUACAUAUAUUUUCUUAAACAAAUUGUAGCAUACUUAAUUUUUAAAGUAUUCCCUGUUGAAGUAUAUAAUAACAUUUAUUAACCAUUUUAUUAACACUUCAAGCUAGUGAUAGCAACGGGGCGGGGUUAACAUUUAUUAAUCAUUUUACUAACACUUCAAGCUAGUGAUGGCAACGGGACGGAUUCGGGGCAGGGGGCUCCCACCCAGUCUUGCCCCGCCCCAACCCCACCCGCUCCGUUUAGGCGUGGUUGGGUUCGGGGUAGUUUUUUGCCCCAUUUACUACCCCAUUUAACUUUUUUUUUUUUUACACAUUUUCAAAAUUUAGAGUUAUAUUAUUAAAUUAUUAAAUACAAAUUCAAAAUUUAAAAAUUCAAAACAAAUAAUGCUCAAAUUAAAAUCAAUAUUCAAAGAAACACUUGAAAAAACAAUAUCCAAUAUAUUCACAGGGAGGGUUCGGGGCGGGGCAGUCUCAACCUAUCGGGGCGGGUUUUUUUGCCCCAUUCAGGACCGGGGCAUGGCGGGCGGGGUAAAUUGUCAUCUCUACUUCAAGCAAAUUAAAACUCAAUUAUAACCUUUAAAUCACAGAUGAAUCAAGCAUUAUGCUGAAAUUGAUGCAACACUACUCAAACUGCAUGAUACAUUAUGUGGAAAUCAAAAGAAAAUAAACACGGAUCCUUUUCCCACCAUUCAUGAUAAAUCAGAUUUGGAUAUUAGAGGAAAAUCAGAUUCAAGAACAUGAUAUAACACAGUUUUGUAGAAUGAUCAAAAUAACAAAAUCGAAACCUCACGUGAGAUUUUGGUUGAAAAACAGUUAACCGCUUACAGAAUCAUACCUAAAAAAAUUACUUCAGUUCUUAUUCUGCUUUCUCCUAAAUAAAUGAUUUGAUGACACAAUAGGAAUCCUCUAAAAAUUUAUACAUGGGCAAAGAAAUUCUUUACAUGCAGUGAUGAUUUGAAGAUUCAAUUUUGUGAGGGAGAUGAUGAAUUUCGGUGGUGAUGGAGAAUGCAUAAGAUGAUAGAAAAUCAUGAUGUUGUUGAGAGAUUUUAGGGAUUAAUAUAAGGUAAUUAGGGGUGUUUGGAAGUAAGAUUAUGAAUUCUUUCAUGUUUUAAUAUAUAAACUCCUAGCAUUGGAUUGAUUUUAAUUAAAGAUCACGAUUAUUUGUCAUAAAUACUUGUCAAAUUAAUGGGUAGACUUCCCUAUGCUCAUCAGAUAUGAGCCGCUGGUGAAUUUGUCGGAUAGACAGAUCUUUGUGAAAUUGAAUCAAUUGCUUAGGUGAUUGCCCUUUAGCCCUUUGUUUGACCAAAAAGACUCCCAUGAGUUGGAUGGGCUAAUGCUUAAAGAUAAAUUUCAAGAGAUUCCCUAUUUUAAUUUUUGAAAAUAGAGAGUGGGUAAAUAUACGAAGAAAUUAAUAAAUAUUUCUUGAGAAAAGUAAAAGAAGAAGACAAAAUAGAAAGUAUUAUUGCAGAGAAUAAAAUUUAGACUCUCUAUAUAAUGCAUAAAAAAAUUUUUACAAAUAAAAAGUUUGUUGAAGUUGAUCUAAUGAUGGUAUAAAUGAAAGAUUUGGAUAAAAUUUGUAAAAAAAAUAAAAAUAAAAUAAAUAAAUAUGUUGUAAAUGGAAAGUCCAUUAAAGUUUAUUGGUGAAUGACAUUUGUACCCCUGUAACCCUAGAAAUUAUUACCAUUGUAUCCCUAAUUCUUACCUAUAAAUAUAGGGCUUUGAUUUUCAAUAAUAUACACAAAAAGUUUAUUGAAUUUUCUCUAUUCUCUUUGAGUUUUCUCUAUUCUCUUUUCCUCUCAUUUUAUAACACGUUAUCAGCAUGAAACUCUUAGAAGAUAGUAAUUUUUUUUUUCAUAAUCAUCUAUCACGUAUAUCAAAAUUAAUUUGAUAAUACGUGAAUUUUACAUAUACAUAUGUUGAAUCUGCAAUACGUGAUCUCAUCUUUCUCGAUCAUUAUGUUUUCUUUGUACCUCUCUUUGAAUUAAUUAAUUUUUUUUCCUUUACAUCAAUCCACGUGCAUUUUUAUGGAGAUAUAUUUAUGUUAAGUCAAUUGAUAUGUAUUAAUUCAUGUUCCUAUACCCUCCUUGUAUUUAGAUUAGUCCUUUACAUUCUACACAUGCUUAUAAUUUUUUUUGGUUUAAUUGGUCAAUGUUCUUUGUAAGCAAGCUUCAAUUCCAGAUCUCUAUUUUGGCUUAUUCCAUAUAUAUAUAAUAUACAAUUAACAAAUAACUGUACCCAACUCAUCUUUUCUCUCAAAUCCAUUGGUUUCUGCAAAUUUCAUGCUUUAAUUGGUUAAUACUAAUUCAAUUCUUUUAAUUGCACAUAAUUAGAAUUUCAUGCCAUAAUAUGUGAAUAGGUGUCUACAUGUCACCAAUUUUUUUUUUGUGUUUCACUCGACUCACGUUAUUAAUUGAAAAUAAUAUUUUACAUGUGUUUGUAUAUUAAUUAAUGGUGAGCAAUUGGAUGUAUUAUCAUUUUUUUUAUGUUUAGUUAUGAAACAUUACAUUAAAUUUAUUUUUAAUUGUUGUUACUCCUGAAGUAGCACAACAUUAUAAUUAAUAUUCUAGAAGAAUAUUAAUCAUAAAUCUAUUCGUUGUUGCUCCAGAAGUAGCACAACAUUAUAAGAAUAUUAUUUACUCCUGAAGAGUAUAAAUUAUAACUCUCAAUAUUCCAGAAAAAUAUUGACAUAUUGCACUUGAAGAAAUAAUAGCAAAAUAUAAUGUACUUCAGAAGUAGCAUAUGUUUCGAAGAACAUAUUAUUUCAAAUUAGUGUUUAUCCCUAGAAGAAAACACGUAAUUUAAAGUCAUGUUGAUAUUGACUAUUUGAUUAACUUGUGAUGAUUAAUCAUAUUCUUCGAAACUAAUUAUAUUUUUUUAUUGUGUAGUUAAAUAAAUGGCAAACAUUACGAAACUUGAGUUUGCUGCACUUGACAUAUCUGGUAAAAAUUAUCUGUCAUGUAUACUGGAUGCUAAUAUCCAUCUCGUCUCAAAGGGUCUGGGAGAGACAAUAAAAGAAGGAAACAACGAAUCCUUGCAGGAUCGUGUAAAAGCACUCAUUUUCCUUCGUCACCAUCUUCACGAUAGAUUAAAAAUUGAGUAUCUCACUGAGAAAGAUCUACAAGUUCUUUGGAAAAAGUUAACUGAAAGAUUUGAUCAUCAAAGGACUAUAGUCCUCCCCAAAGCCCGUUAUGAGUGGAUGUACCUUUGUUUGCAAGUCUUUAAAACGGUUAGAGAGUACAAUUCUGAAUUGUUCAGAAUAUGUUCAAAGUUGACUUUGUGUGGAGAAAAAUCACUAAUGAAGAUAUGUUGAAAAAAACUUUCUCCACCUUUCAUGCCUCGAAUGUGCUCCUGUAGCAGCAAUAUCGUGAGCGUGGCUUCAAAAAGUACUCAAAACUUAUAUCUUGCCUAUUAGUUGCUGAACACAAUAAUGAAUUGUUGAUGAAAAAUCAUGGAUUACGUCCAACUAGUUCUGUACCAUUGCCUGAAGCAAAUGGUACUACAUUGUCUGAAGCAAAUACAAUAUCAAGACAAGGACGUGGAUACGAAUUUGGAGGUGGACACAAACACGGACGUGUACGUGGAAUAAAUCAUGGAAGAAAUAAUCAACAAAAUUAUCAACAACAAGGUAAUAAAUUCAAAAGGCACAAAGCAAACGAGAGUGACAAAUCUAAAAAAGAGCAUGAAGAAAGUUGCUUCAAAUGUGGAAUGAAAGGGCAUUGGGCACGUAUGUGUCGUACCUCAAAAUAUCUUGUGGAUCUCUACUAGAGAUCAAUCAAGGGAAAAGAAAAAUUAGAGACUAAUUUUGCUGAUUAUGAUGGUCCAAUUGAUGUGACUCAUUUGGAUGUCUCCGAUUUCUUUACUGAUCCAAAUGAAAAUAUUGACCAUUUGGUUGGGGUGGUGUGAUAGAAGAUAUAAAUUAAUUUACUAGUAUUUCUUUCGUUUUAGAAAUUCAGUCUGAAAUAUGUUUUUACUUUUUUGCACAAAAAAAAUAAAUAAAUAAAACUCUAUUAUGCAAUGUUUAUUUCAUGAUAUUAAGUAAUGUUUACUUCUUUAAAUCUAAAUUCAAGUUUUUUUUUAAAAAAUUUGUUUAUUUUGUUAUAUUUAUAUAUUCAUGAUGAAUAGUCAAGACAGCUGCUUAAUUGAUAGUACAACUACACAUACUAUUCUUCAAGAUAAAAAAUACUUUUUGGACUUAAUAUUAGCCGAAAAUAAUGUUAACACGAUAUCGGGUGCGUCGAAUAUCGAUGAAGGCUCCGGAAGAGCUUGUAUUAUUUUACCAAAUAAUACAAAAUUAUAUAUUGACGAUACACUUUAUUCUAACAAAUUCAGAAGAAAUUUGCUUAGUUUUAAAGAUUUCGCUGCAAUGAAUAUCACAUUGAGACAAUGCAAGAAAAUAAUGUUGAAUAUCUUUGCAUCACUUCUUUUGUAUUUGGCAAGAAGCAGAUAAAAGAAAAAUUUCAUGCACUUCCGUCUGGGAUGUAUUUUACAUUUAUAAAAAUGGUCGAAUCAAAUAAUGUUACGAAUCAGAAGUUCAUUGAUUCAAAAAGUUUUAUACUUUGGCAUGAUCGACUUGGACAUCCAGGAGCCAUAAUGAUGCGUCGAAUAAUAAACAACUCACAUGGACAUCUUUUAAAGAACCAAAAAAAUUCUUUUUUCUAAUGAUUAUCCAUGUGUAGCUUGUUUGCAAGGAAAGUUAGUCAUUAAACCUUCAACUACAAACGUCAAUAUUGAAUCUCCAACUUUCUUGAAAAGAAUACAUGGAGAUAUAUGUGGGCCAAUACACCCACCAUAUGGACCAUUUCGUUACUUUAUGGUAUUAAUUGAUUCUUCUACAAGAUGGUCACAUGUUUGCCUACUUUCAACUAGGAAUGUAGCAUUUGCUAGACUACUUGCUCAAAUCAUAAAAUUGCGUGCACAAUUCCCCGAUUACUCAAUCAAGACUAUUCGUCUUGACAAUGCUGGUGAAUUUAGAUCACAAGCAUUUGAUGAUUAUUGUAUGUCGAUUGGGAUUGAAAUUGAACAUUCAGUUGCACAUGUUCAUAUACAUAAUGGUUUAGCAAAAUCGUUUAUUAAACGUCUACAACUUAUUGCUAGACCAUUACUUAUGAAAACAAAACUCCCAGCUUCUGUUUGGGGUCAUGCCAUAUUACAUGCUGCAUCAUUGGUUCGUAUAAGACCAACUGCCUAUCAUCAAUAUUCACCUUUGCAACUUGCAUUUGGUCAUGAACCUGAUAUUUCUCACCUACGGAUUUUUGAUUGUACUGUCCAAGUUCCUAUUUCACCCCCCACAACGUACUAAAAUGGGUCCCCAACAAAGAUUUGGGAUUUAUGUGGGUUUUGAUUCACCAUCUAUUAUUAGAUAUCUUGAACCUUUAACGGGUGACUUAUUUACAGCACGUUUUGUAGAUUGUCAUUUUGAUGAAAUGACUUUCACAACUUUGGAAGGAGAAAAACUACAUUCUGAAAAACAAGAUAGAAUUUCUUGAAAUGAGACAACUCUAUCUCACUUUGAUCCCCGCAGCAAUCAAUAUGAACAAGAGGUUGAAAAAAUCAUUCAUUUACAAAGAGUUACAAUUCUACUACCUGAUAUAUUUGUUGACAUGAAAAAAGUGACAAAGUCAUUUAUUCCAGCAGAAAAUAUUUCAGCAAAAAUUAAUGUCCCUACAGGACAAUCUACUGUGGCAAAUGAAUCUCAAAUACGCCAGAAGCGUGGUCGACCAGUUGGUUCAAAAGACUCUGUACCUAGAAAAGAAGAGUACAGAAGAAAAACCAACCAAAAAUUUCAGAAAAAAUCACAUUAGAAAAGAUUGAUCAAUUAAAUAUUGAAUGUACGGUUCCUGAAGAACCAGAGGUGUCUGAAAAUAAUGAGAUUUCAAUAAAUUAUAUGAUAUCUCAUAAAUUAUGAGAACGGAAUAAUAUUGUUAUAGACAAUAUUUUCGCCUUUAACAUGGCUCUUGAUAUUAUACAAAAUGAGGAUCCUGAACUACAGUCUGUUAAUGACUGUUGAAAUAGAAAUGAUUGGCCAAAAUGGAAAGAAGCCAUACAGGCAGAAUUAAAUUCUUUGGAGAAACGAAAAGUGUUUGAACUAGUAGUUUGAACACUUGAAAAUGUAAUUUCUGUUGGAUACAAAUGGGUUUUCGUACGAAAGAGAAAUGAGAAUAAUGAAAUUACAAGAUACAAAGCCCGACUAGUGGCUCAAGGUUUCUCCCAAAGACCGGGAAUUGAUUAUGAGGAAACAUACUCUCCCAUAAUGGAUACCAUCACUUUUAGGUUCUUAAUUAGUUUGACCGUGUCAUAAGGGCUCGAUAUGCGCCUUAUGGAUGUUGUAACUGCCUACCUAUAUGGUUCACUUGAUAGUGACAUAUAUAUGAAAGUCUUUGAAGGAUUUAAGGUGCCAGGAAUAAAUUAUACAUAUCCGAGAACUAUGUUCUCAAUUAAAUUGCAAAAAUCAUUAUAUGGAUUGAAACAAUCCGGACGCAUGUGGCAUAAUUGCCUUUGCGAAUAUUUGUUGAAAGCGGGUUAUAAAAAUGACAAUAUCUGCUCAUGUGUUUUCAUAAAGAAAACAAAUAUUGGAUUUACAAUUUGGCAGUUUAUGUUGAUGAUUUAAAUUUAAUUGGAACUCCUGAAGAGCUCAACAAAAAUGCAGAUUAUUUGAGAAAUGAAUUUGAGAUGAAAGAUUUGGGGAAAACCAAAUCUUGUCUUGGAUUACAAAUUGAACAUUUUCCAGAGGGAUUAUUUGUUCAUCAAUCUACUUAUACAGAAAAAGUCUUGAAGCGCUUUUAUAUGGAUAAUGCACAUCCAUUGCCAUCACCUAUGGUUGUUCGAUCACUUGAUGUGAAAAAAGAUCCAUUUCGUCCACUUGAAGAUGGAGAAAAGAUUCUUGGUCUUGAAGUGCCAUACCUUAGUGCAAUUGGAGCAUUAACUUAUCUUGUAAAUUGCACUCGACCUGACAUAGCUUUUUCUGUAAAUCUCCUUGCAAGACAUAGCUCUACGCCAACUCAAAGGCAUUGGAAUGGUGUUAAACAUAAUUUUCGUUACCUAAAAGGUACUAUUGAUAUGAGACUAUUUUAUUCUCAAAAGUCAGGAUCUGCUUUAGUGGGAUAUGCAGAUGCAGGUUAUCUCUCCGAUCCACAUAAAGCUAAAUCACAAACAGGAUAUGUGUUUACACGUGGAGGAACAGCUAUAUCAUGGAGAUCUGUGAAGCAAUCCUUGACAGCAACAUUCUUACAUCAUUCUGAGAUUAUUGCAAUCCAUGAAGCAGGGCGAGAAUGUGUAUGGUUGAGGAAUAUGACCCAUCAUAUCCAAUCAUCAUGUGGAUUGACUUCAAUAAAAGAUAGUCCAACAAUUUUGUUUGAAGAUAAUGCAGCUUGUAUCGCACAACUCAAGGGAGGCUAUAUCAAAGGCGACAGGACGAAGCAUAUUUCUCCAAAAUUCUUUCAUACACAUGAACUUCAGAAGAAUGGUGACAUUGAUAUUCAACAAAUUUACUUAAGUGACAAUGUGAUUGAUCUAUUCACAAAAACGCUGUCAACAUCUACAUUCAAGAAAUUAGUUCAUGAGAUUGGAAUGCGUCGACUCAAAGAUUUUCAGUGAUCAAUAUUAGGAGGAGUAGCUGUACUCUUUUUCCUUCGCUUAGGUUUUGUCCCAUUGGGUUUUCCUAGCAAGGUUUUAAUGAGGCAGCAUUUAAUUUUAAUACUCCAAAAUAACUGUACUCUUUUUCCUUCAUUUAAUUUUUUUUCCCCAUUGGAUUUUUAUCAAACAAGGUUUUAACGAGGUAGAUAUUUUGUAAUAUGUCAUUCAACGAAGAGUGUUGUAAAUGGAAAGUCCGUUAAAGUUUAUUGGUGAAUGACAUUUGUACCCCUGUAGCCCUAGAAAUUAUUACCAUUGUAUCCCUGAUUCUUACCUAUAAAUAUAGGGCUUUGAUUUUCAAUAAUAUACACAAAAAGUUUAUUGAGUUUUUUCUAUUCUCUUUUCCUCUCAUUUUAUAACAAAAUAGUAAUAAUAAAUGAAAGAUUUGGAAUUACAACUGUAUUAUUCCUACGAUGGUUAUGUUGCCACCAUAAUUUCUAUUUGUCACACCACAAUUUAAUUGUAGUUAAACUCCCAAAUCCAUGCUCAUUGUAAUAAUUAUUUCCUUUAUUUUCGUUGAAUUUUUAUCUUCAACUUUCAUUAAUUAGUACAUCACGUCCUGACGAUAAUUUAUGUUAAAAUAUUUUGUGUACAUGCUCUACAUUAAGGGAAAAUAAAAUUUUUUUAAUUUUUAUAUAUGAUAAAAAAUAAGUUGUUGUAAGCUGUUUUUUUUUAACAUAAAUUGUUAUCAAAUACAAAAUAUAUUUGUAGUGGUCCAAAUUAUCCGUUGGGCUCUUGACCCAAUCCAUGUAUAUUGAAUGUUCCUAGCCCAAACUAAUGUAUGCCAAUCAUGCUCAUCCUUGACCCACUAAUGAUUUAUCAGUCUUACUUUGUGUCCGACCUAUCACACGGUGUCACGUAGAGUCUAAAGGAUAAACUUCUCAACAAGCAAAUCAGUUCAACUCACCAUCUUUUCUAUAAGAGUCGUGAGCUAAGGGUAAGACCAUGUCUUACGAGGUGUUCAAAUGGUUAUGGUAACUCUACCCAAAGUUGGUCGAGUUUUUCGAAACUCGGAAAAUAUCAUCCUAAUUAAUCAAUCCAUCUGGUGUCCACAUGCUCCACUAUUUGUGGAUCAAACAAUUUUGCUGGUUCUCUUAUAAAUAUGAGGGCCAACUAUUCAAGGGGAGAAAAAAAAAUUAUUGAGCCUACACAGCUUCCUCAAUAUUUAUCCAAUUUAGAUAUCUUAUUGCCAUUACUAUCACUUUUAUUUGUCACCUCUCACAAUCAUAUCAUCCAACCACUUCGCUACUAUCACUAUUUCAUCAUGCCAAUCAUAAAUAUCAUCAAUGCCUACUUUUAGAAUCAACUAUAGAUUCGAACAUCUACAAUUUGGCGCCCACCCCGUGGGCCCCAGUGAUUUUCAACACAAAAAAUAUUCCACUAACAGUAAACAUUUUGAUCGCAAUGACGGAAUCCCUAUUAUUGUCAAAGCUAGCAGCCAUGCUUGUUCAAUUUACUUCUCAAAUGGCUGAAACCAACCAAAAGUUCUAGCAGCUAGAAGUAUAAAAUGUACAACUUAAGCAGACAAUUAGAGAGCUCUCUACACUCUCAACGUUAGCUGGGACCAAGAGCCACAUUCAAUUUCACACUGUAGUGAGAACCAUAUAGUUACUUGACAUGCCAAAGCGUGACAUGCUAGGUAUAUGAAGAACUAAUGUCAAUACUAACAAUGUCAAUACAGGCCACGAGACAGACAUGGAGGACGAGGUACUGCUUGACGACCUACCCAUUGUAAAGGAGCUGGUACCACAGGUCAUUAAUACAAAUUACCAAAACACGGACUCUUCACGCAACGAAGGCACUAGCCCAAAUCCGAUAUCGAUCAACGUUUCGCCAUGACAGAGGCCAUGAUCAACCAUAUCCUGAGUGUACCUAUACCGAUCAAGAAAAAUAGGCAAAGCUUUGCGGACUCACCAUUUGUCUAUUCGAUAGCUCUAGUUAAAAUGUCAAUAAAUUUCAAUUUUUCCAAUAUGAAGAUGUAUGAUGGCACCACCGACCCAAAUGCCCAUAUUGCCCAAUGUAAACAAAGAAUGUUCACAGUAACCAGGCCCGGUUCUGGGGCCAGGCGAAUAAGGCCUACGCCUCAGGCCCAGAUUCCAAGGGGGCCUCAUUUUUAGCCCAGAAUUUUAUUUUAUUUUAUUAUUUUUUUCGGUUGAACCAAACUAGUAAUGAAGAAGAGUACCUCACAACUUCAAGCCCAAAUCCAAUACCCUUAGUCUUAAUCCAUUUAUCCAACUUAUACAUCCAUAAAUCAUAAUCUAUUAUCUGUCAUUUACCCAAAAUUCCCAAUUUCCCAAUCCCCAAUCAAAAACCCCUUUCUCCCAAACGCUCGUCUGAGUAGUCCGUCCCCUUCGUAGCGUCGCCGAUCGCCUCUGUCUCUCUUCUCGACUUCCUCAUUCCGACUUCCAGAUUUCCUCUUCCUUGAGUCAUCAGUUACGGUCCAUGGAGUCGGACACCAUCGUAGUUCACACCAAUUCCCUUCCGUUGCGGAGCACAGUUCGCUGUUCACCCCUGUUAGCAAGCAAGUGCUUGGCAGUUGACUAUUAGUUUAGUAUGUUAAGAUUAUUAAUUCCUUUUGAGUUAUAUGAUUACAUUUACACUAAGUAUUCAACUAUUCAUUCAUGACUUUUACCUUUUACUUAUUAUAAUUUUGAUUACAUGACUUUAACUAAUAAAUGCUCUUUUUCUAUGUUACUGUUAAAUACUUUAAUAUUAAUGGGUUAACUGUUAUCUAGUCUAGGAUGGAGUCGAGGACUUGAAAAUGCUACAACUAUGUUUAAUGAUUAUUGAUUAAUAUAUAAUUUGUUGUACAAGUUUGAGACGAAGAACUCUCAAAUCUCAAGUAAUGACUAAUGUGUGAAAUAGUUUAUAGUUAAUUUCAAUAACUUAGUUUGAUAGGUCUUUGUGAGAAUAUAUAGUUGAGAACUUGAGAUAUUAUUUUGUUAAUGAACUUAAGAAAAGAUAUCUUCAGUUUUUACAACCAGUAUACUAAUUUGAAUUAAUUUAUUUUGUUGAUGAAACUAUUUUAACGGUGAUUAGCUCUUAUUAAAUGUGUUAUUUCCCUAAGCUUGACUAAAUGUGCGCCUAUUUUUAAGUAUUGGUGUUUGAUGUUAAAUUUUUGUUUCAGGUUCGUAAGUUAUGACGAUGAAAUUCGCAAGGGUGUGAUUCCAUAGUUUUUGUCGCAAUUCUGCUUAUCAAGUAAGCAGUGGUUUUCCCUAACUUGUUAUUUAAGAGAUUAGAAAUGUUUGGAGCCUUGUCGGCUUAUAUAAUUGCAGCUUGGUUGGCUUAUAUGAUUGAUUAUUGUACGAUCAACUAUUUCAGAAGAAAGAUAGAAUGGAUUGACUAUGUUGUCAAUAGAGAAAGAAAUAGUUGAAUAGCUAAACUAUUCAAAUUUUAUUAAUGUUUUUGCCUUUUAGACGAAUAAUAUUUAACUAAUUACUUGAAAUAUUUUGGUUUUGUUAUUUGAUAAUAUAAAUUUUUUAUAUAAUAUAUCUGUUUGUUGUUUUAACUAAAUUUUAAGUUAGCAAUAAGUUGCAUAAUAUACCAUUGCAUUUACGUUGAUUUCGGGAGGGGGCCUAAUUUAUAUGCUUUGCCUUGAACCCUGACAAUCACAGGACCGACCUUGAUAGUAGCAAACCCACAUGAUCUCUAAGAAGCAUACAGGUGCAAAGGAUUCGGCUCUAGUCUUAUAGGGCUAGCUUUAUAGUGGUACACCAAUUUAACUAACAACUCAAUAUCAUCUUUUGUACAAUUAAAUGAUAUUUUUGUAGAGCAAUUCGCAAGUAGCAGAAAAUUAAUUAUUCGAACAUCCUCUAUAAAAUUGUACAAUGCACAGAAAUCUCUACUUUCAAAAAAAGAUUUAAACCUGACUCAGACCUCUACAAGGAAUUGACUAAGUACGCUUACUACACAAUGAAAGAUGUGUUGGUAGAGGCCUAGGCUCAAAUCAAGAGGGAAGAUGACGAGGCUAAUGCAUUUCGCAACCUACUCUUCAAGAUCAAAGAACCUAAAGGUAUCCAGAGGAUACAAAGACGACAAACUGACCCAUAUCCAAAAUUGAUUGUAGAAUCUUGUGAAGAACGGACAACUAGAAACUAUUGAGUGCCUUCACCAUUCUUACGAUAGACCAAGGAUACCCGAGUACAACCUUAGCAUUUUAUCAGUUGAAGUUGUAGCCAUAAUAAAAGGGAAGGAAAAUACCAUCAAAUUGAUAGGAAAAAUGAGAAGUCAUCUAGGCAACAGGCGUGAUACAUCCAAACCGUGUGCAUUUUAUGGUGAUCACGAACACAAAAUUCAUGAUUGUAUUGGUUUGUGAUUGGAAGUUGCUAAUCUACUCAAAUGUAGGCACUCACCAAUCUCCUAACAAAGAAAGGAAAAAAUACAUUGUUUCUCGGCAACCAAUGCUACAAUGAACCACACAAUCUAUGAAUUUCCAAGCACAUCCAAAGCUCGGUCGAGCAAUAACUUCAUCACCAAAGGAUCGAAGGUUAGCGGGAUCACUUAUUCUGUUGUACAAUGAUGCAUUCAAAUAAUUGGAUAGGUGGCGUGGAACGAAUCUCGAAAGCUUUCAAUAAGCUGAGAAGGCCAUCCCACUACGCUUAACUUUACAAGUAACGAGGCAUCAAACCUCCAAAACCUUCAUUGCGAUGCUUUGGUUAUUUCGUUAUGUAUUGCUAGCUAUCUUAUGAAAAGAAUUUCUAUCGACAAUGUGAGUUCUACUAAUAUAUUUUUCCUUGAGACAUUAAGAGAGAUGUAGGUCCCAGAGUCCAGCAUUAUAUGCAAUAUUACCACACUCAUAUGAUUCAAUUGAGAACACAAAACUACACUAUGAGAGAUGAUGCUCUUGGUCUAUGAUGAAGAAGUAAAUCUUCAUACCAAGUUCCUUGUCAUCGAGUGCCCAUUGGCCUACAACGUUAUCAUAGAAAGACAUUGGAUAUAUGCAAUGAAAGAUAACCUUCAAGCUAUCACAAGGUCAUGGGCUUUCCCAUUUCCUGGAGAGUUAAAAAAAUAUGAGGAGAAUCAAAGAGUCUCACGCAACUGCUAUAUGAAUGCUUUCAAACCCUGACCAGAAUGAGUGCACUAGAUCCAACAAAAAGUAAGCGAAUCGCUUGAGCCAGAUAUGGAGGACAUCAACAAAGUCCAAUUAUAUCUAGACAUUUCAAAGCAUACAGUGUAGAUUUGAGAUUAAUUCCCAUCAGACAUCUGAGAUGUAAUAAUUGAAUUUCUAGCUUGACAUCAAGAUCGCUUUGCAUGGUCGCACAUGAAUAUGACAUGUAUUGAUCCUUCAAUAGUAACCUAUAAAUUAAAGGUCAAUCCCACUACUAACUAGUUAGACAGAAGAGACACAAAUUCGCUCCAAAAACGAUAAAAAUUAUUAACGACAAAAUACAAAAGCUCAUUGACAUCGGCUCAGUACGUGAAGUCUAAUAUCCAAAUUGGUUGGCCAAAGUCGUCAUCAUUGAAAGGAAAAAUGGCAAAUGAUGGAUCUGCAUAGACUUCAUAGAUUUAAUAAUCGUGCCCAAAAAAUUCCUUCCCUCUAUCACAUAUCGACACUUUGGUGGUCUCCACAGCAAGGUAUAAGUUACUUAGCUGUAUGGAUGCAUUCUCAAUAUACAACCAAAUCUUAAUGCAUCCAAGUGAUCAAGAGAAAAUGGCUUUAAUAACGGGAGGAGAUGUUCUAUUACUAAGUCAUGAUAUUCGACCUAAAAAAUGCAGAAGCAACAUACCUGAUACGACCCAUCCCAAAUCACUAUAAUGAACCCGACACGUGUCGUGCGCCAAUGAAUGAUACCAGCUAAAUGCCAGACCUACCACCAAAUCAACUAUGAUUUGCUUUGACUGUCACAUAAUUAUAUAAAAAUUUGACAGAGUUUCCUCUAAGAUAUGGACUAAAAUAACCUGAAAGUUUAUCAACUUUCUCAAAUCAAUACAUAUAAUUUAAAACAAGGUACAUCAGCCCUUCCAAACACAACUAUUCAAAAUAAAGUACGAUUGAAUGGAAUUUACACUUCUUUACAAACCAGAGGACUCCAAAUACAUUACUUAUACAAAUUAUGUAGUGAGGCCAUGAUAUAAAUUGACAAAAGAUGCAUCUACCCCAAAAAAUUAUGAACUGUAUAAAUUGACAAAAAGAAACAUACAAAUAACAACUGAGGGGCUCAAUUUGGUAAUUCAACAGGCUCCGAUGUGGCUUAACACAGCUACCGUCUGAUAAGAAAAAGGGAGAUGAAAUAUAUGAGUUUGUAACUCAAUGAGUGGAUAAUUUUGUAAACAAAUAUACUUUUUCCAUUUAUGCUAACUUUCUAAAAACUGGUUUAUAAUAGAAAUAUCAUUACAUAGUACUUUAAGCUAAAUUCUGUAUUCUGAAAUUUGAUAAGUUGUAUAAUACUGAAAAAUCACACUAAAAAGGUACCCGGAAUAACUAUACUUAUGUAUCGAUUAGCAUCGAUAGACAUGGCAAAGAUAUCCAAUUCUGAAAUUCUGUAAUUCUAAAAUUUUGGUCAUACGAUGCACAGCUUUCUGGUCAUACACCAUGGAAACACAUUAACAAUAGUGCAAAGUAGGUAAAAUCACCAUAAUUAGUCAUACACUGUGGAAACACAUUCACACUAGUGCAAAGCGGGUAAAAUCACCUGGGUACUUUCUAGUGAUUUUUAGAAAAUAACUUUAAAUAUGCUGAACUAUUUAAUACUGAAAUAAUGUGCCAAUGAAAUGCUUUAACUGAACUGAAUUUAACUUCAAAACACAACUGUUAAUAAAUCAACUUUUUUCUGAAAAUCGUGUUUUCAAAUCAACUGUAUGAAUUAAUAAAUUUUCUAAUUUAAUAUAAAUUUUAUAAAUACUAAUUUCUUAAAAAUAAGUUUAUAUCCACUCACACAAUACGAGCUACACACUAGGCCACUUGGUAAGCUUUUCCAAUUUCUUUGUCACCACAUGAAAUACGUUACAAAAUAACUAAUUUAACUACUAUUAAAAUCAAGAAACCUUUUAUCUCUAAUGAUAAAAUAAUUAAACUAAAUUUUCCAAGACUUGCGAAAUUUUUUUAAAUUUCCUUUAUUCAAUUGGAGUUAAUUUUAAUUUCUAAUAAUACCUUCACACAUGGGUACUUUACCCAAAUUUACUUUCAUCCCAUUCAUAAAAAUAAUUAUACUUUCUGAUCUAAUGCAAACUAGUAACCAUAAUUCCACCUAUUUAAACUUUCAUCUUGUUUCUCAACUUCAUGCUUUCAUAUGAGUAUUCCAUCAAUAUAAUCAUUUCCAUGAAAUAUCCUUACUUAAGAAUCCAAUUAAAAAUUCUAGGGUUUGCCAAAUUUUUUUUGAUAUUUCUUACCUUAAUUCAAACGGAGACUAACCAAUCAAGAAGCUUGAGCUAGAGAUCAUAAUCCUUUCUCUAAAUCUGAAAUUUCGAACCAAAUUAAAACCCUAGAAAUUUAACAUAAAAUUUAUCUACCUCUUGAAGAAAAUAAAGAGAAAGGAAAAAUGAAAAUAAACCUUGAACUACAUCUUUCCCUUCUUCUUCCUCUUUUUCUUUUCCUUUUUCUCCUUCUUUUUCUUCACUUUUUUUCCUUUCUUCCUUCCUUCCGCCGAUUUUUCUCCUUCUCUGCCGGUUUCAAGAUUUUUCCUAUUUGUGUGGCUGAGUGAUAUAUAAAAAAAUGGGCUAGUUGUUGUACAAUUGCCACAUGCCCUCCAUAACAUCAACUUUUGCAAAUUAUGUCCUCAUUAAUAUACUUAGGAUCCGUUUGAUUGCAAAUGUGGAAUUUGGGUGAAAAGAAAACGAAUUUCAGGGAAUUGAAUUGAUGAGAAAUUGUUUUACUGGGAGUUGUAAAUUAUUGUGUUUGAUUGAUAUAAUUUUUUACGUGAAAAUUGUUUAAAUUAAAUUUUUUUUGAUGUCUGUUUGGUUUUGUUUUACAUGAAAAAUGUCAAUUAAAGGGAUAGAAUUUACUGGUAUUUGGAAUGAAAUUUGUUUUCAUUGCCAAAAUAAAAAAAAAUUCAAGAAAAUCAUCGAUUUUUGGGUGUUCGUUUGAUUUUGUUUUACAUGAAAAUUGUCAAUUAAAGGAAAAUAUUUUUUUACAAUAAUUUUUAGAAUUUAUUUUCAUUGCUAACACAAAAAAAGAAGGAAAAAAAAAUUGAAAACCUGGAAUUCACUUUCCUACCGUAUAGGUGGAAAAACCAAUUCCUUGAAAUGAAGGAAAAUAGGCGCGUGUGAGGCUUGCAUGGAAAGUGAAUUCCAAGGAAAUGUUUUGCCAUCAAACACUAGAAUUUGGAAAAGAUGGAAAUUAAUUUUCACUUUCUAGGGAAUUCAUGGGCAAUCAAACGGUACCUUAGAAUCAUUUACUUCCCAAAAAUAGAAAAAUAAAUCCCUAACUUUUCCACCUUAAACCUUCCGAUUAUUUCUCAGUAUAAAUUAAACUCCAAUAAUUAAUUUAUUUUAUUUUAGUCUCUAUUUGACUUUGACUUUGACGAGUCAAUCUUUGAAUUUUGACUAAACAAAAAUCGGUUGUAACAUCUUACUUCCUUAAAAGAAUUUCAUUCUCGAAAUUCCACUGGCAUCUGAUUAGGUAACGAAUAGAUGAGGAUACUGAAUACGCAUCUGAUCCUCAUGCUCCCAGGUUGCCUCUUCUACCGUCUGAUUCUGCUAAAGCACCUUUACAAGUAAAAUUGUCUUGUUCCGCUGAAUUUGCACCUUUCUGUAUAGAAUUCUCACUGGCUCCUCUGUAUAAGUCAAAUUCUCCUUCAAGUGAACUAGAUGAGACUCUAGAACAUGAGAAGGAUCUGUAAUGUACUUUGGAGCAUGGAGACAUAAAAAACAUCAUGGAUCCUAGAUAAUUCAGUUGGCAAAUCUAAUCGAUAUGCAACUAGACCAAUUCGCUCAGUAAUCUCAUAUGGUCCAAUGUAUCGUGGACUCAAUUUUCCUCGCUUGCCAAAUUUUAAAACUCCCUUCCAAAGCGACAAUUUUAGAAAUAUUUUAUCUCCAACUAUGAAUUUCAGAUCUUUUCUGUGCCUAUCUGCAUAACUUUGCUAUCUAUCUUAUGUUGGUUUUUCAACUUUUCUCUGAUCAAUUUCACAUUUACUGAAGUCAUUUGAACCAAUUCAGGGCCUACUAACUUCCUCUUACCAGCUUUAUCCCAGCAAACUGAUAUUCUGCACUUUCUACCAUAUAAAGUUUCAAGAAGAGCCAUUUCUAUACUGGAGUGGUAACUGUUAUUGUAAGCAAACUCCAUCAAUGACAAAUGUGAAUCCCAGCUACCCUGAACUCUAAAACACAAGCCCUCAACAUAUCCUCAAGAGUCUGUAUGGUCCUCUCUGACUGACUAUCUGUCUGAGUAUGAAAAGCUGUACUGGGCCAAAAUUUAGAUGUAAAAUGAGGGUCUCUGUCAGACAUAAUAUAUAAUGGAGUACCAUAUAAGCUCACUAUCUCGUCCACAUACAACUUUGCUAACUUAUUUAAAGUAUAAGUGGUUUUGAUUGGCAAAAACCUUGCAGACUUGGUCAAACGAUCCACAAUAAUAACCCAAAGAUCAUUAUGACCAUUCUGGGUACGAGAAAGACCAAAUAAAAAGUCCAUAGUAAUGUGCUCCCAUUUCUAUUCUAGAAUAGGCAAUGGCUAUAAUAGUCUUGUUGUUUUCUAACGAAUUGGUUUUACCUACUGACAGAUAAGACGUUUGGAUACAAAAAUAUGUUAUCUCUCUCUUCCACAAGUAAUGUUCUUUCAACGUAUCAUACUUUCAAUGUAUGAUACAUUUUAAUACAUUUUGAUAGAGUCUUCUUUAAAAGAUGGACUAAAAUCACCUGAAAGUUUAUCAACUUUCUCAAACCAAUACAUAUAAUUUAAAACAAGGUACAUCAGCUCUUCCAAAAACAACUAUUCAAAAUAAAGUACGUUGGAAUGGAAUUUACACUUCUUUACAAACCAGAGGACUCCAAAUACAUUACUUAUACAAAAUUAUGUAGUGAGCUCAUGAUAUAAACUGACAAAAGAUGCAUCUACCCCAAAAAUUAUGAACUAUAUAACUGACAAAAAGAAACAUACAAAUAAUGACUGAAUGACUCAAUUUGGUAAUUCAACAGGCUCCGAUGCGACUCAACACAACUAUUGUUUGAUAAAAAAAAGGAGAUGAAAUAUAUGAGCUUGUAACUCAGUGAGUGGAUAAUUUUGUAAACAAAUAUACCUUUUCCAUUUAUGCUCACUUUUCAAAAACUGGUUUAUAAUAAAAAUAUCAUUACGCAGUAUUUUAAGCUAAAAUCUUUAUUCUUUAAACUGAAUAAGCUAAAUUCUGUAUUCUGAAAUCUAAUAAGCUGUAUUAUACUGAAAAAUCACACCAAAAAGGUACCCGGAAUAACUAUACUCAUGUCUCGGUUAACACCGAUAAACAUGACAAAGCUAUCCAAUUCUGUAAUUCUGGUCAUACGCACGCAGAGCUAUCUGGUCAUAAACUAUGGAAACACAUUCACAAUAGUGUAGAGCGGGUAAAAUCACCUAGGUACUUUCUGGUGGUUUUUAGAAAAUAACUUUAAAUAAACUGAACUAUUUAAUAUUGAAAUAAUAUGCCAAUGAAAUGAUUUAAUUGAACUGAAUUUAACUUUAAAAAUAACUGUUAAUAAAUCAACUUUAUUCUGAAAAUCGUGCUAUCAAAUCAACUGUAUGAAUUAACAAAUUUUCUGAUUUAAUAUAGAUUUUAUAAAUACUAAAUUCUGAAAAGUAAAUUUAUAUCCACUCACUCAAUACGAGCUACAGACUAAGUCGGUCGGUAAGCUUUUCCAAUUUCUUCGUCACCACUUGAAAUACGUUACAAAAUAACUAAUUUAACCACUAUUAAAAUCAAGAAACCUUUUAUCUCUAAUGAUAAAAUAAUUAAACUAAAUUUUUCAAGACUUGCAAAAUUUUCCUAAAUUUCCUUUAAUCAAUUGAAGUUAAUUUUAAUUUCUAAUAAUACAUUCACACGUGGGUACUAUACCCAAAUUUACUUUCAUCCCAUUCAUAAAAAUAAUUAUACUUUCCAAUCUAAUGCAAACUAGUAAUCAUAAUUCCACCCAUUUAAACUUUCGUAUUGUUUCUCAACUUCAUGCUUUGAUAUGAGUACUUCAUCGAUAUAAUCAUUUCCAUGAAAUAUCCUUACUUAAGAAUCCAAUUAAAAAUUCUAGGGUUUGCCAAAAAAAAUUUGAUAUUUCUUACCUUAAUUCAAAUGGAGACUAACCAAUCAAAAAGCUUGAGCUAAAGAUCAUAAUCCUUUCGCUAAAUCUGAAAUUUCGAACCAAAUUAAAACCCUAGAAAUUUAAUAUAAAAUUUAUCUACCUCUUGAAGAAAAUAAAGAGAAGGGAAAAAUGAAAAUAAAUCUUGAACUACAUUUUUCCCUUCUUCUUCCUCUUUUUCUCCUUCUUUUUCUCCUUCUUUUUCUUCCCUUUUUUCCUUUCUUCUUUCUUUCUGCCCAUUUUUUUCUCCUUUUCUGCCAAUUUCCAGAUUUUUCCUAUUUGUGUGGUUGGGUUGUGCUUCAUAGCCCACGAGCUUGACAAAGGGGUUGACACCCCACACACACAUGGGGAGAUCGGUAUUAUUUUAUUCAAUGGGACCCACCUCGGCAUGUGAGAGGGUGGUCAGCCGUGGUGUCAACCCCGCGGGUCGUUUAGCAUUUUUCUUGUGUGGUUUGAGUGGUAUAUAAAAAAAAUGGGCUAAUUGUUGUAUAAUUGUCACAUGCCCGCCAUAACACCAACUUUUGCAAAUUAAGUCCUUCAACAUUAAUAUAUCUUAGAAUUAAAUCUUUUACUUCCCAAAAAUAUAAAAAUAAAUCCUUAACUUUAAAUUUUAUCCACCUUAAACGUUCCAAUUAUUUUUCAAUAUAAAUUAAACCCCAAUAAAUAAUUUAUUUUAUUUUAGUCUCCAUUUGACUUUGAUUUUGACGAGUCAAUCUUUGAAUUUUGACUAAACAAAAAUGGGUUGUGGCUCAUCAAUUCAAUGUUUACCAAAUUGCUCGAAAAAGUGAUGAGUGCCUACAUAAACGAUAUGCUCAUCAAAUCAUUUGUAGUGACUGACCACAUCAGGUACCCGGGUAGUCUUUCUAAGUCCUCAAAACGUAUAAUAUGAAACUCAAUAAUUAUAAAUGUUCAUUUGGUGACUCUUUUGAAAAAUUUGCAGGUUAAUAAGCAAGGGAUAGAAUUAAAUUCAGACCAAGUAUGAUCAAUCAUCAACAUCCUGUCUCCUAGACACAUCAAAGACAUUUAGAAGUUGACUAGACGAUUAGCUGCGAUCAACCAGUUUAUAUCAAAAUAUUAGAAGAAAAAUUGCAUUUUCUUUAACACAUUGCGAAAGAACGAAGAGUUCAUUUCGACUCCGAAUGUAAGAAAGCUCUACAAAAAUUAAAGAAUUAUUUGACAAGUCCACCGCUCCUAUCCAAGCCAAAAGACAGCGAGAUGCUCUACCUUUACUUAGCAAUAUCUUUGUCUGCAGAAAACGUCAUACUUGUCCAGGAGGAGGAUAGAAAGCAGCAUGUGGUGUGCUACAUUAGUAGAUUCUUGCUCAACUCUGAAUAUCGGUACAGAAGCUGAAAAAGCUUGCACUCGUCCUCGUAAUCAAGGGAAGGAAGCUAAGGCCCAUACUUCCAGCACACCUAUAACGGUGCUUUUGACCUUCCUAUAAAAGAUGAUCCUCCAUAAACCAGAAUUGUCGAGCCGACUAGUGAAAUGGCAGUAGAACUUAACGAAUAUGACUUGACUUACCAACUACGGUCCGCGGACCACUAUCAAAUCACAUGUGCUUGCUGACUUUAUUGUUGAUUUUUCAACCGACAAACAUGUCCUGUCCAAGAAAGAAAUUUUUGCAGUAACGGAGAGCUUAAUUUCGAAAGAAUUGACCUAGCGUUGGAUGGAUCAAGCAACUCUAAUGAAAGUGGACUGGGCAUAAUCUUAACCUCAUCCGAAGCCAACAUAAUCGAACGAGCAAUACAAUGCUGAUUCAAAGCAACGAAGCUGAAUAUGAAGCUCUAAUUGGGGAUCUAUCACUUGUAAAAGACACGGGUAUGAAGAAAAUCAAAUUGUCGAACGAUUGACAAAUAGUCACCCACCAAAUCUAAGGCAACUACUCAAAGAACAAAAAUGGCGACAUAUCUCAAAAUCGCAAAAGAGCUUCAGUCUUUCUUCCAGGAUUUUGACAUAAUCUAAAUCGUUAGAGAAGAUAAUAAUAAUCAUGCUAACGCACUUAGAAAUUGCAAUACUUUAUUAUACUAAUUGUAUCAUGUUUUAUAUUCUAACAAAAAAUUAUAUUUUAUUUUUCUUUUUGAAAUUUAUUAGAAAAUUAUGUUAAUCUUCAAAGUUCUAAUGUUAAAUUUAUAUAAUAAAUAAAAAAAAAUCAAUAAAACUAUUUGUACAUCCAAGAUUGACACCCCGGAUGACACUCCCCUUACAAGAGAGGGGGGUCCACACGUAAUAAAAUAAUUGUGAGCUCCCCUCUUGUGAAGGGAGUGUCAUCCGGGGUUAACACUUCGGAUGUACAAAUAGCAAAGUCCAAAAAAUAUAUAAUAAUCACUUACAAAACAUAUACAUGCACGUUGGAAAAAGGAAGGAUCGCUUAUAUAUUGAUAGGUGUGCAUGGCAUAUGGCUAAUUGUAAUUGGAACCUGAAUUUCAAGAAAGGAAAAAAAAAAUGAAUGGGGAUUCUAGUGCCACAAGUGAUAUAAUUUUAGAAAACUUCCCACAAUCGAAUUGUUAAUCAAAAAUGAAUAUUUCUACUCAAACAGGGGCCGUGACAGCCUUAAUAGGCGCCCCCUCCAAUAGGGGGACGCCCAUGUCACAGUAACAAGCCCCAUCAAAAAUAGCAUAGACAAUUGUAGAAGAGGUGAACUUGAGACAGAAGGUUAAUUGAAGGUUUAAUUCUGAUUUUCUUAUUUCUUUUUUAAUUUUAAAAGUUUCUUGAUUUGGCUACUUGUGCUUCUUUGGAAGUGAUAAUGACCUGCUAAAUUUCGUUUAUCUUCUUCUACGUUUCUGAUUAUUUUCUUCUACAUUUUGUGCCCAAGCCUUUAUUCUAUAACUAAUUUUCAAUGCUACAAAAGGGUGAGUAGCAUUUUAUGAACUCUUUGAACCUUUUUUAAGUACUUUUUUCCUCUUGAACAAUCUGGAUUAUGUUUUUGAAGUUUUAGAUGUAUACAAGUAUGGACGGAGACAAAAUAUUAUAAUAUAUUUUUAAAACUCUUACUUUCAAUAUUUAGUUGUCACCAUAUUUCUAAUUUUGUUGGUAACAAAUGAGGCAUCUUUGACAUUUUUAGUUCACUUCCCAUAAAUAAACGAUGAAGAUUGAUUCUAUUUUAUGAUUCAUAUUUUUUCUAGAUUAUUUUUGUUGACGCAUAAAAAUUCAGCCCAAAUCGAACAGCCCAAGGAGUGAAGCCUAAUUGGAUGAUCCCCAAAUCAAAUAGUCCAAAGAAUGAAGCCCAAUCGAACAAAUCAAGAUGAAGGCCCAAAUAAGGAGGCCCAAGAACGCGGUAACGCCAUCGCCCAAGUUUGCAAGUCGCCCAGAAUCUGAGCGAAUGGAGUGUCAUACAAUCGCCCAGAGCUGUUACUCUAUUCACGCCCAAACCUUCAAGUCGCCCAAGGUCUUAACAAACAUAAAGCGUAGUGGUUAUCAAGAAGUGCAGUUAUCAAAGCAGUUAUUAAAGCAGCCCUAUCACGUUCCACGAUUCAAGGAAUUCAAUCGAAAGCGGUUGAACGAUGAAGAGUAAUGGCAGCAGUUAAAAAAUACAGUUUUCAUGACAAGUUGGCCAUUACAAAGAAAGUGGGCAGUUAUAGGACGAUCAAGCAGUUUUUAGGACGGUUGAUCACAAAGAGAUCGUCCAUGAAGUAUAAAAGGGAGAAAGAACAUAGAAGCAAAGGACCGAAUCAAAAACUCUCGAACAGAGAACAUGUAAUUUUCAUUUCCUUAGCUUAGACUUAAACGCUUUUCUUCCAGUAACUCGUGUGCUUGCGCCCAUUGGAGGCACAUUGUUUUUAAUUUCCAAUUGUAAAAUCAUCGCCAAUAAAAGAACACCCCUUUUUGGGACUUUGUCUCAAGAGGUUUGUCCCUUACACAAUCGUCUGAUCAUUUUUAAUUGUUAGAGACUAACCCACGCGAAACAAUUUGGCACGCCCAGUGGGACAGUGGUGUUAGGUGUUGAAAGUACAAAAGGUGAAACAAUAUGCCUCAGAGAUCCGAUAAGGAAGUAGCAAGUCAGGGAGGAAUCCAGUCUGUGAUCGAGCGAUAUGAGGAGCAGCAUGCCUCUCCACGAACAGAUGGACAGAAUCAGAGCAGUAACGGUCGUUAUGAACCAAUGACAGAGUUGAGUCCUCGAACCAUGCGUACAUUACUUGGAGAACUUACGCAAGACGUCAUUAAACAGGUAAAUCUUCGAAUUAUUCAUAAUAUGGAAAGAUUUACGCAAAAUGGGAAUGUACACUAUGACAACAUGGCCAAACAAUUAAAGACGUUGAACGAAACAAUGAAUAAGUUAGUAGGCCAAAUCUGUCAACCGGCUAUACCUCUUACAAACCACUUUCAAACUAGGACAAUUGUGGGACAUAAUCCCUCGGUCCUAAAUCCGAAUCAAGGGGUAGAACCGCUUUCUGGUCCCUCUACUUCAAACCAAGGGGGUACUACAGUGCCAAAUCAGAACAAUGGUAGUGGUAUGCCUAACAUGGGGGGUAAUCCAAAUGUGAGAGAUAAUGUCCUAAACAAUGGACAGAAUAUUCCACGUGUUAAUGAGGGAAUAGAUGUUCGGGCUAAUGGUAAUGGCCCUAAUCAUGGUAAUUUUGUUGCCAAUCAAGGACCAAACAUUAGGCCUCAUGCAAAUCAACCGGUUAGCCAACCUGUAGGAAUACCAUAUGACCCCAACGUCAUGUUGAGGAACCAGAUUAUGGAAAUCGUACAGGAUCAGAUGGCUUUUGGGGUGCGUCCCGUCAUUAGGCCGACGUACAUAAAGCCAUAUCCUGAUUGGAUAGACCAAGCAUAUCCAUGGCCUAGAGGGUACAAAGUGCCAGAAUUCUCACUGUUUACCGGUUUAGGAGAGGUGUCUACUCUAGAACACAUAGGGCGAUUCACAUUGCAAAGUGGUGAUGUAACCGAUUACCAUAAAAUGAGACUUUUCCCUAGUUCGUUAACAGGAGUAGCUUUCUCCUGGUUCAUCAACUUGCCAGCGAACUCUGUUCAAAUAUGGCUACAAUUAGAACAGUUGUUUCACACUCAGUUUUAUAAAACUGAGUCUGAAGUUACUUUGGCUGAUUUGGCGAAUCUACGUCAAAUGCCAAACGAAUGGGCAGAAAGUUUUCUCCAAAGGUUCAAGACAGCAAGAAGCAAGUGUUUUGUACCUCUGGUCGAAAAAGAAUUUGUCAAAAUCGCUUAGGGCUGCUUGAGCUUUGAUUUAAAAAAGAAGUUCCAGGACAAGAAAUUUCCUGACCUUUUCCAGUUGAGUGCGAAUGUGAUUAGGUAUGAGCGAUUGAUAAGAGAGGAAGAACAAAUGAAAAAUUUCAGUAAAGGGACUUAUUACAAAGACCCAAAUUUUGACGUUCAUACCAUCGACGACGAGUCAUACGAUCAGGCCGAAAUGUGUUUGGCAGAAUUGGUCAAAGGAGAUACAUAUACUUGUCCUAUAAUAGCCAAGCCUAGACCAUCGGGCAAAGAUGAGCCCAUAAAAGAUGGAAACAUAAAGGCUAGAACGUUCUCGUUCGACGUAACCAAAGCUGACCUUAUAUUCGAUAAAUUAUAUAGGGAUAAGCAGAUAAAAUUGAGCGAUAAGCACAAAUUGCCAAACCCUGAACAAAUUAAGGGUAAAAAAUAUUGUAAGUGGCAUAAUGCAUGGUCACAUUUGACUAACCAUUGCUUGGUUUUCCGCCAUGUAUUGCAGGAUGCCAUUGAAUUAGGGCGAAUUACGUUCGAUGAUAAGAAAAAGAUGGCAGUGGACGAGAAUCCUUUCCCACAGCCACUUGGAGUAAACAUGGUAACAUCUGGAUUCAAAAACAAGUUGCCAAAAUUCAAGUUGGUCGUAAACGAUGGAGAAGAGGAUCCUAGACCACAUCCCAGCGUCUUUGAACGAAUCAAGAGGAAAGAACCAAAAAAGGACGAAGACGUCCUGUGUGCAAGGUGUAAAAGAGAAGUGAAUGGAAAUACGGAGAAACCAGGGAUAUGACAGCAUCCUCAUCACCCUACCUUCUUCCCAAACACUCAACUUGGUAGAGGGCGAGGUACAUCAUUCUUAGAGGACCGCCUUUUGAGAGGCAGUUCAGGCCAGUAGAUAAUGGAAGAACAUUCAGGCCGCAACCUCACCGGCCAAAUGUAUGGCAUUCAUUCUAGUACAAUGCAGGAAGAGCAAUACCCUUCGAUGAGAUGACUAGGACCCAACAAAGGCAUUUUCAACGAAACUACGGACGGAUGAUGAGGCAGCAACAGGGGAUGCCACAUCCUAAAGCGCCUAAACUACUUAAGGUAGCCAAUCAAAACUUCCUCAAAAAUAAUGAAGAGACCGGUACAGAUGAAUCAAUGAAGAAACUGCUAGAAACUUCUUCUGGGAGAUCAAGGUUUGAGCGAGACAGAAGGGAUGAAGAAGAUCUAGAUCAGCCCCUCACUAUCCAACUCGGUACGUUGCCUCCUGUCGUGGCCAAUAAUUACUUACUGGCCAAUGAAUUCAAGAACAAAGAAAAAGAAGAAGAGAGGGAGGACAACGAAGGAGAAGCCUGCGUGCUGGUAUGUGAAGAAGGCCAGACUUCUAGAGAGGCCUACAACGAUGAAGAGGACAACGGGAUGACAGACAUUGAAGAAGAAAUCGACCUAGAAGCAGAGAGAAGAAAAAGAAGAGUAUCGCGCAAUACUCUGUUAAAGCAACUACAUCGAGAGGGAGUUCACGAAGUAGACUUGUUGGGGGAACCAUCUGGGCGCCCUUUCGAUUUCUACGUACUGUACGGGACACCCAAAAGGAAGAAGAGAGUACCUCUCUCUGAAAAGUAUGGAUCACCUCCAAGAAUAAUGUCCCCUCCCACAGGUUAGGUAACUGAUGAGGAAGCAUUAGAAAGAAGUAGGAAGGAAGUUCAGGAGACAGAGGAUCAGCGCGAUGUACUGCACGUCGACUUAUCACAGGGGGAUAAUUCGACAGAAAACAAGCAGGAAGUAGAAAUAGAGGCUGCCAAAAAAGUUAUUUUUAAACGGCCAGCCAUGAAAUUGACUAAACACUUGAGGCCAUUAUACGUUAAAAAUCUAGUUAACGGCGUCCCAGUGGCAAAAGUGCUUGUCGACAAUGGAGCAGCUAUAAACACCAUUCCAUCUAGGAUGAUGAGGAAGUUCAUAAAGAUAGAGGGUGACAUGAUUCCUACAGAAGUCAUCCUCACUAGCUUCAAUGGAGGAGCGAUUUCAGCUAAGGGAGUUAUGCCAUUGGACAUAACUAUAGGGACGACUACUAGGACCACUGUCUUUUUUGUAAUAGAUGGUCCUACUAGUUACAAUGUGCUAUUAGGAAGAGAUUGGAUACACGGAAGUCGCUGUAUACCCUCAUCACUCCAUCAAUGCCUGAUCUUCUGGAAUGACAAAGGCGAAGCUGAGGUGGUACAGGCCGAUCAUAGGCCUUUUGUCGCAGAAGCAAACUCGGUGAAAAAGUUCAUGUACGAAGGAAACUAUGGACCUGUCAGGGUAGUACAAGACGGGGAAGAAACUCAGGUUGUCGCGCAAAGCGAAGAACCAUUCUCAGUGGACGCACUCACUGAGAUGUUUAAACAGAUGAGGCCAAAUAUAGUAGCCCUAGAAGAGCCAGUAAUUGGCAAAAGAAUAAUUAAGGAGUCUUGAAUGGACUUUAAGUUAUGAAAGCAAAUGGCCGACGUUCAGGACUUCAAAGCCAGACUGAUGGCUUUCAAUAAGGAAUGCAAUGACAAGGCGAAAGAAGAGACAGCCCUAAAAGCGCUGAAGGAUAAGUUGGCAGUAUUUGAGUUAGAGCAAAGCAUUGGCCGAGAAGUCAACAAGGUGGACUAUUUAGAAGAGAAAGUACUUACAAGGGAACUAAACGACGAAGUAAUGCGGAUCGCCAAACCUGGAUACGCUCAAGCACAAGACCCUCUGAUCAAAGUAAAUAUUGGCAAUGAAGGAGAAGAUCGUCCAACAUUCAUCAGCCAAAUGCUCGACCAAGAGGUUAGUAACAAGUUAAUAGCUUUGCUAAAAGAGUACAAAGAUUGUUUUGUUUGGGAAUAUGAACAAAUGCCUAGUUUAGAUAGAGACUUGGUGGAACAUAGGUUACCAACUAAGCCUAACUUUAAAUCUCAUAGGCGGCCUCCUAGACGUUUUGCUCCCAAUGUACUCCCUGAAAUCAAGAAAGAGAUAGAGCAAUUAUUGAAAGCAGGUUUUAUUAGAACAGCCAGAUAUGUCGAAUGGUUGUCAAAUGUCGUGCCAGUACUAAAAAAGAAUGGUAAACUAAGGGUGUGUAUAGACUUUAAAAAUUUAAACAUAGCUACACCCAAAGAUGAGUAUCCAAUACCCACGGUGGAUUUUUUAGUAGAUUCAACUGCCGGACAUGUCAUGUAUUCUUUCAUGGAUGGGUAUUCAGGGUACAAUCAAAUUUAUAUAGCUGAAGAAGACAUACACAAAAUUACUUUUAGAUGCCCAGGGUCUCUAGGAUGUUUUGAAUGGGUGGUUAUGCCUUUCGGUCUAAAAAAUGCAAGGGCAACUUAUCAAAGGGCAAUGAAUUUAAUCUUUCAUGAUAUGAUAGGCAAGUUUGUUGAAGUGUAUGUGGAUGACAUAGUAGUCAAGUCCAUUAAAGAAGAAGACCAUUUCGAACAGUUAAGAUAUUCGUUUGAGCGAAUGAAGCAAUAUAAGCUAAAGUUGAAUCCCUUGAAGUGUGCAUUCAGUGUUAAUGCAGGGAAUUUUCUUGGUUUCUUAGUACACAAGAGAGGGAUUGAACUUGAUAAAAAUAAAGCGAAGGCGAUUUUAGAGGCCAAACCACCUAGCAACAAAAAAGAAUUGCAAAGGUUUCUAGGCCAAGUAAUUUUUUUAAGACGCUUUAUUUCUAACUGUGCAGGGCGAACUAAAGUCUUUUCGCCGCUUUUAAAGCUGAAAAAUCAGGACGAAUUCGUCUGGAAAGAAGAACAUCAAAAGGCUUUUGAAAGCCUGAAGACAUAUCUAUCAAGUCCACCAGUGUUGGUGUCACCAAUUCAAGGACGGCUAAUGAAAGUGUAUGUAUCGGCUGAAAAAGAAUCAAUAGCUGGAAUGGUCGCACAGGAAGACCAAUUUGGUGAAGAAAGGGCAAUUUACUACUUAAAUAGACGGUUAACGAAAUGUGAAUGUAAUUACUCUGCUAUCGAAAAAUUAUGUCUUACAUUGUAUUUCACAUGUACAAAAUUAAGAGCUUAUUUACGGCCCGUAACCGUUUAUUUUAUUUCUAAAGUAAAUUUAGUCAAGUAUAUGUUCUCGCGCCCUAUUUUACACCAAAGGGUAGGCCUUUGGACACUAGCUUUAUCAGAAUUCGAAAUACAAUAUAUACCUCAAAAGGCAGUCAAAAAGCAGGCUUUGGCUAACUUUCUAGCCGAUCAUCCAUGCCUUGAUAUGCUUGAAGAGAUCGAACUAGAAAUCAAUUCAUUCGAGUUAAAACCUUGGGUGUUGUAUUUCGAUGGGUCAAAAACUUCUAAAGGUGCAGGAGUAGGAAUAGUAUUGAUUAAUCCUUUAGGGAUUUGCUACAAGUUCGCAUUCACUUUAGAUAGAAUGUGCACCAACAAUCAAGCCGAAUAUGAAGCCUUAAUUGUAGGCCUAGAACUAAUGAUAGAUAUGGGAGUAAGAAGUGUGAUCGUUAGGGGCGAUUCUCAAUUGGUGAUCCAUCAAUUGAUCAGUGAUUUUAAAUGACAAAGUGAUUCCAUUAUAAGUCAAUACGAGAUCGCCUAAGAAUUAUUAGAAGAAUUCGAUCAAGUAGAACUCCAAUGCGUUAAUAGGAUAUAUAACGACGUGGCAAAUGAGUUAGCCCAAAUGGCAUCAAGGUACUCAAAGGUUUUGAAUUGGAAGUCUACUUGUGAGUAUGGAAUCAUAUUGCCCGUGACUUAAAGAAGGGCGAGAAAGAUUGAACUCCACUGCAUACAAGAUGGAGAUGCAAUGGAUUGGAGAACAGAGAUUAAAAGGUUCCUUAAAGAACCAAUGGAGGGAUUAGUAGGAAAAUGAAGCUGUGUUUGCUGAACUAUAUACUAAUAGAUGAAGAGUUGUUUAAGAAACGCUCUUAUGGUGUAUUAUAAAAGUGUGUAAGUUUGCAAAAAGUCAAGACGAUCAUGGCUGAGGUGCACGAAGGGAUAUGUGGAGCUCAUCAAGCUGGCCAAAGGAUGAGAUGGUUAAUUAUUAGGAAUGGAUAUUUUUGGCCAAAGAUGGGAGAACUAUGCCUUCAGUAUGCAAAGAGUUGCUUAGCAUGCCAAAAGCAUGGUCCAAUACAAAGGGCGCCAGCACGAGAAAUGGCACCUAUUAUUAAACCUUAGCCGUUCAAGGGUUGGGAGAUAGACCUGAUAGGGAAGAUUUAUCCCCCAUCGUCCAAGCAACAUACUUUUGUUAUAGUUGCAAUCGACUAUUUCACCAAAUGGGUAGAAGCAAUACCUUUGAAAGAGAUCACCCAAAAAAAUGUUAUAGAGUUUAUCCGUGAUCACAUUAUUUAUAGGUUUGGAAUUCCACAAACGAUAAUGGUAGAUCACGGAACAUCUUUGAAUGGGGAUCAAGUGAACAAAUUUUUGAGCGAGUUUGGGGUUAAAUUAGUAAACUCCACACCAUACUACGUUCAAUCCAAUGGACAAGCGGAAUCUUCUAAUAAGAUUCUAAAAAAUAUCAUUAGAAAGAUGAUAGAUAAAAAUGUCAGAAAUUGGCACGAAUGUCUGAAUAAGGCUUUAUGGGCUUAUAGGACAUCACCUCGGUCAAGUACCAAGAUUACUCCUUUCCAACUUGCUUAUGGACAGGAGGCUGUUUUGCCUAUGGAAAUCAACGUGCAAUCGAUCAGAGUGUGCUUACAGCAUAAGUUGAAUGAUGAUGAGUAUGCCGAAUCACUAGUUCAAAAUUUAUUGGGGUUAGACGAAUUAAAGUUGGACGUCUUAGAUAGAUUACAAGAGCAAAAAAAAAGAAUGACUAAGUUUUAUAAUAAAAAAGUCAUAGCCAAGUCGUUCAGCCUGGGUGAACUAGUUUGGAAGACGAUACUCCCUUUGGAUAGCAAAGAUCCCAAGUACGGGAAGUGGUCGCCCAAUUGAGAAGGACCAUACAAAAUAAAUAGUAUAUUGCCCAAUGGAGCGUAUCACUUGGAGGAUUUAGACGACACCAAGCACGUAAGAUUCAUUAAUGGUAAAUAUUUGAAAAAAUAUGUUCCUUCUUUAUGGGAAUGUGAACAGAUAAAAUCAUAAUCAAAUAUGGUGAACGAUUAAAGGAUAAAGAGGUCAGAGCGAAAUACGUUCAAGUGAAGUCCUUUAUUAUCAAACGUUCAUUACAAGAAUACAAAAAUACAAAUAAUGGUUGUUCUAGGAAAUAUAAUUAAAAGUAAGCUAAUCUCCCGGUUGAUCGCUGAGUAAGCCUCACGCCGCCUUCCUAAAUGCAUCACUGCAAUGGUGGGAUCGCCGAGUAAGAGGGUGUACUGGCCUCACCGCCUUCCUAAAUGCAUCGCUGCAAUGGUGGGAUCGCCGAGUAAGAGGGUGUACUGGCCUCACCACCUUCCUAAAUGCAUCGCUGCAAUGGCGAGCAAAGAGGCUGAGAAGCACUCCCAGCAAGCAAGCUGAGAAGCACUCUCAGCAAGCAAAGUGGCGCACAAGCAGCCCAAAAAUUGCCUUCUAUCAUUGACUCCUUGUAAAGGACAAAGAGACGAUGGGAAGAACUUUGAAGGUAAAAACUUCGCUGCUGGCCAGAAAAUAUUUCCUAUACCUCCCACACCAAAGGUGACAUCAAGGUAAAUUGUAAAAUGGACUGACUAAACUGUCCAUUUUUGGUCAGAUUGAUUGUCAGAAUGCCAAGCAAUGGCAGUAAAUUAGUUUCGAAGAAGAAAAUAAAGAUGAAGAUAGAAGAUGGAAAAUGCGAAGCAUUUAUAGGAGGUGGAGACGAAGAGACAGAAUAUGAACAGCUACAUUUCUGCCUAAUAAACGGAAUUAAAUAGCCCAAAAUCUUGGGAAAAGUGGUGGAAAUAUCAAAAGAAAAUGGACAAGAUUUUUUAGCACAAAGCAGUCAAAUGCUUAAAGAAUUGACGACUAAAAAACAAACGUCAAAUAAAUGCACAAAAAGUUAAUGUUCAUUAAUGAUGAACAAAGCUACAAGAGGAAAAAUCAAAUUACAAAAGAAAAAAGACAUCGUAUGUCUUAAUUACAGUCCACCCCAUACUGAACGAAUUCGUUCCCUAAGUUUUUUCCAAUCCUCGUUCUGCCGAGAGGAAGUGAUGUUCAAUUCAGCCACGACAUCAUCAUCAACUUCCAACUUCUUGUACUGCUCGACCAAGGACUUAGUUCGCUCAAUUCCUUGGGAGGCGUUGCACUUUUCAGCAGCCAUUCUCGCCCUGUAGUCGUCCAUUUUGGCUUGAAGUUCCUUCAUCUGAGCAUGCAAAUUAACCAUCAAAGAGUCUUCAACCAUGACUUCGGAAGAGAUUUCUUUCAACUCGUCCUCAGCCUUGUUAAUCUCCAUACGCAAAGACUCUUUCUCAGCAACGGCUUGAAGAUAUUGAGUACGUUUGGCCUUUAGUUCAGCAUUCUUGGCCAGCAAAGAAAGGACCUCGGAGUGAAUAACCUUCAACGUCGCUUUAAAAUCGGCAGAAAGAUUGAGCGACGGAAGCAUCAAUGCUUGCUCCAACUUUGCACUCAAGUGCUCAAGUUUAUCCUUGUGUCUGGUGGCACUGGCCCUUCCAAUAUCCAUAUCCAUGAAGGAUACGUACUCAAGUAUCGACUCCUUGAGGACCUUCAAAUCUUCCUCUGAAGAAGCAGCAGGAUGAUCAGAUGGAGCAGGGCAAGACGUCUGGAGUUGCCCCUAGGAAGCGAACAAGUCUUGGAUAGAACGCACAAUUUUGUCAGCAUCCUGCAAAGAAAAUUGCCAAUAUUAAAGAUCCUCACUACAACGAACAAGAUAGAAAUAGAAGUAAAGCAAAGACUACCUCAUCAACAAUCGUAGAAGAUGGCAUGUCCUCAGCCAAGCUUGCCGCCAACGACUCCUCCAUUCGUGAGGACUUCCCCUUAUCUGAGCGAGAAGAUGUUGCCACAACGGGCGGACUCAUAGGAGUAUUUGCAAAACUCAAGAGCAACAAAUCAGAAACCAACAGCACAAGCAAAGGUAAGACAUCAAAAGACUAAAUUACCUUCUGCUUCAAUGUUUGGGGGGUUGACACCCUGGUAAGAAGGUGGUUCAUCCAUGGGUUGUGAUGAGAACUCUGGGACUGAAGAUGUCUCUUUAAGCGUAGCCUCCUCAUCAACCGGUUUAGAUGAAGUAGCCUCAGCAGAGGAUGAUGGAGUAGGAGCUGUCGAUGCCAAAGCCUUUGAAGGAGAGGCUGAGCUUUUCUGAGAAGUGCAAAAGAUCAUCAGCACACAGAAAAGUUUCAAGUGUGGAAAAGUAUACUUGUGAGUAAACCAAUUUAAUUACCUUCCUCCUGACGAUAAGAGGGGCAUCAUCAUCAUCAACAUCAUCCUCCAGAAUGGGAGAUACUGAGGCUGGCCGUUUACGGCUUGGGGUACUCUUGGCCGUAGUAGGCUUGGCAGGGAGAGAAGAAGAUGGAUGAACAGACUGUUUAGUGCGAUGAGAAGGAGAAGGACUACGAAUGGACAAGGGAGUGACUAAAAUAGGAGGAGGGGAAGAAAUGCUCGGUUGGUCUAAUGAAUGAAAGGCACGAUUGGCGUCAAUCGCAAAUAAUCUGCGCUUCACUGACGGCCAGAGCUGUUCAAAAAGAGGGUGAAUUGCGUGGCUAGAAUUGAAAGGGGCUAAUGAAAAAUGGCUAGUUAAAAGAAGAAUACGAGCAUCUAUAGCCUCUGCCUCUGCCUUAGUAAUGGUAUAAAAACGGUCAACUAAGUUCCUUGAAUAGCAAGGAGGAACAGGCCAAGUUUGGCCAAAACCAAGCUGACGAGCAAAAAAUUGGGGAGCAUAAAUCUCUACCCUCGCUUUGGCAUUGGUCCCAGUUAGAAUAUCAUGAAAUAGCUCCCUCCCGCUUAAAAACUGGAUCCAAAUGAGCAGGGAGGUGCUCGCGCUAUCUAUAGUGGAAGGGGGAUGUACAUAGUUUGGAGUCAAAAAAGGAGAAAAAGGAAAAAAGGAAGGGAUUGAAUCCAAAGAAUAAAAGAAUGAAAAAAUGUCCCUUCUAGACAUAUUUACAGGAGCUAAGGGCUCCAUGGCUAGCCCAUAACAGCUAGCAGAGGAGCGAGAGAUGGAUGGAGCACCAAGCAAUGGAAAAUAGGAUCUCAACCACAGUUGAGUGAACCAAAGAGGUCCAUUACCAGUGGGAGAUGCACCAUUCUUCAAUUGAGCUUGAAGAGAGGCCAUGCUUCUAUAAAGGGCAGCCAAAAACAAAGAACAUAAAUUCAAAGGCCUGCCACGCGCCAAUUCGUGCGCUAUAGGUAAAUAACUCAGGGAGGGCUUUAUGCUUGGCACGCACAAAACAUAUUUACAAAGCCAAACUAAAAGGAAGGCCACUCGCUCAGUAUGGGAAGGCUCAGCGCUCGAAUGAUUGUGAAGGGUUUGCAGGCUUGAAUAAGAAUCGGUGUAGUUUUUACCAAACUUUGGAGCGCCACCAGAAACCAAGAUACUAGGAAAAAUGGUAUCGCCCAAAGGUGGUAGAUUCACUAGGGCCCCAACAUCCCUUAAGGUAAUAGACAUGGGGCCAAGAGGGAAAAUAAAGGUAUUAUACUCAGGAGACCAAAAACUCAAAGCAAUCGAAAAGAGUGCUGAAUCAAAAGUAGGGGGACGAAUAGAGAUUUCUAACAAAUCAGAAAUCCUAGCGCUAUCAAAAAGUGCCUUAGUAGGACCAUGACCCACAUGGCGAGCAUGCCACCUACGAAAAGCUACAUCAGAUUUAGGCCAAGUGCGAAUACCUCUUUCGCGAAGUGGCCCCAGCGGCAGAGAGUUUAGAAAAGGAGGGCCAUGAGUGUAAGGAAACAGCUGACCCGCCGCCGCCUGUUCAACUGCCUCUGCAUUGUUGAAAAAAGGACCCAAGUAGAACUCAUUACGUUCGACAUCGACGGGCGCGAGAAAACUUGGAGUUAUGUAUGGGCGACUCAGAAGUUUUUGAAAGUCAUCAAAACUAAAGGAGUCGCCAGCUUGAGAUUGUGAAGCAGCCAUUUGAAAAGGAACGAAGUUUUUCAGGGUUACGUAGCAGGGAAGCAAGAGAUGAACAGUAAAUCGUGAGAGAGACGCAAAAAAUUUGAGGCGUGGUUUAAUAGUGCAGUGAAAUGGCGUGUUUGAGGUUUAUAAGGGUUUGCAAAACGACGCACCUUUUCAAGUUAUAGAAGAAAACAAUGAUUGAAAUUCUUGAGAAUUUCGAAUGUUGCUGGAAACACAAAGUGAAUAUGGCAAAAUUUAUUAAUUAUUAUUAAUUCUGCCAUAUUGGGGGGUAAUUGUUAACACAUAAAAAUUCAGCCCAAGGAGUGAAGCCCAAUUGGAGGAUCCCCAAAUUAGAUAGCCCAAAGAACGAAGCCCAAUCGAACAAAUCAAGAUGAAAGCCCAAAUAAGGAGGCCCAAGAACGCGGUAACGCCAUCGCCCAAGUUUGCAAGUCGCCCAAAAUCUGAGCGAAUGGAGUGCCAUACAGUCGCCCAGAGCUGUUACUCUAUUCUCGCCCAAACCUUCAAGUCGCCCAAGGUCUUAACAAACAUAAAGCGUUGUGGUUGUCAAGAAGUGCAGUUAUCAAAGCAGUUAUUAAAGCAGCCCUAUCACGUUCCACGAUUCAAGGAAUUCAAUCGAAAGCAGUUGAAUGAUGAAGAGUAAUGGCAGCAGUUAAAGAAGACAGUUUUCAUGACAAGUUGGCCAUUACACAGAAAGUGGGCAAUUAUAGGACGAUCAAGCAGUUUUUAGGGUGGUUGAUCACAAAGAGAUUGUCCAUGAAGUAUAAAAGGGAGAAAGAACAUAGAAGUAAAGGACCGAAUCAAAAACUCUCGAACAGAGAACAUGUAAUUUUCAUUUCCUUAGCUUAGACUUAAACAUUUUUCUUUCAGUAACUCGUGUGCUUGCGCCCCUUGGAGGCACAUUGUUUUUAAUUUCCAAUUGUAAAAUCAUCGCCAAUAAAAGAACACCCAUUUUUGGGACUUUGUCUCAAGAGGUUUGUCCCUUACACAAUCGCUGAUCCUUUUUAAUUGUUAGCGACUAACCCGCGCGAAAUAAUUUUUUGUAGAUAUGAUUCUAUUAAUUUUUAUUCAACUAUUACGAGUUUCUCAUAUCUUUUUAAAUAUGACAUCUAGUUACGACGUCAUUUUGAUCUAUCUUCUUUAUUCUAAAAUGCUCAAAACAAAUUCUCUACUAUAUUUCUGAAGUCUUUUGCAAGUCUCUUCAAUGUUCUACAAAAUAUAUAUGUCGAGCACAUAUAUUGUUAGCUAGUUUUAAACUUUGACUCAUUUGCAUCUCAUGCACAUGGACGUCCCUCGCUUAGUCCUAAUUUAUUCUUAACAAGCGUUGACUGCAUUUAUAGGUUUUUAGUUAUGUCAAAAUCAGAGUAUAACACACUUAUUCCAUAUUCAAAACUGUAAAUACUCUUGAAUAUCUCUAACCCUUAUAGUAUAUCUUGAAAGAAAAAGUUUGAGAAAUAUAAUGUUACAAUGUUGAUUGAUUGGAAGGCACAGUUCUUUAAAUUAAAAAAAAAAUAAAAAUAGGCUACAUAUACGAGACAACAAUUUAUAUUACCUUUUAAAUUAAUUUUUUCAAUUUAAAUGUAACCAAACAGUUAUUAUCAUAAACAAAUACACCAGUUCACAAAUUAUUUAAAUACUAAUGUCUAUGGAAAAUUACGAUAGUUUAUUUUCAUAAAUAUUCAACAAUUACAUAUCAAAUUUAAAUAAUUAAAUAUUUAACAAUUUACUUUUUUAUGAAAUUAACAUAAAGAUUGAAUGAGAGAAUAUGGAUAGAAUUGAUCAGAAAUUUUUAAAUUAAGGAUGAAAUUACAGACUUGUGCAAAAUUGAUGAAGAUUGGUCACCUAAUUUUAACUUGUUCACAUCCAUAUAUUUCCUCUUCCUAGUUCUUGUCGUGGAAUAGAGAGGACAAAAUCCCGUUCAACCCACUACUCGCCGCCUCACCCGAGUGGUGUGGGGAUUACCUGCCUAAUUCAGUAAACGUGUGGGGGGCGGAAUGGGGUUUGUUGCCUCAAAGAACGUAUGAAAAACAUGAUCGCCCCGCUACCCAUCACGUUUAACGUUAAUUUUAAAUAUAAAUUUUAUCAAACAAAAAGAAGAAAUUUAUCAUUAUUUUUAAAGAGAACAUGAGUUGUUCUUAACAAAUUUAAAAAAUAAUAAUUAUAUUCACUGACUAAAGAUAUAAAAAAGUAAAAACAAAAAAAAUAAAAUAAAUGGGACAAUAAACCCCCGCCUCGUCCCAAUCUCGCUCUGAACCCAACUCGUCUUGUUUUAAUUGGAUAUAGAAGCAGGGCAAUUAUAAUAAAAAUACCCAAUGCAAUUGGGGGACAGAAAUAGCUGACCCGCCCCCACAACCAUCGCUACUAUGGAGAGUGGUGUUCUCUUGCAUCAAAUCUGUGGUGUUACUAUCUCAUCUUCAAUAUUUUAUUUUUCUACAAAUCUCAGCUUUUCAAAAUCCACCCCCUCCCCCCGGGUCAAAACUCUAGUCUCUGAGUGGAAACUUUGUACAAAGUUUAGUUAACAUUUGGAUAAUUCACUCUUAUAUUUCAUUUUUUAUUACCUACGCUGGUCCUUCUUUUUUUUUUUUUUUCAAAUAAAUAGAUGUUAAAAUAUGUUGUUCGGAUUUACAUAAUUGUGGUCAAUUUACUCAUAAUGUUUAUGAUAAAGCAUAUUUUGGUUAAUUUGGAAUACAACUUGUGCAUGAUAUUAGAUGUCGAAUCAUAUUGAAAUGGAUAUUUAUAAGGAAAAAUUUGAUAAAUCCUAUCAUUAAUGUUAAAUUUUGAGAAAUGAGAAGCAUUUCACGAAAAUCAGGUCACUCUAAAAUAAUUAAAAAUAUAUUAUUUAAAAUAUUGUGAACCAAUGUGGUAGGUUCCCUCUAUUAGAAGAUUCUUAAAAAAAAAAAAAAAAACCGAUGACAUUAUCAAAAUAAAAUUCUGCAAAUUCUGGAAUGAUAUUUAGUUAAAAGAAACAUUAAAGGUAUGUUAUGACUUGGGACAUAUGACUCCUACUAUGUGAUCUUGGAUGACUAUUAACAAAAAGCAAUUAUAUGACUUAUUAUGUAUCUUAUUAUUACAGUCCAUACAUAUGGAAUGAGUUGACAUGAGAUGUAACAAACAAUUGUGACUUUGACUUUGACUACUUCUAUUUGAUAAAAUUACGACAACAUCGUGUGACGGUUGUUCAUGUAGAAAUGGUUGUCAAAUGCAACAACUAUGACAUUUGAUGGGAUAUUUAGCAACAUGUAUUUAUAGCUCAUAUGAGUCGUAACCAUUUAAAGUUGUGAUAUUGAAUUUAUUGACCUUCUAAUUAUGUUAGUGAAGAAAUAAUGACUAUUUUAUAGUACAAAUCAGGUGAUUGAUCCACUUGCACUCUAUAUAUUGCAAUAAAAAAGAGACCAUACCGUUAAAAUUAUCUUAAUUUUGGGAACAAUAUUAGAAACGUAAAAAAAUAAAUAAAUUAUACACGAAAAUUCUGAAAUUUUUGAAUUAAUUAAAUUAAUGAAUGUGAUUUAACAAUUUUUUUUUAUUAAUAACUUAAUUUGUCAAAAGUAAAAGCUUUUUUUAUUUUUUUUUAUGGGAAAAUUUCAUAACUAAGAAAUUAAUUAUGGCACAUUUCACAAAACAAGAAAACAAGUUUCAAAUUUCUAAAAUCAGAUUUUUAUUAAAAAUUAUUUAUAAUUUAAUUAGUUAAUUAAUUAUUUUAUUAACUAAAUAUAUUUAGGUCACGGAUCUAUACAAUUUGAUCACUAAUUAACAAUAUAAUUAGUUACUUAUUAUUUUUUGGUCACAAAUCAAAAAUUUUAUGUCACAAAUUUUUUUACAAUCACAAUUCAAAAAUUUUGUAAGUCACAAUUUGUUUAUUGGUCACAAAUCCAAAAAUAAUUAGUUACGGAUUAAUUUUUAGUCACGACUUAUCAUAUUAUUGGUCACAACUUAUUUUUCGGUCACAAACACAAAUUUUAUAGGUCACAUAUUAUUUUUCGAUCACGAAUCAAAAAUUUUAUAGGUCACAGAUUAAUUUUUCGGUCACAACUCAAUAAAUUAUAAGUCACAAAUACAAAUUUUAUAGGUCACAUAUUAUUUUUCGAUCACGAAUCAAAAAUUUUAUAGGUCACAGAUUAAUUUUUCAGUCACAACUCAAUAAAUUAUAAGUCACAAACACAAUUUUUAGGUCACGUAUUAUUUAUGAAAUAAAAAAAUGGAAAAAUUAAUUUGUAAGAGUUUAUUUAUAGCCUACUUCAAAAUUAAGAGAAGAAGGUUUGCAAUUUCAAGUUUCAGAUACUAUUAAAAUUUAUUAAUGAAAUAAUUGAUUAAAAAUUUAUAUAUUUGGUCACAACUUAUCAAGUUAAUUGGUCACAAAUUAUUUAUAAGUCACAAAUUCAAAAUUCUACAGGUCACAAAUUAUUGGUCGGUCACAGAUCAAAAAUUUCAUAGGUCACAAUUCAUUGAUCGGUCACAAAUCAAAAUUUUUAUUGGUCACAACUCAUUUGUCGGUCACAAAUCAAAAAUUUCAUAGGUCAUAAUUCAUUGAUUGGUCACAGAAUCAAAUUUUUUAUUGGCCACAUUUAAUUUGUUAGUCACUAAUCAAAAAUUUUAUAGGUCACAAUUCAUUGAUCGUUCACAAAAUCAAAUUUUUUACGGUCACAAAUCAAAAAUUUCAUAAGUCACAAUUUAUUGAUUGAUUACAAAAUCAAAAUUUUUAUUGGUCACAACUUAAUAAAUUAUAGUCACAAUUGCAUUUUUUAGGUUACAUGUUAUUAUUAGACACAAAUUACUGGUCACAAACACCCCCUACAUCCCAUCUACCCCGACCACCACCCCCCAUGACAACCGUCACAGUAACCACACCACCACCACACGCCAAACUCUGAAACCAACAACCUCCACUGUCGCCAAAAACCACCACAACCACCGCCACCAAACACACUAACAAUGUUCAAUUCACAACCUCACCAACACCACCCAAGCGUAAUUUUUCAGCUAGUUCCACCCACCAGAACCAUCACCACCUCAACACAUCGCAGAACACCAACGUGCCACAAUCACCACGACCACCAUCGUUGAUCAUCACCGCCAACGCCAAAAUAUGUAAGCAGCCACCACCACCACCACCACCCAAAUAUCACCUAAAAAUACCAUAGAUAACAACUCAAUCCAAAGCCAUUCCCACCUCCACCACUACAGUGAACAUCACCACCACCGUAGCUACUACCACCACCAUAUGAUCGUAGCCACCACCACAACCCACGACACAGCAAUAAACACCGUAGCCACUACCACCACCAUAUGAUCGUAGCCACCACCACAACCCACGACACAGCAAUAAACCACGGUCUCAUCUCAAAAGAUCUCCUUCUCUUCUUGUAGAUCUUACAGAUAUGCUUCAUGAAUCACGAGGUACAUCACGGCACCACCACCACCACUUCAUCAUCACGACAAACCAGCUAUAGAACUCUACAAAUUCACCACACCGCAACAACAAAUCCACCACGGCACCAUAGCCAUUACAACUGUCACAGUCGAUCCAUAGCUAUAACCAUCGGUGACGGCGACAGAUCGCUGUGAUGCAUGGUGGUGCAUUCCAGAUCGCUGCCGAAGUAGAUGAGCCAAUAGAUCUCUGCUAGUCGCUGAUGGGAACGCCGUGCCGCGCCUCAACUCCACCGAUUAGAAGGGUGGUCGCGCCUCCGAUGCCGAAAUUGUGCUUCCGGGAAAGGUUGAGAGAGAGAAGGAGACGGCGAUUUUCUUUUUAAUCAGGGAGGCGACGGGUGUUUUAGGGUAGAAUGGAGAAAUGUGAGAGAGAGAGAGUUAGGGUUUGUGAGUAAUGAUAUUUAUUUUAUAGAAAUAUUAAUUAAAAUAAAAUUUUUGAUUUUUGAAAUAUUAAACUUUCCCCCUGAUUUUAGAAUUUAAGAUUUUAAUGAUAUGAUUUUGUGUAAUUUCCACUUUUUUUAUUACUCGCUUGCUUGAGGCCCAUCUGAAAAAAAGCCCAAAUUAAAGGCAGAGAUAUCCAACUCUUACCCAGCCUGUUUACAGUUUAUGUAUAGAGCAAAGGGGACGAUCGGAUCUCUUCCUCGGUUUACGCUAAAAUUCGGGAACAAUUCAUCGCCCCUGGGCACCAAUUUAUCUCGUGGUGCUGUGCUUUCUACUCAACUUCUGCAUCACCAAACUUGGGAGGUAGUAUCGGAUUUUAUUAGUGUAAAAAUGGCUUUAUAUGAUGAAAUCGCAUUCUAUUUGAAUGUUGUGUGAAUGAUUUAAUUUUAUCUCAACUCCUUAUAAUUUGUUCCAAAACUGUUGAUUCUUGAUGAUAAUUUUCCUCUAGCAACAUUGAUUUUUUCGACCACACUUCUCUUGAAUUUUUGAUGCGGUUGUUCACUGUUUUCUCCUAGCUUUGAAAACUUGCUGCCCCUCAAGUGUAAUACGUGAAAUACCCAGGACCAAAAUCCAGUGGGGGCAGUUAAUAUACCCCAGGUCCGGCUCCGGCCCUGUACACAUUUGAGUUAAAAUUCAUCAAAUAUGAAAAUUUUGUGUUUGUGCUCUUUGUUAUGAUGUGUAGGGUCAUACUAAAAACGGUAUGCCUAAUCAUUUUUCAUGACCAUUUACUUGUUUGGGCUUAAUUUUUCGUUAUUGAUGUUUGGUUUUUGAUAUUGCAUUAUUUAAUAUUGCUGAUGGGGAAAUUUUGAUGAGUCUACAUAUUAUUGGAGUGGUAGAAGCUUCUGGUAGUACUAUGGCUUGGAAUGUUACUUCACAUCUUAUUGAUUCGCGAACCCUCACAAAUGAAGCUGAAAUUAAAAGGAAAAGGGGGUUCUGAUUUUUUAUCUGAUGAUCUGUUUCUACAAAAUAUUAUGUGGUUUGACUGUCAUUCUAAUUGGUGUAAAGUUAUCUAACAAUUAAAAGUAUAAAAUAUAAAAAUGUUUACUUUUCUUGUGUACAACAAUUUUAUUGUGAGCUUGCUUGAUACUGUCUGUUACCAUUGAUGGAUGCUAUUUAUUCCCAUGAAAUGAAAAUAUUAAAUAUUAAAAUGUUAGAAUGAUAAGAACAAAAAAAGAAAAAAACUGAGAUGUGUUGAUAUAGGAAAAUGAGAUGUUGUAUUUAACAAGUGACAAAACUUUGUAUUUAGUUAGCCCCUAUUGGUUAAAAAUGGUUGCAAACUUCAUACAAUAUAGGCCCACUAUAGGAUUUUAGAAUAAAAAGUUACUUUCUUACGGAAUUAAAUGAAAGCCGACUUUGGGGUGAUAUGUUGUUUCUUUGGCAUGUUUGUGGAUCUCUAUUUCAAAAUAAUGGUAUAGACUGAACUAAGCACUUUGUCAGAAUGCUCUCCGGAAGACGAAAGCUGCCAACUUAUUAUCAAUAACUUGAGUCACCUUAAUUUGGGUAAAAAGCUGACUUUCCCUUGCCAUUCUGGUUGUUCAAGUAAAAACAAGGAGAAAACUUGUGGCUACCUAAAAAAUACGAUAAUUGGGCUGCUUUUGGGAUUGGAUGUGCAAACAUGGUAAACUUUUUGGUUUAUUCUUCUAUUUUGUGGCUUAGUCUGAUGAUUAUGCUCAUAUGUUGGUCAACACGUUACAGAAGUACAUUUGUUAGUGCCCAAACGGAAGAAGUUGUUUUAUGAAUUAAGCUCCUAGAUAUUACUGUAAGAUGCACAUAAUAGAUAGAUCCUGGAAGAUGUACAGCUGGAAGGGCCUAUUUCCCUGAUAGGAUUAUGAGGACUGUAUAAUCUGAUUCAAAUGCCAUGAUGGAAUAACAGGAAACUUUGGUUUCUACUAAUUGCAGGAUUUGGGAAUUAUUUUAAUCAAUAGUUGGUGUAGUCUUUUGCCUCUUGUUUGGUCCUCGACUUUGCAAUCUAGGUUUUCUUACAGCAUCUUUGGCUAAGCUUACAAAAAAAAAUAAAGUUAAUUUUUAAGGGAGUGUUUGAUAGAGAUUUUUAUGUAAAAAUACAUUUUAGAAUAGUAAAUUGAUGUGAACUGUGUGGUUGAAAAAUAAGGAAAAGUUUUUGAUUUACGUGUAAUAUUAUUUUAAUAAAGAAUGUGUGGUUGAAAAGAAAAAAGAGAAAAACGUAUUUUGAAAAAAAUAACUACCAUACGGGGCCUAAGUAACUUUUUGUCUUUAGAUAACUUACUUUUAAUAAAAAGUUAUUUUUUCUCAAAGUAAUACCUUAGUGUCAAAAUAAAUAAUUCAUUACCUUCUUUGAUCAAUAAAUUUUUUCUUUUUGAAAGAACUUAUUUACCUGUUAGAAAACCUUUUAAGCAUAGCCAAACUUGUAGCCUGCUAUACAUUUGAUGCUCUUGUAAUGGAUCUUUUGAUACGUGCAGUGUUCAAUCAUGAUUGAGAGUGGAAAUUUAAUCCUCAAAUCUCAUUAUGAGAUCCUCGAUGUGAAGGAAGAUGCUAGCUCUGACGAAAUUCGUACAUGCUACCGAACUGCCAUUCUGAGUUAUCAUCCAGAUAAAAUGCAAACGACAUCCCAAACAUCAAAUCCUGCAAACGAGUUGGGCGGAAGGUUUUUAGAGGUGCAGAGGGCUUGGGAAAUCCUCGGAGAUUCAAAAUCUCGUGCACUUUAUGAUAACGAGCUGCAAUCUUCGAGGCAAGAUUCUGCAACUGCUGAAGAUAUCAGAUUAGAGGAUCUGUCAAUCGAAGAGGUUGGUGAUAUUUUUGAGCUUUCGUACGGCUGCAGAUGUGGCGAUUACUUCCUAAUCGAUUCUUUGGAGUUGUCAGAUAUGGGAUAUCCACUGUUGAAAAAUGGGAGUAAAAUUGUUUUGCAAGCGCCUAGAUCUCCACCUGCAUCUGUUGUUCUUCCUUGUGGGUCAUGCUCGCUUAAAGUACGGUUAUUGAUUAAUUCUGAUAGUAAGCUUCAAACUGAGUUGAGUAAUUGAUAAUAGUUUUUCCAUUAAUCUGCAAUUUUGGUCUGAGCAAGUGAUUUAAGAUUAUCUAUAAUUUUGUGGAAUGUAACAGAGAAUUGGAAAAAUGACAGGUCAUUUUGAUUAAAAUUUGUAAUGUGUACUGAUUCAAUUGUUCAUGCAAUUGUUGUGGCCUGUGGUGCCAUUAUUUGAAUAGCAAAGGAUUUGAACUCGCAAGAGAUCUAUUGCAUAGUUUUUAUUAAGGUUAGACAAAACUCUCGAAUCAAAUGAGGCCGAAUUGGACCCGAUUCGAACUAAAUCGAAUCGAGCAGUUCUUCUUAAAUUAAAUAUUUGAAUGGGUGUUUGAAUCGAGAACCGACGGGUUCGAUUCGAUUUUCGGAUCUAGAUCAUGAAUUGAAGAAUUGAAUAAGAACUAAAUCUCUAUAAUUUUUUUAAUUUAUUUAUUUUAAAUAAGUCAAAUUAUUUUAUUUUUUUUUAAAUAAAUUUGUUAAUUAAUUAAUUUAGCUCAAAUCCAAAAAUAUGAUUUUCAUAUUUCUAAUUUUCAAUCUGAGUCCAACUUAAUCAAACUGUUCUAAGUUUUAUCCAAAUAUGUUAUUCUAUCGUAGUGUUAUUUUUACCGUUUUGGAGAAAUUGAAUUAAAGUUGGACAGCAGCUCUCUUAAUUAUUGUAAGCUUGCUAUCGUCCUCUUCCUGUGAUUAUAACAAUCAAAUCUAUGAAAAACUCACCAAAGAGAAAUGCAAAAGACAUAUAAGAUUGGAUUACGUUAUUUCGUAAGAGUUAAGAUUAAACAUGUCAUUAAUUGAAUUAAUUUAGUUUUAUAAAUAUUAAAAAAAUUAAUUAUAGUAUAGAACCUGGGAGCCGAAUCCGAACGGUUCCAUAAUUAACUUGGGAUCCGACGGUACUAUUUAUUAAAUACCUGAAAAUUUCAGGUUCGAUUCGGUUCUAAUGAGAAUCCAACUAAAUCGAACCAUGUCCACCCUUAAUUGUCGGCAGACCAUUUUAUCAUCUUGUAAUAUUAAGGAAGAAAAAAGUAGGUGAAUUCUUGUUGGUUGUGCUGUUUAAACCCAACAAAGCUGUGUGUAGAAAUGCCACAGGCAACACACAAUUGGGUGAGGGGAAGAGUGGGGGAUUUUUUUGGUAUCCUUUAUCACGACUUGGGAUUCACAAAUUAUGGGUAUCUGGUGGAAUUUUGUGAGUCCUUUUUUUGUACGAAUGACUUUCUUAGUUUAAACCAUACUAAACAUGCUACAGUGACAAAAAUAUCAAUUGCAGACCCUUGACAUUCUGUUCUCUGAAUAUCAUAAACAAAUCAAUAAAGAGAUCCCUAAACUAUAUCGAGUUUUGUUAAAAAAAUAAAAAAUAAAAAAAAAAUAAGGAAAAGAAAAAAUCAACAUAAAUAUUAGUGUGCCACAUUGCUUGGAGUUGUAUGACGCAUGUAGGGUUGAUAAAACCCAACUCAACCCAAUUGAUAAGUGUAUUUUUAUAUGCUUAUGUGGUUAUUAAAUGAAAGCAGCUAUUGUUAAUUUGAAUGAAUUAGAGCUUAAUUAUGUUUUAAGUAAAACUCGUGACAAAUUGGGUGAAUUGGAAGAAAGAAGCGAAAAAUGGACUGAAAAAGAAGAAUACGAAGUUCGUGAUAAAAUUGCAAAUAUCCAAUAAUUGAUUCAGACAAAAAAAAAAUGUAUAAUUGAAGAUUAUUAAGAGUCAAUUGAAUGUAAUUAGAAGUCAAAAAACAGUGAAAUUCAAUAAAAAAAUUCUAACAAAUCAAUUUUCAACUGUACAAGUAAUGUUCCUGAAAUUUAGUCGGAGAUUGAAACCCAUUUUGACAUAGUAGUCGCUCUAAUAGAAAAAUUGCUACUUUUUUUUAUUAGUUGUAGCCCUUCGAAUUAACUUUUUAACACAUUUUGAAUCUUCUUAAUCAAAUAUUGAAAUAGAAAGUUAUGACAAAAAAUUAACGACCGAGUAAAGAUAUAAUCAUGUUUGUGCGAAGACAACUUUCCUUAUUUAAUUGACACUCUUUUGGAACCCAAACUUAAACGUAUUUUUUUGACCUAAUUUCACCUUAUAUAAUAGAAUACAUGGACAACCAUUGAAGGAUCUCUCCCACCUCUCAAAUCACUUCCAUGUCAUAAAAUCAUUCAAGAACGAGAAUCAAAUUCAUCAUAAGUUGGAGAGGAGAACAAAUCUAACAUGUAGAUAAAUCAAGAAACAUCAAGAACUUGAAAAAUCAAAGCUUGGGGUUGAACACUAAGAAUAAAAAUUAGACCGUGACAUCUCUUUCUUAUAUUUAUAAAUUUAGGUGAUGUUUUUCUAUUCUUCUUCUUGUUUGAUCAUUUGACAUAUGUUUAGCUAGAUUCUUUGUAUUUGAUGAGGAUGAACCAUAUUAUUUAUUUAUUUUAAUUCAAACUAAUAGUUUAGUAAUUCUUGUUUUCUUGAUUAAUUUUAUAUUCUCAUUGCAUUAUAUAAUUAUUUUGCCAUCAAUUAGAUAAUUAGUUGUUUGUUGCAGUGUCAGAAGACUCACAAUAAGUUUAGAAUGUAAUAAAAUUAACAUAUGUGUAAUAGAUGUUAUGAAUAAUAUUUAUUUCAUGUGCAAUCAUGUAAAUAAUAUAUAGUUUAUGUAUUCUAAUGAUUCGAAUUUAGGUUAAGGAUAGACUUGGGUUGUGGUUAGAAUAGAUUUAUUUUGUCUUAGAAAAGAAAGUUAAAUAUAUUAAUUUUAUUGAACGUUAAGAACAUAUGAAUGGAACUAGAUUACAAAUUAAGACUUAAAAUAGGUAACAAUAGAUGAAUUCGAAAUUCAAUAACAGCUUUCUUAGGUUAAUAUAGACUAAUCAACAUUAAAAACUCUUUCGUUUACACACUUCAGAUUACAUAUAAAUUAGUAAAUUUGAAUUAAAAUUUAUUACUUGUGGGACGUAAGCUCUCAAUUCACUCAAAUCGAUUACUUAUCCAUGAUCUCGUAUGCUUGCGGGAUUUAGUGAUCGAGUUUUUGGCGUCGUUGUCGGGAAUAAAGUAUUUAAUUUUAGUUUAUUAGUUUAUUUAGGAUUUGACUAUUAUUAUUAUUAUUAUUAUUAUUAUUAUUAUUAUUAUUAUUAUUAUUAUUAUUAUUAUUAUUAGUUUUUUUAAAUUUAGGCUUCUCACCAUAUCUCUCUUUUGUUUGGUUUUCUACCAAGUACUAUUCAAUAGCACAUGGAUGAUUCUUACAUUAACAAGAGAGCAAACCAUUUGCAAUAAUUAAUCUCAACGUGGAUGAUGAAGAUAUGCUUGUAGAAGACAUAUAUUGUUAAUUUUGUUACGGGUUGCAUUAUACUGGGCACGGCUUAUAAAGACGCACUGUUGAACCCCUAAGGUUCAAGCUUCUACAAUUUCAACAAUAUUUAAGUUAUCAAAAAUGAGCAAUUGAGAAAUUUAAUGAAAACUACAUACCGGCAAUCGAUUAUGUAUCAUUAGACAUGCUUGUGGGAGUUGGUUCCUUUCAUGUUGAAUGAAGAGAUAUUUGUAAAAUAUUAUAAUGAACUUGCUAAGUCAGAUGAAAACAAAUGCAUAUGGAGAUGGCAUAUCUUGGGACAAAUUUAAAUGAUGGGGAUAUAAUCCACUUGAAAAGAUUGAAAGGAAAUAAGUGACAUUGCCAAUGAAUUUAGAUAGUGAACCGACCAUUUAACUCGAAGAAAUAUCAAUUAUUGAAGAAGAGCAUAAAGACGAUGACAAACUAAUUAUAAAGGAACCAAGCAAAAAUGUGACAAUUAAUGAUGAUGAAAUUUACUCAUAUUCUUUUGACUUCAUCGAUUGUCCAACAAUUGAAUUUAUGAUUAAGUCAAAGAAGGAAGAAGUCUACAUAAUUAGCUUGGAAUAAGAUGGAAUAAACGAAUCAUAUCACAUAGAAUGAGGUAAUGUUAAGGUUUGAAAAAUUAACGAAAGUGGACCAAAGUCAAAAGAAACAAAUUAAGCAUGGCAUCAAAAGCUUUCUCCAGAAUUUCAUGGUGCAGAACAUGAAAGUCAAGCUAAUGACUAUAAAUAAGCACUUAUUGGAAUGCAAUUCAAUUUCUUCUCUUUUAUUUAUUUUUACUUUCUAAAAUAUAGGAUUAGUAAAUUUCAUUUUUUUAGUAGUUUUGUAUAUUUUAUUGCUUUUAGUAAUUUAGAGUAUCCUUAUUUUCAUAUUUUCCUUUAAGAAGCUUUAGAGCUUGUUUAACUAUGCUCCAUGGUAUAAUUGAAUUUUAUUUAUUUAUUUAUUUAUCUUGAAGAAACAACAUGACAUCUAAGUACAUUGGAUAAGGUAAAAUACAUAACAAGUGAUCCAACACUCUUAUGCCAGUCUAUCUACCACCUUCAGAUAUAUAUAUCAGGGGAAUACUUAGUUCUCUUAUUUAUCCUUAGUUUUUCUAUAUUACUUGUUAUAUUUUUAGACAUUAAGGGCAAUAUCUAUUAUAAAUUUGGGGAUUAAAAAAUAUCUAGUUUUUAUCUAUUUUUACUAUUUGGUACUUGCAAAAAAACUUCAAAAAUUAAAAAAAAAAAAUUAUCUUCAGUUUUAUUUUUGCUUUUAUAUACUUUUGUUGAUUAUAUAAAUUCGUCUACUAUGAUGCAUAUAUUUGGAACCAUCUGUAAGGUUAUAAAUAGUGAAAAAGUUGCAUGAUAGGUUGAUUUAUGCUUAUUAAUGUAAAAUUUGACAUUUUUGCACACAAGAUUAUUGUUUUGCAUCAUUAAGGAUUAAUUUGAUUCAAAUUUUGAAUAGUUUGAAAUAAAUUUAGUGGACCAUAGAUGCUAAAACUAGAUAAACACUAAAUUGUACAUCCUUAAACCUAUUUUCAUAUAAUUUGGGGGCGACUGAACUGUUGUAGGGAGAUAUUGAGAUAAAUAUAGAUUAUAUGCAUAUUCUGUUAAUUGUUUAAUGCAAAUAAGAAAAAAAUUAAGUGUAAAUUUUUGUGUCAAUUUUUGAGAAUGAGUGUUUAGUUAGGGGCAUUGUACUGGACAUUGCAUGGGAAAAUAAUUUCAAAGAAGAAAGAAACUCACAUUAUUAAACUUCUUUUUAUAGCCUUCAUGACUUAAGUUUAUAAAGCUUAAUUGAGAUAAGUUUGAACAUAAAAUGAAAAUGAAAAUAGAAAUAAAAAGAGAAAAAGCAAGUAACAAAAGGUGUACUACAUGCGUUGAUUAAACUCCAAAUACUUGUUUUAGAGAAUUAGACAUUUGACAAAGGAUUAUUGGCCUAGUUGAUUUUUGGAGGUUGAAGUAACCAAAAAUAAAGAGAACUCUCAUUUGUUGAUGUGUUAGCUGCAAUUAGUAAGAUCUAACCAAAGUAAAGGGGAUAAUGAUUAGUAUAAAAAAUCCAACUUUAGAUCACACUAUAGGAAAAGAGUUUUAAAAAAAAAUUAGUUUGAAUGUGAACCUUAUGCGAGAAUGAAGUAAAUAUUUGACCAAUUAGGGCCGGGACAUAAGUCACCUAAUGAGAACUUGUUUGAGCCCCAUUUUGAGGGGAAAGAAUGCAUUUUUAAAUAGUGAUUGAUGGAGAAUGUGUAGUUAAAAAUUAAGGAAAAGUUUUGGGUUGUGUAUAAUAUUAUUUUAUUGAAAAAUAUAUGGUUGAAAAUGGAUUUUAAAAUUUUUUUUUUUUAAAAGAAUGAGGCUCAAACAAGGGCUGGAUUUAUGAUGUUUAACAUGAAUUUUCACACACGGGCGUCGAUUUUGCAUUAGAUAAGUAGAAAUUAAUUUUAACAUUGUGAUUUUGAAGUAGCUCAUAACGUUAACACAUAAAUUUCAAUCCUAAGACCAAUGACAAAUUAUCUAAUCAUGUUUGUUUAAAAAAGUUUUGGUUAAGUUAAGCUAUAUUUUGUUAGAGGCUAAAUAAUUGUUCAAGUUUGGAGGUAUUUGAUAAGUUCAUUUCUAUAUACUUAUUUGGUUAUUAAAUGAGAGCCAUUAUUGUUAAUUUGAAUGAAUUAGCGCUUAUUUAUAUUUUAAUUUUAUUUGUUAGGUAAAAAUCGAGAUAAAUUGGGUGAAUUAGAAGAAAGAAAUGAAAAAUGGGUGAAAAAAAUGAAAUAUAAAGUUAGGGAUCAAAUUGUAAAUAUCUAAUAGUUGAUUUGAACCACAAAAUGAUAAUUGAAGAUUACAAGGAGCCAAUUGUAUGCAAUUAGAAGUCAAAAAGGAGUGAAUUACAAUCAAAGGAUUCUUACAAAUCAAUUUUCAUCCGUACAACUUAUAUUCCAGAUUUUUAGUCGGAGAUGGAGACCCAUUUUAAUUUAGUAAUCGUUCUAAUAGAAGAAUGGCUACUUAUUCAUUAAUUGUAACACUUUGAGUUAGCAUUCUAAUCAUUUUGAAUAAAUUCAAUCGAGUAUUAGGAGAGAAAUUUAUGACCAAAUUAUUGAUGAGUGUGCAAAGAGAUAAUCAUGCACGUGUGAAGGUAUCUUUUCUUAUUUGAUUGAAACAUUUUAGGAACCUAACUUGAACGCAUUUUUUAAGCUAAUUUUGCCUUAUCUCUAUCUAAUAUAAUCAUCCAUGGAAGAUCUCUAUCUCACCUCUCAAAUCACUUCCAUAGCAUAAAAUCAUUCAAGAACGAGGGAAAAAUUCAUCAUAAUUUGGUGGGGAGAACAAAUCUAGCACAUGGACCGAAUAAAAAAUAAAUCAAGAACUUGAAUAAUCAAAGCUUGAGGUUGAGAAACAAGAUCAAGAAUUAGACCGUGCAUCUCUUUCUUAUAUUUAUAAAUUUCGAGUGAUAUUCUUCUUGUUGUUUUAUCAUUAGAAACAUGUUUAACUAGAAAUUCUUUGUAUUGGAUGAAGAUAAAUUCUUUUUUUUAAUUAUUUUAAUUUAAACUAGUAGUUUAUUAAUUUUCCUUUUCUUGAUUAAUUUUACAUUCUCAUUGCAUUAUUUAAUUAUUUUGCCAUCAAUUAUAUAAUUAGUUGCUUAUUGUAUAGUUAGAAGACUCACAAUAAGUUUAAAACGCUACAAAUUAAUAUGUGCACAAUAGAUGUUAGGAUUAAUAUUUAUCACUUAUGCAAUCAAGUAGAUAACCUAAAAUUUAAUGCAUUCUAGUCAAUCGAAUUUAAGCUAGGAAUAGACUUAUAUGUGAUUAGAAUAAAUUUAAUUUGUCUUGAAAAAUGAAGUUAAAUAAUUAGCUUUAUUGAUUGUCAAAAAAGCAUGAAAUGAAUUAUAUUACAAAUCAAGAAUUGAAAUAGAUAAUAAUAGGCGGAUUCACAGUCUAUUAUAAUCAUCCAUAAUUUAAUAAAAACCAAAUUUUUAUGACUUAUUAGAUUUAGAAUAAUCAACACCAAAAACUCUUUUGUUUACAUAAUUCGAAUUCCAUAUAUAACUAGUGAACUUGAAUUGGUAUUAACUCACUCAAAUUUAUUACUUGUGAAUGAUCCCUUACACUUACUAGAUUUUAUCAAACACUGAUCAAUUAAAAAAUUAAUGCCUAAAAUAAAAAAAAAAUCCAAAUAGAUACAAUAGUGGAGAUAAGAGAAAGACUUAGAAUGUACAAACGUCCUUUAUUUACAUAGACUGAUUGACACUAUUUACAAAUGCAAAGUUAUUUGAUGGUGAACUAAAAUUAAAUAUGGAAUGAUGAAGUGAAUGAAUUCAAAAAUUGUUGUAAAAAAAGCUCCAUAAUUUCAAAUUUACACAUUAUUUUUUAAAAAGAAUUUCUUAUAUAGAUUAAAAACAAUAGAUGUUUUCAAGUGAUUUUAAACCGUAAAAAAUUGUCCAAAUUUAACAAAAAAUAAUAAUCAAAUCCAACUUGAAUUGAGCCCAAGCCCCAACCCUAAAAUUGAUUGGUUUGGGUUGGGUUGGAUUGAGUUUAAAACAACAAUUGGGUUGAGUUGGAUUGCGGGGGAGCACUUUAAAAAAUUACGUUUCUCACUUUUCUUUGUUUUCUUUGAACCUUAAAGAGUUACUUUGCAAACAUUUUUUUUCCUUCCUCCCAAUGGCAGAUCUAGGUAGUGGCGAGCUUGGGCGGCCGCCCUAGCUGGAUCCGCCAGAGUCUUUACUAGCCGCCGGGUGGAAGAUUGGAAGUUGCAGAGCCGCGACUGAACUGAAAAAGGGAGGAUCGGAGGAGGAAGAUGAAAUUUUGAAUUUGGGUCUUUUUUUUUAUUAUUUUAGUUUAGGCCUUUUUCUUUGGGCUGAUGAGUUGGGCCUCUUUGUUGGAAAAAAAAAAUUAGACCCAAUCCAUGGAUGAUGAUUGAUGGAAAUACACACAUAACUGCAACCACACCUCCAAAUCAGAGGUAAUAAUCGUAGCAAACCCUUCUGUAACUGCUCUCCUUCUCCCUGCUGUUGGCCGCAGAUGUUAUUACUUAUUUCGGUGGUCAAAACCUCAAUUGGUGGCAUUAGAAAUAGGACGCCUAUGUCCUGGUGAGAAACUUCUAAGUUCUAAUGGCUCAUUUUUUCGAUUUCCAUGUGUCUGCCUUGGAUUAAUGCAAAUUAUGCAAACCUGUAUACUUACUUUUUUGUUUAAUAUCUUUUUCAGGAAAUAAGAAUGGGAUACUCUUGCCUCACACAGAGUUCGCCUGAGUGCUGCUCACGCAUGUGACUUGUGAGCCCUCUCUUCUCUUUCACUUUUUUGUUUGUUUGUUUGUUUGUUUUGUUUUUGUUUUUUGUCCUUUUAAUUCAUUUUUUUAUUUAUCUUUUAUUUUUGAGCUAUGAAUCUAUGACUUGUGUUUUACUAGUUAUGAUUUAUGUUUUAUGAGUUAUGACUAUGAUUUGUGAUAAAUAAUUCAAGAUGAAAUCCCUACCUUCUAGUUCUAGUUCGUGUUAGGUUGUUGCUAGUUCAUUAGAUUUGGAAGAUUAUAAAUAAUUUGAACUUUGUUAAUAUAGCAAAUUAAUAAUACUUGUUAAUUAACUUUAAUUAUAAACUGAAUAUUGGCAUUUUGUUAAUAUAUUUUGCCUAUUUAAUUGAAAAAUAAAUUAAGGCAAUUUUGCAGAUUAUGGAACUAUUUUUUCAUUCGAAAUGAAAGUUUGUACAUAGUUUCAGUUCUAGUGGUGCAUCUAGUUCUAGUCCGUACGGUUUUUUGAAUACUAUUUAAUUAAAUAUUAAUAAACGAUUCACCUAUCAUGGAUGCUGACAGUUGACAGUUAACAUUCAACGUUUACGGUCCGUCCUAGCUGAACUAAGACCCUGGAUUCGCCCCUACUUCCUUCCACCUAUUUUUUCCUCCCUCCAUUUCAUAACUACGAAAGAAUAUCACUAACACUAUCAAUACAUAUAAAAAUUCUAGUCAAUGAAUUGUUGAUCAGUUAAUUGAUGUCGUUUCAAGUUUUUGUGUUCGUUCUAUAUAUGACAAAGUUGUCGAUAAUCCUUACAGUUCUCACAUGGCCCUGUUGAGAAGAAACGAAUUGCCACUUGCUAGGGAACUUUCUAAGGUAGCUAGGAUGCUGUGGCUGUUUCAAACUCGGAUCCAGCUUCCAUUCUUUUGGAACCUGCAUAGCCACAUUUACAAUGACACUCAGAUUCGACGUGAAAGGUUGGAAAUACGAUUAACGACGACCAAUUUUCUAAAAUCGAUUCAGGUCAGUCACCUUCUCGUGUCAAGGUUCAAAGGAUACAAUUGGAGUUUAACUAGAUAAUAUUCGUCACAUAGCAUGAGAUAUGUCAAGGCUCAAAUUGCUCCUUAACCCAAAGUUCUUAUUUUCAGUUAAAAAAAGCUGAAAAACUUCUAGGUUUCCUCCCAUCUCUUUAAUAUGGUUUUUAAGGUAUAACAAUACGUUACAGGUUAAUUCAUCGUUUUAUCUCUCGAACCAGUCAGGAUAGUCUGGUUAUCAAAACACUAAAGAAAACAAGAUGAGAAAAAUAGAAGAUCUUGAUAUUUUUUGCAAGUCACCUUUCAAACAUUAUUCACUUUUGUUCGUGAGAAACCUACAACCGUAUCGUUGACAAGUAAUAGAAUUAACAAGUUUAAAGUUACUGUCCCACAGGAAAUAAACUCAAUUGAAAUUUACCAAUUUUAUAUGGAAUUCGAAUUACAUAACACAAAAGAGAUUUUUAAAUUGAUAUUUGAUAAAUUAAUUUAUGAAAUAUUUAAAAGUUUGGUUUUUAUAAUUUAUGGAUGAUUGUAUUAAAUUUACGCUCUUCUAUUGUUAUCUAUUUCAAUUUUCAGUUAUGUAAUCUAGUCUUAUUAAUGCAUUUUUGACAGCCGAUAUAGUUAAUGUAUUUAACUUUUUUUUCAAGAUAAAUUAAUUCUAUUAUAGUCACGACUCGAAUCUAUUUCUAGUUUGAAUUUGAAGAAUGGAAUACAUUAAAUUUCAGAUUAUUUAUAUGAUUGCACACAUGAUAAACGUCAUUUUUAACAUCUAUUGUACAUAUGCUAAUUAUACUGCAAUCUAAACUUAUUGUGAAUCUCUCAAUACUACUACAAGUAACUGAUUAUCUAAUUGGUGGUCAAACAUUUAAAUAAUAUAAUAAGUGUACAAAAUUAAUCAAGAAAUGUAAGAAAUACUAAAUUACUAGUCAUGAAUUAAAAUAAAUAAACAAUAUGGUUCAUCUUUAUCCAAUACAAAAAUAGAUCUAACAUGGCAUGCUUUUAAAUAAAUUAUAAGAAGAAUAAUAGGAAAAUAUCACCCGGAUCAUGAAAAUAAUGCAAGAAAUCUUGAUCUUCAAUAUCAAGAUUGAGUUCUUCCAAAUCUUGAUGUAACUGGCUUCAAUUCCUUGCUAGGGUUUGCUCCCUUCUCUCAAAUAUAGCAAUUGACCACUUGUUCUUGAUAAAUUUUAAGAUAUUACUGUGUAUCUAGAAGCUAGAAAGAGUUCAUUUCCAUGUUUAGAUGUUGUUUUGUAUUUAUAGGAAUUGAAAAUUCGGGUUAAAAUCAUGUAUAAAUUCAAAUUAGGAAGAGUUUUAUGUCAAACAGAUUUUAUGUCAAGGAAUUUACAAGGUUUUUUCAAAUGAAUGAUUUAACUUGGGAGUAAUUAGUGGUUUUGCAAUGGAGUGUUUCAGCAAAGAACCUCGGAUGGAGAUGCGCUUCGGCCAGAGAGAUCAACCCUUUUCAUUGAUUUCUUCAUGUUGUCCUUGUUGACUUUUAGAUGUAUUGCCUCCACGCAACUUCGACUUGGCUUCCACUGGAAGCUUUGGAUACAAAGCGAAAUUUAAUAUUUAAUAUCUAUUCCAUAUGGAUUAAAAUCUCUAAAUCAAAGCAAACAAUUAAUUUUCAUCACAUAUUUCGUGGAUUCUACAAUGGAUAAAUAGCCAAAACCCCAUGUUUGAAACAUUUUUGUGCAAGCCCCACCGUCAUCAAGAAUUAUCAAAUUGAUCGUUAAAAACACUAAAAAAAUGUCAAAAUUAAAAAGGAAUAAAUGCAAUUUCAGUAUCUAAACUUUUAUUUUUUUUUACAAAUUAAAUCCAAAUUUUUUAUAUGUACCACCUACAAUCCAAAUAUUUAAAACUUUAUUUUCCACGCCACCCUCUUCAUCUUCUUCCCCAAAAUAUUCUUUUCUAGGUUUUCCUUCACCAAAAUCUAUGAUUUCAUUCCUAUUUACUAGUCGAUGCCACGUGCGUUGUACGAUUAUUGUAUUUAAUAUGUCUUUAUUAGCGUGAUGUAGAGAUUUUAGUUUUCUUGUCAUAAUCGUAACAUGCUUUUGAAGUUUGAAUUAAUUUUUUUUGGCAUGAAUUUUCUCUGACAAUUAGUAAAAAUUAGAUUUAAAAUUGUAGGGGAUAUAAGUAAAAGAUAAUUUAUAAUUUUAUGAGAGUCCUGCACGCGACCGUGCAGAGUCAGCACCAAUUCCAUGCGAGGAAGUCCCCGCACAGAUGCGGAUUUCCUGCACAAUUCGUGCGGAGUCCUCACACAGUUUGUGCGAGGACUCCACACCAAUUCCUUCGAGGAAGUCCCGCACAGUUUGUGCGGGCACUCCGCACCAAGAUUGCUACAAAAAGCCAUAUUUCACGAGUUCUAGGUGUUUGCAUUCUCAAAGUGAUUAAGAGAACUAAUAUCACCAAAAUUCAGCAAAAAUAAAAAUGAGAAUAUUUAUUUAUAUAAGCAAGGGAUGAAAAGUGGAAAUAACUUCCUAAAAAAUGAAAUGUACUGCAUUCAACAUUGAGAAAAAAACACGUAACAUGUAAUCAUAUUGUGCUGCUGGCUCAUUUUCAAUUAAUUACUACCAAAAAGUUUUGCAACGAGAAUUCUACAGUUAUAAAUAGAGAUUCAAAUGGCCUAUCCAAUCACCUUACUAUGCUCUGCUUAAACUUAUAGCUAAAAACUUAACAGAAACAAUUUGCAACUAUUAACUAAAAUAACAAAACCCCUUAUACUUAGAGCAAUUCAAUUAUUUUCACCAAACUUAUAUGCUUCACCUAAUCAUUCAUCGAUUUCUUGCUAAUUUCUUUAGUCCUACAUUUUCCUACUUCAGGUGCCAAACCAUGGCCUAAAAAAUUAAUCUAUACUUCUUUUUUUUUCCUCUCUAUAAUCUGUUGUUCUUAUGGCCAAAAAUUCAGUUUAAAAAGACUUAUACAAACUGAAAAUACACACAUUCUUAAUAUGCAUAAAGUAUGAAUAAACCCAUAUCAAGAGUCCCAACAAAAAAAAAAUUGAAAAUAAGUAAAAAGGCAGAUUUUUUCCCUAGUUGACUUUAAAAAAAAAAUUAAAAUUCAAGACUUCUUUUCUGCAGCACAUAUCAAAAGUCUAUUCACGGCAUCAUCGGAACAAUCAUCAACAAACAAAACCCAUACACCCAAAAUUAAUGAAAUGACGAAAACUCAAACAUCUAACACAUAAAUUUAGGGAUUAAGAUAAGAUAAGCCCAUACCUUCAAAAUUAUUAGUGUUAAAACCCAAAAAGUCCCCGCACAGUCUAUGCGGGGACUCCGCACCCAGAUUACUACAAGAAGCCAUACUUCACGAUUUCUGCCAAGAUUGCUAAUGCAUGAGAUACACAAGAGACCUAAAUGAAUUAACAAGCCAAUAAGCAUUUUAAUUUACAUUAAACCAAGAAUAUACCUCUCUAUUCACACAAAAACCCAAAAUUGUGAAUUGAAUGAACAAAAUUAUAAUUAUCAAAUAAAAUCGAGGAUAUACCUCUCUAUUCACUCGAAAUAAAAAAUUUUGCACGUAGAAUCUUGAAUAAACAAAAUCAUAAUUUGAGAAAAAUGGCAUGCCAGGAAUUUACCUCUCUAUUCAUGAGAAUUUUGCACGAAAUUAAUCACAGAAAAACGAGAGAAGAAUUGAAGAAGAAGUGAGAGAAGAAAAUGAUGAUGAUGAUGAUGAUGAAAGCUUGUGUCUGGGUUUGCGUGGGGAAAUGGCUUCACCGUCCUUUUGAGUAAGAAAAAAUGGGUAUGAUUGAUAUCUACAGUAAAAUCACUGUUUAGCUAAAGUAGAAGUCCCGAAUACUAUUGCAAUUAUAGUAUAUUUUAUUCAUCUUUCUAUAAUAAGUAGUUAGAUUUAAAAAAAAAAACUGCAAAUGUGGUGUUUUGCAAUUACAGUGAAUUUUAUUCAUCUUUCUAUAAUAAGUAGUUAGAUUUAAAAAAAAAAAAAAAAACUGCAAAUGUGGUGUUUCUACAUGAGUUAACUUAUGCGUGUUUUAUAUAAAUCUCCUUGUUCUGUUUGUUAGUGAAGAUCAUGAAUUGGCCAGCUCUAAAAACAAGAUUCAGUAACAUUUAUAGAAUAAUAUAUUAAAUUGGAUAGCUUAAGGAGGUCGCCAGAAUUUGGGGUGGCCAUAUUGCUCAACCCCAGACGGUGUUCAAGUAUCUGUCUAUUCAUUUUCUGUGUAUAAUCGUAUCCAAGAAUGAGUCAUGUAUUCUAGCGAGAAAUUAAUAUCAAGAUUCCAGUUCUUGACAUCUUGUUUAUCCAAAAUUUUUCCUUUAUCUUGGUGUAAUCUAUGGUCAUAGGUAGUGUUUUUGUGGAAUCAGAUCUUUGUUUCUCAUUUUUUAAGUUGGAUUUCAAAUCUUGAUAUUUGGACUUUUGAUUCUCGAAGUGUUCAAUAAUUUAACUGUAAUUUUCAAGAAAAUAGGGGGAUGGACUUACUAUAUGUUCUUGGAACCAGAAAGAGAGGUGAAUUCUAAUUACAUAAUUAAUUCAUUAUUUAAACAUCCCAUUCUGAGACUUGGGGAAAUGGACUUCUUGUAUUUUCGUGGAUCGAAGAAAAUGAAUUGGGGUGGGGGUUGGAAAAUAAAGUUCUAGAGAUUUGGGAUUGUAGGUGGCAUAUAUAAAAAUUUGGAUUUAAUUUGUAAAAAAUAAUAAUAAUAAAUAACAAAAUAAAAAAAAUUGGGUAUUGAAAUUACAAUUAUUCCUUUUUAACGACAAAUUGAUGGAUCUUGACGGUAGGGAAAUUUGGGAUGAGAUCAAUGCACUAACUGAUGCCCACCCUUGUACUUGUGAUGCUCGCAAAAAAGUCGAAGACACAGCCAAUACCGAACGACUCUUUCAAUUUCUUAUGGGCCUCAAUGACUCAUUCUCCAACAUUCGAAGCCAAAUUCUCACCAUGGACCCCCUGCCCACAAUCUCCAGAGCAUAUGCCACCAUACAUCAAAAAGAGACACAACGCCUCCUACAAAUUCCAUUGUUACCCAAUCCCGAAAAUUCGGCCAUGGCUGUCUCACACACCAAUUCUUCGGUCAAUCACGGUUUUUGUUCUCGCAACAGUAGAAAAUGCACAAAGUGUGGGAAAGAUGGACAUCAAGAAGCCUCCUGCUUUGAAAUCAUUGGCUAUCCUUCCCAUUGGAACACCAAUAAGCCGAAGCAGCCCCUGCGGUCCACACCUGUCAAAAAUCGGCCACAGGAUUCAGGCAGUAAUCGGCUACCCACAGCGAACAUGGUGUCUCGUACCUCAGCCCCUUCCACAUCGAGUGCAAUCCCUGGCUUAUCUGACGAGCACUACUGGCAAUUGAUGGAAAUGUUGGAUCCUAGCACCAUUACACACUCGGCCUUCUCUGGUAUCUCUCUAUCACCUCUCCAAAUCGCCCUAGGUCCUUGGAUUAUAGAUAGUGGGGCUUCAGCCCACAUUUCUUGUGUUUCUAACUUACCCAAAGCCUCACAUAUUUGGGCCCAUAGUCAAUCCCUUACAUUACCUACAGGCUUCAAGGCCCACGUCACACAUAUGGGCCACAUCCAUAUUUCUCCCCAUUUAUGUCUACAUAAUGUUCUUUUUGUUCCCGAUUUUAAAUACAAUUUAAUCUCAGUAAGUCAACUCACAAAAUUGUCUAAUUGUGUUACCAUAUUUUCCUCUUCUAUUUGUUUAUUUCAGGACCUAUGUAUGAGAAAGCUGAUUAGGAUGGGUGAAGAACAUGGAGGCCUCUACCAUUUUAAACCAUUUAAUCAUGUUGCAUUUCAACUCAUAGCGAAUCCUGCUGCUACACCGGAUGUAUAGCAUCUUCAUUUAGGUCAUCCUUCAAAUUCUUGUAUUCCAAAAAUUUUAUGUGAUUCAAAUAAAGUUAGAAAUUGUGAUAGUUGUGUUCGCGGUAAACAUACGCGCCUUCCCUUCAAAUUGGUCGAAAAUAAAAGUACUUUUACCUUUAACCGAAUUUAUUGUGAUAUUUGGGACGGAUAUUCCACACCCUCUACAAUUGGUGCACACUAUUUUCUCACAAUUGUUGACGAUUUUUCACGUGUUACUUGGGUAUACCUCAUGCGUUUUAAAUCUAAUACAUUUACUUACCUAACCACAUUCAUUAAAAUGAUCCACACGCAGUUUAAUUGCCCUAUCAAACAUAUUAGGUCCGACAAUGGUCAAGAAUUUCUUUCUCAUCGUAUGCAACAAUUCUUCCUUGACCAUGGGAUCAUUCAUGAGCGCACUUGUGUUGAACCACCCCAAAAAAAUGGUGUAGUAGAAUGAAAAUAUCGUCACCUACUAAAUGUAGCUCGAUGUCUUCGCUUUCAUACACAUUUACCUAUUUCUUUUUGGGGUGAGUGCAUACUUACUGCAUCCUAUCUGAUUAACCGCGUAUCAACUCCCACGCUUGGUCACAAAGCGCCUUAUGAACUCCUUUUCAACAAACCUCCUACCUAUGAUCACCUCCGUGUCUUUAGAUGUCUUUGCUAUGCACACACUUUAAGUGUCCAUCGGGACAAGUUCUCUCCUCGUAGCACACCAUGCAUAUUCCUAGGCUACUCUCAAAUUCCACAUACUUAUCGUGUUCAUAACUUGCAAACCAAGAAAAUUUUCUUCUCUUGUGAUGUCUACUUUGUAGAAUCUAUCUUUCCCUUCGCUCCUACGAUGCAACCUUCACACAUAUCAUCAGAUACCAAUCAGCCCCUCGAUGUCCCUUACAGUACCCCACUUCCAACCAACGUUUCACAUGACACCCCUAGCCCAUCUCCUUCAUCCACGCAGACAUGGAACCAACUAUACCAACACCACAAGUUGUUGAUGGACCUACCAACUCCCUAGAAAUCGUCACCAGCUCACCCCCACUCAACUCAUCCCCACCAACUAGACCUCGAUGCACGAUUACUCGUCUUACAUAUCUUCAAGACUACAUUUGUUCAGAUUUACCUCCAGAGGGACCACGUUCAUCAUCUCAUUGCCAGUCUUUCUCAGGUACAGUUCACUCUCUACCUAAUUUUCUUUCUUGUCGUUUCUUUAGUCCAAAACAUUUUGCUUUCCUCUCUUCUAUCUCCAAAAAUGUUCAAGACCCCGUUCUUUACUCUCAAGCUAUUCUUGAGCCGUAUUGGCAAUAGGCAAUGGCUUUUGAAAUUCAAGCCCUUGAAGUCAAUCACUCAUGGACCCUUGAACAUCUUCCCCCUGGUAAGAAGGUAAUUGGUUGCAAAUGGGUUUAUAAAACAAAAUUGCAUGCCGAUGGUUCCAUUGAACGCCAUAAAGCUUGUUUUGUUGCCAAGGGUUUCACUCAGGUUGAAGGUCUUGACUAUAAUGACACUUUUGCUCCUGUGGCUAAACUUGUUACUGUUCGAUGUCUCCUUACUAUAGCUACAGCUAAACACUGGAUUCUUCAAAAAUUGGAUGUUCACAAUGCUUUCCUCAAUGGUGAUCUUGAUGAGGAAGUGUAUAUGCGACCACCACCAGGAUAUUGUCGUAAAGGGGAGACUCGCGUUUGCCAUCUCCACAAAUCAUCAUAUGGUCUCAAACAAGCCUCACGUCAGUGGUAUUCAAAAUUAUCCCAUGUUCUCAUCCUUACAAGUUUUGAUCAAUCUGCUGCUGAUCAUAGUCUCUUCAUCAAAACCAAGGGUACAACCUUUACUGCCGCUCUUGUCUAUGUUCAUGAUAUCAUUGUUGCUGGUAAUGACAGCUCUGCCGUUAGUUCUAUCAAACGCCAUCUUGCAUAGACCUUCAAAAUUAAAGACCUUGGCGAUCUCAAAUAUUUCCUAGGGAUUGAAGUUGCUCGAUCUCCUAAAGGCAUAUUUAUCAAUCAAAUGAAAUAUACCUUGGACAUUCUUACUGAUUCAGGUGAACUUGGCUCUCGCUCGGCAUAUUUUCCCAUGGAACGACAUUGCAAACUUAAUGACUCAGAUGGUGAUCUUAUGGACGAUCCUAGCUCAUAUCGACACUUGAUUGGUCAUUUGAUCCUAUAAUGCUCGGACUCGGGUACGGGUAUCGGGUACGGGUACUUAUCUAAGUAUCAAAUCUUUUAUUUUUUAAAAUAUAGGAUACGGGGACAUGGUUAAAAAGAAUCCAAAUUUCGGACACGGGUACGUGGGUACGUCUUUCAAGCUUCAAUUUUUUUAUAUUAACCCAAGAUGUCAUUUUGAAUAGACUAAAAUCAAUAGUUCAUAAAAAGGAAAUGAGUAUUAAAUAAGAUGUUAAGACUAAUAAAAUACAAUUUUGGGGUUUAGUUUUCAAUUAUAGGAAACGGGAAAGAAAAUGAAAAGAAAAAAGAAGAAGUAAAAAAAAGGGCGAAAUGUCCGAUUUAAAUUUGGAGGAUUCUACACAUAUCCCAUACGCAUACCCUUGUCGUGUCGUGUCCGACACGGGUAUUUCAACCAUUUCGAAGAGUCCGAGCAUCAAAGGUUUGAUCUAUUUGACCAUCUCUCAUCUGGAUAUUACCUUUGCAGUCAACAUUUUGAGUCAGUUUAAGCACACUCCUCGCAAGCCUCAUCUACAUGCUGCUAUACGCUGGCUCCGCUAUCUGAAAACAACACCUGGUUAUGGAUUCUUCUUUCCAUCCAACUGCAACCUUCAGAUAUCUGCUUUUUGUUACUCUGAUUGGGCAAGUUGUCCACUCACACGACGUUCCACAACUGGUUUCAUCAUCAAAUUGGGCGAUAGCCCCAUCUCUUGGCGCACCGAGAAACAAACAAUUGUUUCUUGCUCUUCUGCUGAAGCUGAAUAUCGUGCGAUGGCCACUACAACUUGUGAACUUGUUUGGCUUCGCCUCCUUCUACAGGAACUUACUGUGUUGCAUCCACAACCUAUUCUGCUUCAUUGUGACAAUCAAGCAGCAAUCUACAUUGCACAUAAUCCGGUCUUCCAUGAACGCACCAAACACAUUGAAUUAGAUUGCCAUCUUGUUUGUGAAAAAAUCAAAUCUGGUCUUAUUACUCCCUCCUAUGUUUCAAGCUCUGAACAUGUAGUUGAUCUUUUUACUAAACCAUUGGGACGUGAAUUAUUUGUCUUCUUUUGGUCCAAGUUGGACAAUACGGGCCUCCAUGCUCCAACUUGAGGGGGAGUAUUAUAGCCAGCUCAUCAACAACAAUCAACGACAAUCAACACAAAGAAUUUUCUUUUAUAGUUAUUUCCAUAUCACAGUUUUUACCAUGUAUAGAUUGGAUUCUCACCUAUAAAUUUAUACAAAAUCAUUUUAACAUAUAUGGAGGAAAUAAUAUAAUCUUCAAUUCUUUCCUCAAUCAUACCUGUGUAUGUCGAGAUUUGUUAUUUAUAUAGAGUAAUUUUAUUUUGAUACUUGUUAUUAAUUUUUCUUAUUGAAAUUUUUUAAAUAUGAAUAUUUCUUUAUUAUUUAAUAAUAAAUUUGAAUUAAAAAUAUACGAUAUUUUUGAUAAAGAAAGAAAAAUUACCACUAGUGUGUUUGAGAAGUAUCGGUAUUCGACAUGUAUCGGAUGUUACUCACAAUAUUGCUAAUGAUAUAUUUCAACUAUGGUCUACGAGAAUAAGAUAUCGUAUGGAACACGUAAUAUCAGCUAAUGAAAGAUAGAAUAAUAGUUGUUUUUAGUACGGCAUGGUAUGCUACAUGAAUAUAUUGUCAACUCUAAAUAUUUUUUCAAUUACCCACAACGUUGCCGAUUAAAAUAAAUUUAUCAAUAGCAGUAAGAGUAGAACAAAUAAUUUAAAAUUGUAGAAAGUGAUAAAAGAGCAAAUGAACUUUCAAUCGAAGUCUAAAUAAACACAGUUUCUUUAAAACAAAUUGGCCUCCUCACUCUACGUGCUUGAGGCUUAGUUUGAGCAUCUGUUUCCUAGGAUACAACGAAAAAUAAGUAGAGUCUAAGCACUGCAUAUACUACUCCGGUGAACUGACUUAGUAUCCGAACAAUAUCACCAAAAUUGAAAAGAAAUUUUUUUUCGACCAAAUAGAGAGCUGUAAAACUAUGUAGCAUGCAGACAAAGUAUUGAUUCUUGUGUGGGAUAUGGAAAACGAGUUCCAUAUAGACUUAACCCCAUGAAUGGUGAGUUAAAUCUGUCUAUAAGUGUAUUAUCUCAUCCAUAACUCUUGGAGUUUCAAUAGUUUUAGAAGUUAAAAGGUCAGUUGGAGGAAAAAAUUGACAAAACGUAGGCCUUCCUAAGGGCUCAAUUUUGGUCCCUUCGGUCUGACAUAUGUGUGUACAGGUUGAGCCCACACACAAGUUCAAGGUUCGAAACCUAUUUCGGUCUAUGAUUUGUACCUCUUACGUGCGCACGUGAUGAGAGCCUCUAUGCUAUAUAUGAUCACACCCUUCAAAGUGUAAUCCUAUAUGAGGUGGUAUUUGCCUUCAUUAUUUUUCUAUGUGGAACAAACCUUAAUUGGUGUCCUUCAAACACAUAAACUCCUUUCAAUUGGCACACUUUGAGCUCCAAUUUUUCAUUCACCCAAGCAUCAUAUUUGACAAGUAAAUAUAUGAUUUCAAUAUUCUCACGACGAACACAAAUCAAUCUUGAUCUUCCAAAAUAAACAACCAGGUCCCACUCAAAAUUUAUGCCAAAGUAAGCCAUUCAACUCAUUUAUUCAAUGAUGUGCCAUCCUAGAUGAAGUGUCCGUGCAACAGAGGUAUUAGGUGUUCGUAAAGUGUUCUUUGAUGGUCAUCCAUUUCUUUUGAUGACUCAAGUUUUCGAGCUUCGCUCUACUAAUCUGAGGAGCAGCGGCCUUCCCCACUAAUCAUCCAUUGUUUAUACCUAUGGAAAUGGUGCCAGUAGCAUAUGGAAAUGUUUAUACCCCUGAUCAUUUAUGGAAAAUCGUACGAGGCCCAAGGCAUGGUAAUGAUUUCAGAGUGGAUUUAGAAGAUACUAUCUGUGCGUUGAAAAUUCUAAAUUGGUUUUAGAUAAUCGUCAAGUUGGCUAUGACACCAAGAAUAAAGUAGCGAAAGGAAGGAUACCUUGCAUAUGAAGUGAUUGGCUAAGGGUUUAUGAGUGGAGUUCUGCAUAUUACGUGUAGUAUAUGAUUUUAUUUCAACAUUUAUUCAUUGGGCUAUUUGUGGCACCAAGAAUAGUGGUGGCUAAAGGAAGGACACAUGCUUAUGAGUGGACCUCUACAUAUUAUGCAUAGUAUUUGAAUUUUUUUUCCUUUUUUUUUUGGCAGAAAGAACUGAAUAAAUAUUGAAGUUAAUGGGCUUUGUGUAACGCUCCGACCCCUGGUGGACCAGAACGCUACUUACUUUAAUUAGCUUAACCGGUGGUUUAGUAACAAGUGUAUACGUUUUAACGGAAUCUUACAUCUUCGGAUAAUAAUUUAAAUAACAAUACUUCAAAUACUUUAAACACAAACACUGAAUCAUUUUUCAAAACAACAAAAUAUAAUUUAUUUGAAGAAAACAUAACUUGUUCUCGCAUUCUGCGUUAUUCAAAACUUUAAAGAAAUAACAUUGGAAAACAUUUCAUAAAAAUAAAUCCAAAUCACUUAUUCACCGGAUUUCCAUGGGCUCGUUGCAUCAUUCUCCAUCUUCUCCUCCAUCCAUGCCCGAGGUAGAAUUCCUUCAAUUUGUAGAGAUGAGAUUAAACCCAUGAGUUGAAAAACUCAAUAGGUGUCAUAAGUGCAUUCGUGAUCAAGCUAUACAUUUCAAAACAUUAACUUUAUAACUCUUCAUACAUGCCGUACCCGGAGGCACCAUUUGAUAUGAAGGGGCAUGCCGUACCCCAGGGCACCAUUUGACAUACGAACAUUUCUUCAACAUAAAGGGGUAUGCCGUACCGGAGUACCAUUUGACAUACAACCAUUAACAUAUAGGGAUAUGCCAUACCAGAUUACUAUUUGACAUACAAACAUUAACAGGAAUCGAAACUUAUAACUUAACACGAUUAAACACAUUGCACCUCUACCUACUUUGAUUGAUGUUUUUGAAACUUUGAAAACUUGGAUUGAAAAUUUCGAUGAAACUUGGACGUUGAAAGAAAUGCACUCCUUGGAUGUUUGAAAACCGUUGAGAAUUGAUGCUUGAAGACACUUUUUAAACUUCUAAGAAAAAUAGUUUUCCUCCCUCUCUUUUUCUCUCUUGGAAACUCUUUCUUUAGUAUGUAAAAACUCUUGCUUUUGUGUGAGAAAAAAUGAGUGAAAUGAGGUCUCUAUUUAUAGGUAAAUAUUCCAUAACUUAAAGCAAAUGAAGGGUCAAAUUUCAUUUAAGAGAGAAAACAUAGUUUCCAUUUAAGUUUGAGGUUAAAUGCUUCAAUUUAGUGGGGGGUUUUUAUUGCCAAAAACGUGGGUGGCCCUUUGAGAAAAUAAUUGAUGAAAAUAAAUAUUUAAAUUCUAGAGAAAAACGAGAAUUUUCAUUUCAGGCAGCUUCGGUCGACCGGUUGUAGUCCGGUUGACACUGCAUAACUUUCAGUGUUUCUAUCAUAACUUUUUUUCCCGAUAUCCGAUUGAGGUAAUCCAAAGUGCGUUGGAAAGCUAACUCAAAAAGCUACAACUUUUAUUUAGAUAUCAUUUUCCAAAUUGAAUGUUUCCUAUGUUGAAAAUGGGUCUCAAAAGAGACUAAAAAUCUGAAGUAUACUUUAGUCAUUCAAUAUUCAUGUCUUAGUGCCACUAAGGUGUCUAGAAUUAUUUGGGGUUCUACAUCCCCCACACCUUAAUUAAAAUUUCAUCCUCAAAAUUUACCUUCUGAUUGGGCGAAUAGUAUUGGAUACUUAUCUUUGGCUUCUUCUUCUUUUUCCCAAGUGGCUCUUCUACGCCGUGAUAAUUCCACUGUAUCUUAACCAACUGAAUCUCUUUAUUCCUUAGUUUAUACACUUUUUGAUCCAAUAUCUUGAUCGGUAGUUCCUCGUACGACAAAUCUUUCUGUACCUCCAAGGUUUGAUAACUAACUACAUGAUUAGGAUCAUGUACAUACUUCUUUAUCAUCGAUAUACGGAACACAUUGUGCACUGCCGAUAAUUCAGGUGGCAAAGCUAGUCGGUAAGCCACAUUUCCGACUCUAUCCAAGGUCCGAUAUACCGGGGUCAUAGCUUGCCUUUCUUUCCAAAUCUAAGUACACCUUUCAUCGAUGCUACUUUCAGAAACGCUUUAUCCCCAACUUGGAAUUCUAAAUCCUUCAUCCUUGUAUCUGCAUAGCUCUUUUGUCGAUCAUGUGCUGCCUUUAUUCUUGCACAGAUCUUAUCGAUUACCUCGACUGUCCUUUCAACUAUUUCUUGUCCUAAAACUCUCUUCUCUUCGACUUUGACUUCAUCCCAAUGAAUAGGGGAUCUACAUCUUCUACCAUAGAGAGCUUCGUAUGGUACCAUUCCAAUAGUUGCUUGGAGGUAAGUAUGACUCCCAAUUACCUCCUAGAUCCAAAACACAUGUUUUCAGCAUGUCUUCCAAAGUUUGGAUGGUCCUUUCAGACUGACCAUCGGACUGAGGGUGAUAUGCUGUACUAAAGUUCAGCUUCGUUCCCAUAGUUCCUUGUAUACUUUUCUAAAAUUUGGACGUGAACCUUGGGUCUCUGUCAGAUAAAAUGGAUACAGGUACACCGUGUAAUCUCACAACCUCUUUAAUAUACAACUGUGCCAAUUGGUCCAAACUGAAUGUCGUUUUCACUGGAAGAAAAUGAGCUGACUUCGUUAGUCGAUCCACUACUACCCAUAUAGCAUUAUUUCCUCUUGCUGAAUUUGGGAAUCCAACCACAAAGUCCAUCGUGAUAUUUUCCCAUUUCCAUUCAGGUAUAUCUAGUGGAUUUAACAAUCCAGUUGGUUUUGGGUGUUCUACCUUAACCUAUUGACAUACUAUGUACUUCUGCACGUAUAGCCCUAUACUUCUUUUCAUAUUUCUCCACCAAAAUGUAUCUCGAAGAUCUCGAUACAUUUUUGUACCACUGGGAUGUGCGGUGUACGGGGUGGAAUGAGCUUCUUUCAAUAUCUUAUUUCUUAAGGCUUCAUCCUUAGGCACGCAAAUUCUUCCUCUAAAUAUCAAUGCCUGAUCCUCAGCUACUCCAAAGUCCUUUUUCUUAUCAGUACCAAUUUCAUUCUUAAUCUUCUGCAAAAAUGAGUCUUUAUUUUGUGCUUCUAUAAUUCGAUCUCUAAGAGUAGGUCGAAUUAUUAAAGCUGCUAGACGAGCAGUGACUUGUCCUGGUGUGAUAACCACUUCGAUCUGCAACUUUUCCAAGUCCUUAACUAACUCCACUUGAGAGGUGGGUAGUGACGUCAAUUGUCCCAUUGAUUUUCUACUUAGAGCGUCGGCCACAACAUUAGCCUUACCCGGAUGGUAGUGAAUAGUGCAGUCGUAAUCGUUCACCAAUUCCAACCAUCGUCUUUGUCGCAUAUUCAAUUCCUUCUAUGUGAAGAAAUACUUGAGACUUUUGUGAUCUGUGUAGAUAUCACACUUCCGUCCAUACAAGUAGUGUCGCCAUAUCUUCAAAGCGUGUACUACCGCUGCAAGUUCUAAAUCAUGCGUCGGGUAGUUCUGCUCAUGUUUCUUCAAUUGUCUUGAAGCAUAGGCUAUCACUUUUCCAUUCUGCAUUAGUACACAUCCCAAUCCUCGCUUGGAUGCGUCGCUGUAUAUAACAAACCCUUUCGUAUCUUGAGGUAUUGUUAAUAUAGGUGUUGAUAUCAACUUCUGCUUAAGUUCUUGGAAACUUUGUUCGCAUUUUUCUGUCUAUUGAAAUUUUACUCCCUUCCUUGUAAGCUGCGUCAUUGGUUCAGCUAUUUUGGAAAAUCCUUCUAUGAAUUUCCUAUAAAAUCCAGCCAAUCCUAGAAAACUCCGUACUUCGCCAACAUUUGUUGGUGCUUUCCAGUUGGUUACUGCUUCUACUUUUGCUGGAUCUACUUCAAUCCCUUGGGCAGUAACUACAUGUCCAAGAAAUCCAACUCGUUCAAGCCAAAACUCGCACUUCUUGAAUUUGGCAUACAACUUCUCCUUGCGUAAUACCUCUAAGACUAUUCUCAAGUGCUCUUCAUGUUGCUCCUUACUCUUGGAAUAUAUCAGAAUGUCAUCGAUGAAGACUAUAACAAACUUAUCCAAGUAUUGAUGAAACACUCAAUUCGUCAUGUCCAUGAACACUACAGGUGCAUUGGUUAGCCCAAACGGCAUCACCGUAAACUCGUAGUGUCCAUAUCGAGUUCUAAAAGUUGUCUUAGGUAUAUCCUUUGUCUCUACUUUCAGUUGAUGGUAUCCCGAUCGUAAAUCGAUCUUGGAAAAUACCUUAGCUCCUUUCAGUUGAUCUAACAGAUCCUCGAUCCUCGGGAGUGGGUACUUAUUCUUGAUGGUUAAUCGAUUUAUCUCCCUCUAAUCGAUGCACAUCCUCAUGCUUCCAUCUUUCUUCCUUACAAACAACACUGGCGCACCCCAUGGAGAUACGCUUGGUCCUAUGAAGCCCAUAUCUAGGAGUUCUUGCAACUGCUUCUUUAAUUCUUGUAGCUCCUUUGGGGCCAUUCGAUAUGGGGCCUUAGAUACUGGUACCACCCCGGGAAUUAGGUCUAUGGUGAAUUCCACUUGUCUAUCGGGUUGAAUGCCAGAUAGAUCUUCUAGAAACACAUCUACGAAUUUCCGUACUACUGGUACAUCUUCAACCCUUAUUGUCUCUUGUUUCCCUCUUGCGAUACUUACUAGAUAUCCUUGACAUGUGUUCUUUUCUCAACAUCUUCUCAAGUUGUAAAGCCGAUACUAGUCGAAUAAGGGGUUUCGUCUUCAUUCCAAGGAACGAAAAUGGUUCCUCUCCUGGUUUCUAAAAUGAUACUUCCAUUUCCUUAUAUCGGAUGGUGGCGUAAUUACAACCUAACCAAUCCAUGCCUAGUAUUACAUCAAAAUCCUUCAUUUCUAUCAUGUAUAGGUUCGUUUCCAUUAGUUUUCCCUCAACUUUGAUACUUACUGACUUGGCUAUCCUAUCAGUAUUCAAAGGGUUGUCCGAAGGAAUACUAACUUCUAAUGUACCUUCUUAUCUUCCGUAUCCACCAGAUGUGGAGCAUACUUUGAAAGUUGAUCAAACUUCCUCUCAUACUCAGUCAGGGACAUAGUCUUUUGCUUGAUUUGGAGGAAUUCACUUUCUUUGUGAUCCCUCAAAGACUGGGGAAAAUACUUGUCCAUUACUUCUCCUUUGAAUUGCUCCCAAGUCAAUUCUUCUUAUUGCUUAGGGGUCCUUGUCCUUGACAUUGAGACCCACCAGUGACUUGCAUUACCGGAGAACAUGAACUCAGCACGCUGAACUUUCUAAGCGUUUGUGCACCCUAUCAAUCGGAAUAUACGCUCCAACUUGUGAAGCCACUCCUCGGUUGCAAGUGGAUCAGCUGCUUUGUUGAAGGUAGGGGACUUGUGCCUUCGAAAUUGCUUGACCACUGAAGUAUGAUUUGGAACAUUAGGAGCUAGUGGUAGGGGUUGAGCUUGGUUCGGGUUUUGCCUGCCUAGGUCUUGAACCGCUCGGAGGAGGUCUCUUAUCAAGUUUUGGUUUGCGCGGGCCAUUUCUUUUAGACAAAGCAUAUGGUUCUUAUUAGUUUCAUUCUUCAAAUACUAAAGCAAAGAAGAUAGUAUUUUAUUUCUUGAUAUAAGGGAAGCUAUUACAAGGAUUUAAAUCUAAUCCCUAUAAGUUCUACGGAUCUUCUUUGGUGGAGCUUCAUCUUCGAGGAGUCUUCCGCAUCAGGUUUGGCUCUAUGUUCAUCUCAACUUGUGGCUCAGGCUCAGGAUCAUUCUCUAAAUCAUCCUCGAGUUCUUCUUCGAGAUCUUCUUCCUCGGCCAAAGCUUCCUCCUCAGGCUCCUCGUGGGUUACAUCAUCCCACAAAUCAAUCAGGGCAUGGCAAUACCUCUCAAACUCGAAUAGGUUUGGGUUGCUUGCUAACAUUUCAUCUCUAACCGUGACUCCCAUAUCUCCCCAUUGAGGUGGGAGGGAGUGUAUGAGGUUAUUUAUGGCCUCAAUAUGUGUGAUCUCCAUACCAGCAUUAACCGUCUUCAUGCAUCUCUCAUGGAUGUCAUACACAUGUUCGCUAAGCGAUCAGGUCAGAUCAGUUACAUAGUUUUCAUAGGAAUGGAUAGCAAUUCUACAGUUCAAUGCUUCUCUAUAUGCCCUAGCCGUUCUACGAGCCAUGUCUGUUGCAUUUUCACAUACAUCAUACUUUUUUUUGCUUAAAGAAAACAUGCAAAUAUUUAAACUUUCAUAUCAUGCAAUUUCCUUUAAACCCUUAACUUUUACCCAAGUUCAUUACAUAUCUUUAAAUAACACAUCUCUAAAUCAUAUCAAAACAUCAUAACAUAAACAUAAUCAUUAACUUUAAACAUAAACAUACCUAGGCCAUAGGAUGAGAUUGAUGGAUGGAUGCACGAUGCCAUGGAAUACCUUAACUUAAACUUUUCAUUUUCCUUUUGUUUUUUUAAAAAAAAAAUACUUGAUCUACAGAACAGGCUAAACCUUGCUUUGAUACCACGCUGUAACGUCCCGACCCCUAGUAGACCGGAACGCUACUUACUUUACUUAACUUAACCGGUGGUUUAGUAACAAGUGUAUACGUUUUAGUGGAAGCUUACAUCUUCGGAUAAUAAUUUAAAUAACAAUACUGCAAAUACUUUAAACAAAAACACUGAAUCAUUUUUCAAAAUAACAAAAUGUAAUUUAUUUGAAGAAAACAUAACUUGUUCUCGCAUUCUACGUUAUUCAAAACUUUAAAGAAAUAACAUUGGAAAACAUUUCAUAAAAAUAAAUCUAAAUCACUUAUUCACCGGAUUUCCAUGGGCUCGUUACAUCAUUCUCCAUCUUCUCCUCCAUUCAUGCCUAAGGUAGAAUUCCUUCAAUCUGUAGAGAUGGGAUUAAACCCGUGAGUUGAAAAACUCAAUAGGUGCCAUAGGUGCAUUCGUAAUCAAGCUAUACAUUUCAAAACAUUAACUUUAUAACUUUUCAUACAUGCCGUACUCGGAGGCACCAUUUAACAUGAAGGGGUAUGCCGUACCCGAGGGCACCAUUUGACAUACGAACAUUUCUUCAACAUAGAGGGGUAUGCCGUACCGGAGUACCAUUUGACAUACAAUCAUUAACAUAGAGGGAUAUGCCGUACCGGAGUACCAUUUAACAUACAAACAUUAACAUGAAUCGAAACUUAUGACUUAACACGAUUAAACACAUUGCACCUCUACCUACCUUGAUUGAUGCUUUUGAAACUUUGAAAACUUGGAUUGAAAACUUCGAUGAAACUUGGAUGUUGAAAGAAAUGCACUCCUUGGAUGUUUGAAAAUCGUUGAGAAUUGAUGCUUGAAGACACUUCUUAAACUUCUAGGAAAAAUAGUUUUCCUCUCUCUCUUUUUCUCUCUUGAAAACUCUUUCUUUUGUUUGUAAAAGCUCUUGCUUUUGGUGUGAGAAAAAAUGAGUGAAAUGAGGUCUCUAUUUAUAGGUAAAUAUUCCAUAACUUAAAGCAAAUGAAGGGUCAAAUUUCAUUUGAGAGAGAAAACAUGGGUGCCAUUUAAAUUUGAGGUUAAAUGCUUCAAUUUAGUGAGGUUUUUAUUGCAAAAAAUGUGGGUGGCCCUUUGAGAAAAUAAUUGAUGAAAAUAAAUAUUUAAAUUCUAGAGAAAAACGAGAAUUUUCAUUUCAGGCAGUUUCGGUCGACCGGUUGUAGUCCGGUUGACACUGCACAGCUUUCAGUGUUUCUAUUAUAACUUUUUCUCCCGAUAUCCGAUUGAGGUAAUUCAAAGUGAGUUGGAAAGCUAACUCAAAGAGCUACAACUUUUAUUCAGAUAUCAUUUUCCAAAUCAAAUGUUUCCUAUGUCGAAAAUAGGUCUCAAAUGAGACUAAAAAUCUAAAGUAUACUUUAGUCAACCAAUAUUUAUGUCUUAGUGCCACUAAGGUGUCUAGAAUUAUUUGGGAUUCUAUACUUUGUGACAUAGAGUGCAAUAAAACCAAAUAGUAGAAUUAUAGAAGAAGGGGGAGUGAAUAGAAAGAAGAGGGCAAAAGUGAAGAAUUGGGGGGAGGGGGUUGGUUAGAAGGAGAGAGAUAGAAAAGGAACAACAAUAGAUAGACGGAAGCAGAAUUUAGGAGAGAGGAAGAAGAGGGAGAAAAGGAAGAGGAAAACAAAUAAGAAGAAUAUUGAGAAAGAAAGGAUUUCUAUCAUUUCUCCCUAAUUGAAAGAACUCGACUCCAAUUCUAAGCAAAGAGGACUAUCUUUCUUUCUGACCAAAUAAUGAAAUUGAUUGCUUGAUGUCAAAUCCUAAAUUAGUUGGCUGAUUUUCUUCUUUUGAGUUGUGGUUGGGGAGAUUUUUGGGUGGUUGAAGAUGGCAAAGGAAGUGUGUGUAAAUUUUGAAUUUCAACAUGAAAUUUGUGUACAACGGAAAUGACUUGCUCUGCUAUCAAAUUGAUGUAUACUGCAAUAAAACCAAAUAGUAGAAUUAUAGAAGAAGGGAAAAUUGAUGUAUACUGCAAUAAAACCAAAUAGUAGGAUUAUAGAAGAAGGGAAAAGGGUAGAGAAUAAGAGAAAUGGGGGAAAAAGAGAAGAAGAGGGGGAAAGAGAAGGAGAUAUGUAGAAAGUGAAGAAGAGACAUUAGAAGCAGAUUUAAGAGAGAGGAAGAAGAGGGGGGAAAGGGAAAAGGAAAAUGAACAAGAAGAAUAUUGAGAAAGAAAGAAGAAAAGAGAGGAGAAAGAGAAGAAGAGGGAGAGAAAAAGAGAAUUUAGGGAGUGAAUAUCAAGUUUAUUUUAUGUCAAAUUUGUAUCUAUUACAAUGCACAAACCUCCUUCAUAUGGGGUUUUGAAAAACCUAUUCUAAAUAGGAAACAAUGAAUCAAAUACUAGAGAAUCUAGUAAAUAAAUAUAUAAUAAAAUCCUCGGAAAUCCAGUAAAUAAACCCUGAUAAUUUUUCCCAAAAUAAGAAUCUAAAUAUGGAAAAUAAUCAUAAUAAUCUAAUAGGAUUUACAUCAUUUUUUCGUGGUCCCGUGGGAAUGUGAGACAAUAUCAUUUAAGAUGUAUGAGUUUUAACUUGUCGCGACUCAUCAAAAUUUUCACUUGCGACCUGGAAAGAAAUCGAUUUGAAAAGUAAUUUUCCCCUUUUUUGAGUAAAGAUCAUGUCUUGGGCUUUAGUAGUGGCUCCACAGGUCUUUUAAUUCUUUUUAUGAUGAUUCACAUUCUUUUCACAUGGUUAAUCCUUUGAUGAUGCUAUUAUACUCUCAAGAUGCUAAUACAAAUUACUAUUGAUUUGAUGUGUAUUACCACCCUGUGUUUGCCUUCUUUUCAUUGUUAACUGUAACCUUGUGCUACAAUUUACUCUACCGUAAUACAGGCAAAACAUGGAAUUAACUGUCUUGAGCUUCCUCUCAUUCAGCACAAGAAGUUGCCUGAUUCUGAUAGACUUCCCUCUGUGUUGAGUGGUAAGUUUCUGACAUGAUUGAUGGUUAUAGGAGAUUGUUUUAGAUUAUCUGGAUGCAUUUGUUCACGUUACGUGCAUUUCAGAGACAGUUUUUUUUUUUUUUUUUUUAAUUUUUUUUAUUUUUAUUGUGAGGGUUUGUUUAGAACGUUUGCUUCAUCAGUUAAUCUGUGAUCCCUAUUGUGUUUUGUGUCAUUAUUGUUUUUAUCUUACAUCUUUAAAGACGAUUCAUAUGGGUGCACAUAAGAUGUUAAUGCACAGGUUGUCAAACUUGAUUCCUCAUUGACCGUAAAUAGUAAAUAUCUUGGCCACAUUUCAGUUAGAUUCGUGAAGAGAGACAGCUCCUCCUUUUGGGCUGUGAGGCACAAGGUACCAAGGUUAUCCAAUCACAGGUUGUAAAUUCACAUGGAUUAAAUUUCUCUAUGCACAUUGUUGUUAUUAUCUUUCUGACUUUGGUGUGAAUGCCAGAUCUUGUGUAUCUAGUCUCCCGCGGAAGUAAAUUGCUAAAUUGAAUGCUUGUUCUUAGUUGCUUUGAAAUGAAUGUUGUGAUCAGACAGAAAAUAAAACUCUCUCAAUCCCCCUUCCCCCUCUUACACAUGUUUCAUGACAGUUACUUCUAUUUAAAUUCACAAAUUCUACAAUGGAUGCACAUUAUGAUUUUUUCUUGCUUAUCUAUUGCUGCAGAUACUGCAUUUGAUUGGAUUGUCAUAACUUCACCUGAAGCCGCUCUAGUUUUUCUUGAUGCUUGGAAGUAAACUUCACAUGGAUGUUGGCACGUCAUUUAUUAUUCUAGAAUGGUCAUUAGUCAGUUAGAGGAAAACUCUAUAAAUAAGAUGGGAGAGGGGAAUUAGAGGGGAUUCAAUGAAUUGUUUAGAAAAAGUGGGGGAGAGAUCAAGGCCUCUCGAAUGCCUUUGAUUAUGUUUAAUUUCAUGACUUUCAUUCCAGUUAAUAUCAAUACAAUUCAUCUAUCUUUACAAUAUACUAUUCCAGUAACUCCAUGGACAUCUUGCAGUCACAUUACAAUUUCAGUGUUUUACCGGACAAAUUACUUCAUAACACUUCCCAGUUGGUCUAGCGGUUUUCUUCCAGUAGCAGUAGCAACAAACAAUAGCAGUAGCAGCAACUAAUCCUCUGCAUUAGCAUCCAGAAUCUGCAGUUUAUCAACCACAUUAGCUAGGAUCUUAUCAUAACCUUAAUUUUUCCCUUUACCUUUUGCUCUCCACGUGUGUCAACAUGAAGGAAGUUCCCUUUGGGUCAGGAUUGUUAUGAUGGAAAAUGCUGCUUAAACAAAUCAAAUGUCAAACUUAGAAGCUGUGGCAUCCUGAGGAUGUUCCUGAGAACAAUAUUUAGCUUGACUAUCUUAAUAUUUUAUAAUUCUUAUGUUGACUUGCUUGAAAAGGUUAAGAAUGUGACUUUUUGAAACAUAAACUGGAAAAAAUUCAUAUCUGAUUCUUUCAUGGGCAUAAACUGAUGACUAUCGGAUCUAUAGGCAGCAAUGAUUAGAAAAACCAAAAAUAAAAAAAGGAAGCCAAAGAUUAUUACAAGCUAUGAAUUUAUGAAAGUUGGUUUAUUGAAUUGGAAUAACUCCAAAAUACAUGGUGAAACACUAUGUAGAGCACCGGGAUAUCACAAUGAGUAUACUCAGAGUGGGUUGGUAAAGAAGUGUUUUAGCGCAGGUUUGAUGCAGUGGCGGACCCAUGACUGGGCCCUUCAUUUUUUACAUUUACAAAGUAGGCCCUUCUGUUGAGAAUCACACCAAAUCAAAUCAGUUUCCUGAUUUUUAGGGAAACUUGGCUGUAUAUUUCGUAAUUAUAGGGAUCCUAUUCAUUUUCAAAAAAUCAGUAUUGUAUAGCUGUAUAUUUCAGUUACAUAGUUGUAGCUUUAUUUUCUAUUUUAUUGACUGUAUUGUAUCUAAAAAAGGGUGACUAUGACUACUUUCCCAUUCAUUCGAUACAAUAUUCUUUUUCUACCCAAUCUAUAUGGUAUCAAAGCCGACAUAAUUGGCCUCUAUUUUUUUUUUUUUGGGUUCUUCCUACCCAUUACCACGUCAGAAAUCUCUAAAUCAACCCCUACCACUGGUGCCAAUAUCAACUCCUCUAAACCUCCAACUGAACCUCUCUCUCAUUCCGUCCAAAUCACCACGAUUCGACUCAAUGGGAACAAUUUUCUCAGGUGGAUCCAAUCCGUUCGAAUAUAUAUUAGAGUGAAGGGGGAAAUCAGUUACUUAAUUGAUGACAUUGUAGAGCCAGAAAAACUGAUGUUGGCCAUGCUGUUUAGGAUGCUGAAAACUCCAUGAUAAUGGCCUGGUUAGUGAAUUCUAUGGAGGAGGAAAUAAGUGCAAACCACAUGUAUUGUCCUAUUGCUAAAGCCCUGUGGGAUAAUGUCACCUUGAUGUAUUCAGUCCUUGGAAAUCAAUCCCAAACAUAUGAGUUACAACUCAAAUUGGGGGAAGUCCGUCAAGGUGAGAAUUUCGUCACUAAAUAUUUUAAUAUUCUCAAAGUUUCCUUGAUUUAUUCAAUGAUGACCAUGAGUGGAAGAACAUGGAUGGUUGCAAUUACUUUAAGAAAAAGGAGAUCUCACGAAUUUUCAAAUUUCUGGCUGGACUCAAUGUUAAUUUUGAUGAAGUAGGAGGCAGGAUUUGAGGUUGUAAACCUCUUCCUUCCCUCGGUGAAGUUUUUUUCUAAAGUUCGACGUGAAGAAAGCAGGAGAAAUGUCCUGCUUGGCAAGAAAAUCAUUGCUGGACUGGUGGAAAAUUCGACAUUAAUGGGGAUUGCUGUUGCUGCCAUCGUGCCCCUAGGGGUGAACCCACUAAGUACGAGGGCGGUCAGCCGCCCCCAUUGAUUUUUCAAAAACCUUCAAUUCGACCUUAUUAAAUUUAAAUUCUCAGAUUUUUUUUUUUUUGGUUUUUUCACAAUUUAUUUUAGCCAAUUUUCCAUCUCUUCCCCACUGAAAAAUAAUUUUAGAUCCACCCCUGUGUGUCCCUAAUACUUAGCGUCGUCAAGAUGACGAAUCGAAGGUUUGGUGUGAUUUUUGCAAUAAAUCACGACAUACUUACGAAACUUGCUAGAAACUGCAUGGAAAACUUGCUAAUUGGAAACCUGUAGAGUGGAAGAAUAAUAAAACUAAUUCGAAUCAUGCCCUAACCAAAGCACAUACUGUGAGACCACCUCUCUCAGUGAAGAACAAAUAGAACAACUCCUAAAGCUACUGAAAUCUGCUCCACCGACUCCCGGUACUCCUGUAGCAUCCUUGGUUCAAACAAGUAGAACUUUGUGUGCCUACUCUUCAUUAUCUACAUCUUGGAUCAUGAUUCAGGUGCCUCUCAUCACAUAACUAAUCUAUCCCAUUUGUUUAUAUCUUAUGAACUCUUUUCUGGAAAUAAAAAAGUACGUACUGCAGAUGGAAAUUUAUCUUCCAUUGCUGGCCAUGUUUCAUUCGUUUAUGAGAAAAAAAUAUUCUGAAAUCUGUUUUACAUGUCUCAAAACUCUCUUGUAACCUUUUGUCAGUAUGUCAUUUAUCUAAAGAUUCUAACUGUCGUGUUAUCUUUGGUGUCUCUUGUUGUGAAUUUAAGGAUUUAAAUGUGGGGAUGAUGAUUUGCAGUACUAGAAUGAUAGAUCUCUACUAUUUUAAUGACAACUGUGUUAGGAAUAAACAAGCUCAGGGUUUUAUUGGUGGUAUCCAAUUAAAUCUUGUUUAUGAUCAAAUAAUACUAUGGCAUAAUAGACUAGGACAUCCUAUUUUUUCCUAUUUAAAGUACUUAUUUCUAGAUUUAUUUAAAGGAGUGGAUUGUAACUCUUUGGUUUGUGAAACUUGUUUCCUGGCUAAAAGCCAUCGAAACUUUUAUAAAAUUAAACUUUUUUGUGCUUCAAAACAUUUUUAUCUAAUACAUAGUGAUGUUUGGGAUCCUUCUAAGAUUACCACUUCAACCUGAAAAAAAUGGUUUGUGACAUUCAUUGAUGUUCAUACACGCCUAUGCUGGCUUUAUUUAAUGAAUUCAAAAAAUGAAGUUGCAAAAUUUUUUAAAGAUUUUUUACUCUUUGGUCGAAAACCAAUUUCAAACUAAAAUAAGUGUUCUUCGAAGUGACAAUGGAAUAUAAUUUUUUAAUGAAUGUUUAGGAAAUUUUUGUACAAGAAAAAGGCAUUGUUCAUCAAUCUAUUUGUAGGGAUACUCAACAAAAUGGAAUUGCAGAACGUAAAAAUAGAUACUUAUUUGAAGUUGCUAGCGCUCUUAUGUUUCAUAAGAAUGUUUCUAAAUAUCUUUGGGGAAAUUCAAUCUUAACAAGUUGUUAUCUGAAUAAUAGAAUGCCCACUAGGGUUUUGAACUAUAAAACUCCUUUACGAACUCUUAAAAAAUCUUUUCCAAACACACGUCUCAUCAAUAAUCUCCCUUCAAAACUUUUUGGUUGUACGAUGUUCAUUCAUGUUCCAUCCCAUCUUCGAUCCAAAUUUGUCUACGAGCUGAAAAAUGUAUUUUUUAGGCUACUCUCCUAAUAAAAAAGGCUAUAAGUGUUUUAAUCCCGACACUAAAAAAUUUCAUAUUAGUAUGGAUGUUCAAUUUCUUGAAACAACUCCAUUUUAUACUAAAACCUUUCUUCAGGGGAAGAAUCUAAAUGAUGAUUAGUUUUGGCAACAAGAAGAACCAAAACUAGUUUCUUUUUUCCCUCAAAUAAAUUAGGAAAUGAAUACUUUACCUAGAGAAAAUAAGAAAAAUACUGAGCUAUAUAUGCCAAGUAAAAAUGUAUCACAAAAAGGGGAAAAACUUUACCACCUAUGCCCACUGAGCUACGUCUUUACACUAUAUGUAGGUUCAAUCCCAAUAUUUAGAAUCUUCCAAUCAAUUCUGAGCAUGGUCAAUCAUCAUCUCCUAGGUCUUCAAUUCCAGGUAAUCUUCCUAAAAAUCCUACUCCUUUACCUUUCUUUGAUCAUGACAUUCCUAUUACCAUUCAUAAAGGAAUUAGGAAUUGUACCAAACAUCCUAUUGCCAAAUAUCUGUCCUACCACAGACUUUCAGAAAAAUACAAAGCCUUCACAACAAAUGUUUCCCAUCUAUUUGUACCUAGAACUAUACAGAAAGCACUACAACACUCGGAGUGGAAGUGAGCAGUGUAUGAGGAGAUAAAAGCACUUCAAAAAAAUAGAACCUGGGAAAUUGUUGAUCUACCUAGGAAAAAGAAGAUAGUAGGGUGCAAGUGGAUUUUUACAAUCAAAUGUAAGUAUGAUGGGAGCAUUGAGAGAUACAAGGCAAGGCUGUUGCUAAAGGUUUUACACAAACUUAUCGAAUUGACUAUCAAGAAACCUUUGCACCUGUUGCAAAAAUCAAUUCCAUUCGAGUGUUACUUUCUCUUGCAGUACAUCUUAACUGGCCUUAGCAACAGUUAGAUGUAAAGAACACUUUCUUAAAUGGAGAGUUGGAGGAAGAAGUGUUUAUGGACUUACCACUAGGUUUCGAAGAAAACUUUGGAGAAAAGAAAGUUUGGCUAUUAAAAAAGUCAUUGUAUGGUCUUAAGCAAUAUCCUAGGGCCUGAUUUGACAGGUUCGGAAAAGUCAUCAAGCUUCAAAAGUAUUUGUAAAGCUAAGCCGAUCAUACAAUGUUCUAAAAACACUCAAGAGAAGGUAGAAUGGCAAUAUUAAUAGUUUACGUGGAUGACAUAAUUUUGAUUGGAGAUGAUAUUGUUGAGAUUGAUAGAUUGAAGAAAGCCCUAGCUCGUGAUUUCAAAAUCAAAGACUUUGGUCCUCUUAAAUACUUCCUUGGAAUGGAGUUUGCUAUAUCCAAGAAAGGUAUUUUUAUCUCUCAAAGAACGUACUUGAUCUACUAGAAGAAACAGGUUUACUCGGUUGCAAAGCAACAGAAACCCCUAUAGAACCAAAUCUGAAGCUUUAGCGUGCAAGUCUAGAAGAAAUGAUUGACAAAGAGAGAACCAACGCUUAGUUAGGAGACUAAUUUCUCUCUCCCAUAAACGUCCUCAUAUUGCAUUUGCAGUGAGCAUGCUAAGUUAAUUCAUGCACUCACCUAAUCAAGGACAUUUUGAUGUUGUGUACAGAAUUUUAAGGUACUUAAAGGGGACCAUGAAAAGGAAUUCUAUAUGAAAAUAGGGGACAUCUCCAAGUUGAAGUGUUUACAGACGCAGAUUGGACAGGAAUGUAAUAGACAGAUGAUCAACUUCGGGAUAUUGUACCUUUGUUGGGGGAAAUCUUGUAACUUGGCGUAGUAAAAAAUAAAAUGUGGUGGCUAGAAGUAGUAUUGAGGUGGGGGUGUAGGGCAGUGGCACAUGGUAUCUUUGAGGUUCUGUGGAUCAAACAUUUACUUGAAGAACUUAAAACUACCCGUUCCUUACCUAUAAAGGUAUUUUGUGAUAACAAAGAUGCUAUUGCAAUCGCACACAAUUCAGUGCUCCAUGAUUGAACUAAACAUGUUGAAGUUGACAAAAACUUUAUAAAGGAGAAAUUGGAGAAUGGUCUGAUUAUUAUACCCUACAUUCCCAGGUCUGAACAGGCAGCAGACAUUCUUACUAAAGGUCUACCAAAGAAGUAGUUUGAUACGUUGGUGAGCAAGCUAGCCAUGAACCACAUCUUCCAACCAGCUUGAGGGGGAGUGUUGAGAAUCACACCAGAUUAGGGCAAAUCAGUUUCCUGAUUUUUAGGGAAACUUGGCUGCAUAUUUCAUAUUUAUAGGGAUCCUAUUUAUUUCCUAAAAAUCAUUAUUGUAUAACUGUAUAUUUCAAUUCCAUAUUUGUAGCUUUAUUUUCUAUUUUAUUGACUGUAUUGUAUCAAUAAAAGGGUAAGUAUGACUACUUUUCCAUUAAUUCAAUACAAUAUUCUUUUUCUACCCAAUCUAUAUCUUCAUUUUUUUACAUUUACGAAGUAGUUCACAUAAUUUUAAGCCAUAAUUUUUACAUAAUUCUGUCUCGCCCCCACUAAAUUAUGUUCUUGGAUCCGUCCCUGCUUUGAUGGCCAUUAUUUGGGAAAAACAAUGUUUUGAAAAGUGUUUUUUAGGAGAAUGUGAGAUUAAAAAAUAAGAAAAUGUUUUGGAUUUACUUGCAGAAUAUUUUAUUGUGUUUAUGUUUGGUUGGAAAUGAGUUUGUAGAAAAAAGAGUUUUCAAAUAUUGGUUAUCGAACCCGGGCAUAAUGGUCCAUGAGAUUUGGAUGAACACAUUAAAGGUCAUAAGCAAAUGUUCUUGCUGCUGCUGCUUUUCCACUCCCCAUUCACCUGAAAAAUUCUUAAUAGAAUUUUAUUUAUUUCUCUUAUUUUUCCAUCCUAAUACUGCUUUUAGCUGUUAAAUAGACGUAUAAUGAUUAAAUCAAUACAGUAUGCUAAUCUUAAUCGCCAACUGUUCUAUAAUUCAAUUAUUAUGUUUCAAUAUGGAGUAAUUAAAAUUUAACAUCCACCGUUAAGAGAAGCCAAUUUUGCAAUUUAGUUAGACUGCCCAUUUUAACAAAUUAUCAAUCUUCGAAUUAAGCAAAGAUCUUAAAAUUUAUACAAUGCCUGUUGGAUCCUUUAGAUGAUGAAACAUGUAGGUUUUGCUUUGCAUUACUUUUGUACUCAUGCGAGCUGGUCUACUCAAGUAUGACUCAGCUUCACGAGAAUUCUUUUAUUAGAUCCUACUAUUUCAAACUUAUAAUUUUAUCUGUAAGGAAAUAUGAAACUGAUUUAACCUGCUAAUUGAAAUUGUCUGUUUCAGAAGAAGGCCUUGCCAAGCGUGGAUUCCAGGUUACUAGGCUCAAUACAUACACAACGGUAUGAUACUCUUGUAAUUUUGUAAAUGUUCUAAUAUCUCAACAAUUUCAUGUAAUUUAUAACUUUAAAUUUUAAUUUGCCUCCACAUAAUGCAACAGAAAAUUUAACAUUACAGUUACAGUCAUCAAUUGCAAGUGUUUAGAUGUCACUAAAUAUUGAUCAACAACAAAUACUCAUCUUGUUUCUGUUAAUUUGGUGGCCUCUGAUAAUUUCCUGUAGGAACCUGUUAGUCGUGUGGACCAAAAGUUCUUGAAUGGGCGGUUUCUGCUCCUGUUGUUUCUGUAGCAUCACCUUCUGCAGUUCGGUGUACUUUUCUGUUAUAGCAGUUCUGUUGAAAAUUAGUCUAUACUGUUGAGCCUGGACUAAUCUUCUGAAUAAAAAGUUUCUGAGUUGAAUUCAAACCUAAGCACAACUCACAUGGGUAUUUGUGUUCACAUAUUAAAUGGAUUGGGUGUACAGUGCUCUUUCUACAUGGUUUUAUGAAAGACAGGCUAUCAGAAAAUGUGAAAUAUGUUAACGGUCUAUUUGUGUUACAGGUGUUUUCGUGAAUAUUUUUAAGACUCAUUUUGAGUGUUUUUUUAUUGUGAAUCUUAGUUGAGGGGCUUAUGUUGUACCAAGUCCAACACUCUUCCCAAAAAUAUUUACCAUUUAAUCUUACCAAUUCACUUGCAGGAUCCUGUUCGUAUUACUGAAUAUGUUAAUUACAGUUUACUACUUGUGGACUUAUUGCCAUUGAAUGUGUUGGGAAAACACCUUCCAAAGAUAGCCCAAAGAUCAAACAAAGUUGACAAUGUGAAAAUUUCCAACCACUUCAAGAACAAGAAAAUGAGGAAGAAAUGAUUUUAAUGGAAUACAUGAAGAUCAAUGUAUUUGGAUUACUUGAACAAGCCUCAAGUUAAUCCCCAAAAAAGAAAAUAACUUUGAAUUUAUACCCAAGAUGAAUAACCUUCUAUCUUGUAAAAUUCUCUCCAAGUUUUCUCUCUUCUUUCUCUCUAAUUUUCGGGUGCAAGGGUUGUCUUAAUGAAAGGGGGGAAAAUGGCAAUAUAUAUAUCCUAUCGGGACGCCUAGGCGCCAGGUUCCUGGCUGUCUUCAUAUUCGGGGCACCUAGGCGCCAUGUGAGUGGCGCCUGGGCGCCCGGCAGAACCAGCAGAACCAACCCCCUUCCUCUCUUCCUUUCUCACAAUUCUCCAUCUCGUACAUCAUUUGAUAGACCUCAAAUUUUGGACGAACACAAGAAGAAGAAGCAAGCACCGACUCGGCUGCACCAUUCAAAUCAUGAUUGCCUACGUACCCAAAACUCGAGAUCAAGCCUCCGUAGUUCACCUCCACCUUCAUAAACACUCCACCUCAUUUCAACCCCGCCCCGAAGGGCCAUGCCCUCUCGGGCAUAUCAACACGGACUAAUGUGAAGCAAGUCCAAGCAAUGUUGAAACUUGCUACCCGUCACAACUUUGGUUAACAUGUCAGCUGGGUUCUCAUUUGUGUGUACCUUCGAGAGUGAAAUAUCACCUUCCUCUAUGACAUCACGCACAAAAUGAUACCUGACGUCGAUAUGCUUGGUUCGAGCAUGAUGAACCUGAUUCUUAGCCAAGUGAAUCGCACUCUGGCUAUCACACCACAAGUCCACACAAUCCUGCCCAAUCCCCAAAUCAUCUAGAAGACCCCAUAACCACAAUGCUUCCUUCACUCCCUCUACCAUGGCCAUAUACUCGGCCUCUGUAGUAGAAAGAGCAACUGUAGCCUGUAACAUCGAUCGCCAACUAACUGGGGCACCAUGUAUGCAGAACACAUAUCCAGUAGUAGAUCGUCGUCUAUCUAGAUCACCUGCAUAAUCCGAGUCCACAAACCCACUUAUAUGACAUGCAUCUCCACCAAAACAUAAACCCGUAUCCGCGAUACCUUUUAAGUACCUCAGGAUCCACUUCACAGCUUCCCAGUGUGCCUUCCCCGGAUUCGCCAUGAAUCUACUGACCACACUCACCGCCUGUGAAAUACCUGGGCGUGUACACACCAUGGCAUACAUCAAACUGCCAACAGCACUAGCAUAAGGUACACGAUUCAUGCGUACCUUUUCUUCCGCUGUAGUAGGAGACUGUUUACCAGAGAGCCUAAAAUGUGGAGCCAAUGGAGUCACCACCGACUUUGCACCUUGCAACCCGAACCUAGCAAUAACCCGCUCAAUGUAGCCUUUCUGACUCAAGAACAUUCGCCGGUUCGUCCUCUCUCUUCUAAUCUCCAUACCUAGUAUUUUCCCAGCAAUCCCCAUAUCCUUCAUCUCAAACUCUUUACCAAGUUGAGAUUUCAACUUAUCUAUCUCCACCUUACUUUUCGAAGCGAUAAGCAUGUCAUCCACAUAUAGAAGAAGAUAGAUAUAGUUACCUCCCCGAAGUUUUCGAAUAUAAACACAACAGUCAUACUCACUUCUGGAGAAACCAUGCUUUAGCAUGAAGGAGUCAAAUCGCUUGUACCACUGCCGAAGAGAUUGCUUCAAUCCAUAUAGUGAUUUUCUCAAGCGACAUACCUGACGUUCCUUAUCCUCAACCUUGUAGCCCUCAGGUUGAUGCAUAUAGAUCUCCUCAUCCAAGUCCCCGUGCAAGAAGGGGGUUUUGACAUCGAAUUGUUCCAACUCAAGAUCAUGAUGAGCAACAAUACUCAAUAGCACCCGAAUGGAAGUGUGCUUGACCACAGGAGAAAAGAUCUCAUUGUAGUCAACUCCCUCUCUUUGUGCAAACCCCUUAGCCACUAACCUCGCUUUGAAUCUUGUACCACCGAGUUUGGUAGGAUCCUCCUUCUUUUUAUAUAACCACUUGCAACCAAUAGCUUUCUUACCUAUGGGCAAUGGGACAACCUCCCAUGUUUGGUUCUUGUGGAGUGAUUCCAUCUCUUCUUCCAUUGCCGCCGACCAACUCUCGCUAUUGUUGUUUAAAAUAGCUUCCUUGAAAGUGGUAGGCUCAUCAUCCUCCACCGAGAGUGCAUACUCAACCAAAUUUGUCUGCCCAUAGUGCCUCAAAGGUUCAUCUGACUCCAACUUUAGAACUUGCUUGUAAGUACGGCAUGGCCUAGAGGAAGCCAAAUUAUCUGCAAGCUACUGUUGUUGCUGUGCCUGUACAUUCUCUUGCUGAACCGCCUCUUGUUCAAGUGCAUCAUCACUCUCAUCUUGAGUGUCUAUUUGAUGCUCCUCUUGAACAUGCCUAGAAUCAGGUUGAUCUCUAGGUUCUAUGUCAACAACUUGAGACAUUGUAGUCUCAACACCAUCACCACCGGGCACUGUAGCUUUCAACGACGCUACCAUGGAGUUCUCAUCAAAAGUAACAUCUUUGCUGAUUAUGAACUUAGAAUCCUCUACACACCAAAGGCGAUAGCCUUUAACACCUGCCGCAUACCCCAAGAAUAUAGCCUUCUUGGCCCUCGCAUCAAGCUUUCCCUCGUUGACAUGAUAGUAGGUUGUGCAUCCGAAUGUUCUGAGUUUCUCAUAAUCUGCAUGUUCUCCUGUCAAUACCCUAUAAGGUACAUCUCCAUCAAACCUUGAAUGUGGAGACCGGUUCACUAUGUAGCAAGCAUUUACAACCGACUCUGCCCACCAUUCUCUACCCAAACCAGCAUAGGAUCGCAUACACAUCGAUUUCUCUCGAAAUGUGCAAUUCAGUCUUUCCGUGACCCCAUUCUAUUGCGGUGUAUUUCUUACUGUCCAAUGUCUCACAAUGCCUUCCUUACCACAGAACUCCUUGAAAGCACCAUCUGUAUACUCAAUACUGUUAUCAGAUCUCAGUGUCUUCAAUUUCUUUCCAGUUCUAUUUUCAACCAUUACUUUCCACUUCUUGAAAGUGUCGAAUACCUCAUUCUUAUGCUUCAAAAAAUAAAUCCAAGCAUAGCUAGAAUAAUCAUCAACAAAUGUAACAAAAUACUUGGAACCGCCUUUGGAAGUGACAGAAGCCGAACCCCAUACAUCCGUGUGCACAUAGUCAAGAAUGCCUCUACUUCUAUGUUUGCUUGGCUGGAACUGAACUCGAUGUGAUUUACCGUACACGCAAUGCUCGCAAAAAUCCAUGCAAGACUUCUUCAAGUUCUUUAGCAAACCUUUCUUGACUAGCAAAUCUAGCCCCUUUUCAGACAUAUGCCCAAGCCUCCUAUGUCAUAGCCAAGUGCACUCACAUGGGUCUCCACCACUUCCACUUGUUCCAACUGCUACAUCUUCAGUAACUGUAGUACCCUGAAGAGCAUAGAGAUUACCUUCACGGAUACCCUUCAUCACAAUCAAAGAACCACGAACAACCUUCUUUACUCCAUUCCAUGUUACAAUCUUGCAACCACCGGAGUCUAAGGCACCAACAGAGAUAAGGUUCUUUCGCAAAUCAGGAACAUGUCUAACAUCCAUCAAUAUUCUAACCACUUCAUCAUGCAUCUUGAUUCUAAUUGAACCAAGCCCCACCGUUUUACAUGAAUGCUUAUUACCCAUCAACACGGUUCCACCAUCAGUGCUUCUAUAGGUAGUAAACUACUUCCUAUUUGGACACAUAUGGUAAGAGCAUCCAGAGUCAAGAAUUCACUUACCGGAGGUCUCUUCAUCACAAGAGAUGGUGUAGCACUCAUCGCUUUCCCCUCCUUUCGAGACAUAGCUUACCUUUUGCUUGACUUGCACCUUCCCACUGUUGUUGUUCUUAUUGUUCUUCUUCCAACCCUUUUUGUUUGGACAAUUCACCUUGAAAUGUCUAAGCUCGCCACAUUUGAAACAAGACCUUUCCGCAACAGGUCUAGAACUCGAUCUAGAUUUUUCUCCCUUGCCCUUUGGUCACACAUUGCUUCUACCCCUUACAAACAAUCCUUGAGCUUGCUCCUUGUUACCAAUGGUAGACAUGUCACUAGUUGCAAUCUUUCGAAGAUCAUCCGCUAGAAGUGACGUUCUAGUGUCCUCCAUCACAAGUUUAUCACCCACAAGCAUCAAUGUUUGUACUAGGUUCUCGUAAGACUUUGGCAAUAAAAGAAGUAGUAGAAGUGAUUGAUCCUCAUCAUCUACAUCCACAUCAAUGUCUUUCAAGUCCGAUAUGAUCUUAUCAAACUUGUUGAUGUACUCCCGGAUUGGUGUACCUUCAUCCAUCUUGCAAGUAUACAAUUUGGACUUCAAAUAGAUCCGAUUUGUUAAAGUCUUCGUCAUGAAGUUCGCCUCCAACUUUGUCCACACCUCCGCCGCCGUUACCUCACUAUCAACCAAGAAAGCAACAUCUCUUUCAAGGCAAAGAAUGAUAGACGCUCGUGCCUCAAGAUCUAGCUCUUCCCAAUCCUCGUCCGACAUAUCAACGUGCUUCUUCUCCUUUCCCGCCAAUGCCUUGUGCAACUUUUGAGAAAUCAACAAAUUUUUCAUUUGCAUUCUCCAAUAUGAAAAAUCAUUCUUCCCAUUGAAUUUCUCUAUCUCAUCCUUCCCAAUCUUCACCAUUCCUCUAGUAGACAUGAUUUAUCCACUUGUUUACCGAAAAUAAACCACAAAAGUUCACUUGGGAAUUUUCACAAACACCUUGUGCACAACAAAGUUCAAGCAACUCACCACAAAAUCGAAACUUAACCACCUUGAUUUAGGAUGUAGCUCUGAUACCAAAUUGUUGGGAAAACACCUUCCAAAGAUAGUCCAAAGAUCAAACAAAGUUGAUAAUGUGAAAAUUUCCAAACAACUUCAAGAACAAGAAAAUGAGGAAGAAAUGAUUUCAAUGGAAUAUAUGAAGAUCAAUGUAUUUGGAUUACUUGAACAAGCCUCAAGUUAAACCCCAAGAAAGAAAAUAACUUUAAAUUUAUACCCAAGAUGAAUAACCUUCUAUCUUGUAAAAUUCUCUCCAAGUUUUCUCUCUUCUUUCUCUCUAAUUUUCGGGUGCAAGGGUUGUCUUAAUGAAAGGGGGGGGGGGGGGGGGGGGGGAAAAANNNNNNNNNNNNNNNNNNNNUAAUGGCAAUACAUAUAUCCUAUCUGGGCGCCUAGGCGCCAGGUUCCUGGCUGUGUUCAUAUUCGGGGCGCCUAGGCGCCAUGUGAGUGGCGCCCAGGUGCCAUGUUUCUGCCGGGGAGGCAGAAACUGGGCGCCUGGGCGCCCGGCAGAACCAGCAGAACCAGCCCCCUUCCUCUCUUCCUUUCUCACAGAAUGCUUUUCUCGAAGCAUUUUCCUUUCUGCAGAUUUCUAUGAAUUUUGUUUACCUUCUCUUGUCUUUUUAUCCCUUAUUAUUUUAACGAAUGAUUGCAUAUCUUCCUUUACAGUGCUUGGAUAAAUCUAAUCCCAAAAUCACAACAGUGGAGCAAUUCUGUUGCAUGUAUUGGUGAGACAACUGCCUUAGCAGCUAAAAAUCUGGGUUUGAGGAAUGUGUAUUUCCCAACCAAUCCUGGCCUUGAAGGGUAAUCAAAUAUCCAUUUGGAACUUUUGGGAAAUCAUGCAUAUACUUGUUUCUGAUGCAAUUGUCUCUGUCUCUAUGCUCUAUGAGUGGUAAAAAGCACUAGCAGUUUUCCGUUCUCUUUACUUUCUGAGAUGUGCGUGAUAUAGUUGAAGAGUUCACUAUUUAGGUGAUAAUUUAGAAGAAAUACGAGGAUGUGACAUAAAUUUACGAUGCAGGGAGAUAUAUUUUAUUUGUAUAUGCCAUGUCUCAGUGCAUAAUUUUGUAUAGUAAUGGCAUGUUUAGAAAAGUGGAUUGCACAAUAGUAUUAAAGGAGAAAAAGAAGUUUAAAUAUUUUUAAUUGUAGUGUUCAUUGUUCAAUCCUGUUCAUUAGUGCAUAUCAAACAUGUUUUAAGUAUCACUGGGUUUAUCCUUCUGUUGCAGGUGGGUUAAUAGCAUUUUAGAAGCCUUGCAAGUCCAGGAACAAGUUCAGAAAGUCUAGGAGUCGUAUGUUGAUGCCCUUCUAAUUUCACCUGGUAAUUUCUAUAUACUGCUUACACUAAGUUGUUUCCCAGUGAAUAAAGAUGCUAUUGAAGAUUAAAUAUAAAUCAGUAAACGUCUCCUCUCUAACAACUUUAGCUUCUAAACGGCAUGGUUCAACACAGUAUCAAAGCACACGUGGAUCAUGAGUUCAAAUAUUGGGGGAUUAUUGGAGAACACUUCUUCCUAUUUCUUUCUCUUGAUAUCCGAUGAUCAUGGUGAUGCCCGUGAAUUCUUAUUUUUACGUAGCAAGUACUUAUUAAUUUGUCUCCUGGACUGGAUCUAUUAUGUCAGAUUUUCACGUACCCGUUGAUAUGCUAUUCCCAAGGACUAUAUCCUGGUAGUUUGUCGGUUAAAUUAAUAAGUGGGGNNNNNNNNNNNNNNNNNNNNNNNNNNNNNNNNNNNNNNNNNNNNNNNNNNNNNNNNNNNNNNNNNNNNNNNNNNNNNNNNNNNNNNNNNNNNNNNNNNNNNNNNNNNNNNNNNNNNNNNNNNNNNNNNNNNNNNNNNNNNNNNNNNNNNNNNNNNNNNNNNNNNNNNNNNNNNNNNNNNNNNNNNNNNNNNNNNNNNNNNNNNNNNNNNNNNNNNNNNNNNNNNNNNNNNNNNNNNNNNNNNNNNNNNNNNNNNNNNNNNNNNNNNNNNNNNNNNNNNNNNNNNNNNNNNNNNNNNNNNNCGAAGCACAUAGACGUUACUCAUUUUAGCGAAUAUACCUCAUCAGGAAAAUGAAACCUUUAGAUACGAGUAUAUAUCUAACAUUUGAAAUCGGCUUCUAGUAGAAGUGUGUUUCUAACAUUAUCUAUCAUCGUCUAUGAUUUUUAUCAGUGUAGGUGGCAGUGAAUGUCGUGAUUUACUGUUCAAUUAUUAAUGCAUCAAAUUACAUCAUAAUUUUAUUGAACAAUGAAUCAGAAGACCUUGUUGUCAAUUACAUCGCUGAUAAUCACCACUCCAUUGACACUCCAUAAAAAACAUGAAAAUGAUUCCAAAGCUGUGGUAUGACCAUGCAAAACCAAUGCUACAUGUUUAAAACUUUUAUCCAAUGAAUAUCCAUUCUUUUUUGUUCUUUAGGGAGAAAUUGAAAUAUUCGUCAGCAAGUCUGUCUCCAACUUUUUAAAUUGAGCAUUUGUUUGAUGCCAUUGAAAAGAGUUUUUUAAUUUUUUCCCCCUUUUGGGAAAAAUGAGUUUUGAAACAGUAAUCUUUUUAAUAGAAAUUUUGAGUUUAAAAAGUAAGAAAAUUUGUUGGAUUACGUGUAAACUAUUUUAUUGUGAGAAUAUUUGGUCGAAAAUGAGUUUUAGGAAAAAGGAGUUUUUGAAGAAUGGUGGACAAACGGGGAUUGAAUGAGUUAUGUCUUAUCCUUUGAUUGAGUUAAUAAUUAUACAGUUGCCUUUGAAAAUCGUUCAAAUCUCUAUUAAAGAUGUCCUGCUUCAAAUUUAUAUGCACUAACUUCAGUUGAAAAACAAAAUUAGUAUCAUAAAGUCGCACUGUGUAAAGGCCAUGACAGAAUGCUUCAUUAGACUGUUCAAGUAAUAAUAAGGCCCAAUGUAGCAAUGUUAUAGGUUUGAAAAAGUAGAAGAGAUUGGUAUUAACUAUAUUUCAAGUCUUGGGAGGCAUAUUACUUUUGAUCGUGGGUGGUCAUUGGCAUUUUCUUGGUUUCACGGUAAAGAUUGUCGAAGACGAUCUAGAAAAUCCAACAAAAUUGUUUACUAUAUGGAGCUUCGAUGGGAAGAUGGUGUACGAAAACAUCAUUGAAUCGACUGAGGGCUUCCGCUUUAGCCACUUUGUUGGGUGGGAGGAUGUGGCAGUGUUUUAGAGCUAAAUUGAAUGACCAGACUGUCGCUAUAAAGAAAUUACAUACACCAUGUAACGUCCCAAAAUUUCAUAUAAUAGAAUUAUUUGGGGAUAACGAUUUUGAUCUAGAUGCCUUUGGUGGACUCAUUCUGUAGUUCGUAUUUAAUGGCAUGUCAUGGACUCGAGAAAAGUUAAUUCAAAUAAGUUAGGUCCAAGUUAUUGAAGUUCCGAGAAAUUGUCUUUAAUUGGUAAUUAAUGAAGUUGGUUUAUGAUUUAAUUUCUAUGACAGCAUCACGUGUAGGACAAAUUUUAAUCCUAUUUUGAUAAUUGUUAAUUGUAAUCCUAUUUUGAUUUUGAUAAAUGUUAAAAAGGUUAAUUGUAAUUGUUACGAUCCAAAUUUUUCUAGUCAAAAAUAAAAUGUUGAAUUGUCAAAGUCAAAGUCAAAAGGGAUUAAAAUGAAAUAAAUUAUUUUAAUUGGGACUCAAUUUAUUAUGAAAAUUAUUUUGAAGGUCUAAGUUGGACAAUAUAAAAUUUUAGAGAUCUACUUAUAUAUUGCUAGAAGUUUAGAAUUUAAUGUUCUAUUAUAGAAAUGUUGGAGGACCUCCUUUGCAAUUUUGAGUUUGUAGCUACUUGAUAUAUUACAAUAAACCCAUUUCAAUUAUAAUUCAACACACACACACAAAUAAUAGGCAAAAACGGGAGAGCGCUGAGAGAGAAACCGAGAAGAAAGAGGAAGAAAAAGAGAAAGAAAGUGAGAAAAAGAAGAAAAGAAAGAAAGAAAGGAGAAGAAGAAGGGAAAGAGGUAGUUCAAGGUCUAUCUUCAUUUUUCCUUCUCUUUAUUUUCUUCAAGAGGUAGAUAAAUUUUAUGUUAAGUUGCUAGGGUUUAAUUUGUGGCUAAAAUUUCAUAUUUAUGCAAGAUGAGUACAAAUUGGAGUUCAAGUUUGUUGAUUAUUUAAUUUUCAAUUUCAUUAAGGUAAAAAUACCAAUUUUGGCAAAUCCUAGAUUUUUAUUUGGGAUUCUUAAUUAUGAAAUGUUAGUGGGAAUAAUUAUAUUGAUGGAAAACUCUCAUCAAACCAUGAAUUUGAGAAACAAGAUAAAAAUAAAAAUAGGUGGAAUCAUUGUUACUAGUUUUCUUUAGAUUGGAAGGUAUAAUUAUUUUUAUGGGUGGGAUGAAGGUAAAUUUGGAUGUAGUAUAUAUUUGUGAAGGUAUUAGAAAGUAGAAUUAGCGCUUAUUGAUUAACGGAAAAUUUGGAAAAAUCAUUCAAAGUAUCGAGAAGUCAAGUUUUAGUAUUCAACUAUUAAUAUUAAGAUAUACUUAGUAUGAGAUUUGUUAAAUUAGUUAUUUUACAUCGUAUUUCAGGUAGUGACGUGAAAGCUGGGCAAGACUGGUAAAUUUAACAAGAUUGCAAUACAUGGAUAUGUGAGUGGAGAACCUACUUUUCCAAUUAAAAAAAAAGGGGGGAAUUUCCUUUUUAAUUUUAUUUUAUAGAAGUAUAUUAAUUACCUGAAAUGUCUUAUUUUCAAGAAAUUAGUAAAUGAGCAAGAUUGUUUUGAAAUUUUCAAAAAAUAAUUGAUGUGAUUAUCUUACUCUAGUGCACUGAGGGGAUACGGCCGUGUACUAGAGUCAUGUAUUUAACUCUUAUACAUUGAGGGGUUGCAACCGUGUGUAAGGAUAACUCUUAUCCACUGAUGGGCUACGGCCGUGUGUAAGGGUACCUAUUAUACAUUGAGGGGCUACAAUCGUGUGUAAGGGUAACUCUUAUCUACUGAGGGGCUACGGCCGUGUGUAAGGAUACCUAUUAUAUACUGAGGGACUACAGUCGUGUAUAAGGAUGAUCAUGUUGUUUCCAUCUUAUACACUGAGGGGCUACGGUCGUGUACAGAGUGUUGAUCAGACGGUUUAUAUGCGUCUGACUUUGUAGCUUUUAGAUCAUCAGUAGAUGUUUACAUGGGGUAUAUUUUGAUGUGAAUUUUAUGUAUAUAGUGGUUUAUUAGCCUUCAACUUAUAUUUCCCCGUUUGCUAUUCAGCUUAUGGAAUUCAGAUUAUAGAAUUCAAUUCGUUCAAUUUUCAGAGUAAAGCUUCCAAUUUAUAGUAUUGAGCAACAAUAUUUCACAGAUUUUCAUAGAUUUCAGAUUAUUUAUAUUCACUAUAUUUUACAAUUAUUGAACUAGAAUGAAGAAUAAAGAAUUUUAUCAUCCAAUUAUGUCAGUUUUAAAAGUGUUACUAAAUUUUUGAAUUUCUCAAAGUUUUAGUAAAGCAAGAAUUAUACAUAUAUGAAAAAGUAUACUUAUUUUCAAUUUAUUCACUCACUGAGUUACAAACUCCAAUUUUUUUACCAUUCUCUUAGCAGAUAGCAUCUAUGUUGAGUAGCUUUGGAGCCUGUCGAUCCACCGAGAGUGCCAGACACACACAUUGUCAUUAGAUGUAUGAUUCAUUUCGUCAAUUUAUAUAGUUCAAAUUUCCUUUAGGAUACAUGUAUGUUUUGACAGAAUCGUUAAUUGGUAAUUUAUAGAUCCAUACCAUGGGCUCACUGCAUAUUUAAUAUUCUCAUUGCUUCUGGGGUCUUUUGUUUAUAAAGCAUGGUAAAUGUUUUGAAUUGUUUGUAUUUUAAAGGACUAGCGUGUUAUAUUUUAAAUUAUCUGUACAGUUUUGAUAAAUUUGAUAUUUGUUUAGGUGAUUUAGUCCAUAUUUUAAAGGAAAUUCUGUCAAAAUUUUUACACAUAUAUGUCAUAGUCAAAGUAGGUCAAAUCUGCUUUGGUGGUGCGUCCAACACUUAGUUGGUAUCUACCAUCGGCUCACAACACAUGUCAGGUCUAUUAGGGUGAUUCGGGACGGGUUGUGUCAGUAAUCCCAACUUAAUCCUUUUUACAGCAAAUGUACGAGAAAAUCAUCAGUGGAGUACAAUCCAAAUUCAACUUUUUGAAACUAUGUUUAAUUAAAAUAUUUAAAACACUUAUCAAGUUGGUAGCCACUUGUGUGCAGUGCAUUAGGAGUUAAUCUUUUUAUUUUUGGAUUAGAAGGAAAACUAAUUUUAAUCAUAAUUUUAUUAGAUUUUCAUUGAUUACUGGUUUAGUUCAAUUAAACAAGUAGAAUCCUACUUUCAAAAAGAAAUCUCAAAUCUCACCGAUUUAUACCCCCACAUUGAAGCAAAUCUGCAUUCGUAAGUUAUUACUUUCAAAGCAUACAUGCACCCAUUUGGUCACAGAAGCAGAGAGUUUAAGAAAGUUUUGAAAUGUACAAUCAUAUUUUUCUUUUCGAAAUUUUGUUUGAUACGAGGGAAGAUACAUAAAGCAUAAGUGGUUCGUCGAUACAUGCAUGAAUUGUUGGUUGACCUUUGGGUUCGACUUAAUAAAACAUGAACUUUUUUGGGUUCUUUAAAACGAAAUAUGAAAUAUCUCAAGAAUUCGAAAUGAGUACGUGAUGAGUGUCUCAUUUUAUCACCGAUAUACUCCAAAUAAAUUGUGGUAUGAGAUGUUUAUUUUAUUGUUAUAUAAUUGUAUAUGAAAACUGCAUGUAUCUUAUUAGGUACUAUCAAAUACUCAUUCUUAAAAUAAUUUACAAGUUAGUUGAGAUCGAUUGAAACUGUGGCAGAAUAGUGAUGUGGACUACCAAGAAGAUUUGAAGAACUAAAAACAUUAAAUUUUCGAUCUUUCAAUUGAUUAUUUAGUUUUAAAUUGUUCAAAAAUAAGUUUGUUCAAUAGUUAGGUAGUUAUAUCUAUUUUUUUAAGGAAAUACAAGUUACAUGCUUUAAAUUGAUAUUUAUUAUUGAAAAUAAAGAGAUUAAUUUUAUUAUUAUCGUUUUCCACAAUAUCGUGAAGGAAAUUGAAUUUUAGUAUCAUUCUAAGGUUUAUGAAUAUUGGGGUGUUAUAAUUUGAUAAUAAAGCACAUGUUUAUCUUUCUGUAUUCUUUUUAACAAAAUAGUUAUUUGUUUCAAAUAAAUGAAUUUUAAUAGGAAUUUACCAAUUAAAAAAUUUGUAUUUUAAGAGUUCCCACUUAUUAUUUGAGUUUUCUUGAUUUACGUAUUUGUAAAAUUGAAUGGUUUAGUCAAAACGACCUAAAUUGUUUAAAGAGAGUUUGAGAUUUAAGUGGUUCACUUAUAAUCUUCCUCCUCACCUGAAAGCCUUUUAGUUGCACGCUAUUCAAAUCAUAAAAAUGAAAAAUAACAUUUCAAACCAUUCCAUAUUUAAGAAAAUUUUAUUUUUAACAAAUUCUAUUUCAAGAGAAUUCCUUUUUAGGAAAUUUUUAUAUUGAAAAAAAAUAAAAAAAUAAAAGUAUUGUCAUAGGAUUUUGCCACUUUGACAGAAAAAUUGUAACAGAUGCGAUGAUAUAAUCCCAGUUGGAAAUAGAUGAUUUGAUGGGGAUGUUUAUUGUGUUUGAAAUUGUCCAAUAAUGGGAUGUCAUGUGAUAUUAUAUCAAAAAUUAUGUCAACUAUUAUGUUCCUGUAGCAUGAUUGAUUUUCAUAAGAAUUAUGAGUUUAAGGAGAAUAUUUUUGUAAAGUUUUUGUAAUGUCCCCAAAUUUUCAUAGAUUAGAAUUUAAUUUAUGUGUGCUAUAUUUUAAUAUUUUGGAAGUUUAGUGACUAAAGUGUAUAUAACGUAAAAUUUAAUCUUUUUGGGCUUAAAAUGUAAAUAUUGGCGGGUUAAUGAUUAAUAUAUGAAUAUUGGGCUUGUUGGAUAGAUCGUAAUUAAAGACACAGUUUAGGCUCGAGAAAAACUUUAUUUGGAUUAGUCGAGCCCAAGUUAUCGAAGCCAGAAGAUAUAACAUUAAAAUAUUAUUUUUAUUACUUUUGUUUUUGGAAGAAUUUACGUGGAGAGAGAGAUGAAAGUUGUUGAGAUAUUUUAUUGUUUUAUUAUUAAUAAUAAUAUUUUAUUAAGUGUUUUGAAUUGGGAGGUCUCACGUGAAGUACUAGGAUUCUAAGUAGGGGUAGGUAAGUGAUAAUCGAUUUGUUUAUUAAAUGAAAUAAAGUAGAGAGAGAGAGAGAGAAUUAUGGGGAGCCCCAACCACGUGAGUGAUUGUUGAGAAACCAAAUGGAUGUGUAGGGUAAUGUUUGGCUGUUGGGUGAUUGGUUAGUUGACAGUACAUGAUCUUAUAUUGAUAAGGUUUGGGUCUCCGAUUUUUUUCAAAAACAGUUUUUUUUUACUUUAUCUAAAUAUCCACUCUCCCACAUGUUUUCCUAUGAAUACUUCUACAUAUGUAUAUGGAAUGAACUGCACGAGAAUAAGGACACAAAAAAUAUAUUGGUACGUGCACACAUUGUCAAUAGAGGCAGAAAAAUAUAGAAGAAAAGAACGUGAUUUUAUUAUUUCUCUUCCGGAAAUUAAAUCAAGGUAGGAUUACGAGGUGCAAGUGGGUUGUCCCAUUUAAAUUAUUUCUUCAUAUUUGAUAAAUAUUAUACUUAUGAAAGUUAUGAUAUGUAUAAUGUAAUUAUGAUAUGUAUGUUAUGGUCAUCCGGUACCAAAGAUAUGAUACGAUAUGAACUCUUACCGAUUCUAAAGAUAUGAUAUGACGGUAUGAUAUUUUGACGCGUGAUUUAAUAUUUUAAUUGGGAUUGCACAAUUUCUCGUACCCUACUGAGUAUUCCCAUAUACUCACCAUUUUCCUACUCCUCACAGGUUAGACCGGGUCAUGUUGGAGCGUGGUGGUUCGAAGGUGUGGUUGUGUCUUGUUUCACCAAAUAAAGAUCUAAGUUAGCACGUAAUGUUUAUUUAUUUUCAGUUUAUUUCAAUAAACAUUUAUUUAUUUACGAAUAAAUUCUCGUUUAUGUUAGUUGCAGAUGAAUAUACGUAUUUUAUGAUUUUUAAAUAGAAGUUUGAACUAAAUGUUAUUUUCCUUCCUAUCGAUUUGCAAAUCUGUUCUUUCAUAUACGUUGGGAAGAAAGAAUUUAAUAGUUUGCAUGCCUAUAUUUGUACUUUACUUUGAUUUUCCCCAAAUUGAUGGAAAUUUAGGGUCAACACAAUGAUUCCCUGCCACCCCACACCUUCAUUUGUGUCCCAUCACAUCCAUAGCAUUAAUUAUGAUAUGAAUUUGAUAGUUUUUGCUUGUACGUGUUAGUCAUGAAUCAAUGUCUUGUUCGUAGUUUUUUUUUUGACAUAAAUGAAUUCUGUUUUGGAUUUUUUUUGUUUAAUUGCAGUAAAUAAACAUUCCGUGAGUUAUUUAAUUCCAUCCGUUGCCUUUGACUUAAUUAAGUAACUAAUUGAAAUUAUGCACUAAUUAGGGGGAAAUAUUGUGUUAUGAACCACUGUAUUAAUUAUGCCAGGAGUUAGCAAAUUCAUGUUUGUCUGCCACACCCGUGUCAAAUUCGUUUUAAUUCAUAAGUCUUAGAUAUAAAUUUAUUGGAUCUCCCGAAAUACAUAGGAAUAAGAUGUUAUUUUAAUUUGACUUGAGUGUUCAACACGUGAAGAUGAUUGAUAAUUGGAGAUUCAAUGAAAGCAAUAUUUUUUUAGAAUUCAUUAUAUAUAUAUAUAUAUAUAUAUAUAUAUCCAUGUGUUUUAUUUAUUUUAUAGAUGGAACUAGAAAGAUUUUCAUGUUGGAUGUUUAUUAUUUUAAUUAUUUAUGGAAUGAAAGGUUUGGUAACGAUUUCUAAAUCUAUAUAAGAUUUGGGUCGUUACAGUUUGGUAUCAGAGCAUAGGUUUAAAUUCCUGUAGACUCACAUGUAUUCUCAUAAUUCGGUUUUAAAAAAAAAAAAAAAUUAUUGUGAACAGUGACCGGACCGUUCACGUGAACAGUACUCGGUACUGUUCACUGUUCACGUGAAUAGUAUUGUACUGUUCACGUGAACAGUGUAGGAUAAAAAAAUAAAAAUAAAUAAAAAUUGUGUGAUGUUAUAUAUAUAUUGAAUUUUCUUUUUUGUUACAUGUUAUAAAAGGCUUAUUUGCUUAUUUAUUUUCCUAGAUAAUAUUUGUUUAAGGUUAAUAUUUAUUUAUUUAUUUAUGAAUUUAACGAUAAUAUUAAAUUAAAAGUUAUGAAAUAUGUGAAUGAUCUUUGGCACUCAACGACCACCAAUCGACCACCCUCCAACGACUCUAAGGUAUGUAAAAAGGGUAAGAAGAUAAAUGUACUUAAAGCUUUUUGCGAGAUUUAAAUGCUUUAAAUUUCCUAUCUUUAAAUGUUAAGACAUCCACGUUUAUUUUUCCCACUAAAUUAUGAUAUAUAUUGUCAUAGAUAAUUAUAACUUAUUAGACUUAGUACUAAGUGUGAUUGGUGACUUCAUAUUAAAUUUUAGGAAAUGGCACCACCUACUCAUACGAAUUUGAUGCGCGAUUUACUACGAGCGGUACAAGAGUUGAGCAGGCAAAAUCAAGCACCUCCACCACAAAAUGCACCGCCACAGCAGAAUGCACCGCAUUUUGCCCCUGGAGCUAUCUCAGUGGUUGAGCAGUUUCGUAGGUACAAGCCUUCCACUUUUGACGGUAAUUCUGAAUCACUGGUUGUCGAAGAGUGGAUAAGAGGCCUGGAGCGCAUAUUUCGACACAUUGCUUGUACGGAUGCACAGAAAGUAUUAUGUGCAGAAUUUAUGUUGAUUGGAGCAGCUGGUCACUGGUAGGAAUCUGUUUCACGUACAAGGACGGAAGAGCAGCACCGUAAUCUGACUUGGGAGCAGUUUAAAGAUGAAGUGAUGGCAAAAUAUUUCCCACAGGCUUUGAGAGAUUUCAAGGAAUUAGAAUUUUUGCAGCUCAGACAAGGGAGUAUGUCACUUACUGAUUAUGAAAGACAGUUUGAGCAGCUCUCAAGAUAUGCCCCGCACUUGGUGGAUACAGAAGUUAAGAAGAUUAGGAGGUUUGAGAAUGGACUGCGCCCUGAGAUCGGCAUGAUCAUUAUGUCCCAUCGUUUCACCUCAUAUCGUGAAAUGUUAGAGAGGGCUCAUGCUAUUUCCUAUCAGAGGACUACCUUUGAACAGUAUGCCCAGCAAAGCAAGGGGUCAUCGGGAAAAAGAAAGUGGAAUGAUCCAAACAAGGACAGACGUAAUUGGUAGAGUAAAAGGCCAAACACAGGAGUUCGUAUUGGGGGAGCGAGUGAGAAUAUUACACCGUGUCCUAAGUGUAAUAAACUCCACAGGGGUGAAUGCUUACUCGGGAAGAACAUGUGUUUCCGAUGUGGUAAGCCAGGGCACAUUGCUCUCAACUGUACAGAGCCACCAAAAAGGAAGGAUGAUGAUCAGGACAAGAACAAGAAAGGAAAGGCCCGAGUUUUCACACUAAAUCAGCAUGAGGCGGAGCAGGAUCCGAAUGUGAUAGCGGGUACUAAAUUAUUAAUAUUUUAACGCACUUGCUUAUGUUCUUUUCACAUAGGACUACACAUUGUUCCAUCUCCGUCCCUUAAAUGUUAUUCUAACACUAUAAAUUAUAAAAACAUGUAUUCUGUUAUUAUCUGAUGUGCCUGCUUAUGUACUUUUUGAUUCUGGGGCUACCAAUUCUUUUAUCUCUGCAUCCUUCGUCGUUAAGUCCAACUUUGCAUGUGUAAGAACGAAUAAUGAACUAGAGGUUAGCAUCCCUUCAGGAAGAACUCUUUGUACAAAUUAGAUGACUAAGGACAUAAAAUUAGAGAUUGACGGAAAAAUAUUAGAGGCAGACUUGUACCUUUUGGAGAUGAAAGAUUUCGAUGUUAUUUUAGGCAUGGAUUGGUUGGGAAUUAAUCAUGCAACCAUUCGAUGUUACGAGAAAGAAGUAUUGUUUCAUAGACCAGGAGAGGAAGAGUUUCGUUUCUUGGGAGCAAAGUUCAAGUCUUUACCGCUCCUAAUAUCAGCUAUGCAAGCAGAAAAGAUGUGAAGGAAGGAGUCAUGCCAGGGAUUCUUAGUUAACAUCAAUAGUUCUCAACAUACAGAAAUGACCGUUAAUGAUAUUAACAUCGUCCGAGACUUUGCAGAUGUAUUCCCAGAAGAUUUGCCAGGCAUUCCACCAGAUAGACAAAUGGAAUUUACAAUUGAUUUAGUUCCUGGAACGGCACCAAUAUCUAAGGCCCCAUACCGAAUGGCACCGAAAGAACUACAAGAAUUGAAGUUGCAAUUAGAGGAGUUACUGGAGAAAGGCUUCAUACGACCAAGUGUAUCUCCUUGGGGAGCACCUGUACUUUUUGUCAAGAAGAAGGAUGGGAGUAUGAAGAUGUAUAUUGACUAUCGGGAAUUGUACCAUCUGACCAUAAAAAAUAAGUACCCACUGCCAAGAAUAGAAGAUUUGUUUGACCAGUUAAUGGGUGCUGCAGUAUUUUCAAAGAUCGACUUGAGGUCAGGGUAUCACCAGCUAAAAAUCAGGGCAAGCGAUAUACCGAAAACUGCUUUCAGGACUCGUUAUGGGCAUUAUGAAUUCACUGUCAUGCCUUUUGGUUUGACCAAUGCUCCAGCUGUAUUUAUAGAUCUCAUGAAUAGAGUAUUCCAUCAGCAUUUAGAUCAGUUCGUCAUAGUGUUUAUUGACGACAUACUUGUGUACUCAAAAGACAAGAAGCAACAUAAGGAACAACUUCGAAUUGUACUUGAAACUUUGAGGAAUGAGAAAUUAUAUGCCAAAUUCAAAAAGUGUGAAUUUUGGCUUGACCGUGUAGUUUUUUAGGUCACGUUGUUACCACCCAAGGAAUCGAAGUAGACCCCGCUAAAGUGAAAGCAGUAACAAAUUGGCUAAGGCCGAGCGAUGUGGGUGAAGUCCGCAGUUUCUUGGGAUUGGCUGGUUAUUAUAGAAGAUUCAUUGAAGGCUUCUCAAAGAUAGCAGGGCCAAUGACUCAAUUGACAAGAAAGGGUAUAAAGUUUCGGUGGACAGAAAAAUGUGAAAAAUGCUUUGAAGAACUCAAGUAGAGACUAGUGUCAGCUCCUGUAUUGACGAUACCUGAAGGUUCAGAGGGAUUUGUGAUUUACAGCGAUGCCUCCAAGCAGGGCUUGGGUUGUGUACUGAUGUGGCAUGGAAAAGUGGUUGCUUAUGCCUCGAGACAGUUGAAACAGUAUGAACAAAACUAUCCAAUGCAUGACUUGGAGCUUGCAGCAGUUGUUCACGCCUUAAAGAUAUGGCGUCAUUAUCUUUAUGGUGGGAAGUGUGAAAUUUAUACGGACCACAAGAGUCUCAAAUACUUUUUCACACAGAAGGAACUAAACAUGAGACAGAGGAGAUGGUUGGAGUUAGUGAAGGAUUAUGACUGCACAAUUCAUUACCAUCCGGGUAAGACUAAUGUAGUUGCAGAUGCCCUAAGCAGAAAGACAGGAACACAGUUAGCAGUUUUACCCACAGUACAGGAACACUUGAUAAGGGAGUUUGAUAAAUUGAGAUUGGAAGUUAUCACGCCGCCAACUCAGAUUUCAGGGAGAAUAAGAGCAUUCAUGAUUCAACCUACACUUCGAGAUCGAAUUAAGGAGGCACAGGAUAAAGAUCCAUUUUUAUAGAAGAUAAAGGCCAAGAUUGGUACAGAUAAACAUAUAGGGUUUGCAGUAUCUGCAGAUAAUGCGCUAACUUUCAAAGGAAGACUGUGUGUACCUAAGGAUGAAAGUAUAAGAAAUGAGAUAUUAGAAGAGGCUCAUUCAACCCCUUAUUCUGCUCAUCCAGGUGGUACGAAAAUGUACCGAGAUCUCCGGGAUGUAUUUUGGUGGAGAAAUAUGAAGAGAGGAAUUGGUCUGUUCGUGGAGAGAUGUAUUAUCUGUCAACAGGUUAGGGCAGAACAUCAAAGGCCAUCAGGAUUACUGAAAUCGUUGGAUAUUCCAGAAUGGAAAUGGGAACACAUAACGAUGGACUUUGUGGUAGGCCUCCCGAGAUCAGCAAAAGGUCACAAUGCUAUCUGGGUAGUGGUGGAUCGUCUGACGAAGUCAGCCCAUUUUCUUCCAAUUAAAGUAAACUUUAAUUUGGAACAGCUGGUACACUUAUACAUCAGGGAGAUAGUCAGGUUGCAUGGAGUCCCAGUCACCAUUGUUUCAGAUAGAGACCCGAGGUUCACAUCUAAAUUUUGGAAAAGUUUGCAGACAGCCAUGGGAACAAAACUGAAGUUUACCACAACUUAUCAUCCUCAGACGGAUGGACAAUCAGAAAGAACCAUCCAAACUUUGGAAGAUAUGCUAAGGGCAUGUGUUUUGGAUCUUGGAGGUAGUUGGGAGACACACCUGCCGUUAGUGGAGUUUGCUUACAACAAUAGUUUUCAGGCCACUAUAGGAAUGGCCCCGUAUGAAGCUCUUUAUGGUAGAAAGUGCAGAUCCCCUAUCCAUUGGGAUGAAGUCGGGGAAAACAGAAUUUUGGGUCCAGAAAUCAUUGAACGAACAGUUGAGGCAGUGGAUAAUAUUAGAGCAAGAAUAAAGGCCGCACAAGAUCGACAGAAAAGUUAUGCUGACAGUAGAAGAAAGGAUUUAAAAUUUCAAAGAGGUGACAAAGUCUUUCUAAAGGUAGCACCAAUGAAAGGUGUAUUGAGAUUUGGAAAGAAAGGAAAGUUGAGGCCGCGGUUCGUCGGACCUUUCGAAAUUCUUGAAAGGAUUGGUAGUUUGGCUUACAGACUUGCCUUGCCACCUGAACUAACAGCAGUGCAUAAUGUGUUCCAUGUUUCGAUGCUCAGAAAAUAUGUUCAUGAUCCCAAUCAUGUAGUAAGCUAUCAGACGUUGGAUGUACCAAAAGAUCUAUCAUAUGAAGAAAUUCCGACGGUAAUUUUGGAAAGAAAGGUACAUCAACUUAGGAAGAAAGGAGUUCCACUGGUCAAGGUGCAAUAGCGAAAUCAUGGACGAGAGGAAUCAACUUGGGAGAAAGAAGAAGAGCUUAGAACCAAGUAUCCAGAACUUUUCAAUUAACCAAGGUAAAUUUUCGAGGACUUAAAUAUUUAAGGAGGGGAGAUUGUAAUGUCCCCAAAUUUUCAUAGAUUAGAAUUUAAUUUAUGUGUGCUAUAUUUUAAUAUUUUGGAAGUUUAGUGACUAAAGUGUAUAUAAAGUAAAAUUUAAUCUUUUUGGGCUUAAAAUGUAAAUAUUGGCAGGUUAAUGAUUAAUAUAUGGAUAUUGGGCUCGUUGGAUAGAUCGUAAUUAAAGACGCAGUUUAGGCUCGAGAAAAAAUUUAUUUGGAUUAGUCGAGCGCAAGUUAUCGAAUCCGGAAGAUAUAACAUUAAAAUAUUAUUUUUAUUACUUUUGUUUUUGGAAGAAUUUACGUGGAGAGAGAGAUGAAAGUUGUUGAGAUAUUUUAUUGUUUUAUUAAUAAUAAUAAUAUUUUAUUAAGUGUUUUGAAUUGGGAGGUCUCACGUGAAGUACUAGGAUUCUAAGUAGGUGGUAGGUAAGUGAUAAUUGAUUUGUUUAUUAAAUGAAAUAAAGUAGAGAGAGAGAGAGAGAAUUAUGGGGAGCCCCAACCACGUGAGUGGUUGUUUGGAAACCAAAUGGACGUGUAGGGUAAUGUUUGGCUGUUGGGUGAUUGGUUAGUUGACAGUACAUGAUCCUAUAUUGAUAAGGUUUGGGUCUCCUAUUUUGUUUCAAAAACAGUUUUUUUUUUUUACUUUAUCUAAAUAUCCACUCUCCCACACGUUUUCCUAUGAAUACUACUGCAUAUGUAUAUGGAAUGAACUGCACGAGAAUAAGGACACAAAAAAUAUAUUGGUACGCGCACACAGUGUCAAUAGAGGCAGAAAAAUAUAGAAGAAAAGAACGUGAUUUUAUUAUUUGACUUCCGGAAAUUAAAUCAAGGUAGGAUUACGAGGUGCAAGUGGGUUGUCCCAUUUAAAUUAUUUUCUUCAUGUUUGAUAAAUAUUAUACUUAUGAAAGUUAUGAUAUGUAUAAUGUAAUUAUGAUAUAUAUGUUAUGGCCAUCCGGUACCAAAGAUAUAAUAUGAUAUGAGCUCUUAUCGGUUUUAAAGAUAUGAUAUGACGGUAUGAUAUUUUGACGCGUGAUUUAAUAUUUUAAUUGGGAUUGCACAAUUUCUCGUACCCUACUGAGUAUUCUCAUAUACUCACCAUUUUCCUAUUCCUCACAGGUUAGAUUGGGUCGUGUUGGAGCGUGGUGGUUCGAAGGUGUGGUUGUGUCUUGUUUCGCCAAAUAAAAAUCUAAGUUAGCACGUAAUGUUUAUUUAUUUUCAAUUUAUUUCAAUAAACAUUUAUUUAUUUACGAAUAAAUUCUCGUUCUUGUUAGUUGCAGAUGAAUAUACGUAUUUUAUGAUUUUCAAAUAGAAGUUUGAACUAAAUGUUAUUUUCCUUCCUAUCGAUUUGCAAAUCUGUACUUUCGUAUACGUUGGGAAGAAAGAAUUUAAUAGUUUGCAUGCCUAUGUUUGUACUUUACUUUGAUUUUCCCCAAAUUGAUGGAAAUUUAAGGUCAACACAAUGAUUCCCUGCCACCCCCACCCCCUCAUUUGUGUCCCAUCACAUCCAUAGCAUUAAUUAUGAUAUGAAUUUGAUAGUUUUUGCUUGUACGUGUUAGUCAUGAAUCAAUGUCUUGUUCGUAGCAUUUUUUUUGACAUAAAUGAAUUUUGUUUUGGAUUUUUUUUCUUUAAUUGCAGUAAAUAAACAUUCUGUGGGUUAUUUAAUUCCAUCCGUUGCCUUUGACUUAAUUAAGUAACUAAUUGAAAUUAUGCACUAAUUAGGGGGAAAUAUUGUGUUAUGAACCACUGUAUUAAUUAUGCCAGGAGUUAGAAAAUUCAUGUUUGUCUGCCACACCCGUGUCAAAUUCGUUUUAAUUCAUAAGUCUUAGAUAUAAAUUUAUUGGAUCUCCCGAAAUACAUAGGAAUAAGAUGUUAUUUUAAUUUGACUUGAGUGUUCAACACGUGAAGAUGAUCGAUAAUUGGAGAUUCAAUGAAAGCAAUAUUUUUUUAGAAUUCAUUAUACAUGAUUAAAUACAUAUAUAUCUAAUAAUUUGUUUUUAAGUUCUUCCAUGCGUUUUAUUUAUUUUAUAGGUGGAACUAGAAAGAUUUUCAUGUUGGAUGUUUAUUAUUUUAAUUAUUUAUGGAAUGAAAGGUUUGGUAACGAUUUCUAAAUCUAUAUAAGAUUUGGGUCGUUACAGUUUUAACCAGGUAAUAACAUGAAAAAUCCUUGGGGACGUUCACUGUUUGACCACUCUCCAAUUGAUUCUAGGUAUGAAUUGAAUGUUAUUCUUUUAUCAUAAUUACGAGUCAUCUUGCUUCAUGUUAUGAAAUGUAUAAGCAUGUUUACCUCUCGUAGUUUAUUAGUUGAACUAUUUUACAUUUUAUAUGAAUAUUGUUUAUGUUGGGAAUCUACUUAUACAUGCACAGUGGAAAAUUAAAAUUAUUUUGAUUCCCACCGAGAAUCCCUUUGUGUUUAGAUAGAAAUCGUGAUAAGAUUGUACCUUUUCAAAUCUGAAAAUUUCUUUACUAUUAUUUUCGUUCCAACAAUCUUGAUUCGCCACCUACAGCUGUCCAAUUGUCCAGCCUCCAACGGUGAUCCACACAAAGAAUAAGAUUGCAGCUAAUAGGGUUUUCUCUCUUGUGCCAGCAAGAAUAAUGAAAAUCAUAUAGACCUCAAACCCUAACCAUGUAUUUAUAUACACCCAAAUGGGCUCGGCCCGAUCCGGUCCAAUAUUUAAUUAAUCCAUUUAAUUAAACCCGAUCUGUGAAUUAAUUAAUCCAAUUUAUUAAUUUAUACAAUGAUGUUAAAUUAACUAAUUGACAAUUUUCAAUCUUCCAAUUCUUUUUUGUGUGUGACCCAUUAGGUUCCCGACCACGAUGUCUAACGACGUGAAAUAUUAUUUUGAUCUAAUCAAAAUUGAUAAAUUAAAACACUCUUUUAAUUUAUCGUCAAUUCACACUCGCCGUCCCUGAUUGACAUCUAGCAAUGUGUCAGGGCAAUACAUGUGACGAAAAAUGUCACGUGGUAUGACAAAAUCAAAUUCGUUCGUUUACCGUGAAACUAUAAUCCCUUCGUCAAUAUGAUCCGAUCAAUUACGAGAUAUGGAAGUGUGUCAAUCUCGAUCAUCGAUCAUAUCUUUCACUCCACUAUUAAGUCAAUAUAAGUCGAAAACUCAUUUUCGACUUAUGAAUACACCUUGGCCAAGGAUUUCAUCAUCGACUUAAUUGAAUGAAACACAGAUCAUAAUCUCCUACAAUCUAAGAGUGACAAAUCCUUUAUUGAUUAAUCACAACCUUCAUACGAUUCUUGACGUACCCGAACGAUAUCGUAUUAGCGGCCUUUUUCAGAGCAACAUCCAACACUGUCAAAGUAUGACUAUCCUCAUGUAAGGUACCAUGACGACAUCAAGUCAAAGGACCAAUUCCAUUACCGAACGUUAGAGAUUAACCACUGACACUUAGAUAGUUAUCCAUGUGGAAUCUCUUGGCGGGUCUCCAAAGUUUUGUUCUAUAACAAAACAUCCACGUGUUCAUUUAAGUGUCACCACACUUUAGCUUGCGAGAUCAGCUACUUACUUUACAAGUAAGAAAUGUCACACGUAAUGAUCUAUCCAUAAUAACGAUAUCCGUAUCUCGUUAUUACUUACGACCACGGAUGAUUUAAGAUUCAAUCAGAUGUAAUUUAUAUCUCACAAUCACAACUCCUUGAUUAACAAAUUACGAAUAUUUGAAUCUACGGACUCUAUUAUUUAUUUAAUUGCCUAUUAAUUAAAUAAUAGAUCUGUCAUUAAAUUGCAUUAAUUAUAUAUCAAAAGUAUUUAUGUCCAAAGUUGAUUGGACUUAGGGCAUAAUACUUACAGUUUAUUCGAGCAUAGAAUGAAAUAAAUUGUCAUUGAAAAAUUAAGCAUAAUUAAAUUUAUACAUUUCACACAUGGUUAAGACUAGACAAAUAUAGUUGAACGAAUAGAAUGGCUAGAAAGAAUAUGAUUUACACAAGUACCUUAGGACCUAUGAUUGUAGCUAUUUGAGAGUAUGAGUACUUUGUGUCAAAUAUGGCCAUGACAAGUUAAAUGCAAAAUUUAAUACAAGGAAUUGAGAAUGGACCAAGAAAAAUCGGAAGGAAUAUUUAAUUAUUUUCAUUCAACCGAUGUAGUAGAGGUUUGCAAUUCAUUGAGUUUCAUUCAAUCAAUGUAGAAGAGAGAUUGUUGUGUUUAAUAUUUCUAAGACAAAAUUUUGUUUUGUAUAAAGAAAAUUUCGAAACAACAAAAUCAAGUUACAAUCAUCAGUGAUCUGUUAAGAGUUGUAUAGGAUCUUGAUAGACAAUAAGCACAGACUGACCUUCAAAUUGCAUCGAUCAAUGCUAACAACACAACUCAAUUGUUGAACAGUUCCACCGUUAUGAGCCCUCAGUUUCCGAUGGCAAAGUAGACUCACUGGCAACUGAAGAAUGGAUAAUCUUCAACAUCUCUCAUCCAAUGAUGCUCUGAAAGUAUCAUGUAAAGUGUUCACGUUGGUUGAUGUAGUGGGCUAUUGGUUGGAAUUUGGCUCAAGCACUAGAACUAAGGCAUGCAACAAGUUUUGACUAGGAUACAAUUCAAAGAAGUGAUAGAAAAAUACUUUCUACAAGCCCUAAAAGAUCAAAAGGAGGUAGAGUUUCUAAAACUUAACAAGGAAAAGUGAAGCUUGAGGAAUAUGAGAGAAAGUUCGAAUAGCUCUCUAGGCACGCACUGCACCUGGUAGAUACCAAGGCAAAAAGCGAGGAUGUUCGAACUAGGAUUGCAUCCAAAGAUUGGUAGAAUAAUGACCUCCCACCAAUUAACCACAUACAAUUAGGUUUUGCAAACUGCUCAAGCAAUCUCAAAUAAAUUAGAGAUUGACCAAACUUUUCAACAAGAGUUUUGAAGAAAGUGAAAAUGAAAUGGGUCCAACAAAGAGAAAAGGGAUGGACAAAACAAGAAAUUCAACAUAGUAUGGAGUUCAUAACAAGUUGUUACACUCUGUCCUAGUGCAAUAAGAUGCAUAGGAGUGAGUGUAUAUGGGAGUAAUAUGUGUUACCGAUGCGACGAAGCAGGCCAUGUUGCUAAAAACUGUAAAGAAGCCCCCUCGAAGAGAAAUGAUGAGCAAGGCAAGAAAGCGAAAGCUAGAGUUUUUGCCUUAACUCAAGACAAGGCAAUGGAGGAUUUGAACAUGAUGGCAGACAUUUUUUUUAUACGUGGAAUUCCUGCUUAUGUUCUUUUAGGCUAUGGAGCCACUCUUCCAUUCACUUUUGCUGCCUUUAUUAAUAAGUCACUUAUUACAUGUGAAGAAUUCGAUAGUGUUCUAAAAGUUACUAUCUCAUUGGACAAACCUUUGAAUACCAAUAAGAAAACUAAAGCGAUUAAAGGACUGGGUGUUCAAAGUCGUUUAUCUUAUGAGAAGGCUCUAACAGCUAUUUUUGCAAGGAAGAUACACAAAUCGAGAAAUAAAGAAAUUGUAUUAGUUAAGGUCCAAUGGUAGAAUUCUGGAAUAAAAUAGUCUACUUAGGAGAGAGAAGAUAUCAAGGUCAAGUACAUGGAAACCUUCAACUAGUUAAUGUAAUUUCUAGGACGAAUUCAUUUGAAGAAUGAGAGAUUGUAAUGCUCCAAAAUUUUAUAAAAUGAAAUUAUUUGGUGCUAAUGAUUUUGAUCUAGAUUCCCUUUUUAUAAUUUUGGGAAAUUGAACGAUUAAAGUGAAAUAGUAUUAAAUUCAAUUUUAUUUGGGGCAAAUAAUUAAAUAUUGAUGGCGAAGAUAAGUAUAUCAAUACUUGGCUUGUCUUGUAGUUCGUAUUAAAAAACGCGUCGUGGACUCGAGAAGAGUUAAUUCGGAUAAGUUAAGCCCUAGUUAUUGAAGUUUAAAGAAAUUAUCAUCAGCUAAUAAUUAAUUAAGUUGGUUUAUGAUUUAAUUUUUAUCGCAGUCUCGGUUCAAUUGUAGAAUAAAUUGUAUUACUAAUUUGAUAAAUGUUAUUUAAUUAAGUUUAGUUAAUGACUUAUCAAGUUGGAAGCCACGUGUGAGUAGAUUAUUAGAGUAUUUUUUUUUUCCUUUUUUAGAUUGGGAGGAAAACUAAUUCUAAUCCUAAUUUUAUUAGAUUUUCAUUGAUUACUGGUUUAGUUCAAUUAAAAAACUGGAAUCCUACUUUCAAAAAAAAAUCUCAAAUUUUACCUAUUUAUACCCCCCAACAUUGAACCCAAUUUGCAUUACUUAGAUAUUAUUUUCAAAGCAUACAUGCACCCAUUUAUUUACAGAAGCAGAGAGUUUGAGAAAAAGUUUUGGAAUGUGCAAUCAUAUAUUUUUUUUUUCAAAAAUUCGUUUGAUCUAUCCAGGUAAGAUACAUAACAUGUAAGUGGUUUGAUUCCUUAUAACUUUAUUUGUGUAUAUAUAUAUAUAUAUAUAUAUAUAUAUAUAUUAUUAGUGGACCUUCGAAUUCGACCUAAAAAUGCCUUUUUAGUUCUUUAUAACGAAAUGUGAAAUCUUUCCAGAAUUCAAAAUUACUAUGUGAUGAGUGUCACGUUUGAUCACCGAGUUACGUUAAAUGAAAUUUGGUAUGAAGUGUCUAUUUUAUUGUUAUAUAAUUGUUUAUAAAAACUGCAUCUUAUUGGGUAUUGUCAAAUACUCAUGUAACAACCCGGUCUUUAUGCCAAAUCCGUUAACUUAUGUACUGUACAAUUUGUGAGAGCUUGAAUUUAUCUUACCUCUUACGAAUUUCUGUCGAGUCCCCAAAAUUCAAACAUAUGACAAUCACCUUAUGAGAGAUUUUAAUUUGAAUUAUAGUACCAAUUGAGCAAGUUGUUUAAUAAGUACCUGGAUUCAACUUAAAUUUCUCAUAAGGUGGAGGUAUUGGGUUCAAAAUUUGACGAUAGAAAGUCAAGAGGGAUAAGAUGGAUUUAGCUCUCCCAAAGCGAACAGUAUGUAAGUUAAUGAUUUAGAUACAGUGAGAGAUUGAAAAUAAGUUUGGAGGUAUGCAUUCAACAAGAAAAUGAGACAGUUGUCCAUUAAGGGUAAAAAAUAAUCAACCUAAAUGAUUAUAGUGAUUGAAUUGACUAUGAACACACACAUCGAUCGAGUAUUAAAUAAGUAUAAAUUUAUUUUGGUGGCAUUGCUUAUGAGACUUAUUUGAAUUGUCAAACAAUUUCAGUACUUAGGACGAAUACAACAUGCUAUCUAAUACUUUGACGUUUAUGUUUCAUUGCUUAUAUGCUCGCGAUGGAUAAGAGUUUAAGUUUGGGAUAUUUCAUAGGCAUAUUUUAUAAACGUCUUUAGUCUUUUAAACUCAAUUAUGGAUAAUUGAAAGGAUGUCUAUCUAAUUUAGUAAAUAUAUUAAUUUUAGGUAAAAUUUGACAUGAAUACAAUUAAUGCAAGAAAGGCAAUUUUUAACUUAAAUGGAGUUGAUUUGGAGCAAUUAAAGUAAUCGAAUUGCACGUGAUCAAUUAUAAGUAUUAAGAGGCAAUCCUAAGAAACUCAUAAGUUUUGUGAGUAAAGUUUGACAUUUGAAAAGUUUGGGAACUCUAUUGUAAACUUUCAAUACUUUUAACGGAUCAAUUAUGAAAGAGAAAUGAUGAUGAUGAUGAUGAUCAAAGUAUAAAGAUUUAAAGAUGAAGGAUCCAUGAUGAAUAAAGAAUGACUCGAGCAUUACCAAGAGGAAGAUUCAGGGAACAAUUUGAAAGAAAGGCAAACAUUGAUCUUGCAAACGCAAGAUUGAUGGAUGCGAUCGCAAGGCUGCUUAAAUUAAUUCAAACAAGUAAAAAUGAAAUAAUGUACGAUCAAAAUGGUUAAUACCAUCAAUCACAUGGAAUUAACAGACUAGGAUUUUUUUUUUUUUUUUCGAAUUUCAUUUAACCUCAUUUUGGAAAGCAAUUAGGAUAGAAUUUACACCUAAUUCCUGGGGCAAUAUAGACAACCUUUCAUCUGUUGUAAAAAGAAGAGGCUUUUGGGAUACAACAAACAUAUAUCUUACAAAGAAGAAGCCUUACAGAUAGAACAUAGAUAUUUCUCGCAUACUUUGAGUGAACUUUUUAUACAAAACACAUAUUUCAUACAUCUUCACUUGGGUUUGAAGAAGAAGAAGAAGAAGAAGAAGAAGAAGAAGAAGAAGAAGAAGAAGAAGAAGAAGAAGAAGAAUAUAUUCAAGGAGAUUGAUCAAGAACCAUUGAAAGGAUUCAAAAUUGUUUUCCAUCUUUCUUCUACCUUUAAUUUCGGGAAAUGAUGUAAUGAUUCAAUUCAUAUUUUUGUAUUACUAUGAUGCUCAGUUAAAUGUAUAGAUGAUAUGAUAAUGAUAAACCCUAUAUUUUGAUACAUUUAUAUUGAAAUCGAAAAUCCAUGAUUUGAAUUGAUGUCAUUUCAUUGAUUCCUUCUAAAUUGCGUUGGAUUUCACUUGACUGUCUAUGGUUCCAUUGUUUGUGCUCGAGGUAAAAGUUUUGUAUAAAUAUAUCACCAUGCUAUUAAGUAUUUUGAUUUAAGAUCUUUUAUUUCUAAGAGGUGGAAUAGAAUAACCCGGUGACCGAGAGAUAACUAUCGAGUAUUUGGACUAUCCGGACACAAACUUCGGGAAAUGGUUCAUGCGUGUUAAGUUUCAAAUAUUGACAUUUAAAUGUUUGUAUGGUUUUGAACGCUUCUUAUUGUCUUCAUGCUUUUUCAAUUACAAGGCCAUGAAUUGAAUUAAUAUAAUUUCUAUUGUCAUUUGAAAGAAGGAAAAUACAGCACAUGGUAACAAUCAUUGUAAAGUCCUAUAGACUUUUCCUAUGCUUUGUAUGAUCUCAUUGAUGUUCUUGUAAUUGAUUGUAUGAUCUCAUUGAAUAUUUUUUUGAUUGAAUGUAUCUUCAUAUAUUCGCGUCCAAGAUAUGAAUAUUUCAUGUCAUGUAUGAGAUAGAUUUAAUUUUUAUCAGGAGAGGUUAUUGAAUAAAAUAUGAGCACUGAUAUACGAGUCCAAAUAAAUGUUAACCAAUUAUGAGAUUGAUAUUAAGAUGGAAGGAUAUACGAGGAUUUGAUGUCCCGGUGACUUAUUGUUUAAUUGAGCCCCCGGUGGCACAGUAUGCCUUCGAUAUUAAGAUGGAAGGAUAUACGAGGAUUCGAUGUCCCGGUGGCUUAUUGUUAAUUGAGUUUAUACGCGCUUCCCAUUUAGUUAAUUAGAUCAAUUAGUUAAUUUUAGGUAUGAUCGGUAAAUAUAAUCAAUCUCAUCUUAAUUGUGAUAUUCGAUUAAAGUUCUCAUUAAUUGGAAUUUAAUUAAAUACUUAGUACUCGUGGAAUUAAUAUGUGAACCAAGAUCGACUUUAAUGUUUGUUUAUGACAUUGUUCAUAGUGGUAUUUUAGCACAGCAAACACAAUUAUUAGUUUAAUCUUUUGGAGAUAAAACAUCUUAAAAUAUAAGGCUAAUUUAGGGAGCCUUUAAAACAUUUCCUCUCCCUCUCUCUCACACACACGCAUAGGUGACUAUAUGCAAAUCUACAUGGGCUGUACUUGCUGUACAUGCAGUUCGAGCUAGACUGUACAAGCAGCUCAACCCAAUCUAUAAAUACAUUUUUUGCUCACUCUAACAAAAAUUGAUAGGCACCAAGAUUAUUAGACUAAGAAAAAUGAUUAGGAUGGUUGAUAGUACGAUGAUUAAGUCAACUAUUAGUAAAAGCUAUAUGGAGAAUUGUGUGUGGGAGAAAUAAAUAGGGAGAGAUUUGGCUAGAAUUCAAAGAAUGUGUAACUUUUUCUUUACACGUCCAUGAAUAUUUAUAGGGACAGAGUUAUAAUGGAAUUAGGUUAAAAUAUUGCAACCCCUAAUUCUACAUGGUGUGUUGUGAUUGAGCAUAGAGUUUUGAAUGAAGUAUGGUAUGUUUCCUUUGUCGGGUUUACUUCCUUGUAAGGCUAAGUUUCCUUAUAGAGAUUGAUUUUCCAUGAUCUUUUCUAAUUCCUCGGCAUCCUCUCCUUAUUUUAACAGAUUGACAAGGCUAUAAAUUUUAGAAUCGAUAAAAUUGUCUCAUUCCAAGAUUUAUCCCAAUAUUGAUUUUAUCUCCAUGUUUCAUGGAUCCUUUGACAUCAACAAGGUAUGGGUCUCAUCCAAAGGCAAUAGGUCACUAGGCCCAUUAGAGCCACAUCCUCCCAUCUCGACACGAGGGGUUCAAUUCGAAGACUAUCACCACUAUCCAUUACUAUGAAUAUUGUAAGAGCUGAUGGGAUAUUUCAUACGAGGCUUGUGACUUGAUUCUUUUGUGCAGGCGAAGACCAUAGGAAAACAUGUAGCAUGUUGGCUCUUGCUCAUGUGGUGUUCGUAAGUCCUCUUGACUUCCAAGUGUACCCAGGAUGUAACAGUGGUCUCUCAAGUUCAAUUUUGUUAUUUAUACUAGGCUUGUGGCUUAUUAGUUUGCUUGUGUUACGAAAAUUUGAAAGUGAAAGGCUUGUGAUGCAGUUGGGCCUCGUUGCUCUUUGGCUAAGAUUGAAUUUAUGCCCAAAAGAAUUUCACUGGCCUUUGCUUACCAUGAUGGUGGUGUGGCGAAGAUGUCUUGACAAAUGCCUCUUGGCCAAGCUAUAACAUCGAAGUAUAACAACUUCGUUUUGAAUACCGUUGUAGAUUUUCCUAUUCCGAUAUAUAAUGUUCAUUUUGAUAUUUAAACCUCUUGUUAUAGUAAAUUCAUUAUUGUCGUUAUAGUGAAAGAUUUACGCAAUUGUCAAACUCUAUUUCUCGCACAUUUUAUUUAUUUCUAAAUUUACUAUGACAUAUUGAGAUUAAUGACUUUUUUACAAAGAUCGGUAGUCUAAUCUUAAUGACACAAAAGAUAGAAAAGAAAUUUCCUUUUUCUUAAAAUCCACCAAUCCAAUAUAACUAGAUCAACCCUUCAAGUUCGCAUUAUUUGAAAAUAGUGCCACAAAGUUACUUUUUUCAAUUGUACUCGAGGAAAAUAAAAAAUAAUAAAAUAAUGAUAUUUAUUUAUUCAUUUGACUCUUUAAUUGCAUAUGCAAAAUUAAUUAAAGUUAAUCUUGUUUCCCAAGCUUUUGGUAAUUCAUUCUUUCUUCACAAUUGUCAUUGUCUUAGAAUAAUCUUUCCCUACGAACCGUCAAACCAAGCACGUAUUCCCUGAUCUCACGGAUUUCUUCGGGUAACACUUUACAGCCUCAUAUUUAGACUUUUCGUCGGCUAUAUAUUAUUAAUAACUACAGAUUACAUUUACAAUUUUUAAUUAUAAUUAUUAUACGUUUUUUUUCUUCAGAAGGCUGCUAAAAAAUACAUAAUAGUGGGUACAAGUAAUAUAUUGAGGUUUCAAAUGAUUUUAGGCCACCGUCAACGCAGAAUGAACUAAUUCUUAACCAGCAAUUCGAAAUUAAACUGAAUGGAAAUUUUACUUUCGAAAAAUCUUGGUGAAAAUCAAAGAGAAUUAUGUUCAUUUUUCUCUCGUCUCUUGCUCUUUUAAAAUAUUUUGUCAAGAUCGAAUGAUUAUUAUAAAUUGAAAUAUUGUAAGGUCAAUGUAUAAGAAUCUCAAUAAUAUAAACGAUCUUUUUUUUCCCUUAUCUAAUAUAAUACGAUUAUAUAUCCGUGAAAAAUUAUCCAACAAAUUUUUUAUGCGAAAAAAAUAUAAUUUUAUUAAUUGACUUGUUGAAAUGAAUUACGCAUGCAUAUAUCUAUCUUGUGCUUGAAGGAAAAGUCGCGCAUUUGCGUGUAAACUACUUAUUUUGUUAUUAAAAGUACAAUCUAACAUAAACUACGUCAGCAGAAACUUUGAGAAAAAAAAUCAGAAAUAUUUACAACAAAGGCUCCAAAUCUAUAGGAUAGCAACAUGUUGAUCCCCAACCUAGAAAUGAGCAAUAUAAUCCUCAAACUUUCAAAAUAAGUGCAAACCUAGUCCUAACAUAUAGAAAAAAUAAUAAUAAUAUUCAUCUAGAAUCCAGAUAAUCAUCUGUCAUUUUUAGAUAAUUCUAUGCAUGGGACAAUGCAGUAGUAGUUUCACUAUAAAUGAAUAUUUCUAGUCUCUUCAAGAAUACUCUUACUCAUAUGGAAAUAAUGUAUCUUAUUUAGGAUUAACAAUGCGAUAAGUCGAGCUCGUUGACCAAGGGACUACACUUCGCUUGGCCCAUGGGCCUUGCCUAUGAUGAGCCGUGCCAACCUACAAGCUUUUUGAUUUUCUUGGUUCAUUAAUCUAAUUUAUUUAACUUAAAUGUGAGUUAAAAAAAAAAGGAAACUCUAACAUAAUUAAAUAACAAUGCAAGGAAAAUAUGACACAAUCGCAAAGUUCAUGUACCCAAUGCUUUACUUGCAAACGUCGACUCGACUCAUUUACUUGUUGUAGAACAAGACUAGCAGAACAGUUGAGCAGUCGAUUUUCUUUUGGUUAUGGACUUUCCGGUUGUAGGGUGAAGGUAUGACAAGGGAAUUCCAUGCUUUUAAGAAGCUUUGUUCUAAGCCUCGGGAUGAAAUUCGAAUCUCACUCAAAUAGGGCAGGUGAAGGAAAAAGAUCUCUUAUACGACCACGCUCUAAGCUAAGUUUAUCAUUGGAUCACUCUUGAUAUACGAAUUUACUAGAGAUAUCAUCCAAUUCGAUUGAAGUAAGGAAAAUACAAAUAGAAAUAGAAAUCAAAAGAAUUAGAAUUAGUUUUGUGAAAAGUGAAUCCAAACAAUUGUGAACCACUCAUUGCCAACCUAAUCCUGUUUUUAAUUGUUCACGAUAAGACAAAAGGGGGCAGUUAUCAUGCCUCGAUAUGCACCUAUUCAAAAAGGUUGAGGACUAUAGUCCCACUACCGCUAUUUAUACGGAUCCAUUUAUGCAAUUUUCUUGAAAAAAUCAGAAAAUUUGUGAAGUGUCAUCAGUAGCGGCAGGUUUGCCAACAAUAAAUCCUGUCUACCAUUUCUUCUCUCCUCUCUAUAAAUAUAACACCCUACAUAUCUGCUUUCCUUUGUCCAUUAGAAUAUACAGAAACUAAACUCAAUGGAAAUGGAAGUGAUUAUCUCUGUAAACAAAAUGGAUUUUGACUUUAACAGUCCACAUGUCAGUGCACCUUCGACGCCCAAGCGUUUUGGGGAAUUCUAUUGCAGCGCUCCGACAAGUCCGACGCAUUUGGCGCAGUUUUAUCGUGAUUUUGAUGAUUUCUCGAACAGAGCCAGCGGAGUCACAUCGAGGGUGCCGUUUGGUUCCCCUAAGAAUGAAGGUGAUUUUGCUUUUGAUAUUGGUGAGGAGUCAUCGGAAAAGGAGUCUCUUUCGGCGGAGGAACUGUUUGACGGCGGCGUAAUUAAGCACCUAAAGACCCCAUCGCGGCUGCAAGCUUCCACCGGAGCAAGAAUUAAGGGUGAUUACUCACCAAGGCAUAAGAAAGAGGACGACCCUUUUGCAAUCUCUUCUCAAAGCGCCACGGCGGAGCACAGUCACAGAAGAGGAAGAGAGAGAGCUCCUGCAGCAGGUUUAUCUUCAUCAAGCCGAAGAGCAACGCGUUCACUUUCUCCUGCGAGAGAUUCUGAUCAAAAUUCACGGGAUCAAGAAGAGAAAAAACAGCACAAUACAAAGAUUUUGUGCUCAUCUUCAUCCUCAAAAUGUCACAGAAAAUGGAGAUUGAAGGACUUUUUCUUGUUCCGAAGUGCAUCUGAAGGACGAGCAGCAGAUAAAGAUCCUUUAAGGAAAUACACAGCAGGGUUCAGAAAAUCAUAUGAAGAUGCUAAGAAUCCGAAUUUCCGGAGAAUGGAUAGCCAGGAUUCUGGAUCAAAUUCAAGUAGAAGAGGAAAAGUUUCAGCUCAUGAAUUGCAUUACACAACAAAUCGUGCAGUUUCUGAAGAUUUGAAGAAGAAAACCUUCUUGCCAUACAAGCAAGGCAUUCUGGGGCGCCUUUCAUUUAAUCCUGCCGCCCAUGCACUGGCUAAUGGUUUCGGGUUUUCUCGUAAAUGAAUAUUCGUCCGGUACAGUUGAGGACGGCAUUGUGAGAAGGAAUAAUUCUCUGCUAAUUAUAAUCUUUUUUUAUUUUUUUUUAAUGUUUUGGAUAGGUAUUUUUUUUCAGAUUUUGGUCAUGAGAUGUAUAAAAAUAAAAUUUACACAUUGAAGCAUCAUAUCUUAUUGUGGAAUUAUUUAUCAAUGUACUAAAUUUUAUUGAUCCUAAAAAAUUUAGGGUCUACUAGAUAAAAUCUUGUUUCAUUACUUCUUUUAGCUAAUUGCUAUGUAGCUGUUCAAAAACAACUAUUCAACGGAAUAUAUUCUACGUUAUGGAUGAUUUCUAUUCUUUGUUUGAUGAAAGACGGAAAAAGACAUCGAUCAUAGAAGGUGACAAUUCAAAAGUUUGAGACAAGCAAUUCGAGACGACUCUUCUUUCUGAACAACGUCUGAGUUAUGGGGAUAUUUAUUGAUAUUUUAAUAUUUAAAACCUUUAAGAAACGUAUUACGAAUUCCGGAAAAUAAACCCAUGGACAAAAAUGAAGAGAGAGAGAGAGAGAGACUAGCGUGCAUUGUGGACUAUCAAUUUCUUUAAUCUAGAAGACAAUUUUUAGGGCGGUCCAUUUGUCGCAUUUUACUCUUUGGUGAAAUCAGAAAUGAAAUGGAAUAUAAACAACAAUUCAUGCAUGAUAUAAAGUUCGACAUUUUUCUAUGUGGCAGUAAGAUAUACCUUGAUUUUAAACAUAUCCAUCCCAUUGCUAGCCAAAUUUUCUCCAUUGACAGGAUAUCAUGUAGGAAAAUUUGUUACCUUUUUAAUCACAAGAUCUUUCGUGUUGAAUAAUCAAGAAUAUAUAAACUACUAUAAAACCUGAAUUAGAAAUGAUUAAUACAAUAGUUGAAUCUUGCGGUUUAUUCUUCCAAAUCAACACACAGACCUUAAUUCUUUAUAAUGAUGGGAGGCAGAACAGAAUGAGCAAUUCACAUGUGAUUUGAAAACCAUAACUGUAUUUAUAUAUAUUGUCGCCAUUUGACCUAAUUCGACCUAUCAUAGAAUUAGGAACCUGACUCAGUUUUUACCCAUAAAAUAUCCACCCUUUAAUUGGAUGUAUUAAAAUUCAAAAUACUGGAAACUUAUUAGAUCACUUUAACUAGGCUUAACCAAAUUUUAUAGCCUUUAAUUUGAUGCACAAUAAUUUACAUAUAUAAACCCACACGGUCAUUUAAAAUUCCUUACAUAUCAAACUUGUUUUCAACCAAAAAUAUACAUCUAAUUUUAUUUUAUAAAUACGAAAAGAACUAGAGAAUUGAAAUGAAACAUAAGCUAUUGUUUGACAAACAUUAUUUAAAAACUUCUUUUUUUUUUUGUACAUAUUCAUUUUUAAUUACACAUUUACAUUAUAAAAUAUUAUGCAUGUAAACUCAAUAUUUUUUCAUACUUUCUAACUGCACAUUCUCCUAAAAAUUAUUUUUUUCCAAAUGAUGAUUGUCAAAUAGAAGACUAAUUAAAUUGUUCCUUGUACAUGACCAAAAUGGAAUUAUAACUUGCUUUUUGUAUAAAUAAACCAUCAACUUUAUUUUUGAAUUGGAAAUGUUAAAUACCUAUGUUGAUGUAAUUUCCACUUCUUUACUCUUCUUUUUUUCUUUCUUUCUUUUCCCCUUUUUCAAAAAAAUAAUUUGGUUGCCCAAUUCUUUGUGCAGAACUGUUUCUCCUACUUAUAAAUUUGAUACACUUAUUUAUUAAAUAAUCGUGACAUUUAAUUUAAGUAAAUUCAACGCUCAAUAUUUUAUGGAUCUCAAACAGUUAUAACAAACUCUCCCAUGAUUUUAGUGAAAUACAUAUUAAGUGUUGGAUUGAUUUAUAUUAAAGGUCAUGAUUAUUUGUUAAAUAAGUGUGUCAAAUUUAUGACUAUUAGGAAUUUGGAAUGUUCUCGUUCUUUGUGCUCUCUUUGUCCGUGUAAUUUGCAACCCAUGUAUCAUAAAUAAUUCUCAUAUACGAAUCAUAAUUGAUUGCCUAUUUGCGUUAUAUGUCCCCUAAUUACUAGCAUUCGUUUUCUUUCUUAAUUUAUAUAAAGAUUCAUUUCCCUAAUAAAUCAAUAAAAAAAAUGAAAUCUUUUACAUUAUUGCAUCAUUUCAUCGCUAAACAGUAGUUCCUUUUCCUUUUCCUAAUAGGACUUUUCUAUUUCACAUAUUUGGGUCGAAUCCAACAAUUUCCAGUUGAUCCAAAACCUCCCAAUCACAGCAUACAUUGACAUUGAUUAUACCACCAAUUUACCACUGUUCUUCAAAUAAUUGUAGUAGACGAGAAAAUUCAUCAAACUGUUAUAAAUUAGAGAAAAAAGAGAAAAAAAAGUAGAAGUUAAUUGACUUGUGUAUUUUAUUAAGAACCAAAAUCACAUAUAUCUAGAGAGAAUAAUUAGGAACACAAUGGUAAUAAAAACUAGGGCUACAAGGGUCUAAUUUUCAUCCACUAAUAAUCAUAUUAUUUAUAACACCCCCUUUCAUUGUUACAUUACAAAAUAUUUGCAUCGUCAAAACAUUGUCAAAAAAAUCUAGUGGGACAAAAUUUGAUCGAAGGAAAAAGAGUACAAUUACUCCCAUUGAUUUCAAUUCUUGUAUCAAUUCAUUAUUGUCUUAUAAAUCAGUAUUUUUAAAAUUGCAAAUUUUGGUUAAAUAUAUCUCAUGUUGUCUUGUAGGUAUUCAAACAAUAUCGUCUACGUACAAGAUAUUUAUAAAAAUUUUGUGACCAUAGUAACAUGAUGAUUGAAAAAUAGAUUUUGUUGAUCUUUUUGCGAGUUUCAUACAUAUAAAAGCAUUAUUUUGAGGGUAAAUGUCUUUAUACGUAAUUGGAUAUUCAUUAAAUAAAAAAUAUGCCUCAUUAAAACCUUAUUCGAAAAAAUCUGUAGAAAAAUCCUAAUUAAGGAAAAGAGUACAUUAUUCUUUUGAAUAGGGAUAAAAGUUGUCUCAUUAAAAAUCUUAUGAGGAAAAUCCAAUGGGACAAAACUUUAUUAAAGGGAAAAAGAGUAUAGCGUGUAUUUACUCCUCCCUCAUAAUAAUAUCUCUUAAAUUAUGUAUCAGGCACAUUAAAUCUGUCAGUGAUAAUAUUAAUAGUCAUGCCAUAUGAAUUGAUUGUAACCGUAUUUCAAGUUUCACGCAUUGUUAUGAUAACAAGAUACAAACAAUGAUUUCAUCCACCACGAAAUUCAGUAUGUUAAGAGUCGUUCAUUCAUAUUGCGACAUUAUUUUUCUAAUUUCUUUUUCACACAAGUGUACACAUUUUGAUUUUUGGGCUGCAAGUCCAGAAACUCCAAAUUUCCUAAUAAAUUCGAAUUUAAUAAGAUUGUGUCCUUUUAUUUGGCCAAUUAUAUUUUCGAUCGAUAUGCGUCAACGAAUUUAUUUCGAUAUCCUCGAAUUCAUAAAUAAGUUGAAAUAUCUCUCGAUUGAGUUUUAACUAUUGGUAAGGCGUAGAGAUAUCAACGAGCCGAGCCAGCUUGUGAAUCGAAACUCCUGACUCGGACUCGGCUUGGCUUUUUUAAGACGGACUUUUUUCGGCCCUAGCCGAGCAAAAGCUUGGUCAAAAAAUUAAGGCUCGACAUGCGCUUUCAGCUCAGGCCUUAUCGAGCGAGCUUGAUUUUUCUUUUUUCUUUUUUUUCCUCUCUCCCUCUUAGCUGCCUAUUUGGCAGCUAUUUGCUACCUCAAUUGACAAUAAAUUGAGUUUCUUUCUCUUUUUUUAAUAACGGACCGAAUCGACUAGAGCCGACUCUCUGAAAUAGGGCUCGGUUUGGGCCUUAGCUCGAUGCCUCCGAGCCAUGGGUGACCCAAGGCUCGAUGCCUUCGAGCUACGGGAGACCCUAGCCGAUGAGCUUGAUUGUCAUUCUUAAUAAGACGGUCAUAUUUCUUUUAACUAAACUAGAACUUGAUUUAGUGGCUCUAUCCAAUAGGUGUGCAACAAUUUUUUCUCUUCGAUUCUUUUUUUCGUAGUGACAUAAAUUAUUGAAAUAUCUCAAUUUUCAACAUAUCAAGAACCUGAAGGUCUUCUGGAGUUUUAUGAUUUGUUAUGUCUAAAUAUUCGUCAAGAGAAUGGAGCCAUCUUUGUUAAUUUCUCCAUUUUUGUUUGAAAAUUUUUAUAUUAGAAUCAAAUAUCAUAACAUUUCAAGCAUGCCAUAAAUUCAAAUAUAAUAUUACCAAGACAUUAAUUCGAGUUAGAGCAUUCAAAGUUCGUAUAUGAGAUAUUGUUGAUCUCUUUGGUCAGUAAAUGCAUUUAAAUAUCUUUCGAACUUUUGAUUCCAAUUAUUUUUGUGAGAAUUUAAAUAAUGAUGCAUUUGUACAUUAUUUUAGUUUCUUAAUUCUUCUUCCUCAUACUGAGAAAAUUGUCUAUUCAAAUUGAUAAUUGCAAACCAUAUUAUAAAAUAUCAUCAGUCUGAAAUAAAAAGUUCGAACAACUCAUUUAUUCUCUAAAUUAUUUACUUUCCAUGUCAAUGCAUUGUGGUGGAUCAAUUUUACAUAUACUACAUUAUCAAAAUUAUUUGAUGAAAAAAUUAGGCUCGGACCAUAUGCCUAGUUAUAGUAGGGAUAACUAUGAUGAUAUGACACGUAAUAGCCUUUCCUAAAUAGAAAUGGAAAGUACUUCGUUUUCAAUUAAAUUAAUUGGAGGUGUAUAACAAUCAAUAAUGUUGAAUCAUUUAUCAACAUUUCAUCUAGUACAUAUUAAAAUGUUGAGAUUUACAAUUACUAGAUUAAGAGGUUACACCGUCUUAACUGUAUAAUCUGAAAAUUCUACUCAUAAUUUAAAAUUUGAGAAGUAAUUUCGCAAACUAUAAGUUAUAAACAUCAUGCAACCAUCGAGCAUACAUGUUAAAUCUAUUAGAUACAAAUAAUAUUUAGAUGGUCUACGUCGAGGAUAAUGAAGCCCCAUUUAUCACCCUGAUUAAUUUUCAGAAAUAUAAUGAAUUCGAUCCCUAUUUUUAACUAGCGAUGAUCAAUUUUCGAUAAAAAAAACAAAUAACGUAUAGGAAUUUAUUGGAUUGAAGAUUCAGGUUCUUUGUUGAAUGUCCAUUUAAAUUUUUUAUUUCAUAUCAUUAUUGAUCCAAUAUGAUCCAACUGGUCAUGCCGAACAAUAAUACAUUCAUUAAUUAAAAUUUUGAGUUAAUAUAUUAUUCGUUCUAAUUAUACUACACAUUUUAGAAACUUAUCACAUUUCACUUUAAUUUAGAGGGGAAUAAAUUAUUAUCAAUAGUAAAAUUUAUUCUCUCACAUAACGCAAUACUAACCCUUCUAUAGUAUCAAAACAUAUUCUUCUAAAAUAUUGCUAUAUACUUGGUUAUGAUUACUCGCAAGUAAUAAAACAAUAUUUUUCAGGAAUAUUGAUAUAUUAAAUUAAUCAUAAUAUUUUUCUAAAAAUAUUAAUAUGCAUAUAUUUGUGCUUCUUCACAAACACAAUAUGGUAUUCUUCAAAAGAAUAUUAAUAUAUAUUAUUUUUGCUUCUUCUGAAGCAAUAUAUCAAUAUUUUUCUGAAAUAUUGAAAUUUUAAUGACAUGGUCUUCAGGAGCAAAUAAUUCUAUCUAGAACAUUCACAUAAGGUAUGUGUUAUGAUUUUCCUAGAAUAUCAACACCAUAUUUCUUUAGUAUAAAUGUAAUUUCUAGUUGUGCUUCUUCAAGAGCACAAGAUAAAUCAAAAUAUUUAAUUAAUCUAAUAAUUCACAAGUAUAAUAUAUAGCAGUAUAGAAAGACUUUUAAAUAAUUUUCAUCCUUGAAUUUGAAAACUUUAGAAAGCGUUAAAUAGUUGAAAAUUUUAUAUUCUUCAAAGAUAUAAAUUUGAAUUUUUUUAUAAAACUUAAAAUUUGCUACUGUCCCACAAAUAAGCCGUUAGAUUUUGAUAAGAAUAGAUUGAUUUAAAAUACAAUGAGCUAUAAACAUCUUGUCCAAAUUUCAUUACGAUCAAACCACGAAUGUUGAGUUAUCAACGUUUUUAUCACAGUUGCUCAGACUGUCCAAAUUCUACAAAUUUUUGCACUGUUGAUUCCAAUAUAAUAAUACAAUCAUUCAAUAUUAUAUAGAAUCACUAUAGGGUCAAUGAACUUUGAGUUUGUGACAUUAUUUGACUCAAUCAUUUUCACUAAUGUACGUAUAGUAGAUGCGAGAAUAGAAUGUCAAAAGUUUUUCUUUUGUUUACUUCGGGUCAAAUAUAAAAAAAGUUAUGUAUAGAUAUUCUAUAUUUUUUCUUGCACAUUCUCCAUGUGAUAUUCAUUGCAUUGACUAUCUUUAAAACUAAUCAAUUUUUUAUUUUAAUUUUUUUUUAAAUUUGCUUGCAUAAAGUGUAUUAUUAAUAUAUAAUUUUGUAUUAUUAGAUAAAAUAAAACAGGUUCUUCGGACCCUUCAAUGAUAUUUGAUGCAUCUAAUAUUGUAUCAAUAUUAUUUUUUGUUAAUGUUAAUUAUAAGUACUUUUUAUUUUAAAGAAUUUUUUGCAUAGUUACACUAUCUUCUAAACAGAUAUCUUAAUAAUCCAUCUUAAUCUUUUUAACAUUCCAAGAUUUAUACUUUUUCAAAAAGAAAUAAUAGAAUAUUCUCUGAGAAUAUUCAAAAACUAAAUAUUAUGCUUUUUCGGAGCAAUAAACUAAUAUCUUCUUGAAUAUUAAUAAAAUAAAAUAAAAUAAAAUACUUUUUUUUUAAUUACAACACAAUAUUGAGUAAUUUAAUUUAUGUUUCCUAGGGAGCACAAUGAAAUAUAUAUUCUUCUAGAACCGUGCCACUUCGAUAACACAUUAUAUUUUAUUACUAUUUCUUCAAAAGUAAUAUAUCAAUAUUCUUGUGGAAUAUUGAAAACUAUAAUUUAAUGCUCUUCAGGAGCAAUAACAUAUUAUUGUUUAGAACAAUAAAUUAUGUAAGAAUUUACUCUUUAAGAUUACAAAAAUAAUUUAUGUUAGAUCUAUUUUAUUAUUCUCUUUGAGAGCAAGUAAAAUUUAAUUAGAAUACUAACGAUUGUGAACCAAUGCUACAAGUCUUUGUAUAAGCUUUUGAGAUCAAGGUUGACAAAGCUGAAGAGCAGUAGCAUUCCACUGACCUGCAUCACCAAAUAAUGCCUUUACAGGCAUGGAAACGUGUCUACUUUAGGAGCAACAAUAUGAUACGGUUUAAAUUUAUUGAAAAAAUAAAAAAAAUUAAUCAAUUUAUAGUAGAAUAAUUUUUUUUUGAACAAAAGUAUAAAAUUCACAAAUUAAAUAUAUUAGACAAUUGCAUAAAAAUAUGCUAUUAUAUUAAUCUAAUCAUGCAAAUUAUAUUAAUGUAAUCAUGCUACUAAAUUGGGAGAACAUUCAAACGGCACGGAGAUGGAUGUGUGCCUUCAUUAAUUACAUAUUAUAAUAAUCAAAUUGUUUGUUAUAAUAAGAGUUUUGCUAUAUGGACAGGGCCACAUAGGCGCAGACAACUGACCAAUAAGAGGAUGCCACAUCGCCGCCAUUUGGAUAAGGCCUACGUGGCCUUGUCCAAGAAGAAUUAUUCAUUAUAAUAAUUCUCUCAUUUUUCUCCUCUAGACAAUUUCUAGUCAGAUUUUUGUUCAAGAUUUGUCAGUGCAAAUUCAAUGAUUGCCAUUGCAAAUUGAUUACAAGGCACCCUCUUUCGCUAGCACUGAAUGGAAUCAAUUGGAAAUAUAUUCCUCUGAAGUCUAUAGAGGAAUUCAAGAAUCACUCGAGCUAAAAUUAGAGACCAAAAGCAAGUUGAGCUUUAAAUUAAAAAAAUUUGUGCUGAUAACAUGUUAUAAAAAUAGAGAAAAGAAUAGGACAAUGAAGAAGUCAAUAGAAUUGUAUAUUAUUAUUAAAAACCAAAGUCUUAUAUUUAUAUUGAAGAAUUAGGGAUAAAAUCAUAAUAAAAAUUAGGAUUGUAUGGAUUUAAUUUUCAUUUACUCAUAAUCAUAUUAUUUACAAUACAAACUUGUUUUCGUAAUUUGCUUCUUCAAUCUAUAAUCUUCAAUUUUCAUUUUUAGUGUCACAUAACUCAUAUUGGCGACUUCGCAAUCUUUUGCAAUAGCAGAAGGCUUUCCUUGAAGCGACUCUAAUGUGACAACUCCAAACUUUCUAUGAGUAGCGUAUACAAAUUACCAACCUUUUUACCUCAUUAAUGCGAUAUAAUUAAUCUUCACAUCAAUUCUCCCAAUGCAUGCUGAAUAUUUAUAUGUCAACGUGUCCAGUGCUCCCAACAGUGUCAAACUUUUUCUCAAUCUUGAGACCUAUUAAUAACCGCUCUGCUACAUCAAAAAUCUUCACACUUAAAAUACUUGAACCUUUAACUUCAAGUUUAUGAUUAUUAGUCAUGACGACAUCAUGAGCAUCUAAUAGCUUAUAAUCCUCAAAGCAGUCCUUGUGUGGGCAUAUAUGAUUACACAUCCAAAAUCCAAGAGUUACUUGAAGAGUCGUAAUUUGUGACACAAUAAUCACUAUCAAUAUCAUCAUCAACCAUGAUCGUAGAAUCAGAGGCCUCUUUAGACUCUAGACUCUUCUUUACUUUAAGAUGAUAUGUCAACUUCUCACAUUUUGCCUUAAUGUGUCCUUUCUUGUGGCGGUAUUAACACUUGGCAUUUCUCCUAUAAUGACAUUGAGAAUGAUCCCUCCGGACAUUAUUUCUUCCUCGCGAUUUACCACACCUCAUUUCAGACUUUGUCUAGAGUACUUGAUUUAAAACCUUCUUCACUAUCGAAGUAGAUUUACCAACUAGUAACGUGGUGACCAAUGUCUCAUCUGACUUAGGUAAGGAAGACAGCAAAAUUAUUAUCUUAUCUUUUUCCUCAAUUUUUGACAUCAAUAUUAAACAACUCAGUUCACACUUAUUCAAAUGAUUCCUAAGAUCAGUGUCCUCAUCUAUCUUCAAAUCAUAUAAUUAUUUUCUCAGAUAUAAACAUAAAUUAAAACAUAUCAGGAUCUUUUAGCAUUUUGAAUAACUUAAAAUGCAAAUUUCUUAUUCAAAACACUAUAAUUUACCUAAGCAAUCAUGCUACGUGGUCAAAGUUAAUGACUAAAAAGUAUUUCCAAAUUACACUUGACAAUUUUUCAUUGAAUAAAGGGUAAAAAAACAUCAUAAAAAUACUCAAUUAUUAGCUGCCACAUCAGUCUAUUUUUUUAUUCCCUAUUUGUUCAGCAUUAUUCUUACCUAAGUACAAGCCAAUCUAAUGGUGUUGACUGUCUCCAGUUUCAAUUCUUCCAACUCCGCUUCUUCAUGCCUUGUGACAUCUUACCUUACAAAUCUUUGUAAAGUCCCUAUUGCAAGAGAAUAACUUCAACUGUACUUCACAAAAUAUUUAAAUUAUUUUUCUCGCCAAAUCGUUUACCCUCAAACUUUGCACAUGCCAUCAUCUUCGAGGCAGUAUCCCGAGUUUGAAUUUUGAGCUCCGAAACCAGUAGACUUCGCAGGAUGAAAUUGGCAGAAAAUGAACAAGAACCAAUGAGAGGUUGAUUAGGGACGAGAAAAACGAAUUGCAGAGAACGAGUCACAUGAACCACCAAAAUCAAACCAAUAAAAUGAAAUAGAGAUAUCAAAUUAAACACAAAUAAAUAUGUAAUCGUUAAAUUCAAUUUUACCACGUCAAUCUGCAGAAAUUUUCGGUGCUCGCAGGCGACAGAGAUAGGUGGAAGAAAGGGAUUCUAUGGGGGCUCAAGAGAGAGACUGUAGAAGUGAUUGCUUUUCUCUCUGUGCUAUUUUAUUAGAGAGAUAUUUAUGAAAAGGAGUUAACCAGUUAGUGAAUAGUGAAUAGUGAAUAGUGAAUAGUGAAUAGUGAAUAUCCGGUUAGUGUAUGAAAUGGGACACCAUAGAAAUGAACAGUGAAGGCUGGUUCCCUCUUUUAUAUAAGUGCAAUGAUUUUAGCAAGUUUUAAAACUUCAAGUCAUAAUAUUUUGGGUUCUAUGGAUAUAUUCACAUUAUACUUUUAGAAAUUGUGUUUCAUUAGGCCAAAAUUAUGUACUGAAUAGUACAUAAGAGAAAUAAAGAAAAAAAAUUACUAGAUUUUUGUGUCACACAGAAAUUUCUCAAUGUCACCCUCUAGGGUAUGCAUUUUGAGAGAGAUGUAAAAUUCAAUCGAACAAAUAUUAAUUUCAAAAAACUGUGAGGCCAUAUGGCUAACACUUGUAGAGAUUGUUAGUUUAAUGUCCCUUUUUUCAGUAGUAUUUUGAAAAACGACAUUCUGAAUUGACAUGCUACAAUUUGAAAUGAUUAUCUAAGGUUCCAUGAACAUAUAGAACGUCACAAAUUAUAUACUCAAUAGUUUAGGUAUAGUAAGAUGCAAUUCAAGAUGUGAUCAAAAUAUGUCGUUUACAAUCUCAGUACAUGAAGUUGGACACUUUAUGUUUAUAAAAUUACAUUGUUCUUAUUAAGAUUUGUCUAUAUUUGGCAAUAAGAACAAUAAUGUGUUUUGUGAUGCACAUUAAACGGGAACCGCAUAGAUAACUCAUUUGUGAUCGUUCGAAAUGAGACUCUAUCAAACAAUUCAACUAAAUCCUGAGUGAGUAAUAUACUUUUGAUUGCUAGUUCAAAUUUUUUGAAGUAACAAUGAGUGAAAUCUUAAUUAGAAGAUUGAUCUUGGUGCUUUGGGAAUCAGGUCGAAACAAUUAGAGAUCAUAUACUUGUGAUAGUGAAAUCCAUUAAUCAUUAAGAUGAGACGAUCAUCACUCUAAGGUAUUUUAGAUAGACAAUUGAACCUGUGCUCAGUAGCUUGAUGAUGAGAUCGUUGGACUCUAUAUUGUUAUUUGAUCACAACUAAUUCAUCUUAUGAAAAUGGAACUUAGAGGGUAAUAAUGUUCAAGGACAAAACGGUUAUUUUAUCAUUUUCAACUUAUUAAUGGUCCAAUGGGGGUUGACUUGUGGAACAAUAAUCGGAGCAUAUUUUCAUCGAAUCAUAAUUUACUUCUAUAACUAUCACUCGACUCGACAAUGGAAUCUCGAUUUUUGGUACAAUGAGCCGAGAUUAAUAGAUGUAUCUCAAUUGGUUAAGAGUUGACCCAAUUAGAAACUUCUAUUGUAGCUUAAGUCUUGUUGGUCUGAUUAGGUCCCUUUCUUGACUACAAUAAAUGUGUGACUUAAUUGGUCUACUACAAUUAAGUCCAAGAAAAUUUGUGCAAUUAUAAAAUCCUAAUUGAGUAUUAUAAAUAUGUCCUUUAUGGACACAUUUUCACUUAGUUUUUAGGGUAAGCCAUAUUUUUAUUUCCCAAAGAGGGAGGCACCUAAAGAACACAAGGGAUAAGAUAUAAGGGAAAAAGCACUUGGCUAGGCCACUAAAAUCUCCUUCAAGGUUAUCAUUUUCCUUUUAUGUGGAAGAAUUUAAGACAUCCAAUGAUCUCAAGGUGAUCGUAGAUCUUUUAUUUAUUUACAUUUAAUCUUCAAAGGGAAAUUAAUUUCCUAUUUUGAUGAUUAAAUUCAAUAACCAACAAAUGGAAUCAAAGCCAAGGUUACUAAGAGCCUUGAGUAGGAUUAAGUGCUUCGAAUCCUAGUAUAAAAUGCAUUUUUAGUAUGGGCGGUGUUAGGUUAUUUAAUUUGACAUGUUUACUACUUUAUAUGCUUAAAGUAGAUGUUUAUACAUAAUCACUUUUGGCCCUGGGAUUUUUUUUUACUUCCCAUUCUAAUUCAUUCCAUUUGUCUUUCUUUUCUCUAGAAAAAUUGUAAGCCAUGCGUCAUUAGGGUUUUGUACAUAUUUUUCAUACUUCUACACUUGUGUAUUAAAAGAAGAUGAAGUUUUUUGGGCUUCAUGCAUUUUUCGUUUCUGAUUCUUGUUAGAGAAAUGGAAGGAGAUAGAAAUAGGACAAACAAAAUGCAAAAACCAUUGUAGAAUUACAAGUGGCGGCAAUAACAACUAUCGCGACCGGAGUGGCUACAGUCGCUGCGUCCAAAUGCAACAGUUGCUCCAAGUUGUGAUAGCUGCUUCUGUUGCCUGUCAUGACAACCAUAGCUACUGCAAAUGUAGCAGCGGCGCUUGCUAUUACUGUUUGCAGUCGCCAUUGCCACUCGACGGCUGCAGCUAUGGUGGCCUCUUUUGGUGUUGCUACUGUCGAUGUCAUUGUAGGAGAUGGAUGGUGGAUGUGAUACAUGGCGAAUUUUCCAGGAUUUGUGAAAUUAGGUUAUUUUUGAGUUUUUGUGCUUUUCUUUAUGACUUGGGCAAAUAUUUUUGGCUAAGGGCUUUUGAUUUAAGGAUUGCGAAAAAAUUAAAUGGACUCAAUUUUUGAAUAUUGAAUGGGUUAGAUUACAAGGAAAUUGAAGAAUUGGGGCGAAAAUUGCUUUAUGGAUGAUGAAUGAAUGUAUGAUUAUCACAUGUCAUGUAGAUUAAAUUGAACACCACCCAAUGCACUAAACAUAUGCAUUGGUAUUGGAUUUUUUUUAUCACUCUAAAUUAAUUAGAUGUGGUUAAAAAAUUAUAUUUAACAAUUUAGUGCCAUUAUAAUUGUUUAUAUUUGGCACAUUAAUUAUAAAAUCAAAAUCCAAUGGUUCAAAAUAAUAAGUGGGGGAAGGUUUAUAGCGUGUAUAAACUUGCGGCCUCCUCCUUCAUCCAAUUUAUUAUUAAAAUACGUAUGUCUGGUGUCAAAUUACAUCGGUCUCCCUAAAGGAAGACUACGUUAUUCUAAAUUAACUGAAAUUGAAUCUUAUAAUAGAAAGUUUUAAAAAUUGGAUAAUCGGCUGAUUAUCCUAUAGAUAACAUCUCAUAUAUUUUGGAUAAUUUAAAAAUUAUUUGCAGAGGUUAUUACACUUAUAUAUGACUUUAUUUUUGGAGGACUUCCAGUAGAAGGUUCCAACAAAAUAUUUAUAAGUCAAAUGAUAAUAAAUCCUCAUUUUUAUUGUGGCACGAGAUGCCUAACUCCAUCAAAUGAGUGGGAGUGUUCCAACUUUGUGAUGAGGACAAAUCAAAAAUCUAAUUAGUGAAUAAAUCAACGCUACAAUCUUCCCGUAUAAAGUGGCAACUCUAAUUUAUUGGUUGUGAACAAAAUAUUUGUAAUCAAAAUAUAAGUUAUGUCACACUACACUUCUCAGUACAAGUACCCAACUUAUAUUGUCACAGGUAAUUAUAAUUACUUUAAUUCAUAUGCUCACAUACUCAAUAAUAAAUAAAUACAUUAAAUGGAUAAAAUCACAAUUUGUUUAUUAUAAAUUAUUAUUUAUUAUAACAAAAUAUACUAUAUGGACACACAACCCCACAGUCUCCACUUCCUACGUACUUUGUUUAUAUUUUUUAUUAUUUUAACCCCAAACCUUAGAUCUCUCUCUUUUAUUUGCACACGCAAACACAUAUUGAAAGCACAGGUCAGCAGCUACAGAAACUACCUAAGAGCCACUAACUUAGGUUGUACACGCCGCAAGAAGAUAAGUAGAAGAAGCCGAAACAAAGAGAACCAAUGCUAAAAGGAACUCAUAAAUAAGGAAUGGGUGGAGAAGACACGACUUCCAAAUAAAAGAGACGAGAUUGGGAGUAUCCCUAUGCUGCAGGCCAGUGGCGGCAUCACGAAAUUGAUACCCAUCAAUGUCGACAGCUCGGGGUUGCUCCAUCGAGGUGCUAAGAGAUUUGGGGAUUUAGAAAUUCCAAAAUGUCUAUCCAGUGUUUAUUGGGUUGAUUACAAGAGGAAUGGAUCUGGUUAUUAUCAAAAAAUGAUUUUUAAUAUGAGAUCAUAAGAAAUUAAAAAAGCGAUUCAAUAAGAGAGGGCAAACGACUAAUGAAUUCAAUGUAGUGAAGUAGUUCUUUUAUUCAAUGUCUCAAGAUGGGUUUCAAUGCCCAAUAACGUUAAAUUAAUUUUUCUUCCAAUUAACUAAGGUUAUUGAGGCUGAGUUUGAGGCGGGGACUUUAUUUCUCAUCCCCUACUCGUGAUAAGGACUUUUUUUCCAACUGUGCUAUGUGUACAAUCGGGAUUGACAAACCCAUUUGACAAUUGGACACUUAGGAGGGGGGCUCACACUGAAUAGAAAAAUCGUGAGCCCCCCUCCUAUGAGUGCAUUGUCAACAUGGAUUGUACAAGAAGAAUAAUUUCUUUUUUCCUAACCCCCACCCCAAUUCAUUGAUUAAUCUAGAAUCCCCCGCUAGUUUGGGCAGGCCAUAUGGGGGACUAGAACAAUUGAGGAUAAUUGCUCCCCCGAAUAUCAUUUUUGAAUGUGUAAUGGUUCGUGCGACUCACAAAGACACUAUACAAAUGUUAUAUAUAUACGUAAUAUAUAUUAUAUUGCACACCCAUGAUAUAUAUUUUGUACGCUCACACGAUCUGUGAUUUGAAAUCGAUCUAGCAAAUUUAUUCAUAAUUUGAUUAAUCUCUCGAAAUAAGUUGGUCGUAUUUUACGUUUAUUGUGGUUAAUGUUUAUGCAUAUAAUAUUUCUACGGAUGUGUUUUAUUUUUUGGUCCAUAUUACGUAUGAUUUAUUUAGAAUUGACAGGAGUUUAAUAGCGUUACGUACGAGAAUUUAACAUCAUCUAAGUUCGGUUUAAUUUUCAAGUCUCUCUCUAUAAUUAUGAUUUUUUUUUGGGUAUAAAAAUACAUAUAUAAAUUCAUUAUUCAAGCACAUUUAUUGAUAUUUAUUCUCAUCCCUUUAUAUCUUUUCUUCUAGAUGAUUGAUGAUUCGAGGCGGUUGGCACGAAUAUGGCUUAUGGUGGCAAAAGUUCCGAUAAUAGAUUAUUUUGUUAUCUUUAAAAUAUUUCUUUUUUCAAGUUAAAUUAUCAAAAUCACUGGAUCAUUUGAAUUAUUAUAUAUGUUUAAUAAUUUAUAUAAUAGUGUUGAAUAUUCCUUAAAUUAUUUUAAUUUAGGAGUUAGUGGCACUCGAGUCGUUAAGGAUUCAGGUUGUCAUAGUUGUCCAAUUAGUAUCAGGAUUAAUUUAAGUCUCUCUUAUGGUAAAGAUCAUGAGUUCGAAUUCUUGGGACGCAAUAGAAAUCUAUUAGAGAUAGGAUGAAUUUAGGUUCUUCCAGAACGAACAAUACAUAAAUUAACGACUUUGGCAUAAAGAUCAGAUCGUCACAUAAUAUUGGGAUCCGAAACCACAUUAAUUGAAAGAUUAUCGAGAACAACCCUAAAUUUUCUCAUAUUGAACAAAAAUCCAUGUGUCCAUGUAUAAACAAAACAAUUGCAAAAGAACAAUUAAGAAAAUAUAAAGAAUAUUGCAAAAUCAUCUAAGGGUCACUACCUCCAAGUACCUUGGCCACCAGUGACUGGGUUUGGAGUAUAUUUUCCUUUUAUGCUUUCUGAUAAGUGUGUUUUUGCACACUUAUUGGGCACUUAAUUUGAUAUAAUUAUUGACGAAAAGAAUAGAAUUCUACUCAUAGUUAAGUAAUAUUCACUUUUGUAGGUAAAAAUCACCUAAAGAAAAGAGAACAAGGCAAAAGGAAGAAAAAUGAGGAAAAAGGACUAAAAUUGUACAAAAUUGUGAAGUUGGAGGCCAAGGAAAACAAGUCAAAAAGUGGAGGAUUUGAGAUGCAAUUUAUGGAGGGCAAAAUCGAAUUGGAAGUCAAAAUUCGAGGACCAAAUUGUACAAAAUUAAAGUUGAGGGACUAGCAUGCAAAUAUUUGAAACUUGGCUUCAAAAAGAAAACCAUUUUCAUGGUUUUGGACAGAGAACCAGGCACCGAGGCGCCCAUUUUAAAAGAAAAAAUGAGUUGGGGACCUUUUUGUUCACUUUUGAAACUUCAGGGACCAAGGCUGCAAUUUUCCUAGGUUUUAAUAUAAAACCAGCAGCUGAGUUUUCAUUUGCAGUUCUUCAGUUCGAUCUUCUGCUGGGUUCUGUUUUCUGCUGGGUUCUUUCUUUUUUUUCAUUUUGCUUUCAUUUUCUUUUCUUUUUCUUGGUUAUUUUGGAGAUAUAACAUAGAGUAACAGGGAGAUAACAUCAAGGAUUUGGCAAAGCAUUUGGGGAAAAUCAUAGUCAAUCUACAAAAAAGGGUUUUAUCUAUAUCUUUGUAUUUUCUUCAUCAUUUAGCCUUAUUUGUAAUACAUUUGAUGAAUAUUCUCCUUGAUUAUCAUUUAUUUAACAUGGGCUAAGUAUUUUGUUGGGAUUUAUGGUAGUAGCUUGACAUAGGUUUAAUUGAUUUUCAAUAUUUGCUAUUUGAUAUUAAAUUGCCCAUUUCCAUGUGUUUCUAUUAUUAUAUUUAUUGCAUUUUCAUUUAUGUGGCCAAUGAAUGAAUAUGUUUCGUGAAGUGUACAUAGUUCGAGAGAAGAUUGUGUAUUUUAGACCAAAUGGUAGAAACUCUAGGUUUGUAUAGAGGAUAGAUAUAUAUCUUUAGCCCUAUGUGACCCAAUGAGCUAUUUUCAUAACAAUUUAAUGCUGUUAUUUAGUUGUAAUCGACAUAGAGAUAUAAUAGGUUAAACCAAUCAAUUAUGGUUAAUUUCACUCGAGAGAGGUAAUUAGCUAAAAUUGAAGAAUCGGAUCUAACAUCGUAAAUGAGUAAUUCGUUAAUUGGCAUAUGGAGAAAUUAAUUAGGCGACGGCUAAGCGAAACCAUGAAUCUCAAUCACGUUUUCCUCCAAAAUUCCCAAGAUUUCCAUAUUUUCCUAUUUUGUAUUUUUUUUUCUUUAGUUUCUAAAAUCAACUCUUUGUUGUGUAUUUGUUUAUUUUCAUUGUUAGAAUUAAAUUGAUUAAAGUUGUGUAAUUUAAAUUAAACAUUCCUCGAGGGAUCGACAACUCGGACUUCAAAUGUCCACUUUAUUACUUGAACGCGACCCGUGCACUUGCAGUAUGAUUUUAGCGAACAAGUUUUUGGCGCCGUUGCUGGUGAAUGUUUUAUUUCAAUUAUCAUCUUUUGUUGAUUCUAAUUUUUACAAGUUUCGUUCUUUUUUUCUUUUGCAUAGCUUUUAUAUAUUUAUUGUGUAAUUAACUUUUAACCUUAGGUCUUUGGUGGUGCAUGCUUCGUUCGAGAAGUUUUGAUCUUUUCGAGCUUGAUCCGGAUAUUGAAAAACCUUUCCAAAGAAGGCGACGGGAACAAAGGGAAUUGAGAAGGCAACAAUUGAUUGAGAUGACACACCAAGGGAGUAAUUUGGAACAUAAUGCUCAACCGGAAAAUGUUCCUCGAGGCGGCAUUCCACCGGGUUUUGGUAACCAAGCGGGUAGAGUUCAAGAGCCUAUUGUAAAUGAGGAAGAUAUACUGUUUGGGAACUUCAUGAACCCACCCGUAGUAGAGAAUGAAUCAAGUAUUGUUUACCCUCCAUAUUGACAUCCAAACUUUCAACUUCGUCCGGAUGUUAUUAGUUUGUUCUCCAAUACCAUUCCAUUCUAUGGAAGGAUUGAUGAGAACCCUCACUCACAUGUUGCACGAUUCAUAGAGAAUGUUGAAAAUUUUAAAUAUGAAGGCGUAAAUGUGGAGACGAUCCGGAUGAGGUUAUUUGUUCACACAUUGAAGGAUAAGGCAAGGGAAUGGCUUGAGACUCUACCGCCCAGAAGUAUAAAUAGUUGGUUGGAAUUUAUUCAAAAAUUCACAGCCAAAUUCUUUCCACCCGCCUGAGUAGCCAAACUCAAGCAUGACAUAACCACUUUCCAACAAUCCGAAUUUGAGAGCUUUCACGAGGCUUGAGAAAGGUUCAAGGAUAUGCUUCGAAAAUGUCCAAAUCAUGGAAUCACAAUGGGGCAACAAGUGAAUCAUUUUUAUGCCGGGUUGACUCCUUCUUGCCGUUCAAAUGUGGAUUCAUCAUCUAAUGGCUCAAUCAAGAAGAAGAAUAUUCGGGAAGCAUAUGAUCUAUUUAAGGUCAUGAGUGAACAAAGUGCUAUGUGGCCGGAUAGAGGUUCACAAAGAGGGGUUGGUGGAGUUCGAGAUGGUGAAGCUUUCUCAAUGGUUCUAGCAAAGAUCGACUCACUAGCAAAGAAGGUAGAAGGACUUUCUUCAUCUACCUCGAGCUCUCAUUCCGCUCAUAUGGUACAAUCUCCACCUAUUUGUGAUAUUUGUGAACCAAAUCACCGAAGCCCGAGUUGUCCAUUGAUAGGUAGUGGUUCAGCAUCUACCGAGCAAGUGGUAUAUACUCAAAACUUUCAACGCCAAGGAUACAAUCCUUAUUCGCAAACUUAUAACCCCAGUUGGUGAAAUCAUCCGAACUUUUCUUAUGGAAAUAAUCAAAAUGUGCUCAACUCGAAGCCACAAGAGAAAAAAAAGGUUGGGAAGAGGCUAUUGCUAAGUUGGCAAACCAUCAAUUAUAAUAUUAAGAAAGCAAUGAUGCCUCUUUGAAAAACUUGGAAUGUCAAGUGGGUCAAAUUGCCAAGCUUAUCUUCGAAAGGCAAUAGCGGGCAUUGCCUAGCAACACCGAAACAAAUCCAAGGGAGAAUGUACAAGCUAUUACCACUAGAAGUGGGGUGCAAUUGCCCGAAAUCACGGUGACACGCCCUAAGGGUCAAACCGACAAGACACCCAUUGAAGAAGAAAGGAUUAUGCAAGAACCUAGUCCAAAGGACGAGACACUAAUUGAAGAAGAAUCGGAGCCAUCAACAUCAAAGGCUCCAAUACCGGUCAAAGCCUAUGUGCCUCAUAUUCCCUUCCCACAAAGGCUUCACAAACAGAAAUUGGAUGCUCAAUUUGGAAACUUUUUGGAGAUAUUCAAGAAGCUACACAUAAACAUUCCAUUUGCCGAUGCAUUAGCUCAAAUGCCGAAUUAUGCCAAAUUUAUGAAGGACAUUCUUUCAAACAAAAGGAAACUAGAAGAACAUGAGACAGUAAUGCUAACGGAAGAGUGUAGUGCUAUCCUUCAGAAGAAGCUACCACCGAAAAUCAAAGAUCCAGGGAGUUUUACUAUUCCAUGCACUAUUGGAGAUUUAAAUUUUAGUAAAGCUUUAUGUGAGCUUGGUGCCAGUAUUAGUUUGAUGCCUUUGUCUAUUUUCAAGAAGCUGGGAUUGGGAGAAGCUAAGGCCACCACUGUAUCAUUACAAUUGGCUGAUUGAUCAAUUAAAUAUCCUCGGGGUGUCAUUGAGGAUGUAUUGGUCAAGGUGGACAAAUUCAUAUUUCCAGCUGAUUUCAUAAUUCUUGACAUGGAAGAGGAUCAUGACAUCCCUAUCAUUUUAAGACGACCAUUUCUUGCCACCGGUCGAGCUUUGAUUGAUGUGCAAAAGGGGCAGCUCGUUCUAAGAGUCCAAGAUGAAAAAGUUACAUUCAAUAUCUUGAAGGCCAUCAAGUAUCCAUCGGAAUCUGAUUCAUGCCUUCGAGUGGAUGUUGUUGAUCAUGUGGUUGCCGAGUCUUUUUACAGGCUUUCUAAGGAUCCUCUAGAAGCAUGUCUUGUUUAUCCUUUGGCUAUCAAAGAGGAAGACCCUAAAGUUGAGCAUAUGGUACACUAUUUGGAGGCUACACCUUCUCGGUCUUAUAAGAGAGCACCAAAUUAUGAGGACUUGGAAAAGAGCUCUUCACCACCACUGCCAUUUCUUCAGCAGACACCUAUACUUGAUUUGAAGCCUCUUCCAUCUCAUUUGAGGUAUGCUUAUUUGGGAGAGUCAUCUAUGCUUCCGGUUAUCAUUGCUAAUUUCUUAAAUGAAUUGGAUGAAGAGAAGUAACUCGGGUGUUAAGGGAGUACAAGGGAGCCAUUGGUUGGACUAUUACAGACAUUAAGGGAAUUAGUCCUUCACUAUGCAUGCAAAAAAUCCUUAUGGAGGAUGAUUUCAAAUCAUCAGUGGAGCAUCAAAGGCAAUUGAACCCCAACAUGAAAGAAGUGGUAAAGUAGCUUGAUGCGGGCAUUAUUUAUCCGAUUUCAGAUAGUACAUGGGUGAGCCCCGUUCAAGAGGUGCCAAAGAAAGGAGGUGUCACGGUUGUGGAAAAUGAGGAUAAUGUACUUAUACCUACUAGACCCGUGAUCGGUUGGAGGGUAUACAUAGAUUACCGCAAGCUUAACAAGACUACAGGGAAUGAUCACUUUCCUCUUCCUUUUAUUGAUCAAAUGCUUGAGCGGUUAGCGGGGUAUUCUCAUUAUUGUUUUUUGGAUGGGUAUUCAGGCUAUAAUCAAAUUCCUAUAGCCCCAGAGGAUUAAGAGAAAACCACCUUCACAUGCUCAUAUGAUAUAUUUGCAUAUAGAAAGAUGCCCUUUGACCUUUGCAACGCACCCGCCACUUUCUAAAGGUGUAUGAUGGCUAUAUUCUCCGACAUGGUGGAGAAAUUUACUGAGGUUUUUAUGGAUGACUUCUCGGUAUGUGGGGCCUCAUUUGAUGGAUGUUUGAGCAAUUUAGAGAUAGUGUUGAAAAGAUGUGAGGAGACAAAUUUAGUACUUAAUUGAGAAAAAUAUCAUUUCAUGGUCCAGGAAGGCAUAGUUUUCGGCCAUCGGAUUUCACGUAAAGGGAUAGAGGUUUACAAGGCAAAAAUCCAAGUCAUUGAGAAAUUACCUCUACAUACCUUGGUGAAAGGGAUAAGGAGUUUUUUGGGGCAUGCCGAAUUUUAUAGGAGGUUUAUCAUGGACUUUUUGAAGAUCACAAAUCCACUUUGCUCCUUACUUGAGAAGAACACUCCAUUUGAUUUCUCUCAAGAGUGCCUCCAUGCUUUUAACACUCUUAAAGAGAAACUCAUCACGGCUCCUAUCAUUGUAGCUCCGGAUUGGAAUUUACCAUUUGAGCUUAUGUGCGAUGCAAGCGAUUAUGCCGUUGGAGCAGUUUUAGGGCAAAGGAGAAAUAAAAUCUUGCAUGUUAUUUACUAUGCUAGCCGGACUUUGACUGAUGCUCAACUGAACUAUGCCGUUACUGAAAAAGAGAUGCUCGCAGUGGUAUUUGCAUUUGAUAAAUUUCGAUCUUACCUCAUUGGAUCGAAAGUGAUUGUUUACAGGGACCACUCAGCCCUCAAGUAUUUGCUAGCAAAGAAAGAUGCCAAACCUCGGUUAAUUAGAUGGGUCCUUCUUCUACAAGAGUUUGACUUGGAAAUUCACGAUAAAAAAGGGACCGAAAAUGUUGUUGCCGAUCAUCUGUCUCGACUUGAGAAAACCAAAGAGGUAGUGGAUAGGGAGAUAAAUGAGGUAUUUCCCGAUGAACAACUCUUGCAAAUUAUGCAUCUUCUACAAGCCACCCAUAUACCAUGGUAUGCGGACCAUGUGAACUUUCUUGCUAGUGGCAUCAUUCCCUCGGAUCUCUCUUACCAACAAAGGAAGAAGUUCUUUGCCGAUAUCAAGCAUUAUUUUUGGAACGAUCCAUUGUUGUUCAAACAGAGCCCGGAUCAAAUUAUACGGAGAUGUGUGCGGAAGAUGAAAUGGAGCAAAUCCUUGAACAAUGUCAUUCCUCACCCUAUGUUGGUCACUUUGAGGCCCUGAAAAUCGCAUCAAAGGUACUUCAAUUCGAUUUUUAUUGGCCUACAUUAUUCAAAGAUGCUCAUAUUCUUGUCUCCAAGUGCGACAAAUGCCAACGCAGUGGUAAUAUUUCCAACCGAAAUGAAAUGCCUUUGAAUUUUAUAUUAGAGGUGGAAAUUUUUUAUGUAUGGGGUAUUGAUUUUAUGGGACCUUUUCCUCCUUCAUUCUCAAAUCAAUACAUAUUGGUAGCGGUUGAUUAUGUGUCAAAGUGGGUAGAAGCGGUGACUUUGCCCACUAAUAACGCUCGGGUAGUAGUAAACUUUUUAAAGAAAAAUAUUUUCUCUCGCUAUGGCACCCCCCGAGCUAUCAUUAUGGAGGUAAAAAUUUUUGUAAUCGCCUCUUCGACUCAGUAUUGACCAAAUAUGGAGUAAAGUAUCGUGUAGCCACUCCCUAUCAUCCCCAAACUAGUGGCCAAGUUGAAAUUUCGAAUCGGGAGUUGAAGAGGAUUCUUGAAUUGACGGUGAGUGCCUCUAGAAAAGAUUGGUCCAAGAAAUUGGAUGAUGCAUUAUGGGCUUAUUGUACCGCGUUCAAAAUGCCCAUUGGUAUGUCUCCCUAUCGUCUUUUGUUUGGAAAAGCUUGCCACCUCCCAGUAGAACUUGAGCAUCAAGCUUAUUGGACAGUGAAAGCUUUGAAUUUUGAUGUGAAAUUGGCCGAUGAGAAAAGAUUGCUCCAAUUGAAUGAACUGGAUGAAGUCCGCCUUGACUCUUAUGAGAAUGCUCAAAUUUACAAAGAAGAGACAAAGAAAUGGCAUGAUAAACACAUUGUGAAAUGCGAGUUCUUUGUUGGGCAACAAGUUCUUCUCUACAAUUCUCGACUCCGAUUGUUUCCCGGAAAGCUCCGCUCAAGAUGGUCUGGUCCUUUUACCAUUGCUAAGAUUUUUCGACAUGGAGCAAUUGAACUUCAUCAUGAGGAAAAGGGAAAUUUCAAGGUUAACGGGCAACGAUUGAAACCAUACUUUGAAGGUGAUUUUUCUAAGGAGAAGUCCUCCAUUCCUCUUGCCAAUUUGGAGUGAACAAGGCCUAUAGUCGAGCUAGGGACUAUAACCAAGCGCUUUUUGGGAUGCAACCCAACUUUCUUAUCCUUAUACUUUUGUUAUUACAUUUUGAAUUAAUACAAUUCUUUUGUAGGUCAAAAUUUUUGUAGUCCUAGCCACCCAUAGAUCUCAACAAAUUUGGGGGUGCCUGGUCCCCAAAGUCAUAAACAAAAAAUUCAUCUACAACAUCCUUCAAAAAAAUCUAAUCGGCGAAGUUUCGUUAUCCCUCUCCUCUUUAUCUUGUUUUUUACACAUUGAGGACAAUGUGUGGUUUAAGUUUGGAGGUGAUUGUGCUUGAAUUGGUGAUAUUAUGUUGAUGUGCUAGAUAGCCUUGCCGGCUUUGCAUGGUUUUGAUGUUUGAAAUUGUUAUUGAUUCAUGAGUUAUGCAUAUAUGACCAAAUAUGCUAUUUGUGCGUAAUUUUUUCCCAAAAAAAAUAAAAAUUGCUUAUCUAUUGUGAGAUUUUGAAUUACUUUGGGCACAAUAGUCAUGAUUAAUUGUUAUCUAGAUGUGGAAAAUUUUUGAUUGAAGGAUAUAUUUUUGAAUUGCUUGAACUAGGUUGUGACUUGUAAGUUGUUUGGAAAUUUUUAUCAAUCUGUAUUCUCUUUUCUUUCACUUUAUCAUAUUAUGAGAUAAGUUUGGAGGUGGUCGAGCCGGUGAAGAAGAUUAUCUAGAAGUGUGUGAUUUCGUGCAUGUUGAAAAUAUUUGUGUAGAGUGUCUGUUACCGAGUAUAAGCUAGGUAAUGACCAUAUGCUAGGGAUCUAAGCCCCAUUUUUGUUGUGUUAAAAAAAAAUGGAGUUAUUGUACUUGUUGAAUCUUGGGCCUCACUUUGUAGCCUUUUUGACUUGAGUUAUUAAGUGCGUAGGGGUAUUUUGUAACCCGGUACCCUUUGGCCUAAACAACCGGAGAGUUAUCGACCUAAAGCUCGCUACAAGGGUCAAAAAAAAAGUUUAAGGGAGUGAGGUAAAACAUGGGAUUCGGCUAAAAAGGAAAAAAAAAAAAAAAAAAAGAGAAAAAAAUGUUAUUGAUAUUUGGGCUUAGAUAACUAGUGAGUUUGAAUUGCUUAGUAUAAACUUGAAUGUGAAAGCACUCAUUAGUAGAGAAUCAUCACAUAACUAGAGAUUGAUAUUACUAGUUAGACCCAAUCGAACUAGAGCGGGAAAAGAAAUGAGUGACUUGAGAGCAGCCUUAUAUUUACACCUCGGGGAAAGAAAUGAAUAUCUAUUUGAGGAGUGUAAAUUCCACGAGUGGGAAAGGAAAUAUUUGACUACAAAGGGUUGGGUUGGAGAGAAUCUGAAGAUUUUUCCGUCUUGACAAAUUUUUCCUAAUUUAGAUGAUAAUUGAAAGUGAUUUUACACAUAUACACCGAUCGAACAUUGGAUAAACUCAAAUUAUUUUUGUUAGCAUUAUUUGGAGCAUAUUUGUGAAUUGAUUAUACAAUUUUACACUCAUUGAUAUUUUUGGCAAGCUAUUUAGUGUGUUGACCAUGAUCACUUUUGCUUGAUUGUGUGGUAGAUAAUCUUGCUCGGGACGAGCAAGAGUUUAAGUUUGAGGGUGUGAUAAGUGUGUUUUUGCACACUUAUUGGGCACUUAAUUUGAUAUAAUUAUUGGUAAAAAGAAUGAAAUUCUACUCAUAGUUAAAUAAUAUUUGCUUUUGUAGGUAAAAAUCACCCAAAGAAAAGAGAACAAGGCAAAAGGAGGAAAAAUGACUAAAAUUGUACAAAAUUGUGAAGUUGGAGGCUAAGGCAAAGAAGUCAAAAAGUGGAGGAUUUGGGAUGCAAUUUAUGGAGGGCAAAAUCGAAAUGGAAGUCAAAAUCCGAGGACCAAAUUGUACAAAAUCAAAGUAGAGGAACUAGCAUGCAAUGUUUGAAACUUGGCUGCAAAAAGAAAACCAUUUUCAUGCUUUUGGACAGAGAACCAGGCGCCGCGGCACCCAUUUUAAAAGAAAAAAUGAGUUGGGGGACCUUUUUGUUAACUUUAGAAACUUCAGGGACCAAGGCUGCAAUUUUCCUAGUUUCUAAUAUAAAACCAGCAGCUGAGUUUUUAUUUGCAGCUCUUCAGUUUGGUCUUCUGCUGGGUUUUUUUUUUUUUUUUUUUUUUUUUUUUUUUUUUUUUUUUUUUUUUUUUUUUUUUUUUUUUUUUUUUUUUUUUUUUUUGGUAUUAAAAAAAAAAAAAAAAAAAAAGGGAUUGAAGUUGGAUGAAUUCUUGAAUUCAGGGACCAAUGUAUUGAGUUUGAAAGUAGAAGAGCCUAACAUGCAAUAUUAAAGGACUUGUGACUAAAUUACACAAACCUGUAAAAAGUCGACCCUUGCGAUCACAAGGGUAUAUUUAGUUGCGGUCGCAAAGACUUUUGCAGAAUUGCUUGUGAGAUAUAGUAGGUUAAAUCAAUCAAUUAGGGUUUAUUUCACUCGAGAGAGAUAAUUAGUUAAAAUUGAAAAAUCGGGUCUAACAUCGUAAAUGAGUAAUUCGUUAAUUGACAUAUGAAGAAAUUAAUUAGGCGACGGUUAAGCGAAACCAUGAAUCCCAACCACGUUUUCCUCCAAAAUUCCCAAGAUUUCCAUAUUUUCCUAGUUUGCGUUUUUUUCUUAGUUUCUAAAAUCAACUCUUUAUUGUGUGUUUGUUUAUUUUCAUUGUUAGAAUUAAAUUGAUUAAAAUUGUCUAAUAUAAAGUAAACAUUUCUCGAGGAUCGACAACCCGAACUUCAAAGGUCCACUUUAUUACUUGAACGCGACCCGUGCAUUUGCGGUAUUAUUUUAGCAAACACUUUCCUUUUAUUUUCUUGAUUUUAUGUUUCUCUUUUUUAGCGGACUUAAUAGCCAUUUUGCACGGAUUUGUUAGUGAGGAGUAUUUCCAAAAUAAAAAUGAAGGGUCGAAGACUGUGAUGCAAAUAAAUGAAGUUUGAGGAUAUAAAUGCAUAAGGAGUUGAAGAUUGAGAAUGUGGCUUAAAUUUUCCAAUAUUAAAAAGAAAAUGUUUUGCCCAAGUCAUUUUCUUGACUACUGUCAAGGAAAAAAAAAUAAAUAAAUCUUUUUGCGUUGAAAUUUGACUCCACAUUGUAGGAACUGUAUGGUCCACCCAUGUGAAAUCCAUUGAGUGCCAAAUCAGAGUUCCCGACAAAUUGUCGUAUGCCCAACAUGAUACAUGAUCUACAAUGUGUUACAAAUUGCCCCUGUAGACAUGUAUGUUUAAUCAAUAAAAAAAAAAGUCUGAAAUUUCCUCAAAUUCAAUAAUGAAUUCUUAAAUCAAAUCUGAAUAAUGAAUUUUCAAUCUUUUGAAUUACAAAAUUCGAAUUUUGAUCUCUAGAACUUGAUGAUUUUAACUUGCCAUUUCUAUAUAGUAUUACGUGUCAAACAUGCAAUGAUUUCAUACUUAUUCGUCCUUAUACUACAUCCUCAACUCUCUCCAUCAAAUUCUUCAUCUAUUCUUGCAAAAUAUAUUGUAGCUUAAAGUUAAACCGGUUUCAAGCAUAAUUUAUCGCUCGGGAAUUAUUCACUCAUAAAUAGAAUAUCUGCAAAUCUUGUAUUUUUGUGAAUUUAGUUAUUUUGUUAAUUGAGAAUAAGAUGAAUGAUAAUCUUCUUGGGAGAUCAUUCUUAUGUGAAAUUCAUACAAAUGUCUUGAGUGCUAUUUUCACCUUCACUCAUUUAUUAAAUAUUACAAGUUCUAGCUUUCAUAGGAAAAUAUAUUUUACUUGGUGUGCUGAAGAUAUUCUUCAACCUUCAGUAAAGUGGGGUUCUAGGUUCUCGACCCAAUUAAAUUUGGAAAUUACAUAAAUUGUUAACGUGAACGUCAAAACUGGACAUGACUUAAAAUUGAAUGUAAAGUGGUUUGAUGCUUUGCUCUCCAACUUUAAAUUACAUAAAAGUCAAGCAAUUCUAAUUUUCACAAUGACGAGUUUUUGCCACAUGGCGAUCCAAAUUCACAUAUUUAAAUACGUUGGGUACCCACGAUAGGGAUGACAACGGGAGAGAUGAGACGGGAUGGGAAGCCGCUAGGGAUUCGUCACGCCCUGUCCAAACCUUGAUCCCAGCUUAAGGUGGGGCGGUUGCAGGGGAUAGGGCAAUAUGGAUGGGAUGCCUCCUCUAUGCACAUAUUGUCCGUUUAAUUUUAUUUAAAUCAUAAGCCUUAGAUAUCUCUUUUUAAUUUUCACGCACUAACACAUACUAAAUGCCCACGUCAAUGGCUGCAAAAAUAGGGUCGGCCCUAAUAUUUUGGGGGCCUUAUGUCAAUUUCAAAUUGGGGCCCUAUAUUUUGAAUUUUCUUAUAUAGAGUUUUAGCCCCUGUUUGAUGAAGAUUAAGCCAUUGUUUGAGACUCAUUUUUUUCAUAAAAAUAUAUUUUUCAACAAUGAUUUGACACCACCAUGUCAACAUAUAUUUUUCAAUAAAAUAAUAUUACAUGCAAAUUCAAAAAUUUUCCUUAUUUUUUAAUCACACAUUCUCCAUCGUAUCACUUUCUCAAAAUGCAAUUUUUUUGGAGAAAAAUGAGGCUCAAAGGCUCAAACAACCCCUAAAAUAGAAUUUUCAUUUUUUUUUUCAAAAUGCAUUAUUAUUUUCUUAUGUUUGCAUAUGAUACUUCUAUACUACAGAAUUUCAUAAAUAUAAUUUUCAUUUUUUUUUCAACCAACAAAUUAACUUUACAUAAUUUGGGCCUCACUUAGGUGAUCGCCUAUUUCGUCUAUACUUAGGGCCACCACUGUGCAAAAACAACACAAGCCACCAAAUUUUGUGGUAAACACUGCAAGAAGAGGAGAACCCUAAACAAAGAGAGGUAAUGCUAAGAGGAACUCAUAAAUACGGAAUGGGGUGGAGAAGACAUGGCUGCUAGUUAAAGGAGAUGUGAUUGUGAGUCUCCAUCCUGUGCAACGAAGUCAUGACAUUGAUACCCAUCAACGUCGAUAGCUAGGGGCUGCUACAACGUGGUGCUAAGAAAUUGGGGGGGGGGGGUUUGGAAAUUUUGAAAUGUCUACGCUUUGUGUAAUGCACGUGCUUAUUUUUUGUGAUUAUCAUGUUUAUCUAAAUUAGUUGCGUUUAUGUUACAUUUACUAUUAAAUUAUUAUAAUUAUCAUAGUCGUGAUUAAUUAUGUUGAUAUAGUGGAAUGUGCCUUGGAUCAAAGUCGUGAUUAAUUAUGUUGAUACAGUGGAAUGUGCCUUGGACACUCUAUGCGAUCGACAUGCCUAUAGCUCCAAACUUAAAAUACAUAUGACUCUAUUUAAAUAUGCAAUUUAAUAUAAUUUGACGCCGUAUCACAUUCCUAUUAAUUUAAUUGUAUUGUCUAUAAUUAAUUUUAUUUAGUUAGAUUAAAUUAUAUAACGUAUUUAUCCUAUUAUGUACAAUCUCUUUUUUAGAUUGAACCUAGACAUUGAGUUGGAAGAUUUCUUUUUAUAAGUAAAUAAAUAAAUAAAAAUAAUAAUGAUAUAUAGUUAAUAAUUGAAUUAAUUUUCUAAUAGGAUCAAUUUAAGGUUAAGGAAGUUAAUAUAGAUAAAUAAGGAGGCGUAAUUUGUUAGAUUAGUACAAAUUAAACUAAAUAAACGCCAGUAGGUUUAGGAGUCUACAUAGUUGCCUUAUUUCACAUCUUUUUAAAAUUAAGUAGAAACUCUUUUUCCUGCCAAAAGUUUAAUUUCAAUUUCUUAUUUUGGGACUAGUAUGCUCUUGCAAUAAGGUAUGGUUCAUAAUUUAUUCAUGAUAUAAUCUAUCGGUUAACCUAUGUGUUUAAUUCUCUCUCUCUCUCUCUCUCUCUCUCUCUACACUACCAUAAAAGAGAGAAUGAGGGUUUACUGUUUAUUUUUGUCACACUCGUUUUCACACUUAACCGGUUUGGGAACUGGUUUGACAACAAGAAAAAUUCUAUUAAAAAAUACUAUAGGAAUUUUGUCAGGAAAAAUUCUAUUCAAAAUACUGUAGGAAUUUUGUCACACACCAUUGUCUACUGUAAUAUUUCUCCCUUGCUUUGAAUCUGACACACCAUGCUCUUUCUCCUAAUUCUCAAGCUAUAAACUACAAACUAUAUCUUAUAUAUUUAAAUUUUUUAAAUUAUAUUAAUAAACAAAAUUAUUGUAAAUAAACUAUAAAAAAAAUAUAUUCACUCUGUGCAUGGAGAAAAAAAUUUACGUCAUACUACAUAAUUUUUUUUGAGCAAAAUGAUGUAUUGAGAAAAUUGUUGGGAAAAAAUAAUAAAUAGUAAUAAAAUAAUUGAUUUUUUUAAAAGAAAAAUGACUUAUACGCAUUUUUUAACACAUACGUUUAAUGUCCGUUUAACUAUUUUCGAUAUUCAUUUAGAUCAUUCGAUGUGUCUAUGAUAUAGUUCUUGAAAUGAGUUUCGAGAGAAUGUAAAAUAUUUAUCGAUUCGACUAUCGUGCAAUCGUCAAUGAAUUUUUAAAGUUAACUCAUUAUCGAAAAUUUCGAAAUAUAGUUUGAAAAUGCCUAUUUUGACGUCCCGUAACAUUUGCUACGAUUAGCCGUUUCACGCAUCGUUAACGACAUGCAAUACUAUGCCGCAAGUACUUCAAAAUGAUAUUAAGAAUGUAAUAUUUCAAUUUCGUUUGAUAUCCCGUAAUGAGCCUGAGAUGAAUACAAAAACAUAAAUUAAAAAAAAAAAUUAGCAAACCUCCGUGCACGGAGGUUAAACCUCCAUACACGAAGGUUUAUGCGUGCGGGGAGUCCCCGCACAAAUAUGCAAUUUUUUUUUUUACUUUUAUUUGUAGUACAUUUUUUUAUUAAUAUUUAAUUUAAAAAAAUUAAAUAUAUCUAAAUAUUUACUUAAAAAUGUUGAAAUUAAUAUUUUUUACGUAUAAGUAACUUUUACAAUUAUAAUUUUUUUUAUUACUUUUAAAUAACUUGAAGUGAUUUGUUUAUUUAUAAAUAACUUUUUACAUUCUCGAUAGUUUAAUCUUUUUAUUAAUAUUUAAUUUUAAAAACUAAAUAUAUCUAAAUAUUUGUACUUAAAAAAUUCACAUUUUUUUAUAUAAGUAGCUUUUGCAAUUAUAAGAGAAUGAGGGAUUAAUAUUUUUUUAUCUUUUAGAUAGUGUAAUCUCUUUUUUUACUUUUAAAUAACUUAACCGAUUUGGGAACUGGUUUGGUAACAGGAAAAAUUCUAUUCAAAAAUACUGUAGAAAUUUGUCACAUGCCAUUUGAGUGCAAUGUCACAUCCACUGCAAUAUUUCUCUCUUACUUUGAAUCUGACACACCAUGCUCUUUCUCUUAAUUCUCACGUUAUUAACUAUUAAUCAUAUCCUAUAUAUUUAAUUUUUUAAAAUUAUAUUAAUAGAAAAACUUAUUGUAAAUAAAAUGUAAAAAAAAAAAUAUAUAUAUAUAUAUAUUCACUCCGUGCAUGAAGAAAUUUUUUUACGUCAUACCACAUAAGUUUUCUUAAGCAAAAUGAUGUAUUGAGAAAAUUAUUGCGAAAAAAUAAUAAAUAGUAAUAAAAUAAUUGAUUUUUUUUGAAGAAAAACGAUUUAUACGCAUUUUUUAACACAUAUGUUUAAUGUGCGUUUAACUAUUUUUGAUAUUAAUUUACAUCAUUUGAUGUGUUUAUGAUAUAUUUCUCGAAAUGAGUUUCGAGAGAAUGUAAAACAUUUAUUGAUUUGACUAUCGUAUAGUGGUAGAUGAAUUUUUAAAGUUAGCUUAUUAUCGAAAAUUUCGAAAUACAGUUUGAAAAUGUCUAUUUUGACGUCCCGUGACAUUUGCUACGAUUAGCCGUUUCACGCACCGCUAAUGACGUGCAAUACUAUAUCGCAAGUACUUUAAUAUGAUAUUAAGAAUAUAAUAUUUUAAUUUCGUUUGAUAUCCCCUAAUGAGUCUAAAAAUGAACAUAAAAACAUAAGCUAAAAAAAAAUGAAGCAACAUGUAUUAAACCUCCUCAUGUCCUCGGUGCACGCACCAAUCCGAUUUUUGGUUACCCAUUUUCUCCACCACUUAACCCUAAUUGUUCUCUCUCUCUCUCUCUCUCGAUCGGCACCAUUGUAGCAAGAAAUUCUGGAAAACCUGAAGCAACUGAGACAUAUACUUGUAAGUCUAAUCAUCACUGCUUCGACUUCUUUCUCUUCUCUUCUGUAUAUUGCUUCUAAUUUGUCGAGUUGUAUUGUUCAAUAUAUUCUUAGUUUUCAAUUUUUUUUUUUUUUUUUUGUUUUUUGAAGAGUUCAAGCCCAAAUACGUAAAGUCAUGUUUCAAGGGGGGGUUAGGUUUGGGUUGUUGUGUAUAUGUUUUUCAAUUUAUAUAGCUGUGGUAUUGAAUAUGAGAUUUCUUGUCCAAUUUGCUUUUUUUUUUGUUCCCCGUUUUCCUUCUUCUGAGAGGUCGAACCCAAAAUACCUAAAGUCUAUUAUUUUCAUGUUGUUAUUAUUUUUUUCUAUUAUUAUUUUCAUGUUAUUAUUAUUAUUUUUUUUUGUUCAAUUUCUUCGUGUUGUGUAUAAGUUUUUUUUUAUUUCUGCAGCCGUCAUGUUGAAUAUGAGAUUUUUUGUUCAAUCUGUGUUUUUUUCCUCAUUUUUUGUAAGAAACUGAACUGAAAAGACAUAUAAUUUGUUCUUCCCAUGUUUGGCUCUUUGAUUAUAUUUAACUUUAAGAAGGAGAACAAAAUGUUUCAAGUCGGAUAAUUCAUUAAAUACCCAAAUGCAAAUUCCGAAAAAGGUUAUCAUUGCUUUUCACUUGCUGCAAUUGAUACACAUGAGUGCUUAAUUUGAUGUUUGUGAUUGACAGAUUUUGAUGAAUACUGUACUACCANNNNNNNNNNNNNNNNNNNNNNNNNNNNNNNNNNNNNNNNNNNNNNNNNNNNNNNNNNNNNNNNNNNNNNNNNNNNNNNNNNNNNNNNNNNNNNNNNNNNNNNNNNNNNNNNNNNNNNNNNNNNNNNNNNNNNNNNNNNNNNNNNNNNNNNNNNNNNNNNNNNNNNNNNNNNNNNNNNNNNNNNNNNNNNNNNNNNNNNNNNNNNNNNNNNNNNNNNNNNNNNNNNNNNNNNNNNNNNNNNNNNNNNNNNNNNNNNNNNNNNNNNNNNNNNNNNNNNNNNNNNNNNNNNNNNNNNNNNNNNNNNNNNNNNNNNNNNNNNNNNNNNNNNNNNNNNNNNNNNNNNNNNNNNNNNNNNNNNNNNNNNNNNNNNNNNNNNNNNNNNNNNNNNNNNNNNNNNNNNNNNNNNNNNNNNNNNNNNNNNNNNNNNNNNNNNNNNNNNNNNNNNNNNNNNNNNNNNNNNNNNNNNNNNNNNNNNNNNNNNNNNNNNNNNNNNNNNNNNNNNNNNNNNNNNNNNNNNNNNNNNNNNNNNNNNNNNNNNNNNNNNNNNNNNNNNNNNNNNNNNNNNNNNNNNNNNNNNNNNNNNNNNNNNNNNNNNNNNNNNNNNNNNNNNNNNNNNNNNNNNNNNNNNNNNNNNNNNNNNNNNNNNNNNNNNNNNNNNNNNNNNNNNNNNNNNNNNNNNNNNNNNNNNNNNNNNNNNNNNNNNNNNNNNNNNNNNNNNNNNNNNNNNNNNNNNNNNNNNNNNNNNNNNNNNNNNNNNNNNNNNNNNNNNNNNNNNNNNNNNNNNNNNNNNNNNNNNNNNNNNNNNNNNNNNNNNNNNNNNNNNNNNNNNNNNNNNNNNNNNNNNNNNNNNNNNNNNNNNNNNNNNNNNNNNNNNNNNNNNNNNNNNNNNNNNNNNNNNNNNNNNNNNNNNNNNNNNNNNNNNNNNNNNNNNNNNNNNNNNNNNNNNNNNNNNNNNNNNNNNNNNNNNNNNNNNNNNNNNNNNNNNNNNNNNNNNNNNNNNNNNNNNNNNNNNNNNNNNNNNNNNNNNNNNNNNNNNNNNNNNNNNNNNNNNNNNNNNNNNNNNNNNNNNNNNNNNNNNNNNNNNNNNNNNNNNNNNNNNNNNNNNNNNNNNNNNNNNNNNNNNNNNNNNNNNNNNNNNNNNNNNNNNNNNNNNNNNNNNNNNNNNNNNNNNNNNNNNNNNNNNNNNNNNNNNNNNNNNNNNNNNNNNNNNNNNNNNNNNNNNNNNNNNNNNNNNNNNNNNNNNNNNNNNNNNNNNNNNNNNNNNNNNNNNNNNNNNNNNNNNNNNNNNNNNNNNNNNNNNNNNNNNNNNNNNNNNNNNNNNNNNNNNNNNNNNNNNNNNNNNNNNNNNNNNNNNNNNNNNNNNNNNNNNNNNNNNNNNNNNNNNNNNNNNNNNNNNNNNNNNNNNNNNNNNNNNNNNNNNNNNNNNNNNNNNNNNNNNNNNNNNNNNNNNNNNNNNNNNNNNNNNNNNNNNNNNNNNNNNNNNNNNNNNNNNNNNNNNNNNNNNNNNNNNNNNNNNNNNNNNNNNNNNNNNNNNNNNNNNNNNNNNNNNNNNNNNNNNNNNNNNNNNNNNNNNNNNNNNNNNNNNNNNNNNNNNNNNNNNNNNNNNNNNNNNNNNNNNNNNNNNNNNNNNNNNNNNNNNNNNNNNNNNNNNNNNNNNNNNNNNNNNNNNNNNNNNNNNNNNNNNNNNNNNNNNNNNNNNNNNNNNNNNNNNNNNNNNNNNNNNNNNNNNNNNNNNNNNNNNNNNNNNNNNNNNNNNNNNNNNNNNNNNNNNNNNNNNNNNNNNNNNNNNNNNNNNNNNNNNNNNNNNNNNNNNNNNNNNNNNNNNNNNNNNNNNNNNNNNNNNNNNNNNNNNNNNNNNNNNNNNNNNNNNNNNNNNNNNNNNNNNNNNNNNNNNNNNNNNNNNNNNNNNNNNNNNNNNNNNNNNNNNNNNNNNNNNNNNNNNNNNNNNNNNNNNNNNNNNNNNNNNNNNNNNNNNNNNNNNNNNNNNNNNNNNNNNNNNNNNNNNNNNNNNNNNNNNNNNNNNNNNNNNNNNNNNNNNNNNNNNNNNNNNNNNNNNNNNNNNNNNNNNNNNNNNNNNNNNNNNNNNNNNNNNNNNNNNNNNNNNNNNNNNNNNNNNNNNNNNNNNNNNNNNNNNNNNNNNNNNNNNNNNNNNNNNNNNNNNNNNNNNNNNNNNNNNNNNNNNNNNNNNNNNNNNNNNNNNNNNNNNNNNNNNNNNNNNNNNNNNNNNNNNNNNNNNNNNNNNNNNNNNNNNNNNNNNNNNNNNNNNNNNNNNNNNNNNNNNNNNNNNNNNNNNNNNNNNNNNNNNNNNNNNNNNNNNNNNNNNNNNNNNNNNNNNNNNNNNNNNNNNNNNNNNNNNNNNNNNNNNNNNNNNNNNNNNNNNNNNNNNNNNNNNNNNNNNNNNNNNNNNNNNNNNNNNNNNNNNNNNNNNNNNNNNNNNNNNNNNNNNNNNNNNNNNNNNNNNNNNNNNNNNNNNNNNNNNNNNNNNNNNNNNNNNNNNNNNNNNNNNNNNNNNNNNNNNNNNNNNNNNNNNNNNNNNNNNNNNNNNNNNNNNNNNNNNNGAUUGAGCUGGUGUGACUGCAAUGGUAUAAUUAUUGCAUGUUUAAUUAUUGUACAUGCAUGUAUUAGCCAAUAAUUUUUGCUUCCCCAGAAAAUUCAACUGAUGGGGAUAAAUUGGAAAAACUUUCUCGUUGUCAUUUGCAUCAUCUGCAAUCAAGCGUUAGCAAGCGCAAUCGUGCUUGGUGUACAAUCAUUUUUACAAUAUUGUUGAUAACAUGCCAUGGGUCAUGUUGUCAUUGGAUAAUUUAAAAAACAAUUUAUAUUUCCUACUAACACUUUUAUGACAUAUACAACAUCGUCAACAAUGUUGUCAAAAAUCAUUGUACAAAUGGCAUUAUCCUAGCAAGAAACACAAGGCAUACGGUGAUGCAAAUAAUGGGCAUAAGCCAUUAGCAUACGGAGAAAAGCCAAGGAAGGCAGCAAACGUUCCUUUUGAUAUUUCCUUACUUGAUAAGUUGCUGUCAGCUUUCUUCCCUUCAUUUUUCUUCCUAAAAAAUAAUUUGUUAUUUGUACUCCUCAUACAUGUGGAAUUCAUGGAUCUUAGGAUAAUCCCAACGCCUAAAAUAUUCGUUGAUGACUUUUGCAUUCCCUAGGCUAAAUUUCACUGGUUUUGUUGAAGAUAUCUAUAUAUAUGUAGAUGAAUAAUACUAUUUUUUCGAGUGUAGAUGAUUUCCUUACGAUAGUAGAAUUUGUUGCUCAAUUCUACACUAAUGGUCAUUAGUUGCUUUCUUUGCCAUUUAUGCUUGUUUUCUUAUUAUAUUUCAUUUCGGGUUUAAUUUUAAUUUAGUGAUAUUAUGGUACAUGGUGUUUGUUAUACUGUGGCUAAGUUCUCAUUUUUAGGUACAUUUGGAUUCAUUAACAUUCUUUUACAUGGCUGUUCUUUAAAACUUAGCCAAAGAUGAUGUUGCAUGGUUGAAGUGGCAAGGUUUUCAUAUUUAGGUAGAAUCAUUUUUGUAUCUAAUACUAAGAGUUGUAACCAAAAUGGUUAAAGUAGGACAAAAGCUUUUACUUAGUGUUUCAUUAUGAUACAUGGAUUGAAAUUUAGAUCUAUCCUAUAACCUCUAUAACUGCAGAUAAUGUAUGUAUUAGAUAGUUUUCUCUUAUAAUUAAAUAUAUAUUAAAUUCUUUUGUCAAAGCAAUUAGUUACAAGGUGUAAGAAAUAUUAAUUUUGUAACAUAGAAUGGAGUUAAUUCGUGAAGUUUAUCAGUUAUUAAGUACUAUUAUUUUACAACAUGUUCAUUUUAAGAGAAUUGAUGUUACUUGAGAAAUUGAAGGAAUGCAUUUGUUGCGCCAAAAGGGGAUAAAGACUGAAUAGACAUAGGUAUUCUUUGACCUAACGAAAGAACUGAAAAAUACCAUGCAUGGUGUUUGAUUAAUAAAGUGCUUUCUCUGUGUUGUGGUAUAUCUUAUUGUCUGAUGCAGGCAAUAAGAUCACUAGGGAAAUGAGAGCUUUCCAAAAUACCAUAGAAUCUUGAAGGAAAUUCAAGUUUGAUUACUUCAGGUAUGUUAGUUUCUAUUUUUUGUUGUCAAUCUUCAAAUUGUUUGUUUUCUCUUUUCAGAAAAUUUAACAAACCGUUCCCAAAAUACCAGAAAAUUUCGACAAAAAUUGGACUCCGAGGACCUCGAGUAUCUUCCUUUAUUAUUUUUCUGUGUAUUUUUUGUUGAAUUAUCUUCAUAUCUACUCUGAAGUUUUCGUUCUUUUCCGUCUAUGUUUGAAGUUCUUUGCAAGGAAAGAAAAGAUUCACGUACAAAUUGAAGAGUAUCAAAAUAAGGUAUGUCGAUUUCAUAUUUGCCUUUAAUAAGGUAUGUCGAUUUCAUAUUUGCCUUUUUUUUUCUUUUUUUCAAAUAAAUCAUUCUCACUAUUUGUUAUCUGUUUGUAUUUUAUUUGAUUUCUCUAUUUCAUUUUAUUGCUUUUUGUUGGUUGUUUAACCUAUUCGGCGUUCGUCGCAACUUGUACAAAUAAACCAUGACAAGAAUAUUGUACUUGUAAAUAGGUAAUAUUAUUUCAUUUUUUAGAUAGUAAUUAUGAAUAGGGAGAGGAGAAAGCGAUUAAACUAUUCACAUUCUCCUCUGUGAUUCCUAACAACAAAGGACUGAUGACUCUAUCGAGAAACAAAAGUAGCAACUUCAGAAGGAAAGAAUUGAAUCAAAUUGCCAUUAAUUUUUUUUGGUAAUAAAUGAAUUAAAUUUCGGUUAUUUUGUUAAUUAAUUUAGUGUUGAUUGAUUUUUUUUUUUUACCGUAUUUUAUCUUUAAAUACAUAUGCAAUCAUUUGUGCCAAAAGACAAAAGUGAAAAUUGAUGGGGUUUUAUUUUUUUUUUUUUUAUUUUUUAAAUGGGUUUGCAUUGUGUUAGAAAUGGGAAGGAUUUUGACACCAAACCGUCUGAUUAUGGAGAAAAGAUAAUAAGUUAAGAAAGAACGGGAAGUUAUUUAAAAAAUUUCAAGUUUUUUCAUAUUAUGUAGGAGAUGGGAUUUCUAUUUUUCUGGCAGAAUUUUCAUCAAUUGUCCAAAUUCAUUUGUCAAUGAGGUAAUUGCUAUUCCAUUAUGCCACAUACAAAGGAUAGAUUUUUGAAUCAAUUUUCGUCUAAGGAUUUGGUUCUAUGGUGUCUCAAAUCCAUGCAUUCGCUGCAUAGUUCUAGCCAGUAGUUCUUAGCCAAAGAGAAUAAACAUUCUAUAACUAUUUAUGAUAAAUAUGAAAUUCACUCAUUUGCUUAUGAGCUGCAUUAUUUAGAAAUAGAUUUUUUUUCCCUCUCUCAUUUUCCCUUCAAAACUCCAUUUUCUCCCCUCUUUUCCUUUUUUUGGAUGGAAAUUUUUUUAAUGGAAUUAUCCUUUUCAGACUUAGAAUCUGAUAUAAUCAUUUUCUUAUAUCUUCGAAAGACAAUCAGGUAUGACUUUUAGAUUUCCUUUUGUAAAAAUCUUAUGUUGCAAUGCUAUUGGAAUUUCAAUGAAAGAGAAUUUUUCUAAUACCCUUUUUUUCUUUUUUUAUGGAGAUUGUAUAUUCACCCAAUGGCUAUUAUUUCGAUUAUUUGUUUAAAUUUUUUUGUGUUAAGGUUGCAAUUUUUUUUGCCUUUUGGAAAUCACUUAAUGGGGUUGUCAGUCUCUUUUCUUGAUUUAAAUAUCUCUCAGGACUUAAUUUGAAGGCAUGCAUUAUGUGAGAACAUGUGAAGGAAGUGAUAAUAUUUUAAUGUAGGGUUUUGAAGAAGUUCAAAGACAAGAUAUCUGAGUUCCAGGUAAAUUAGAUACACAAUAUAAUGGAAAGGUUUGAAUUUCUUCCAAUUCUUCUUUCCAUUUCUCAUUAUCUCUUAAUAAUAAUUUUCUAUAGGCUUUAAGACAAAACAUCCAUCGAGAGUAUCGUGAAAGUUGUCAAGAGGCGUGUAUUCACAGGUUUAACCCUUAUUAUAUGAAAUGAACUUGUGUAACUCUGUGUAAUAGGUUCCUUUCUCUUUAUUCAAUUAACAAUUUCCUUUUUCAUGAACCUCAGUGACAGAAAGUCAAGCUAAUGAAGAGGUAAAACUUGCAACCACGUUUUUAUUCUAAUAAUUAGAAUGUCAUGGACAGGUUUCUCAUUGCUCAAAUGUUUUGCCGCAGACAAUUGAUAAUUGACCAGGACUGGGGAUAGUGAACAAAUCCUUAUGACAUUGUUGUUAUGUGUUAAUUGUCUCAAUGGCAUAUUUCUAUUUACAUAUCUAUAUUAAGGAAGUUAGGACUAUUGGAAUGCUACAUGUUGCAACUUAUAAGCUCAAAUUAAUAAGCAAGUAUGAAAAUAAAGCUUAAUAUCUCAUGGCUGAAAAUAAUCGUUUAUUAGAUUCACGUAUUAUAAUUUUCUGGAUGUAUUCAUCUGUUGUUUUGGUUCCAUUAAGCAUGUGACUUCGGGAUUGCCUCCUCUAAAAUUUGUUCACAUCAAAGAGCAUUCCAUGUUUUAUUGUUAUUUAUUUUUGAAACUUUAACUAAUUCAACUAUGUAAUUAUGGCCCCAUUUGAUCUAUGUACAAGGUUCUGAGAAAUUAUAUAAUUGCAACUGUUGGAUUGUCAAAAGCUUCCACAUGUUGAGCUCGUUUUAAUUUUUCAGUAGAAUUUGAAUUGUAUAAAUGUUGUCUUUAGCAUUCCUCUCAAAACGUUUGUUUUUUUAUGUUUCAUGUAUUGCUUUUUCUUAAGAGUUAUUUAGUUUUACUAGCUUCUUUUUUAAUACAUUGGUCCUAAAAUGGUUUUCUACAAUUUCCUUUGUAACAGGCAAGCUUAGUUACUAGCACCACAAGUUACCAUGUUCCACCACAAAAGUAAUUGUCAAAGUGAUUAGGCGAGUGAUGACCUGAGCAUGAACACGUGGAUAGUUAGGAACAUCUCCCAUUGUCAUUCAAAAACCAUAUUACUAGGAUUCAAGGUAAGUAUACCUCACAUUGUCUUCAUGUGCAUAUUUAAUUAUUAAAUGUAUAAAUGUGUUACUUAAAUUUGUUAUUAUGUGAUCUUGAUAUUUAAUUAUUUCGUUUUAUGUCAUUAAUGCUUCUUUAUGACAUAUUCAUACACAUCAAUGCAUCCAUAAGCAUACAAGAAGUUCCAAGAAAAAAUGAAAGUUUCCAAAUGUUAAUGAAGCAAGGAAUGUUUUUAAAGAUAUAUAUCUCGAAUAUUUUCUUACGAGGUGUAUAUCUAUGUCAUGAAGGGUGUGAGUGGGGAACCGGCACACCCGACUAAUGUUCAAUGAUAAUGUUAAUGUUAUUCGUUUUGUGGACCUAUUGGUAGGACUCGAUCGUGUUCCAAAUAAUAAAUGUACACUGCAUUUUGAUUGGCUAGGUGAUACAUCAAGUGAGCUCACGACGUCAAUAUUAAAUUUUUUUUUUUUUUUAAAAAUGAAUGAAAGAGGAUACAUAUUGAGGAAUGAUUUUAUCUUAAAAUAAUUCAUGUGCAUAUCAUAAGCAUAUAUCAUAUGCAUGAGAUUUGCUUCCUAAGCGUUCGCUCAUUUCACGUUAUUCCUCCCAAUUUUUAGAUAAUGAAGGCAACAAUUCAAGACGAUUACUUGUGGUGCAAUGGAUUGAGUACUAAUAUAUUCAAAAAUUGACUCCUUUUAGAAUAUAAAGUUAACAUUUAAUUUUAUUGUUUUUUAAAUUUAAGUGUAAAAGUUUUCUACAAGUUACGCUCAUAAACGAAGUUAAUAAUGUUCAUUAUAUCAAAGAAAAAUUUCGUUGCUUCCGCAUUUAUAAUUUUAAUAGAAAACCUUUAGCACCAUAUCUUAAGACAUCGAGGAUGUCUAGGAUCCAGGCCCCCCCCCCCCCCCCCCCCCCUUCCCCCCANNNNNNNNNNNNNNNNNNNNNNNNNNNNNNNNNNNNNNNNNNNNNNNNNNNNNNNNNNNNNNNNNNNNNNNNNNNNNNNNNNNNNNNNNNNNNNNNNNNNNNNNNNNNNNNNNNNNNNNNNNNNNNNNNNNNNNNNNNNNNNNNNNNNNNNNNNNNNNNNNNNNNNNNNNNNNNNNNNNNNNNNNNNNNNNNNNNNNNNNNNNNNNNNNNNNNNNNNNNNNNNNNNNNNNNNNNNNNNNNNNNNNNNNNNNNNNNNNNNNNNNNNNNNNNNNNNNNNNNNNNNNNNNNNNNNNNNNNNNNNNNNNNNNNNNNNNNNNNNNNNNNNNNNNUUUUUUUUUUUUUUCAAUUAGGGGCAAAAAACGACGCCGUUUGCUUGAUAUAUAUUUUAUUUUAUUGUACACUACCUCCAAAUUUACUGCAACAUGCAAUUUUCAUUCUUCGCCUACUUCGAUAUAGAUAUAUAUAGUAGAGAUAUAAGAAAAAUACCACUUUUAUAUUAAAAAAAAAAUAAAAAAAGAUAGAGAUAAUAUAGGACUGAAUUUUUUUUACAACAUAUUACUUGUAAGUAAAAAAAUUGAAGAGAAACGAAUUAAAGAGAAUUUUAAAUUGAAAAAAAAAUUAUAACGUAAAAACUACACAGCAAAAAAAAAAAGUAAGUAAUCUCUUCGUGCAUGGAGCAAAAGCUCCCGUGCAUGGAGACAUUAGUCAUUUUUUAUUUUCCAUUUUGUUUAUGUCAAACAAAUGUUCUUCUACACAUCAUGUCAUUAGCAUUAAAAAAUAAUAAUAAUUUUAGUAAAUAUAAAUUACCACGAGCAAAAAAAAAAAACUCCUCUCCACACAAUGCGGAGAGAUGGCAAACCAUGUGCGUAGAGUUGACAAACUCUCUGUACAGUGAGAAGUUAAAAAAAAAUUUAUAAAUUUUUUUUUAUUACAAUUAACAUAAAAAAAUCAUUUUUAUCUUCAACAAAAAAACACAUUUAAAAAUUAGCAAUUUCAUAAUCACUUUUUUUUUAUUCCCGAAAAUACAAUUAUAAAAAAGAAAAUAAUAUUGAAUUAUAAAAACCAAUAUCUGCGAAAUACGGUAUCUAAAGACAAUAUGUGCAAAUACGGUAUGAUGUAAAUACAGUAUGAUGCAAAUAUGAUAUACUGUAUAUAUAGUAUGAUACAAAUACGAUAUGUUGUAAAUACGAUAUGAUGCAAAUAUGGUACGCUGUAAAUACGGUGUGCUGCAUAUACGGUAUAAUGCAAAUACAGUAUGAUGCAAAUACGGUAUGCUGUAAAUACGGUGUGCUGCAUAUACGGUAUGAUGCAAAUAUAAUAUGCUGCAUAUACGGUACGUUGUAAAUAUGGUAUGCGUAAAUACGGUAUAUUACAUGUAUGAUAUAUAUAAUGCAUAUGCGGUAUGAAUAAAUCCGGUUUCAUCCACUACAAUAAAUUUCAAUACCAUAUAUGCUGUCUUUCGUAUUUGCAGUUUACCAUAUAUGCAGCCUACCGUAUUUGCAGGCAACUUACCGUAUAUGCUACCUACUUUAUGUGCAGCUUAUCGUAUAUACCAUUUUUGCACUUACAAAUACCGAGAGUGCAGAACACCAUACAUUCACUUAUCAAACGAAUGUCAGAAAAAAAUUUCAGAUUUUUACUUUUCAACAUAAGCAUAAAAUAAAUAUUAAAAUAUAUGAAAGACAAAAUAUAAAACGCAUAUAAAUAUGCAAGUUGAUUUAUAAUUAUGCAGUGGCACAUAUUAUACAUUUAAAAUUUCUUAUGUCGGUGCAAAAUAACUUUGAAGUCAUUCUAGAGCAAAUUAAACCACUGCAAUGUCUAUUCUAGAAAUACAAUUGUGCAAAUUAAUAUGAAUUAAAUCUACAUUACAUUGGACUUGGAUUUAUUUAUAACAAAUAUUGGUGAUUAGUCUAAAGACAAUAUGUGCAAAUACGGUAUGCUAUAUACUAUAUGUUAUAGUUAAGAUAUAACAUACUAUACGUAUAUGUUAUAAUACAAUGUUUAGCAUAAUAUAAUGAGAAAUUAUUGUUGUACAAUUUUUUUUUGUUAUAUUACAGCAAAAUGCAUAUUACAACAUAUAACUUACCGUAUGUGCUCUAAUACAAUCUGUGCGGCGACUUUCUAUUUUUUUUAAAAUUUAAUCAUGUAACCUAAUAUUUGUUUAGUUUGUUAUUUUAUUAAUUAAAAAUAUGUAUUAAAUCUAAUAACAAAAUAUAAUUACAAGAAUAAGUUUAAUUUCAAUAUAAUAAAAAAAAUUUCGAGGAAAUAAUCAUUGCUAACAACAAAAGAAUCUAAAAAAAUGAAGAAGACAAAAACGAAAAAAGUAAAAUUUGUGAAAAGAAGAAAAUGAAAACAUGAUACCAAAAAAUUUGGCAUUAUUGUUUGAAUGAGAAAUGUUUUAUUGAUACACAAAAGACUUUUGCAGUCACCAGGUUAAAAGUAUAGAUUUAUUGUGUUGUGAAUUUUUUUUAAAUAAUCGUAGUAAAUCUUCUUGUUACGAUAAUAAAAUUACAAUAAUUUUUUUUUUACAAAUAGCAUAAAAAAAUCAUUUUUAUCUUCAACAAAAAACACAUGUAAAAAUUUUCAAUUUCAUAAUCACCUUUUUUUUUAAAUUCCCCAAAAUAAAAUUAUAAAAAAGAAAACAAUAUUGAAUUACAAAAACCAAUAUCUGCCAAAUACGGUAUCUAAAGACAAUAUGUGCAAAUAUGGUAUGCUGUAAAUAUGGUAUGAUGCAAAUACAGUAUGCUGUAAAUACGAUCUGAUUCAAAUACGGUAUGCUGUAAAUACGAUAUGCUGCAUAUAUGGUAAGCUGCAAAUACGGUAUGCGUAAAUACGGUAUGUGGCAUAUAUGAUAUGUAAAGUGCAUAUACGGUAUGAAUGAAUCCGGUUUCAUCCACUACAAUAAAUUUCAAUACCGUAUAUGCUGUCUACCGUAUUUGCAGCCUACAAUAUAUAUAGUCUACCGUAUUUGUAGGCAACUUACCGUAUAUGCUACCUACCGUAUUGCAGCUUACCGUAUAUACUGAUUUUUGCGCUUACAAAUACUGAGAAUGCAAAACAUCAUACAUUCACUUAUCAAACCGAAUGUCAGAAAAAAAAUUUCAUAUUUUUAUUUUUUCAACAUAAGCAUAAAAUAAAUAUUAAAAUAUAUGAUGCUCAAUCUUCAAUUUUUCAAUAUUGAAUUACACAAAUUUUAGAAAUAUAAUGUUCACAUUCAAUUCAAUCAUAUCAACACUAUCAAAGAAUACAGGCAAAAUAGUUUGUAUAACCUCGUAUAUUUCUUAUUUAAGUAUGAAAUAUACAAGCAUAUUUUUUUAGAUAACACAAUACUGUUGUAAUUGUAAAAAUAAUUUGCAAUCAUUUUCUUAUAUCAUGAAAAUAUUUCUAGAUAUUACUUCAAAAACUUUCCAAAAAACUAAAAUUCAUAAGCUAAUAAAAAUAUGAUAAAUACAAAAUUCGUGCAACGCACAUGACAGCGACUAGUAUGAAGAAAAAGGGCAAAUGACUAACCUAUUCAAUGUAGUGAAGUGGCUCUUGUAUUCAAUGUUCACAUGCCCAAGAUGGGUUCAAUUCCCAACAUUGUGAAAUUAAUUUUUCCUCCAAUUUUCGGGGCGAUUUUGAGGUGGAAACCUUGUUCCCUUGUAGUGUCUCUACACGAGAUAAGAACUCUUUUCCUAGCCGGGCCAGCCUACCCUAAUUCCUCGAUUAAUCAAGAAUUUUCUGUUAUUUAGGAUAGUCCUUGUUGGCAUCAAGACAAUCGAAAAUAAUUGUCAUCCUAACCUAAAAUAUCAUUUUUGAAUGUUGAGACCCGAAACCAUAUUAAUUCAAAUGUUAUCUAGCACAAAUCUAAUUUUUCUCAUAUUGAAUAGAAAUUCACGUGCCCACCUUUAAACAAAACAAUUGUAGAAGAAAAAUCAAGAAAAUAUAAAGAAUAUCGCAAAAUUCACUUAAAGGCCACUGCCUCCCACUACUGGGCAAAUCUCCUGAAUCGAACCGAAUCGAACCUGACGGUUCUUCUCAAAUUAAAUACCCAAACGGGUAUCUGAAUUAAGAACUGACGGGUACGAUUCGGUUCUCGAUUCUAGACGAAGAACCGAAUAUUCCUAAUUUUUAUUUUUUUAUAUUGAAUAAAUCAAAUUAUUUUAAUUUUUUCCAAACAAAUUAACAAAUUAGGUGAUUAAUUGAUACUUUAUCUCCUAAGCCCUAGCCUAGCUAGCUUGACCUAACCCAACCAAUUUCUAAAUCCAAUUUUUUGGCCCAAUUAUUUGUUUCAUUUCUAUUUUUUUAAUUUUUAGCCCAAGUGUCAUUUUUAGUUUUUAUUCUUCCAUUUUUUUAGCCCAACAUCCAAGUGAUCCAACCCACUAGUGACUAACCCUAAAUAAAUUACACACAUUAUCACCUACACAUAACACAUUUGACAUUCCAAAACUCAAAUAGAUGUAUAGAACCUCCGACUUCGAGUCCGAAGCUAUGACCUCCGGGCUCCGAUGACGACCUUUGACCGUUGAUUAUUUGAAUAAGGUAGUGUGUAAGCUUUCCUAUAUGUGAUUGGUAAAUUAAUCUUGUUGGACAACUUGUUAUAUACAUGUCAAAUUGGAUUACGUUAAUUUAUAAAAUUACGAUUGAAUGUGUUAUUAGUUGUAUUUAUAUAGUGUUGUUAUAAAUGUUAAAAAAUUUAAUUAUAUAGUACAGAACAGAACCGAACCGAACGGAACUGAACCCGAACGGUUCCAUAAUUAUAUUUGGACCCGACAGUUCUAUUUACUAAAUAUCCAAAAUUUUUGGUUCGGUUCUCUAGUGUGUAAGCUUUCCUAUAUGUGAUUGGUAAAUUAAUCUUGUUGGACAACUUGUUAUAUACAUGUCAAAUUGGAUUACGUUAAUUUAUAAAAUUACGAUUGAAUGUGUUAUUAGUUGUAUUUAUAUAGUGUUGUUAUAAAUGUUAAAAAAUUUAAUUAUAUAGUACAGAACAGAACCGAACCGAACGGAACUGAACCCGAACGGUUCCAUAAUUAUAUUUGGACCCGACAGUUCUAUUUACUAAAUAUCCAAAAUUUUUGGUUUGAUUCGGUUCACUUUAAAAUCGAACCGAACCGACUUACGCCCAGGCCUAAUCAUAACAAUAAUUAUAUACAUCUCUACCUUAUUUCAAUACCAUUCCUUUCACACCAUGUGGGACCCAUCUUUAAACUAAUGGUCAAAAAUUGAUUUUCAAAAUAAGCUCCUAACAGGUUCAUAGAGGUAUAAUCAUUAGGCCCUUAUUAAGCCGAGUUACGAACAAUUUUUUUUUUCAAAAUUAGUUUUAAAAUAAAUAAAGUUUAUCUUUUGUAUAUAGGUGGUCGUGGACCAUGAGCCUCUACCUAAGUCCAAGUGGUGUGGUCUCGAGCCUUGGCGGCUAGGUGCACAUUUAUUUUUCUAGUUUUGAAUCAUCCGUAUAGUAAUUAAUUCACAUGCAGAUGCUUAGUUAUAUGCAGACAAGAUGAUCCUCCAUUAAUUUACACAAAUGGAACGAUUCCAACCAUUCGAAACUUGUGCUAUUUGAUGAUGAUAUUAAAUGGUGCUAAAAAAUAUGUCAUUUCAUAUGUGAAUCUAUUCAUAGAUCUUAUCUACACAACUAACACAUCAUAAUCAAUGACUGUCAUUACAAUAUUGCGUGACAAAUUAUCGAACUUUCACAUAACAUUAUUUAGGAAAUCUUUCUUUUGACUUUAUGUUUCAUUGUAAUAAUCUAAAGAUCUCAUGAAUCCAUUUCGAAAAUAGAACAUGACUUCAAUUCAAUUUGGCAAUUUAUACUAAUCUAUCUUUUAAUUUGAGGAAUUUCCUUUAUAUUUUCUUGCUUAACAUAAAUAUACUUUGCAUUUUUAAUUUCCAGCCUAUUUCAUUAUUUUAAUUUUGUGAUUGUCAUCAACAAUGAAACGAAUACUAGUUUUAUUGAAACAAUCUUUCAUGCCUAAUUAAUUUAAUCCUUGAGCAAUAAAAAUCAUAUUUCUUUUGGAAUUUAUGGUUGGAAUGUGAAAUAAGAAUCACCCGAAAAAUAAAAAUAAAAUCAAUUUAAGAAAUCAAGAUCGUUACUGGAUGUUUACAUGUAAAUUUAAUCAAUAAAUAAAAAAUAUCUAAAAUUUACCCAAAUUCGAUAAUUAAUUCUUAAAUCAGAUAUGAAUAGCGAAAUUUCAGUCUUUUGAAUUGUGAAAUUUCAAUUUUGAUUCCAAUAAUUUGAUUUAAGUUUCAAGCCUUCUAUUCAUCAAAAUCAAGAUUACACUAGUGUGUGGACAUCUUCUUUUAAUUACACCAAAAAUUAAAUUAUAGACCUUAGAAAAAUCACUUCAAUCCAUAUAAACUUUUGGUAAAAGUUUAAAAUAUCUACUCAAUAAAUCUUAAUGUCUCUUAUGAUUUUUAUAGUGCUAUGUUGAUUUCCAAAGGGAGUACUAUUUCAUGUUUGACAAUACAUCGUUUUCACAACUAACACCAACAAUUUUAUUUAAUUUCUAAAUUAAAAAAGGAGAUGCUAUUUACAUCCACCAUUAUUAUAUUUAUCUACUUUAAAAAAGAAAAUUAUAUUAUAUUUUUAACCUUAUGUAAAUUUACUUAAAUAUCAUUAUAAAAUUAAAUAAAAAUAUAUUAGUCUAAAUUUAUCCACUAAUAUUUAUUUUCAUUAAAUUCUUCUGGACUUUUUAUAUUCUUUUAAAUUUAUGUUUAAAUAAAAUUCUAAUAUUUAUAAAAUAUCCUCUUCGACUAUAGUCAAAACAACAAUGAAAGACACAUCAUAAGGGCAAAUGCAUAUAGACAUAACAAUAUAUGAAAAAAGAAUUUGAAAAAGUAGGAUUGCCUUUCAUUGUAAGCAUAAUGAAUUUAGUAUGUGAACAAUUCUUAAUUUUUGUUUGGAGUUUUGAUAAUAUGCAUUUUAAACUCAAGUUGUAUCAGUAAGAAAUUUUAUUACAAAUUAUUUUAGUUUUCUGUUGAGAUUAUCUUUUUUUCUCUAAAUUUUUUGAAUUAAAAAUAUUGAUAGUUAUAUUUUCUGUUGGGAUUAGUAAAACAAGAAUUUGAGUUUCCUGCAGGGAUUAUCUCUUUCUUUUUUCCCCUUUCUUUCUUUCUUUCUUGAUUUUCUUUCUAUGGAUUUAUAAGGACAAUUUUGAAAUAUAGUGCUUGUUUGGUAGGGAAUUUUGAUAAUAUAUAUAUGUCCCGUUUGGGAGUGAUUUUUCACCCCAAAAAUAUGAUUUUUUGAUUGUUAUUUUAUUAUUCCAAUCAUAAUUUUUGACUUCUUCUUUCACAGGUGGCUCCCACAUUUUUCCUAACGAUUAAAAAAUCAAUUUUCAAAAUCACUAUCGAAUAUGCCUAUAGAGUGUAAUAAAUAUAUAUCUAAUAAUGAGAGUAAACAGCGACUCUAUAAAAACUAUGACUCUUUGAAUGAACAUAUAUUAUUGAAUGACAAAUAAAGUACUAUAAGUUACAAGAUUAUUCCAAAAAAUGUGAGACUCUAGUUGCACAAUUUGAAUAAAAUUCCAGCAACAGUGACAUUAACUUUGAAAGGGACUCAAUUUUUUUUAUUUUUUUUUCAUUACUAUCUGUGAGGUGACACACUUUUUUAUCCUUAAUUUCAACGACACUUAAAAUAAUUCAUGACAUAUAUUUUUAUAUAUCAUACAAUGUCAACCUUAAUGUAUGCAUAGUUGAUAAAAUAUACAAAUAGCAUUUUCCUUUGAAUAAAUGCGUAAAUAAAUAUUUUCCAAAUAAUUAUUCCAAAAAGGAUUAGUCAAAAUAAAUUGAGAUUGUGGUUGCACGAUUUUGGAUGUUUGGACUUCCUGAAUAAUUGUAAAAAUGUUAAGUUAAUUCGAAGAGCUUUGCUGGGCCACACAAUCCAUUGUUAUUGAUCAGUUUCACUGUUGCCUUCAUCGUGUUCUUUGACCCCACCAUGUUGAUUAAUUGAACCAAUGAAAUUUCUCCGUGUUCAUUGACCCCACCAUUUUGUAUAAUUGAACCCAACCACUGUUGGGUUCAAUUAUUGAUCAGUUUGCUGGGCCAGAUGGAUGCUUGGGUUCAAUUAUUGAUCAGAGACAAUCCAUUGUUAUUGAUCAGUUUCACUGUUGCGAUCAUCGUGUUCUUUGACCCCACCAUGUUGAUUAAUUGAAACCAAUGAAAUUUCUCCGUGUUCAUUGACCCCACCAUUUUGUAUAAUUGAACCCAACAACCAGCAGACGACUUUCAUUUAUACAUUAUACAAGUCAAUCUCACUUGCAUUCAUCCCUCUUAACUCUUGCUUCCUAUCUUACAAAAAAGAUAAUAAUGGCUGUAAUCGAAGUUUUUCUAGGUGCAGUUCUCACUGUUUUGCUUGAGAAGCUGGCCUCUGGUGAGCUACUGAAAUUUCUGCGUCAUGUAGGAAUCGACGCCCAGCUGGUAGAAUGGAAGACAACUUUGAAGAGGAUCCAGGCAGUGCUUACUGAUGCUGAAAACAAGCAAACAACGGACAAAGAUGUGAAAGAGUGGCUAAUUGAUCUGGAAGAUUUGGCUCUUGAUCUUGAAGACUUAGUGGAUGAGUUGAAUACUGAAGCCUUGCAGCGCAAAUUAAAGGAAAAUAAAGGCAGCACCAGUAAGGUAAAAAAGCUCGUCCCCACUUGUUGUACUAAUCUUUCUUUCACUGAUUUCAUGUCUGAUCGCGGGAUUGCUUCCAAGCUAAAAGAGGUCAGUGGCCGGUUGAAAGAUCUGGAAGAACAGAAAAAAUUUCUCGAUUUGGUGGAAAAUGUAAGGGGAAGGUCUUAUGGAAGAUUGCCAACAACUUCGCUCGUGGUAGAAUCGAAAGUUCAUGGAAGAGAGAAGGACAAGGAGGAAAUACUGAAUAUCUUAUUUGGUGUUGAAUCAAAUGAUAGUCAAAUAUCCGUGAUUCCAAUUGUGGGCAUGGGAGGUAUCGGCAAAACAACUCUGGCCCAACUUGUGUAUAAUGAUGAAAGAUUGAAGGACAAGUUUGAUCUUAAGGGAUGGGCUUACGUUUCGGAGGAAUUUGAUGCUGUAAAAGUAACAAAAAACAUUCUUGAGUCAGUUUCUUCUGGUGGAAAGUGUGAUUAUGAAAAUUUUGACACGCUUCAGAACAAACUAAAGGAGAGCCUUUCAAACAAGAAAUUUCUAGUAGUUCUAGAUGAUAUUUGGCAUGAAAAUUACGAAGAUUGGGAGAUCCUAAGCCGUCCUUUUCUUGCUGGAAAACCUGGAAGCACAAUCAUCAUUACCACUCGACAAGAAAGGGUGGCCAAAAUCAUGUCUGAAAUUCCAGCAUACAAUCUGGAUCUGUUAUCAGAGGGCGAUGCUUUAUCAUUGCUAGCUCAACAUGCAUUUGGAGCUAAAACUUUUGACGGUCAUCCAGCUUUAAUAGAGAUUGGUAAGUCUAUGGUAAGAAGAUGUAAGAUGUUGCCCCUGGCAGUAAAGGCCCUUGGGGGGCUUCUUCGAGUUGGUCGUGAAGAUUGGGAAAAGGUGUUGAAAAGUGAAAUCUGGAUGAAUGAAGAAAAUAUUGGAAUUCUUCCUGCUCUAAAACUGAGUUAUCACCAUCUUCCUCCGGAAUUGAAAAGAUGCUUUGGUUACUGUGCUCUCUUUCCCAAGGACUACGAAUUUGACAAGUUCCAACUAGUGUACUUUUGGAUGGCUGAAGGUCUUCUGCAGGAAACAAAGAAAGAUAAGUUAAUUGAAGAUGUUGGUAGUCAAUAUUUUGAUGAACUAUUGGCUAGAUCAUUCUUCCAACAAUCAAGUGCCAAUGCUUCACGCUUUGUGAUGCACGACCUCUUUAACGAUCUAGCUAUGUCUGUUGCUGGUGAUAAAUGUUUGAGGAUGGAUGAUGAACUGCAGGAGAUUUCUGUAAAGGUCCGUCACUUGUCAUUCAAGCGCAGGAUGUUUGAAACUUAUCCUAGAUUUAACUUUCUUGACAAAGUUCAAAAGUUGAGAACCUUUUUGCCACUACCUGUUGAGGCGUCAUUUAAUUACUUAUCCCAAAGAAAUUUGCUUCACCUAUUCGCAAAUUCAUACUGCUUAAGAGUGCUAUCCUUGAAUGGUUAUGCCAUAUAUGAGUUGCCAGAUUCUAUUGGUGAUUUAAGACAUUUAAGAUACCUGGGCCUAGCUGGAACAAGACUGAGGUGGUUGCCUGAAUCUGUGUGCACUCUUAUCAAUUUACAAGUGUUGAUUCUAAGUGGUUGUAGUAGACUUACCAAAUUACCCACAAGCAUGGAAAAUCUUGUUAAACUUCGGUAUCUGGACAUUACUCAUACUUGCAAUUUACAUGAGAUGCCUCAGGGAAUUGCUCAACUAACAAGUUUGCGAACGUUAACUAAGGUGACUGCAAGUAAAAAUAAUGGAAUGAGUUUAAAGGAGUUGGGCAAUCUAUCAUUUCUACAAGGUAAUAUUUCUAUUGAGGAAUUGCAAAAUGUUGUGAAUGUUAAAGAAGCAACGGAAGCAAGGCUAAUGGAUAAGCCAAGCCUCAACGGAAUAAGGUUGGAAUGGAGCGCAGGCUUUGAUGAUCCUCGGAAUAAAAUUUUAGAAUUGAAUGUGCUUAAUGCAUUAAAGCCCCAUAAGAACUUAUCAACACUUGAAAUCAAGUAUUACGGGGGUGAGAAUUUCUCUAAUUGGAUUGAAGAUUCAGCAUUCCUUAAGUUAGCAAGGAUAAGCUUUGAAUAUUGUAAAAAUUGCACGAUUUUGCCACCAUUAGGGCAACUACCUUUGCUAAGAGACUUAAGCAUUCGAGGCAUUGAUCAAGUAAAAGUGAUUGGAGCUGAAUUUUAUGGAAAUAGAGGCCAUGGAGAAUUACCUUUUCCAUCACUCAUUAAUCUGACUUUUAGUGACAUGUCUAACUGGGAGGAAUGGGUUGGAAUAGGAGGUGUUAUCCAACUUCCUAAGCUAUGCUCAUUGAUUAUAACUGAUUGUUCAAAAUUGGUCAGUCUUCCAAAUCUUUUACUGCCAUCCCUACGUCACAUAAAUGCUGCUGGGUGUAAUGAGGUGGUGCUAAAUAGUAUGCAGAAUUUGAAAUCUUUAACCAGCAUAAUAUUGUGUAGAAUUUUCGGAUUAACUUCAAUUAUCAAAGCAUUUGUACACUUUCCUUUUACACUUGAAAGUGUCACAGUUAAUGAAUGUCACAACCUUGUGACUCUAUGGCCAGGUGAUAGUACUGCACGAAACCUAGUUGACCUACAACGCGUGGAUAUUGACAGUUGUCCUCGGCUAUUGUCCCUUCAAGAGAUUGACGUUCUUCCCGAUCUUAGGAGACUUUAUAUAAGAAAUUGUGGAGCUCUGGAGUUGUUGCCUCAUAAAAUAUCUUGUCUUGAGAGAUUGUCUAUCAACAAAUGUCCAUCGUUAAGGACGAUGAUGAAGCUACAGAAUUGCAACAUCUCGCUCGAUUAUCUAAAAAUUUCUCGUGUGAAUUUGAAUUUGGCAAAUUUACUAGGCUCUGGCUCCAAUUACCAAAGUCUCACUCAUCUACAAAUACGGUCUUGUGAUGGUCUAGAAUUGUUUCCCAAUGGAGGCUUGCCCACACCAAAUUUAAAACUACUAAAGAUAAUUGAGUGUCAACAUCUCAAGUCGUUACCUGAUCGGAUGGAUCUACUUUCAUCCCUUUCGUUCCUGGGGGUGUCUUCUUGUGCUUCAUUGAAGGAACUCUUUCCCCAGGAGGAUAUUCCCCCAAAUCUGUGUCACCUUGAUAUCAGAAAUUGCGGAAAACUAAAACCCCCGGGGGAGUGGGGCCUACACAAACUCACCUCUCUUCAAACCUUUGAAUUUGGUGGAUGUCUAGAGCUGGUUUGCUUCACUAACAAUGCUGACGAAGAACACUGUGUGCUUCCUCCAUCUCUAACAGCUUUGUCGUUGGAUGACCUGCCGAAUCUCGAAACACUAUCAAGGGGCUUCCAAAGCCUCACCUUUCUUCAACAUUUAUGCAUCUCUAGAUGCCCAAAGCUUGAGGCGUUGCCUAUGGGAGACUAUCUUGAAAAGCUUUUGAGCCUUGACAUUCAAGGCUGCCCACUUCUUAAGAAACGGUGUUUGAAGAACAAAGGAGACUACUGGCCCAUCAUUGCUGACAUUCCGGUCGUCGAAAUUGAUUCCCGAUCCAUCUAUGAUCCAUGUCCAUGAAUUCAAUUACACGAGGUAACAGAUUUAAUUUGAUACCUAUGAAUCUCAACAUCAUUUCAUGCAAAACACUUCUCGACAUUUCUGUCAAUUUUGUUUUCAAACAGAAUGUGAAUUUUCUGCAGCAAAUAGUGGAUCUCCCUUUCUGCAAUAGCUAUUCAAGUGUUCAUGCCACUCUGUAUCUUAUAUUUGUGCUUCUGCUCUGCAGCAUAAAUCAAUAUCAGAGCCGAUGUACCAACAAUCAAGUAACUGAUCGGCUAUGGCGCUAAAAUUAGCCUCUUUUUGUACUAACAGUAAGAUUCUAUCAAAUAGAUAAAAUCGGAGUGAUAAUUGUUAGUCGAAUGUGGUUAAAUUAUUAAUAUUUUGAUUCGAUCUGCUUUAGCAAACUGGAAAUGCAUUGAUUUGACUUACUGUAUGUUUAUGCAUUUUUGGGUUUUUAUGUGGCAUGCGUUUUUAAACUUCUCUUGUAGAUUGGAGGUUCCUACGCCAUUUGAAUGGAACUAAUAAAAAUGACAUCGUUUUGGUGUAGGCAUUUUCUGAUUACUUGUAAGAACACAAGAUGGAAUGAAUGUGUCUCUUCAUUAGACCUUCAAGUAAGUUUUUUGUUCGAUUCUUUUGCGUUUUAAGUGUUUGUAUAAAUGCCUCAGUGAAAUUAUAUGGCUGGAUCUGUGACUGAAGCUAUGUUCUUGCCUUUAUUAUUAUUAUUAUUAUUAAUUUCAUGAUUUUAGUAAUAUUUUCUGAAUAAUUCUUUGAAUGAACUUUUCCUUUUGGGGGUUUCCUUCCAUAAAUGUCAAGAAAUCUGUUUAGUCUCUGAAAAUUGUCUUGACUGGCCAAAAAUCCUUUCUCGUGUGAUUUUGGUGUGGUUUAAGGUAUGAGGUACCAUGUUUUACAAUUGCUAUUUUAAAAAUUUUCUUGAUUUUAUUAGAUUAACCUCUGCCGAUUGUGUAUUACAUUCAUCCGUAUGAAUUGGAUGUUUUAAUCCAAUCUGAAGAUUUGAAUCAUUGCUUCACAAUUUCAUGCAAUUAAAUUAAGAAACCGAUUAAUUUUUUAUGUGAAUGCUUUUUAAUCGAAAACUUUAUUUCAAUUUGGAAAGUUCAAUCAUUUUAAGUUUGCAGUUAUACCUCUUGCUGGUAUGCAUUUUUUUAAUGUUAUUAAUUCAUUCUAAUUCUUAUGGAUUCUAUUUCUUUGUAUGGGACUUUUUCACUGGUUAUAAAUUUUGGCUUCUUUGAAUUUUCACUUUCGUAUUUAUUUAUUUAUUUAUUUAUUUUUGGUAAAUAUUUUAAAAAAUGAUUGAUAAUAUUGAAUUAUCCUAGACAUUCUAUAACAUAAUAAAUUGAUGUACUAAUUUGUUAAAUUCAAUUAUUCAGUAUUCUGUUUCUUAAUUUAGUUGAUCAAGUAGGUUAUUUUUUUUUUUUAUCCUAAUCUGGAAUAUAUGUGCUCAGAAUGUCGCUGUGAGCAUAUUGCCUGUCAAGAAGAAUCAUUUGAGUUGAGGACGAUAAGAUGUUACAUUUUUUAGCUAUGCUGUUUUUCAGCUUACUCCAACUUGAACUCGGUACAAUUUUAAUUUUUUGAAUUAAUUCAGUUUCCUUCAACUGAUGAAUUAUUGCAGUAUCAGUGUGAGUUUGUGUGGUUAUUUCAUAUUUGCCUGUGAUUUUGUAUUAAUCAUUUGAGUUGAAAUCCUGACUCGGAUUUAUAAUCAUUGUGGACCCAAAUUGCUGAUUUUAAGAUGUGUUUUUAUAGUAAACUAAUUGCUGAUGUCAAAAUUCUUUUCAUUAGUUUUGGGUUGAUUAGUUAAUAAGUUCUUCUGUCUUUUACUGUUUGGGGAUUCAGCAUGUGUUUCAUUAAUUGGUUCUAUUCUUUUUUUAUAUGGUAUGUACUGACUUCAAUUUGGCAAUUUCUUGGGGAUAUCUUUUUUGUCAAAUUGUAUUUUCACAGAGUUCAACUGUAAAAAUGUGAAAUAUGUCCAAUUAUUUGAAUUUUUGUUGAUAUUUUGAAAUUGAUAUUAUGUAUUGAUGAGCCAUCAAGUUAAAUUUAAAACGAAUUCCAUGUUGCAAAUGCUAUUUGGAAGUUGAAUUUGCUCUGCUGGGUUGCAAAGUAUACUUGAAUUUAUUUUAUCAAAAGAUGAAUAUUUAUCAUCUCUUAGUUUCCCCUUCAUUGUCAUAUAUCUUUACGAAAUUCUUGUAGAAGUAUUUAGAUGAUAAUUGGAUUGUGUUGAUAAUGUAGCUGGAAGAUCAUACGAGGAAUUUCAGGAAAAUAGGUUUUGUUGCUUGAGUCCAUUUUAUUUAAGGUGUCCGGAAAAAAAAGGUUGUGUGAGUGUGGAAAGUAUAUCAUCCUUGCGCGUUUGGAUCUGUUAUUCAUAUUGAUAGAUGGCAUUCCGUGUGUGGAAGCAUAUUUCACUUAAAACAUAUAUUCACCUUGUGUUGUUAGGUAACUAUUGUAGCUUUUCACAUCUGCUUUCGUAAUGGUUUAUUGUUGUACAUUUUAUAGGCUAAUGUUGCUAGAAGAAAAUCGAAUUUCUUUCUGCUCAAACGAUGGAAUGAUGAUUGAUGGCAUCACCUGGUUGCUGAAAUGAUAGGAUUGUCGUAAGUUUUAACUUGCUAUGUAUAGCUUCAUUUCUUGCUUUUAGUUUUGGUCGACUUCAACUCUAUUAAGUAUUUUGAGCCAAAUAUUUUUUAUUAACAGCAUCAACAUAAUUAAAUUUAUUUUACUCUUGAAACAACAAAUAUGUUUCCUCUUCCUUUUUGAUGGAAGUUACAUCACAAUAGAUCUGUCUUUUAUAUGAAGAUUUUCUUCUUCUCAAUUGCUAUUGCACACUGUACUUGAUAUUAGUUGUGGGUCUGGUAGCUUUAAUGCUCGUCUUCUAUCGCUUAAGCUGAUGUGUGACAGCAUAUGAGCCAACAGGUAGACAUGUUCAAUUGGCACUUGAUAGAGGUCUCCCUUCAAUCAAAACUUAAUCUAAAGACAGCUCCCUCUUCAUCCUUUGUCAUAUGAAGUGGUUCACUGCACUCAAUGUAGCAUUGUCUGUGAUAACAAAGGUAUGAUCUUCAUUAAGGUUUGGGGUUUUGUUUUUUUCCAUUAAAUCACCAUUUCUUCAUCAGAUUAAGUGCAGUGGUUUUUAUUGAUUUUUCACCGAUGAAAAUUCUUGAAAUUAAUUUGACAUUUAGCCUAAUGUAGUGCGAACUUUUCUGUGGUUUUUGCUAUUUUUUGCGUGCAUUUCUAUUUCUUUUUUGUUUAUCACAUUUUGUUUGAUACUAUAGUUAUCUGUAAUAAAUUUUGCAAUGGUAAUAUUAGGCUUGCUGUAAGGAAGGCCAAGAAGGAAAAGAAAGCGAAUGAUCCAAACAAGCCAAAGAGACCUCCAAGUGCUUUCUUUGUUUUCAUGUAUGCCCAUUUGCAUUUUUGGUCUCUAGCAUUUCUGUCUAUUGUUCUUAUAUAUUAUCUUUUUUAUGCUGCUUGGCAGACUACAACAAUAAUUUGGUAAUCCAUCUAUGAGAAGCACGGUGUUAUACACAGUUUAGUUUGAAUUGUGAUACUGAAACGAUUUGUGCCAAACUGUUUUUAUAGGCUAGAGGGGCUGUUGAAUUCGACAAGGCAAAGUCUGAGGUUAAUGGUGAUGAGGACGAUGAGAACAGUGGAGACGUUAGUUGAAAUUAAGCUCUACAACUUUUUUGUACUUGAAACUUAGCUACUAUGCUGACUUUUUAUUUUGUUUUAAUUAAUUUAGGAGGAAGAUGAUGAGUAAGCACUAUCAUGAAGAAUUAUUGUGUAAAAUUUGGCUUCAGGUGAAUUUUACUGAAAUUAAUUGAAAGUAAUUAUCAAUAAUACUCCUUUUUUAAUUUUUAUUUUUUAAAGUUGCUAAUGUGUUUGUUCUUCCUUUCAGUGAGGGAACAAGCGUCUCUUUGCCAUUAACUUGGGGCAAAAAAAGAGAGGAAACGUAUGCCUUGUUUUUCAUUAUUGCCUAUUGGUACACAAGACGUAUUUAGAGGAAAGGGGUGGAGGAAGAGGGGGUUGAGUGCUUGUAGACCAUGAGCAAAAAAUGGCAGACUACAAUAAGAAUUUGGUAAUUUCAUCUAUGAAAUUCUCUAUUACAAUGCACUACGUGCAUCUCACAUGCGAAGAACUAGUUCGAUAAAUAUUCAAUAUUUUGCAGCAAGCUUCAUAUCUUGUUAAAUUUUGAAGGUCCUUCCUUUUGUGAAAUCAUUUAAGUUAAAAAUGUUAAGAGAGAAAAACAUUAAUUUAUUAAUAUCUUCAAAACUCUUCUUAUGGUGCAGGUAGAUUUAAUUUUUCUAUAAACAUUAAAUUUCUGACUUUGAUGGGGAUGAUGUUAUUAUUUUACAGAUUUUCAUCUGGUCGUCCAUUACCAAUACAAUUUCGAGACUCGAUUUGAUUAGAGACUAAUAGCUCAGUCAUCUACCAGGUCAAGAAAGUUAUUAAUUGGGUUAGUUGCUUUAAGCUUGUGGGCUGACCACCUAUAUGCCUGCUUUGCAUAUAUUUCGUUGCCAGCUCCAAUCCACAUCAUUUGAUGACGUGUUGUUUACACCAAAUUUGACUUGUACACAAUAUCUGUUACUACGAGAGUUAGAGAGAGAGGCCAAUUCAAACCAUCAUUUGGUGACACAUUUUUUAAGAGCAAUCGUGGAACCUAUAUUUGUUAAGUGAAGUCAAUGUUAUGCUGAAGCAAACAAAAGAUUAUGACGAUUGAGGAUGGUCAAGUUCACAUUUCACUUCUUAUCUUUCCAUUCUCUCUCUUUUAGAGUAAAGAUCAUUUGUAGUAUUUCGUGGCUACCAAAUAUUCAAAUACUCCAGGGAACAUUGUAGAUGUAAAAUUCUGCAUUAUAUAAUAGGAGGAAUUUUUUUUUUUUUUUUCCUAAAUGGAUUAUCAGGUAAGUUGUCAUUAUUUGCAAUAGUAAUAGGCUUUUUAUUAUGAUGUGCAGUUGCACAUGUCCAUGUGUGUCCACGUAUACUUGUGUGUGUAAAUGUGGAAUAAUGAUAUUUACAAUCUAUUCUUACCUAUUAGCAAUUAGCAUUCUAUGUAGAUGUAUUGUUACUGCCACAUUUUCCUAUAAUUUUAGAGUAGGGAUAUUUGUAAGCAUCGUACUGAAAACAACAAUCUAUAUGACAAUGAGAUAUCUGUCUUAUUCUCCUAUGAAAUUGAGUUCGUUUUAAUUUAUUGAAGAAUGUGAUAGUGACCCCAUUAUUACAUCAAAUGUUGGUAAUAAGUACUGUUAUAAACUUAGCAUACAUUUAAUUUAUUGAAGAAUGUUACAAUAAUCAACUGUCGCAUGGACGGUUGAUGGAUAAGUACUGCUUACAAAGAGUAUUACUCCUUAAAAAUGGAAAUUUACUCGGGAUAUGAAGCCAAGUGGACAAAUAUCAGACCUUGCUAAAGAAAUUUCACUCUUAACAAAUACGAUUAUCCAUGAUAGACCAUAUGAAAAAUCAAAAUUGAGGAACAUUCUAACAAUAUCCCUCGACACCCAUCUCACCCUUUUAACUAUUUACCCACCAACCCCCACACUUUAUAUAUAAAUGUUUUUUCUUGUUUUUGUCUCAAUUUUAAGGGUCAAAAUGUCAAACAAAGUUAAAAUAUUAGAAUUUUAAUAUCAUUUUGAAGUGCUCAUAGCUUAGUUUCUCGCAUCAUUAACGGCGCGUGAAAUGACCGACCACAACAAAAGUUACAAUGCGUCAAAAUAGGUCAUUCAAAAUUAGUAUUUCAAGAAUUUCGAUAAUAUGCUAACUUUAAAAAUUUGUUGGCGAUCGUAUGCUAACUGAAUUCAGAAAUCGCUUGUCAUCUUGAUCCAAACCGAUAUAGGUUGUACAUUGAAAAUAAUUAAAUUAUUUGAAAAUUUUUGACGUCAUGUGUCAUGUAAAAUUAUCCUAAUAAAAUGAUUAUAAAAUGAUGUAAAUUAUAUUAAUAUAUUUGUUGAGCAAAAAUAAUAAAUGUUAAUGAAAUAAUUGAAAAAUUUUAAAGGAAAAAAUGAGUUAUGCAUCUCUUUUUGAGACGAUCAUUUAAUUAUUUUCGAUAUUCAAAUUUUGGACCAUUCGGUAUGUCUACGAUAUAAUUCUUAAAACUAAAACAAAUUUUAAAAUUAACAUGUUAUCGAAAUUCUCUAAAUACUAGUUUGGAAUGAUCUAUUUUAAGACAUCAUAACUUUCGCUACGAUUGAAAGUUUUACGCGCCGUUAACGAUGCAAAGAAUUAGACUGUGAGCACUUCAAAAUGAUAUUAAAAAUGUGAUAUUUCGAUUUCAUUUGACAUUCCAUAAUGACCUCAAAAAUUGAGACGAAAACAAGGGGGGAAAAAAACCUUUAUAUAUGAAGAAUGGGUGAUAAGAAUGGUGAGGCGUAGGUGUGGGGUGGGGUAAAAGGGGCGGGGGUCGGUAAAAAGUUAAAAAAUUGGGCAAGUGCAGGAGGAAACAAAAGUUGCCACAUUAGUAGUGGGUAGAAUGUUCUCCUGCACACCAUUGCCAGCAGAACAAUUCUACGAAAAAUAAUACGCGAAGAAUUAAUUUCAUAAUUUGUGAUCGAUAAAAAGUUAUAACCUAUAAAAUUUGUGAUUUUAAGUGUAACGUUUUGUAACUGUGACUGAUACGCAACCGUGAUCAUAAACUAUAUGAUAUUGCGAUCUUAAUAUAUUAAUUAUAUAUUUAAUUAAUGUACCAUAUUUAAUAUUUAUGACCCGGGUUUUGGAAAAUAAAAAAAUAAAAAUUUCAAGUUCGUCAAAAUUGAAAUUGUAACUUAAAAUCUAUGUAACUAUGCAUUCUUCCCAUUAUAAAUAGCAGUGGUGGAUAUAAUUUAUCCAUGGAAAAAUGCAAAAUCUCCAUUAGACUAGAGGAACUGGCUGUCUCGGCAGAGUUAUAUAUCGAAUUUUACUUGUCAUGCUGAGGUCGAGGGCUAAGAUCUCUAGCUUACGUGUAUAUAGGCAGGGGCAGAUCCAAGCACGGGCUCCACCAUGCUAUAGCCCGUGUACGGCCCUUAAAAUGUCUACUGUAUUUUUAUUAUUAUUAUUUUUUUUUAUUGAAAGAUAAAUCCAUGUAUAUUUGUAUUGUAACCCGUGUUCAAACUCAAGACUGAAUCCGCCACUGACAUAGGCGUUUAUUUCUAACCAAGUUACGAACACCAUCACUACUAGUAGUCGAAGUGGGCAGAUAUACAACAGUUACCAUCUAAAAAUGGACCAAAAAUAGUUCAGUGUGUUAUAGCAGAUCGAUGACCACACACUUUGAGCCAUCUAGGUAUCAACUAAUCAUUUACUAUCCUAGAUUAAGAAUAAGUCAUUAUAAGUGAAGUGUGACCUCCCAUUUCCCUUGAGGAGACCCAAACUAACCAUAAUCGUAUAGAAUAGAUGUAGUUCAUAAUCACAAAUCAACAUAGAAUCAAGCAGAAAUAAUACAACCAACAGACGGUAUACUCUGUUACAUUAAAUGUUGCUUUAUUGAAUUCCUCAACAGAACGUGAAAGUGUUCACACCUCUGUUUGAGUCUCAUUCUUUCAAAAAUUCAUUUUUUCAAAACUCAUUUUCAACCACACAUCCUUCAAUAAAGUAAUAUUACACGUAAAUUCAAAACUUUUCUUUACUUGUUAACCACAUAUUCUCAAUCAAUCUACUAUUCAAAAUGCAUUCUUUUCAAAAAAAUGGGGCUCAAGCUAAGUGAAGACUUCACAACAAUGUAAAUGGUAUUCUAGCAAUCAAUAUUCCAGUUUCAAGUUGAAAUGAAAUUAAGAAAAGAAACAUGUUGAUCAGUCUUAGAAAACGGUCAUAUAAAGAUAUUAGAAAGCACAUAACAAUCAAGUGUAUGGAUGGAACCACCUUUACAACAACAAGAGAAACUGGAUGACAGGCAACAAAUACAGUAUCAUAAAGCACAACUAAUCGAAGCUAUAGGAAUUAGAAAAAUACAGACCUCGAUCGAUUGUAUGAGACUCUUAUUAUGUAUACGUAAUAGUCUAGUUCAGUACAUUUGAUCAGCCAAGAAGAGGAUUAAGAACGUGCCCAAUGAAUAGCACUACCCCCGUCAUAUCUUCUCUGAUGAUGAACAAAAAUGGAUGAUCGGCAACAAAAUCGAACUCAUCCUCGACUAAUAAACCCCUCAGUUUAACAAGACCAGCAGAAGCAGCAGCAGCUUCCGUGCCUUCCUCAUUUACCUCGAUAAAUGACUUGUGGAAAAUGCUAGAAACAUAAAGGUUCUGACCAACUUGUGAGUCCACCAUAUCUGUGAGACCACCACCAGAAAAAGGCAACACGACUCCCAGUCCCUUGAGAACUUCCGAGGCUUCAAACCCAAAUGACAAUUUGAAUUUUGGGAUACGGAAUUCACCAACUUCGACCUUUUGAUAUGGGAGGUGAUGCUCCAAGAAUCCUGAUUCCGAACUGACUUUCUCUACCAAAGCCAGCAAUCCAUCUUUGGUGUCUGGAAGAAGGAAGUUCAUAGAGAACUUGCGCUUAUCUUCACCUUGCUUAUACGGAAGGCUCAAAAUUUUGAAACCAUCAAAGGAACGUAUAUAUUGCUUCUUCUUGCUACUCAUGAAGGGUACUUGUACUGAGCUCCCAUCUAGGAGGAAAAAGUCAUGGUCCUUUGUAAUUGAUGCAUCAAACUUCUCACUCCAAGCUCCUUUGAAAUACACUGCAUUUGCAAAGAUGAGCCUCGUGGAAGCAUCAACUGAGCCAGGUGGAAGAAUUUCUUCGACAAGGCCACUUGUUUCCUUUUCAGCCCAUUGAUUGACUUCACCGAUUACCUCAACAGCCUUCAGAAAUAUCAAGAAUAAAGAACAUAACAAUUAAUACAUUGUUAAAGAAAUUUACUUGCAGAAGUAGAAGUUCUACAACAUGAAUGAUUUCACCCAGCCAGUUCCUCUUUCUCCUACAACUCAAGGUGUACAAGCAGAUAAAUAACUGUUUACAUCAUGAAUUCGUUGACAUUACAAUAGAGACUAUUAUGUGUAAGGUUUAUUCUAAAUGUCAUGGGCCAUGAAUACCAUUUACAGAUAUACUUGAAACAGAAGUUGGUUACAUGCUUAUGAACAUAACCACCACCAAAAAACAAAAGCAAAAGCAAAGCCGUCCCCAAUAAAUUUGGAGUCAGGGAGCUAGAAGCAUUUUUCAUCCAUUCGACAGGGAUUUCUUGGUGACCAAUACUAACAUGAAGACAAGAAUAAAUCGGAUGUUAUCCAUUUGAUAUUUUCAUAAUAUCAAACUAUCACAAUUCUGUAAACAAUUACAG
rnacentral:lncRNA from 1 species